rnacentral:lncRNA from 1 species
UAGAAUUUAUUUACUGCAGGAACAGACACUUCAUCGAGCGUAAUCGAGUGGUCUCUGGCUGAGAUGUUGAAAAACCCGAGCAUCCUCAAGCGUGCUCACGAAGAAAUGGAUCAAGUGAUUGGAAGGAGCCGGCGGCUCGUGGAGUCUGACUUGCCAAAACUUCCAUACCUACAAGCCAUAUGCAAGGAAAGCUUCCGGAAGCACCCAUCCACCCCAUUGAACCUUCCUCGUGUCUCAACCCAAGCAUGUGAAGUGAACGGCUACUACAUCCCAGAGAACACUAGACUUAGCGUGAACAUAUGGUGAGAAAGAUUAGAUGGAUAAAAGACCUUGAUUUGCUUUUAGUGGAAUUUUCAAAAGGAAAUAUGAUUAGGGGAAUAGACUACUUUCAACUAAAAAGUUAUAACAAUGUGGAUGGUAGGAACUUAAAACAUCACCCAUAUAUCAAAGGAGUGUAGAAUAUCAAAGGAGUGUAGAAUGAGAGGUUUUUUUUUUUACUUAUACAAUAAUAAAUUUUUCUGCAAGAGUUUUUUUUAGGUACAAAAACUUAUGACUUAAAAACCAUUAUUACGAUGAGUUAAUUAAAAUAGAAUUAAUUUAGAAAAUAUAAAUAAAAUUGCAUGAAUUAUUAUCAUGAGUUAACUUAAUAAGAAUUAAUAGUAAUAAAGUUGAAUGAAGUUGUGGACCCUGCAUUUUGGUUCAUGUGUUUUUCAUUCGUUGGCGAGCUCGAUUUUUAUUUAAAAAAUGAUUUUUAUUCAUUAAAAAUCUAACUUAGAAUCGCCACUUAUUUUUGUUUUAUUUUUAAAGGGGUAAACAAAAUAAUAAAAAAAACCCUAAGUGUGACUUCUUAUUUUAGAAAAAUCGGUUUGUGAAAAAUCGGAUCGGGCUCAGGGAUCAGGUUACUUAUCGAUAAGAUACGGUACGAACUGUAGCACCUCUCUAAGUCCUUAAAGUCGGGUCUCUACUACCUGUAUCUGCUCCCCCAACGUGAUUGUUCUGUGCGUUAUCUCUCUCUCCCAUAUAACCAUUCGCUCCUGCUCACUCCUCCUUCGUGUAGCCUUCUUUUUCUUUUUCUUUUUUUUUUUUCUUCCUUCUUCACUCAACCUCCUCUGUUUUAGUCUCUCCCGCAAGCCACGGACCUGCUCCAGUGUCCUUGGAGCAUGUCAUCAGCAUCUACGCACGUUCAUGGCCUCGGUCAACCUUACAGCUACAUGUUCUAAGUUGCUUCCCCAGCAAACAGGGGUCCCCUCCUCGUUUAAAAAAAAAAUAUGACAGCUCACCUAAACCUUUCCCUUCAAGAAGCUGCCACCUAUCCAGGGGUCUACAGAAGUGAAUUUUGAAUGGUAGAUAUUAUUGAUGAUAAGAUUUUUUAAUAAUAAAAAUAUUAUUUGGGUAUGAAAAAUAGGACAAAAUUGACCUUUCUUUAUGUUACUGGUUAAAUGGAUAAUAGGGAUAAUCAAGUAAUUACAUGUGGUGAGGUUACCUAAGCUAAUUCUGUACUUACCAGCUAGCCCAAAAGCUAAGAAAAAUCUCCAUCCUCCAUUCAUGGCUCCCUUUUCUUUUCCCUAUUUUUAGAAAAUUCAACCAGUUUUGGUAAAUCAAUCUUACAACGUCCUUUCAGUCCACCAGAUGUCCCUUUGAUUUUCGUCUUAUUUUCUGAUUCCUCUUCUUUUUCUCUCGUUUCUUCCUUCAAAAUCCAUCCCUCAUCUCUCUCACAAUUUUCUCUUUACCUUCUUCUCUUCCUUCCAGUUUCCUUUUUAUUUUAUUUUUCAUGCAGACAGAAUCCCCUUACUUUCCUUUGUUUCUCUCUUUAAAAAAUUCUGAUUUUGCCCUAAAAAAAAUUGAUUUUUCUCUUUAAAUAUUUUAAUUUUCCUCCUCCAAAUUCUGAUUUGCCUUUCUAAAAUUUCAGAUCUUCCCAACCCAAAUUAAAUUCCGCUUUCCCCCGGUAAAAUUCUGGAUUUUCUCAUCCAAGAUAGUCAAUUUUUUAUUUUUUUUCAAAAGACAUUAUGGGUGUAUUUUGAAAAAUUGAAAAGGUAAUCAUGCAUGGCCAUGUGAGGAGAGAAGAAAAAGUAAAGUAGAUAAGUUGGAAGACAGCAUUGAUGGGAGAAUAAAAGUUCAAAAAUCAAUAAAAUAAUAUUAGAAUAAAAUAAAGAAAAGAAAUAGUGAGUAAAAAGAAUGUAACAUUCGUAAUCUAAGACAUAUAUAUAUAUAUAUAUAUAUAUAUAUAUAUAUAUAUAUAUGUGGGGAAAUUUAAUUUAUAAAGGAAAAUUGGGUUUUAAUUCACUAAUUUAAGAGAAUAAAAAAAAAGAACUCUAAAUUAUAAAUUAAUUUUAUUUUCAUCAAUUUAAAAAUAUUUUACAAUAUAUAUACUUUUUUAUAACUCAAAUAAUUAUUUCUUGAAAUAAUAUUUUUACUUGUUAUGUUAAUAACACCAAUUAAUAAAUAAAAACUAUAAAAUAUAAAAUAUAAAAAUAAAAUAUUAAUUUUCAUUAGUUAAACACAUGUUGGUAGAAAAUAUAGAUAUCCAAAAAGAGUUGGAAAUACAACAAGAAUUAAUAUUUAUUUUUAAAAUUUUAAGUUUUUUUAAUUGUAUUUACUUUUUAUAUAUUUUAGAUUUAAUUGUAUUUUUUAUUUGAUGGUUGAUUUUAACUAACAAAUUUUUUUAUUCAAUUUUAUUGAAAAAUAAGAAGAUGGGCUUUAUAUAAUAUAGAAUAUAAAAUCAUUAUUAUUUAAAGGAUAAAAAAAAAUUUUAUUUAUCACGAUUUGAAUAAUUUUUUCACAAUGAUUUGCAUCUUAUAAUAAAAAAUUUAUAAUAUAUUUAUUUGUACUAUACUUUUAUCAAAUUAAAUUGAUCAAUUAAUUUUGGAUUAUUUAUUUAAUAUUAUCAAGUAAAAUGGUAUUUAGAAAAUAAUUAUUUGAGUUAUAAAAAAGUAUAUGUAUUUUAAAAUAUUUUUUAAAUUGAUGAAGAUAAAAUUGAUUUAUAAAAAUUAAAGUUUUUUUUUUUUUAAAAUUAGUGAAUAAAACCCCCAUUUUUUUUUUUAACUUUAUAAUGUAGCCAUGGGAUUUUAUAACAUAAGCAAAUUUUACGUGAAAGAGGAAAAAAAUCAACUUUUCAAUUUCCAAUAAUUAUUAUUAUUAUUAGAAAUAUUUGAUUAAAAAAGAUGAAAUAAUCCCCAAAAUCGGAAAUCUAACCCUUCCUAUGCUUUUUCUAAAAAAGUAAUCCAUUUUUUUUUACAUAAAUACCAUUUUCUAUUUCAAGUAUCCAAUUUGGCUGAUUCUUAAUUAGUUGGCAUCAUUACUAUUCUGUAAUUAGUUAGAAUAGUAUUAGGAGUUGAAGGUCAGUUGGAAUACAGGCUUAUGGAAACAAAUCUAUCCCAUUAGUUGGUUCUUAUUAUUUUUAUUAUUUUCAAUAUAGGAGAUGGGCAGCCGCCGCCUUUUGUCUGGGGGCCAUCNNNNNNNNNNNNNNNNNNNNNNNNNNNNNNNNNNNNNNNNNNNNNNNNNNNNNNNNNNNNNNNNNNNNNNNNNNNNNNNNNNNNNNNNNNNNNNNNNNNNNNNNNNNNNNNNNNNNNNNNNNNNNNNNNNNNNNNNNNNNNNNNNNNNNNNNNNNNNNNNNNNNNNNNNNNNNNNNNNNNNNNNNNAGCAUGGUGGUGGCCUCAACUCCCGAGGCGGCUCGGGCUUUCCUUAAAACGCUAGACAUUAAUUUCUCUAACCGCCCGCCUAAUGCCGGUGCCACACUCUUGGCCUAUCAUGCCCAAGACAUGGUUUUUGCGGAUUAUGGGGCAAGGUGGAAGCUACUGAGAAAGCUAAGCAACUUACACAUGCUUGGUGGGAAGGCUCUUGAGGACUGGUCUCAGGUCCGAGCUGUUGAGCUAGGCCACAUGCUUCGAUCCAUGCUUGAGUUGUGCCAGCGAGCGGAGCCGGUGGUGGUGCCGGAGAUGUUAACUUUUUCCAUGGCCAACAUGAUAGGUCAAGUGAUUCUAAGCCGCCGGGUGUUUGAAACAAAAGGGUCGGAGUCAAAUGAGUUCAAGGACAUGGUGGUGGAGCUCAUGACCAGUGCUGGGUACUUCAAUAUUGGCGAUUUUAUUCCGUCCAUCGCAUGGCUGGACAUCCAAGGGAUCCAGCGCGGGAUGAAGCAUUUACAUAGGAAGUUCGACUGGUUAUUAACAAAGAUGAUGGAGGAGCACACGGCGUCAGCCCAUGAGCGGAAGGGAAACCCAGAUUUUCUGGACGUAAUCAUGGCAAACCAAGAAAAUUCUACAGGGGAGAAGCUCACUAUUACCAACAUUAAAGCACUCCUCCUGGUAUGCAUAGUUAAAGCUCGUCUUUAAUUUUGUUUUCCGAUAUUUUCUUUCCGGAAACAGCACUUUUAUUGCUUUUAGAUAUGUAUGUUUUUAUCAGGUAGCCAUUUUAGGGGCACAUCACUGUUCUUUAUUUGGAUUUUUUUUCUCUUUUUCCACUUGCAUGAUUGUUUUCAUAUGCUCAGCUGCAUGGUACAGGAAAAUUGUGAAAAAUGAUUGGUUCUCUGAUCAGACCUUCUGCACCAAGACACACUUCUCUCUAUUUUAUAAAAUCAAGAACAUUUAUGGUUUACAUGAUUUUUCGAACUUGAACUUUUGCUAGGGCUAAUGCAUGGAUCUCAAUUUUCAAUUGCUUUUGAUUACAUAAAUUUCAAGUAUGUCACCAUAUUUUUGUUUCCUUGGCUAGAAUUUAUUUACUGCAGGAACAGACACUUCAUCAAGCGUAAUCGAGUGGUCUCUGGCUGAGAUGUUGAAAAACCCGAGCAUCCUCAAGCGUGCUCACGAUGAAAUGGAUAAAGUGAUUGGAAGGAGCCGGCGGCUCGUGGAGUCUGACUUGCCAAAACUUCCAUACCUACAAGCCAUAUGCAAGGAAAGCUUCCGGAAGCACCCAUCCACACCACUGAACCUUCCUCGUGUCUCAACCCAGGCAUGUGAAGUGAACGGCUACUACAUCCCAAAGAACACUAGACUUAGUGUGAACAUAUGGGCAAUCGGGCGAGACCCUGAUGUCUGGGAAAGCCCGGAAGAAUUCAGGCCAGAAAGGUUUUUAAGUGGAAGAAAUGAAAAAAUUGAUCCUCGUGGAAAUGAUUUUGAGUUGAUCCCGUUUGGGGCUGGACGAAGGAUUUGCGCUGGCACUAGAAUGGGAAUAGUGCUGGUUGAGUACAUUUUAGGGACGUUGGUACAUUCAUUUGACUGGAAAAUGCCGGAUGGAGUUGAGAUCAACAUGGACGAAGCUUUCGGGCUUGCGCUGCAGAAGGCAGUUUCUCUUUCGGCCAUGGUGACACCAAGGCUUCACCAGAGUGCGUAUGCAGUCUGAGCUCAAACCGCUCAGACCAAAACCCAGGCCUCGCUGCUAUAUGGCAUGGANNNNNNNNNNNNNNNNNNNNNNNNNNNNNNNNNNNNNNNNNNNNNNNNNNNNNNNNNNNNNNNNNNNNNNNNNNNNNNNNNNNNNNNNNNNNNNNNNNNNNNNNNNNNNNNNNNNNNNNNNNNNNNNNNNNNNNNNNNNNNNNNNNNNNNNNNNNNNNNNNNNNNNNNNNNNNNNNNNNNNNNNNNNNNNNNNNNNNNNNNNNNNNNNNNNNNNNNNNNNNNNNNNNNNNNNNNNNNNNNNNNNNNNNNNNNNNNNNNNNNNNNNNNNNNNNNNNNNNNNNNAACCCCCUUCAAAUCUAAUUAUUCAUACCCAAUUUUGACACGAAAGAGCCAUUGUCAUGAAAGGGGGACCAGGGACCUCAGCACCCUUGGUCCAUCAUUUUGGUACGAUGCCAACUCUACCACAUAACCACCAUUUAGAUAUCUAUCCUUUUAUUUUUGGCAUGUGAACUUAUAGUGGGUGGCUGACCUUGAAUCCAAUAGUUAUCAUGAUAUAUAUGGCUGAAAUUAAAUCCAAUAGAAUCCAAUAUGUUUUCUUAUAUCUCAAGUUUCAAUCAAAAAAAUAUUUAUGAUUUGUUUUUAUUAAUUUGUGUCUUGUUUUCAAUUUAAUUAAUGAAAAUUUAUUUGAUCAAAAAGUUCAUUACAAACCAAUUUUAAAAAUCUAAUCCUUUAUUAUAUUUUGAUAUCGUUUUGAUAAAAAUGUCUUUAUUAUUAUUAUUAUUUUUUUUUUAUAAAAAUAAAUUUUUUUAUAAAUAUAUUGUAAAUAUUUAAAAUAAUUAAAAAUAUUUAGAUCAAAAAUCGAUUAUUUUUCAAACAAAAAUAUGAAAGUGAUAAAUUUGUAAAUAUGGGGAAUAUUUAAUCCUUUUAAUCGAUUAUUUCAUUAAUGAAGUGGGUAUAAUGAUGAACACAGACUUGGUUUUGCUAGGGCAUGCAGAGGUUUUGCAAGAGAGAGAGAUCAUUUCUCGACUCUGAGAAAUCAAUCUCCUUUUGGCCCGGUGGCGGACUCCAAGUAAAGCCUUGAAGGAGCCUUGCUAACAUCCCUGCACACCCACGCCUUCCAGUACUGAAGGAAAUGAAGCGAAGGUUUGGCUCGUUCAACUCCACUGCUUGAACUGUACUAGCAUUCAGAUGCCGCUCUGGAUUGAAAUUUAGCGGUUCUUCCCAGAUUCUAGGGUUCCGGCCCAGCCCCAGACGGCUCAGAAGGACAUGACUGCCUUUGGGGAUAGAGUACCCAGCAACACUAGUCGGAUUCCUGAACUCGUCUAUCCUUUCCAACCACUCCAUCAAUUUCUUCACUGCUUUGCUCAAAAUCCCUGGUUGCUUGAUCAUUGCCUACUCAGUUGCAUUUGAUGGACUAUCGACGCCUGCAAGCAUCAACUCCUGCAAAUUAUGGAAGGAUCAUAAUCUGAUGAUUGAUCAAGUUAUUUGCUGGCUAGGAAAUGAUCAUCAUGCAAUGUAGAUCAAAAGGUAAGCACAACACUACUACAAAAAUAAUUUAUGGUGUCAUUUUUAAAAUAAUGACACCAUAGGGUUUAUAAUUAAUAAAGGUGAUACAUCAUAUGAAAAUUCUUCAAUUAAGGUAGUUAGAUUAUGUUAGUUUUAUAUUUAUAGUGUCAUUUUUUGGGAAGUAACAUCAUAUAAAAUAAAUUUUUUUUUAAGUAUUAUAACUUAAUGAGCCCACUUUUAUAAUUAAUAAUGAGGGAUAAUGUAUAAAAAGCCCAUUGUUUCCACAUGCCACCCAUAAUCCAAAAAAUCUCAGUAUACAAAUCUUAUAUAUAAAACCAUAAUCUUCUUCUACCUUUUCUCUUACUUAUAGUCAACACACUUAUAACCGACAUUUUCCACUUUGUGGACUCCCAAGUUAUCCAAAUUCUCUUAGAUCUAUCAUAUUUUUUUCUUUUAUUAAUAUCAUUAUAUUGAUUGUUUCAGCAUCUUUGUAUUAUGGUUUUUGUGAACUGUGUUUUUUUGAGUUGUAGGGAAGAAAAACUUAGGUUUAAACUUCUAGCAUAGACGAAGAAACUUGUAGAUUAAUUGAUUUUUUAAUAUGAACCAAACACAUGACCGACUUUUGUUGUGUGUAUUUAUGUGAGAAUGAUAGGUACAAAAUUUUGUUGAGAUAUACUGUCCCAUAAUCUUCAUCCCUUCCCUAAAAUGAGAGGGGAAAAAAAAAGGGAUGAUUUUUUUUGUGUGUAUCUAAGUGGGAACGAGAGAUAUAGAAUUUCGUUGUGAUGUAGUGCUGCCACAUGAUCUUUAUCCACCAUUAAACCUAACAUAUUAAAUCCACUAACUCUCUCCCCAAAAACGAGUAAAAAAAAAAAAGGAAAAAAGUAUGAGUUAAAAAACAAAAACGGAAAAUAUGAUUUUUUUUUAAUGUGUUUCUAAGGAGAAUGAGAGAUACAUAUUUUUGUUAAGUGCAUUGCCACAUGUUCUUCAUCCUCUCCAUUAAGCCUAAUAUAUUAAACCUAAUAGCUCUCUCUUUUAAGCUUUCCAAUGAAGUGCCUACAGUAUCCAACUCAAAAUAAGACAACUUAUGCCCCAUUAGCCAACAACCCAUAUUUUGUGUACAUCUUGAUGAGAUUAUUUUGUGAGAAAAUGUCAUGAAACAAUCCCAAUUUGAUAAUCUAGGCAUGUAUUUGAGUUAAAAAUAAAUUUCUAUUCUAUAGAUCAAAGAAUAAAAUCAUGUUUGAAAAUUAUUUUUAAAAACUUAUUUAGAGCAAAAAUAGUUUUCUAACAUAAAAAUAAUUUUUUAACUGAGAAAAUAUAUUUGAAAUUAUUUGAUAGAAAAUUGGGCAUGUAUUUGACUUAAAAACAAAUUUCUAUUCUAUAGCUCAAAUAAUAAAAUCAUGUUUGAAAAUUAUUCUUAAAAACUUAUUUNNNNNNNNNNNNNNNNNNNNNNNNNNNNNNNNNNNNNNNNNNNNNNNNNNNNNNNNNNNNNNNNNNNNNNNNNNNNNNNNNNNNNNNNNNNNNNNNNNNNNNNNNNNNNNNNNNNNNNNNNNNNNNNNNNNNNNNNNNNNNNNNNNNNNNNNNNNNNNNNNNNNNNNNNNNNNNNNNNNNNNNNNNNNNNNNNNNNNNNNNNNNNNNNNNNNNNNNNNNNNNNNNNNNNNNNNNNNNNNNNNNNNNNNNNNNNNNNNNNNNNNNNNNNNNNNNNNNNNNNNNNNNNNNNNNNNNNNNNNNNNNNNNNNNNNNNNNNNNNNNNNNNNNNNNNNNNNNNNNNNNNNNNNNNNNNNNNNNNNNNNNNNNNNNNNNNNNNNNNNNNNNNNNNNNNNNNNNNNNNNNNNNNNNNNNNNNNNNNNNNNNNNNNNNNNNNNNNNNNNNNNNNNNNNNNNNNNNNNNNNNNNNNNNNNNNNNNNNNNNNNNNNNNNNNNNNNNNNNNNNNNNNNNNNNNNNNNNNNNNNNNNNNNNNNNNNNNNNNNNNNNNNNNNNNNNNNNNNNNNNNNNNNNNNNNNNNNNNNNNNNNNNNNNNNNNNNNNNNNNNNNNNNNNNNNNNNNNNNNNNNNNNNNNNNNNNNNNNNNNNNNNNNNNNNNNNNNNNNNNNNNNNNNNNNNNNNNNNNNNNNNNNNNNNNNNNNNNNNNNNNNNNNNNNNNNNNNNNNNNNNNNNNNNNNNNNNNNNNNNNNNNNNNNNNNNNNNNNNNNNNNNNNNNNNNNNNNNNNNNNNNNNNNNNNNNNNNNNNNNNNNNNNNNNNNNNNNNNNNNNNNNNNNNNNNNNNNNNNNNNNNNNNNNNNNNNNNNNNNNNNNNNNNNNNNNNNNNNNNNNNNNNNNNNNNNNNNNNNNNNNNNNNNNNNNNNNNNNNNNNNNNNNNNNNNNNNNNNNNNNNNNNNNNNNNNNNNNNNNNNNNNNNNNNNNNNNNNNNNNNNNNNNNNNNNNNNNNNNNNNNNNNNNNNNNNNNNNNNNNNNNNNNNNNNNNNNNNNNNNNNNNNNNNNNNNNNNNNNNNNNNNNNNNNNNNNNNNNNNNNNNNNNNNNNNNNNNNNNNNNNNNNNNNNNNNNNNNNNNNNNNNNNNNNNNNNNNNNNNNNNNNNNNNNNNNNNNNNNNNNNNNNNNNNNNNNNNNNNNNNNNNNNNNNNNNNNNNNNNNNNNNNNNNNNNNNNNNNNNNNNNNNNNNNNNNNNNNNNNNNNNNNNNNNNNNNNNNNNNNNNNNNNNNNNNNNNNNNNNNNNNNNNNNNNNNNNNNNNNNNNNNNNNNNNNNNNNNNNNNNNNNNNNNNNNNNNNNNNNNNNNNNNNNNNNNNNNNNNNNNNNNNNNNNNNNNNNNNNNNNNNNNNNNNNNNNNNNNNNNNNNNNNNNNNNNNNNNNNNNNNNNNNNNNNNNNNNNNNNNNNNNNNNNNNNNNNNNNNNNNNNNNNNNNNNNNNNNNNNNNNNNNNNNNNNNNNNNNNNNNNNNNNNNNNNNNNNNNNNNNNNNNNNNNNNNNNNNNNNNNNNNNNNNNNNNNNNNNNNNNNNNNNNNNNNNNNNNNNNNNNNNNNNNNNNNNNNNNNNNNNNNNNNNNNNNNNNNNNNNNNNNNNNNNNNNNNNNNNNNNNNNNNNNNNNNNNNNNNNNNNNNNNNNNNNNNNNNNNNNNNNNNNNNNNNNNNNNNNNNNNNNNNNNNNNNNNNNNNNNNNNNNNNNNNNNNNNNNNNNNNNNNNNNNNNNNNNNNNNNNNNNNNNNNNNNNNNNNNNNNNNNNNNNNNNNNNNNNNNNNNNNNNNNNNNNNNNNNNNNNNNNNNNNNNNNNNNNNNNNNNNNNNNNNNNNNNNNNNNNNNNNNNNNNNNNNNNNNNNNNNNNNNNNNNNNNNNNNNNNNNNNNNNNNNNNNNNNNNNNNNNNNNNNNNNNNNNNNNNNNNNNNNNNNNNNNNNNNNNNNNNNNNNNNNNNNNNNNNNNNNNNNNNNNNNNNNNNNNNNNNNNNNNNNNNNNNNNNNNNNNNNNNNNNNNNNNNNNNNNNNNNNNNNNNNNNNNNNNNNNNNNNNNNNNNNNNNNNNNNNNNNNNNNNNNNNNNNNNNNNNNNNNNNNNNNNNNNNNNNNNNNNNNNNNNNNNNNNNNNNNNNNNNNNNNNNNNNNNNNNNNNNNNNNNNNNNNNNNNNNNNNNNNNNNNNNNNNNNNNNNNNNNNNNNNNNNNNNNNNNNNNNNNNNNNNNNNNNNNNNNNNNNNNNNNNNNNNNNNNNNNNNNNNNNNNNNNNNNNNNNNNNNNNNNNNNNNNNNNNNNNNNNNNNNNNNNNNNNNNNNNNNNNNNNNNNNNNNNNNNNNNNNNNNNNNNNNNNNNNNNNNNNNNNNNNNNNNNNNNNNNNNNNNNNNNNNNNNNNNNNNNNNNNNNNNNNNNNNNNNNNNNNNNNNNNNNNNNNNNNNNNNNNNNNNNNNNNNNNNNNNNNNNNNNNNNNNNNNNNNNNNNNNNNNNNNNNNNNNNNNNNNNNNNNNNNNNNNNNNNNNNNNNNNNNNNNNNNNNNNNNNNNNNNNNNNNNNNNNNNNNNNNNNNNNNNNNNNNNNNNNNNNNNNNNNNNNNNNNNNNNNNNNNNNNNNNNNNNNNNNNNNNNNNNNNNNNNNNNNNNNNNNNNNNNNNNNNNNNNNNNNNNNNNNNNNNNNNNNNNNNNNNNNNNNNNNNNNNNNNNNNNNNNNNNNNNNNNNNNNNNNNNNNNNNNNNNNNNNNNNNNNNNNNNNNNNNNNNNNNNNNNNNNNNNNNNNNNNNNNNNNNNNNNNNNNNNNNNNNNNNNNNNNNNNNNNNNNNNNNNNNNNNNNNNNNNNNNNNNNNNNNNNNNNNNNNNNNNNNNNNNNNNNNNNNNNNNNNNNNNNNNNNNNNNNNNNNNNNNNNNNNNNNNNNNNNNNNNNNNNNNNNNNNNNNNNNNNNNNNNNNNNNNNNNNNNNNNNNNNNNNNNNNNNNNNNNNNNNNNNNNNNNNNNNNNNNNNNNNNNNNNNNNNNNNNNNNNNNNNNNNNNNNNNNNNNNNNNNNNNNNNNNNNNNNNNNNNNNNNNNNNNNNNNNNNNNNNNNNNNNNNNNNNNNNNNNNNNNNNNNNNNNNNNNNNNNNNNNNNNNNNNNNNNNNNNNNNNNNNNNNNNNNNNNNNNNNNNNNNNNNNNNNNNNNNNNNNNNNNNNNNNNNNNNNNNNNNNNNNNNNNNNNNNNNNNNNNNNNNNNNNNNNNNNNNNNNNNNNNNNNNNNNNNNNNNNNNNNNNNNNNNNNNNNNNNNNNNNNNNNNNNNNNNNNNNNNNNNNNNNNNNNNNNNNNNNNNNNNNNNNNNNNNNNNNNNNNNNNNNNNNNNNNNNNNNNNNNNNNNNNNNNNNNNNNNNNNNNNNNNNNNNNNNNNNNNNNNNNNNNNNNNNNNNNNNNNNNNNNNNNNNNNNNNNNNNNNNNNNNNNNNNNNNNNNNNNNNNNNNNNNNNNNNNNNNNNNNNNNNNNNNNNNNNNNNNNNNNNNNNNNNNNNNNNNNNNNNNNNNNNNNNNNNNNNNNNNNNNNNNNNNNNNNNNNNNNNNNNNNNNNNNNNNNNNNNNNNNNNNNNNNNNNNNNNNNNNNNNNNNNNNNNNNNNNNNNNNNNNNNNNNNNNNNNNNNNNNNNNNNNNNNNNNNNNNNNNNNNNNNNNNNNNNNNNNNNNNNNNNNNNNNNNNNNNNNNNNNNNNNNNNNNNNNNNNNNNNNNNNNNNNNNNNNNNNNNNNNNNNNNNNNNNNNNNNNNNNNNNNNNNNNNNNNNNNNNNNNNNNNNNNNNNNNNNNNNNNNNNNNNNNNNNNNNNNNNNNNNNNNNNNNNNNNNNNNNNNNNNNNNNNNNNNNNNNNNNNNNNNNNNNNNNNNNNNNNNNNNNNNNNNNNNNNNNNNNNNNNNNNNNNNNNNNNNNNNNNNNNNNNNNNNNNNNNNNNNNNNNNNNNNNNNNNNNNNNNNNNNNNNNNNNNNNNNNNNNNNNNNNNNNNNNNNNNNNNNNNNNNNNNNNNNNNNNNNNNNNNNNNNNNNNNNNNNNNNNNNNNNNNNNNNNNNNNNNNNNNNNNNNNNNNNNNNNNNNNNNNNNNNNNNNNNNNNNNNNNNNNNNNNNNNNNNNNNNNNNNNNNNNNNNNNNNNNNNNNNNNNNNNNNNNNNNNNNNNNNNNNNNNNNNNNNNNNNNNNNNNNNNNNNNNNNNNNNNNNNNNNNNNNNNNNNNNNNNNNNNNNNNNNNNNNNNNNNNNNNNNNNNNNNNNNNNNNNNNNNNNNNNNNNNNNNNNNNNNNNNNNNNNNNNNNNNNNNNNNNNNNNNNNNNNNNNNNNNNNNNNNNNNNNNNNNNNNNNNNNNNNNNNNNNNNNNNNNNNNNNNNNNNNNNNNNNNNNNNNNNNNNNNNNNNNNNNNNNNNNNNNNNNNNNNNNNNNNNNNNNNNNNNNNNNNNNNNNNNNNNNNNNNNNNNNNNNNNNNNNNNNNNNNNNNNNNNNNNNNNNNNNNNNNNNNNNNNNNNNNNNNNNNNNNNNNNNNNNNNNNNNNNNNNNNNNNNNNNNNNNNNNNNNNNNNNNNNNNNNNNNNNNNNNNNNNNNNNNNNNNNNNNNNNNNNNNNNNNNNNNNNNNNNNNNNNNNNNNNNNNNNNNNNNNNNNNNNNNNNNNNNNNNNNNNNNNNNNNNNNNNNNNNNNNNNNNNNNNNNNNNNNNNNNNNNNNNNNNNNNNNNNNNNNNNNNNNNNNNNNNNNNNNNNNNNNNNNNNNNNNNNNNNNNNNNNNNNNNNNNNNNNNNNNNNNNNNNNNNNNNNNNNNNNNNNNNNNNNNNNNNNNNNNNNNNNNNNNNNNNNNNNNNNNNNNNNNNNNNNNNNNNNNNNNNNNNNNNNNNNNNNNNNNNNNNNNNNNNNNNNNNNNNNNNNNNNNNNNNNNNNNNNNNNNNNNNNNNNNNNNNNNNNNNNNNNNNNNNNNNNNNNNNNNNNNNNNNNNNNAUAUCUUCCGCACCAAUAUGGAUCUAGAAGAAGGGGAAAUGCUAAAAAUAAAGCAUAAAGGUAGUGCAUUGAAACCAAAGAUUGCAAAAAAUCGAAGUAAAGGGAUAAAGCUCAAGAUUGAAUACAAUAGCCUUAGUAGUCACAUUGAGGAAAAUUCAGUUGAACUAAGUAGUUAUCUUAGUACAAUAACUAGAACCCAUGUGCCAAUAAUUAUUGAGAGUUGGGGGAAAGUGCCUAAAGAGACUAAGGAGAAGUUGUGGGAUUUGAUCACGGUAAGCCUCUCUAUAACUUUAAUAUAUAAUUAUUGUAUACAUUCAUUAACAUGAGCUAACAUGGGUUGCUAUUUUGUAGACAAGCUUUAAUGUGAAUAAAAAAUCCAAGAGGAAUUGUUUCAUACUAAUGGGCAUCAGGUUUCGAACCUUUAAGUACAAGUUGACAAAGAAAUAUAUAUUGUCUUUCAAGAAUGACUAAAAAAGCUGAAAAAGUCACCUCCUAUUUACCCAUUCAUACAAGAGGAUCAUUGGAGACAGUUUGUUAAAGAUAGACUUUUAGAACAUUUUAAUGUUAAGCAUUAUUUUUAUUACAUCUUCAAUUUUCACAUUUACGUAGUUUCAUUAUGUACUAAUUUUGUGUCUAUAUUUUGUAGGAAUAUCGCAAAGUUCAGAAAUCAAGAAGAGAUAAACACAUUUACAAUCAUUAUCUUGGAAGAAAAUGAUAUGCACGUUUUGAGCAUGAUAUAGUAAGUUAUCAAUAUCCAUAAAAAAAAAAUGGAGUAUAUAUUUUGUUUAUAGGAAAAUGAUUCUAGUUUUUAAAUAUCAUUUAUUAACUUGAUCAUAUUGAACUAAUGAGUUUUAUUGUUAAAAAUUUUAUAGCUACAAGCAGAAGGGGCUAUUGGUAGGGUUGAUAGAAGUGUUUAUGAAAGAAAACACGUGAGAAGAAAGGAAAGUUUAAUAAGAUUACAAAGCCAAUGAUUAACUAAGUUAGCAUAUUUAUGCCUUUUAGAGCCUAUAGUGUUAGUAUGUCUAUGUGAUUAGGGUUUGUGAUGAUAUCGUUAGGUGUUAAUAGGGAAGAGGCUUAAUGCUAUCAUUUUUAUGAGUAGUCAUGUUAUAUUAGUGCAAAUAUAGUAGCCUAAUUUGAAAAUUAAUUUUGAAACAAUAUACAUUAAUUUAUCUAUUAUCAUUUUUAUUAAAACAAUUCAUUUUAUAGCUACCUUGAAUUGGUCCUCUUGAAUUGGUUGUCUUUGAUUGAUAUGUUAAUCAUCUUCAUCAAAUUAUUACUAAUAUAUGUUUUGUUAUAGGAUGAAUUACUAGAAAAGGCAAGGAGACUGGACUACCUCCACCUGGUCCAAACGACAUAUUAUGUCAGGCAUUGGGUAAGCUUGAUCAUCUAGGACGUGUGGUAGGUCAAGACCGCUUGGUUAGGCCGAACUCAUACUUUCGUCAACCAUUUGAUGACAUGAAAAAAAAAAUCAAAGAAGAAAUAUGGGAAGUGGUGUGAAAGGGGAUGCAAGAUGCUGUAACAAGAUAAACUAUGUCUCCUUCCACACCCCAUUCUGAUAUAGGUAGUAAUAACAUGAGACAACAACUUGUUUUACAACUAGUUGUAGCAAAAAAAACCAAUGUUUAAAAUGAUGGAAGAGCCCCAACCACCAGAACCACCACUGAAACGUAAGGUAUACAUUUAUUUACUAAUAAUACAAGAUUAAUAUAAGUGAUAUAUAGCCUAUGUAAAUGAUAUUAUUUGUUGUAUUAAAGGUGAUUAAAUAUAAAUUAGCAGUGGAAUGAAAAUGAAAUGUUGUUGCAACCGGUACAUUAAUAGAAGAAAAUUGAUCAAAUGGGUUGGUCAUAAUAAAUGUUGCACACAAGCUAGAUGCUAGACUCCCAUUUCCAAAUCCAUAUGAGAUUAUCAAUGUUGGGGAUGCUAUUGACUUUAAGCUUGACUGGCCAACAAACCUUGUCAUACUUGAAACUAAACAUCCUCGGGUAUGUCAUUUUAUACUUGUAGUAAAUUAUGAUUGUAACUUGGUAUUUUAUUGUUUGGGAGUAUANNNNNNNNNNNNNNNNNNNNNNNNNNNNNNNNNNNNNNNNNNNNNNNNNNNNNNNNNNNNNNNNNNNNNNNNNNNNNNNNNNNNNNNNNNNNNNNNNNNNNNNNNNNNNNNNNNNNNNNNNNNNNNNNNNNNNNNNNNNNNNNNNNNNNNNNNNNNNNNNNNNNNNNNNNNNNNNNNNNNNNNNNNNNNNNNNNNNNNNNNNNNNNNNNNNNNNNNNNNNNNNNNNNNNNNNNNNNNNNNNNNNNNNNNNNNNNNNNNNNNNNNNNNNNNNNNNNNNNNNNNNNNNNNNNNNNNNNNNNNNNNNNNNNNNNNNNNNNNNNNNNNNNNNNNNNNNNNNNNNNNNNNNNNNNNNNNNNNNNNNNNNNNNNNNNNNNNNNNNNNNNNNNNNNNNNNNNNNNNNNNNNNNNNNNNNNNNNNNNNNNNNNNNNNNNNNNNNNNNNNNNNNNNNNNNNNNNNNNNNNNNNNNNNNNNNNNNNNNNNNNNNNNNNNNNNNNNNNNNNNNNNNNNNNNNNNNNNNNNNNNNNNNNNNNNNNNNNNNNNNNNNNNNNNNNNNNNNNNNNNNNNNNNNNNNNNNNNNNNNNNNNNNNNNNNNNNNNNNNNNNNNNNNNNNNNNNNNNNNNNNNNNNNNNNNNNNNNNNNNNNNNNNNNNNNNNNNNNNNNNNNNNNNNNNNNNNNNNNNNNNNNNNNNNNNNNNNNNNNNNNNNNNNNNNNNNNNNNNNNNNNNNNNNNNNNNNNNNNNNNNNNNNNNNNNNNNNNNNNNNNNNNNNNNNNNNNNNNNNNNNNNNNNNNNNNNNNNNNNNNNNNNNNNNNNNNNNNNNNNNNNNNNNNNNNNNNNNNNNNNNNNNNNNNNNNNNNNNNNNNNNNNNNNNNNNNNNNNNNNNNNNNNNNNNNNNNNNNNNNNNNNNNNNNNNNNNNNNNNNNNNNNNNNNNNNNNNNNNNNNNNNNNNNNNNNNNNNNNNNNNNNNNNNNNNNNNNNNNNNNNNNNNNNNNNNNNNNNNNNNNNNNNNNNNNNNNNNNNNNNNNNNNNNNNNNNNNNNNNNNNNNNNNNNNNNNNNNNNNNNNNNNNNNNNNNNNNNNNNNNNNNNNNNNNNNNNNNNNNNNNNNNNNNNNNNNNNNNNNNNNNNNNNNNNNNNNNNNNNNNNNNNNNNNNNNNNNNNNNNNNNNNNNNNNNNNNNNNNNNNNNNNNNNNNNNNNNNNNNNNNNNNNNNNNNNNNNNNNNNNNNNNNNNNNNNAAAUGCAGGUAUACACUCUAGGAGGGUGGAUAGAGAUAAAAGAACAAAGAAGGGCAACCAGAUUUGGGUUUUAAAUGCAGCUCGUAUGUCAUACGUCGUAGGACAUAAACGUUACUUUAAUUGGUAGUGAGAAUUUUAGAUUUUUAGAUGCUACUUUUAUGUCAUUUUAUAGUUAGUCGGUUUUAUGCUUAUGAAAUGAAGGUAUACAUGAAUCUUGGGAUGCUUAACAUUUCUAAAUCAUGUUUUGGUAUGUAUUCACUUUUCUUUUUCAGUUUUGGUGGGUUUGAUAUGUUUGAUGUACUAUCUUUUUGUGAACAUUUGAUAUACAAAUAUUAUUAGAUGAUCAAUGUAUUACGAGUUAUUCCAUAAACAUUACCGAAAAAUGAGUUAAAUGUAAUAUGAUUGUUAUAUUUAUGGACAAAAUAUACACAAGUUAAUCCUAUUUGUUAAUUCAUAAGCAUUACAAAAAUCUACAACUAAAAGCAAUCAUAUCUUCCAUGAUAAUUUACAAUGAUGUGACACCAUAACUCAAAGGUGAUGCAUUUAAUGUGACAUCAUAACUCAAAGAUCACGCAUAUAAUGCGACAUCCUAUCAUCACUAGAAAUAUAUGAUGUCGCUUCCGAAUGCGUCACCAUUUAUCUACUUUGGUGUCACUUACAAAUACGUCACCAAUUGGUACCCUCUAUGGUGUCAGUGGAGAAGGUGACACUAUGUUGUAGUGACACCCUAUGUUUAUGGUGACUCGCUAUAAAUGUCACCAUAUAUCUUUUUUCUUGUAGUGCAAAUUACUUAUCUUACUAUGCAUUGGGCUUUGAUAUUAGCCAGAGAUAGUAGUGGCUCCUAAUUUUUAUCCUUAACUGAAAUGAAAACGUCAAGCAGGUCCCCACCCUCUUUUUCACCAUUCUUCCACUAUUCUACUAUUUGGUCCAUGAUUGGAUCAUGGUACUUGUUAAUGGUGUUCAUAGCCUCCCUUAUAGUCUUUUCAUGGCCAUCUAAAUUCAGCACUCUCUGCCAUGGGAAGUAAUCAGAUAAAGAGAAUACAUAUAGAUGAGCAAGUAUAGUAAAGAAGGAUUCAACAUGUUGCUCCACUUCAACUCCAAGGCCUCCAUCUUUCUUUCGUUGGCCAAAGUAUCUUGUGUUGAGGAUCAUCUUUCGGAUGACAUUCCCGUUGUAUUGACGGACUUUAUUUCUGUCACACCCCAAAUACUAGGCAACCCAGAACUUGACUCGUGGCCCCAGGUCAAAGGUUUGACCCUAAGAGUUACUCUUAUCCAUGUUGGCAAUCAAUCAAAACACCCUGGAUUUUUUUUCUUUUCAAUAAAGAGUUUAAUCCUAAAUAAAUUUAUUAAGCUAAGAUUUACUAUAACAUAUCAUUUUAUUUUUCCAAAACUAACCAUCACAUUAUCUCCUGUUCACAAGUAUUAAAAAAAAUAAAAUUCCACCAAUCGUCUUCCUACCCAAAAGCUAAAAUAUUUACAAUAAUCUCUAAGUCAAAANNNNNNNNNNNNNNNNNNNNNNNNNNNNNNNNNNNNNNNNNNNNNNNNNNNNNNNNNNNNNNNNNNNNNNNNNNNNNNNNNNNNNNNNNNNNNNNNNNNNNNNNNNNNNNNNNNNNNNNNNNNNNNNNNNNNNNNNNNNNNNNNNNNNNNNNNNNNNNNNNNNNNNNNNNNNNNNNNNNNNNNNNNNNNNNNNNNNNNNNNNNNNNNNNNNNNNNNNNNNNNNNNNNNNNNNNNNNNNNNNNNNNNNNNNNNNNNNNNNNNNNNNNNNNNNNNNNNNNNNNNNNNNNNNNNNNNNNNNNNNNNNNNNNNNNNNNNNNNNNNNNNNNNNNNNNNNNNNNNNNNNNNNNNNNNNNNNNNNNNNNNNNNNNNNNNNNNNNNNNNNNNNNNNNNNNNNNNNNNNNNNNNNNNNNNNNNNNNNNNNNNNNNNNNNNNNNNNNNNNNNNNNNNNNNNNNNNNNNNNNNNNNNNNNNNNNNNNNNNNNNNNNNNNNNNNNNNNNNNNNNNNNNNNNNNNNNNNNNNNNNNNNNNNNNNNNNNNNNNNNNNNNNNNNNNNNNNNNNNNNNNNNNNNNNNNNNNNNNNNNNNNNNNNNNNNNNNNNNNNNNNNNNNNNNNNNNNNNNNNNNNNNNNNNNNNNNNNNNNNNNNNNNNNNNNNNNNNNNNNNNNNNNNNNNNNNNNNNNNNNNNNNNNNNNNNNNNNNNNNNNNNNNNNNNNNNNNNNNNNNNNNNNNNNNNNNNNNNNNNNNNNNNNNNNNNNNNNNNNNNNNNNNNNNNNNNNNNNNNNNNNNNNNNNNNNNNNNNNNNNNNNNNNNNNNNNNNNNNNNNNNNNNNNNNNNNNNNNNNNNNNNNNNNNNNNNNNNNNNNNNNNNNNNNNNNNNNNNNNNNNNNNNNNNNNNNNNNNNNNNNNNNNNNNNNNNNNNNNNNNNNNNNNNNNNNNNNNNNNNNNNNNNNNNNNNNNNNNNNNNNNNNNNNNNNNNNNNNNNNNNNNNNNNNNNNNNNNNNNNNNNNNNNNNNNNNNNNNNNNNNNNNNNNNNNNNNNNNNNNNNNNNNNNNNNNNNNNNNNNNNNNNNNNNNNNNNNNNNNNNNNNNNNNNNNNNNNNNNNNNNNNNNNNNNNNNNNNNNNNNNNNNNNNNNNNNNNNNNNNNNNNNNNNNNNNNNNNNNNNNNNNNNNNNNNNNNNNNNNNNNNNNNNNNNNNNNNNNNNNNNNNNNNNNNNNNNNNNNNNNNNNNNNNNNNNNNNACAAUAUAUAAAUUUUUUUCAAAGAAAAUAUUAAAUCAAAGUUUUAGGGUUAAAUCACCCUACCUUAAAUUUGAAAAAUUUAACCAUUAAAACUAAAACAGGACACCGUAGGAGUGUUCCUCACAUUGAAUAGAAUAUCUGUAGACCCUCAAUUUUGUCCCUUUAGCACAUGUCUUUAAGUUCGUUUUCAGUGUUCCACAGUAGUUCCUUGGUGGCCCAUUGCUACUCAUACUACUUACCCUUUUUUGAGUCACCUCGGAGACUUUGGUUGAGGGAUUAUCUUACCCCUUAUUGUGACCCUUGGCAGCCCUAACUUAGACUUAGGCUUUUCUUGCUUUUUUUUUUUUCGGGAUAGCUUUUAGAUACACUUGACCCAUUAGGCACCACCCUAGGCCCACUUAGAUUCACCUAGGCUCAUUCAGGCACAUCUAGGCCCAUUUAGGUUCACUAGAUCCACUUAGGUAUCUUAGCCCUCCCAUGUCACCGUUGCGGUAAUUCCUACAUGACUUACAUAAUUUGCAUUUUUUUAACACUUGUAUGUACUUGAUUUCCUAUUCAUUUAUUUAUCUACUUAUUUUAUUAACAUUUAGUUAGUUAUUUGUUUUAUUUAUUUAUUUUAUAGAAUAUUGCAUGAGAUUGAUGUCAUUAAUUGCGUAAACUGAUGUAUUAAUUUGUCUGUGUGUAGCUAUGAUAGAUAUAUUGUUUUUGAUUGCAUAUAUUUUUUUUAUUAGUUUUAAUUCUCAAUUUCAUGACCUCUACUGCUUUUAAUUCUUAUUUUAUUUUGGCAUGAGAUUUGAAUGCACACAUUGGAGAAGAUCUUUGACGUACACGGCUGCGUAUAGAAAGUGGGCACAUCACGGCUGAGGCACAUCCAGGAGUAUAUGGAAAGAAGAUUAAAGAGAAUCUAAUUACUUACCAAAUGAGAGAGGGGCUGCAUCCUUGGAAAAUCUCCAAGUAAGCUGCACAUAUGUAGACUUCCCAUAUCCACGCGUAUAACAAAAAAAGGAAGUAAAAUAUUCUACAAGAGUGGGCUGCCAUAUAAAAAAAAGUGGGGAGAAAAAAAGGAUAUGAGGAUUUCGGAAGGAAGGAGGAUUUCGGAAGGAAGGAGGAAGAAGGAGUGACCGGGCAAAAGAGGAUUUUUAUCUGGGGAGUUGUCUUUAGAGGUGAGAGGAAAGCCGGAAGCCCAGCGAUUGCAGGCAAGACUGCCCAAAAUUUAAAAUCCAUUGGGUUUGGAGGAGAGGCACAGAGGAGAGGGGACUUUCAGCACGCAUUGAGAACGGAGUGGAAUCAGAAAAGAGAAGCAAUCUUUGCUUCUUCAGAAAAGUUCUAAGGUAAGUCUACUGAUAUUUUGUUUUGGUUCGUACUCCCAAUUUAUGUUCCUCAUUCUUUUUUUGUGACCUGAGAUGCUAUUUGCUGGUUGGGUUGGAGAUGACAUAAAUUCCAUGUGAAUCUUGCUGAUUUCUCAUAUAUUGUUACAGAUAUUGUUUCAUUCUUUACUAUUUAUUUAUUUAUUUAUUUUUAUCAUUUGAACUCAAUGAGACUCUGUUUUAUGGUGUACUAUUUCAAGAUUUUGGUUGCCCAGAUUCUCUUUACUCCUCCCACCAACCUAAUCUCGUGGAUCGAAAUAUGAAACACGACUUUCUCUAGAUCAUUCUGUUUUCAUCCUUUAUGCUCUCUUUUCUUGGUUGCCUUCUUUUGUUCUUGUGUGUAUUUUCAAGGGAGACGUGCAUCACCAAUUAAUUACGUUAGAGAGGAGCUUUCGAAUACUGCUGAAAUUUGAGACUUAGAACCCAAAUUCGGAAGCAACAAGUUGGAUUGAUGACUCUAAUGAGAAUUUUGUUUCAUGGGAAAAAUGACUUGAUAGUGAUUGAAUAUGGAUUGAUAGGGAAUGGAUACUUCAACACGUUNNNNNNNNNNNNNNNNNNNNNNNNNNNNNNNNNNNNNNNNNNNNNNNNNNNNNNNNNNNNNNNNNNNNNNNNNNNNNNNNNNNNNNNNNNNNNNNNNNNNNNNNNNNNNNNNNNNNNNNNNNNNNNNNNNNNNNNNNNNNNNNNNNNNNNNNNNNNNNNNNNNNNNNNNNNNNNNNNNNNNNNNNNNNNNNNNNNNNNNNNNNNNNNNNNNNNNNNNNNNNNNNNNNNNNNNNNNNNNNNNNNNNNNNNNNNNNNNNNNNNNNNNNNNNNNNNNNNNNNNNNNNNNNNNNNNNNNNNNNNNNNNNNNNNNNNNNNNNNNNNNNNNNNNNNNNNNNNNNNNNNNNNNNNNNNNNNNNNNNNNNNNNNNNNNNNNNNNNNNNNNNNNNNNNNNNNNNNNNNNNNNNNNNNNNNNNNNNNNNNNNNNNNNNNNNNNNNNNNNNNNNNNNNNNNNNNNNNNNNNNNNNNNNNNNNNNNNNNNNNNNNNNNNNNNNNNNNNNNNNNNNNNNNNNNNNNNNNNNNNNNNNNNNNNNNNNNNNNNNNNNNNNNNNNNNNNNNNNNNNNNNNNNNNNNNNNNNNNNNNNNNNNNNNNNNNNNNNNNNNNNNNNNNNNNNNNNNNNNNNNNNNNNNNNNNNNNNNNNNNNNNNNNNNNNNNNNNNNNNNNNNNNNNNNNNNNNNNNNNNNNNNNNNNNNNNNNNNNNNNNNNNNNNNNNNNNNNNNNNNNNNNNNNNNNNNNNNNNNNNNNNNNNNNNNNNNNNNNNNNNNNNNNNNNNNNNNNNNNNNNNNNNNNNNNNNNNNNNNNNNNNNNNNNNNNNNNNNNNNNNNNNNAUCAGAUGAAGGUUCCUAAUCUGAUUUUAAUUGUUCAAGGUGUCUUAAUUGAGGUUUGUUGGAUUCAGUUCGUGGUUAGUUUUCAUGGCUGAUUCCCUACUGAUUCAUGGUUCAGGUUCGAAACCUGGUUUUGAUUUUAGUUGAUUGAAGCUAUUUGACAAUAACCACUGCAAACGACCUGUGGCCGUAAAGUUUGAGAUAUUUCGAUGUCUGUGUGAUGAUGUGAUUGCAGUGGAAGCGCUAAGAUCAGAGCUCAAUAGAAGAUCAUUGGCAGCUGAGCCUGAUAAGGAAUUCAAUCAGAAUGUUUACAUUGAGAUUUGCAAGAAAAGGAAGGCCUGAUGUUAAAACGGAAUGGAUAUCGGAAGACCUGUCACUAAGACAUUUGGCUUUAUCAUUUGUUGGUGAAUCUAUCAUAUAUCCAGAAAUAAACUUACUCAUAGAUGAACUAUGUUAUAAGGCAGACUCGUACCCUUUCUAUGACAAGUGCACAGUUUCCUAAGAAGAUUAGAGAACUACAAUCUGUUACUCAGUCUUACGUCAGUAUAGAUGCUACAACAAAGGACAAAGCUGCCGCCUUGGCUGCUGCUCGCGGUCUUGGACGCAAUGCAAAGAUUGAGUCUGUAAGGCUGCCAAUGUUGACAGUUCUUAAGCUUCAUAGUUGUGAGGGCAUAACUUCAGCUUCCAUGGCUGCAAUAUCGCAUGGUUAUAUGUUGAAGGUAACAACAAGUAGCGUUGAGAUUGGAUCAAGGGAAACUGCAUGGGAGGCGGAUGUUUCUGUCAGCUGUUGCACAGAAAUUGAUAAGACAACUGAAAAUUCAGUGGCGCCUACUCCCACAACUUUGGGAUCCAUAAAUGUCGAAACUAUCCUAUCCAACCAAACCAAGUAUUCUGAUCUUCUAGCACGCUCCUGCCAUGAAGCUCACUGUCAAGACCUUGAAGGGAAGCACAGCAACAGCGAAAGCAACAUCUUCUACAACCGAGAAUACACAUGGUUUCAUGGCUCCUCCCAAGCCUCACAAAAUUCUAAUGGUGGCUGAGAAGCCCAACAGUGCUCUUUCUAUUGCCUCGGCUCUCUCUAGUGGUCAUAUGUCUACUAGGUGUAGUAGUACAGAAGUCCAUGAAUUUAAUGGAACCUUUCGUGGAUCUAAUGCACAAUAUAAGGUAACAACAGACAAGAAAGCUCCAAAGUUGUUGAAUUAAACAAAGAGCAGUCCAUGUUUAUCAGACUUUGAUGGUCAGAAUUGCUCCUCUGCUUCAAACUGCAUAAUCAUAGAAAACUCAGAUAUAGGCUCGGGGAGUUGUGGACCUGCAAUUGAAAAGAGUACAGGGGACCUAGUUAUGGGAAGAAAAUAUUCAUGUACAUCUAUGACAAUGUCUCUCAGAGAUACAGAUAUGUCUUCACACAAUGUCAAUCGUAUAGAGUCCAGCAUUUAUCUAAAUCCUGAUGUUGUAUAUGAAACUAGUGAGGAUUAUGCAGCUAUGUAGCCCAAUAUCAGUGUAGAUGGCUCCCUUAUUUUCGAUUUUUCAAGUCAAUAUGUGCCUGACUGUUUUGAUCUUCAAUUUAUGCCGAGCAGUGAAGAAAUACUGACCAACAUGAAGGAUGAAAAUGAGAAGCUUUCGAACAGAGAAUACAUGCUUAAGCAGUAAGAUGAAUUUAUCUCAAGAUGCAAUAACAAUGAUGUUGUCAAGGCAAUGGAAAUUCAUCGGAAAAUAGAGAAUGCCUCAGUUUUCGAGUCUGAGAAGCUUGGUGUUGCUAUUUCUUAGGAGACAUUUCAGUGAUAAAGUAGAGCAUGCACCGAUUAAGAAAAGGAGCUUUAUAUUUCAGUCUUCAUUACCACCCCCAUGAACUCCUUCUCCUCCCUAUGAGGAUUCAGAACAACUUGUAGAUAGUCAACAUUCUUCCGAGACGACAAAUGAAGAGAUUGGCGAUGGUAAAGACUUCUCUGGUAUUGAGAUGUUCGCAGCAGCUGCUUGCAAUAACAACAUAGGUGAUGAUGUGACGGAAUCAACUACAGAGGAUGGUCCAGUUAUGACAUAUAAAGGAAACAACUCAUCUAUUUCUGCAAUGCCUAUAAAAGAAACUAUGCUGUUGUCUGUGUUGCUAUUACGGUUGAUAACCAGGAUGGUACUAAAGGGGAUAUUUGUAUUGAUAAAAGCAAAACUGCUGGUCUGAUUAAUAAUGAGGAGAAACAAGAAACAGAAACCAAACCAGAAGUUGAUCCUAAAACCACGAGGAAUGAGCCUAUUACAAAGAUAGUUGCUGAUGGAGUACAAUCUGUGUAUAAUGGGAAAGAAGCUAUUGGCAAUGAAGAUCAGGUAGUGGAAAAUGGUGUUGAAUCUACCAUAAGGAAUCCAACACUUGAGUCAGAAUAGUCAGAAAACAAUCUUACACAUGUUAAUGCGCAGGGCGCUGAAUCGGGAAAUGUGGUCUCCUUUAUCAGUUCCUCUGCUUCCAUAAUAAGGAAAAAUAGUACUAAAAAUUCAGAAAAGAACCCUCCAUUUGAAGGACAUGCAAGGCUGAAGUGUUGAAUUAAUUCUAUGGAGAAAUUUCUAUAAUGCGGAAGGACAAAGGCUGCAAAAUAUGUGGGUAUUUCCUGUUCUGGUUGUGAAAUCUGCUAGAAUCAAUGCUUUCAAUGGGAAAGCAAUGGGGACUAUUUCUACCAGCUAGCUAUUCGAAGAUCCAAAAUAUGUUAGGCUUCUUGCAGCUCUCACUCUUGGUCACCUCCCUCAAUAUGAAGGAUUCGCUAGAGCUAGUGGUUUUGUAUCAGCAUGUCGUGCACUGAUAAGCCUGCUUGAAGACCAACCAACAAAAGAAACGAAAUCCAUUACCUAUCAGAAAGACCUGUCUCAAAUCCGUCCAACAGAAGCUGAAUCGGUUGAAACUCGAAUCAUCAUACUUUUCUCCUCUGUUGUGGCUCUCAAGAGGUCUUUAUUUGACACUGGAAGCAAUCCCACUUCUGAAUUUGUAGUUAAGCCCUUUGCUGAGAGAGAAGUGAUUUCUUUUGGUUUGAUUGCACACCUUGAAAGUCAGUGUUUCAGCUGGAGUUAUUAACUCCUGAGCUGCCGAGUGUGAAGGAUGAAACCCACAGAUUUACAAAAAAACUGGGGGCACUUAUUUAACAGCUUGUGAGAGGAGUAAGCGAUCAUAAGAAUCUGAACUCCUCUUGGAGAUGUUUCUCAGGACCAGAAGCUACCCCACUUCCAGCUAUAUUUAUUGGUGAAAAUCUUGAGUCACCCAAUUGCCUACGGAUAGGCAUCCUUGCUUACAGGUAAUCCUGAACAUGGUGUGCAGCUGAAUUAAUAAUCCGUCAUCUGACAAGUCUUGGAGAUGUUCCCUGCUGCUGUUGUGUUCAGAAAGGUCAGAGUGCACAAAGAAGCUUGCUGAAAGUAUCUCAAACAUGCUACAACAAAACAAUCUGUAUACGAAUUUUGAUCAACCUCGGAAAAUGCCAGAAGAGGGCAGAAUGCGUUUUUGGGAUUCAAUGUCAGUGUCACAGCCUCAAUCACACCUCCAGACUCCACCCACAUAAUUGCCACCUUGCCACAUAUCAUACUCCUAAUGUUUUUUUUCCUUUAUUUUGUGAUUAUAUACAUCUUAAAUAUGAAUUUCAAAAUAUUUUUCCAUCAAAAUAACUUUGGUUUUCUUCAAAAUUCCUUAGGAGCUUCUAGAUAUAAAAUCCAAAUUUUAACAUGCUAUUUGUUGCCACUUUCCUUCGGGCAUGCACUAUCUUCUUUGAUUUUUAACUAUUUUCGUGAUUUCCUUGAUUUUCAACAAAGCAUGAAUAAACUUCAUGAUUCCAAAUAAUGGAAUUCGUAGAAUCAAUUCAUGCAAAAUUAAUUAGGGCUUUGGUGGGGGCCCGACAUUCAUGAUAUUCACUUCAAUAUUGUUUGCUUGAUAUCUGAUUGAUUUUUUUUUAUUCUUCUCGAUGAAAUACUUGAAUUCGCUUUAUAUUUAUUGUUGAGAUAUCCUUGUUUCCCAUAGACGUGUGGAUGCUCGCUAAUCAGGUACGCUCUUACCACCCUACAACUCUAAAAUUCUAUGAAUGUGUACGUUAUCAUGAGCCAUAACUAUGUUUGACGCCAUAAUUGAUUGCCUUGAUGCUUGUUUGAUCAUCUUUGAUAAAAUACAUAUUAUGUGUCAUAUUUUCAAGCUAACCUCUCAUGUUUUAUGAUAGCGCUUGAGAAGCCGUUCAGGUACGCACUUCGACUCUCUCUUAUGGUUGGUUUUCCUGUUAGGCAUGCAAUAUUCAAAAUCACCUAGCCUAUUUAGAUACCUAUAACGUACCGAUUAAUUGCCACACUUCCCUUAACUUAGUCAGUAGAGACCUUUAUAGGGCUUAGAGGGGUGCUACCUUUUAAAGGUACCUUCCCAAUAGGUAACCUGAUCCCCGGACCUAGACUCGGGUUUCUCAAAGACAUGCUUUUUCCAAAACUAUGGAGUCACUUUUUAGGGUUUUUCUUUCUUGUUUUAUUUUCCCUUUAAAAUAAAAAUAAAAUAGGUGGCGACUCCAACUUUUUUAAAAUUAAUUUUUCACAAAUAAAAAAGCGAGUCUCGUCGAUUGAGUGGGGACGCACGUGAAAAAUGCGGGUCCACAAUAUCCUUCCAAAAUUUCAUGCGAAAUGGACUUCAUUUGGUAGGUCCACCAGCAUCCUAAAGCUGGCGACCCAUUUUUCCCACUCUUUGCCGACGACUCCCCUACAUCUCUCACUCGAUUUCCUUUCUUCAUUUUCUUUUCUUCUUCUUCUUUUAAACUCUCACGCCAAUUUCACUAUAUAUAUAUAUAUAUAUAUAUAUAUAUAUAUAUGUAUAUGUAUUAUUAAAACAAAUCCUAAAAUACCACGCACAUCCAUUUCUCAAUAAAUUAAAACCAUUAUUCUUAAAUUCACCUUCCGUAAUUAUGAAUUAUACCAAACUUAUGAUUUUCCAUUUCACGAAAAAUACCACCGUAUUCGUAAUUUAAUUUACUACAAGUCUACUCUUCAAAAAGUAUAAUUUGAUUAUAAUUACAUGAAACAUUGUUUUUUUUACUUUAAAAUUCAUUUAAAACAUGAUAUAAUUAACUAUUAACAAAAUUCAAUUCCAUAAAAUAUUAAAAACAUAAAAUAAUUUUUUGGCAAUCAAGAAGUUGAAAUUUGUAAUAAUAACCCUUAACCCGUUAAUUUUACCUAUAUUUAUUUACCAAAAAAAUUUAAAUAAUAUUCUAAAAUUUAAUUCCAUAAAUUAAUUAGUCAUUCAAUUAAUAAAAAUCAAAUUCUCUACCCUUUGGUAUAACUUUUAUUUAAUUUACUUCAUUUUUCAAAUUAUUCAAUCGCAUCAAAAUUUCAAAAGUUAAAUUCACUAAAUUCACAUUUAAUUAAUUUAUCCUUUUGUAUUUUUUUUUUCUAAAUUCGCAUAUCAUAAUUUAAUCUUAAUUUAAUUUUGAUUCAAUUUUGUUUGAUGUUUUCUAAUUUUAUGAGGUUUAAUUUCAAUNNNNNNNNNNNNNNNNNNNNNNNNNNNNNNNNNNNNNNNNNNNNNNNNNNNNNNNNNNNNNNNNNNNNNNNNNNNNNNNNNNNNNNNNNNNNNNNNNNNNNNNNNNNNNNNNNNNNNNNNNNNNNNNNNNNNNNNNNNNNNNNNNNNNNNNNNNNNNNNNNNNNNNNNNNNNNNNNNNNNNNNNNNNNNNNNNNNNNNNNNNNNNNNNNNNNNNNNNNNNNNNNNNNNNNNNNNNNNNNNNNNNNNNNNNNNNNNNNNNNNNNNNNNNNNNNNNNNNNNNNNNNNNNNNNNNNNNNNNNNNNNNNNNNNNNNNNNNNNNNNNNNNNNNNNNNNNNNNNNNNNNNNNNNNNNNNNNNNNNNNNNNNNNNNNNNNNNNNNNNNNNNNNNNNNNNNNNNNNNNNNNNNNNNNNNNNNNNNNNNNNNNNNNNNNNNNNNNNNNNNNNNNNNNNNNNNNNNNNNNNNNNNNNNNNNNNNNNNNNNNNNNNNNNNNNNNNNNNNNNNNNNNNNNNNNNNNNNNNNNNNNNNNNNNNNNNNNNNNNNNNNNNNNNNNNNNNNNNNNNNNNNNNNNNNNNNNNNNNNNNNNNNNNNNNNNNNNNNNNNNNNNNNNNNNNNNNNNNNNNNNNNNNNNNNNNNNNNNNNNNNNNNNNNNNNNNNNNNNNNNNNNNNNNNNNNNNNNNNNNNNNNNNNNNNNNNNNNNNNNNNNNNNNNNNNNNNNNNNNNNNNNNNNNNNNNNNNNNNNNNNNNNNNNNNNNNNNNNNNNNNNNNNNNNNNNNNNNNNNNNNNNNNNNNNNNNNNNNNNNNNNNNNNNNNNNNNNNNNNNNNNNNNNNNNNNNNNNNNNNNNNNNNNNNNNNNNNNNNNNNNNNNNNNNNNNNNNNNNNNNNNNNNNNNNNNNNNNNNNNNNNNNNNNNNNNNNNNNNNNNNNNNNNNNNNNNNNNNNNNNNNNNNNNNNNNNNNNNNNNNNNNNNNNNNNNNNNNNNNNNNNNNNNNNNNNNNNNNNNNNNNNNNNAGGAAGUUGAGAUGAGACAACACAUCAUCUGUGGUAGUAGAAGAAAACAAGGUUGAGUUACUACUACUACUCUCUGCAACAAAACCAUUUACACGUCUUUCAUAGCAAAACCAUGUUUGUCCUAUCUUGGGUCUGGAUGCACAUUUUUAAUAUUGGGGAAAUCAUGCAACCAAAUGUCACACACAAAGAGAGAGAAAAAAAUACGUUUUUUAGAACUUGAAAAGGUAAAGUGGGACAAAAAAUAUUAUCCAUUCUUGAACUCUAAAAGUAAAGUUAUAAAAAGCUUAUUUUUUUUUUUUUUUUUGUUAUGUAUGAUUGCAUGAUUUCCCCCUUUUAAGAUUUUAUCUCAUAAAAUUUUUUUCUAGAAGGUUCAAAUAAGUUUGAUGAAUAUUGUUUAUUUUAGUAAUUUUAAUUUUAUGGGGUACUUAAAACAUUAGAAGUUCACAAAAAGCAACAUUUAUAAGCUACCUAUCUAAAAAGCUUGCCCUAAUCAUUGAAAUCCAAAAUAUAAAGUGACAACACACUUUUUAAAGAAAUUUUCAAAAUAGUUUUUAAAAACACAUUUAUUUAUGAUAUUUUUAAAAUAAAAAUCUCAAAAAUAACUUGUUUAUAUAGCGUUUUAUUAGACAAAUACUUGAUCUUUAUAAGAUCACCCUAAUUAUAGAUUUAUGAACAUGUAACACAACAAUUAUCUAUAUGUAUACUUAGAAUUAUUAUAUUUUAAGUUUUUAACUACAUAGGACAUCAUGAGUUUUUCCACCAUUUAUCUUAUAAUAAGUUUAUUUAAAUAUGAUAAAGGAUAUAUUAUCUCAUUUCUUAUUAUAUCUGAUGCUAUAUAUAUAUAUAUAUAUGUAACAAAUCAAAUACAAUUUAAAGAUUUUAAUUAACCAUCUAUUAGCAACAAAGCAAUCUCUUAAUCUCAUUCAUAAUAUUAGGAUAAUUUAGUAUUUCCUUUUAUAAAACACUAGCAUAUAAAUCAACACAAAUCAUAUUAAGGGUGUAUUUGGUGUUGAUUUUAGGAAGCGUUUUUAGUAUUUCUAAUACUUGAAAGAUAAAAAUUAUCAAGUUUUAGAAAGAUCAAAAGCGCUUUUUAGAGUGACUAUCAAAUACAUGCUAAAUAUUACUUUUGGAUACUUAUAUUUUUAAAUAACUCUUAAAACUUUUAAGGCAAGUCUCUACUAUUUAUAUAAAUCCCCUAUUAUUUUUAAUUUUUAGAAACAAAAAAUAAAGAAUAGAAACUCCAUUUAAACAUCGCCUUAUUAUUUCCUAUUAUAAAAUAACACAAAUCAAUGAAUUAUUUAAAAAUAAAUAAAUAUAAAAUCAAAGUUGAAAGAGAAAAAANNNNNNNNNNNNNNNNNNNNNNNNNNNNNNNNNNNNNNNNNNNNNNNNNNNNNNNNNNNNNNNNNNNNNNNNNNNNNNNNNNNNNNNNNNNNNNNNNNNNNNNNNNNNNNNNNNNNNNNNNNNNNNNNNNNNNNNNNNNNNNNNNNNNNNNNNNNNNNNNNNNNNNNNNNNNNNNNNNNNNNNNNNNNNNNNNNNNNNNNNNNNNNNNNNNNNNNNNNNNNNNNNNNNNNNNNNNNNNNNNNNNNNNNNNNNNNNNNNNNNNNNNNNNNNNNNNNNNNNNNNNNNNNNNNNNNNNNNNNNNNNNNNNNNNNNNNNNNNNNNNNNNNNNNNNNNNNNNNNNNNNNNNNNNNNNNNNNNNNNNNNNNNNNNNNNNNNNNNNNNNNNNNNNNNNNNNNNNNNNNNNNNNNNNNNNNNNNNNNNNNNNNNNNNNNNNNNNNNNNNNNNNNNNNNNNNNNNNNNNNNNNNNNNNNNNNNNNNNNNNNNNNNNNNNNNNNNNNNNNNNNNNNNNNNNNNNNNNNNNNNNNNNNNNNNNNNNNNNNNNNNNNNNNNNNNNNNNNNNNNNNNNNNNNNNNNNNNNNNNNNNNNNNNNNNNNNNNNNNNNNNNNNNNNNNNNNNNNNNNNNNNNNNNNNNNNNNNNNNNNNNNNNNNNNNNNNNNNNNNNNNNNNNNNNNNNNNNNNNNNNNNNNNNNNNNNNNNNNNNNNNNNNNNNNNNNNNNNNNNNNNNNNNNNNNNNNNNNNNNNNNNNNNNNNNNNNNNNNNNNNNNNNNNNNNNNNNNNNNNNNNNNNNNNNNNNNNNNNNNNNNNNNNNNNNNNNNNNNNNNNNNNNNNNNNNNNNNNNNNNNNNNNNNNNNNNNNNNNNNNNNNNNNNNNNNNNNNNNNNNNNNNNNNNNNNNNNNNNNNNNNNNNNNNNNNNNNNNNNNNNNNNNNNNNNNNNNNNNNNNNNNNNNNNNNNNNNNNNNNNNNNNNNNNNNNNNNNNNNNNNNNNNNNNNNNNNNNNNNNNNNNNNNNNNNNNNNNNNNNNNNNNNNNNNNNNNNNNNNNNNNNNNNNNNNNNNNNNNNNNNNNNNNNNNNNNCACAAACAAAAAUAACCUAAAUGUAAAUAUCUAAAAAUGUAUAAAGUUCACAAUAGAUAUUCAAGCCCAAAUUUAAAUUUCAAAUUAGUCCAACAGAUUUCAUCAAUCAAAAUGGGUCCAAAUUAGCAAAUAUAACCCAACAAAAAUAUCUCAUAUGUCAUAGGCCCUAAUUUAAAAUUUUCAAAUUAAUAGCCAAACUAUAAGUUCAAUUAAUCAAACCCAAAACAUGAUAAAUUAAAAUAAAUCUCAUUAGGUCUAAACUUAAUAUCCCAUAAUUCAAUAUAUAAACCUAAAUCCACAAUCAAAAUCAACCCAAUUUAUGCUAAUCCCGAUUUACAAUCAAAAUCAAACAUAAUUUAAUAAGUAAAUAACUAAAUAAAUUAAGCAAACUCAAAACACCCAAACCACUACAACAUAAAUCAAACAAUAAUAAAUAUAAUGACAAUAAUAAUAAUAAUAAUAAUAAUAAUAAUAAUAAUAAUAAUAAUAAUAAUAAUAACAAAAUAAAAUAAAAUAAAAAUAAAAAAUUUAACUCACAUCGGAGCCAGUUUGAAUGUCUUGGGAAAGAAAGAAAAUGAGAGAAAAGUGAGAGAUGAUUGACAACUGACAGUGGCUCACUGGCGGCAACUGGCUAGUGGUCCUACCGAUGGUAGUGAGGAUUGAUUGGUUUUUGGGAAAAAAAAAUAAAAUGAAGAAAAGAAAAUGAGGAGUAAUAAAAAAAAUGGAGAAAUUAGAGGAAUGUGGGAGAAGAAUGGAGAGAGAGAACGUAGAAAAUGAGUGAAAAGAAAUGAGGCUAGUUGGAGGAGAAAGUGGUAGUGUGUGAGCUAAAGUGAAGAAGAAUAGAAGAAGAAAAUGGAGAAGAAUGGGGAAAAAAAAUCCGCCUCCCUAAAUGAAGAGAGGUGGGUAGCCUAAAGAAGAAGAAAAAAAAAUAAAAUAAAAUAAAAUGGGGAGAAAAUGAGAGGGGGUUGGUGGUCUUGUGAAUGAGGUGGUAUGCGUUAGAGAGAGAGAGUGGGUGGGGUUGUUGGGGAAGGUAUGAGAGAGAGAGGAGAGAGAAAAGAAAAAAAAGAAAGAAAAGAAAAAAGAUAAUAUAAAAUAAUAAUAAUAAUAAUAAUAAAAUAAAAUAAUAUACAAAAUAAUAAAAACUAAUAAUUAAAUAGUGAGUGAGCAAAAAAUAUCAUAUGUAAUCGGGAUUUAAUUUUAAGAGUAAAGUUGGGUUAAAAAUUAAUGUAAAAUAAAAUUGAGACAAAUUUUGGGGUAUACAAAUAUGCUGAUUCGACUCAUGGUAGCUCAGCUUUAAAGGCGUAUCAACAAAAUUUAUACCUUGAAUACUAUUACUAAAGUAGCCAAGCUACUAUAGCAUAGUGGCUCUAGGAUCGUUCACUGGGAAGGGUUUUCGCAAACACUAGUGAUAUUCAAAUUAGGAAAAUAGGUGAUUUUUUUUAUGGAUGUUAGCUUUAAAAGAAGAUGUAAAUGUUUUAGAAAGAUUUAAACUAAUCUAAGCUAACAUUAAAGACUAAAAUGAAAGGGUGUAAAAACAAGUUUCUCAAAGAUAGGAUAGCUAUGCUCUGGCUCUUAUGCAAAUUGGAAAUCUCAGGAUAGGCUCCUCGCGUUGGGGUUGCAACUAUGGUGAUGCUUGCUUCCCGAACCGGUAUGGAUUUAGCAAAUCAAGUUUUAAUCCUUUAAAAUGACAAAACAGAUGGUAGUGAAUUUCAUCAAUGGUUAUUCACCUUAGACUUCCUUUGAAUGGCUCGUAAGAGAUAACUAAUGGUCUAAAGCCAAAAGCUUACCAAAUAUUGGCAACUCAAAGUCAUUCCAAGUGAUAAACUCACCUUUCAAUGGCCAUUGAAAUUGGUUCUAACGGAUUAAUGAAAAACUUGGAAUUGAAAACCUUACCUUCCAAUAGCUCGUAGGAGAUAACUAAUGGAUAGAAAUCUAAAAGCUUAUCAAGUAUUGGCCGUUGGAAGUUGUUCAAAGGAAAUAAAAACCAAACUUUGCAUUAAUGAACCUUUAAUGAAAAACGUCUACCUUACCUUCCAGGUGCGAGAAAUUUCCAUGGGAUUGCAUCCAAGCCAUCACAUAACAUCCAUACUUUGAGAAACUAAAAGUUUUAGCCAAUCAUCCUCUAAGGAAAAGCCCUCAGAGGCUAUUUGGCUACUAAGAAAAUAGAAAUGGGAAAGAACAGGAGAAAUGAGAGAGCUCUGUAUCUAUUCUAAGUGUAAAACGUAAUAUAUCUUCUAUAUGAUCCAAGAGGUGAUUUCCACCCCUUAUAUAGUCUUUACAAAAGCAAAAGCUUGUGAUUGGUUAGUUACAAGGAUAAGAAAGGAAAUUACAUCACAAAAUACAAAGGAAAAUAUCUAAAGUGGAGUCGGCAAAAGCAGAGGAAAAUUCGCAACACGCAUGGGUUAUGCGAAUUUUGAAGGUGUUAUGCGAAUUUCGCAUAACACCUUAUGUUAUGCGAAAUUUUCGCAUAACCUGGAGCAGUUGGCUUCCGAAGGCCAUAUCUUCCUCAUUUAAACUCCAAAUCGUGCACGGUUUGAAGCGUUGGAUGAGCUUUGAAAUGGUAUAUAGUAUGUAAAAAAUGGACUUCGGAAAGUGCUCCAAAAGUGCGAAAGAAGACUGCAGCUGCUGUCCUCUGUUUUCCUCUUCUCCAUUGUUCUUUCCUUGCAUACUUUGAACGACUUUGGCAAAGGGCUAUGAAGCUCCAAAGCUUGGUUCUUCAUGAAUUUGAGCUUCCAAAAGCUUUGCCAUAACUUGUCCAAGUAGCUCCUCCAUCAUUUGGCAUGCUUGAAUUGAUUCAUAAGCUGAUAAAAACAUGUAAACUUGCCACAAAAUGGUUAAAACCAAUUACUAAGGACCUUAAUGAAUUAAUUGGGUUAAAUGAAUAUGAUUACUACUCAAAGGUGCUUAAAACCAUUAUAAUUAGGUCUACAAAAUAGCACUUUUUGGUAGUAAUCAUAUGCGCCUCUUCGGUAGAGUCCACGAGUAAAGCAAGUGUAUAUGUGAGCGAAACAAAGUGGGCUCUACUGAAAAACAAGAAAGACCACCAAAUUUGUCUUAAUAUGACAUGAACUCUCCCAAAUAAAAAAUAAAAAUAAAAAUCUAAAACCCUACAAAAAUGGCCAAAACGAAAACUCCUAAGGUGCCUCUAAAGUUAUACUAUGGAUCUAAACUCCCUUAGAAAAGCCUCCAAAAAUGGCCCAAAAAUCGGUGUCAAAAUCGAGUAGCAAUCAGACCACUAAGGAGCACAUCAACAAAUGCAUACAAAGGGAAAAAAACCAUACGUGUACCAUACGAUGACAAAAGGCAUAAGGUAUCCAACAAUAUGACUGAUUCACGUGUUACGAGCUCAAAGAACUUUGUCAUGCACCAUGGAGGAAGGGAAACUCUAGAAUAAUGUGAUGAGGAAGUUAUUAGCACAAUGUAACAAAGUGAGGAAAAAAGUGAUGACUGCAAAGCUGUGAUGACUGCAAAGCUGUGAGGACAAGGUGCACAAUGCUAAUGAAUAUGAAAUGAAUAGCACUAGGCUAUAAUGCAAUGAAUAGCUCAGGGUUGUACCAUAAUGAACAAGUCAAGGAUGUGUAAAGAUGAGGAAUAACUCGAGGUUGUAAUGCAAUGAACAACUUAGGGUUGUGAAUGCAAUGAACAACUCGAGGUUGUGGAUGUAAUGAACAACUCAUGGUCAUGGAUGCAAUGAACAGCUCAGGGCUGUAGAUGAACAACUCAGGGUUGUGGAUGUCAUGAACAACUCAAGAAUAGGGGCACUGUACACCCAAAAUGGGAGAUCACGAUCUACGAUUCCAAGUCAAACCACUAAAGGGUGACCAAAAUGAGGGUGAUCAACUCACUAAAAAAGAUGAUCAAAAUGUCUUAAGGGAGAGGAGAUGCCCCAGAUGAAACUUAAAGGAAAUGAGUAGUGCUAAUGAAACUAAAAAAAGAAAAAAUGUCACAACUGAAAUUGAAAAAAUAGCAAACUUAGAUUAAAGUGCAAUGAACAACUUUGGGAUGUGGAUGUGAUGAAUAGUACCGUGUUGUAAUGAAAUGAAUAACUCUAAGAUAUGGGCAUUGUACGCCUAAAGAGGGAGAUCGUGGUUUACGACUCCAAGUCAAACCACUAAAGGACGACUAAAAUAAGAUGAUCAACUUACUAUAAAUGAGAAUGCAACUAUCUUGAGAAAAAGGGUAUGCCCCAAAUGACACUCAACAGUAAAAGAAUGACACAAAAGAAACUAAUACAAGAGGAUGCCACAAAUGAAACUGAAAUGAUAACAGACUCAGUACUAAUGUGUAAUGAACAACUUUGGACUAUGGAUGCAAUGAAUAGCACUGGGUUGUAAUGAAAUGAACAACUCUAAGAUGUGGGCACUAUACGCCUAAGAAAUGAGAUCAUAGUUUACGACUCUAAGUCAAACCGCUAAAGGGCGACUAGAAUAAGAUAAUCAACUCACUAAAAAUGAGGAUGCAACUAUUUCGAGAAAGGGGGUAUGCCCUAAAUGACACUCAACAGUAUAAGAAUGACAUAAAUGAAACUAAAAUAAGAGGAUGCCACAAAUAAAACUAAAAUGAUAACAAACUCAAAACUAAUGUGCAAUGAAUAACUCUAGGUUGUGGAUGCAAUGAACAACACUGGGCUGUAAUGAAAUGAACAACUCUAAGAUGUGGGCACUAUACGCCUAAAGAGGGAAAUCACGGUCUACGACUCCAAGUCAAACCACUAAAGGGCGACUAGAAUAGGAUGAUCAACUCACUAAAAAUGAGAAUGCAACUAUCUCGAGAAAAGCGGGAUGCCCUAAAUGACACUCAAUAGUUAAAGGAUGACACAAAUGAAACUAAAACGAAAUGAUACUACAAAUGAAAUUGAAAUGAUAACAAACUGAUAACUAAAGUGCAAUGAACAACUCUAGGCCGUGGAUGCAAUGGACAGCUCAAGAAUAGGGGAAUUGUUCGCCCAAAAUGGGAGAUCGUGGUCUGCGACUCUGAGUCAAACCACUAAAGGGUGGCUAAAAUCAAAAUGAUCAACUCACUAAAAAUGAGGAUCUGAACAUCUCAAGAAAGGGGUUAUGCCCCAAAUGAAACUGACAAUAGAGGGAUGCCCUAAAUAGACUGAAGAAAGGAGGAUGCCCUAAACAAACUAACAAAAAAUGGAUGCCCUAAACAAACUGACGGAAGUGAAAUGCCCUAAAUAAACUGACCAAAGAAGAAUGCACUAAACAAACUCCGAGAAAAAAAAAAAGAAGUAUGCGAUAUAGAAUCAAAGACACCUAAAGCAAAAACAAGAAACAAAGAAUGUGGUUUACAACUAGAAACACCCAAAAGAACCUUAAAGAAGUGACUGGGAUAAUGAACUUAAUGAAAAUGGGGUAUGCCACAGUAAAAGACUCGGAAGUAUCAGCAAAUGGGUCAAACGACCAUGAAAUCAAUAGGAGAUAUGAUGAACCCAAAAAGGGCAUAUGCCCUAACAAAAGAACACUAAAAGGGGGUAUGCCUCGAUAUGACGACUCACAAUAAUUAAGAAAUGGAUCGAGCAAUGAGAAAAUCUGCAAAAUAUCUUAUGAACUCAAAGAUGGGGGUAUGCCCCAGUGUAAAAUAGUGACCAACAUAAGACACAGAAUGUCACCAUACAAUACACUCUAGGAUAUGCUCAAUGACAAUGUAAUGAAAACAAUAGCCUCAAUCAACAAAUGUUCAAGCAAGACCAUGCAUCACAUAAACUAAAAUAAUAGGCUAAACAAAUGCUAACCAAGUCUCUCAAUCUAAAAUGUAAGCAAGUCAAGACAUGACAUGUCAACCAUCGACAUGAAAACAUCAUCACAAAUACAUCAACAAACUAAUAGUCCCUACUAUCAUGGAAGAUGUAGAACCUAACGUCCAAAGGCAUGUGAAAACUCAACCGGAAAGCUCAAGACUAGUUUGCAUCCUCCUCUAAUAAAAAGAAUGAGAUAAAGUCAUGUAGGAUGAUGAAAUAGGCAAACUCAAUAUUCGUUAGGCUCUGCCAAGAUGGAUGUAGGUAUAAUAGUGUCAAAGGUAGGAUGUCUAGAUGUCCAACGAAGGAAACUGGGUAUCCAAGUCAAACCAAGUAUGUUGAGGAAACUGAACCCAUAGGACAAUAACUUUAUGAUCCAUUGAAAAUAGCAAUCAUGAAUAGAAGGUCGAGUCUCGAUGUCAAAAUCAACAAGGUGGCAUUGCCCCAGUAUGAAUACAUCUUCUCAAAAUGGGUAAACCCUCAGUGCAAGAUAAUCUCUAGAAAGUAUGUGUCUAGUAUAAACUAUCAUCUCACAAAAUCUAUCACUGAUGAGUGGGCUAUACCCCAGUGUAAGCAUUUCCAAAUCAAACAUCGAUGAGAGGAGUACAACCAAUGAUAAAUAAUAUGAUCAAAACAAAUCUCCACUCCUCAAAGUCAUCAUGGUAACGUGAAGAGAGUAUCUAACCUCAUUUAAAGAAAGAUCAUGUCCCAAUGUGAAAAAUAUCAAGCAAAGUGGUAUGUCUCAACAAAAAUGCACUCUAACAUGAUCAUGCUUAGAUGUAAGCUGGUAUCUUUAAGAUCAAUCACCAAUGAAAGGGUUAUGCCCCAGUAUAGGGCAAUCUCUGAAAUGACUAAAAUCCGCUACAAGCUCUCACAAGUGUCUAUGUCAUGAACUAAUCAUCUCAAAAAAUAAAAUAAAUAAAUAAAUAAAUCUAUCAAUAAUGAUGAGAAGGUUAUGCUCCUAUAAUCACAUCAAGAAAAUCACCUGGUCAUAUCUUGUACUCCAAUGUGAAAGGAAAAUAUGAUCACCUCCAAAGAAUGGCUAUGCCCCAAAAUACAUCAUCGAUUGAGAAAUAUGUCCCUACGUAAAGUACAUCAACUGAAAUAUGUCAAUCAUGCCUCAUGCUCCAAUGUGAAAAAUGACGUAUAAUAUUCUUUGAGGGAUGGUCAUGACUCAAAAUCCAUCAUCAGUUGAGAGAAGUAUGCCCUGACAUAAUGGUCAUCUAAAAAAUCAAUCCUCGACUAAGAAAUGUGUGCCUUGAUGUGAUGUAUCAAGCAAAAUGGCUGCAUACCCCAUAAAAACUCUCUAAGGUGGCUAUGCCCCAAUGUUGGAUCAUACCACAACUCUUGGUCUAUCACAAUCAAAAUGCUCUCCAACCAAUCCCAAGUAUCGCCCACAUGAGAGCUAUCAAACACAAUGUGUGAUGUCAUGGCCUCAAGGUGGUCUUAAGAUUCGGGACGUAACAUAGGCUAGGGUAAUAAGGUGAAGAAAUGAAGGAAAACUAGGCUUAAUAAUCCUAAUGAUAAAACCCCAUACCCUUAUGUAUAAAAUGCAAUAUGUGCAAAGAGUCUCAUAAACCAUGGAUCUAAGGACACCCAAUAUGAAUAUAUCAGUGAGGAAGAAAGAAUCUAAGAUGAAUAUAUCAAUGAUAAAAGAGAAGAAAUGAAGAAUAUCAAACUGUUGAUGGGAUGUAUAAGAAUGAUGUGUGGAAAAUAUUGAACAUGGAAUGUAAAUUGAUAUGAACAAAGAACAAUGUAGGCAAGGCAAAUGCGAUAUCAUGAUAAGAACAAAUAAAUCGAAGAAAAAUGAAUGAACACUAAUCCACUCAAAUCAAGUCAUGGAGAAUAGUCAAAUCACCAACGUAUGUAAUGAUGGAGAAGACAAUGAUUCGAAGUCCCUAGGAAAAUGUCACUUGUUUGUCACACAUAAAAUACAUAACGAGAUAGACACAAAAAUAUGAGAGUCUUUUGAAAGUUCACAUACGAACUUUCAUAAGCAACUAACUCAAUAAAGCAACCUCAAUGACCAAUAUAUACACUCAAUAAAGGAUGACACUGUAUACAUGUGUUUAUUACUUUUUCUUUUUCAUUUUUUUUUUCAUUUUUUUCAUUUUUUUUCUUUUACUCGCACAUACUCUGAAUAUCAAUAAAUGAACUUCUCUGAGAAUACAUAAUGAAAUGGAUAUACUCUCAAACAAUGAUGUAAGCGAACUCUCUCUGACAAGAUGACCCUCUAAAUUAAGGAUUUCCAAACUAACGUCCAUGAGAUACAAGUUGAGGGGGAUAUGACUAUCUUCCCUGCACCAAAAUGUGAAAGAUCAUCACUCAAGGCAUAAAAAAAUGUGAUGAAAAAAAUAAAGAUGAAACAAAAGAUAUAAACAAUGAAGUAUGAUGAAGAAUGAUGUUGGGACAACAAAAAAAUAGUGAAGAAGGUGAGCCAAUAAGUCCACAACUCAUGAAACUCUCGAAUAAAAUAUAUAUACACCAAAAGACCCUUAUCCCGGUGUAAAAUGUGAGCAAGGAUAUAAGAAAGAAAAGACUAUGAUGCUCAUGUGAGGUUCAAAGGGCUAGCAAUGGUCCAAAUAUCAAUAAAGGUAAUAGGGUGUGAGCUAACCAAAAUGAAGGUCACAUAUCCUACGACCAUGGUCUCAAACAUCGUGCUCUUAAGCUUUCAAAUGAUCGAUACUGAAAAUCGAUGUCCAUUUGAUAUAAACACGUCAACUCUUUGGAAUUGUGCGCCAAACCAUACUCCAAAUGCUCCAUAAUAAUCUCAAAGAUAAUCAUCUCAAAGCAAAGUAAAUGGCGAUCUCAUAAGGCACAACUACUCAUCACAAGCCAACUCUCAUCAUGCAAGAUCAAUCUCUAUUUUCAUGGAAAAAUAAGUGACAAUCUCAUCAGGCAAUCGACCAAUCCUCACAUCGUAAACCAACCAAAGAUCAUAAGUCAUUCAUUGCCAUGCAAGAUCAAUCCCAGGCUCAAACUCCUCAUACUCUACCUGGUUGGAUUAGAGAAGAAAUGGGCAAAGCUAGAAAAACUGAAGAUGGAAAGGUCAUAUAAUGGUGUCAAGGGUGAUAUUGUGCAAAACUCACAAUGGAUGGAUGUAGGUCAAAACAAAGUCAAUGUGUGAGAGUGAGUAAGACACUACUCUGAUCAUAAGAAAAUGGGUCACAAUCUCAAACUCCCAAGAUCAACUCUCCGAUCUUAGGCUAAUAAGCUCAACAUCCUCCAUGAUAGGUCAACCCCCAAGAAUGUGCAAAUGAAUAGAUGCCUCAAGUCAAAAGUACAACACAUCAUAUGAUAUAUGGUUCUAUGAUGACAAUCUAAAACUUAAAAUAUGUUAGAAACUCUAAGGUCAUAAAGGUGUCCACUGUGAGAUGACUACAAAUGUGACUAAGGAAUCUUUAUCAAUAAUCCAAAAAAUGAAUGAGGUGUGAAAAACAACACUAUCAUGAGAUCGUUACCCCAUCAAUAACAAAAUAUCUCUAAUUCACUUUCAAUCUAAGCUCUAUAAAGAAAAACAAUAAGGUUAUAAAGGCAAACCUCUCAAAAAUGGUGUGAAUGUGAAAACAUGCCUUCACCUUUCUAUAAUGAAAAUAUCAGGUUGAAAAUAGAAAUAGGCAAAUCGACCAAAGAAUGAAGUACAAAGUCCAUGAUAGGUGAAGAAUGUAAAAAGGUGAACAUGAUCAAUGAACAUAUCCCAAAACAUCAAGCAUAAAGUGACAACAAACAGAAAGAAUGUGUCGACUUAAGGAAAUAAGACUAUCUGAAGCCCCAGGGAGAAAGUGUGCUAGACUUAACGAGCGAUAAGAAGAAACUAAAACUAUAUAGCAAGGGGUGGUCCAACUAAUACUCAAACUUGCAGCAAUAUCUAAGCACUCUCGAUUGGAGACCAAAAGAUGGAGUAUUGGAUCCAUACUGUGACUAAAGCGGCCUCGAAGGCUCUCAGAUGCAGCCACGUGAGGAAAGGAAAUCCUAAUUAAAAAUAUCUAAAGGUUAACCUACAAGGUCAAGGCGGCUCUAAAAAGAAAAAUUGAGUGGACUUUAAAGGAUCCUUAGCAAAAGUGAUCAUACCCUCCGAUGGUAUGCAACCUCCUACACGUCUUGAAAGAUACGGGAUUGAUUCCAUGCAAGGUGGUCAUCACCUCCACACAUGCACUAUCUCAUAUCUUAGAGGGUUUCCUAAUGAUGAAGACUCUUACAUCUCUCAACACUUAGUGUUAAUCUAAGGUGCACAGUGAACGGUGUGGGUUCAUCCGAAAAUCCUAUCAAACUAAGCAAAGAGAAAACACACUGGUCACACAAAUAUCCUGAAAUCUAGCUCUAACCUAUACAAGUCUUCAAAGAUUGGACUCCAAUUAGCAUUAAUGUUUCGACCUUCUCCAGAAUGCUCCCAAACAUAGAUAUAGUCCACCACUAAACCCUACUCCGAAUCACUAGCUCGGUCGAAGAGCAAACAAAGUAACAAGUCUCAUAUCAAAUACGAGAUCAAGGGGAACACGGUCACCCGAGACUAGGGAAUUGGAGAUAAGGGGAUAGAUGUGUGUCCCACAUAGACAAGAAGCAUGCAUCACACAGAAGAAGAAUAGUUAUGCAAUAGACAACCAAGCAAAUAAUAGGUAUAUCAUUCAUAUAUACACACAAGCUAAACAAGAAAUAGGUAUAUAACAAGAAUAAACAAUAUGUUCAGAUAAACAAGAUAAUAUACAAUAAAGAGAAUCAAUCAUGCCAAUAUGAAUGAGAUAUAUAAAAAUGAGAAUAUACAUGUCAAGGAGAGCAAGAUAAUCAUACAACAAGAAGAGUCUUAUGUUAAAGCAAGCAAGAGAAUCAAUUGAUGUAGUCAACAUGUCAAUAUCGCAAAUGAACAUAAUAGCCAAAUAUGCAUCAUAAAGAAAAAAAGGUAAUCAUGCAGCACACAGUCAUACAAAAAAAAUACAGACAAACAUAAGCAAAUAAAUGUAAACACACAUGAUAACAAAAAUCAAUGUAUAGUAAGGCACAUGUAAUAUAUACGUAAAAUAAUCAUCAAGUCAACACUCAUAUACCUUAAAACAUGAAAAUAUACAAUAAAGACACAACGAGAGGGUGUUCACUGAUCGAUUAAUCAAACACUACAUUUCCCUUAACUCGAGUUCAAGUUUGAUCCUUUAAAUAUACUAAGUUUGUGGACCCACAUUUUUCACAUGCGUCCUUACACAACAACGAGACUAAUUUUUUUUAUUUGGUGAAAAUUUGAUUUUUAGAAAAAAGACUUUGAGUCGUCACUUAUUUUUAUUUUUUUUAAGGGAAAACAAAAUAAGAAAGAAAACCUUGUGUGACUCCUUAUUUGAGAAAUACAUGUAUGCAAAAACCAAAUCUGGAUUCGAGGGUCAAGUUACCUAUUGGGAAUGUACGAUGGUGAGCUGUAGCACCUCUCUAAGCUCAUAUACGUACGGUCUCUACUAAACCAAUUAAGAGAAUUGUGGUAAUUAAUUAAUUAGUCAUGGAUAUCAAGAAAAAGAAUUUCACAAAUGAGUACGUACAAAUCAUAAUAAAAAAAAAAAAUCAAAUUAUGAGAAUAGACAAAAUAAAUAACAAGAGAAUUGUGCAAAGUGAUUUAUUAAACUAAAUAAAAAAGAAGAUAUUAAAAAAAUUAAUUUUCAAGAAAUUUCAAAGGAUUUUAUUAAAAUGAUUUUGAAUUCAUGAUUUUAAUUUAUUUAUUUACAAAAAAAAAUGUCAAUUUAUUUUCUUCAAGUAAUUUGAUUCAAUUUCAUUUGUAUUCAAUUUUUUUUUUUUAAAAAAAAAGUUAUUUACACUCAUGGUUGUUAAAAGAAUUAUUAACAAAAUUUCAAGUUGACAAUAAAAAUGAUUUUUACUUGCUUUUACUUGAAAACAAUGAAUUUUUACAAUUUUAUUAACAAAAGCAUUUCAAUUUAAGAAAAGUGACUUAUACAAAUUAUUAAAAAAAUAUAACUUUAUCUGCAAAAGAAUUUUUAAUUAAAAAGAAAAAAUUUAAAUCAUCUAUUUCUAAAAAUGACUUUUAAUCCCAUAUUAAUUAAGGAAAAAAUGAGUUAUUUAAAAAAACAUUUUUUGGACAAUUUGAAUAAAAAUUAAUUUUUGGGACAACUUUGUUUACAAAACAAUUUUUAGACAAUUAUUAUUAAAAACAAAUUUUCAAAUUCUAUUAACAAUAAUUUUUUGGAUUUUUCCAAACACAUUUUUAUGAAUUUUUAUUAAUAAAUUUUUUUUUUAUUAAGAAGAAUAUUGUUUGAGCUAUUAUUUUAUUAAAACAUGUUUAUUGAAUUAUUCUUCUUAUUGAAACAAAAUUUUUAAUUUGUUCGAUAUCCAAUUCUGUACACAACAAGUAAAUAUAUGCAAACAAAUAUUUAUAGAAACUAAUAAAAAUAACUGUACACAACAAGUAAAUAUAUACAAACAAAUAUUUAUAGAAACCAAUAAAAAUAAAACCAAAUAGAAGUGAGAAAUAAAACAUGUACUUAAACAAGCUUACAACAAGCUCAAUGUCUUCCUAUGACUUUCCGAGUCUCACUUUCUUUCAUUAAAUUUUAUGCUCCACGUACCAUAAAUCCGUACUCAACAAAAAAAAUUGUAGAAUUGGCCCAUGCAAAAACAAAAAUAACACAAAUGUAAAUAUCUAAAAAUGUAUAAAGUUCACAAUAGAUAUUCAAGGCCAAAUUCAAAUUUCAAAUUAGUCCAAUAAAUUUCGUCAAUCAAAAUGGGUCCAAAUUAGCAAAUAUAACCCAACAAAAAUAUCUCACAUAUCAUAGGCUUUAAUAUAAAAUUUUCAAAUUAAUAACCAAAAUAUAAGUUCAAUUAAUCAAACCCAAAACAUGAUACAUUAAAGUAAAUCUCAUUAGGCCUAAACUUAAUAUCUCAUAAUUCAAGCCUAAUUUAAUAUAUAAACCUAAAUCCACAAUCAAAAUCAACUCACUUUAUGCUAAUCCCAAUUUACAAUCAAAAUCAAACAUAAUUUAAUAAGUAAAUAACUAAAUAAAUUAAGCAAACUCAAAACUCUCAAACCACUAUUGCAUAAAUCAAACAAUAAUAAAUAUAAUAAAAAUAAAAUAAAAUAAAAUAAAAAUAAAAAAUUUAACUCACGUUGGAGCCAAUUUGAGUGUCGUGGGAAAGAAAGAAAAUGAGAGAAAAGUGGGAGAUGAUUGUUAGCUGGUAGUGGUUCGCCCGCUGCGACUGGUCGAUAGUCCUACCAGCGGUAGUGAGGAUUGAUGAGUUUUGGGGAAAGGAAAAAAAAGAGGAGUAGUAAAAAAAAAAUGAAGAAAUGAGAGGAAGGUGGGAUAAGAGGGGAGAAAGAGAAUUGAGAAAAUAGGGGAAAAGAAAUGAGGCUGGCUGGAGGAGAAAAUGGCAGUGUGUGUGAGCUAAAGUGAAGAAGAAUGAAAGAAGAAGAAAGAGAAAAAUGGGGAAGAAGGAGAAAAAAAUUCGAGCCCCCUAAAUGAAGAAAGGUGAGUAGCCUAAAGAAGAAGAAAAAAUAAAAUAAAAUAAGAAAAAAUGAGGAGAAAAUGAGAGGGCCAAUAGUCUUGGGAAUGGGGUGGUAUGGGUGAGAGAGAGUGGACGGGGUUGUUGGGGAAGGUAUGGGAGAGAGAGGAGAGAUAAAAGAAAGAGAAAAAAAAACAUAAUAAUAAUAAUAAUAAUCAUAAAUAAUAUAUAAAAUAAUAAAAAUUAAUAUUUAAAUGAUGAGUGGGUCCAAAAUGUUAUAUGUAAUUGGGAUUCAAUUUUAAGAGUAAAAUUGGACUAAAAAUUAAUGUAAAAAUAAAAUUGGAACAAAUUUUAGAAUCUACAAAUACAUUCUUUAAUCUUUCCACAACAUCAAUCUGAUCUAAAUGAAAUGCAAUAAAUUCUAAAAAUGAUACAAUCUUUAAUCAAUCCACAACAUCAACCCGAUCAAAACUCAAUGCAAUAUUGCUUAAUGGAGAGAAUCGUAAACUCCUUUUAUGAGAGGAAAACAAAACCCUUAACAGACCUUUAUGAGAGGAAAAUAGGAAAACAUAGAACUAAAAACCCUUAACGUAUUCACGAGAAUAAAAAAUUCUUAACACCUUAAUAAGAGGAAAACAAAGAAUUUGAACAAUCCUUAAUCCAUCAAAAGCUCUUAAUAUGAACGAGGGGAAAACAUAACCUUUAUUUUUCAGAUAGUUGAAUAAAGAAUCUAAAGAGAUAGAAUUUUUAGUUAUUAAGGAUUUUUUUAUAGAUGUCUAUUGAAAGUUUAAGAACUUUUAUGGAUAAGUGUUAAUUAAGAGACUGAAAGGGUACUUAGGAUUUUCAACUAAAAAAGUUAUAACAAUAUGAAUCGUAAGAACUUAAAAACAUCACCCAUCCAUAAGAGGAAUAUGGAAUGAGAGGUUAUUUUUUUACUUAUACAACAAUAAACUUUUUUGGAAGAGGUUUUUCUAAGUACAAAAAGUUGUGAAUAAAAAACCAUUGUUACGAUGAGUUAACUAAAAUAGAAUUAAUUUAGAAAAUAUCAAUAAAGUUGCAUGAAUUAUUAUCAUGAGUUAACUUAAUAAGAAUAAAUAGUAAUGAAGUUAAUGAAGUGAAUUUGGAUUGGCAGAUAUAUUUGAUGAUAAGAUUUUUAUAAUAAUAAUAAAUUAUUAUGGCAGGAAAAAUAGGACAAAAUUGACCUUAUGAUAAGAUUUUUUUUAAUAAUAAAAACAUUAUUAUGGUAUGAAAAAAAGGGACAAAAUUGGCCUUUCCUUAAUUGUAACGAUUAAAUGGAAAUAAUGGGACAUGCGGUGGUUACAAGCCACCCCAAAAGGUAGGAAGAAUCUCCAACCCCCAUUCUCGGCUCCCUUAUCUUUUCCCUUACAACCAAAAAUCAACAACUAUCUUAGAAUGUCCUUCAGUCCACCAAAAUUCAACAACAACAAUUAUACAUUACAAUAAUGAAAACAAAAUUGAUUGAUCACCAGCUAACAUUAGGAGAUUAUAAGAUAAGGAUGUAAUUGCAAUUAUUGAAAUCACUUAAAGAGUAAAAAUUAGGAACAUGCUCACAAUAAAUAAAAUCACCUUAGAAUUAAAAAUUAGGGACAUGAUUAUGAUGACUAAAAUCACUCGAGAACUAAAAUGUUUUAGAGAUACAAUAAUUGAAAUCAACUGAAAAAUAAAUUCGGGAUGUGGUCGCAAUUAAUGUAUAUAUAAACAACCAAAUGUUGAAAGGAAAAACUAAUGAAAUUAAUAUGAUUUUCUUUCUAUGGUUAGAUUUCUCUUGACACCAAACAAAUGUAAGGAAGUUUAUAAAGGAAAAUUAGGUUUUGAUUCACUAAAUUAAAAUAAUAUAGAAAAAAGAUCUUCAAAUUUUAUAUAUCAGUUUUAUUUUUAUUUAUUUAAAAAAAAUUUAAAAUACAUAUAUUUUUUCAUAACUCAAAUAGUCAUUCCUCAAAUGCUAGUUUUACUUGUUAUGUUAAUAACACUAGUUAAUAAUUUUUUAUUGUGAGAAUGAUUUAAGAUUAAUAAAAUAAGAAAUUUUUAAAACUAAAAAAGCAUUUAAAACUUUAAAAUUAAAAAUAUAAAAAUAAAACAAUAAUUUUUCAUUUAGUAAAACACGCUAGUAGAAAAUAUAGAUAUAGAGAAAGAGUUGGAAAUAAAAUAAGAGUUAAUAUUUUAUUUUUAAAAUUUUAUGUUUUUUAUUUUAAUUGUAUUUAAUUUUUAUGUAUUUUAGUUGUAAUUAUAUUUUUAAAUUUUAAAUUUUUAUUUUAUUUUAUUGUUGAUGUAAACUAAUAAAUUUUUUGUUUAAUUAUAUAUAUAUAUUUUUAAAUUAGUGAGUAAAAACUCACUUUUUCUAAUUUAUAAUGUAUUUAUGGGAUUUAAUAAUAUAAGCAAUUUUUUUUUUUUGAGAAAGAGGAAAAAUCAACUUUUCAAUUUCCCUUAAUAAUUAUUAUUAUUAUCCAAUUUGGCUGAUUAUGAGAUUAGUUGGUAUCAUUACUAUAUCCAUUUGUUCUUAACCCUUCAUUAGAAUAGUAUUAGGAGUUGAACGUCAAUUGGAAUAUAGGCUUAUGGAAACAAAUCUAUCCAAGGAGGAAAAUGUCACGAUAUUUCGGCGAUAUAUCGCCGAAAUAUCGUGUAUCGAAGGGUUUAUAUUUUUUCGGUCCGGCGAUAUUUCGGUAUUUAUUGCGAGAAAUCGCCGAUUUCUCGCGAUAUAUCGGUGAUUUUUCAUCACCGAUAUAUCGCGUGGUCAACGCGGGUCAACGAAAGUCAAACCCGCUACAGUGCCCGUCAACGGGUACACCCGCUUACCAUCUGGGCUAAAUUGCCCUUUGAUAUAUAAUAUGCAACAACUAUAUAUAUACUUAAAUUCAUUAUAUAAAGAAAAUAUAAGAAUAUUUUAAAGAGCAAAUUAAUUAUAAUUAUUUUAUAAUUAAAUGCAAUGGUGGUGUUUGUUUUUUUACUUAAUUCUAAAUAGAACCUUAAUACUUAAUAGUAUUAAAUAUUAGGUUGUUUGUUUUUGUAAUAUUUUAUUUCUAUUAAGUAUUAAAAAGUAAAAAAAACCAUUGUGUUAUUUUUUCUAUUUCGAAAAAGCUAUAUAUUUUGGCUUUUUCUAUUUAGUAAAAAGUUUAUAAUAAGUCAUGAAAAAGUAAAAAAACAAACAACCUAAAUUCUAAAACUAAAUGGUUUUCAGCAAAAAGCCAAAAAAACGAACACCACUAAAGUCUUUUAAUUAAUUACCAAAAAUAUAAAAAUUAUAUAAUUUUCUUCAUAAUGUUUUUAAUAUCAUUAAUAAUUAAUUAAAUAUUAAAAAAUUAUAUAUAUAUAUAUAUAUAUAUAUAUCAUUAUUUAUUUUAUAUUGUUUAAUACAAUUGAAUUAAAUGGAUCAUAUUUUAAUACUAAUAUAUAUUUUAAAAUUAGACAUAUUAUAAUCAAAUAUCAUAAUAUUAUGUGUAAUUUAAUAAUAAAUGUACACUUAUAAAAUUCAUAUUUUUAUCGAUGCAUACGAUAUUAUUAUCAAAUAUGAUAAAUCAUGUUAUACAUAUAUCAAAAUUUUUAAUAAAAUAACUUUAAAAUGUCUAUUAUACUUUUAAUUAUAUUAUUAUGAGGUUUUCCUUACAUUUUCAUAAGUUUUUAACAAUUUCAUAAGUUUUCCGAUAUAUUCGAUAUAUCCGUAAAAUCAAAAUACCGAUAUAUCCGUGAUUACCGAUAUUUUCAUCCUUGAAUCUAUCCGAUUAGUAGGUUCUUAUUAUUUUCAAUAUAGACCCCGUAAAAUAAAUAGGGCAGCCCGUCCCUUUUGUCUGGAGGCCAUCCUCCCAACUUAUUAAAGGUGAUAUGAGAUAAGACAGUGACAAAAUUGUCAGUUACUUCCCGACACCUGGCUCUCCACAAGCAAACCCAGUGAUCCAGAAAUUAAUUGGUACCUGGACACGUGACUACCAAACGAUUCGCUCACCCACCAUACCCAUGGCCUCAUGCCCCAUAUAUUUCCACAAACCUAGCUCAAUUUUCAUAGCCACCUUCACUGUCCUACACUCACUAAGCCAUGGCCAUAGAUACAAGCCUCUUGCUUGAGCUUGCUGCAGCAACUCUACUCUUCUUCAUCACCCGCUUCUUCAUUCGUUCUCUCCUUCUCAAAUCUUCCCGGAAGCUCCCUCCUGGCCCCAAAGGGUGGCCGCUCGUCGGCGCUCUUCCUCUUCUAGGUAACAUGCCUCAUGUUGCAUUAGCAAAGAUGGCCAAAAGAUACGGGCCUGUCAUGUUCUUGAAAAUGGGCACUAACAGCAUGGUGGUGGCCUCAACUCCCGGGGCGGCUCGGGCUUUCCUUAAAACGCUAGACAUUAAUUUCUCUAACCGCCCGCCUAAUGCCGGUGCGACACUCUUGGCCUAUCAUGCCCAAGACAUGGUUUUUGCGGAUUAUGGGGCAAGGUGGAAGCUACUGAGAAAGCUAAGCAACUUACACAUGCUUGGUGGGAAGGCUCUUGAGGACUGGUCUCAGGUCCGAGCUGUUGAGCUAGGCCACAUGCUUCGAGCCAUGCUUGAGUUGAGCCAGCGAGCGGAGCCGGUGGUGGUGCCGGAGAUGUUAACUUUUUCCAUGGCCAACAUGAUAGGGCAAGUGAUACUAAGCCGCCGGGUGUUUGAAACAAAAGGGUCGGAGUCAAAUGAGUUCAAGGACAUGGUGGUGGAGCUCAUGACCACUGCUGGGUACUUCAAUAUUGGCGAUUUUAUUCCGUCCAUCGCAUGGCUGGACAUCCAAGGGAUCCAGCGCGGGAUGAAGCAUUUACAUAGGAAGUUCGACCGGUUAUUAACAAAGAUGAUGGAGGAGCACACGGCGUCAGCCCAUGAGCGGAAGGGAAACCCAGAUUUUCUGGACGUAAUCAUGGCAAACCAAGAAAAUUCUACAGGGGAGAAGCUCACUAUUACCAACAUUAAAGCACUCCUCCUGGUAUGCAUAGUUAAAGCUCGUCUUUAAUUUUGUUUUCCGAUAUUUUCUUUCCGGAAACAGCACUUUUAUUGGUUUUAGAUAUGUACGUUUUUAUCAGGUAGCCAUUUUAGGGGCACAUAACUGUUCUUUAUUUUUGGACUUUUUUUUUUCUUUUUCCACUUGCAUGGUUGUUUUCAUAUGCUCAGCUGCAUGGCACAAGAAAAUUGUGAAAAAUGAUUGGUUCUCUGAUCAGACCUUCUGCACCAAAACACACUUCUCUCUAUUUUAUAAAAUCGGUUUACAUGAUUUUUCAACCAGCUUCCUUGAACUUGAACUUUUGCUAGGGCUAAUGCAAAAAAUGAUGGAUCUCAAUUUUCAAUAGCGUUUGAUUACAUAAAUUUCAAGUAUGUGAACAUAUUUUUGUUUCCUUGGCUAGAAUUUAUUUACUGCAGGAACAGACACUUCAUCGAGCGUAAUCGAGUGGUCUCUGGCUGAGAUGUUGAAAAACCCGAGCAUCCUCAAGCGUGCUCACGAAGAAAUGGAUAAAGUGAUUGGAAGGAGCCGGCGGCUCGUGGAGUCUGACUUGCCAAAACUUCCAUACCUACAAGCCAUAUGCAAGGAAAGCUUCCGGAAGCACCCAUCCACCCCAUUGAACCUUCCUCGUGUCUCAACCCAAGCAUGUGAAGUGAACGGCUACUACAUCCCAGAGAACACUAGACUUAGCGUNNNNNNNNNNNNNNNNNNNNNNNNNNNNNNNNNNNNNNNNNNNNNNNNNNNNNNNNNNNNNNNNNNNNNNNNNNNNNNNNNNNNNNNNNNNNNNNNNNNNCAAAAUCCAUCCCUCAUCUCUCUCACAAUUUUCUCUUUACCUCUUCUCUUCUUUCCAGUUUCUUUUUAUUUUAUUUUUCAUGCAGACAGAAUCCCCUUACUUUCCUUUGUUUCUCUCUUUAAAAAUUCUGAUUUUGCCCUAAAAAAAAUUGAUUUUUCUCUUUAAAUAUUUUAAUUUUCCUCCUCCAAAUUCUGAUUUGCCUUUCUAAAAUUUCAGAUCUUCCCAACCCAAAUUAAAUUCCGAUUUCCCCCGGUAAAAUUCUGGAUUUUCUCAUCCAAGAUAGUCAAUUUUUUAUUUUUUUUCAAAAGACAUUAUGGGUGUAUUUUGAAAAAUUGAAAAGGUAAUCAUGCAUGGCCAUGUGAGGAGAGAAGAAAAAGUAAAGUAGAUAAGUUGGCAGACAGCAUUGAUGGGAGAAUAAAAGUUCAAAAAUCAAUAAAAUAAUAUUAGAAUAAAAUAAAGAAAAGAAAUAGUGAGUAAAAAGAAUGUAACAUUCGUAAUCUAAGACAUAUAUAUAUAUAUAUAUAUAUAUGUGGGGAAAUUUAAUUUAUAAAGGAAAAUUGGGUUUUAAUUCACUAAUUUAAGUGAAUAAAAAAAAAGAACUCUAAAUUAUAAAUUAAUUUUAUUUUCAUCAAUUUAAAAAUAUUUUACAAUAUAUAUACUUUUUUAUAACUCAAAUAAUUAUUUCUUGAAAUAAUAUUUUUACUUGUUAUGUUAAUAACACCAAUUAAUAAAUAAAAACUAUAAAAUAUAAAAUAUAAAAAUAAAAUAUUAAUUUUCAUUAGUUAAACACAUGUUGGUAGAAAAUAUAGAUAUCCAAAAAGAGUUGGAAAUACAACAAGAAUCAAUAUUUAUUUUUAAAAUUUUAAGUUUUUUUUAAUUGUAUUUACUUUUUAUAUAUUUUAGCUUUAAUUGUAUUUUUUAUUUGAUGGUUGAUUUUAACUAACAAAUUUUUUUAUUCAAUUUUAUUGAAAAAUAAGAAGAUGGGCUUUAUAUAAUAUAGAAUAUAAAAUCAUUAUUAUUUAAAGGAUAAAAAAAAAUUUUAUUUAUCACGAUUUGAAUAAUUUUUUCACAAUGAUUUGCAUCUUAUAAUAAAAAAUUUAUAAUAUAUUUAUUUGUACUAUACUUUUAUCAAAUUAAAUUGAUCAAUUAAUUUUGGAUUAUUUAUUUAAUAUUAUCAAGUAAAAUGGUAUUUAGAAAAUAAUUAUUUGAGUUAUAAAAAAGUAUAUGUAUUUUAAAAUAUUUUUUAAAUUGAUGAAGAUAAAAUUGAUUUAUAAAAAUUAAAGUUUUUUUUUUUUAAAUUAGUGAAUAAAACCCCCAUUUUUUUUUUAACUUUAUAAUGUAGCCAUGGGAUUUUAUAACAUAAGCAAAUUUUACGUGAAAGAGGAAAAAAAUCAACUUUUCAAUUUCCAAUAAUUAUUAUUAUUAUUAGAAAUAUUUGAUUAAAAAAGAUGAAAUAAUCCCCAAAAUCGGAAAUCUAACCCUUCCUAUGCUUUUUCUAAAAAAGUAAUCCAUUUUUUUUUACAUAAAUACCAUUUUCUAUUUCAAGUAUCCAAUUUGGCUGAUUCUUAAUUAGUUGGCAUCAUUACUAUUCUGUAAUUAGUUAGAAUAGUAUUAGGAGUUGAAGGUCAGUUGGAAUACAGGCUUAUGGAAACAAAUCUAUCCCAUUAGUUGGUUCUUAUUAUUUUUAUUAUUUUCAAUAUAGGAGAUGGGCAGCCGCGCCCUUUUGUCUGGGGGCCAUCCUCCCAACUUAUUAAAGGUGAUAUGAGAUUAAGAUUUUAACACUUCUCCUACCAUCGUCAUGACCUGGCUCUCCACAAGCACACCCAGUGCUGACACGUGACUAACAAACCUUCGCUCAUCUACCAAACCCAUGGCCUCAUGCCUUAUAUAUUUCCACAAACCUAGCUCAAUUUUCAUAGCCACCUUCACUAUCCUAUACUCACUAAGCCAUGGCCAUAGAUACAAGCCUCUUGCUUGAGUUUGCUGCAGCAACUCUACUCUUCUUCAUCACCCGCUUCUUCAUUCGUUCUCUCCUUCCCAAACCUUCCCGGAAGCUCCCCCCUGGCCCCAGAGGGUGGCCGCUCCUCGGCGCUCUUCCUCUUCUAGGUAACAUGCCUCAUGUUGCAUUAGCAAAGAUGGCCAAAAGAUACGGGCCUGUCAUGUUCUUGAAAAUGGGCACUAACAGCAUGGUGGUGGCCUCAACUCCCGAGGCGGCUCGGGCUUUCCUUAAAACGCUAGACAUUAAUUUCUCUAACCGCCCGCCUAAUGCCGGUGCCACACUCUUGGCCUAUCAUGCCCAAGACAUGGUUUUUGCGGAUUAUGGGGCAAGGUGGAAGCUACUGAGAAAGCUAAGCAACUUACACAUGCUUGGUGGGAAGGCUCUUGAGGACUGGUCUCAGGUCCGAGCUGUUGAGCUAGGCCACAUGCUUCGAGCCAUGCUUGAGUUGUGCCAGCGAGCGGAGCCGGUGGUGGUGCCGGAGAUGUUAACUUUUUCCAUGGCCAACAUGAUAGGUCAAGUGAUUCUAAGCCGCCGGGUGUUUGAAACAAAAGGGUCGGAGUCAAAUGAGUUCAAGGACAUGGUGGUGGAGCUCAUGACCAGUGCUGGGUACUUCAAUAUUGGCGAUUUUAUUCCGUCCAUCGCAUGGCUGGACAUCCAAGGGAUCCAGCGCGGGAUGGAGCAUUUACAUAGGAAGUUCGACUGGUUAUUAACAAAGAUGAUGGAGGAGCACACGGCGUCAGCCCAUGAGCGGAAGGGAAACCCAGAUUUUCUGGACGUAAUCAUGGCAAACCAGGAAAAUUCUACAGGGGAGAAGCUCACUAUUACCAACAUUAAAGCACUCCUCCUGGUAUGCAUAGUUAAAGCUCGUCUUUAAUUUUGUUUUCCGAUAUUUUCUUUCCGGAAACAGCACUUUUAUUGCUUUUAGAUAUGUAUGUUUUUAUCAGGUAGCCAUUUUAGGGGCACAUCACUGUUCUUUAUUUGGAUUUUUUUUCUCUUUUUCCACUUGCAUGAUUGUUUUCAUAUGCUCAGCUGCAUGGUACAGGAAAAUUGUGAAAAAUGAUUGGUUCUCUGAUCAGACCUUCUGCACCAAGACACACUUCUCUCUAUUUUAUAAAAUCAAGAACAUUUAUGGUUUACAUGAUUUUUCGAACUUGAACUUUUGCUAGGGCUAAUGCAUGGAUCUCAAUUUUCAAUUGCUUUUGAUUACAUAAAUUUCAAGUAUGUCACCAUAUUUUUGUUUCCUUGGCUAGAAUUUAUUUACUGCAGGAACAGACACUUCAUCAAGCGUAAUCGAGUGGUCUCUGGCUGAGAUGUUGAAAAACCCGAGCAUCCUCAAGCGUGCUCACGAAGAAAUGGAUAAAGUGAUUGGAAGGAGCCGGCGGCUCGUGGAGUCUGACUUGCCAAAACUUCCAUACCUACAAGCCAUAUGCAAGGAAAGCUUCCGGAAGCACCCAUCCACCCCAUUGAACCUUCCUCGUGUCUCAACCCAAGCAUGUGAAGUGAACGGCUACUACAUCCCAGAGAACACUAGACUUAGCGUGAACAUAUGGGCAAUUGGGCGAGACCCUGAUGUCUGGGAAAGCCCGGAAGAAUUCAGGCCAGAAAGGUUUUUAAGUGGAAGAAAUGAAAAAAUUGAUCCUCGUGGAAAUGAUUUUGAGUUGAUCCCGUUUGGGGCUGGACGAAGGAUUUGCGCUGGCACUAGAAUGGGAAUAGUGCUGGUUGAGUACAUUUUAGGGACGUUGGUACAUUCAUUUGACUGGAAAAUGCCGGAUGGAGUUGAGAUCAACAUGGACGAAGCUUUCGGGCUUGCGCUGCAGAAGGCAGUUUCUCUUUCGGCCAUGGUGACACCAAGGCUUCACCAGAGUGCGUAUGCAGUCUGAGCUCAAACCGCUCAGACCAAAACCCAGGCCUCGCUGCUAUAUGGCAUGGAUGCAGUUAAGUAGAAGAUAUUUUGGGAUGUUGUUUUAGUUUCCUGUGGCUUAGUAUAAGAUGUAUUAGCUCAAAGAUGGUCGUUUCAUUCUACCACCAAGCCAUAUGCAUCUAUGCAUAAUCUAUUGAUUUAGGCUCGAUUUGGUUAUAGUUUUUGUUUUUUUGUCUUCCAAAUCAGUAAAUAGUAGGGGUAUUUUUGUCCUAUGUAGUGAUUCUUUUUGUUUGAUUGAUUAUAUUUGGAUCCUUCAAAAAUAUAUGGUCAGAGCCAUCUCCAUCUUUUCACUUCUUGUGCUGCAGAAUGGGAUUGGCUUAGAUCGUUAGUCUAAUGUUAACCCCCUUCAAAUCUAAUUAUUCAUACCCAAUUUUGACACGAAAGAGCCAUUGUCAUGAAAGGGGGACCAGGGACCUCAGCACCCUUGGUCCAUCAUUUUGGUACGAUGCCAACUCUACCACAUAACCACCAUUUAGAUAUCUAUCCUUUUAUUUUUGGCAUGUGAACUUAUAGUGGGUGGCUGACCUUGAAUCCAAUAGUUAUCAUGAUAUAUAUGGCUGAAAUUAAAUCCAAUAGAAUCCAAUAUGUUUUCUUAUAUCUCAAGUUUCAAUCAAAAAAAUAUUUAUGAUUUGUUUUUAUUAAUUUGUGUCUUGUUUUCAAUUUAAUUAAUGAAAAUUUAUUUGAUCAAAAAGUUCAUUACAAACCAAUUUUAAAAAUCUAAUCCUUUAUUAUAUUUUGAUAUCGUUUUGAUAAAAAUGUCUUUAUUAUUAUUAUUAUUAUUAUUUUUUUAUAAAAAUAAAUUUUUUUAUAAAUAUAUUGUAAAUAUUUAAAAUAAUUAAAAAUAUUUAGAUCAAAAAUCGAUUAUUUUUCAAACAAAAAUAUGAAAGUUAUAAAUUUUGUAAAUAUGGGGAAUAUUUAAUCCUUUUAAUCGAUUAUUUCAUUAAUGAAGUGGGUAUAAUGGUGAACGCAGACUUGGUUUUGCUAGGGCAUGCAGAGGUUUUGCAAGAGAGAGAGAUCAUUUCUCGACUCUGAGAAAUCAAUCUCCUUUUGGCCCGGUGGCGGACUCCAAGUAAAGCCUUGAAGGAGCCUUGCUAACAUCCCUGCACACCCACGCCUUCCAGUACUGAAGGAAAUGAAGCGAAGGUUUGGCUCGUUCAACUCUACUGCUUGAACUGUACUAGCAUUCAGAUGCCGCUCUGGAUUGAAAUUUAGCGGUUCUUCCCAGAUUCUAGGGUUCCGGCCCAGCCCCAGACGGCUCAGAAGGACAUGACUGCCUUUGGGGAUAGAGUACCCAGCAACACUAGUCGGAUUCCUGAACUCGUCUAUCCUUUCCAACCACUCCAUCAAUUUCUUCACUGCUUUGCUCAAAAUCCCUGGUUGCUUGAUCAUUGCCUACUCAAUUGCAUUUGAUGGACUAUCGACGCCUGCAAGCAUCAACUCCUGCAAAUUAUGGAAGGAUCAUAAUCUGAUGAUUGAUCAAGUUAUUUGCUGGCUAGGAAAUCAUCAUCAUGCAAUGUAGAUCAAAAGGUAAGCACAACACUACUACAAAAAUAAUUUAUGGUGUCAUUUUUUAAAUAAUGACACCAUAGGGUUUAUAAUUAAUAAAGGUGAUACAUCAUAUGAAAAUUCUUCAAUUAAGGUAGUUAGAUUAUGUUAGUUUUAUAUUUAUAGUGUCAUUUUUUGGGAAGUAACAUCAUAUAAAAUAAAUUUUUUUUUAAGUAUUAUAACUUAAUGAGCCCACUUUUAUAAUUAAUAAUGAGGGAUAAUGUAUAAAAAGCCCAUUGUUUCCACAUGCCACCCAUAAUCCAAAAAAUCUCAGUAUACAAAUCUUAUAUAUAAAACCAUAAUCUUCUUCUACCUUUUCUUUUACUUAUAGUCAACACACUUAUAACCGACAUUUUCCACUUUGUGGACUCCCAAGUUAUCCAAAUUCUCUUAGAUCUAUCAUAUUUUUUUCUUUUAUUAAUAUCAUUAUAUUGAUUGUUUCAGCAUCUUUGUAUUAUGGUUUUUGUGAACUGUGUUUUUUUGAGUUGUAGGGAAGAAAAACUUAGGUUUAAACUUCUAGCAUAGACGAAGAAACUUGUAGAUUAAUUGAUUUUUUAAUAUGAACCAAACACAUGACCAACUUUUGUUGUGUGUAUUUAUGUGAGAAUGAUAGGUACAAAAUUUUGUUGAGAUAUACUGUCCCAUAAUCUUCAUCCCUUCCCUAAAAUGAGAGAGGGGAAAAAAAAAGGGAUGAUUUUUUUUGUGUAUCUAAGUGGGAACGAGAGAUAUAGAAUUUCGUUGUGAUGUAGUGCUGCCACAUGAUCUUUAUCCUCCAUUAAACCUAACAUAUUAAAUCCACUAACUCUCUCCCCAAAAACGAGUAAAAAAAAAAAAGGAAAAAAGUAUGAGUUAAAAAACAAAAACGGAAAAUAUGAUUUUUUUUUAAUGUGUUUCUAAGGAGAAUGAGAGAUACAUAUUUUUGUUAAGUGCAUUGCCACGUGUUCUUCAUCCUCUCCAUUAAGCCUAAUAUAUUAAACCUAAUAGCUCUCUCUUUUAAGCUUUCCAAUGAAGUGCCUACAGUAUCCAACUCAAAAUAAGACAACUUAUGCCCCAUUAGCCAACAACCCAUAUUUUGUGUACAUCUUGAUGAGAUUAUUUUGUGAGAAAAUGUCAUGAAACAAUCCCAAUUUGAUAAUCUAGGCAUGUAUUUGAGUUAAAAAUAAAUUUCUAUUCUAUAGAUCAAAGAAUAAAAUCAUGUUUGAAAAUUAUUUUUAAAAACUUAUUUAGAGCAAAAAUAGUUUUCUAACAUAAAAAUAAUUUUUUAACUGAGAAAAUAUAUUUGAAAUUAUUUGAUAGAAAAUUGGGCAUGUAUUUGACUUAAAAACAAAUUUCUAUUCUAUAGCUCAAAUAAUAAAAUCAUGUUUGAAAAUUAUUCUUAAAAACUUAUUUAGAGCAAAAAUGGUUUUCUAACAUUAAAAUAAUUUUUUAAUUUAGAAAAUAUAUUUGGAAACAUUUGAUAGAAAACUGGGCAUGUACUUGACUUAAAAAUAAAUUAUUAUUCUAUAGAUCAAAGGAUAAAAUCAUGUUUGAAAAAUAUUCUUAAAAACUUAUUUAGAGUAAAAACAGUUUUCUAACAUAAAAAUAAAUUUUUAACUUAGAAAAUAUAUUUGAAAACAUUUGAUAGAAAACUUUUUUUUUUUUAAUGUCAAUAAGUUGUCUUUUUCUUAAUUUAAUUGUAAUCAAUUUGCUUAUACGCAUUUAAAAGUAUAUAUUAUCAUAUUUAGUAAUAUUUUGAUUGUUAGGCAAAUUAUCAUUUUUGAGAGGAAUUUUUGUAGCUCUCAUAAUUAUAAUUGUAUUUUAAUAACCAUUUCCAAUAAAAAAAAAAGAAAAAAAAAGUUAGACAAUUAUCAAAAUCUGAUUUUUAGGAUUUUAAAAAAAUCUACAAGCCAAAACUAUCUAUAAUUUUGAUCAUGUGAGAACACUUCUUUUUUAAUACUUUGAGUUAUUUUGUUUUUUUUCUUAGUAUCUGAAAGUAUAAAAGAAUUUCUCUCAUUAUAUUAUAUAUAUGUGCAUGUGUGUUCUCAUGGUUGUUUAUGUCAUGUCUUAUUAAAGAAUAAAGUGAAAUUUCCUUUGAGUGGAAGGUUUUAGUCCACGCUAGUACACGGUAUGAAUAGUUUGGGUGGGUUGUAUCUAUGGUAAAAAAUAAUAAAAGACACCUUUUGCAAGUCUCCAAGUUGGUUGAGAUACAUGGCAUCAUGUUGACUAAACCUUGACUUUUGCAAGUCUCCUAGUUUCCAACUUUUUUUUCUUCUUUUUUUUAAUAUUAAGGUGUGGGGCCAUGAACUCCUUUCUUUCCUUUUUAAAUAACAAAAAGGAAGAUAAUUUUAUUGUGAGAAGGCUAUUGCUAUCAAUUGUGUUCACGUCGAGAAUUUUUUAAUUUAUGGAGGCCAUAUAUAUAUAUUUAUGUCUAAUUUAGGAGGGUAAUUUGGGUUUGUUUAAUCUAUUCCAUUUAAUCAUACUAUACAAUCAUUUUUUUAUUUGGAUUAUUUUUGUAUUAAAUUUCUUCAACCCAAAUUUUGUUGAAAAGUUACAAUGUAUUAUUAAAAAUAUAACUUGAUAGUUGAUUAUGGAUAUGUGUCAUUUUUAGUAAAAAAAAAAAAUCUAUAACAUUUUAUAUUGAUAAUAUAUUAUUCUUGUAACAGGUUCGAAUAGUAAGCAAGUCAUUAUCAAAGAAGUUAUUGAAAGUGUAAGUGUACGUUUAUUUAUUGCAUGCUCUUAUAUUGUAUCAAUUGUAAGGAAGAUAAAAUUACCUUGUAAAGGUAAUUAAAUCUUUCUAUAUUUUAAAAACUUUUUUCCUAUAUACUAUGCUUUUGAAGCUUGUUUAAUUAAACAUAUUAGUUAUUUGACAAACUUUUCACAAAUGUUUUGUAUACUUAUGUGUUCUAUUUUGUUCCAUAGUUUUAUUGCAUAAUACUAAUGUAUAUUUUUUCACAAACUUUUUACAACUAUUUUGUGUACUAAUGCAUAUUAAGUUUUGUUCUUGCCUAUAUAAGCUACAUUUAGUUAUUUAAAUAUAUCCAAUAUUAUGUUGAAGAAAGAUGUACUUACUUAACUUUUUUUAUUCUUAAUAUUAGCAAGUUUUUCAGUUCUCUUGUCUCGAGAUUGGAUGUCAAAAGAUAGAAGGUCAGUUGAGUAUGAUGAAAGAGUUGAAAACUUUAUCAAUUUUGCAUUAGCACAUUCAAUCAACCAUUCCCCUAUAAAAUGCCCAUGCUUACGUUGUGCAAAUCUUUUAUGUCAAACUCUUCAAGUCAUUAGAGAGCAUUUGUUCUUUAAUGGAAUAGAUUUCAGUUAUCGAGUAUGGUAUAGGCAUGGAGAAAAUGGACCCAGUGGAGGAUUUUCAAAUGUCUCACAACAACAUUAUGACAAAUGCAAGUAUAAUGAUGUUGUUGACACAAUAAUGCUGCACUAGUUAAUUGUAUGAAUGAUCCCUAAGUGUUUGGAAGGUUACUUGAAGACGCAGAAAAACCUUUAUAUCUUGGAUGCAUGAAAUACACAAAAUUGUCAGCAUUGGUAAAACUUUACGACUUAAAAGCACGUUAUGGUUGGUCUGACAAAGGAUUCUCAAAAUUGCUUCAGUUGCUUGAAGAUAUGUUGCCAUUGAAUAAUGAGAUGUCAUUGCCCAUGUAUGAAGCUAAAAAGACUUUCAGUGCACUUGGUAUGGAAUAUCAAAAAAUUCAUGCAUGUUUUAAUGACUGUAUUUGGUAUAGAAACCAGUAUAAGGAUGCUAUUGCAUGCCUAACUUGUGGAAAGUCAAAGUGGAAGAUAAACAAUGAGGGGAAAAAGAUUAAGAAGGGGCUUCCUUCAAAGGUUUGGUGGUAUUUCCCACCAAUCCCUAGAUUCAAAAGGACGUUCCAAUCCUCAAAAACCGCUAAACAUCUUAUGUGGCAUGCCAAGGAUAAAGAAUAUGACGAUAAACUAUGCCACCCAUCAGACUCCUCAGCGUGGAAACUAGUUGACCAUAUGUGGCUUGAUUUUGCUUCUGAACCGAGAACCUUAGACUAGCACUCUCAAAAGAUGGUACAAAUCUUCAUAAGUCUAUAAGCAAUAGACAUAGUUGUUGGCCUGUUAUACUGAUCAUAUACAACCUUCCUCCUUGGUUGUGCAUGAAAAAGAAGUUUAUGAUGCUAUCAUUAUUGAUCUUAGGACCACGACAACCUGGUGAAAAUAUAGAUGUUUUCUUGAGUCCAUUGGUAGAUGACCUUAAAACUUUGUGGGAAAAAAAAGUUGAGACUUAUGAUGCACACUUACUUGAGGUUUUUACUGUAAAGGUCAUCAUUUUAUGGACAAUCAAUUAUUUCCCUACAUAUGGAAACUUGGCCAAUUGCACCGUGAAAGGAUAUUAUGCAUGUCCAAUAUGUGGAGAAGGAAUAUAUUCCCAAAGAUUAAAGUAUGGUAGGAAGAACUUGUAUAUGGGUCAUCGACGAUUUCUUCCACGUAACCAUCCCUAUUGGAGACAAAAGAAGGCAUUCAAUGGUGAACAAGAUUUUAGAAUUCCUCCUAAAAUUUUGAGUGGAGAAGAAAUACUUGAAAAAGUUGAUAUCAUUCCUAUUUCUUGGGGAAAAAGGAAGAUAAAAUCUCUUGAACUGAUGUGAACACAAAUUGUUGGAAAAAAAAGUCCAUAUUUUUUGAGUUAGAAUAUUGGAAAUAUCUUCAUAUCCUUCACAACUUGGAUGUUAUGCACAUCGAAAAGAAUGUAUGUGAGAGUAUUAUUGGUACUUUGUUUAACAUCCUAGGAAAAAAAAAGAUGGACUUAAUGCUCAACUUGACCUAGUUGAAAUGGGUUUAAGGUCUGAACUUUUCCCAAGAGUUGACUUGAAGCGGACCUAUCUCCCCCCUGCAUGUUAUUCACUAUCCAAACAUAUAUGACAAAAAAUUAGUUUGUCAAACAUUGUCUAAUUUGAAGGUCCUUGAGGGGUAUUGCUCAAAUUUUAGAAAUCUUGUUUCCUUAGAGGAAUUGAAGUUAUUUGGUUUAAGAUCCCAUGACUACCAUGCACUUAUGCAACAACUAUUGCUAGUGGCAUUACGUUUUGUUUUGCUAAAGCAUGUGAGAUAUACUAUAUCAAGAUUGUGUAUCUUCUUCAAUCAAUUAUGCACAAAAAUGGUUGAUGUGCCAAAAUUGGAUGAAGUACACAAUGAGUUAGUGGUCACGCUGUGCUUACUUGAAAAGUAUUUUUCACCUUCAUUUUUUGAUAUUAUGCUUCAUCUAGCAGUGCAUUUGAUAAGGGAGGUGUGACUAUGUGGUUCAGUUUACUUUAUGUGGAUCUACCCAUUUGGGAUAUGAAAGUUCUUAAAGAAUUGUUCGCAAUCAUAAUUGGCCUGAAGGAUGCAUUACUAAGUGCUAUUUAGCAGAAAAAGCUAUCGAAUUUUGUAUUGAAUAUUUAUUAAGGACUCAUGCAAUUGGAAUUCCAAAAGUAACAAUUAUGACAACAAAUUUGGUAGACCUAUAAUUGGUGGUCGUUCUACCAUCAUUGAUCAUAAAUCAUGGUUACAAGCAUAUCAUUAUCUAUUAGAGAAUACAACUAUCGUCCAACCAUACACUGAGUAAGAAAAACAUACCUUUAUCUUUUUAUAAUUUCAUAACAUAAUGAUGAAAUCCUAAGUUUGCAUUCCUUGUCUUUAACGUCAUAGGGAACACAUGAAUUAGUUGAGGUCUCAAUACCCUCGACAAUCUAAUAGACAAAUUUGGUUGCAAGAAGAACAUAUGAGUUGUUUUACAUAUUGGCUUAAAGAAAAGGUAAUCUCUUAGUUUUUAGAAAAUUUUUCAAUAUGUUGAAAACAUCACAAGUUUCCAAUAUGUUUUGAUUAUACAUAGGUUGAAGAGGCUAUCCAUAAUGGGCAAGAUAUUCCCGACACACUUAGGUGGUUAGCACAUGGCCCUACUCUCCAGGUAGUCAAAUAUCCUGGAUAUAUCGUUAAUGAGUGUCAUUACCAUAUUAAGAAACGCGAUAUGACAUGCAUAACCCAAAAUAGUGGUGUUAGCAUUUUAGCAAGGACUAUGCAAAUUGCCAGUUCUAAGGAUAAGAACCUAGUUUGUGGUGAACUUUGCUUUUAUGGGGUCAUUAAUGAGAUAUGGAAUCUUGAUUACAACAUGUUCACAAUUCUAAUUUUCAAGUGUGAUUAGGUUGACAACAAGAAUGGUAUAAAAGUUGAUAAACUCAGGUUCACAUUAGUUGACUUCUCCAAAAUAGGUCACAAAUUGGAUCCAUUUAUUUUAGCAUCACAAGCCAAGCAAAUCUUCUAUGUUGAAGAUCAACUUGAUCCUAAAUGGUCAAUAGUUCUCUCAAUUCCUCUAAAAGAUUUCAAGAACAUAGAAGGACUAGAUGACUUCACCGAUAAUUGCAUGGAACAUCACCCCUUUAUAAGUUCAAUGCCAGAAUUUGAAUCAUUUGAUGCUAUGGAUGAAUCAUAGGCAAUACACAUGAGAGAAAACUGUGAGGGCAUAUGGAUUGAAAAUAAUUAGAUAACAUAUUGUACCCUUGAAUGAGAUAUAAUAAGGCAUUUCACUUAUUAGUUUUCAUGAGUUGCACAUUAACUUAGCUUCUAUAUAUUGCUCAUGAUAUAUCUAUAUAUUUUAAUCAUCCUAAAUUUCUUUCAUGCAUCAUAAACAUAUGUUAUUCAAAGGUACCACUUCAAUCUUCAUUCAACUAUCGUUUUGUUGUCCAUAGAACUAGAUUUAUAUUAUUUUUUAUUAUCAUGUUUUGAUUUUAUGCUCACAUAACUUGAAAUUCUCAUUCCUAAAUUUCUUUUUCAUUAAAACUAUAAAUCAUAAUUGAAACUAUGCACUAAUUUAUUUUAUUAUUAUCCUCACAAAUAAAUUCUUCAUUAUUGAUAAGAAAUCAAAAAACAAGACAAAUUUUGAAAGAAAAUUUCAAAAAAUAUAUUUGUGAAUGACCAAUUUAAUUAUAGAAAAUAUAUGCAAGGCUAUACUAAUCUUGCUUUUGAGUCAUUUUAUAGGUUUGUUGGUGAAGUACUAGUUUGCACAUUUACUUGAUAUCUUCCGCACAAAUAUGGAUCUAGAAGAAGGGGAAAUGCUAAAAAUAAAGCAUAAAGGUAGUGCAUUGAAACCAAAGAUUGCAAAAAAUCGAAGUAAAGGGAUAAAGCUCAAGAUUGAAUACAAUAGCCUUAGUAGUCACAUUGAGGAAAAUUCAGUUGAACUAAGUAGUUAUCUUAGUACAAUAACUAGAACCCAUGUGCCAAUAAUUAUUGAGAGUUGGGGGAAAGUGCCUAAAGAGACUAAGGAGAAGUUGUGGGAUUUGAUCACGGUAAGCCUAUCUAUAACUUUAAUAUAUAAUUAUUGUAUACAUUCAUUAACAUGAGCUAACAUGGGUUGCUAUUUUGUAGACAAGCUUUAAUGUGAAUAAAAAAUCCAAGAGGAAUUGUUUCAUACUAAUGGGCAUCAGGUUUCGAACCUUUAAGUACAAGUUGACAAAGAAAUAUAUAUUGUCUUUCAAGAAUGACUAAAAAAGCUGAAAAAGUCACCUCCUAUUUACCCAUUCAUACAAGAGGAUCAUUGAAGACAGUUUGUUAAAGAUAGACUUUUAGAACAUUUUAAUGUUAAGCAUUAUUUUUAUUACAUCUUCAAUUUUCACAUUUACGUAGUUUCAUUAUGUACUAAUUUUGUGUCUAUAUUUUGUAGGAAUAUCGCAAAGUUCAGAAAUCAAGAAGAGAUAAACACAUUUACAAUCAUUAUCUUGGAAGAAAAUGAUAUGCACGUUUUGAGCAUGAUAUAGUAAGUUAUCAAUAUCCAUAAAAAAAAAAAUGGAGUAUAUAUUUUGUUUAUAGGAAAAUGAUUCUAGUUUUUAAAUAUCAUUUAUUAACUUGAUCAUAUUGAACUAAUGAGUUUUAUUGUUAAAAAUUUUAUAGCUACAAGCAGAAGGGGCUAUUGGUAGGGUUGAUAGAAGUGUUUAUGAAAGAAAACACGUGAGAAGAAAGGAAAGUUUAAUAAGAUUACAAAGCCAAUGAUUAACUAAGUUAGCAUAUUUAUGCCUUUUAGAGCCUAUAGUGUUAGUAUGUCUAUGUGAUUAGGGUUUGUGAUGAUAUCGUUAGGUGUUAAUAGGGAAGAGGCUUAAUGCUAUCAUUUUUAUGAGUAGUCAUGUUAUAUUAGUGCAAAUAUAGUAGCCUAAUUUGAAAAUUAAUUUUGAAACAAUAUACAUUAAUUUAUCUAUUAUCAUUUUUAUUAAAACAAUUCAUUUUAUAGCUACCUUGAAUUGGUUGUCUUUGAUUGAUAUGUUAAUCAUCUUCAUCAAAUUAUUACUAAUAUAUGUUUUGUUAUAGGAUGAAUUACUAGAAAAGGCAAGGAGACUGGACUACCUCCACCUGGUCCAAACGACAUAUUAUGUCAGGCAUUGGGUAAGCUUGAUCAUCUAGGACGUGUGGUAGGUCAAGACCGCUUGGUUAGGCCGAACUCAUACUUUCGUCAACCAUUUGAUGACAUGAAAAAAAAAAUCAAAGAAGAAAUAUGGGAAGUGGUGUGAAAGGGGAUGCAAGAUGCUGUAACAAGACAAACUAUGUCUCCUCCCACACCCCAUUCUGAUAUAGGUAGUAAUAACAUGAGACAACAACUUGUUUUACAACUAGUUGUAGCAAAAAAAACCAAUGUUUAAAAUGAUGGAAGAGCCCCAACCACCAGAACCACCACUGAAACGUAAGGUAUACAUUUAUUUACUAAUAAUACAAGAUUAAUAUAAGUGAUAUAUAGCCUAUGUAAAUGAUAUUAUUUGUUGUAUUAAAGGUGAUUAAAUAUAAAUUAGCAGUGGAAUGAAAAUGAAAUGUUGUUGCAACCGGUACAUUAAUAGAAGAAAAUUGAUCAAAUGGGUUGGUCAUAAUAAAUGUUGCACACAAGCUAGAUGCUAGACUCCCAUUUCCAAAUCCAUAUGAGAUUAUCAAUGUUGGGGAUGCUAUUGACUUUAAGCUUGACUGGCCAACAAACCUUGUCAUACUUGAAACUAAACAUCCUCGGGUAUGUCAUUUUAUACUUGUAGUAAAUUUGAUUGUAACUUGGUAUUUUAUUGUUUGGGAGUAUAUAUUACUAACAUUCCUUCAUUUUUCAUAGGUGUUGGAUAAAGGAAAGAAGUAGAUAGUGAAUGCACCAAUUAUUCGAAAAUCUAAGCCUCAAAAUUAUUCGGUCAUUAAAAAUUUUUAGAAAUUUAUGGGUGGUUGUCUUAGUAAUGAGAAGACAUACCCAAUACAGCUCCCCAUUUCACUAUUUGGUGUCGAAUUCCAAACAUAUAUAUCUAGAGAGGAUUGUGAAUACAUUAUUUCAUCUUUAGAGGUGUCAUCAAAAUGCAUCUCCUUCCAUUUAUGGUGUGCACCUUUUAUUUUCAUUUGUUUUUAUUUUUUUAAUAUGAGUUGCCCAUGUUGAACAAGAUUGGAUAGGACUAAUGAUAAUUUUCUUUUGGUGUUUUGAUAAUAUAAUAGGUACAUGCAUGAUCAACUACAUAUUGCCAAAAAGGAAUCACAAUUUAUAUUUGUUAAUCCUUUUACAAUAUCAUGAGCACGCUUUAGUAAUCCUCAAACAGAGAAAAGAACACAAUUGUUGUCAAAACACUUAAUAGAGUGCCAAGAUGUCGGAUAUGUUUUCAUGCCCUACAACCCCGAGUAACUGACGAAUAUUAUGCUUUAAUUUGAGGUUUUAUGAUUGAUUUAUAUUUCUAAUUAGAUGCUACUUUUGUUUUUAAUGUUUUAGCUUUCAUUGGGUCUUGGUAGUGAUUGAGCCAAGGAAAACGAUAGUCCACUAUCUUGACCCUGUGCAUCACAAACCAUUUGAGGACUUAAAGGAUAUCGUAAACAUGUAAGUUCUUCCUAUUAUUUUUCAUAGUAUUAUUUAAAAAAAAAAUUACAUUCACCUCAAACACAUUUUUUAUUGUUAUUUCUAUAUAUUAAAACAUAUAACAUUUACCUAUUUUAAAAUUGUACCCAUUGAACUUAUUUACAUAGGGCUCUUUAAAUAUUUGCAAAGAAAACAUCUAAAAGAGAGCCAUCUUGGAAACUAGUGCAAGUGACAUCCAAAAUUUUUCUUUACACAUUUAGCUUAUGCAUUUGCACCAUUUAUAUGUAUGAGUACUAAUGUUAUUUAUAACUGAUCACUUAGUGUCCAAGACAAGAAGGAGGGUUCGAAUGUGGCUACUUUGUUAUGAAAUUCAUUAAAGAGAUAAUUUUUUAUCCUACAAUGAUUGCUUCAAAGGUAUUACUUAUUUAAUGAAUUGUACAUAUUUUUAGGCUUCCAAAUGUUAUGCAUUUUAAUGUUAUUUUGUUAUUUGAUUUCAGUUUGGUGAUAAAAAAAACAUAUUCUCAAGUAGAAUUCAAUGAAAUUAGAGGGGAAUUGACUACUUUUGUGCUACAACUAAUCAUGAAUCAUGUUGAUGCAUCAUGAUCACCAUGCAUGGUGAGUCCCUUAGCUACUACAUGAAUUUUUCCAUAGAUAUUGUAUAGUAUUGCUUUUCUUUGAACAAUGUUUUUAUUUGAAAAAAGAAAAAAAAAGUUCUUAGAUUUGUUCAUUUAUGAUAACAUCGAUCCAUAUUUAUUUUCUUCAAUGAAAUCUAUAAAACUCAUUAAACUAUGAAAUGCAGGUAUACACUCUUAGGAGGGUGGAAUAGAGAAUAAAAAGAACAAAGAAGGCAACCAGAUUUUGGGUUUUUAAAUGCAGCUCGUAUGUCAUACGUCGUAGGACAUAAACGUUACUUUAAUUGGUAGUGAGAAUUUUAGAUUUUUAGAUGCUACUUUUAUGUCAUUUUAUAGUUAGUCGGUUUUAUGCUUAUGAAAUGAAGGUAUACAUGAAUCUUGGGAUGCUUAACAUUUCUAAAUCAUGUUUUGGUAUGUAUUCACUUUUCUUUUUCAGUUUUGGUGGGUUUGAUAUGUUUGAUGUACUAUCUUUUUGUGAACAUUUGAUAUACAAAUAUUAUUAGAUGAUCAAUGUAUUACGAGUUAUUCCAUAAACAUUACCGAAAAAUGAGUUAAAUGUAAUAUGAUUGUUAUAUUUAUGGACAAAAUAUACACAAGUUAAUCCUAUUUGUUAAUUCAUAAGCAUUACAAAAAUCUACAACUAAAAGAAAUCAUAUCUUCCAUGAUAAUUUACAAUGAUGUGACACCAUAACUCAAAGGUGAUGCAUUUAAUGUGACAUCAUAACUCAAAGAUCACGCAUAUAAUGCGACAUCCUAUCAUCACUAGAAAUAUAUGAUGUCACUUCCGAAUGCGUCACCAUUUAUCUACUUUGGUGUCACUUACAAAUACGUCACCAAUUGGUACCCUCUAUGGUGUCAGUAGAGAAGGUGACACUAUGUUGUAGUGACACCCUAUGUUUAUGGUGACUCGCUAUAAAUGUCACCAUAUAUCUUUUUUCUUGUAGUGCAAAUUACUUAUCUUACUAUGCAUUGGGCUUUGAUAUUAGCCAGAGAUAGUAGUGGCUCCUAAUUUUUAUCCUUAACUGAAAUGAAAACGCCAAGCAGGUCCCCACCCUCUUUUUCACCAUUCUUCCACUAUUCUACUAUUUGGUCCAUGAUUGGAUCAUGGUACUUGUUAAUGGUGUUCAUAGCCUCCCUUAUAGUCUUUUCAUGGCCAUCUAAAUUCAGCACUCUCUGCCAUGGGAAGUAAUCAGAUAAAGAGAAUACAUAUAGAUGAGCAAGUAUAGUAAAGAAGGAUUCAACAUGUUGCUCCACUUCAACUCCAAGGCCUCCAUCUUUCUUUCGUUGGCCAAAGUAUCUUGUGUUGAGGAUCAUCUUUCGGAUGACAUUCCCGUUGUAUUGACGGACUUUAUUUCUGUCACACCCCAAAUACUAGGCAACCCAGAACUUGACUCGUGGCCCCAGGUCAAAGGUUUGACCCUAAGAGUUACUCUUAUCCAUGUUGGCAAUCAAUCAAAACACCCUGGAUUUUUUUUCUUUUCAAUAAAGAGUUUAAUCCUAAAUAAAUUUAUUAAGCUAAGAUUUACUAUAACAUAUCAUUUUAUUUUUCCAAAACUAACCAUCACAUUAUCUCCUGUUCACAAGUAUUAAAAAAAAUAAAAUUCCACCAAUCGUCUUCCUACCCAAAAGCUAAAAUAUUUACAAUAAUCUCUAAGUCAAAAAGAAUAUUUCCAAAAAUGUUUUCCAAACUAAUAAAAUAUAAUUUAACUUAAAAAAUUCCAUAUAACUCAAAUUAGUAGAUGUCAAAAAGGUAAUUAAAAAAAAAACAACAACCAUUAUUAUGGUUUUUUUGCUUUUUAGAACACUUCAUGAUCUUCUUAUGGUCCCUUAGAAACUAUAUCUGCAUCUAAAAAUUUUAGAAAAUAAAGGGAUGCACAUUUCCACGUUACUCUUUAGACCUAAAUAGGUUAGAAAUUCUAGGUCAAUAAAACACAACCAUAUGCCAAAAUAUAAUAUUACAUUUACAUUAUACACACUAAAAGAAACUUCAACCAUACAAAUUUAAAUCAAUCAAAAUUAUCAUUUUCCUUAUUUAAUCAUAUGUUUAGCAUAUCAAUAAUUUUAAAUUACAAAAUAAAUAAGUCACUUUAGUCUUGAAUAAUAUAUUCAAACAUACACUUGAUAAAUAAUACAAAUCAUUUUUCCAAAUGCAACCAUGAUACAAAUGCUUACACACAAUCACGCAAUGCAAUAUCGUUCUCGGGCUUUCACCGAAGGAUAUGCAUUUAUACCCAAAUACACUCCCCAUUCGGAGUCUUCCUGGGGUAAAAUUUUGAGUCUUUCACCUUAAGGAUCUCACUCCCUUCUUAACUCACCAUCUCUAGGGUCAUUCAAUUUCUUAUUUUUCUUUUCUUUUCAUUUUUGGUGUCUUUUCAUUCUCAUUUCCGUUUCACACAACCAUUUCUUUAAUUUUUCUUUUUCUUCACACAAUCAGGAUGCAUAUGAAAUGCAACUGAAUCAUAUUUUAACAUCCAUAAUUUUCCAAGACAUAAUUUUAUUUACUCCCAUUAUGUUUCAUAAUUUCCAAUAAUCCACACAACGAUUUUUCUUCACUUUAAUCGUCACAAACAUAAAAGAAAAUUCACAAUUAAUUUGUAUAGCAUCAAAACAUAGUUUUAAACAUUGACCACAUAAAUUCUAUUUAUUCCUGACAUGCUUAAUAAUUUCCAAAUCCAAUAUAACCAUUUUUUUUUCAAUUAAAUAAUCACACAUAUCCAAGAAAAUUCUCGCUAAUACAAAUAUCAAUGAAAAUGUAAUUUAUGUCAUAAUUUAUUUGUCUCCAAUAAUUUCAAAAAUUUUGACACCCAUAUGACAAAUUUCUACAAUUAAGCCACCCCAACAUUUGGGAAAAAUUUUCCAAUAAUUCAAAUAUCAACAAAAACCCAAUUUAUAUCAUCAUUUUAUUUAUUUUUAAAAGCAUUAAUAAUUUUAAUAAUCAAUACAACACUUUUCCACAAUUAAGCCACCACAACAUUCUAGGAAAAUUUUCCAAUAAUUCAAAUAUUAACAAAACAUAAUUAUACCUUAAAUUUUCUUAUCUCCAACAACAUCAAUAAUUCUUAGUACUCAAUACAACUAUUUUUAUUUUUUCAUAUUUAAUCUUCUCAAACAUUACCAAAAUUCCAAGAAAAAUCUAUAAAUCACGAAAUAAAAUUAUUCACAAUAAUAAUCACACUUCAAAUACUAAAAAUAACAUCUAUUAUAUUUCAACAACACAAUAUAUAAAUUUUUUUCAAAGAAAAUAUUAAAUCAAAGUUUUAGGGUUAAAUCACCCUACCUUAAAUUUGAAAAAUUUAACCAUUAAAACUAAAACAGGACACCGUAGGAGUGUUCCUCACAUUGAAUAGAAUAUCUGUAGACCCUCAAUUUUGUCCCUUUAGCACAUGUCUUUAAGUUCGUUUUCAGUGUUCCACAGUAGUUCCUUGGUGGCCCAUUGCUACUCAUACUACUUACCCUUUUUUGAGUCACCUCGGAGACUUUGGUUGAGGGAUUAUCUUACCCCUUAUUGUGACCCUUGGCAGCCCUAACUUAGACUUAGGCUUUUCUUGCUUUUUUUUUUUCGGGAUAGCUUUUAGAUACACUUGACCCAUUAGGCACCACCCUAGGCCCACUUAGAUUCACCUAGGCUCAUUCAGGCACAUCUAGGCCCAUUUAGGUUCACUAGAUCCACUUAGGUAUCUUAGCCCUCCCAUGUCAUCGUUGCGGUAAUUCCUACAUGACUUACAUAAUUUGCAUUUUUUUAACACUUGUAUGUACUUGAUUUCCUAUUCAUUUAUUUAUCUACUUAUUUUAUUAACAUUUAGUUAGUUAUUUGUUUUAUUUAUUUAUUUUAUAGAAUAUUGCAUGAGAUUGAUGUCAUUAAUUGCGUAAACUGAUGUAUUAAUUUGUCUGUGUGUAGCUAUGAUAGAUAUAUUGUUUUUGAUUGCAUAUAUUUUUUUAUUAGUUUUAAUUCUCAAUUUCAUGACCUCUACUGCUUUUAAUUCUUAUUUUAUUUUGGCAUGAGAUUUGAAUGCACACAUUGGAGAAGAUCUUUGACGUACACGGCUGCGUAUAGAAAGUGGGCACAUCACGGCUGAGGCACAUCCAGGAGUAUAUGGAAAGAAGAUUAAAGAGAAUCUAAUUACUUACCAAAUGAGAGAGGGGCUGCAUCCUUGGAAAAUCUCCAAGUAAGCUGCACAUAUGUAGACUUCCCAUAUCCACGCGUAUAACAAAAAAAGGAAGUAAAAUAUUCUACAAGAGUGGGCUGCCAUAUAAAAAAAAGUGGGGAGAAAAAAAGGAUAGGAGGAUUUCGGAAGGAAGGAGGAAGAAGGAGUGACCGGGCAAAAGAGGAUUUUUAUCUGGGGAAUUGUCUUUAGAGGUGAGAGGAAAGCCGGAAGCCCAGCGAUUGCAGGCAAGGCUGCCCAAAAUUUAAAAUCCAUUGGGUUUGGAGGAGAGGCACAGAGGAGAGGGGACUUUCAGCACGCAUUGAGAACGGAGUGGAAUCAGAAAAGAGAAGCAAUCUUUGCUUCUUCAGAAAAGUUCUAAGGUAAGUCUACUGAUAUUUUGUUUUGGUUCGUACUCCCAAUUUAUGUUCCUCAUUCUUUUUUUGUGACCUGAGACGCUAUUUGCUGGUUGGGUUGGAGAUGACAUAAAUUCCAUGUGAAUCUUGCUGAUUUCUCAUAUAUUGUUACAGAUAUUGUUUCAUUCUUUACUAUUUAUUUAUUUAUUUAUUUUUAUCAUUUGAACUCAAUGAGACUCUGUUUUAUGGUGUACUAUUUCAAGAUUUUGGUUGCCCAGAUUCUCUUUACUCCUCCCACCAACCUAAUCUCGUGGAUCGAAAUAUGAAACACGACUUUCUCUAGAUCAUUCUGUUUUCAUCCUUUAUGCUCUCUUUUCUUGGUUGCCUUCUUUUGUUCUUGUGUGUAUUUUCAAGGGAGACGUGCAUCACCAAUUAAUUACGUUAGAGAGGAGCUUUCGAAUACUGCUGAAAUUUGAGACUUAGAACCCAAAUUCGGAAGCAACAAGUUGGAUUGAUGACUCUAAUGAGAAUUUUGUUUCAUGGGAAAAAUGACUUGAUAGUGAUUGAAUAUGGAUUGAUAGGGAAUGGAUACUUCAACACGUUCUACGGUGGAUUACAAGUUUGGUUCCCCUUUAGGGAAUGCAUGUCCAAGACAGGGGAGAGCAAAAUUUUGUGUUUAUGACAUCCCAGGAGCAGUCGGGAUGGCUAAGACCUUGUUGAUGGAUCUCAGUUGCUGUUCUAAAUAAUCCGAAUUCAAGCCUGUGGAAUUUAAGCAGUGUUAUUGAGAGUUUGAGACUAUGGAACAACUACAGCUGAUCCAGCUUAUUUUGCAUCAUUUUGCUCUAACGUCAACUUGAAUCCAAGGCUUCCUCCACCUCUUAUUUAACGGGAGAAUCAAUGCCUGUUCCCUAUCCACUGACAAAGAGGAGUCUGACGACGAUAGGCCAUCCCGAAAAAUCUCAGAUGAUUGACCAGAAAGCAGCAGUGCAGUUAUGCCCAGACAGAGGACAGUUUCUUCAGCAGAUCGUCAUAAAAGUUUAGUUGAUCUGAUACAAAAGGACUUCCCCCGCACCUCAUCACUUGCAUAUAAUCAGUUUCCUUCCUCAAGCUAUGCAGCAAUGGAGGAACUAUUUAAUCGCAUUACCUCUACCUAAAGAUCCCUCAAGGAAUGAGCCAUCCUUAUAAUGACAUGGAAAAGCUUCCCCAUGCACUCCCCAAGUUCUCUUCAGUUAAGGUACAAUCUAUGAUGCAGUCUCCUAGGUUCACCCCUCCUUUGUAUGCAACAGCAGCAACGUAUAUUGCUUCAAGAAGUCCAUUUUAUCCUAAUUUGCAGUCAGUGAUGGAUCCUCAUUCGCAACUGUUAAUCUAAUAUCAGAGGGGAAGCCUAUUAUCCUUAGUCAUGCAGGAAUUGAAGAUUGCAUUGGCCUUCCCCCAAAGCUGCAAUUCCCCCUUUUAUCACAGAACUUGAAUUUGGAUGGAAUUCCAAAAUUUGACUUUUUCUCUGUUUAUGCCUUUUAAAGGUCAUUCAGCACAUUGUUAUAUUUAAGCCCCUUUGAGUUGGAAGAUUUUGUGGAAGCAUUAAGAUGCAAUUUUUUUCUAACCCUUUGUUUGAUUAUGUCCAUAUUUCUUUAUUACAAACUUUGAGAAAGCAUUUGGAAUUUCUAUCAGAUGAAGGUUCCUAAUCUGAUUUUAAUUGUUCAAGGUGUCUUAAUUGAGGUUUGUUGGAUUCAGUUCGUGGUUAGUUUUCAUGGCUGAUUCCCUACUGAUUCAUGGUUCAGGUUCGAAACCUGGUUUUGAUUUUAGUUGAUUGAAGCUAUUUGACAAUAACCACUGCAAACGACCUGUGGCCGUAAAGUUUGAGAUAUUUCGAUGUCUGUGUGAUGAUGUGAUUGCAGUGGAAGCGCUAAGAUCAGAGCUCAAUAGAAGAUCAUUGGCAGCUGAGCCUGAUAAGGAAUUCAAUCAGAAUGUUUACAUUGAGAUUUGCAAGAAAAGGAAGGCCUGAUGUUAAAACGGAAUGGAUAUCGGAAGACCUGUCACUAAGACAUUUGGCUUUAUCAUUUGUUGGUGAAUCUAUCAUAUAUCCAGAAAUAAACUUACUCAUAGAUGAACUAUGUUAUAAGGCAGACUCGUACCCUUUCUAUGACAAGUGCACAAUUUCCUAAGAAGAUUAGAGAACUACAAUCUGUUACUCAGUCUUACGUCAGUAUAGAUGCUACAACAAAGGACAAAGCUGCCGCCUUGGCUGCUGCUCGCGGUCUUGGACGCAAUGCAAAGAUUGAGUCUGUAAGGCUGCCAAUGUUGACAGUUCUUAAGCUUCAUAGUUGUGAGGGCAUAACUUCAGCUUCCAUGGCUGCAAUAUCGCAUGGUUAUAUGUUGAAGGUAACAACAAGUAGCGUUGAGAUUGGAUCAGGGGAAACUGCAUGGGAGGCGGAUGUUUCUGUCAGCUGUUGCACAGAAAUUGAUAAGACAACUGAAAAUUCAGUGGCGCCUGGGAUCCAUAAAUGUCGAAACUAUCCUAUCCAACCAAACCAAGUAUUCUGAUCUUCUAGCACGCUCCUGCCAUGAAGCUCACUGUCAAGACCUUGAAGGGAAGCACAGCAACAGCGAAAGCAACAUCUUCUACAACCGAGAAUACACAUGGUUUCAUGGCUCCUCCCAAGCCUCACAAAAUUCUAAUGGUGGCUAAGAAGCCCAACAGUGCUCUUUCUAUUGCCUCGGCUCUCUCUAGUGGUCAUAUGUCUACUAGGUGUAGUAGUACAGAAGUCCAUGAAUUUAAUGGAACCUUUCGUGGAUCUAAUGCACAAUAUAAGGUAACAACAGACAAGAAAGCUCCAAAGUUGUUGAAUUAAACAAAGAGCAGUCCAUGUUUAUCAGACUUUGAUGGUCAGAAUUGCUCCUCUGCUUCAAACUGCAUAAUCAUAGAAAACUCAGAUAUAGGCUCGGGGAGUUGUGGACCUGCAAUUGAAAAGAGUACAGGGGACCUAGUUAUGGGAAGAAAAUAUUCAUGUACAUCUAUGACAAUGUCUCUCAGAGAUACAGAUAUGUCUUCACACAAUGUCAAUCGUAUAGAGUCCAGCAUUUAUCUAAAUCCUGAUGUUGUAUAUGAAACUAGUGAGGAUUAUGCAGCUAUGCAGCCCAAUAUCAGUGUAGAUGGCUCCCUUCUUUUCGAUUUUUCAAGUCAAUAUGUGCCUGACUGUUUUGAUCUUCAAUUUAUGCCGAGCAGUGAAGAAAUACUGACCAACAUGAAGGAUGAAAAUGAGAAGCUUUCGAACAGAGAAUACAUGCUUAAGCAGUAAGAUGAAUUUAUCUCAAGAUGCAAUAACAAUGAUGCUGUCAAGGCAAUGGAAAUUCAUCGAAAAACAGAGAAUGCCUCAGUUUUCGAGUCUGAGAAGCUUGGUGUUGCUAUUUCUUGGGAGACAUUUCAGUGAUAAAGUAGAGCAUGCACCGAUUAAGAAAAGGAGCUUUAUAUUUCAGUCUUCAUUACCACCCCCAUGAACUCCUUCUCCUCCCUAUGAGGAUUCAGAACAGCUUGUAGAUAGUCAACAUUCUUCCGAGACGACAAAUGAAGAGAUUGGCGAUGGUAAAGACUUCUCUGGUAUUGAGAUGUUCGCAGCAGCUGCUUGCAAUAACAGCAUAGGUGAUGAUGUGACGGAAUCAACUACAGAGGAUGGUCCAGUUAUGACAUAUAAAGGAAACAACUCAUCUAUUUCUGCAAUGCCUAUAAAAGAAACUAUGCUGUUGUCUGUGUUGCUAUUACGGUUGAUAACCAGGAUGGUACUAAAGGGGAUAUUUGUAUUGAUAAAAGCAAAACUGCUGGUCUGAUUAAUAAUGAGGAGAAACAAGAAACAGAAACCAAACCAGAAGUUGAUCCUAAAGCCACGAGGAAUGAGCCUAUUACAAAGAUAGUUGCUGAUGGAGUACAAUCUGUGUAUAAUGGGAAAGAAGCUAUUGGCAAUGAAGAUCAGGUAGUGGAAAAUGGUGUUGAAUCUACCAUAAGGAAUCCAACACUUGAGUCGGAAUAGUCAGAAAACAAUCUUACACAUGUUAAUGCGCAGGGCGCUGAAUCGGGAAAUGUGGUCUCCUUUAUCAGUUCCUCUGCUUCCAUAAUCAGGAAAAAUAGUACUAAAAAUUCAGAAAAGAACCCUCCAUUUGAAGGACAUGCAAGGCCGAAGUGUUGAAUUAAUUCUAUGGAGAAAUUUCUAUAAUGCGGAAGGACAAAGGCUGCAAAAUAUGUGGGUAUUUCCUGUUCUGGUUGUGAAAUCUGCUAGAAUCAAUGCUUUCAAUGGGAAAGCAGUGGGGACUAUUUCUACCAGCUAGCUAUUCGAAGAUCCAAAAUAUGUUAGGCUUCUUGCAGCUCUCACUCUUGGUCACCUCCCUCAAUAUGAAGGAUUCGCUAGAGCUAGUGGUUUUGUAUCAGCAUGUCGUGCACUGAUAAGCCUGCUUGAAGACCAACCAACAAAAGAAACGAAAUCCAUUACCUAUCAGAAAGACCUGUCUCAAAUCCGUCCAACAGAAGCUGAAUCGGUUGAAACUCGAAUCAUCAUACUUUUCUCCUCUGUUGUGGCUCUCAAGAGGUCUUUAUUUGACACUGGAAGCAAUCCCACUUCUGAAUUUGUAGUUAAGCCCUUUGCUGAGAGAGAAGUGAUUUCUUUUUGUUUGAUUGCACACCUUGAAAGUCAGUGUUUCAGCUGGAGCUAUUAACUCCUGAGCUGCCGAGUGUGAAGGAUGAAACCCACAGAUUUACAAAAAAACUGGGGGCACUUAUUUAACAGCUUGUGAGAGGAGUAAGCGAUCAUAAGAAUCUGAACUCCUCUUGGAGAUGUUUCUCAGGACCAGAAGCUACCCCACUUCCAGCUAUAUUUAUUGGUGAAAAUCUUGAGUCACCCAAUUGCCUACGGAUAGGCAUCCUUGCUUACAGGUAAUCCUGAACAUGGUGUGCAGCUGAAUUAAUAAUCCGUCAUCUGACAAGUCUUGGAGAUGUUCCCUGCUGCUGUUGUGUUCAGAAAGGUCAGAGUGCACAAAGAAGCUUGCUGAAAGUAUCUCAAACAUGCUACAACAAAACAAUCUGUAUACGAAUUUUGAUCAGCCUCGAAAAAUGCCAGAAGAGGGCAGAAUGCGUUUUUGGGAUUCAAUGCCAGUGUCACAGCCUCAAUCACACCUCCAGACUCCACCCACAUAAUUGCCACCUUGCCACAUAUCAUACUCCUAAUGUUUUUUUUCCUUUAUUUUGUGAUUAUAUACAUCUUAAAUAUGAAUUUCAAAAUAUUUUUCCAUCAAAAUAACUUUGGUUUUCUUCAAAAUUCCUUAGGAGCUUCUAGAUAUAAAAUCCAAAUUUUAACAUGCUAUUUGUUGCCACUUUCCUUCGGGCAUGCACUAUCUUCUUUGAUUUUUAACUAUUUUCGUGAUUUCCUUGAUUUUCAACAAAGCAUGAAUAAACUUCAUGAUUCCAAAUAAUGGAAUUCGUAGAAUCAAUUCAUGCAAAAUUAAUUAGGGCUUUGGUGGGGGCCCGACAUUCAUGAUAUUCACUUCAAUAUUGUUUGCUUGAUAUCUGAUUGAUUUUUUUUUAUUCUUCUCGAUGAAAUACUUGAAUUCGCUUUAUAUUUAUUGUUGAGAUAUCCUUGUUUCCCAUAGACGUGUGGAUGCUCGCUAAUCAGGUACGCUCUUACCACCCUACAACUCUAAAAUUCUAUGAAUGUGUACGUUAUCAUGAGCCAUGACUAUGUUUGACGCCAUAAUUGAUUGCCUUGAUGCUUGUUUGAUCAUCUUUGAUAAAAUACAUAUUAUGUGUCAUAUUUUCAAGCUAACCUCUCAUGUUUUAUGAUAGCGCUUGAGAAGCCGUUCAGGUACGCACUUCGACUCUCUCUUAUGGUUGGUUUUCCUGUUAGGCAUGCAAUAUUCAAAAUCACCUAGCCUAUUUAGAUACCUAUAACGUACCGAUUAAUUGCCACACUUCCCUUAACUUAGUCAGUAGAGACCUUUAUAGGGCUUAGAGGGGUGCUACCUUUUAAAGGUACCUUCCCAAUAGGUAACCUGAUCCCCGGACCUAGACUCGGGUUUCUCAAAGACAUGCUUUUUCCAAAACUAUGGAGUCACUUUUUAGGGUUUUUCUUUCUUGUUUUAUUUUCCCUUUAAAAUAAAAAUAAAAUAGGUGGCGACUCCAACUUUUUUAAAAUUAAUUUUUCACAAAUAAAAAAGCGAGUCUCGUCGAUUGAGUGGGGACGCACGUGAAAAAUGCGGGUCCACAAUAUCCUUCCAAAAUUUCAUGCGAAAUGGACUUCAUUUGGUAGGUCCACCAGCAUCCUAAAGCUGGCGACCCAUUUUUCCCACUCUUUGCCGACGACUCCCCUACAUCUCUCACUCGAUUUCCUUUCUUCAUUUUCUUUUCUUCUUCUUCUUUUAAACUCUCACGCCAAUUUCACUAUAUAUAUAUAUAUAUAUAUAUAUAUAUAUAUAUAUAUAUAUAUAUAUAUAUAUAUAUAUAUAUAUGUAUAUGUAUUAUUAAAACAAAUCCUAAAAUACCACGCACAUCCAUUUCUUAAUAAAUUAAAACCAUUAUUCUUAAAUUCACCUUCCGUAAUUAUGAAUUAUACCAAACUUAUGAUUUUCCAUUUCACGAAAAAUACCACCGUAUUCGUAAUUUAAUUUACUACAAGUCUACUCUUCAAAAAGUAUAAUUUGAUUAUAAUUACAUGAAACAUUGUUUUUUUUUACUUUAAAAUUCAUUUAAAACAUGAUAUAAUUAACUAUUAACAAAAUUCAAUUCCAUAAAAUAUUAAAAACAUAAAAUAAUUUUUUGGCAAUCAAGAAGUUGAAAUUUGUAAUAAUAACCCUUAACCCGUUAAUUUUACCUAUAUUUAUUUACCAAAAAAAUUUAAAUAAUAUUCUAAAAUUUAAUUCCAUAAAUUAAUUAGUCAUUCAAUUAAUAAAAAUCAAAUUCUCUACCCUUUGGUAUAACUUUUAUUUAAUUUACUUCAUUUUUCAAAUUAUUCAAUCGCAUCAAAAUUUCAAAAGUUAAAUUCACUAAAUUCACAUUUAAUUAAUUUAUCCUUUUGUAUUUUUUUUUUCUAAAUUCGCAUAUCAUAAUUUAAUCUUAAUUUAAUUUUGAUUCAAUUUUGUUUGAUGUUUUCUAAUUUUAUGAGGUUUAAUUUCAAUUAUAAAAAUUAAAUUCAAUUUCUUUUUAAUUAUCCAUUAUCACAAUUUGAUAUAAUAUAAUUUUUUAUCAAGUUUUUCUUACUAUGAUUUUUCUUAUAAUUAUCCAAUAAUAAUUAAAUUAAUUCUCGUAACAUAUUUAAUAUUCAAAUUUUAAAAACUUAAUCUCAAUUAUUUGAUGGUUAAUUUUUUUCUCAAAAUCUAAAUUUAAUUUAUGAAAUUCUCACUCCUUACAUCUGACGUGGCAAAAUUUUCAAACUAUUGACUUUUGACCAACUUUUCCUAAAUUUAUCCUAAUUAAAUACUAACACAUGGAUUUUCACCACUCUUUUUGACCUUUUGACCCACAAAUUUAUGAAAGACUUUAUGCUUGGAGAAUCUACAAAAACCUGGGUAUUACAAUUUCUCAAGUUGAUAAGUGUCGUGGUUAUGAAGCCACCACUUGAAUACUCAGUCGCCAUUGUAAUGGGCCUGGAUGCAAAUAGUACAUCAUGUUUCUUCAAAAGUUCUCUGCUAAUCUCUGGGAAAGUUGCAGGGACGAGAUGAAAUAUUUCCCAAUUGAAUACAUGCAAUUUCAGUGUUCAUUUCUUUCAUAAAGCCAAUGUAUCCACCAGAAAGUUGUCUUGUUGUUGAGUAAAUGAGGUAGAUAUUGCACUAGUGGCCAUGGAGCUAAUCCUGGAGGAAGUUGUAUCGGCUUGCAUUUGGUACUUGUUUUGGAUUUUAAUUUAGUGAAGAUAGGAAAGAUUGAUGUGAUGAAAAGCAGCAAGAGGAAGUUGAGAUGAGACAACACAUCAUCUGUGGUAGUAGAAGAAAACAAGGUUGAGUUACUACUACUACUCUCUGCAACAAAACCAUUUACACGUCUUUCAUAGCAAAACCAUGUUUGUCCUAUCUUGGGUCUGGAUGCACAUUUUUAAUAUUGGGGAAAUCAUGCAACCAAAUGUCACACACAAAGAGAGAGAAAAAAAUACGUUUUUUAGAACUUGAAAAGGUAAAGUGGGACAAAAAAUAUUAUCCAUUCUUGAACUCUAAAAGUAAAGUUAUAAAAAGCUUAGUUUUUUUUUUUUUUUUUGUUAUGUAUGAUUGCAUGAUUUCCCCCUUUUAAGAUUUUAUCUCAUAAAAUUUUUUUCUAGAAGGUUCAAAUAAGUUUGAUGAAUAUUGUUUAUUUUAGUAAUUUUAAUUUUAUGGGGUACUUAAAACAUUAGAAGUUCACAAAAAGCAACAUUUAUAAGCUACCUAUCUAAAAAGCUUGCCCUAAUCAUUGAAAUCCAAAAUAUAAAGUGACAACACACUUUUUAAAGAAAUUUUCAAAAUAGUUUUUAAAAAUACAUUUAUUUAUGAUAUUUUUAAAAUAAAAAUCUCAAAAAUAACUUGUUUAUAUAGUGUUUUAUUAGACAAAUACUUGAUCUUUAUAAGAUCACCCUAAUUAUAGAUUUAUGAACAUGUAACACAACAAUUAUCUAUAUGUAUACUUAGAAUUAUUAUAUUUUAAGUUUUUAACUACAUAGGACAUCAUGAGUUUUUCCACCAUUUAUCUUAUAAUAAGUUUAUUUAAAUAUGAUAAAGGAUAUAUUAUCUCAUUUCUUAUUAUAUCUGAUGCUAUAUAUAUAUAUAUAUAUAUAUAUAUAUAUAUGUAACAAAUCAAAUACAAUUUAAAGAUUUUAAUUAACCAUCUAUUAGCAACAAAGCAAUCUCUUAAUCUCAUUCAUAAUAUUAGGAUAAUUUAGUAUUUCCUUUUAUAAAACACUAGCAUAUAAAUCAACACAAAUCAUAUUAAGGGUGUAUUUGGUGUUGAUUUUAGGAAGCGUUUUUAGUAUUUCUAAUACUUGAAAGAUAAAAAUUAUCAAGUUUUAGAAAGAUCAAAAGCGCUUUUUAGAAUGACUAUCAAAUACAUGCUAAAUAUUACUUUUGGAUACUUAUAUUUUUAAAUAACUCUUAAAACUUUUAAGGCAAGUCUCUACUAUUUAUAUAAAUCCCCUAUUAUUUUUAAUUUUUAGAAACAAAAAAUAAAGAAUAGAAACUCCAUUUAAACAUCGCCUUAUUAUUUCCUAUUAUAAAAUAACACAAAUCAAAUGAAUUAUUUAAAAAUAAAUAAAUAUAAAAUCAAAGUUGAAGAGAAAAAACUCUUGUGCAUUAAAAAAACAUCAAAAUAAAUAAAUAAAUAAAACAUCAUCAAAUAAAUAUAAAAAUAAAUUAAUGUUAUGGAAAAAUGAGAAUAGGCAACAAGAAAAUAAGAACACAGAUUUACAUGAAAAAUGCUAGAUGGGAAAAACCAUGGAUAGAGGAGAAGAAAAUCCACUAUAUUAAAAAUUUGGUAUAAAAUGUGAGAGAAUCAAGCGAGUAUUGUAUAGGCAUAAUCACUAUGACCCUAAAUCCUAUACAUCAUCGCAUAUGUAUGGUGUAUGCGAUAAUAUUUGUGAUAAUAAAAAUAUUGUCGCAUAAAAUAACUAUGGGAUGUAAUAUUUGUAAUAAUAUUCUUUACAAAAAAAUAUUUUUUCUUUGCUUUAUUCACUUUGAUCACAAGUUGAAAUAAGACAAUAAAAAUAUUUUCUUAAUUUUUGAAAAUUAAUUGAGGACUUAGAGCUACUUGUUACUGAGUGAAUUUGCUGAAUGGUGAAGAAUGCGUGUAUAGUAGUUUUGCAAAUUUUCAAACUUGUAGACAUAUUUUGUGAAGUCUUUUUCUCUUUGUAAAGCCCCAUUUUCUAUGUGAAGUUAUUUUUUCAAUAUUCUCUUUGGAAGGAAUUUACCAUUAGUUAUAUAGGUAAGAUUAAGGAAUUAAAUUUGGAAUUCUUAAGAUUUGAUUGCUUAAUUCAAAGAAUUUGGUUCAAGGGAAAUUUGCCAACAAAAUAAUAUUUAUUUUUAAUUCUAUGAUGACUUUAAUUAUUUGAUAUAAUUUUAUUUUGAAAGACUUGAUGUGGGGGACUCAUCACUUAUUGAGUCCAAAUUUUGUUGCACCCAAAUUUUUAUGAGCUAAGAAACCAUAAUUUUAAAGACCAAUUCAGUGGUAAGUGAAUAUGCUAAAAUCUUCUAUGUACAAAUGACCUCACUUCAAGGUGCAACACAUACAUGUAUUAUUAUGUGUAUGGGAUGAGUCUUGAAGUUAGUCUUCAUUCUUCUUUGAUUUUUUUUUUCUUCAAAUAAAUAAAUAAAACAUCAUCAAAUAAAUGUAAAAAUAAAAUAUGUAUCGGUUAAUUGGAGAGGAGAGCUUUAAGGGCAUUUCUUCUAUGAAAUUCUAUGCUCCACGUACCAUAAAUUUGUACUCAACCAACAAAAUUACAGAAUGGGUCCAUGCACAAACAAAAAUAACCUAAAUGUAAAUAUCUAAAAAUGUAUAAAGUUCACAAUAGAUAUUCAAGCCCAAAUUUAAAUUUCAAAUUAGUCCAACAGAUUUCAUCAAUCAAAAUGGGUCCAAAUUAGCAAAUAUAACCCAACAAAAAUAUCUCAUAUGUCAUAGGCCCUAAUUUAAAAUUUUCAAAUUAAUAGCCAAACUAUAAGUUCAAUUAAUCAAACCCAAAACAUGAUAAAUUAAAAUAAAUCUCAUUAGGCCUAAACUUAAUAUCCCAUAAUUCAAUAUAUAAACCUAAAUCCACAAUCAAAAUCAACCCAAUUUAUGCUAAUCCUGAUUUACAAUCAAAAUCAAACAUAAUUUAAUAAGUAAAUAACUAAAUAAAUUAAGCAAACUCAAAACACCCAAACCACUACAACAUAAAUCAAACAAUAAUAAAUAUAAUGACAAUAAUAAUAAUAAUAAUAAUAAUAAUAAUAAUAAUAAUAAUAAUAACAAAAUAAAAUAAAAUAAAAAUAAAAAAUUUAACUCACAUCGGAGCCAGUUUGAAUGUCUUGGGAAAGAAAGAAAAUGAGAGAAAAGUGAGAGAUGAUUGACAACUGACAGUGGCUCACUGGCGGCGACUGGCUAGUGGUCCUACCGAUGGUAGUGAGGAUUGAUUGGUUUUUGGGAAAAAAAAAUAAAAUGAAGAAAAGAAAAUGAGGAGUAAUAAAAAAAAUGGAGAAAUUAGAGGAAUGUGGGAGAAGAAUGGAGAGAGAGAACGUAGAAAAUGAGUGAAAAGAAAUGAGGCUAGUUGGAGGAGAAAGUGGUAGUGUGUGAGCUAAAGUGAAGAAGAAUAGAAGAAGAAAAUGGAGAAGAAUGGGGAAAAAAAAUCCGCCUCCCUAAAUGAAGAGAGGUGGGUAGCCUAAAGAAGAAGAAAAAAAAUAAAAUAAAAUAAAAUGGGUAGAAAAUGAGAGGGGGUUGGUGGUCUUGUGAAUGAGGUGGUAUGCGUUAGAGAGAGAGAGUGGGUGGGGUUGUUGGGGAAGGUAUGAGAGAGAGAGGAGAGAGAAAAGAAAAAAAAGAAAGAAAAGAAAAAAGAUAAUAUAAAAUAAUAAUAAUAAUAAUAAUAAUAAAAUAAAAUAAUAUACAAAAUAAUAAAAACUAAUAAUUAAAUAGUGAGUGAGCAAAAAAUAUCAUAUGUAAUCGGGAUUUAAUUUUAAGAGUAAAGUUGGGUUAAAAAUUAAUGUAAAAUAAAAUUGAGACAAAUUUUGGGGUAUACAAAUAUGCUGAUUCGACUCAUGGUAGCUCAGCUUUAAAGGCGUAUCAACAAAAUUUAUACCUUGAAUACUAUUACUAAAGUAGCCAAGCUACUAUAGCAUAGUGGUUCUAGGAUCGUUCACUGGGAAGGGUUUUCGCAAACACUAGUGAUAUUCAAAUUAGGAAAAUUGGUGAUUUUUUUUAUGGAUGUUAGCUUUAAAAGAAGAUGUAAAUGUUUUAGAAAGAUUUAAACUAAUCUAAGCUAACAUUAAAGACUAAAAUGAAAGGGUGUAAAAACAAGUUUCUCAAAGAUAGGAUAGCUAUGCUCUGGCUCUUAUGCAAAUUGGAAAUCUCAGGAUAGGCUCCUCGCGUUGGGGUUGCAACUAUGGUGAUGCUUGCUUCCCGAACCGGUAUGGAUUUAGCAAAUCAAGUUUUAAUCCUUUAAAAUGACAAAACAGAUGGUAGUGAAUUUCAUCAAUGGUUAUUCACCUUAGACUUCCUUUGAAUGGCUCGUAAGAGAUAACUAAUGGUCUAAAGCCAAAAGCUUACCAAAUAUUGGCAACUCAAAGUCAUUCCAAGUGAUAAACUCACCUUUCAAUGGCCAUUGAAAUUGGUUCUAACGGAUUAAUGAAAAACUUGGAAUUGAAAACCUCACCUUCCAAUAGCUCGUAGGAGAUAACUAAUGGAUAGAAAUCUAAAAGCUUAUCAAGUAUUGGCCGUUGGAAGUUGUUCAAAGGAAAUAAAAACCAAACUUUGCAUUAAUGAACCUUUAAUGAAAAACGUCUACCUUACCUUCCAGGUGCGAGAAAUUUCCAUGGGAUUGCAUCCAAGCCAUCACAUAACAUCCAUACUUUGAGAAACUAAAAGUUUUAGUCAAUCAUCCUCUAAGGAAAAGCCCUCAGAGGCUAUUUGGCUACUAAGAAAAUAGAAAUGGGAAAGAACAGGAGAAACGAGAGAGCUCUGUAUCUAUUCUAAGUGUAAAACGUAAUAUAUCUUCUAUAUGAUCCAAGAGGUGAUUUCCACCCCUUAUAUAGUCUUUACAAAAGCAAAAGCUUGUGAUUGGUUAGUUACAAGGAUAAGAAAGGAAAUUACAUCACAAAAUACAAAGGAAAAUAUCUAAAGUGGAGUCGGCAAAAGCAGAGGAAAAUUCGCAACACGCAUGGGUUAUGCGAAUUUUGAAGGUGUUAUGCGAAUUUCGCAUAACACCUUAUGUUAUGCGAAAUUUUCGCAUAACCUGGAGCAGUUGGCUUCCGAAGGCCAUAUCUUCCUCAUUUAAACUCCAAAUCAUGCACGGUUUGAAGCGUUGGAUGAGCUUUGAAAUGGUAUAUAGUAUGUAAAAAAUGGACUUCGGAAAGUGCUCCAAAAGUGCGAAAGAAGACUGCAGCUGCUGUCCUCUGUUUUCCUCUUCUCCAUUGUNNNNNNNNNNNNNNNNNNNNNNNNNNNNNNNNNNNNNNNNNNNNNNNNNNNNNNNNNNNNNNNNNNNNNNNNNNNNNNNNNNNNNNNNNNNNNNNNNNNNUUGUCUUAAUAUGACAUGAACUCUCCCAAAUAAAAAAUAAAAAUAAAAAUCUAAAACCCUACAAAAAUGGCCAAAACGAAAACUCCUAAGGUGCCUCUAAAGUUAUACUAUGGAUCUAAACUCCCUUAGAAAAGCCUCCAAAAAUGGCCCAAAAAUCGGUGUCAAAAUCGAGUAGCAAUCAGACCACUAAGGAGCACAUCAACAAAUGCAUACAAAGGGAAAAAAACCAUACGUGUACCAUACGAUGACAAAAGGCAUAAGGUAUCCAACAAUAUGACUGAUUCACGUGUUACGAGCUCAAAGAACUUUGUCAUGCACCAUGGAGGAAGGGAAACUCUAGAAUAAUGUGAUGAGGAAGUUAUUAGCACAAUGUAACAAAGUGAGGAAAAAAGUGAUGACUGCAAAGCUGUGAUGACUGCAAAGCUGUGAGGACAAGGUGCACAAUGCUAAUGAAUAUGAAAUGAAUAGCACUAGGCUAUAAUGCAAUGAAUAGCUCAAGGUUGUACCAUAAUGAACAAGUCAAGGAUGUGUAAAGAUGAGGAAUAACUCGAGGUUGUAAUGCAAUGAACAACUUAGGGUUGUGAAUGCAAUGAACAACUCAGCGCAAUGAAUGAAAUGAAUAGCUAAGGGCUGUGAAUGCAAUGAACAACUCGAGGUUGUGGAUGUAAUGAACAACUCAUGGUCAUGGAUGCAAUGAACAGCUCAGGGCUGUAGAUGAACAACUCAGGGUUGUGGAUGUCAUGAACAACUCAAGAAUAGGGGCACUGUACACCCAAAAUGGGAGAUCACGAUCUACGAUUCCAAGUCAAACCACUAAAGGGUGACCAAAAUGAGGGUGAUCAACUCACUAAAAAAGAUGAUCAAAAUGUCUUAAGGGAGAGGAGAUGCCCCAGAUGAAACUUAAAGGAAAUGAGUAGUGCUAAUGAAACUAAAAAAAGAAAAAAAUGUCACAACUGAAAUUGAAAAAAUAGCAAACUUAGAUUAAAGUGCAAUGAACAACUUUGGGAUGUGGAUGUGAUGAAUAGUACCGUGUUGUAAUGAAAUGAAUAACUCUAAGAUAUGGGCAUUGUACGCCUAAAGAGGGAGAUCGUGGUUUACGACUCCAAGUCAAACCACUAAAGGACGACUAAAAUAAGAUGAUCAACUUACUAUAAAUGAGAAUGCAACUAUCUCGAGAAAAAGGGUAUGCCCCAAAUGACACUCAACAGUAAAAGAAUGACACAAAAGAAACUAAUACAAGAGGAUGCCACAAAUGAAACUGAAAUGAUAACAGACUCAGUACUAAUGUGUAAUGAACAACUUUGGACUAUGGAUGCAAUGAAUAGCACUGGGUUGUAAUGAAAUGAACAACUCUAAGAUGUGGGCACUAUACGCCUAAGAAAUGAGAUCAUAGUUUACGACUCUAAGUCAAACCGCUAAAGGGCGACUAGAAUAGGAUAAUCAACUCACUAAAAAUGAGGAUGCAACUAUUUCGAGAAAGGGGGUAUGCCCUAAAUGACACUCAACAGUAUAAGAAUGACAUAAAUGAAACUAAAAUAAGAGGAUGCCACAAAUAAAACUAAAAUGAUAACAAACUCAAAACUAAUGUGCAAUGAAUAACUCUAGGUUGUGGAUGCAAUGAACAACACUGGGCUGUAAUGAAAUGAACAACUCUAAGAUGUGGGCACUAUACGCCUAAAGAGGGAAAUCACGGUCUACGACUCCAAGUCAAACCACUAAAGGGUGACUAGAAUAGGAUGAUCAACUCACUAAAAAUGAGAAUGCAACUAUCUCGAGAAAAGCGGGAUGCCCUAAAUGACACUCAAUAGUUAAAGGAUGACACAAAUGAAACUAAAACGAAAUGAUACUACAAAUGAAAUUGAAAUGAUAACAAACUGAUAACUAAAGUGCAAUGAACAACUCUAGGCCGUGGAUGCAAUGGACAGCUCAAGAAUAGGGGAACUGUUCGCCCAAAAUGGGAGAUCGUGGUCUGCGACUCUGAGUCAAACCACUAAAGGGUGGCUAAAAUCAAAAUGAUCAACUCACUAAAAAUGAGGAUCUGAACAUCUCAAGAAAGGGGUUAUGCCCCAAAUGAAACUGACAAUAGAGGGAUGCCCUAAAUAGACUGAAGAAAGGAGGAUGCCCUAAACAAACUAACAAAAAAUGGAUGCCUUAAACAAACUGACGGAAGUGAAAUGCCCUAAAUAAACUGACCAAAGAAGAAUGCACUAAACAAACUCCGAGAAAAAAAAAAAGAAGUAUGCGAUAUAGAAUCAAAGACACCUAAAGCAAAAACAAGAAACAAAGAAUGUGGUUUACAACUAGAAACACCCAAAAGAACCUUAAAGAAGUGACUGGGAUAAUGAACUUAAUGAAAAUGGGGUAUGCCACAGUAAAAGACUCGGAAGUAUCAGCAAAUGGGUCAAACGACCAUGAAAUCAAUAGGAGAUAUGAUGAACCCAAAAAGGGCAUAUGCCCUAACAAAAGAACACUAAAAGGGGGUAUGCCUCGAUAUGACGACUCACAAUAAUUAAGAAAUGGAUCGAGCAAUGAGAAAAUCUGCAAAAUAUCUUAUGAACUCAAAGAUGGGGGUAUGCCCCAGUGUAAAAUAGUGACCAACAUAAGACACAGAAUGUCACCAUACAAUACACUCUAGGAUAUGCUCAAUGACAAUGUAAUGAAAACAAUAGCCUCAAUCAACAAAUGUUCAAGCAAGACCAUGCAUCACAUAAACUAAAAUAAUAAGCUAAACAAAUGCUANNNNNNNNNNNNNNNNNNNNNNNNNNNNNNNNNNNNNNNNNNNNNNNNNNNNNNNNNNNNNNNNNNNNNNNNNNNNNNNNNNNNNNNNNNNNNNNNNNNNAUGUCCAACGAAGGAAACUGGGUAUCCAAGUCAAACCAAGUAUGUUGAGGAAACUGAACCCAUAGGACAAUAACUUUAUGAUCCAUUGAAAAUAGCAAUCAUGAAUAGAAGGUCGAGUCUCGAUGUCAAAAUCAACAAGGUGGCAUUGCCCCAGUAUGAAUACAUCUUCUCAAAAUGGGUAAACCCUCAGUGCAAGAUAAUCUCUAGAAAGUAUGUGUCUAGUAUAAACUAUCAUCUCACAAAAUCUAUCACUGAUGAGUGGGCUAUACCCCAGUGUAAGCAUUUCCAAAUCAAACAUCGAUGAGAGGAGUACAACCAAUGAUAAAUAAUAUGAUCAAAACAAAUCUCCACUCCUCAAAGUCAUCAUGGUAACGUGAAGAGAGUAUCUAACCUCAUUUAAAGAAAGAUCAUGUCCCAAUGUGAAAAAUAUCAAGCAAAGUGGUAUGUCUCAACAAAAAUGCACUCUAACAUGAUCAUGCUUAGAUGUAAGCUGGUAUCUUUAAGAUCAAUCACCAAUGAAAGGGUUAUGCCCCAGUAUAGGGCAAUCUCUGAAAUGACUAAAAUCCGCUACAAGCUCUCACAAGUGUCUAUGUCAUGAACUAAUCAUCUCAAAAAAUAAAAUAAAUAAAUAAAUAAAUAAAUCUAUCAAUAAUGAUGAGAAGGUUAUGCUCCUAUAAUCACAUCAAGAAAAUCACCCGGUCAUAUCUUGUACUCCAAUGUGAAAGGAAAAUAUGAUCACCUCCAAAGAAUGGCUAUGCCCCAAAAUACAUCAUUGAUUGAGAAAUAUGCCCCUCCGUAAAGUACAUCAACUGAAAUAUGCCAAUCAUGCCUCAUGCUCCAAUGUGAAAAAUGACGUAUAAUAUUCUUUGAGGGAUGGUCAUGACUCAAAAUCCAUCAUCAGUUGAGAGAAGUAUGCCCUGACAUAAUGGUCAUCUAAAAAAUCAAUCCUCGACUAAGAAAUGUGUGCCUUGAUGUGAUGUAUCAAGCAAAAUGGCUGCAUACCCCAUAAAAACUCUCUAAGGUGGCUAUGCCCCAAUGUUGGAUCAUACCACAACUCCUGGUCUAUCACAAUCAAAAUGCUCUCCAACCAAUCCCAAGUAUCGCCCACAUGAGAGCUAUCAAACACAAUGUGUGAUGUCAUGGCCUCAAGGUGGUCUUAAGAUUCGGGACGUAACAUAGGCUAGGGUAAUAAGGUGAAGAAAUGAAGGAAAACUAGGCUUAAUAAUCCUAAUGAUAAAACCCCAUACCCUUAUGUAUAAAAUGCAAUAUGUGCAAAGAGUCUCAUAAACCAUGGAUCUAAGGACACCCAAUAUGAAUAUAUCAGUGAGGAAGAAAGAAUCUAAGAUGAAUAUAUCAAUGAUAAAAGAGAAGAAAUGAAGAAUAUCAAACUGUUGAUGGGAUGUAUAAGAAUGAUGUGUGGAAAAUAUUGAACAUGGAAUGUAAAUUGAUAUGAACAAAGAACAAUGUAGGCAAGGCAAAUGCGAUAUCAUGAUAAGAACAAAUAAAUCGAAGAAAAAUGAAUGACACUAAUCCACUCAAAUCAAGUCAUGAGAAUAGUCAAAUCACCCACGUAUGUAUGAUGGANNNNNNNNNNNNNNUGAAAGUUCACAUACGAACUUUCAUAAGCAACUAACUCAAUAAAGCAACCUCAAUGACCAAUAUAUACACUCAAUAAAGGAUGACACUGUAUACAUGUGUUUAUUACUUUUUCUUUUUCAUUUUUUUUUCAUUUUUUUCAUUUUUUUUUCUUUUACUCGCACAUACUCUGAAUAUCAAUAAAUGAACUUCUCUGAGAAUACAUAAUGAAAUGGAUAUACUCUCAAACAAUGAUGUAAGCGAACUCUCUCUGACAAGAUGACCCUCUAAAUUAAGGAUUUCCAAACUAACGUCCAUGAGAUACGAGUUGAGGGGGAUAUGACUAUCUUCCCUGCACCAAAAUGUGAAAGAUCAUCACUCAAGGCAUAAAAAAAUGUGAUGAAAAAAAUAAAGAUGAAACAAAAGAUAUAAACAAUGAAGUAUGAUGAAGAAUGAUGUUGGGACAACAAAAAAAUAGUGAAGAAGGUGAGCCAAUAAGUCCACAACUCAUGAAACUCUCGAAUAAAAUAUAUAUACACCAAAAGACCCUUAUCCCGGUGUAAAAUGUGAGCAAGGAUAUAAGAAAGAAAAGACUAUGAUGCUCAUGUGAGGUUCAAAGGGCUAGCAAUGGUCCAAAUAUCAAUAAAGGUAAUAGGGUGUGAGCUAACCAAAAUGAAGGUCACAUAUCCUACGACCAUGGUCUCAAACAUCAUGCUCUUAAGCUUUCAAAUGAUCGAUACUGAAAAUCGAUGUCCAUUUGAUAUAAACACGUCAACUCUUUGGAAUUGUGCGCCAAACCAUACUCCAAAUGCUCCAUAAUAAUCUCAAAGAUAAUCAUCUCAAAGCAAAGUAAAUGGCGAUCUCAUAAGGCACAACUACUCAUCACAAGCCAACUCUCAUCAUGCAAGAUCAAUCUCUAUUUUCAUGGAAAAAUAAGUGACAAUCUCAUCAGGAAAUCGACCAAUCCUCACAUCGUAAACCAACCAAAGAUCAUAAGUCAUUCAUUGCCAUGCAAGAUCAAUCCCAGGCUCAAACUCCUCAUACUCUACCUGGUUGGAUUAGAGAAGAAAUGGGCAAAGCUAGAAAAACUGAAGAUGGAAAGGUCAUAUAAUGGUGUCAAGGGUGAUAUUGUGCAAAACUCACAAUGGAUGGAUGUAGGUCAAAGCAAAGUCAAUGUGUGAGAGUGAGUAAGACACUACUCUGAUCAUAAGAAAAUGGGUCACAAUCUCAAACUCCCAAGGUCAACUCUCCGAUCUUAGGCUAAUAAGCUCAACAUCCUCCAUGAUAGGUCAACCCCCAAGAAUGUGCAAAUGAAUAGAUGCCUCAAGUCAAAAGUACAACACAUCAUAUGAUAUAUGGUUCUACGAUGACAAUCUAAAACUUAAAAUAUGUUAGAAACUCUAAGGUCAUAAAGGUGUCCACUAUGAGAUGACUACAAAUGUGACUAAGGAAUCUUUAUCAAUAAUCCAAAAAAUGAAUGAGGUGUGAAAAACAACACUAUCAUGAGAUCGUUACCCCAUCAAUAACAAAAUAUCUCUAAUUCACUUUCAAUCUAAGCUCUAUAAAGAAAAACAAUAAGGUUAUAAAGGCAAACCUCUCAAAAAUGGUGUGAAUGUGAAAACAUGCCUUCACCUUUCUAUAAUGAAAAUAUCAGGUUGAAAAUAGAAAUAGGCAAAUCGACCAAAGAAUGAAGUACAAAGUCCAUGAUAGGUGAAGAAUGUAAAAAGGUGAACAUGAUCAAUGAACAUAUCCCAAAACAUCAAGCAUAAAGUGACAACAAACCGAAAGAAUGUGUCGACUUAAGGAAAUAAGACUAUCUGAAGCCCCAGGGAGAAAAUGUGCUAGACUUAACGAGCGAUAAGAAGAAACUAAAACUAUAUAGCAAGGGGUGGUCCAACUGAUACUCAAACUUGCAGCAAUAUCUAAGCACUCUCGAUUGGAGACCAAAAGAUGGAGUAUUGGAUCCAUACUGUGACUAAAGCGGCCUCGAAGGCUCUCAGAUGCAGCCACGUGAGGAAAGGAAAUCCUAAUUAAAAAUAUCUAAAGGUUAACCUACAAGGUCAAGGCGGCUCUAAAAAGAAAAAUUGAGUGGACUUUAAAGGAUCCUUAGCAAAAGCGAUCAUACCCUCCGAUGGUAUGCAACCUCCUACACGUCUUGAAAGAUACGGGAUUGAUUCCAUGCAAGGUGGUCAUCACCUCCACACAUGCACUAUCUCAUAUCUUAGAGGGUUUCCUAAUGAUGAAGACUCUUACAUCUCUCAACACUUAGUGGUAAUCUAAGGUGCACAGUGAACGGUGUGGGUUCAUCCGAAAAUCCUAUCAAACUAAGCAAAGAGAAAACACACUGGUCACACAAAUAUCCUGAAAUCUAGCUCUAACCUAUACAAGUCUUCAAAGAUUGGACUCCAAUUAGCAUUAAUGUUUCGACCUUCUCCAGAAUGCUCCCAAACAUAGAUAUAGUCCACCAUUAAACCCUACUCCGAAUCACUAGCUCGGUCGAAGAGCAAACAAAGUAACAAGUCUCAUAUCAAAUACGAGAUCAAGGGGAACACGGUCACCCGAGACUAGGGAAUUGGAGAUAAGGGGAUAGAUGUGUGUCCCACAUAGACAAGCAGCAUGCAUCACACAGAAGAAGAAUAGUUAUGCAAUAGACAACCAAGCAAAUAAUAGGUAUAUCAUUCAUAUAUACACACAAGCUAAACAAGAAAUAGGUAUAUAACAAGAAUAAACAAUAUGUUCAGAUAAACAAGAUAAUAUACAAUAAAGAGAAUCAAUCAUGCCAAUAUGAAUGAGAUAUAUAAAAAUGAGAAUAUACAUGUCAAGGAGAGCAAGAUAAUCAUACAACAAGAAGAGUCUUAUGUUAAAGCAAGCAAGAGAAUCAAUUGAUGUAGUCAACAUGUCAAUAUCGCAAAUGAACAUAAUAGCCAAAUAUGCAUCAUAAAGAAAAAAGGGUAAUCAUGCAGCACACAGUCAUACAAAAAAAAUACAGACAAACAUAAGCAAAUAAAUGUAAACACACAUGAUAACAAAAAUCAAUGUAUAGUAAGGCACAUGUAAUAUAUACAUAAAAUAAUCAUCAAGUCAACACUCAUAUACCUUAAAACAUGAAAAUAUACAAUAAAGACACAACGAGAGGGUGUUCACUGAUCGAUUAAUCAAACGCUACAUUUCCCUUAACUCGAGUUCAAGUUUGAUCCUUUAAAUAUACCUAGUGGAGUCGCUAUUUUGUGGACCCACAUUUUUCACAUGCGUCCUUACACAACAACGAGACUAAUUUUUUUUAUUUGGUGAAAAUUUGAUUUUUAGAAAAAAGACUUUGAGUCGUCACUUAUUUUUAUUUUUUUUAAGGGAAAACAAAAUAAGAAAGAAAACCUUGUGUGACUCCUUAUUUGAGAAAUACAUGUAUGCAAAAACCAAAUCUGGAUUCGAGGGUCAAGUUACCUAUUGGGAAUGUACGAUGGUGAGCUGUAGCACCUCUCUAAGCUCAUAUACGUACGGUCUCUACUAAACGAAUUAAGAGAAUUGUGGUAAUUAAUUAAUUAGUCAUGGAUAUCAAGAAAAAGAAUUUCACAAAUGAGUACGUACAAAUCAUAAUAAAAAAAAAUCAAAUUAUGAGAAUAGACAAAAUAAAUAACAAAAGAAUUGUGCAAAGUGAUUUAUUAAACUAAAUAAAAAAGAAGAUAUUAAAAAAAUUAAUUUUCAAGAAAUUUCAAAGGAUUUUAUUAAAAUGAUUUUGAAUUCAUGAUUUUAAUUUAUUUAUUUACAAAAAAAAAUGUCAAUUUAUUUUCUUCAAGUAAUUUGAUUCAAUUUCAUUUGUAUUCAAUUUUUUUUUAAAAAAAAAAAGUUAUUUACACUCAUGGUUGUUAAAAGAAUUAUUAACAAAAUUUCAAGUUGACAAUAAAAAUGAUUUUUACUUGCUUUUACUUGAAAACAAUGAAUUUUUACAAUUUUAUUAACAAAAGCAUUUCAAUUUAAGAAAAGUGACUUAUACAAAUUAUUAAAAAAAUAUAACUUUAUUUGCAAAAGGAUUUUUAAUUAAAAAGAAAAAAUUUAAAUCAUCUAUUUCUAAAAAUGACUUUUAAUCCCAUAUUAAUUAAGGAAAAAAUGAGUUAUUUAAAAAAACAUUUUUUGGACAAUUUGAAUAAAAAUUAAUUUUUGGGACAACUUUAUUUACAAAACAAUUUUUAGACAAUUAUUAUUAAAAACAAAUUUUCAAAUUCUAUUAACAAUAAUUUUUUGGAUUUUUCCAAACACAUUUUUAUGAAUUUUUAUUAAUAAAAUUUUUUUUUAUUAAGAAGAAUAUUGUUUGAGCUAUUAUUUUAUUAAAACAUGUUUAUUGAAUUAUUCUUCUUAUUCAAACAAAAUUUUUAAUUUGUUCGAUAUCCAAUUCUGUACACAACAAGUAAAUAUAUGCAAACAAAUAUUUAUAGAAACUAAUAAAAAUAACUGUACACAACAAGUAAAUAUAUACAAACAAAUAUUUAUAGAAACCAAUAAAAAUAAAACCAAAUAGAAGUGAGAAAUAAAACAUGUACUUAAACAAGCUUACAACAAGCUCAAUGUCUUCCUAUGACUUUCCGAGUCUCACUUUCUUUCAUUAAAUUUUAUGCUCCACGUACCAUAAAUCCGUACUCAACAAAAAAAAUUGUAGAAUUGGCCCAUGCAAAAACAAAAAUAACACAAAUGUAAAUAUCUAAAAAUGUAUAAAGUUCACAAUAGAUAUUCAAGGCCAAAUUCAAAUUUCAAAUUAGUCCAACAAAUUUCGUCAAUCAAAAUGGGUCCAAAUUAGCAAAUAUAACCCAACAAAAAUAUCUCACAUGUCAUAGGCUUUAAUAUAAAAUUUUCAAAUUAAUAACCAAAAUAUAAGUUCAAUUAAUCAAACCCAAAACAUGAUACAUUAAAGUAAAUCUCAUUAGGCCUAAACUUAAUAUCUCAUAAUUCAAGCCUAAUUUAAUAUAUAAACCUAAAUCCACAAUCAAAAUCAACUCACUUUAUGCUAAUCCCAAUUUACAAUCAAAAUCAAACAUAAUUUAAUAAGUAAAUAACUAAAUAAAUUAAGCAAACUCAAAACUCUCAAACCACUAUUGCAUAAAUCAAACAAUAAUAAAUAUAAUAAAAAUAAAAUAAAAUAAAAUAAAAAUAAAAAAUUUAACUCACGUUGGAGCCAGUUUGAGUGUCGUGGGAAAGAAAGACAAUGAGAGAAAAGUGGGAGAUGAUUGUUAGCUGGUAGUGGUUCGCCCGCGGCGACUGGUCGAUAGUCCUACCAACGGUAGUGAGGAUUGAUGAGUUUUGGGGAAAGGAAAAAAAAGAGGAGUAGUAAAAAAAAAAUGAAGAAAUGAGAGGAAGGUGGGAUAAGAGGGGAGAAAGAGAAUUAAGAAAAUAGGGGAAAAGAAAUGAGGCUGGCUGGAGGAGAAAAUGGCAGUGUGUGUGAGCUAAAGUGAAGAAGAAUGAAAGAAGAAGAAAGAGAAAAAUGGGGAAGAAGGAGAAAAAAAUUCGAGCCCCCUAAAUGAAGAAAGGUGAGUAGCCUAAAGAAGAAGAAAAAAUAAAAUAAAAUAAGAAAAAAUGAGGAGAAAAUGAGAGGGCCAAUAGUCUUGGGAAUGGGGUGGUAUGGGUGAGAGAGAGUGGACGGGGUUGUUGGGGAAGGUAUGGGAGAGAGAGGAGUGAUAAAAGAAAGAGAAAAAAAACAUAAUAAUAAUAAUAAUAAUCAUAAAUAAUAUAUAAAAUAAUAAAAAUUAAUAUUUAAAUGAUGAGUGGGUCCAAAAUGUUAUAUGUAAUUGGGAUUUAAUUUUAAGAGUAAAAUUGGACUAAAAAUUAAUGUAAAAAUAAAAUUGGAACAAAUUUUAGAAUCUACAAAUACAUUCUUUAAUCUUUCCACAACAUCAAUCUGAUCUAAAUGAAAUGCAAUAAAUUCUAAAAAUGAUACAAUCUUUAAUCAAUCCACAACAUCAACCCGAUCAAAACUCAAUGCAAUAUUGCUUAAUGGAGAGAAUCGUAAACUCCUUUUAUGAGAGGAAAACAAAACCCUUAACAGACCUUUAUGAGAGGAAAAUAGGAAAACAUAGAACUAAAAACCCUUAACGUAUUCACGAGAAUAAAAAAUUCUUAACACCUUAAUAAGAGGAAAACAAAGAAUUUGAACAAUCCUUAAUCCAUCAAAAGCUCUUAAUAUGAACGAGGGGAAAACAUAACCUUUAUUUUUCAGAUAGUUGAAUAAAGAAUCUAAAGAGAUAGAAUUUUUAGUUAUUAAGGAUUUUUUUAUAGAUGUCUAUUGAAAGUUUAAGAACUUUUAUGGAUAAGUGUUAAUUAAGAGACUGAAAGGGUACUUAGGAUUUUCAACUAAAAAAGUUAUAACAAUAUGAAUCGUAAGAACUUAAAAACAUCACCCAUCCAUAAGAGGAAUAUGGAAUGAGAGGUUAUUUUUUUACUUAUACAACAAUAAACUUUUUUGGAAGAGGUUUUUCUAAGUACAAAAAGUUAUGAAUAAAAAACCAUUGUUACGAUGAGUUAACUAAAAUAGAAUUAAUUUAGAAAAUAUCAAUAAAGUUGCAUGAAUUAUUAUCAUGAGUUAACUUAAUAAGAAUAAAUAGUAAUGAAGUUAAUGAAGUGAAUUUGGAUUGGCAGAUAUAUUUGAUGAUAAGAUUUUAUAAUAAUAAUAAAUUAUUAUGGCAGGAAAAAUAGGACAAAAUUGACCUUAUGAUAAGAUUUUUUUUAAUAAUAAAAACAUUAUUAUGGUAUGAAAAAAAGGGACAAAAUUGGCCUUUCCUUAAUUGUAACGGUUAAAUGGAAAUAAUGGGACAUGCGGUGGUUACAAGCCACCCCAAAAGGUAGGAAGAAUCUCCAACCCCCAUUCUCGGCUCCCUUAUCUUUUCCCUUACAACCAAAAAUCAACAACUAUCUUAGAAUGUCCUUCAGUCCACCAAAAUUCAACAACAACAAUUAUACAUUACAAUAAUGAAAACAAAAUUGAUUGAUCACCAGCUAACAUUAGGAGAUUAUAAGAUAAGGAUGUAAUUGCAAUUAUUGAAAUCACUUAAAGAGUAAAAAUUAGGAACAUGCUCACAAUAAAUAAAAUCACCUUAGAAUUAAAAAUUAGGGACAUGAUUAUGAUGACUAAAAUCACUCGAGAACUAAAAUGUUUUAGAGAUACAAUAAUUGAAAUCAACUGAAAAAUAAAUUCGGGAUGUGGUCGCAAUUAAUGUAUAUAUAAACAACCAAAUGUUGAAAGGAAAAACUAAUGAAAUUAAUAUGAUUUUCUUUCUAUGGUUAGAUUUCUCUUGACACCAAACAAAUGUAAGGAAGUUUAUAAAGGAAAAUUAGGUUUUGAUUCACUAAAUUAAAAUAAUAUAGAAAAAAGAUCUUCAAAUUUUAUAUAUCAGUUUUAUUUUUAUUUAUCUAAAAAAAAUUUAAAAUACAUAUAUUUUUUCAUAACUCAAAUAGUCAUUCCUCAAAUGCUAGUUUUACUUGUUAUGUUAAUAACACUAGUUAAUAAUUUUUUUAUUGUGAGAAUGAUUUAAGAUUAAUAAAAUAAGAAAUUUUUAAAACUAAAAAAGCAUUUAAAACUUUAAAAUUAAAAAUAUAAAAAUAAAACAAUAAUUUUUCAUUUAGUAAAACACGCCAGUAGAAAAUAUAGAUAUAGAGAAAGAGUUGGAAAUAAAAUAAGAGUUAAUAUUUUAUUUUUAAAAUUUUAUGUUUUUUAUUUUAAUUGUAUUUAAUUUUUAUGUAUUUUAGUUGUAAUUAUAUUUUUAAUUUUUAAAUUUUUUUUUAUUUUAUUGUUGAUGUAAACUAAUAAAUUUUUUGUUUAAUUAUAUAUAUAUAUAUUUUUAAAUUAGUGAGUAAAAACUCACUUUUUCUAAUUUAUAAUGUAUUUAUGGGAUUUUAUAAUAUAAGCAAUUUUUUUUUUUUGAGAAAGAGGAAAAAUCAACUUUUCAAUUUCCCUUAAUAAUUAUUAUUAUUAUCCAAUUUGGCUGAUUAUGAGAUUAGUUGGUAUCAUUACUAUAUCCAUUUGUUCUUAACCCUUCAUUAGAAUAGUAUUAGGAGUUGAACGUCAAUUGGAAUAUAGGCUUAUGGAAACAAAUCUAUCCAAGGAGGAAAAUGUCACGAUAUUUCGGCGAUAUAUCGCCGAAAUAUCGUGUAUCGAAGGGUUUAUAUUUUUUCGGUCCGGCGAUAUUUCGGUAUUUAUUGCGAGAAAUCGCCGAUUUCUCGCGAUAUAUCGGUGAUUUUUCAUCAUUGAUAUAUCGCGUGGUCAACGCGGGUCAACGAAAGUCAAACCCGCUACAGUGCCCGUCAACGGGUACACCCGCUUACCAUCUGGGCUAAAUUGCCCUUUGAUAUAUAAUAUGCAACAACUAUAUAUAUACUUAAAUUCAUUAUAUAAAGAAAAUAUAAGAAUAUUUUAAAGAGCAAAUUAAUUAUAAUUAUUUUAUAAUUAAAUGCAAUGGUGGUGUUUGUUUUUUUACUUAAUUCUAAAUAGAACCUUAAUACUUAAUAGUAUUAAAUAUUAGGUUGUUUGUUUUUGUAAUAUUUUAUUUCUAUUAAGUAUUAAAAAGUAAAAAAAACCAUUGUGUUAUUUUUUCUAUUUCGAAAAAGCUAUAUAUUUUGGCUUUUUCUAUUUAGUAAAAAGUUUAUAAUAAGUCAUGAAAAAGUAAAAAAACAAACAACCUAAAUUCUAAAACUAAAUGGUUUUCAGCAAAAAGCUAAAAAAACGAACACCACUAAAGUCUUUUAAUUAAUUACCAAAAAUAUAAAAAUUAUAUAAUUUUCUUCAUAAUGUUUUUAAUAUCAUUAAUAAUUAAUUAACUAUUAAAAAAUUAUAUAUAUAUAUAUAUCAUUAUUUAUUUUAUAUUGUUUAAUACAAUUGAAUUAAAUGGAUCAUAUUUUAAUACUAAUAUAUAUUUUAAAAUUAGACAUAUUAUAAUCAAAUAUCAUAAUAUUAUGUGUAAUUUAAUAAUAAAUGUACACUUAUAAAAUUCAUAUUUUUAUCGAUGCAUACGAUAUUAUUAUCAAAUAUGAUAAAUCAUGUUAUACAUAUAUCAAAAUUUUCAAUAAAAUAACUUUAAAAUGUCUAUUAUACUUUUAAUUAUAUUAUUAUGAGGUUUUCCUUACAUUUUCAUAAGUUUUUAACAAUUUCAUAAGUUUUCCGAUAUAUUCGAUAUAUCCGUAAAAUCAAAAUACCGAUAUAUCCGUGAUUACCGAUAUUUUUAUCCUUGAAUCUAUCCGAUUAGUAGGUUCUUAUUAUUUUCAAUAUAGACCCCGUAAAAUAAAUAGGGCAGCCCGUCCCUUUUGUCUGGAGGCAUCCUCCCAACUUAUUAAAGGUGAUAUGAGAUAAGACAGUGACAAAAUUGUCAGUUACUUCCCGACACCUGGCUCUCCACAAGCAAACCCAGUGAUCCAGAAAUUAAUUGGUACCUGGACACGUGACUACCAAACGAUUCGCUCACCCACCAUACCCAUGGCCUCAUGCCCCAUAUAUUUCCACAAACCUAGCUCAAUUUUCAUAGCCACCUUCACUGUCCUACACUCACUAAGCCAUGGCCAUAGAUACAAGCCUCUUGCUUGAGCUUGCUGCAGCAACUCUACUCUUCUUCAUCACCCGCUUCUUCAUUCGUUCUCUCCUUCUCAAAUCUUCCCGGAAGCUCCCUCCUGGCCCCAAAGGGUGGCCGCUCGUCGGCGCUCUUCCUCUUCUAGGUAACAUGCCUCAUGUUGCAUUAGCAAAGAUGGCCAAAAGAUACGGGCCUGUCAUGUUCUUGAAAAUGGGCACUAACAGCAUGGUGGUGGCCUCAACUCCCGGGGCGGCUCGGGCUUUCCUUAAAACGCUAGACAUUAAUUUCUCUAACCGCCCGCCUAAUGCCGGUGCGACACUCUUGGCCUAUCAUGCCCAAGACAUGGUUUUUGCGGAUUAUNNNNNNNNNNNNNNNNNNNNNNNNNNNNNNNNNNNNNNNNNNNNNNNNNNNNNNNNNNNNNNNNNNNNNNNNNNNNNNNNNNNNNNNNNNNNNNNNNNNNACCACAUAACCACCAUUUAGAUAUCUAUCCUUUUAUUUUUGGCAUGUGAACUUAUAGUGGGUGGCUGACCUUGAAUCCAAUAGUUAUCAUGAUAUAUAUGGCUGAAAUUAAAUCCAAUAGAAUCCAAUAUGUUUUCUUAUAUCUCAAGUUUCAAUCAAAAAAAUAUUUAUGAUUUGUUUUUAUUAAUUUGUGUCUUGUUUUCAAUUUAAUUAAUGAAAAUUUAUUUGAUCAAAAAGUUCAUUACAAACCAAUUUUAAAAAUCUAAUCCUUUAUUAUAUUUUGAUAUCGUUUUGAUAAAAAUGUCUUUAUUAUUAUUAUUAUUAUUUUUUUAUAAAAAUAAAUUUUUUUAUAAAUAUAUUGUAAAUAUUUAAAAUAAUUAAAAAUAUUUAGAUCAAAAAUCGAUUAUUUUUCAAACAAAAAUAUGAAAGUGAUAAAUUUGUAAAUAUGGGGAAUAUUUAAUCCUUUUAAUCGAUUAUUUCAUUAAUGAAGUGGGUAUAAUGAUGAACGCAGACUUGGUUUUGCUAGGGCAUGCAGAGGUUUUGCAAGAGAGAGAGAUCAUUUCUCGACUCUGAGAAAUCAAUCUCCUUUUGGCCCGGUGGCGGACUCCAAGUAAAGCCUUGAAGGAGCCUUGCUAACAUCCCUGCACACCCACGCCUUCCAGUACUGAAGGAAAUGAAGCGAAGGUUUGGCUCGUUCAACUCCACUGCUUGAACUGUACUAGCAUUCAGAUGCCGCUCUGGAUUGAAAUUUAGCGGUUCUUCCCAGAUUCUAGGGUUCCGGCCCAGCCCCAGACGACUCAGAAGGACAUGACUGACUUUGGGGAUAAAGCACCCAGCAACACUAGUCGGAUUCCUGAACUCGUCUAUCCUUUCCAACCACUCCAUCAAUUUCUUCACUGCUUUGCUCAAAAUCCCUGGUUGCUUGAUCAUUGCCUACUCAAUUGCAUUUGAUGGACUAUCGACGCCUGCAAGCAUCAACUCCUGCAAAUUAUGGAAGGAUCAUAAUCUGAUGAUUGAUCAAGUUAUUUGCUGGCUAGGAAAUGAUCAUCAUGCAAUGUAGAUCAAAAGGUAAGCACAACACUACUACAAAAAUAAUUUAUGGUGUCACUUUUAAAAUAAUGACACCAUAGGGUUUAUAAUUAAUAAAUGUGAUACAUCAUAUAAAAAUUCUUCAAUUGUGAUAGUUAGAUUAUGUUAGUUUUAUAUUUAUAGUGUCAUUUUUUGGGAAGUAACAUCAUAUAAAAUAAAAAUUUUUAAGUAUUAUAACUUAAUGAGCCCACUUGAGCCCACUUUUAUAAUUAAUAAUCAGGGAUAAUGUAUAAAAAGCCCAUUGUUUCCACAUGUCACCCAGAAUAAAAAAAAUCUUAGUAUACAAACCUUAUAUAUCUUCUUCUACCUUUUCUCUUACCCAUAAUCAACACACUCACAACCGACAUUUUCCACUUUGUGGACUCCCAGGUAAUCUAAAUUCUCUUAGAUCUAUCAUCUUUUUUCUUUUAUUAAUAUCAUUAUAUUGAUUGUUUCUGCAUCUUUGUAUUAUGGUUUUUGUGAACUGCGUUUUCUUGAGUUGUAGAGAAGAAAAACUUAGGUUUAAACUUCUAGUAUAGACGAAGAAACCUAUAGAUUAAUUGAUUUUUUAAUAUGAACCAAACACAUGACCGACUUCUUAAAAACAAGUGAAAAACAACAAAAAAUGAAUGAUUUUUAAUAUAUAUUUAUGUGAGAAUGACAGGUACAAAAUUUUAUUGAGAUAUUCUGCCACAUAAUCUUCAUCCCUUCCCUAAAAUGAGAGAGAGAGAAAAAAAAAAUAAUAAUUUUUUUUGUGUGUAUCUAAGUGGGAAUGAGAGAUAUAGAAUUUCGUUGAGAUGCAGUGCUGCCACAUGAUCUUUAUCCUCCAUUAAACCCAACAUAUUAAAUCCACUAACUCUCUCCCCAAAAACGAGUAAAAAAAAAAGGAAAAAAGUAUGAGUUAAAAAACAAAAACGGAAAAUAUGAUUUUUUUUUAAUGUGUUUCUAAGGAGAAUGAGAGACACAAAUUUUUGUUAAGAUGCAUUGCCACGUGUUCUUCAUCCUCUCCAUUAAGCCUAGUAUAUUAAACCUAAUAGCUCUCUCUUUUAAGCUUUCUAGUGAAGUGCCUACAGUAUCCAACUCAAAAUAAGACAACUUAAGCCCCAUUAGCCAACAAACAUGAGAAAAAAAUUAGUUUGUCAAACAUUGUCUAUUUGAAGGUCCUUGAUGGGUAUUGCUCAAAUUUUAGAAAUCUUGUCUCCUUAGAGGAAUUGAAGUUAUUUGGUUUAAGAUCCCAUGACUACCAUGCACUUAUGCAACAAUUGUUGCUAGUGGCAUUACAUUUUGUUUUGCCAAAGCAUGUGAGAUAUACUAUAUCAAGAUUGUGUAUCUUCUUCAAUCAAUUAUGUACAAAAGUGGCUGAUGUGCCAAAAUUGGAUGAGGUACACAAUGAGUUAGUGGUCACGCUGUGCUUACUUGAAAAGUAUUUUUCACCUUCAUUUUUUGAUAUUAUGCUUCAUCUAGCAGUGCAUUUGACAAGGGAGGUGUGACUAUGUGGUCCAGUUUACUUUAGGUGGAUCUACCCAUUUGAGAGGUAUAUGAAAGUUCUUAAAGAAUAUGUUCGCAAUCAUAAUCGGCCUGAAGAAUGCAUUACUAAGUGCUAUUUAGAAGAAAAAGCUAUCGAAUUUUGUACUGAAUAUUUAUUAGGGACUCAUGCAAUUGGAAUUCCAAAAGUAACAAUUAUGACAACAAAUUUGGUAGACCUAUAAUUGGUGGUCAUUCUACCAACAUUGAUCAUAAAUCGUGGUUACAAGCACAUCAUUAUCUGUUAGAGAAUACAACUAUUGUCCAACCAUACACUGAGUAAGAAAAACAUACCUUUAUCUUUUUAUAAUUUCAUAACAUAAUGAUGAAAUCCUAAGUUUGCAUUCCUUGUCUUUAACGUCAUAGGGAACACAUGAAUUGGUUGAGGUCUCAAUACCCUCGACAAUCUAAUAGACAAAUUUGAUUGCAAGAAGAACAUAUGAGUUGUUUUACAUAUUGGCUUAAAGAAAAGGUAAUCUCUUAGUUUUUAGAAAAUUUUUCAAUAUGUUGAAAACAUCACAAGUUUCCAAUAUGUUUUGAUUAUACACGGGUUGAAGAGGCUAUCCAUAAUGGGCAAGAUAUUCUCGACACGCUUAGGUGGUUAGCACAUGGCCCUACUCUCCAGGUAGUCAAAUAUCUUGGAUAUAUCGUUAAUGAGUGUCGUUACCAUACUAAGGAAUGCGAUAUGACAUGCAUCACCCAAAAUAGUGGUGUUAGCAUUUUAGCAAGGACUAUGCAAAUUACCAGUUCUAAGGAUAAGAACCCAGUUUGUGGUAAACUUUGCUUUUAUGAGGUCAUUAAUGAGAUAUGAGAUCUUGAUUACAACAUGUUCACAAUUCUAAUUUUCAAGUGUGAUUGGAUUGACAACAAGAAUGGUAUAAAAGUUGAUGAACUCGGGUUCACAUUAGUUGACUUCUCCAAAAUAGGUCACAAAUUGGAUCCAUUUAUUUUAGCAUCACAAGCCAAGCAAAUCUUCUAUGUUGAAGAUCAACUUGAUCCUAAAUGGUCAAUAGUUCUCUCAAUUCCUCCAAAAGAUUUCAAGAACAUAGAAGGACUAGAUGACUUCACCGAUAAUUGCAUGGUUCAUCACCCCUUUAUAAGUUCAAUGCCAGAAUUUGAAUCAUUUGAUGCUAUGGAUGAAUCAUAGGCAAUAUACAUGAGAGAAGAUUGUGAGGGCAUAUGGAUUGAAAAUAAUUAAAUAAUAUAUUGUACCCUUGAAUGAGAUAUAAUAAGGCAUUUCACUUAUUAGUUUUCAUGAGUUGCACAUUAGCUUAGCUUCUAUAUAUUGCUCAUGAUAUAUCUAUAUAUAUUAAUCAUCCUAAAUUUCUUUCAUGCAUCAUAAACAUAUGUUAUUCAAAGGUACCACUUCAAUCUUCAUUCAACUAUCUUUUUGUUGUCCAUGGAACUAGAUUUAUAUUAUUUUUUAUUAUCAUGUUUUGAUUUUAUGCUCACAUAACUUGAAACUCUCAUUCCUAAAUUUCUUUUUCAUUAAAACUAUAAAUUAGAAUUGAAACUAUGCAUAAUUUAUUUUAUUAUUAUCCUCACAAAUAAAUUCUUCAUUAUUGAUAAGAAAUCAAAAAACAAGACAAACUUUGAAAGAAAAUUUCAAAAUAUAUAUUUGUGAAUGACCAAUUUAAUUAUAGAAAAUAUAUGCAAGGCUAUACUAAUCUUGCUUUUGAGUCAUUUUACAGGUUUGUUGGUGAAGUACUAGUUUGCACAUUUACUUGAUAUCUUCCACACAAAUAUGGAUCUAGAAGAAGAGGAAAUGCAAAAAAUAAAGCAUAGAGGUAGUACAUUGAAACCAAAUAUUGCAAAAAAUCGAAGUAAAAGGAUAAAACUCAAGAUUGAAUACAAUAGCCUUGGUAGUCACAUUGAGGAAAAUUCAAUUGAACUAAGUAGUUAUCUUAGUACAAUAACUAGAACCCAUGUGCCAAUAAUUAUUGAGAGUUGGAGGAAAGUCCCUAAAGAGACUAAGGAGAAGUUAUGGGAUUUGAUCACAAUAAGUGUAUCUAUAGAUUUAAUAUAUAAUUAUUGUAUACAUUCAUUAACAUGAGCUAACAUGGGUUGCUAUUUUGUAGACAAGCUUUAAUGUGAAUAAAAAAUCCAAGAGGAAUUGUUUCAUACUAAUGGGCAUCAGGUUUCGAACCUUUAAGUACAAGUUGACAAAGAAAUAUAUAUUGUCUUUCAAGAAUGACCAGAAAAGCUGAAAAAGUCACCUCCUAUUUACCCAUUCAUACAAGAGGAUCAUUGGAGAUAGUUUGUUAAAGAUAGACUUUUUGAACAUUUUAAUGUUAAGCAUUAUUUUUAUUACAUCUUCAAUUUUCACAUUUACGUAGUUUUAUCAUGUACUAAUUUUGUGUCUAUAUUUUGUAGGAAUAUCACAAAGUUCAGAAAUCAAGAAGAGAUAAACACAUUUACAAUCAUUAUCUUCGAAGAAAAUGAUAUGCACGUUUUGAGCAGGAUAUAGUAAGUUAUCAAUAUCCAUAAAAAAAAAUGGAGUAUAUAUUUUGUUUAUAGGAAAAUGAUUUCAGUUUUUAAAUAUCAUUUAUUAACUUGAUCAUAUUGAACUAAUGAGUUUUAUUGUUAAAAAUUAUAUAGCUACAAGCAGAAGGGGCUAUUGGUAGGGUUGAUAGAAGUGUUUAUGAAAGAAAACAUGUGAGAAGAAAGGAAAGUUUAAUAAGAUUACAAAGCCAAUGAUUAACAUGAUAGUAAGUUAGCAUAUUUAUGCCUUUUAGAGCUUAUAGUGUUAGUAUGUUUGCCUAUAGUGUUAGUAUGUCUAUGUGAUUAUGGUUUGUGAUGAUAUCGUUAGGUGUUAAUAGGUAAGAGGCUUAAUGCUAUCAUUUUUAUGAGUAGUCAUGUUAUACUAGUGCAAAUAUAGUAGCCUAAUUUGAAAAUUAAUUUUGAAACAAUAUACAUUAAUUUAUCUAUUAUCAUUUUUAUUAAAACAAUUCAUUUUCUAGCUACCUUGAAUUGGUCCUCUUGAGUUGGUUGUCUUUGAUUGAUAUGUUAAUCAUCUUCAUCAAAUUAUUACUAAUAUAUGUUUUGUUGUAGGAUGAAUUACUAGAAAAGGCAAGGAGACUGGACUACCUCCACCUGGUCCAAAUGACAUAUUAUGUCAGGCAUUGGGUAAGCUUGAUCAUCUAGGACGUGUGGUAGGUCAAGACCGUUUGGUUAAGCCGAACUCAUACUUUCAUCAACCAUCUAAUGACAUGAAAAAAAAAAAUCAAAGAAGAAAUAUGGGAAAUGGUGUGAAAGGAGAUGCAAGAUGCUGGAACAAGACAAACUAUGUCUCCCCCCACACCCCAUUCUAAUAUGGGUAGUAAUAACAUGAGACAACAACUUGUUUUACAACUAGUUGUAGCAAAAAAACCAAUGUUUAAAAUGAUGGAAGAGCCCCAACCACCAAAACCACCAUUGAAAUGUAAGGUAUACAUUUACUUACUAAUAAUACAAGAUUAAUAUAAGUGAUAUAUAGCCUAUGUAAAUGAUAUUAUUUGUUGUAUUGAAGGUAAUUAAAUAUAAAUUAGCAGUGGAAUGAAAAUGAAAUGUUGUUGCAACCGGUACACUAAUAGAAGAAAAUUGAUCAAAUGGGUUGGUCGUAAUAAAUGUUGCACACAAGCUAGUUGCUAGACUCCCAUUUCCAAAUCCAUAUGAGAUUAUCAAUGUUGGGGAUGCUAUUGGCUUUAAGCUUGACUGGCCAACAAGCCUUGUCAUACUUGAAACUGAACAUCCUCAGGUAUGUCAUUUUAUACUUGUAGUAAAUUUGAUUGUAACUUGGUAUUUUAUUGUUUAGGAGUAUAUAUUACUAACAUUCCUUCCCUUUUCAUAGGUGUUGGAUAAAGGAAAGAAGUAGAUAGUGAAUGCACCAAGUAUUCGAAAAUCUAAGCCUCAAAAUCAUUCGGUCAUUAAAAAUUUUCAAAAAUUUAUGGAUGGUUGUCUUAGUAAUGAGAAGACAUACCUAAUACAGCUCCCCAUUUCACUAUUUGGUGUCGAAUUCCGAACAUAUAUAUCUAGAGAGGAUUGUGAAUACAUUAUUCCAUCUUUAGAGGUGUCAUCAAAAUGCAUCUCCUUCCAUUUAUGGUGUGCACCUUUUAUUUUCAUUUGUUUUUAUUUUUUUAAUAUGAGUUGCCCAUGUUGAACGAGAUUGGAUAUGACUAAUGAUAAUUUUCUUUUGGUGUUUUGAUAAUAUAAUAGGUACAUGCAUGAUCAACUACAUAUUGCCAAAAAGGAAUCACAAUUUAUAUUUGUUAAUCCUUUUACAAUAUCAUGAGCAGGCUUUAGUAAUCCUCAAACAGAGAAAAGAACACAAUUGUUGUCAAAACACUUAAUAGAGUGCCAAGAUGCCGGAUAUGUUUUCAUGUCCUACAACCUCAAGUAAGUGACGAAUAUUAUACUUUAAUUUGAGGUUUUAUGAUUGAUUUAUAUUUCUAAUUAGAUGCUACUUUUGUUUUUAAACGUUUUAGCUUUCAUUGGGGUUUUGGUAGUGAUUGAGCCAAGGAAAAUGAUAGUCCACUAUCUUAACCCUGUGCAUCACAAACCAUGUGAGGACUUAAAGGAUAUCGUAAACAUGUAAGUUCUUCCUAUUAUUUUUCAUAGUAUUAUUUAAAAAAAAAUUACAUUCACCUCAAACACAUUUUUUAUUAUUAUUUCUAUAUAUUAAAACAUAUAAAAUUUACCUAUCUUAAAAAUGUACCCAUUGAACUUAUUUACAUAGGGCUCUUCAAAUAUUUGCAAAGAAAAAAAAUUUUCUUUACACAUUUAGCUUAUGCAUUUGCACCAUUUAUAUAUAUGAGUACUAAUGUUAUUUUAUAACUGAUCGAUUAGUGUCCAAGACAAGAAAGAGGGUUCGAAUGUGGCUACUUUGUUAUGAGAUUCAUUAAAGAGACAAUUUUUUAUCCUACAAUUAUUGCUUCAAAGGUAUUACUUAUUUAAUGAAUUGUACAUAGUUUUAAGCUUCCAAAUGUUAUGCAUUUUAAUGUUAUUUUCUUAUUUGAUUUUAGUUUGGUGAUAAAAAAACAUAUUCUCAAGUAGAAUUCAAUGAAAUUAGAGGAGAAUGGACUACUUUUGUGCUACAACUAAUCAUGAAUCAUGUUGAUGCAUCAUGAUCACCAUGCAUGGUGAGUCCCUUAACUACUACAUGAAUUUUUCCAUAGAUAUUGUAUAGUAUUGCUUUUCUUUGAACAAUGUUUUUAUUUGAAAAAAAGAAAAAAAAAAAAAGUUCUUAGAUUUGUUCAUUUAUGAUAACAUCGAUCCAUAUUUAUUUUCUUCAAUGAAAUCUAUAAAACUCAUUAAACUAUGAAAUGCAGGUAUACACUCUUAGGAGGGUGGAAUAGAGAAUAAAAAGAACGAAGAAGGCAACAAGAUUUUGGGUUUUUAAAUGCAACUCGUAUGUCAUAUGUUGUAGGACAUAAACGUUACUUUAAUUGGUAGUGAGAAUUUUAGAUUUUUAGAUGCUACUUUUAUGUCAUUUUAUAGUUAGUCGGUUUUAUGCUUAUGAAAUGAAGGUAUACAUGAAUCUUGGGAUGCUUAACAUUUCUAAAUCAUGUUUUGGUAUUUAUUCACUCUUCUUUUUUAGUUUUGGUGGGUUUGAUAUGUUGGAUGUACUAUCUUUUUGUGAACAUUUGAUAGACAAAUAUUAUUAGAUGAUCAAUGUAUUACGAGUUAUUCCAUAAACAUUACCGAAAAAUGAGUUAAAUGUAAUAUGAUUGUUAUAUUUAUGGACAAAAUAUACACAGGUUAAUCCUAUUUGUUAAUUCAUAAGUAUUACAAAAAUCUACAACUAAAAGCAAUCAUAUCUUCCACGAUAAUUUACAAUGAUGUGACACCAUAACUCAAAGGUGAUGCAUUUAAUGUGACAUCAUAACUCAAAGAUCAUGCAUUUAAUGCGACAUCCUAUCAUCACUAGAAAUAUAUGAUGUCACUUCCGAAUGUGUCACCAUUUAUCUACUUUGGUGUCACUUACAAAUACGUCACCAAUUGGUACCCUCUAUGGUGUCAGUAGAGAAGGUGACACUAUGUUGUAGUGACACCCUAUGUUUAUGGUGACUCGUUAUAAAUGUCACCAUAUAUCUUUUUCCUUAUAGUGAAAAUUACUUAUCUUACUAUGCAUUGGGCUUUGAUAUUAGCCAGAGACAGUAGUGGCUCCUAAUUUUUAUCCUUAUUAAUUUUUAUCCUUAAUUGAAAUGAAAACGUCAAGCAGGUCCUCAACCUCUUUUUCGCCAUUCUUCCAUUGUUCUACUAUUUGGUCCACGAUUGGAUCAUGGUACUUGUUAAUGGUGUUCAUAGCCUCCCUUAUAGUCUUUUCAUGGCCAUCUAAAUUCAGUACUCUCAGCCAUGGGAAGUAAUCAGAUAAAGAGAAUACAUAUAGAUGAGCAAGUACAGUAAAGAAGGAUUCAACAUGUUGCUCCUCUUCAACUCCAGGGCCUCCAUCUUUCUUUCGUUGGCUAAAGUAUCUUGUGUUGAGGAUCAUCUUCCGGAUGAAAUUCCUGCUGUAUUGACGGAUUGUAUUUCUGUCACACCCCAAAUACUAGGCAACCCAGAACUUGACUCGUGACCCCAGGUCAAAGGUUUGACCUUAAGAGUUACUCUUAUCCAUGUUGGCAAUCAAUUAAAACACCUUAAAUUUUUUUCUUCAAUAAAGCGUUUAAUCCUAAAUAAAUUUAUUAAGCUAAGAUUUACUAUAACAUAUUAUUUUAUUUUUCCAAAACCAACCAUCACAUUAUCUUCUGUUCACAAGUAUUAAAAAAAAAAAAAAUUCCACCAAUCAUCUUCCUACCCAAAAACUCAAAUAUUUACAAUAAUUUCUAAGUCAAAAAGAAUAUUUCCAAAAAUGUUUUACAAACUAAUAAAAUAUAAUUUAACUUAAAAAAGUCCAUAUAACUCAAAUUAGUAGAUGUCAAAAGGUAAUUAAAAAACAACAACAACCAUUAUUAUGGUUUUUUUGCUUUUUAGAACACUUCAUGAUCUUCUUAUAGUCCCUCAGAAACUAUAUCUGCAUCUAAAAAUUUUAGAAAAUAAAGGGAUGCACAUUUCCACGUUACUAUUUAGACCUAAAUGGGUUAGAAAUUCUAGGUCAAUAAAACACAACCAUAUGCCAAAAUAUAAUAUUACAUUUACAUUAUACACACUAAAAGAAACCUCAACCAUACAAAUUUAAAUCAAUCAAAAUUAUCAUUUUCCUUAUUUAAUCAUAUGUUUAGCAUAUCAAUAAUUUUAAAUUUACAAAAUAAAUAAGUCACUUUAGUCUUGAAUAAUAUAUUCAAACAUACACUUGAUAAAUAAUACAAAUCAUUCUUCCAAAUGCAACCAUAAUACAAAUGCUUACACACAAUCAAGCAAUGCAAUAUCGUUCUCGGGCUUUCACCGAAGGAUACGCGUUUAUACCCAAAUACACUCCCCAUUCGGAGUCUUCCUAGGGUAAACUUUUGAGUCUUUCACCCUAAGGAACUCACUCACUUCUUAAUUCACUAUCUCUAGGGUCAUUCAAUUUCUUAUUUUUCUUUUCUUUUCAUUUUUGCCAUUUUUGGGGUCUUUUCAUUCUCAUUUUCAUUUCACACAACCAUUUCUUUAAUUUUUAUUUUUCUUCACACAAUCAUGAUGCAUAUGAAAUGCAAAUGAAUCAUAUUUUAAUAUCCAUAAUUUUCCAAGACAUAAUUUUAUUUACUCCCAUUAUGUUUCAUAAUUUCCAAUAAUCCACACAACGAUUUUUCUUCACUUUAAUCAUUACAAACAUAAAAGAAAAUUCACAAUUAAUUUGUAUAGCAUCAAAACAUAGUUUUAAACAUUAACUACAUAAAUUCUAUUUAUUCCCGACAUGCUUAAUAAUUUCCAAAUCCAAUAUAACCAUUUUUUUCAAUUAAAUAACCACACAUAUCCAAGAAAAUUCUCACUAAUACAAAUAUCAACGAAAAUGUAAUUUAUGUCAUAAUUUAUUUGUCUCCAAUAAUUUCAAAAAUUUUGACACCCAUAUGAUAAUUUUCCACAAUUAAGCCACCCUAACAUUUGGGAAAAAUUUUCCAAUAAUUCAAAUAUCAACAAAAACCCAAUUUAUAUCAUCAUUUUAUUUAUUUUUAAAAGCAUUAAUAAUUUUAAUAAUCAAUACAACACUUUUUCACAAUCAAGCCACCACAACAUUCUGGGAAAUUUUUCCAAUAAUUCAAAUGUUAACAAAACACAAUUAUACCUUAAUUUUCUUAUCUCCAACAACAUCAAUAAUUCUUAGUACUCAAUACAACUAUUUUUAUUUUUUCAUAUUUAAUCUUCUCAAACAUUACCAAAAUUCCAAGAAAAAUCCAUAAAAUCACGAAAUAAAAUUAUUCACAAUAAUAAUCACACUUCAAAUACUACAAAUAACAUCUAUUAUCUUUCAACAACACAAUAUAUAAAUUUUUUUCAAAGAAAAUAUUAAAUCAAAGUUUUAGGGUUAAAUCACCUUACCUUAAAUUUGAAAAAUUUAACCGUUAAAACUAAAAUAGGACACCGUAGGAGUGUUCCUCGCAUUGAAUAGAAUGUCCUUCCAAAAUUUCACGCGAAAUGGACGUCAUUUGGUAGGUCCACCAGCAUCCUAAAGCUGGCGACCCAUUUUUCCCACUCUUUGUCGACGACUCCCUUACAUCUCUCACUCGAUUUCCUUUCUUCAUUUUCUUUUCUUCUUCUUCUUUUAAACUCCCAUGACAAUUUCACUUUAUAUAUAUAUAUAUAUAUUAUUAAAACAAAUCCUAAAAUACCACGCACAUCCAUUUCUUAAUAAAUUAAAACCAUUAUUCUUAAAUUCACCUUCUGUAAUUAUGAAUUAUACCAAACUUAUGAUUUUCCAUCUCAUGAAAAAUACCACCGUAUUCGUAAUUUAAUUUACUACAAGCCUAUUCUUCAAAAAGUAUAAUUUGAUUAUAAUUACAUGAAACAUUGAUUUUUUACUCUAAAAUUAAUUUAAAACAUGAUAUAAUUAACUAUUAACAAAAUUCAAUUCCAUAAAAAUAUUAAAAACAUAAAAUAAUUUUUUGGCAAUCAAGAAGUUGAAAUUUGUAAUAACCCUUAACCCGUUAAUUUUACCUAUAUUUAUUUACCAACAAAAAUUUAAAUAAUAUUCUAAAAUUUAAUUCCAUAAAUUAAUUAGUCAUUCAAUUUAUAAAAAUCAAAUUCUCUACCCUUUGGUAUAACUUUUAUUUAAUUUACUUCAUUUUUCAAAUUAUUCAAUCGCAUCAAAAUUUCAAAAGUUAAAUUCACUAAAUUCACAUUUAAUUAAUUUAUCCUUUUGUAUUUUUUUUUCUAAAUUCGCAUAUCAUAAUUUAAUCUUAAUUUAAUUUUGAUUCAAUUUUGUUUGAUGUUUUCUAAUUUUAUGAGGUUUAAUUCCAAUUAUAAAAAUUAAAUUCAAUUUCUUUUUAAUUAUCCAUUAUCACAAUUUGAUAUAAUAUAAAUUUUUAUCAAGUUUUUCUUACUAUGAUUUUUCUUAUAAUUAUCCAAUAAUAAUUAAAUUAAUUCUCGUAACAUAUUUAAUAUUCAAAUUUUAAAAACUUAAUCUCAAUUAUUUGAUGGUUAAUUUUUUUCUCAAAAUCUAAAUUUAAUUUAUGAAAUUCUCACUCCUUACAUCUGACGUGGCAAAAUUUUCAAACUAUUGACUUUUGACCAACUUUUCCUAAAUUUAUCCUAAUUAAAUACUAACACAUGGAUUUUCACCACUCUUUUUGACCUUUUGACCCACAAAUUUAUGAAAGACUUUAUGCUUGGAGAAUCUACAAAAACCUGGGUAUUACAAUUUCUCAAGUUGAUAACUGUCGUGGUUAUGAAGCCACCACUUGAAUACUCAGUCGCCAUUGUAAUGGGCCUGGAUGCAAAUAGUACAUCAUGUUUCUUCAAAAGUUCUCUGCUAAUCUCUGGGAAAGUCGCAGGGACGAGAUGAAAUAUUUCCCAAUUGAAUACAUGCAAUUUCAGUGUUCAUUUCUUUCAUAAAGCCAAUGUAUCCACCAGAAAGUUGUCUUGUUGUUGAGUAAAUGAGGUAGAUAUUGCACUAGUGGCCAUGGAGCUAAUGCUAGAGGAAAUUGUAUUGGCUUGCUUUUGGUACUUGUUUUGGAUUUUAAUUUAGUGAAGAUGAGAAAGAUUGAUGUGAUGAAAAGCAGCAAGAGGAAGUUGAGAUGAGACAACACAUCGUCUGUGGUAGUAGAAGAAAACAAGGUUGAGUUACUGCUACUACUCUCUACAACAAAACCAUUUACACGUCUUUUAUAGAAAAACCAUGUUUGUCUUGUCUUGGGUCUGGAUGCACAUUUUUAAUAUUGGGGAAAUCAUGCAACCAAAUGUCACACACAAAGAGAGAGAGAGAAAAAAUACGUUUUUUAGAACUUGAAAAGGUAAAGUGGGAAAAAAAUAUUACCCAUUCUUGAACUCUAAAAGUAAAGUUAUAAAAAGCUUAGUUUUUUUUUUUUUUUUUGAUUAUGUAUGAUUGCAUGAUUUCCCUCUUUUAAGAUUUUAUCUCAUAAAUUUUUUUUUCUAGAAGGUUCAAAUAAGUUUGAUGAAUAUUGUUUAUUUUUGUAAUUUGAUGAAGAUUUUUUAUUUUAGUAAUUUUAAUUUUAUGGGGUACUUAAAACAUUAGAAGUUCACAAAAAACAACAUUUAUAAGCUACCUAUCUAAAAAGUUUGGCCUAAUCAUUGAAAUCCAAAAUAUAAAGUGACAACACACUUUUUAAAGCAAUUUUCAAAAUAGUUUUUAAAAACACAUUUAUGAUAUUUUUAAAAUAAAAAUCACAAAAAUAACUUGUUUAUAUAGCAUUUUAUUAGACAAAUACUUGAUCUUUAUAAGAUCACCCUAAUUAUAGAUUUAUGAACAUGUAACACAACAAUUAUCUAUAUAUAUAUACUUAGAAUUAUUAUAUUUUAAGUUUUUAACUACAUAGGACAUCAUGAGUUUUUCCACCAUUUAUCUUAUAAUAAGUUUAUUUAAAUAUGAUAAAGGAUAUAUUAUCUCAUUUCUUAUUAUAUCUUAUGCUAUAUAUAUAUAUAUAUAUAUGUAACAAAUCAAAUACAAUUUAAAGAUUUUAAUUAACCAUCUAUUAGCAACAAAGCAAUCUCUUAAUCUCAUUCAUAAUAUUAGGAUAAUUUAGUAUUUCCUUUUAUAAAACCCUAGCAUAUAAAUCAACACAAAUCAUAUUAAGGGUGUAUUUGGUGUUGAUUUUAGGAAGCGUUUUUAGUAUUUCUAAUACUUGAAAGAUAAAAAUUUUCAAGUUUUAGAAAGAUCAAAAGUGCUUUUUAGAAUGACUAUCAAAUACACGCUAAAUAUUACUUUGAAUACUUAUAUUUUUAAAUAACUUUUAAAACUUUUAAGGCAAGUCUCUACUAUUUAUAUAAAUCCCCUAUUAUUUUUAAUUUUUAGAAACAAAAAAUAAAGAAUAGAAACUCCAUUUAAACAUCACCUUAUUAUUUCCUAUUAUAAAAUAACACAAAUCAAAUGAAUUAUUUAAAAAUAAAUAAAUAUAAAAUCAAAGUUGAAGAGAAAAACUCUUGUGCAUUAAAAAAACAUCAAAAUAAAUAAAUAAAUAAAACAUCAUCAAAUAAAUGUAAAAAUAAAAUAAUGUUAUGGAAAAAUGAGAAUAGGCAACUAGAAAAUAGAAACACAAAUUUACAUGAAAAAUCCUAGAUGAGAAAAACCAUGGAUAGAGGAGAAGAAAAUCCACUAUAUUAAAAUUUUGGUAUAAAAUGUGAGAGAAUCAAGCGAGUAUUGUAUAGGCAUAAUCACUAUGACCCUAAAUCCUAUACAUCAUCGUAUAUGUAUGGUGUAUGCGAUAAUAUUUGUGAUAAUAAAAUUAUUGUCGCAUAAAAUAACUAUGGGAUGUAAUAUUUGUAAUAAUAUUCUUUACAAAAAAAUAUUUUUUUCUUUGCUUUAUUCACUUUGAUCACAACUUGAAAUAAGACAAUAAAAAUAUUUUCUUAAUUUUUGAAAAUUAAUUGAGGACUUAGAGCUGCUUGUUACCGAGUGAAUUUGAUGAAUGGUGAAGAAUGCAUGUAUAGUAGUUUUGCAAUUUUUCAGACUUGUAGACAUAUUUUGUGAAGUCUUUUUAUCUUUGUAAAGCCCCAUUUUCUAUGUGAAGUUAUUUUUUCAAUAUUCUCUUUGGAAGGAAUUUACCAUUAGUUAUAUAGGUAAGAUUAAGGAAUUAAAUUUGGAAUUCUUAAGAUUUGAUUGCUUAAUUCAAAGAAUUUGGUUCAAGGGAAAUUUGCCAACAAAAUAAUAUUUAUUUUUAAUUCUAUGAUGACUUUAAUUAUUUGAUAUAAUUUUAUUUUGAAAGGCUUGAUGUGGGGGACUCAUCACUUAUUGAGUCCAAAUUUUGUUGCACCCAAAUUUUUAUGAGCUAAGAAACCAUAAUUUUAAAGACCAAUUCAGUGGUAAGUGAAUCUGCUAAAAUCUUCUGUGUACAAAUGACCUCACUUCAAGGUGCAACACGUACAUGUAUUAUUAUGUGUAUGGGAUGAGUCUUGAAGUUAGUCUUCAUUCUUCUUUGAUUUUUUUUCUUCAAAUAAAUAAAUAAAACAUCAUCAAAUAAAUGUAAAAAUAAAAUAUGUAUUGGUUAAUUGGAGAUGAGAGCUUUAAGGGCAUUUCUUCUAUAAAAUUCUAUGCUCCACGUACCAUAAAUUCGUAUUCAACCAAAAAAAUUGUAAAAUGGGUCCAUGUACAAACAAAAAUAGCCCAAAUGUAAAUAUCUAAAAAUGUAUAAAGUUCACAAUAGAUAUUCAAGCCCAAAUUUAAAUUUCAAAUUAGUCCAACAGAUUUCAUCAAUCAAAAUGAGUCCAAAUUAGCAAAUAUAACCCAACAAAAAUAUCUCAUAUAUCAUAGGCCCUAAUCUAAAAUUUUCAUAUUAAUAGCCAAAAUAUAAGUUCAAUUAAUCAAACCCAAAACAUGAUAAAUUAAAAUAAAUCUCAUUAGGCCUAAACUUAAUAUCCCAUAAUUCAAGCUUAAUUUAAUAUAUAAACCUAAAUCCACAAUCAAAAUCAACCCAAUUUAUGCUAAUCUCGAUUUACAAUCAAAAUCAAACAUAAUUUAAUAAGUAAAUAACUAAAUAAAUUAAGCAAACUCAAAACACCCAAACCACUACGACAUAAAUCAAACAAUAAUAAUAAUAAUAAUAAUAAUAAAAACAAAACAAAUAAAAUAAAAAUAAAAAUUUUAACUCACAUCGGAGCCAGUUUGAAUGUCUUGGGAAAGAAAGAAAAUGAGAGAAAAGUGAAAGAUGAUUGACAACUGAUAGUAGCUCACUGGCGGCGACUGGCGAGUGGUCCUGCCGAUGGUAGUGAAGAUUGAUUGGUUUUUGGGAAAAAAAAUAAAAUGAAGAAAAGAAAAUGAGGAGUAAUAAAAAAAAUGGAGAAAUGAGAGGAAGGUGGGAGAAGAAGGGAGAGAGAGAAUGUAGAAAAUGGGCGAAAAGAAAUGAGGCUAGCUGGAGGAGAAGUGGUAGUGUGUGUGAGCUAAAGUGAAGAAGAAUAGAAGAAGAAAAUGGAGAAAAAAUGGAGAAGAAUGGGAAAAAAAAUCUGGCCCCCUAAAUGAAGAGAGGUGGGUAGCCUAAAGAAGAAGAAAAAAUAAAAUAAAAUAAAAUAAAAUGAGAAAAAAAUGAGAGGGGGUCGGUGGUCUUGCGAAUGAGGUGGUAUGCGUUAGAGAGAGAGAGUGGGUGGGGUUGUUGGGGAAGGUAUGAGAGAGAGAGGAGAGAGAAAAGAAAAAAAAAAGAAAAAAAAAAGAUAAUACAAAAUAAUAAUAAUAAUAAUAAAAUAAAAUAAUAUACAAAAUAAUAAAAACUAAUAAUUAAAUAGUGAGUAGGCAAAAAAUAUCAUAUAUAAUCGGGAUUUAAUUUAAAGAGUAAAAUUGGGACAAAUUUUGGGGUAUACAAAUAUGCGCCUCUUCGGUAGAGUUCACGAGUAAAGCAAGUGUAUAUGUGGGCGAAACAAAGUGGGCUCUACUGAAACACAAGAAAGAGCACCAAAUUUGUCUUAGUAUGACAUGAACUCUCCCAAAUCAAAACAAAAAAUAAAUAAAUAAAUAAAAUUAAAAAAAAAAUCUAAAGCCCUAUAAAAAUGGCGAAAACGGAAACUCCUAAGGUGUCUCUAAAGUUAUACUAUGGAUCUAGACUCCCUUAGAAAAGCCUUCAAAAAUCGGUGUCAAAAUUAAGUAGCAAUCAGACCACUAAGGAGCACAUGAACAAAUGCAUACAAAGGGAAAAAAAACCAUACGUGUACCAUACGAGGACAAAAGGCAUAAGGUAUCCAACAAUAUGACUGAUUCACGUGUUACGAGCUCAAAGGACUUUGUCAUGCACCAUGGAGGAGGGGAAACUCUAGAAUAAUGUGAUGAGGAAGUUAUUAGCACAAUGUAACAGAGUAAGGAAAAGAGUGACGAGUGCAAAGCUGUGAGGAUAAGGUGCACAAUGCUAAUGAAUAUGAAAUGAAUAGUAUUAGGCUAUGAUGCAAUGAAUAGCUUAGGGUUGUACCAUAAUGAACAGGUCAAGGAUGUGUAAAGAUGAGGAACAACUUAAGGUUGUAAUGCAAUGAACAACUUAGGACUGUGAAUGCAAUGAACAGCUCAAUGCAAUGAAUGCAAUGAAUAGCUCAGGGCUGUUAAUGCAAUGAACAACUCGAGGUUGUGGAUGCAAUGAACAACUCAUGGUCAUGGAUGCAAUGAACAGCUCAGGGCUAUGGAUGAACAGCUCAGGGCUGUGGAUGAACAACUCAGGGUUGUAGAUGUCAUGAACAACUCAAGAAUAGGGGCACUAUACACCCAAAAGGGGCGAUCAUGGUCUACGAUUCCAAGUCAAACCACUAAAAGGUGACCAAAAUGAGGGUGAUCAACUCACUAAAAAAGAUAAUCAAAAUGUCUUAAGGGAUGGGAGAUGCCCUAGAUGAAACUUAAAGGAAAUGAGUAGCACUAAUGAAACUAAAAAAAAAAAAAUGUCACAACUGAAAUUGAAAAAAUAACAAACUUAGAUUAAAGUACAAUGAACAACUUUGGGCUAUGGAUGUGAUGACUAGUACCGUGUUGUAAUGAAAUGAAUAACUCUAAGAUAUGGGCAUUAUACGCCUAAAGAGGGAGAUCGUGGUUUACAACUCUAAGUCAAACCACUAAAAGACUACUAAAAUAAGAUGAUCAACUUACUAUAAAUGAGAAUGCAACUAUCUUGAGAAAAAGGGUAUGCCCCAAAUGACACUCAACAGUAAAAGAAUGACACAAAUGAAACUAAAAUAAGAGAAUGCCACAAAUGAAACUGAAAUGAUAACAGACUCAGAACUAAUAUGCAAUGAACAACUUUGGACUGUGGAUGCAAUGAAUAGCACUGGGUUGUAAUGAAAUGAACAACUCUAAGAUGUGGGCAUUGUACGCCUAAAGAGGGAGAUCAUGGUUUACAACUCCAAGUCAAACCGCUAAAGGGCAACUAGAAUAGGAUAAUCAACUCACUAAAAAUGAGGAUGCAACUAUCUCGAGAAAAGGGGUAUGCCCUAAAUGACACUCAACAGUAUAAGAAUGACAUAAAUGAAACUAAAAUAAGAGGAUGCCACAAAUGAAACUAAAAUGAUAACAAACUCAAAACUAAUGUGCAAUGAAUAACUCUAGGUUGUGGAUGCAAUGAACAACACUGGGCUGUAAUUGAUUCGUCCCUAGCAGCGGCAGUGGCAACGGCACCAUUUGAUUCGAGGUUCGAUCCCCGGCAACGGCGCCAUUUGAUUCGUGCCCAAUUGGUGUCUCAGCUGAUUCGUGUCCAGCUGGUGCUCCUUGAUUGAGGGAUUAAUCAACAAAAUUUAUAACCUAUAACACCAUAUACUAGGGUAGCAAAGACAAAGCUACUAUAGUAUAGUGGCUCUAGGAUCGUUCACUGGGAUGGGUUUUCACUUCACAAAUGAUAUCAAUUCAAAGCUGAAUUGGUGCCUUUUCAUUUCAAGGUUAGCUUUAAAAGAAAACAUAAAGAUGUUUGAAAGAAAAGAAUUUGGUUUUAAACUAACCAAAAGUAGUAACUGAUUUUACUUAUAAAGAAAAGUGUUUCUUGGAGUUCAGAUCACUAGGCUCAGAUUCCUCAUACAAAAAAGGAAUUCCGGUCACUUGUUUCUUUUCCUCGCAUUAGAGAUUCAACUUAAAGUUAAUUCUCUAACCGGUGUUGUACAGAAGCUUCCCAUUAAUGGGUUNNNNNNNNNNNNNNNNNNNNNNNNNNNNNNNNNNNNNNNNNNNNNNNNNNNNNNNNNNNNNNNNNNNNNNNNNNNNNNNNNNNNNNNNNNNNNNNNNNNNUUUUUCUUUUUUUCUUUUUUUCAAUUUUUCAAAAGACUCAUUGGUCUUUAUGAGGGGUCCCAACACUAUUAAUGAGAGGUUAAAGGUGUCAAAUUAUGAUUUCUCAAGCUUAGAGGGUGAGAUAGUUUCACAUCUUAUAACCGGAAUCUAAUGUAUGUGUGUGCGAAUAGCUUAAGGUGGAAGAGAUAAGUUUGCAUGCAAUGGGAGUUUCAACAAUUCAUCAACUUUUAAAAGAGCAUAAUACAAACUCUAAGACUCCUGUAAUCAAGUUGAAACUCGACUUCUCUCAUUUAAUUUUGAGAGUUAAUCCUUAAUAUCCAUGGAGUUUAAAGCAAAAAUUUUAAAAUUUAAGCAAAAAGCAACUAAAUUACCAAAAUAACUUAGCAUUAUUAACAAUACUUACUUCCUCAACUCUCCCCCCAACCAAGCUGAACAUUGUCCUCAAUGUGACAAAAGCGAUUAAAAAAUAGGGAGGAAGUGGUACCUCCUUAGUGACAUGGAGUCUGAGUCGUAUAGGAGAAACCACAUGUUUCAAAGAAAACAUAAGAGUUAGUGAGUAGAGGAAAUAGGAAUAUGCCAAGUUUAAACAAAAAUGAUGUCUAUGUAUGAUGUAUCAUCAGUAAUACAUCCAAUCCCAAAAUAUAAGACAUCAAAAUAUGGAAUUAUCUAUACUAAUAUGUAAAUACAAAAAGUAAAGAGAUGAUCAAGUAGUGGUAAGGUCCUGUGGAGCUGAUGCGUCUGUGAUGGCCUCUUGAGUGGGUUGGAUCAGGACUUUGGCCUCUGUUCAGGUAGUCUCCUUAGAUGGCAUAGUCUCCUCAACUGGAGCUCUCAGCUGGUAGCUAUGGGAUUUGAUGGUUUAAGGAGGUCAGAAAUGGAGUGAGAGGUUUGGUGUGUGUGAUCCCAGGGUGUGCAGGGCUCUCCUCUUCAGAUGCAUGAUCGUAGGGCUCUGUUGGCAUUUUAGCAACUUCCCUUGGCUUUGCAAGGUGUUUUUGCAAACCUUCCUUCCAUUUUGCAAGUCAAUUUUGCAAUUUGCAGGCCAUUUCUAAGCUUGGAGGUGAUUUCGCAACCAUUUCAAAGCUCAAAAGUGAUUUUGCAGGCAAUGGGCAAUUUCGCAGCCCAUUUUUGAAGCUUGGAGCAUUUUCGCAGCCAUUCUGAAGCUUGGAGAUCAUUUCGCAUCCAUUUCAAAGCUCAAAAGUGAUUUCUCAACCCAAAAUUGAUUUCGCAGCUCAUUUCAUAGCCAUUUCGUUGCUCAAAAGUGAUUUCGCAGCCGUAUCGCAGCUUCAAAAUGAUUUCGCAGCCGCGAAAUUCUCGCUCAACUUUGCGCGCUUGUUUUCAAACGACCAUAACUUCUUCAUUUCACCUCCAAAUCGCAUACCGUUUGAAGUUCUGGACUCCUGACUUCCCAAGCUUUGAAACAAGAUAUGGUAUGCAUAAUUUGAGCUCCAGAAAGUGCUUCAAAAACGUGUCCAACAGUAGCGAAAUUGAGGUGCGACAUUUCCGCUCAUGGUUUGUACAGUCUUCUUCAAACAGCCAUAACUUUUCCGUUUCAAAUCCAAAUCGAGCACCGUUUGAAGCUAUGGACUCGUGACUUCCCAAGCUUUCCAACGAGAUAUUGCAUGCAUAAUUUGAACUUCGGGAAGUGGUCGAAUCAUGUCCAACAGUUUCCGAAAUGGGGUGCGGCUGUGAAAUUGGGAUUUUUCAUGUUUUGGGACUUCGCAGCCGUUUCGCAGCUGCGAAAUGGGAGUCACUGUGCUGCGGAAUGGCACUCGUGUGCCAAAACCGCCUUCGCAAUUGCGAAAUACCCUGCGGAAUGGGACUUUUGGUGCGAAAUCAGGCUUUACCACUUCGCAAUGCGUUUCGCAGCUGCGAAAUGGAUGCUCCUGUGCUGCGAAGUGGCACUCGUGUGCCAAAAUUGGUUUCGCAGCUGCCAAAUACCCUGCGGAAUGGAGCUUUCUCUGCGAAAUGGAGGAUUUCAUGCUUUGGUGGUUCGCAGCCGCUUUCGCAGCUGCGAAAUGGGGGCCACUGUGCUGCGAAGUGGCACUCGUGUGCCAAAUUUGGUUUCGCAGCUGCGAAAACUUUCGCAGAGAGGGCAAUUGGGUUGCGAACUGGUUUCGCAACAAAAUUUCGAUUUCGCAGAGGCUGCGAAAUCUCGCAGACCCCUGUUUUUCCCCUGUUUCUCCCCUGUUUUCGGUCCGUUUGACUCUGAUUUUGCUCCGAUUUUGCUCCGAUUUUUUUCCUUCAAUUUCUUUGCAAUUCCUCUUGAUUUUGAUCAUCCAAAAACCUAUAUUACAUCAAAACAAACUAGAAUUAAAGCAUUGAAAUCAAAAUUAAAGCAUUGAAAUCAAAAUUAAAACAAGUAAAAAAACAAAACAAAAAGAUAUGGACUAACUAGUCUUUAAAAAGACUAAGUCCAUCAAAAAAUUUGAUCCUGAUUUAGCUUGCCCGGAUCCCAUAUGAAGCUUGCAUCUCUCACUUGGGACGUGAUUUGUAUGAUUUUCCCAUACAAAGCUUGGAGAAAAGUUAGAGGCAUGUGUUUCAUCAUCAAUUCUUCCUUGAUGACUAUCCUCUGUGGUUCUUCAUGUACAUUAACAGUAUAGCCAUCUUUUCUCUAUGCUUUUCCCCUUUUUCUUUCCUUUGAUUUCCUCCCUCUUUUCUUUCUCUGUUUCACUUUCACCUUAUACUCUAGCUUGCAUGUGGGCAGAUCAACCUCUUACACUCCUCAAAGUGAUCACUUCUUNNNNNNNNNNNNNNNNNNNNNNNNNNNNNNNNNNNNNNNNNNNNNNNNNNNNNNNNNNNNNNNNNNNNNNNNNNNNNNNNNNNNNNNNNNNNNNNNNNNNNNNNNNNNNNNNNNNNNNNNNNNNNNNNNNNNNNNNNNNNNNNNNNNNNNNNNNNNNNNNNNNNNNNNNNNNNNNNNNNNNNNNNNNNNNNNNNNNNNNNNNNNNNNNNNNNNNNNNNNNNNNNNNNNNNNNNNNNNNNNNNNNNNNNNNNNNNNNNNNNNNNNNNNNNNNNNNNNNNNNNNNNNNNNNNNNNNNNNNNNNNNNNNNNNNNNNNNNNNNNNNNNNNNNNNNNNNNNNNNNNNNNNNNNNNNNNNNNNNNNNNNNNNNNNNNNNNNNNNNNNNNNNNNNNNNNNNNNNNNNNNNNNNNNNNNNNNNNNNNNNNNNNNNNNNNNNNNNNNNNNNNNNNNNNNNNNNNNNNNNNNNNNNNNNNNNNNNNNNNNNNNNNNNNNNNNNNNNNNNNNNNNNNNNNNNNNNNNNNNNNNNNNNNGAAGAUCACAAGUACUCUAGAAAGGUGAUAUCACUGUAAAGUGGCACCAUCCCCGGCAACGGCGCCAUUUGAUUCGUCCCUAGCAGCGGCAGUGGCAACGGCACCAUUUGAUUCGAGGUUCGAUCCCCGGCAACGGCGCCAUUUGAUUCGUGCCCAAUUGGUGUCUCAGCUGAUUCGUGUCCAGCUGGUGCUCCUUGAUUGAGGGAUUAAUCAACAAAAUUUAUAACCUAUAACACCAUAUACUAGGGUAGCAAAGACAAAGCUACUAUAGUAUAGUGGCUCUAGGAUCGUUCACUGGGAUGGGUUUUCACUUCACAAAUGAUAUCAAUUCAAAGCUGAAUUGGUGCCUUUUCAUUUCAAGGUUAGCUUUAAAAGAAAACAUAAAGAUGUUUGAAAGAAAAGAAUUUGGUUUUAAACUAACCAAAAGUAGUAACUGAUUUUACUUAUAAAGAAAAGUGUUUCUUGGAGUUCAGAUCACUAGGCUCAGAUUCCUCAUACAAAAAAGGAAUUCCGGUCACUUGUUUCUUUUCCUCGCAUUAGAGAUUCAACUUAUAGUUAAUUCUCUAACCGGUGUUGUACAGAUGCUUCCCAUUAAUGGGUUCAAACACUAAAUCCCUCUCACUGAUGCAACUUGCAAUGGUUCAUGCCUCUCACGAGCACUUACCAUUCAAGGAGAUCUUUAACCUUGGACUUCCCUUCACAAACUCGCAAGAGAUAACUAAUGGAUGUCUCCUAGGAGUCCAAAAGCUUACCAAGUGUUGGUAAUUCUAGAAAAUCCUACCUUCAAGUCACCUCCCAAAGGCUCGCAAGGGGUAAACUAGUGCAUUUCCAUGGUUGGAAAUCACUUGCCUUACCAAGUGUUGGCCCAGGUGACUCUAAGGUGUUUUAAGUUAACUAAAAAGAUAAAAACCAUUAACGGGUCACACUUUCUCUUCAUUAAAAACUAAAACAACAAAACUUCCAAAUUAUGCAUGUGGAAACUUACCCGGCUUUCCUCACUCCAAGAGACAAAAGGCUUAGCCUCUCAUCCUCUGAGGAAAAAUCCUCAGAGUUUGGUUGGCUAGAAAAUGAAAAUGAAAUGAAAAAUGAAAGAGAAGGAAAAACAGAGCAAGGCUCUGUAUAUUCUAUAUAUGAUCAAUAUUACGGAUUACAUAUAUGGUCCUCCUUUUUUACAGUGGAUGCAAGGGAAUAUAUAUAGAGGAGUUUUUCCAACCUUCCUAGCUAAGAAAUCUUAUGGUUGGUGGAUCACAAGGAGAAGAAUGGAAAUUCAUACAAAAAUAUCUGAAGAAAAAUAUCCAAAAGAGUCGGUGCAAAAAUAUCGGGAAGCACUAAGGACCAUUUCGCAGGAGAAAAUGGUGUCUGCGAGAUUUCGCAGACACUCAAGAGGGCUGCGAAAUAUUUUCGCAACAACAAGUUAAACUCGCAGUGCUGCGAAAUUGGCUUCCACCUUGAGGUUCUCAGCGUUCCAACUUGCGGAAUGUAUCGGGUAGCUUCAGGAGGAAUUCCAUAGGACUGUACAAAAAGGCUGCGAAAUUCUCGCAACAAAAGGCUGAUUUCGCAACACUUUGGAGUGAUCUUCUUGCAAUGGCUGUAACUCCUUCGUUUCAACUCCGAAUCGUGCACCGUUUGAAGCAUUGGAUUCUUGACUUCCUAAGCUUUGAAAUGAUAUAUAGAAUGUAGAAAAUGGACUUCGGGAAGUUCUCCAAAAGUGCGAAAGAAGACUGCAGCUAGCUUUCCUCUGUUUUCUUCACUCUGUUUUUCCUCUCUCCUUGCUUCUCUCCUUGCAUACUUUGAACGACUAUGGCAAAGGGAUAUGGAGCUCCAAAGCUUGGUUCUUCUUGAAUUUGAGCUCUUCAUUGCUUUGCCAUGGAUUCCAAAUAACUCUCCUCAAUCUUGGAUUGUUUUGGUGAUCAAAUUACUAACAAAAACACCAAAAACUUACACAAUUUGAUUAGAAAUGAUUGCAAGGGUCCUUAACAUGUUAAUUGAGUUAAAAGGCAAUAACUACUACUCAAAAGUGUUUAAAAGAGUUAAUUACAAGCUAUCAAAUAGCACUUUUUGAGUAGUAAUCAGUAAUGAAAUGAACAACUUUAAGAUGUGGACACUAUACGCCUAAAGAGGGAAAUCACAAUCUAUGACUCCAAGUCAAACCACUAAAGGGCGACUAGAAUAGGAUGAUCAACUCACUAAAAAUGAGAAUGCAACUAUCUCGAGAAAAGCGGUAUGCCCCAAAUGACACUCAACAGUUAAAGGAUGACACAAAUGAAACUAAAAUGAAAGGAUGUUACAAAUGAAACUGAAAUGAUAACAAACUGAUAACUAAAAUGCAAUGAACAACUCUGGGCCGUUGAUGCAAUGGAUAGCUCAAGAAUAGGGGAACUGUUUGCCCAAAAUGGGAGAUUGUGGUCUGCGACUCUGAGUCAAACCACUAAAGGGUGACUAAAAUCAAAAUGAUCAACUCACUAAAAAUGAGGAUCUGGACAUCUCAAGAAAGGGGUUAUGCCCCAAAUGAAACUCAAAGGAAAAAGACGCCACAAAUGAAACUGACAAUAGAGGGAUGCCCUAAACAAACUAACGAAAAAUGGAUGCCCUAAACAAACUGACGGAAGUGAAAUGCCCUAAAUAAAUUGACCAAAGAAGAAUGCACUAAACAAACUUCGAGAAAAAAAAAUAUGCGAUAUACAAUCGAAAACACCUAAAGCAAAAACAAGAAACAAAGAAUGUGGUUUACAACUAGAAACACCCAAAAGAACCCUAAAGAAGUGACUGGGAUAAUGAACUCAAUGAAAAUGGUGUAUGCCACAGUAAAAGACUCGGAAGUAUCAGCAAAUGGGUCAAACGAUCAUGAAAUUAAUAGGAGAUAUGAUGAACCCAAAAAGGGCAUAUGCCCCAACAAAAGAACACUAAAAGGGGGGUAUGCCCCAAUAUGAAAUAGUGACCAACAUAAGACACAGAAUGUCACCAUACAAGACACUAUAGGAUAUGUUCAAUGACAAUGUAAUGAAAACAUAUAGCCCCAAUCAACAAAUGUUCAAGCAAGACUAUGCAUCACAUAAACUAAAAUAAUAGGCUAAACAAAUGCUAACCAAGUCUCUCACUUUAAAAUGUAAGCAAGUCAAGACAUGACAUGUCAACCAUCGACAUGAAAACAUCAUCACAAAUACAUUAACAAACUAAUAGUCCCUACUAUCAUGGAAGAUGUAGAACCUAACGUCCAAAGGCAUGUGAAAACUCAACCAGAAAACUCAAGACUAGUUUGUAUCCUCCUCUAAUCAAGAGAGCUGUUAGGCUCUGCCAAGAUGGAUGUAGGUAUAAUAGUGUCAAAAGUAGGAUGUCUGGAUGUCCAACGAAGGAAACUGGGUAUCCAAGUCAAACCAAGUAUGUUGAGGAAACUGAACCCAUGGGACAAUAACUGGGUAUCGAUUGAGAAAUAUGCCCCUCCGUAAAGUACAUCAAUUGAAAUAUGCCAAUCAUGCCUCAUGCUCCAAUGUGAAAAAGGACGUAUAAUCUUCUUUGAGGGAUGGUCAUGACUCAAAAUCCAUCAUCAGUUGAGAGAAGUAUACCCCAGCAUAAUGGUCAUCUAAAAAAUCAAUCCCCAACUAAGAAAUGUGUGCCUUGAUGUGAUGUAUCAAGCAAAAUGGCUGCAUACCCCAUAAAAAACUCUCUGAGGUGGCUAUGCCCCAAUGUUGGAUCAUACCACAACUCCUAGUCUAUCACAAUCAAAAUGCUCUCCAACCAAUCCCAAGUAUCGCCCACAUGAGAGCUAUCAAACACAAUGUGUGAUGUCAUGGCCUCAAGGUGGUCUUAAGAUUCGGGACAUAACGUAGGCUAGGGUAAUAAGGUGAAGAAAUGAAGGAAAACUAGGCUUAAUAAUCCCAAUGAUAAAACCUCAUACCCUUAUGUAUAAAAUGCAAUAUGUGUAAAGAGUCUCAUAAACCAUGGAUCUAAGGACGCCCAAUAUGAAUAUAUUAGUGAGGAAGAAAAAAAUCUAAGAUGAAUAUAUCAAUGAUAAAAGAGAAGAAAUGAAGAAUAUCAAACUGCUGAUGGGAUGUAUAAGAAUGAUGUGUGGAAAAUAUUGAACAUGGAAUGUAAAUUGAUAUGAACAAAGAACAAUGUAGGCAAGGCGAAUGCGAUAUCAUGAGAAGAACAAAUAAAUCAAAGAAAAAUGAAUGAGCACUAAUCCACUCAAAUCAAGUCAUGGAGAAUAGUCAAAUCACCAACGUAUGUAAUGAUGGAGAAGACAAUGAUUCGAAGUCCCUAGGAAAAUGUCACUUGUUUCUCACACAUAAAAUACAUAACGAGAUAGACACAAAAAGAUGAGAGUUUUUUUAAAGUUCACGUAAGAACUUUCAUAAGCAACUAAUUCAAUAAAGCAACCUCAAUGACCAAUAUAUACACUCAAUAAAGGAUGACACUGUAUACAUGUGUUUAUUACUUUUUCUUUUUCAUUUUUUUUUCAUUUUUUUUCAUUUUUUUUCUUUUACUCGUGCAUACUUUGAAUAUCAAUAAAUGAACUUCUCUGAGAAUACAUAAUGAAAUGGAUAUACUCUCAAACAAUGAUGUAGGCGAACUCUCUCUGACAAGAUGACCCUCUAAAUUAAGGAUUUCCGAACUAACAUCCAUGAGAUAGGAGUGGAGGAGGAUAUGAUCAUUCUCCAUGCACCGAAAUGUGAAAGAUCAUCACUCAAGGCAUAAAAAAAUGUGAUGAAAAAAAUAAAAGAUGAAACAAAAGAUAUAAACAAUCAAGUAUGAUGAAGAAUGAUGUUGGGAUGACAAAAAAAUAGUGAAGAAUGUGAGCCAAUAAGUCCACAACUCAUGAAACUCUCGAAUAAAAUAUAUAUACACCAAAAGACCCUUAUCCCGGUGUAAAAUGUGAGCAAGGAUAUAAGAAAGAAAAGACUAUGAUGCUCAUGUGAGGUUCAAAGGGCUAGCAACGGUCCAAAUGUCAAUAAAGGUAAUAGGGUGUGAGCUAACCAAAAUGAAGGUCACCCAUCCUACGACCAUGGUCUCAAACAUCGUGCUCUUAAGCUUUCAAAUGAUCAAUACUGAAAAUCGAUGUCCAUUUGAUAUAAACACGUCAACCCUUUCGACUUGGGCGUCAAACCAUACUCCAAAUGCUCAAUAAUAAUCUCAAAGAUAAUAUUCUCAAAGAAAAGUAAAUGGCGAUCUCAUAAGGCACAACUACUCAUCACAAGCCAACUCUCAUCAUGCAAGAUCAAUCUCUAUUUUCAUGGAAAAAUAAGUGACAAUCUCAUAAGGCAAUCGACCAAUCCUCACAUCGUAAACCAACCAAAGAUCAUAAAUCAUUCAUUGCCAUGCAAGAUCAAUCCCAAGCUCAAACUCCUCAUACUCUACCUGGUUGGAUUAGAGAAGAAAUGGGCAAAGCUAGAAAAACUGAAGAUGGAAAGGUCAUAUAAUGGUGUCAAGGGUGAUGUUGUGCAAAACUCACAAUGGAUGGAUGUAGGUCAAAGCAAAGUCAAUGUGUGAGAGUGAGUAAGGCACUACUCUGAUCAUAAGAAGAUGGGUCACAAUCUCAAACUCCCAAGGUCAAAUCUCCGAUCCUAGGCUAAUAAGCUCAACAUCCUCCAUGAUAGGUCAACCCCCAAUAUCACAAUGUGCAAAUGAAUAGAAGCCUCAAGUCAAAAGUACAACACAUCAUAUGAUAUAUGGCCCUAUGAUGACAAUCUAAAACUGGAAAUAUGUUAGAAACUCUAAGGUCAUAAAGGUGUCCACUGUGAGAUGACUACAAAUGUGACUAAGGAAUCUUUAUCAAUAAUUCAAAAAAUGAAUGAGGUGUGAAAAACCACACUAUCAUGAGAUUGAUACCCCAUUAAUAACAAAAUAUCCCUAAUUCACUUUCAAUCUAAGCUCUAUAAAGAAAAACAAUAAGGUUAUAAAGGCAAACCUCUAAAAAAUGGAGUGAAUGUGAAAACAUGUCUUCACCUUUCUAUAAUGAAAAUAUCAGGUUGAAAAUAGAAAUAGGCAAAUCAACCAAAGAAUGAAGUACAAAGCCCAUGACAGGUGAAGAAUGUAAAAAGGUGAACAUGAUCAAUGAACAUAUCCCAAAACAUCAAGCAUAAAGUGACAACAAAUCGAAAGAAUGUGUCGACUUAAGAAAAGAAGACUACCUGAAGCCCUAGAAAGAAAGUGUGCUAGACUCAACGAGUGACAAGAAGAAACUAAAACCAUAUAGCAAGGGGGUGGUCCAACUGAUACUCAAACUUGCACCAAUAUCUAAGCACUCUCAAUUGGAGACCAAAAAAUGGAGUAUUGGAUCCAUACUGUGACUAAAGCGGCCUCGAAGGCUCUUAGAUGCAUCCACGUGUAGGAAAAGAAAUCCUAAUAAAAAUAUCUAAGGCUUAACCUACAAGGUCAAGGCGUCUCUAAAAAGAAAAAUUAAGUGGACUUUAAAGGAUCCCUAGCAAAAACGAUCAUACCUUCCGAUGGUACGCAACCUCCUACACGUCUUGAAAGAUACGGGAGUGAUUCCAUGCAAGGUGGUCAUCACCUCCACACAUGCACUAUCUCAUAUCCUAGAGGGUUUCCUAAUGAUGAAGACUCUUACAUCUCUCAACACUUAGUGGUAAUCUAAGGUGCACAGUGAACGGUGUGGGUUCAUCCGAAAAUCCUAUCAAACUAAGCAAAGAGAAAACACACUAGUCACACAAAUAUCCUGAAAUCUAGCUCUAACCUAUACAAGUCUUCAAAGAUUGAACUCCAAUUAGCAUUAAUGUUUUGACCUUCUCUAGAAUGCUCCCAAACAUAGAUAUAGUCCAUUACUAAACCCUACUCUGAAUACUAGCUCGGUCGAAGAGCAAACAAAGUAACAAGUCUCAUAUCAAAUACGAGAUCAAGGGGAACACAGUCACCUGAGACUAGGGAAUUGGAGGUAAUGGGAUAGAUGUGUGUCCCACAUAGACAAGCAACAUUCAUCACACAGAAGAAGAAUAGUCAUGCAAUAGACAACCAAGCAAAGAACAGGUAUAUCAUUCAUAUCUACACACAAGCUAAACAAGAAAUAGGUAUAUAACAAGAAUAAACAAUAUGUUGAGAUAAACAAGAUAAUAUACAAUAAAGAGAAUCAAUCAUGCCAAUAUGAAUGAGAUAUACAAAAAUGAGAAUAUACAUGUUAAGGAGAGCAAGAUAAUCAUACAACAAGAAGAGUCUUAUGUUAAAGCAAACAAGAGAAUCAAUCGAUGUAGUCAACAUGUCAAUAUCGCAAAUGAACAUAAUAGCCAAAUAUGCAUCAUAAAGAAAAAAGGGUAAUCAUGCAGCACACAGUCAUACAAAACAAAUACAGACAAACAUAAGCAAAUAAAUGUAAACACACAUGAUAACAAAAAUAAAUGUAUAGUAAGGCACAUGCAAUAUAUACAUAAAAUAAUCAUCAAGUCAACACUCAUAUACCUUGAAACAUGAAAAUAUACAAUAAAGACACAACGAGAGGGUAUUCACUAAUCAAUUAAUCAAACGCUACAUUUCCCUUAACUUGAGUUCAAGUUUGAUCCUUUAAAUAUCCCUAGUGGAGCUGCUAAUUUGUGAACCCAUAUUUUUCACAUGCGUCCUUACACAACAGCGAGACUCAUUUUUUUUAUUUGGUGAAAUUUUGAUUUUUAGAAAAAAGACUUUGAGUCGUCACUUAUUUUUGUUUUUUUUAAGGGAAAAUAAAAUAAGAAAGAAAAACUUGUGUGACUCCAUAUUUGGGAAAGACAUGUAUGCAAAAACCAAAUCUAGAUUCAGGGGUCAAGUUACCUAUUGGGAAUGUACGAUGGUGAGCUGUAGCAUCUCUCUAAGCUCAUAUACGUACGGUCUCUACUAAACAAAUUAAGAGAAUUGUGGUAAUUAAUUAAUUAGUCAUGGAUACCAAGAAAAAGAAUUGCACAAAUGAGUACGUACAAAUCAUGAUAAAAAAAAAUCAAAUUAUAAGAAUAGACAAAAUAAAUAACAAGAGAAUUGUGCAAAGUGAUUUAUUAAACUAAAUAAAAAAGAAGAUAUUAAAAAAAAAAUUAGUUUUCAAGAAAUUUCAAAGGAUUUUGUUAAAAUGAUUUUGAAUUAAUGAUUUUAAUUUAUUUAUUUACAAAAAAAAUGUCAAUUUAUUUUCUUCAAGUGAUUUGAUUCAAUUUCAUUUGUAUUCAAUUUUUUUUUAAAGUUAUUUACACUCAUGGUUGUUAAAAGAAUUAUUAACAAAAUUUCAAGUUGACAAUAAAAAUGAUUUUUACUUGCUUUUACUCGAAAACAAUGAAUUUUUACAAUUUUAUUAACAAAAGCAUUUCAAUUUAAGAAAGUGACUUAUACAAAUUAUUAAAAAAAAUAUAACUUUAUCUACAAAAGAAUUUUUAAUUAAAAAGAAAAAAUUUAAAUCCUCUAUUUUAAAAAAUGACUUUUAAUCCCAUUUUAAUUAAGGAAAAAUGAGUUAUUUAAAAAAACAUUUUUUGGACAAUUUGAAUAAAAAUUAAUUUUUGGGACAACUUUAUUUACAAAACAAUUUUUGAACAAUUGUUAUUAAAAACAAAAUUUCAAAUUCUAUGAAAAACAAUUUUUUGGAUUUUUCCAAACACAUUUUUAUGAAUUUUUGUUAAUAAAAAACUUUUUUUUAUUAAGAAGAAUAUUUUUUGAGAUAUUGUUUUAUUAAAACAUGUUUAUUGAAUUAUUCUUCUUAUUCAAACAAAAAUUAUAAUUUGUUCGAUAUCCAAUUCUGUACAUAACAAGUAAAUAUAUACAAACAAAUAUUUAUAAAAACUAAUAAAAAUAAAACCAAAUAGAAGUGAGAAAUAAAACAUGUGCUUAAACAAUCUUACAACAAGCUCAAUGUAUUUCUACGACUUUUCGAGUCUCACUUUCUUACAUUAAAUUUUAUGCUCUACGUACCAUAAAUUCGUACUCAACCAACAAAAUUGCAGAAUUGGCCUAUGCAAAAACAAAAAUAACACAAAUGUAAAUAUCUAAAAAUGUAUAAAGUUCAUAAUAGAUAUUCAAGCCCAAAUUCAAAUUUCAAAUUAGUCCAACAAAUUUCGUCAAUCAAAAUGGGUUCAAAUUAGCAAAUAUAACCCAAUAAAAAUAUCUCACAUGUCAUAGGCCCUAAUAUAAAAUUUCCAAAUUAAUAACCAAAAUAUAAGUUCAAUUAAUCAAACCCAAAACAUGAUACAUUAAAACAAAUCUCAUUAGGCUUAAACUUAAUAUCUCAUAAUUCAAUAUAUAAACCUAAAUCCGCAGUCAAAAUCAACUCACUUUAUGCUAAUCCCAAUUUAUAAUCAAAAUCAAACAUAAUUUAAUAAGUAAAUAACUAAAUAAAUUAAGCAAACUCAAAAAUCGAACCACUAUUGCAUAAUCAAACAAUAAUAAAUAUAAUGACAAUAAUAAUAAUAAUAAUAAUAAUAAAAAUAAUAAUAAAAAUAAAAAAUUUAACUCACGUUGGAACCAGUUUGAGUGUCGUGGGAAAGAAAGAAAAUGAGUGAAAAGUGGGAGAUGAUCGUUAGCUGGUAGUGGCUCGUCGGUGGCGACUGGUCGAUAGUCCUAUCGGCGGUAGAGAGGAUUGAUGAGUUUUUAGGAAAGGAAAAAAAAAAGAGUAAUAAAAAAAAAAUGGAGAAAUGAGAGGAAGGUGGGAUAAGAGAGGAGAGAGAGAAUGAAGAAAAUAGGGAAAAAGAAAUGAGGUCGGCUAGAGGAGGAAGUGGUAGUGUGUGUGAGCUAAAGUGAAGAAGAAUGAAAGAAGAAGAAGGAGAAAAAUGGGGAAGAAGGGGAAAAAAAUUCGAGCCCCCUAAAUGAAGAAAGGUGAGUAGCCUAAAGAAGAAGAAAAAAUAAAAUAAAAUAAGAAAAAAUGAGGAGAAAAUGAGAGGGCCAGUAGUCUUGGGAAUGGGGUGGUAUGGGUGAGAGAGAGUGGGUGGGGGGGUUGUUGGGGAAGGUAUGGGAGAGAGAGGUAAGAUAAAAGAAAGAAAAAAAAAACAUAAUAAUAAUAAUAAUAAUCAUAAAUAAUAUAUAAAAUAAUAAAAAUUAAUAUUUAAAUGAUGAGUGGGUCAAAAAUAUUAUAUGUAAUUGGGAUUUAAUUUUAAGAGUAAAAUUGGAUUAAAAAUUAAUGUAAAAAUAAAAUUAGAACAAAAUUUGGAAUCUACAAAUACAUUCUUUAAUCUUUCCACAACAUCAAUCUGAUAUAAAUCAAAUGCAAUAAAUUCUAAAAAUGAUACAAUCUUUAAUCAAUCCACAACAUCAACCCGAUCAAAACUUAAUGCAAUAUUGCUUAAUGGAGAGAAUCGUAAAAUCCUUUUAUGAGAGGAAAACAAAACCCUUAACAGACCUUUAUGAGAGGAAAAUAGGAAAACAUAGAACUAAAAACCCUUAACGCAUUCACGAGAAUAAAAAAUCUUUAACACCUUAAUAAGAGGAAAACAAAGAAUUUGAACAAUCCUUAAUCCAUCAAAAGCUCUUAAUAUGAACGAGGGGAAAACAUAACCUUUAUUUUUCAGAUCGUUGAAUAAAGAAUCUAAAGAGAUAGAAUUUUUAGUUAUUAAGGAUUUUUUAUAGAUGUCUAUUGAAUGUUUAAGAACUUUUAUGGAUAAGUGUUAAUUAAGAGACUGAAAGGGUACUUAGGAUUUUCAACUAAAAAAGUUAUAACAAUAUGAAUCGUAAGAACUUAAAAACAUCACCCAUCCAAUAGAGGAAUAUGGAAUGAGAGGUUAUUUUUUUACUUAUACAACAAUAAACUUUUUUGGAAGAGGUUUUUCUAAGUACAAAAAGUUAUGAAUAAAAAACUAUUAUUAUGAUGAGUUAACUAAAAUAGAAUUAAUUUAGAAAAUAUCAAUAAAGUUGCAUGAAUUAUUAUCAUGAGUUAACUUAAUAAUAAUUAAUAGUAAUAAAGUUAAUGAAGUGAAUUUGGAUUGGCAGAUAUAUUUGAUGAUAAGAUUUUUUUAAUAAUAAAAAAUUAUUAUGGCAUGAAAAAUAGGACAAAAUUAACCUUAUGAUAAGAUUUUUUUAAUAAUAAAAACAUUAUUAUGGUAUGAAAAAAGGGACAAAAUUGGCCUUUCCUUAAUUGUAACCACCCCAAAAGGUAGGAAGAAUCUCCAACCCCCAUUCUCGGCUCCCUUAUCUUUUCCCCUACAACCAAAAUUCAACAACUAUCUUAGAAUGUCCUUCAGUCCACCAGAUCUGGAUCCCUUUGAUUUUCGUCUUCUUUUUUCUUUCCUCCUUUCCCUUUUUCUAGUUUCUUCCUUCAAAAUCCAUCCCUCAUAUCUCUCACAAAUUUUCUGUCCCACCUUCUUCUCUUCCUCCCAAUUUCCUUUCUAUAUAUAUAGUUUCUGUCUUUCCUUUGUUUCUCUCUUCAAAAUAUUCUGAUUUUCCCCUUAGAAAUUUGAUUUUUCUCUUCAAAUAUUUUGAUUUUCCCACUCAAAAUUCCGACUUCCCCCCAUAAAAAUUCUGGAUUUUCUUUCCCAAUUUGGCUUAAAGAUAGUCAUAUUUUUUUGUUCCCGAAAGACAUUAUGUGUCUUUUGAAACAUUCGAAGGGUGAUCAUGUAUGGACAGAAUUAAAAAGUAUGGUUGGUAAGUUGGGAGACAGGAUGGGAUGGGAGAUUUAAAAUUAAAAAUCAAUAAAAUAAUAUUAGAAUAAAAUAAAGAAAAGAAAUAGUGAGUAAAAACAACACCUAUACAUCACAAUAAUGAAAACAAAAUUGAUUGAUCACCAGCUAACAUUAGGAGAUUAUAAGAUAAAGAUGUAAUUGCAAUUAUUGAAAUCACUUAAAGAGAAAAAAUUAGGAACAUGCUCACUAUAAAUAAAAUCACCUUAGAAUUAAAAAUUAGGGACAUGAUUAUGAUGAUUAAAAUCACUUGAGAACUAAAAUGUUUUAGAGAUACAAUAAUUGAAAUCAACUGAAAAAUAAAUUCGGUAUGUGGUCGCAAUUAAUGUAUAUAUAAACAACCAAAUGUUGAAAGGAAAAACUAAUGGAAUUAAUGCGAUUUUCUUUUUAUGGUUAGAUUUCUCUUGACACCAAACAAAUGUAAGGAAGUUUAUAAAGGAAAAUUAGGUUUUGAUUCACUAAAUUAAAAUAAUAUAGAAAAAGAUCUUCAAAUUUUAUAUAUAUAUUUUUUCAUAACUCAGAUUUUCAUUAGAAUAGUGUCAGGAGUUGAACGCCAGUGGGAAUACAGGCUUAUGGAAACAAAUCUAUCCGACUAGUAGGUUCUUAUUAUUUUCAAUAUAGACCCCAUAAAAUAAAUAGGAGAUGGGCAGCCCGUCCCUUUUGUGAGGCCAUCCUCCCAACUUAUUAAAGGUGAUGUGAGUUUAAGACAGUGACAAAAUUGUCGGUUACUUCCCAAACCUGCUCUCCACAGGCAAACCCAGUGAUCCAGAAAUUAAUUGGUACCUGACACGUGACUACCAAACGUUCGCUCACCCACCAUACCCAUGGCCUCAUGCCCCAUAUAUUUCCACAAACCUAGCUCAAUUUUCAUAGCCACCUUCACUGUCCUACACUCACUAAGCCAUGGCCAUAGAUACAAGCCUCUUGCUUAAGCUUGCUGCAGCAAUUCUACUCUUCUUUAUCACCCGCUUCUUCAUUCGUUCUCUCCUUCCCAAACCUUCCCGGAAGCUCCCUCCUGGCCCCAGAGGGUGGCCGCUCCUCGGCGCUCUUCCUCUUCUAGGUAACAUGCCUCAUGUUGCACUAGCAAAGAUGGCCAAAAGAUACGGACCUGUCAUGUUCUUGAAAAUGGGCACUAACUGCAUGGUGGUGGCCUCAACUCCGGAGGCAGCUCAGGCUUUCCUUAAAACCCUAGACAUUAAUGUCUCGAACCGCCCGCCUAAUGCCGGUGCAACACACUUGGCCUAUGAUGCCCAAGACAUGGUUUUUGCGGAUUAUGGGCCAAGGUGGAAGCUCCUGAGAAAGCUAAGCAACUUACACAUGCUUGGUGGGAAGGCUCUUGAGGACUGGUCUCAGGUUCGAACUGUUGAGCUAGGUCACAUGCUUCGAGCCAUGCUUGAGUUGAGCCAGCGAGAGGAGCCGGUGGUGGUGCCGGAGAUGUUAUCUUUUUCCGUGGCCAACAUGAUAGGGCAAGUGAUACUAAGCCGCCGGGUGUUUGAAACAAAAGGGUCGGAGUCAAAUGAGUUCAAGGACAUGGUGGUGGAGCUCAUGACCACUGCUGGGUACUUCAAUAUUGGCGAUUUUAUUCCGUCCAUCGCAUGGCUGGACAUCCAAGGGAUCGAGCGCGGGAUGAAGCAUUUACAUAAGAAGUUCGACAAGUUAUUGACAAGGAUGAUAGAGGAGCACACGGCAUCAGCCCAUGAGCGCAAGGGAAACCCAGAUUUUCUGGACGUAGUCAUGGGCCAUCAAGGAAAUUCUACAGGGGAGAAGCUCACCCUUACCAACAUUAAGGCGCUCCUCCUGGUAUGCAUAGUUAAAGCUCGUCUUUAAUUUUGUUUUCCGAUAUUUUCUUUCCGGAAACAGCACUUUUAUUGCUUUUAGAUAUGUACGUUUUUAUCAGGUAGCCAUUUUAGGGGCACAUCACUGUUCUUUAUUUGCAUUUUUUUUUUGUCUUUUUCCACUUGCAUGGUUGUUUUCAUAUGCUCAGCUGCAUGGCACAGGAAAAUUGGGAAAAAUGAUUGGUUCUCUGAUCAGACCUUCUGCACCAAAACACACUUCUCUCUAUUUUAUAAAAUCAAGAACAUUUAUGGUUUACAUGAUUUUUCGAACUUGAACUUUUGCUAGGGCUAAUGCAUGGAUCUCAAUUUUCAAUUGCGUUUGAUUACAUAAAUUUCAAGUAUGUCACCAUAUUUUUGUUUCCUUGGCUAGAAUUUAUUUACUGCAGGAACAGACACUUCAUCAAGCGUAAUCGAGUGGUCUCUGGCUGAGAUGUUGAAAAACCCGAGCAUCCUCAAGCGUGCUCACGAAGAAAUGGAUCAAGUGAUUGGAAGGAGCCGGCGGCUCGUGGAGUCUGACUUACCAAAACUUCCAUACCUACAAGCCAUAUGCAAGGAAAGCUUCCGGAAGCACCCAUCCACCCCAUUGAACCUUCCUCGUGUCUCAGCCCAGGCAUGUGAAGUGAACGGCUACUACAUCCCAAAGAACACUAGACUUAGCGUGAACAUAUGGGCAAUCGGGCGAGACCCUGAUGUCUGGGAAAGCCCGGAAGAAUUCAGGCCAGAAAGGUUUUUAAGUGGAAGAAAUGCAAAAAUUGAUCCUCGUGGAAAUGAUUUUGAGUUGAUCCCGUUUGGGGCUGGACGAAGGAUUUGUGCUGGCACUAGAAUGGGAAUAGUGCUAGUUGAGUACAUUUUGGGGUCGUUGGUACACUCAUUUGACUGGAAAAUGCCGGAUGGAGUUGAGAUCAACAUGGACGAAGCUUUCGGGCUUGCUUUGCAGAAGGCAGUUUCUCUUUCGGCUAUGGUGACACCUAGGCUUCACCAGAGUGCGUAUGCAGUCUGAGCUCAAGCUGUUCAGAUCAAAACCCAGGGCUAGCUACUAUAUGGCAUGGAUUUGUUUUAGUUUCCUUUGGGUUAGUAUAACUGUAUAAGAUGUAUUAGCUCAAAGAUUGGGAGUUUCAUUCUACCACCAAGCCAUAUGCCUAUCCGUGAUCUAUAAAUUUAGCUUCGGUUUGGUUAUAGUUUCUAUUUUUCUUUUGUCUUCGUAAUCAGUAAAUAAUAGUAACCUUUAUAUAAAAUAUAGUAACUCUUCACAAAUUUUGCAUUGAAAAAAAUAAUAGUUUUAAAAUCUGUUUAAAAAAAUUAAGGUGCAUUAAAAAAUUUUAAUAUAUCAAAUUUAAAAAAUUUUAAAAAUAAUUUUAAAGAUAUAAAAAAAAUUAUAUUUUUUGUAAAAGAGUUUUACUUUUUGUAUAGAACAUAUUACGGUUUUGUAUUUUAAAAACAGAAUACGAGGAAUGUAUCCAAAUGUACAUUUAGUAAUAUUUUACUGAAAAUUUUAAAGGUUAGAUAAGAAAUAAACAAAAAUUAAAAUCUAAUUGCACUAUUAUUUUAAGGUUAAUUCUGUCAUGGGUAUUCAUCAAUUUUUUAAGUUAAUUAUGCUUAAGGUCUUUACUAAAUAAGAAGAGGAAAUUUUGGUAAUUAAUUAAAUUUAAAAAAUAUAUAAUAAUAAUAUAUUAUAUUGUAUAUAUGCUAAAGAACCAUUAGAGAUGACAAUUAGGCAGGGUUGAGAUGAGAUGGGUCACUCCCAUCCUGUUUACAUAGUUUAAUUCUCAUGAGCUAAUAAAAAAAAUUAAAUGGGAGGGAAAGGGUGUGAGAAUUUUCCAUAUCCACUUGGUACCAUCCUUUAUAAUUUCUUUUUAAAAUUUAAUUUUCAAAAAUGUUUAAUUACAUUAAAAAUAAUAUAUAUUUUAUAAAUAAAGAAAAUAUUAUAAUUUUUUAUAACUUCUUUUAUUAAAAAUAAAUUUUAAAUCAAAGAAAGGGGUAUUUUUGUCCAUUCAGGGUCUUUUUUUUUUUUGUCGAGGCACUAUUGGAAAAAAGGCCAACAGUAACACUUCUGCAUCAUUUUCCAACUUGUCAUAAUAUUUGGAUGUGUUCCAUUAUUGAAGCUCUAGGUAAGGAUUUUCUUCUCCACCUUGAAGAGCCAGACAUAUCAUCCAAAAGCCCCCAGACACUAAUGGACUCAACCUUUUAUAUGUUUAUACACUACUCUUAUCCAACAUACUUCCAAAUUGAAUAGCCGGUGAAAUCAAGUAAACCCAACAAUGUCCAUCCAUUCCCAUGUCUCCACGCUAUUUCUCCUUAUAGUCUUAAUAUUAUCUGGAUCCAUUGCCAUCACAGGUCAAUUAAAGAAGCAACUGUCUAUGACUUCCAAGGUCAGCCUGGUCAGGUAAGUUAUGAUCCAAAGCUCAAUUUUUCUAACAAUAGUUAGCUUAUAUUUUGGUUCUCAUCCCCUCAAUAAAGACAUGAACAGAUAUACCCAAUUAUUUUCAAUCAAAUUCUUAGAAGGGGAAAAUCUUUUCUGUAGGUGAUGUACGUGUCUUGGAAAUUUCUAUUACUUAUCCUAAGAAGUUUGUGUGUGGUUGUCAGGAAAAGGGAAGUUACUGUUUCAUCUCUAUAGCAUAUUAAAAUGUAGAAAAUUGAAUUCAUUAAUUUUCAAUUUUUUCUCAUUCUACUCAGGGUAAGUGUCCUUCGGAACUUGAACAUGCAGAAAAGAUUAAAAAAAAUAAAAAAUAACAGAAUUAGAAUAUGAACAUGUACGUGAAUAUGCACUAUGAUACUACACGCCAAAAAAGACAAAAAGCUUAGACAUGUUUGCUAAAGGACAAGGUGACUAGAAGAGUGAAAAGCGUGUAGAGCAUCUAGUCAGGGUCACCAUUACAAAAAGAAGAAAGGAAAACUUGUGUUUUGAUGGGGCCAUUUGGGAAAUAUUUGGUUUUCGAAACCCAAUUUUAUGAAAUCUAAAAACCAUCUUUUAAUGUGGAAAGUUAUAUACUUUUCAUGCACUUUGAGUCGGGUGCAUAUUUUGUGCCGAGAUUGCCCCUUCGGGAUCCAGGUCAGUAGCAUCCUAAGGCCAUGUUAGCAAGGGCCAAAAUGGAACCGCAGAAAAACUCCAAAAUCAAAAUCUGAUCUUCCCAAAAAAACACCCUAGUCGAUGGUUCUUUCACCCCUUUCUCUCAUUUGAUACCCAUUUCUCUCAUAUUUCUUCACUUCGUCACCGAGGCAAAGCAAAGAACCGUGUAUAGUUUUAAAAAAUUUCUCUCAUUUCAGUUCAGAAGCCCUUAAUCCCAAACUCCAAUCUACACUUUUCUUUCUUCAGCCCCUUCUCCUCUCAAAGUCUUGACUAGUCGUACCUGAUCGUCCCAAUUUCCUCAUCCCAAACUCCAAUCACCUGUACAUUUUGAUUGAAAUUCUGGUUUAGGCCAGCGAACUAGAAUGGAAACAACAACUAUGAUAUAUUGGUUUCAUGAAGAAGAAAUCUCCUCUUCGUGUCAUUGGGUGGAAUUUUGCCCUAACCUCCACAGAAAAUUUUAAGGUAAUUAAUUUGUAUUUAGGGUUGUUUUGAUUUUAUUUUAUUUUUCAAAUGGAGCACAAGAGCGAUUGUGGAGUGGUAAUUGUAGUUCGAAUUUUGUGUGCAUUGGUGAGGCCAUAGCUUGAGGCGCAUGUGGAUUUUGGACGGCAUGAUCAGAUGGUCAAUCUCUAUCUUUUUGUGGAUUGGAGGCUCAUGAAAUGUAAAAUGAAAGUGGUAAUUUAUUUUUGAUUGUCAAAAGAAUGUUGUGGAGAUAUGUAGAUAUUAGGUAGAAGACCUUUGUUUUUUUUGACAUUUUUAGACUGAUGGUAAUUAACGAUGACAACAAUUAGGCAAGAUCAUUUUUUGGCAAAAAAAUUCAUAAUUAAAUCAUAUUUGUUGAGACUAAAAAUAAUAAUAAAAAUAAUAAUUCAAAUGCAUAAAUUAUGUGCUAGUUAGUAUAAAUUGUUGGUAGUGUUUGUGAAUUUGCAAUGUUUGUUGGAUUGUGAGGGUACAUCUUUUGCAAAUCGUGUGUGGUUUGAUUAACAUGUUUUUCUUUAUUGGGAAUGAUUUCAUUGUUGUAGUCUUUCAGAUUUUCUUUGUAGAAAGACUGAAUUUUAGUGAUGAUAUGAAAUAAAACCAUUAUAAUCUCCUUUGAGCAAUAUUUAAAAUAUUUCAUUAUGAAAUUUUGUAAGCUUGGCUUUCAUUAAUUAUAUCAUAUUGAUCCAUCCAACCAUUAUUAUUUCUCCUUUUUGCGAUAGUCAAAACAUUUUAUCUACAAAGGAAGUGUUUGCAAAUUGAUUUGAUGUUGGAAACAUUUUAUCUUAAUGAACCUUAGGUACUACCCUAAUGCACCUUAGGUACUACCUUAAUGAACCUUAGGUACGACCUUAAUGUACCUCAGGUACUACCUUAAUGCACCUUCAAAAAAUUGUGCCCUUAGGUCACUAAAGACAAUUCUUUCAUUGCAUUACAUAUUGGAGCAUGACUUGGUUAUGUUGUUAUUGGUAACUCAAUGGUGAGCUUAUGUAAUCAUACCAGGAUCAAGGUACAACCCUAAUGCACCUUAAGUACUAUCUUAAUGAACUUGAGCUACUACCUUAAUGUACCUCAGGUACUACUUUAAUGUACCUUAGGUACUACCUUAAUGCACCUUCGAGAAAUGUUGCUUUUCUGUGAUUGAAGACACAAUUAUUUCAUUGCAUUAUAGAUUGGAGCAUGGCAUUGUUAUGUUCUAUUUGUUACUUAAUCAGUAGCUUAUGUAAUUAUAACAAAUUUAAGGUACUACCUUAAUGCACCUUAGGUACGACCUUAAUGAACCUAAGGUACUAUCUUAAUGCACCUUCGAGAAAUGUUGCUCUUCUAUGGCUAAAGAGACAAUUAUUUCAUUGCAUUACAAAUUAGAGCAUGACAUUGUUAUGUUCUUAUUGGUUACUCAAUCGAUAGCUUAUGUAAUCAUAACAAAUUUAAGGUACUACCUUAAUGCGCCUUAGGUAUGACCUUAAUGAACCUGAGGUACUACCUUAAUGUACCUCAGGUACUACUUUAAUGCACCUUCAAGAAAUGUUGCUUUUUUGUGACUGAAGACACAAUUAUUUCAUUGCAGUACAAAUUGGAGCAUGGCUUUGUUAUGUUCUUAUUGGUUACUUAAUCGGUAGUUUAUGUAAUCAUAACAAAUUUAAGGUACUACCUUAAUGCAUCUUAGGUACGACCAUAAAGAACCUGAGGUACUACCUUGUACCUCGGGUACUACCUUAAUGCACCUUUGAGAAAUGUUGCUCUUCUGUGAUUGAAGACACAAUUAUUUCAUUGCAGUAUAGAUUAGAGCAUGGCAUUGUUAUUUUCUUAUUGGUUACUCAAUCAGUAGAUUAUAUAAUCAUAACAAAUUUAAGGUACUACCUUAAUGCACAUUCGAGAAAUGUUGCUUUUCUAUGAUUGAAGACACAAUUAUUUCAUUACAUUGCAGAUUGGAGCAUGGCAUUGUUAUGUUCUUAACCUCUUGGAUGAAUAUUUUCAAAUUUAUGCACAAUCUUCUAAGCAUAAGCCAUUUGUUAUUGUAUGGUGUCUCAUAUUAAUUUUUCAAUUGUCACCUUGUAAUUUAAUUGUUAGUGUAUGGUUUAAAAUUUAUGAUCACAUAUUCAGAUUUUAAAAUCUACAAUCGUGUGCUGUCAUCUCUAUUUUGAAACUGCAUUUGAUAGACUCAUUCUUGCUAUUGAAAUAUACAAAUUCUGAUAUAUGCUUUGCGUUUUUCAUCUCCUAUCCAAAUUAAGGAUGACAUGUGAGUGGACCUUCACCAGAUGGUGUAUACACCUCGAUGGUGUCUUACUUUUAGACAUCUCCUUGGCAAUGUAGUGAAUUAGUGUUACUGUGAUGUGUUGCUUAUGAUAUUCUGGAUGGUGUCUUAUGAUAGUCCACCAUGCUUGUGUUUGGAAAAAUAUAGACUUAUGGUCUUAUCUACCUUAUCAAGUUGUACACGGUAUUUAUAGUUGGUUUAUUUCUAAAUUUAUACGGUGCAUCGUAUAAUGUCUCUGAUUUUUGUGUGCAGGACUUCGAAGUUGAUGAACUCUCACAAAUAUUUCUUUUUGUAUCAGAAUUUGUAGAUUGUAUGAAGUAAAGGAUGAUCAACCUACAGAUGCAUUUUGGAACCCUCUUUACCCCUUGCAACGGAGGAUGUUGUUCCUUUAAGAGAGCAAGUGGCAACUCUUGAAGAUUAACAUCAGGAUUCUCAUAUCCCAAAUGAUGUUAAGUUAAGGCCUGGAUGAUCAGGAGAGAUUUCCAUCAUCAGUAGGAGCUCAACCAAAUAUGAAGAAGAUGAGGAAAUACCACAUAAAAAAUAAGAGGAAUCUAGUCACUAGGGCUGAAGCCUGAUAGAUCAAGAUUUCAAGGUCGUGGAAGAGGAACAAGGAGAGGAAGCGGAAAGAGUGGCAUUUUGGCUCAAUCUAGAAUUUCAUUUGGGUUGAAUCCAGUCAUUUUGGCUGCACAUUCAUGUCCACCGUCUUUGGCAUCAGAAGAGGAACUCAUGAUAAAGACAACAAAAUUAUGGAUGGUUCAGAUUUGGCCUAUUUUAGUAGUUAUGUUCAAUUAUUUUAAAAAGUCUCUAUUAUUAGUGUCUUGAGUUCACAACUAAUGGGACUUUGGAUUCUCUUUGUUGGAAGAUUACUUGAUGACCGGUUCUUAAAAUAAAUCCAAUUCAGAACAAGCAAUUCAAAUAUAUAACAUUGCUUAUUAUUAAUCUAAUUAUUAUUAUUAUUAUUAUUAUUAUUAUUAUUACCUUUGUUGAUAAUCAAAUGCAGUUUUUAAAAAACCCCACAAAAUGAUGCGCAAAAUGAAUAGUUGACAAUUUGUGGGAAGUGCAUUCUCAUCAUAUCCGGGUAUGGUUGCCACAUUAAUAUGCCAUCACACAACCCUGUUGAACCCAAUAUCUGAUAUCAAACCUAAAGAUUUCUCUUUCUUUUCCUAAGAUGAUUUAAUAAGAUUGUUAUUAAAUAAAAGAAAAGAAACUCGUGAUAGGAAGAAAUUCAUCCACAUGCUUAAGGUCAUCUCAGCACCUUACAAUCUCAUCAAAUCACCAGUGCCACUACUCUUGAAUGUUUCCUUACGAAUACCAACCAAUGUCUUCACCAUCACCCAUGAGACCUGAAUUUGUCACCAUGGUUUAGAGCAUUCAGUUUCAAAACCAUGGUCCUUUUAUUUUAACUACAAUUGUAGAGGCCACUAGCAUGGAAUAGAACAUUGAAAUAUGGAAAACAUAUUUAAGAAAUGCCUGAUCUUCAUUAAGAUUUUCUCACUAAAACGAAACACAAACAUAGUCCAUGGAAUUUAUACCUUAGCAUAAUUAUUAUACCAUAGUCAACAAACCAAAGAAACCUCCAAACUACCAAAAACCUUGAGAGAAAUUGCUAUCUAAAACCUUACACACCAACUAAUUAUGAAAGGAAUACCCAUAAACAAGGUACUACACUGACCAUAGAAGGAUAAACUGAAAGAUGAUCAAGUUAGAAAUAGAAAUUUCCAGUCUCUGUGUCUCAUUUUCCUAUUAAAUUAUUACUUUUUCCGAUAAAAAUGUUGUCACUUUGGAUCACAGUUGAAAAACUAAUAUGUUGUUGAAUCAGUCACCAAUGCACCACGGACGCGCACAUUUCAUCAACAUAACAAAUUAUCACCUAUUUACUUUUCUCCAUGUUCUUCCUUCCUUUCCUACACAUUAUUUCACAUUAAUCAACAACCCUAUUACAGUCAUGAAAAUCCUCACUUGAAGAGGAUUGAAUAAUUGAUUUAUUAGUGUACUAAUUUUGAUCAUAUGGAAAGAUGAGUUUGCUUGAUACAAUCUGAAGAAGGAGGAUAACAUAUGACCUAGUAUGAGAUUGCUCCCUCUCGUAGGCUAUAGUACCAGCAUCACCAGGCAGUCUUUGUUUUCCUUACGCGUUGUCCAUUGAUGUACAUAAACUCCUGACUAUCACUAUGACCAAAAUCCUAUUGUUACAAUGGUUAGUGACAAACAUAUAUAGAACACAAAUAAUGGUUUUACAAUGGGAAGAAAACCACAUUAGCCCACAAGAUAACCAUUCAGUCAUUUCUAGACAAACUACAAUCAAGCAUUGCUUUAUAGGGCUAGUAGCAUCAGUUAGGAAAAUACUUAUCAUCAACCAUCAGUCCCAAUUGAUAGGAGUCCAUAAUUUUAUCUCUGACGUUGUUCCGUUCAUUGAGCAGUAACUUCACAACUAGCUGGAGUCGGUACAUGUGCAUCUUGUCCUACAGAAGUCGGAACAACUGAUUUCAUGUUUUUGGAUAAAAUAAAAAGAUAAACAGUACAAAUUAGGGUGUAAACCAACUCUAACCUCUACCAAUGAAGUACUUAAGGUUGCUUAAUUCCAAAAUUCCAUGAAGUUAAGAGCGAUGAUACCACAUUCGUACCUAUAACACAUCACGCUUAGGCUUGUCAUGUAGAUGAUUGAAAUAUGAGAAAUAUAAUUAAAUGCAAAUGACUUUAUUGCUUAGAAUAUAUGAAUCUUUUACCCAUUAAGUUGUUGGACAAGAUGUGGUUGCACAUACACAAAUUUUGAGACAUCCAGGUCCAUGUGAAUUCCAUGUGCAUGCAGUGCUUUGUGGAUAACCACUGAUAAUCACCUGGUUGAUGCACUAAUGUUGUUCCCCCAUCGCAAUGGCAAAAAUGAAAGGAUCUCAACUCGUCUAAUCGGAAAGUUGACCACGUGUAAGUGCCAGUGAUUGUUUUCACAUACGGGGAUAAACAACUGCAUGUUCAUUACAGAGUUAUUAGGUUUUACGUUAUUAGAUAACAGUCAUGGCAAAUGCCAUUGCAUAUAUUAUUAAGGAAAGUAACUUUAACAAGCAUUAUUUACCAAAUCACAUGUUCCCAGAUCAUGACCCAAUAUGUCAGCAUCCACAUACAUGCGACAUCUGUCCAUGAUGACCUAGCUGGUUGCAUUUGCUUUCAGGUUGUUGAGAACAACCUGUUCAAGGGUGAGAUUAAUCAAUACAAACAUCAACAAAUACUAUUCUAUUUUGACACCAUCUAAAUUUAGGAUAUUAGAGGGUCCACCAAGAACGAAGGAUCAAAAUAGUGUGCUCACGCUGGUGGUGCUUGCUGUCCAUUCAACAUGUGGGACAUAAUCGCCAUAAUCUGAAAAAGUUAUGGAAAUGCACAUAUUUUACAACCUCAAUCUACACUUUAUGCAUUCAUAUUACCUAUUAAUUGGGAAUUCAAUUCAACUAAAGGACAAGUAACUUACCACAGAAUUAACCCACCGCCUUACAUUUAGACAAGACAUUUCUUCCCCGGUAAUGUACAUCCCAUACAUCUCGCACAAAAUCUCAUUACAAUGAUAGAAAAGGAUUUUUGUCAUAUUGAUGUCAAGUUAUUCACAUAUUAUAUCACUGUAACAAUCAUUGGUACAAAAAAUAAAUGUACCUAGGAUCACCAUUUUAUGCCAAUGCGCAAUCCGCUACUACCCUAUCAGCAUGGGGGAUUUUAGGGAAUGUUUAACGCAUUACACGACAAACGGGCUUUUGCAAGUGGGAGGAUGCUUGACAAUCCUCUUAGCAGUCCGCUUAAAUCUCCUCAUAAAUGAAAGUCUAACUAAUUGGCUGCCACUUCCACUUGCCCCAUCAUUUUCCAAUGCUUCUUCUAUUCUCAAUUCUGGUGGAAACGAUGACACUACAUGAAAUUGUGGGGACAGUGACUGGGAAUUAAUGGCUGCUGGUGAUGCUUCCAUUCCAAUUAGCGAGUGGGGGGUUGUUGCGAGGCUGUCUUGUGGUACCAUUUCUUCAGCUGAAGGCUACUUGUCCGAUGUCUCGUGCCUUGGUUGAUAUUCAGCUGGCUGUGCUGUCUGUGGGCAAGGGACUGAAGAAGUCCUGUCUAAUCCACAACGCCGAGAACGUAAUGCAACAACAUCCCGUGCCAAAGAGGAAGCUAAUCUCAGCAUAGUCUCUAAUGUCUCAAUGAGACGAGCUUCAAGUACCUAUUACAUAGUGGGAAAUUUUAUAUACUUGUAUUCAUUGUAUGGAAGAAUUGGUAUACGUGGUGAGUGGGCAUGUACUAUCUCGGUAGCAUUGUCAGAAGUUAAGAAUGUUGAAGCUACUAAUGGUACAUUCAAGUGGGGUGUGCUUUCUGGUUGCUUUUGUGCCUGCGUGUUGCAUCAACAGUUCAAUGUGAUAAUCAACAAAUUGGUUAUUAGUUGAAUAAGCUAAUAUUGUUUAUAAAAUGUAGGGAAAUAUUUGUUAAGUUAGAGCAUACAUGCACAUGUCCAUAAGCACCGAAUGUUGAUAUUUUAGCUGCUAAUCGGCAUUUGAUUACUUCAUCACUCCAAGCGACAACUAGCGGGCUAGUAACUUCAAUUUUAUUGACGGCAUGUAGAAGUAUGCCAUGAAGAACAACUGUGCAAGGGUAGUAUAUGAGACGAGGAACAUUAAAAAAGCAAAUUGCAGUAAACAUGACAUUCAAAUUAAAAUGUAAACUAAGUUCAUCCUAAUUACAUAAUGUGUUGGAGCCUUUAUUGUACCUGUAGGAACAUGAGGCAGCCUCAGAUGUAAGUAGGAUGAUUUUUGCAAUAAUCCCUGAUUCCAUCCUCUAAGUAUUGGAACACAAACUUGGCCCAAUUCCUUUGGACACCAACAUCACCAUCCCAAAUGGUAUUCCAAAGGCCAUAGAUCCCUUCAAGCUUUGAGUUUGGUGCCAGCAUAGUGGCACAUGAAAAAAUUAAAAAUGAUUUUAAGAAUUCAUCACAAACUGGCUGAUUCUCAAGGUUUUGCUCCAGUAUGCAGAGGCUGUAUGUGCGAUUGAUCGGGGCUGUUCUUUUAAGGACAACCAUGUCUAACCCGGUACUAGGGAUGGCCAUGACCCUAUUGACAUGUUCUUCAUUGAUAGGGAUAGCAUUGUCGAUUGCCAUAUUCAGUUUAUGUAAAGUCGUAUUGAGAAAUGAGCCACCCACAUAGCUCAUACCUCAGUUCGCGACAUGCAAAGCUCAAUAGUCCCCUAAAGCCCAUCUCCUUAAUGGCUUGUUGUUUUUCAUCGAAUAGACAUGCAAUGACACUAAUAAAUUUCUUCCUUGAAAAACGGGACUUAGGAAGCUUUUCCUAUAGUAAAAAUGUAAUAUUUGUUAGUGACAAAAAAAUGCAAGAUAUGGAAAUUUGGAAUAAGGUUGAAAAUGAAGAUUCAAUCCAUUUUGGAAUGAAAACUCUUUUGUCAAUAUGUGUACAUGUUGGUGGAAUGUGCUCUUUCAUUUUUCUGUGUUCUAUGGCCAUGUCUAUAGUGAGAUAACCUUAUGUUUGGAAGAUGAAACUGAAAACUCAAGUUUUGAGACCCUACAAAUUAAAGACUGUUAGCGUAAAGUGUCGUAUGGUAAUGCAUAAGGCAUGAAAAAGUUCAUUUACAAAUAAAUUAUAAGAGUCUAGGAAAAAUAAACAUAGAUUUGGAAAAAAUUUGAACAAUACACUAAUAAAUGGAAGCUACCAAUAAGAAAAUUAACUAGUUUUCUUCUUAACCAACCAAAUAGUUGAAUAUUAAGGACAACAACAAUAACUAUUAGUUGCACAAUUAGUAUAAUAAAGUGAAACAAAUUUUUUGUUUAACUAUUAGAUGCAAUUUUCUAGGAAAUCAAUGGCCUUAUACAUAGUCAAGAGUAUGAAUAUGAUAGUUGUAAAAAGGAGUAAAAUUGAGACAACUAUGGCUUUCAAAAAAUUGAAAUUGAUUUAUGUGAGUGUGAUUGGUUUAGCACAAGUUCAACACUUGUGAAACAUCAAGAAGAUAGGCAAGUUUUUGAAGGGCACAGAGAAAAGUUCUAAACAUGAUCUUGCUGCUGGCCAAAAUAGUCAAGUGUAGGGAUUUACUUCUGCUAAUAAAUUAUGCAGACAUUUGUAUUUGCAAGUUUAAUAUGAAAAGAAGGGAUCCAACAAGUAAAUACGGUUCUAUGAUAAUCCAUUCGACACAAGGAUCCCAUUAUACCCAGUUUAAAAUAACCGCAUAUAAUAAAAAAGUCAUUGGCAAUAUCUAUGAUAGUUAUUCCUCAUCUUAAAACUUUGAAAAGUUAUAAGAUCGAGUUUUUUCCUAAUUUACACCAGGCUCAUGUUUAACUAGUUUAAAGUCAAUAAAAAAUAAUGAACAAACCAUAAUUUUCAAAACUAUGACAAGACUCACAAACAAGUCAACAAGCAAUAUCAGAACUUUAGUGCCCAUCUUAGAAUUUUAGCAAGUUACUAAAGACAAAUAGAGUCAUCUUGGAAAGCAAAGCUCAUAUUUUAAGAUUGAACACUCCUAGCAACUGAAAGUUAUAUAUCUACAUAAGAAAAAAAUUUAAAUAUUUCCAAAACAUAAAUUUUAUAGAUGCAAUGUAAGUCAAAUUUGUUUUUGUCCAAAACAAAAAGAACUUUACAUUCAACAAUGCCCUAGUAAGCACCUAUAUGUUGCAAGAAUUCUUAUACAACAUUAAAAAAUGGGAUAAUAACCACCAUGUAUGUAGUUAGACAAGAUAAGUGGUGGUGACGGGAGAAAGGGGGAAUGGUGGAAAACAAAGUAUAACAAAAUAUUCGGAUUGAACAGUAUACAUGGAUAUAUAUAUAUAUAUAUUAUGUUGGAGAUGAUUGUCCAAUCCCCAGAAGGGAAAAAUGUAAAUAAUAAUAUUAAUAACAAUAAUAAUUAUUAUUAUAAUAAUGUGUAGAAAAAAAAUCUAAUAUCAAUAGUACAUCAAUAAUUAAGGGAUAUGAUAGCAAAAAAAGUUGGCCCUGUCAGGAGUACAACAUAUAUAAUAACAUAGUUCAGUUUGAUAAUGAAUUCUAAUAGAAUGAAACCUAUAUCUAAUGGAAGGGAGGGAUGUGUUUUUGAAACUGAAUAUGUUAUGAAAGAAAAUUUGGAUUCUUUGCCAUUCAUCUUGGUUUACAAGUGUUGGACAUGUACGACAUGAAUGUUGGUUCAUUUCUGGUUAGGAAGGGUCUUUAAUUUAACUCAAUGGACAUAGCAAGUGACAGCAAAGGUACAAAACAUUGACAUAGUAACACUCAUUCAAUGAGAACCAAUUCACUUAAGUUAGUUCAAAUAUGGUAGUACAAGAUCUGAACAAUGCAAUAAGGUGACAGAUAUGCAUUGAAGGCAAAUGAUUCUUGCACGUUUUUCUGUUGUGGUCGAACAUAUGACAACAAGAGCAAUAGACCGUCCGUUUAUCUUGAAAUUGGGACUUAAUGCGCUUCUUCCUUGGCCUUCCGGGAGGCCCUUUGUAUGUGAAGGCUUUAGAGAGAAGAAAACCUCCCUAGUGAUAGAUCGAACCAAACCAUCAUCAUUGUAGUAAUCAUUAAUGAAAUUAGUAAUGUUUUGGCCAAUGAAAAUGAUGGCAGCUGCAACAUGUUCACAAGGGAUUCCCAACAUUCGCCAACCCCUAUAAGUGCACAUAUGGUUCAUAAUGUCUACAUUCAACAAGGCCCUCCCGAUACAUGCCCCAAAUGCUCCAUUCAUGAACGGUGUGACCGGAUACACCUCACCAUUUUCAAUAUUUUGCAGCACCUUAUCUUCAAUUUUUGGGCCUAUAAACCUUUUCUUAUUGUUGGACUCUUCUUGAUGCUUCACAAGCAUAGAACCUAACUUGGACAUGUGCUCCAAUAAAAAGUUACAAAUGUAGUGAUGUUUUUCAUUCUGUAAGCAAGCAUUAAAUGACUCGGCAAGGUUGGUAGUCAUUUUAUCCUUUUUUUUUUUUUUUUAGGAAUUUUGGCAUGGCCUAAUAGUUGAUUCGAGCCCAAUCGGUGUCUCAGCUGAUUCAUGUCCAGCUGGUGCUCCUUGAUUGAGGUAGUAAUCAACAAAAUUUAUAACCUAUUACACCAUGAACUAGGGUAGCAAAGACAAAGCUACUAUAGCAUAGUGGCUCUAGGAUCGUUCACUGGGAAGGGUUUUCAACUCUCAACUGAUACCAAUUCAAAGCUGAGUUGGUGCUUUUUCAUUUCAAGGUUAGCUUUAAAAGAAAACAUAAAGAUGUUUGAGUGAAAAGGGUUUGGUCUUAAACUAACCAAAAAGAAAGUAAUGGAAAUUACUUAUGAAGAAAAACAUUCCUUGGAGGUUUAGGUUCACAGGGGAGGUUCCUUAUGCAAAAACAGAGCUCCGAUCAUUUGGUUCAUUUCCUCGCAUUAGAGAAUUAACAUAAAGUCAAUUCUCUAACCGGUGCGGUACAGCUGCUUCCCUUUAAUGGGUUCAAACACUAAAUCCCUCUCACUGAUGCAACUUGCAAUGGCUCGUGCCUCUCACCUAGCAUUUUCCAUUCAAGGUGAUCUUUAACCUUGGACUUCCCUUCUCAAGCUCGCAAGAGAUAACUAAUGGAUGUCUCCUUGGAGUCCAAAAUCUUACCAAGUGUUGGCAAUUCUAGAAAAUCCUACUUCCAAGUCACUUCCCAAAAGCUCGCAAGAGAUAAACAAGUGCAUCUCCAUGGACGGAGAUAAUGUGCCUUACCAAGCGUUGGCUCAAGUGACUUGGAGGUGUUUUAAGUUAACUAAAAACAUAGAAAUCAUUAAAGGAUCACACUUUCUCUUCAUUAAUGACUGAAACCACACAACUAUUAACUCUUGCACUUGGAACCUUUCCCGGCAACCUUAACUCCAAGGAACUAAAAGUCUAGCCACUCAUUCUCUGAGGAAACUUCCUUAGAGUUUGUUUGGCUAGUAAGAAAACUAACGAGAAAACAAAUAUAUGAAGGAAAAACAGAGCAAGUGCUCUCUGAAAUAUAUUUCUUCCUUCCCUGAUUACAUAAUAAUCCCUUUGUAAAGAAAAUUACAAAACUAUAUAUAUGAGGUUAUUCACCAUUUUUACUUACUUAAAGACUAAGGAAUCCUAUGAUAAGUGGAUUACAAGGAGAGUUUGUGGAUUUAGACAACAAAUAUCUAAAGCAAAAUAUCCCAAAAUAUCUCAAAAUGUCGGUCGGAAAUAUCAGGAAGCUUCAGGAGAACACUGCUGCACUGUAUACUGAGAAAAAACUCUGCCGACAAGCGUUAUCAGAAGGUCCGGAUAUGUUUAUUCGAAGAAGUUGAAGCGUCCUCCUCUCCUAUCUGGCUAUGAAAUAUCCGGAUGUAAAAUGUCAGCGCACGGAAUUCCGGAUAUGAAAUGUCGGUGCACGUAUCCAGAUGUAAAAAUGUCGGCGCACGGAAUUCCAGAUAUGAAAUGUCCCGCGCUGCCAAGCUAUCCGGAUCAACUCCAUCCGGAUUCCCCUAAGAGGACAUGCGCGCCAUGCUAUCCUGCUCUCGUGAACAUCACAUUCCGGAUGAUAACACAUCCUAUCCGGAUAUAGUGUCCGGAUGGAAAACAUUGACUAAAGUGAGCAAGCCUUGCUACAGCCCACGUUCCGCCACUCUCCAAUGGUGUGUCCGGACGCCCUGUCCAGACAUUUUUUGCCAUGGAUUCCAAAGAACUCUCCUCAAUCUUGGAUUGCUUUGGUGAUAAAAAAGCUAUCAAACACCAAAACUUAACACAAUUUGAUUAAAAUUGAUUGUCAGGGUCCUUAAUAUGUUAAUUGGGUUAAAAAGUGAUAACUACUGCUCAAAAGUGUUUAAAAGAGUUUAUUACAAGCUAUCAAAUAGCACUUUUUGAGUAGUAAUCAAUAGCCCAAUGGCAAGACACAUUUUCUUCAACCCAUGUGGCUAAAGCAUCAUUGUAUUUUUUUAGUUCAAACAUGGAAACGUUAUAAUCAUGUUCUAACCUUGCAUACACAAUACUAUCUAGGAAUUGAAGUGCAUUUUCUUUACCCUUGUUCCCUCGUGUGUUAUGCUUGGACAAGAAACUACUAAAAUUCUCCUUCAAGUGACGAUAGCAAUAGGCAUGGUUUUCAAGGUCAAACACCUCAAGAACACUACAAAGGAGAGCAAGAUGUCUAUCUAAGAUAAUAAUAAUUUCCUUGUUUCCAACAACUAUCUUCAAUUUUUCCAAGAACCACAACCAAUCUUCAUAAUUUUUCGAGCUCAUCACUCCAAAGGCAUGAAGUUAUUAGCAUUGUAGGUGGUGGCUGAAAAUAGUGCACCGCCAUUUGGCCCACUCAUGUGGUCCGAAUCAAUUGCAAUGAUUGGUCGACACCCCAUUACAAACCCUUGGAUAGAUAUUGAAUGAGCAAGAAAAAACUGCUCAAAAUGGCCAUCAUCAGAAUAACUCAACUCAACGCUCAAUCUUGGAUUUGUUGCAAGCAUUCUUUCACACAUCCAUGGCAACAAUUUGUAAUAAUUUUUUGGUAGUCCAUAAAUAGCUCCUUAGCAUUCUCCUUUAUUUUCCAUGCUUGAAGGUAAGUCAACUGGAUGCCAUGUUGCCUUACAAAGUCCUUACAAAUUUGUCGUGGUUGGUAUUCAGGAGUAGAUCAAACGACAUCAUCAAUGACCAAUGAGGCACAAGUGGAUCUCACUAAAGGUUGAGACAAGGCAAUAUCUCCCAAGCAAUGGUUAUGUACAUUUUGAAAUGUGCGUACUUGAACAAUGUUUGAAUCCCCUAUUGCACGAGCAGUGAUUUUCCAAGGACAAUCUUCAAUUGUGCAUACUACAGUCAUGCGUUUUGAACUAUUCAUUUUGUAAGAAUAUUGGAAUUUUCUAGCCAAAUACAUCAAAUAGAUUGCAUCUCGAAACUCUGAGACAUUUGGGAAGGUAUGUCCACUACCUAUAAUUGAAUGUCGGAACCGGCUUGGUUGAAGUUGAAUGAUAUUUGUUUCAGCACAUAUUUGGGAAAACCCAAAUGACUCAAUUGUAGGCGACUCAUUAGAUAUGUUGCAAUGGGGGCUCACCAAUGGAGGAAACAUGUGCCGAGUUUGAAACAACAAUAGGUGUUGGGGCACUGCGAAAAAAACAGGGAAAGAAAUUGAUCAUCCAUCAGCCUAUGUGUGAAAGUUGAUUAAAAAGGGAAAAUUAUUAUGGGAAGACAUUAGGUACCUAGUAAGGGCAAUGAAGCCAGCACCACCUUCAACACAUUGGCAGACAUAGACACGACAAAACAUGUUAUUAAUUUAAACAUCUUGACUAUAUCGGCAUUAUUAUUCAUCAUCGAGAGUAGACAUGAUGGGUCAAACUUCACUAUGAAAUCCAAUUUAAUUGAAUUGGGCUCCAAGUUCAGUUCACCACAUACUUUGAAACAAAUUCAGAAUCUGAGAUAUUCUUGCUAACAAUGCAAUUGGUCCUACCACCCUUAUAUUCAACAGACCCAACAACAAUCUUAACAAGCUCACCAUCUUCUGGAAUGUAACAAAACAUCUCCUCUUCCAUUUCCUUAAUGACAUAAAGAUUUGUUACAAAUAAUAUAACAACGAAAGAUUGAGGAAUUAUGUAUGUUGAUUGCAUUUUCUUUUAUGUAGGAAAUAUAUAAGACAACUUUUAUUCACAAAUGAAGUAUUUGAAUCUUCAAAAAUGCAAUUUCCAGUCGUCACAUAGGUAGUACCCAAGGUGGGCUAAGGUAGUACCUGAUGUUGACUAAGACAGUACCUACAGUCGAUUAAGAUCGUACUUUCAAGAAUAAUUAGCUAGUACAUAAGGUUAACUUAGCAGUAGAAUAAGAUUAACCAACUGAUCACCAAAAUAAAACACAAUGGGCUAAGGUAGUACCUAAUAGAUUGGUAAGUUCUAUGCGCAAUUGAGUAUGUUUUAUGCACGUAGCCCAUGCAAUGCCACUUAUUGGUUAUAUCCUUGUGAAAUGGACUACGUACUGACCAAGGAAUUACCUAAUGUUAAGGAAUGAAGUCACUAAGACUAAUAUGAGAAGUGAACAUUUUCUAACCAGCAAACCACUUCUAAAAAUUUGGUCACCCAUAAUGACAAGCAAGGUUUUGUUAGAUCAACUUAUUUUUUUAGGACAUCUUCAUCAAGAUGGGAAGUUUGUAUUGUUACAGUAAAUACAAAAAGCUACGGAAUGGGAAUAGGUUUAUGGUUAGCCAUGGAGAUGAAGGUAGUUUUCUAUUCUGUAGAGGACCAAAACUGAGAACAAUACCCAUGAAGAUCUGGCUCCUCUCCACACCGUUUAUUCAUAAAGAACCAUUUAUCUAAAGAGUAGAGUGUCAUAAAAUUUUCAUUUCUUCAUUCAAGUCAUUGAAAAUUUAGUUACUUCAUUUGAAGGGUUACAAUUAUUACCUGCAUAUAUAAAAUAUAAAUUUGACUAGAUAAUUUUAACUGCUGAAACCUAUAUCAUUUUUUAAGCAUUUAUAGCAACUGCCUAAUAGUUCAAGUAAUUUUAUAUAAAAAUAUGAAAAUAAAACUGAUAAAAUUAUCAAAUCUAGGUCAUUUUGUGCUAAAUGGGAGCAGUCACAGACAAACAAAACAAAAAAUAUAUAGAUCAAUAUGCAUUUCAUCCAUUCUACUUGCAUUCCCUAGUUCCUAAAAUCUUAUUAAGGAAACUAAACCACUACAUGGAUACCAACAGUUCCUAUAUAGCCUUUCCUAUUUCCAUAUUCUAAAAGGGAUCUCUAAAUCAAUAUCAAUUACUAAUCAACAAGAAGAGUAACAUAUACUAACCAAAAAUAUUUGAAGAAAUGGGACGUGAAUUUAAAUUAUAGACAUAAAAAAAAAAAUAACAAAAACUUUAGCACCCAUCAACCAUCAAUAUCAUAAAAAACCCAAAAAGCUGAGUAAUUUGGAAUCUAAAAAUCACCAUUUCAAAAGCACUUAUUUCGAUCUCAAAAGAAAUACAUCCUCCUGAAAAAGUGUUCUUUUUGGUAAUCCACUGCAAAGCCCAAUCCAAAAACACAAUCCAAUAAAUGGGUUUCACUAAAAAAUGCAUUGUUUCCCAACACCCAAAAAUAGGAAGGAAAAAAAGGUUCAUUUUUGGCAAAUCAGUUCAAAAUCCGUUUUUCCCAGUUCAAAACCACAACAAAAAAAAAUGGGUUUUUCAGCAAAACGAUUCCCAACCCAUAUUCUUGCCUUCAUUUGAUAUCAAAACAGAAAAGUUUUGGGAAUUUUCCAAUCCAAAUAAAACCGUAGAAACUGAUAAAAACGCAUGGAAUUGAGAAAAUGGAUGAUGAUUCAUUACGAAUAGAUUUAAAAACUGAUUAUGAACUCCUAGAUGCCAAAAUUUGAGUCACACCUAAUUGAGAAAAAACCCAGACAAACAUGAGAUUUUUGUGAUGUGAAUGCAAAUGCAAAAGAAAGAAGGAAUGGGUUACCUUGGGAGAAAAAAUCUAAGAUGAGACAAAUGGGAUUAAGGGCUUUUGAACUGAAGUGAGAGAAAUUUUUGAAAACUAUACAUGGUUCUCAGCUUCGCCUCAGUGAUGGAGUGAAGAAACAUGAGAGAAAUGGGUAUCAAAUGAGAGAGAGGAAAGAAAGAAUCAUCGGCUACGGUGUUUUUGUGGGAAUGUCAAAUUUUGAUUUUUGAGUUUUCAAGCGGUUCAGUUUCGGCCCGUGAUGACAUGGACUCAAAGAUGUUGUUGACCUGGAGACCUGGGGGGCAAUCUCGGCCUAAAAUAUGCACCCGACUCAGAGUGCAUAAAAAAUAUAUAACUUUCCACAUUAAAGCUAGUUUUCAUAUUUCAUAAAUAUGGUUUUGAAAACCAUAUAUGUCCCAAAUGGCCCCAUCAACACACAAGUUUCCCAAGAAGAAAACAUCUUUCCAAUUAGCAUUCACACUAUGGUUUUCAAAUAGGUUUCAGUAUGCCAUUAUAUCCUAUGUCAAUAAUUCACCAUUAGUGGGUAUACCAAAAGAUUCUUCCUAUGAAUCAUACCUUCUUUAAAAAAAUAUAAACUUGACUUUUUUCAUGCCUCUAUUGAUUCUACACAACAUUCUGUUUGGAUCAGUUGUCAUAUUUCUCUUGCAUUCCUAUGUUUCUGAUACCAAGUAUAUCAGAUAAGAGUUUUUUUUUUUAAAAAAAAAAAAAAAAAAAAAAAAGAAACCUCAAACUACCCUUGAUUUCAUGAGGGAAGAAGAUUAAGGAUGAAAAUAGACCACAGUGUAUUGCAUAAAAAAUUUUAUGACUCUGAAGUGUUUGAUUUCAAUAAUGCGCAGAACACUCAUGUUCUAUCAACAACUCCUAGUGGCUCAAGUAGUGGAUCAACUAUAUUAACAGCAGCAAAAUUAGCAGUAAUGUCACCAGGGACGGAGACUGAUGGAUCCAUCUUAUGUCUAUCUGAUAGUAAUUCAAUAGUUGGUAUCAAACCAACACUUGGUCUUACCAGCUGAGCUGGGGUGGUUCCAAUCUCUCCUAGGCAGGACACAGUUGGGUAGGUAAUGUUUCAUCUUCCUCAAUCCAAAUACAAGACUAUCAUUUGUUGAGCAACCAAAUAGAGCAGACUGGUCCAUCUUAUUGACGAACAUAGAAAAGAAGAAAUAACAAUGAAAAGUUGGGAUCUUACAAUUAUUUAAAUUUCAAAUGAUGAUUUUUAGUAGUGAAUUUUGUGUUUAUACUCUUCAUCCAGACCGAAGCCAAUCAAGCAUCAAUGAAUGUAACUAGAUUUUAUUAUAUGCAAUACAAGAUCUUCACAUGGUUCUGUCAAUUUGUUAGGCUUUGAUAUAAAUCUGCUUGCUUUAUGAUCAUCGGCAUGUGCUUCACUACUUUGUUUUUAACUGGAGAACUUCAUAGUUUUGUUAUAUCCAUUGAUCUCAGAACUCAAUGGUGUUAAUUCUAGUAAGAACUCCUAACAUGUUGGAUGCAACAGGCCUAUCUUAGGACAACCUUCUAUUCUAUAGAGAUAUUGGAUGUCAUUGUUGGUUUUGACUAUAGGGAUGAAGCAACUAGGACAACAUCCAAGUACAAACCAUAAGGUAGCUAUAAGCAAUUUCUCAAUGCAAAUGAGAUCAGGGAGAAGAGAUUGUAAUAAGUACAAAUGCUAAGAAACAAAACAGAUCAUGAUCAGAAUUCUUCCAAAAAAGAAUAGAGAAAAAAAAUGAAAAAUAUUGGAGAAAGCAUUUCGCACGAUCUUGCUUUGGAUAUUGAAAUGAAAAACAAUAGAGUCCCAACAGUUCACAAAACCUAAAAAACUCCAAUGUAAAUCUAUAGCAUUUCACAUAAUAUUGCUUAAAAUAUUGAAAGAUCGUGACCUUCUCUCAAAAGAAGUCCUUCAAUAAAUAUGGAUUAAGGGUUUUCCUCCCUCCUUUAGAGAAAAUAGUGUUAGACCAUAGGGUAGGGCAGGGCAAAUGAAAGAGAAAACAAAUCAGGGUUUUGAUUAAAAGAAAAGGAAACCCAUUGGAAUCUUAGAAUGCAAAUCUUACCCCACUUCCAGUUGGUAGCUAGACUCCUUACUUGAGCUACUCCUCUAAUCCCGACUACAUCGACUGAAUCUUUCACUUUUGAAAUGAAAACCUCCAGAUCUCAGUUCGUUUCUGGUUACUUCAUGGAAGAGAAGGCCAAAUAGCUCUAUCUAUGGAGCACUAGUGCAUCAUUAGGAAGUGAAGCUUAGAGUGUAUGCUCUCAAAUAUUCCUACCACCAUGAGAUUCCAAGACUUUUGGAGGGAAAUCCUGUAGAAGGAAUGAAACUUUUAGCUAAAUAUAUUCACUGUGUAACACUUUUAAGAAGUGAUGAGGAUAAAAAAAAAAAUUUAUAUAUAUCAAUGACACCUUUCAGAAGAGCCAAGGAUGCAAAAAAUGACGCUUAAAAUAAGCGCCAAGAUUUUUAACCUCUACCGUUCCAUGACGCUUGUAGAGCGCCAUAGUAAAGGAGCGUCAACGUCUAGGCAUGAUAAGCUAAAUAGAAACUUUUCUAAUAGCAUCCAGAAAGAAAAAGUCAUUGUUUUUGUGUUUUUUUUUUUUUUAGUAGUGCUAGUGAUUAUAUUUGCAUCCUUCAAAUAUCGUUACACAUCUAAUUAAAUUUUUAAAAAUUUAGGAUAAAAAUGGCCUUCUCCUUUAAAGUUAGCAUUAUGUGGAACUAUACUUUAACAUCCUUAAGGUUGUGUUUAGUUCCAGAAAAUACUAAGGAAAUAAAAAAUAUAUAAAGAAAAAUAAUUUUUUCAUAUUUGGUUGUCAUAUGAAAAAUAUAGAAAAAAAUAAAAUAUAAUUAAAAUUUCAUGUAUGUUUAAAUUAUUUAAAUCUUUAUAUCGAUGAGUUAAAAUAAAUAACAUUAGUUUAAAGUAACAAAUAAAAAUAAUUUAUCGACUUUUAAUUUAUUUUUUAUUUUUCUUCACUUUUUCUUUAUAUUUUCUUUCAUUUGUAUUUUCCCUCAAAUUUUCCGGGAACCAAAUAUAACCUAAGGGAAUCUAGAAUAUUAUAAACAUUCUUAAAGGUGUCCAUAGCUAAACUUUUGAACACCAUUAAAAACGUGAAAAACUAUAUUUUGGACAUACUUCAGAUGUCGAAUCUUACUUUCAAGUUUGAAUGCCAUGAAAUUGUUUCAAGAUUGGGAACAAUAAGACUAACUCAUCAUGUCAUGGAUCCUUGCAUCCAUAUCAGAUGCUCUUCUAACACGUAUGGUAAAUUGUGAUACUUCAGCUCAGGUAUAGAGGACUCUUGAACAACAUUUUGCCACUGAAGUACGAGCCAAAAUAACUCACUUCAAGACUCAACUUCACAACACAAAGAAAGGUGACCCAUCCAUAAGUGACUACUUUCUCAAGAUCAAAAACAUUGUUGAUCACCUUGCACUAGUUGGCCAUAAUCUUUCUGAUAAAGACCAUAUAGAUGCAGUCUUUGAAGGAUUACAUCAAGAAUAUGGAACCUUCAUCAUCUCACUAAGCUCAAGAAUUGACCCAUAUACAGUUGAAGAGAUUGAAGCACUCCUUCUUGCCCAAGAAGCUUGUACUGAGAAAAACAUCAAGAUUCAUGAAUUCUCGGGUGAUACUCGGGUUUUUAAUGACAUGUCAAAUUCAGAUAUUAGAAAAGUUUUCAUAAAAUUGUUAAUCAAAUGGUAAAAAUAAAAAAAAUAAAAAAAUUGUGAAGAUCCGCAUCUUAAUUGAGAGAGAUUUUAGAAAAGUUAGUUAAAAGUGAAUAGUUUAAAAAUCUUGCCACGUCAUAUGUAAAGAGUAGGAAUUAAAAAAAUUAUUAAAUAAUUGAGAUUAGGUUUUUGUAAUUUUGAAUAUUAAGUAUAUUGUGAGAAUUAAUUUAAUAAUUAUUAGAUAAUUAUUAGAGAAUUGUGGAGAAAAACUUGGUAAAAAUUUAUAUUAUAUUGAAUUGUUAUAAUGAAUAAUUAAACAGAAAUUGAAUUUAAUUCUAAAACGAAUCAAUUUAACUCUUAUACUUGGAAUUAAACCUUAUGGGAUUAUAAAACAUCAAAUAGAAUUGAAUUGAAAUUAAGUUUAGAUUAAAUUAUGAUAUAUGAAUUUAAGAAAAUGUAUAAAAGGGUAAAUUAAUUAAAUGCGAAUUUAAUGAAUUUAACUUUUGCAAUUUUGAUUCAAUUGAGGAAUUUGACAAAUGAAAUAAAUUAAAUGAAAGUUAAACUAAAGGUUGAUAAUUUGAUUAUUAUAUAAAUUUAAUGACUAAAUAAUUGAUGAAAUUAAGUUUUAAAAUAUUGCUUAAUUUUUUGUUGGUGAAUAAAUAUUGGUAAAAUUAACGAGUUAAAGGUUAUCAUGAAUCUCAACUUCUUGUAUGUUGAAGAAUUAUUUUAUAUUUAAGACAUUUUAUAAAAUUGAUUUUUAUUUUUAUUUUUUAUUCUUUUUAAUAGUUAAUGGAAUCAUGUCCUUAAUGAAUUUCAAAGUAAAAAUGCGUUAGGUAAUUAAAUUCAAAUUAUAUUUUUUGAAGAGUAGACUUGUAGUAAAUUUAAUAAAGAAUACAAUGGUAUUUUUCAUAAGAAAGAAAAUCAUAAGUUGAGUAUAAUUUAUAAUUGUGGAAUGUGAAAUAAAAACUAGUAUUUUAAUUUAUUAAAAAAAAUAUGUGUGGUAUUUCAAAUUUGUUUAAUAAUAAUAAUAAUAAUAAUAAAAAUAAUAAUAAUAUAGAAGGAAUGGAGAACAUAAUAGGGGCGUUCGUAGAGAGGAAAGUGUCAUUGGCCUUCGACCGAUCAUUUGGUGGCCAAACGACUUUCAUUUUGUGUGAGAUUUUAGAAGAACACUCUAUUCAACACGAGAAACAUAUGAACGUAGUCAGAUUUUGAUUUCAACAGUUAGAUUUUCUAAUUUGAGGUAAGAUGGUUUAAUCCUAAAACUUUGAUUUAAUAUUUUAUUUUGAAAAAAAUUUAUAUAUUGUGUUGUUGGGAGAUAAUAGAUGUUAUUUGUAUUAUUUGAAGUAUGAUUAUGAUUAUUGAUAAUUUUAUUUUGUGAUUUACAGAUUUUUUUUUUGGAAUAAUGAUAAUAUUUAAAAUGAUUUAAAUAUAGAAAAAUAGUUGUAUUGAGUGUUACGAAUUAUAUAUUGAGACUGUUGAGAAUAAAUAAAAUUAAAGUAUAAAUUGUGUUUCAUUGAUAUUUGAAUUAUUGAGAAUUUUCUUUGAUAUUUGGGAUGAGAUAAUUGAAGAAAAAUUGUUAUGUUGGUUGUUGGAAAUUAUUAAGCUAUUGGGAAUAAAUAAAAUUUAUGUGACUAAGGUUUAACCCAUGUUUCGAUAAUAUACGAAUUAUUUGUGAAUUUUCUUUGAUGUUUGUAGUGAUUAAAGUGAAGAAAAAUUGUUGUGUGAAUUAUUGAAAAUUAUAAAACAUAAUUGGAGUAAAUGUAAUUAUGUCUUGGAAGAAAAAGAAAAAUUGAAGAAAUGGUUGAAUUAGUAACUUUAAUUUUAUAGGGUACUUAAAACAUUUCCAAGUUCACAAUCUAAAAAGCUCAAUCUGAUCAUUGACAUUCAAAAUAUAAAGUGAAAGAACAUUUUUUUAAACAAUUUUCAAAAUAAUUGGUUUAUAUUGACUUAUGCUAGUGUUUUAUGAAAGAAAAUACUAAAUUAUUGUAAUAUCAUAAACAAUAUUUAUCUCAAUAAUUUGAGUCAUUACACUCUCAACGGGAAAAUAAUAUAUCCAACUCAUAAGCAGAUUGUUUUGGCACCUCUAGAGAAUAAGUUCAGAAUUUAUUGUAAUGCCAUCUUCACACAUCAGAGAUGGACAUGGAUGAAGACCCUCAAUGAAGAACUCAAGGCCAUUUACAAUACUAACAUUGAGUAGUUGCAUUUUUCACAAAAGAUAGUUUGAUCUAUCUCAUCGUAUAGUUAGGACUUGGUUCAAUGAUGGAAGUGGUAGUGCAUGGUAAUUUUGAGAAAUUGAAGAUGAGGUUCUGAUCAAGAUUGAGGAUGACGAAACCAUUGCCACCAUUGUUGAAGAGGUAAAAGUUUCAACAAAGGGCAUGGUUGACCAUUGCAGCGAUAUAUUGUGUAUCGGAAGGUAUCGACACGAUAUUUCAUGGAGAAAUAUGGAUCGAUAUUUCGGGAUAAAUCCCGAGAAAUCGGCGAUUUUAACGAUAAAUCGUCAAUUUUUCCCGAUAUAUCGCAUAGUCAACGAAAGUCAAAUGCGCUAAAAUGCUUUCUCCUUUUGCUUCUGAGGGGAUUUGAACCCCAAACCUUUUGGUUUGGGGUACACCCCACUUGCCUUUGGUAUAUAUUGUGCACUAAACUUAUAUAUACUUAAACUCAUUAUAUAAAGAAAAUAUUAAAAGGAUAUUUUAAAGAGCAAAUUAAUUAUAAUUAUUUUAUAAUUAAAUGCAAAAUUUUCUUUUAAUUGAUUACCAAAAAUAUAAAAAUUAUAUAAUUUUCUUCAUAAUGUUUUUCAUAUCAUUAAUAAUUAAUUAAAUAUUUAAAAAUUAUAUAUAUAUAUAUAUAUAUCAUAAUUUAUUUUAUAUUGUUUAGUACAAUUGAAUUAAAUGAAUCAUAAUUUUAAUAUUAAUAUAUAUUUUAAAAUUAGACAUAUUAUAAUCAAAUAUCAUAAUAUUAAAUGUAAUUUAAUAAUAAAUGUACACUUAUAAAAUUCAUAUUUUUAUCGAUGCAUACGAUAUUAUUAUCAAAUAUGAUAAAUCAUGUUAUACAUAUAUCAAAUUUUUCAAUAAAAUAACUUUAAAAUGUCUAUUAUACUUCUAAUUAUAUUAUUAUGAGGUUUUCCUUACAUUUUCAUGAGUUUUUAACAAUUUUAAGCUUACCGAUUUUUUUUUUUCCAAAAUAUCUACCGAUAUAUUCGAUAUAUCCGUAAAAUUGAAGUACCGAUAUAUCCGUGAUUACCGAUAUUUUCAUUCUUGAUUAUACCAUGUAAAAUAAAAGUACAGUGGUUUUGGAAAAUACAAUGAAACAGAGUGAGUUUGAUUUUUUAUUUUUUAACAAAAUAAAAUGUUGAAAAAAAGAAGUAAAUAAAGAAAGAUAUAUUAAGAGUCAGUUUGACAUUACUUUUAAUGAAAGUGUUUUUAUUGUAAGUGUUUUCUUCUACAACACUUCUGUAAAAAACACUUUUAUAAGAAUUUAAAAAAGUGAUUCUAAUAGUAUUUUUAAUAAUAUAUUGCAUAAGUAUAAAAACAUUUUUAAUAAUAAUAAAUUACUAAAAAAAGAUAUUUAUUACAAAAAAAAUUAUAAUAAAUAAAAAAUUUUAUUAAAAAAAUAUAUAUAAAUAUUUAAUUGUUAAAAAAACUCAAAUUUAUUUUUAUGAAAAUGAAGUGAAAAGGGAAGAGGAGAGUAAGAAGAAAAAAGAAAGUUAAAGGGAAAUGGAGGAUAGCGAGAAAAUUUAUUUUAGGAAUAUAUAAAAAAAAUUUGAAGUAUUUUUUUUUUUAAAGAAACACCUCUCAAGUGCUUCUCUAAAAAACACUUCAAAUGUUUUUUAAAAUUUUCAUAAGUGUUUUUCAAAAUAUUAUAAAACAUAUAUAUAUUUUAUCUUAAAAAAACAUUUAAGUGUUUUUAGGGCUAAUUACACUUCUAAAAAACAUUGUCAAACGGGCUCUAAAUUCAUAUUUCCUUGAAUUUAUAUUUUUAUUUUCUCUCUAUGAAUUUUCCUUUAUUUCAAAUAUAAACUAUAUUUUAAAAGGGUAAUUUUAUUUACUUGCCUUAAGGUUUUUGUUAGAUACACUUAAUUAUCAUUUAUUUGAAAUUUUAUUAAAUAUCUUUCUUAUCAUUUUCGUUUCUUAAUUGCCAUGUACUCGAUAAAAUCAACUUGAAGGGAAUUAAGCCAAAUUCCCAACCUGUGAGAAACAAAAAAUAGAGAAAACACACGCCAAAGAAAAACAAUCACACGCACAAGACAGUAUUUACGUGGUUUGGCAAUUUGCCCACUACAUCCACGGAGUUGUAGGGAUACCAUUAUUAUUAUGGAAGAAUACAGAGUACAUCUUGCGGCUACAAUAUUUUCUCUCUAUAUAUAACACAACAACCACACUACACUAAAAAUCCCUAAUUACAAAAGGUGGUUCCACAAUGGGUUAAACGGGCCUAUCAGCCCAAGCCUUCGCUCCAUGGACUAAGCCUCAGUAAAUCUCCCAUUAAAAAACCACGCAAUAUUAUUCGGGUCGGGUCGUCAAACCGGAUCAAACAAAACUAGGCUCCACAAAGCCCAACAAAUCUCCCACUUGGAGACUAGUUCAAUCACCAACAUCAAACCAUUAUCCUCCAAGAAACAAUCCCUCAUCCCUGCAACUCAUCCUCCUAUCCUCAAGCUAGAAGACCAAUUGAAGUUGCGCACAACUUCAACUUCUCAACAGUGAUACCCUUAGUCAACAUGUCUGUCGGGUUCUUAGAUCCACAAAUCUUCUCAAGUAUUACUAGUUUAUCUUCAACAAGGUAACGGAUAAAGUGGUAUUUUGUUUGUAUAUGCUUCGACUUUGAAUGAAAAACCGAAUUUUUGACAAGAAAAAUUGCACUAUGACUGUCACUGUGUAGAAUGCCCAUCUCCUACUUCUUAUCCAAUUCAUCUAAGAAACUAUGUAGCCAAAUCAUCUCCUUUCCAACUUCAGUUGCUGCAACAUACUCAGCUUCUGUAGUAGACAAAGUAACAAUCUUCUAUAGAUUUGAAGCCCAUGAUAUAGCUGUACCACCUAGAGUAAAAACAAACUCAGUAGUACUCUUUCUACUAUCAAUAUCACCAGCAAAAUCAGCAUCUACAUAACCCUGCAGUUUCAAACUUACACUUGUGAAGCAAAGACAUGUAUCUAAUGAACCCUUCAGAUAUCUUGAAAUCCACUUGACUACCUCCCAAUGUUGCUUUCCAGGCCUACUCAUGAAUCUGCUCACAACUCCCACUGCAUGUGCAAUGUCUAGCCUUGUACACACCAUAGCAUACAUCAAGUUGUCAAUAGCUGAGGCAUAGGGCACCUUGCUCAUAUGGUCUCUUUCUUCUUCUGUCUUCGGUGACUGUUCUUUGCUUAGUUUGAAAUGACUACCCAAGGGUGUGCUCACUAGUUUAGCUUCAUUCAUGUUGAACCUGCUGAGAACUUUCUUCACAUACUCUGACUGUGAAAGCUUCAAUGUACUAUUAGUCUUGUCUCUAAUGAUUCUCAUACCAAGGAUUUGCUUUGCAGCUCCCAAAUCCUUCAUCGUAAACUUUUUGGACAAUUGCUUCUUCAGAUUAUUAAUCUUCUCAAUGUCAGACCCUGUAAUAAGCAUAUCAUCCAUAUACAACAGUAAUAUGAUGUAAGAAUUGUCAAAAGACUUAACAUAGCAAUAGUGAUCAACUUCACAUCUCUUGAACCCAAUUCUAUGCAUAACAUUGUCAAACUUCUUGUACCACUGUCUAGGAGCUUGUUUAAGGCCAUACAAGCUCUUUCUUAGUUUGCAAACUAGAUUCUCUUGUUCCUUAACAAUGAACUCUUCUGGCUGAAUCAUGUAAAGGUCUUCUUGCAAGUCACCAUGAAGGAAUGCUGUCUUCACAUCUAAUUGCUCAAGAUGUAAGUUUUCUGUAGCCACCAUUCCCAGUACAAGUCUGAUUAUUGACAUCUUCACAACUGGAGAAAAUAUCUCUGUGUAGUCAAUGCCCUCCUUCUUCUGGAACCCUUUAACAACUAAUCUGGCCUUGUAACGUUUGCUACCAUCAUGCUCAUUCUUUGUUCUGUAUACCCACUUGUUGUGCAAAGCCUUCUUUCCUACUGACAAUUCAGUCAGUUCCCAUGUCUGAUUUCCCAACAAGGAAUCCAUCUCAUCCUUCAUGGCUAACUCCCACUUGCUUGAAUUCUCAUCUUGUAAGGCUUCAUCAUAACACUUUGGCUCACCACCAUCAGUCAACAUGAGAUAAUUUAAAACAGGUGAAUAACACUGUGGAGGUCUAAUGUUCCUGGAAGAUUUACGAACUUCAGCUAUAGGUGUACUCAAAUCUACCUGUGAAUUUAUAUUCUCCUUAUCUUCUUCACCCCCUUUUUGGACAGUACUUUCAGUCAAUUCAUCUAAGUUGACAAACUCAGAUUUCUUUUUAUCUAUCUCUGUAACAUCUGACACUAUAGUUGGCCUGUCCUUGUACACAACCUAUUCAUUAAAUAUCACAUUUCUACUUCUGAUGAUUUUCUUGUUUGUUCAUCCCAAAACCUAUAGCCAAAUUUCUCAUCACCAUAGCCAAUGAAAAAACAUAUUUUAGACUUUACAUCAAGUUUACUACGAGCAUUAGAAUCAAUAUGAACAUAAAAAACACAACCAAAAACUUUUAAACGUGAAAAUUUUACCUCUUUACCACUCCAAACCUCCUCGGGAAGUCUAAACUCCAUGGGAACUAAUGGUCCUCGGUUUAUCAAGUAAGCCGCAGUGCUAACAGCAUCAGCCCAAAAAGUUUUUAGUAGUCCAGCAUGCAACCUCAUACUUCUAGCACGCUCACUAAGAGUUCUAUUCAUGCGCUUAGCCACACCAUUCUGUUGUGGUGUCCUAGGAAUGGUCUUCUCCAUCCUAAUUCCCUCUACAACACAAUACUCAUUGAACCCUCCAUCUAUGUACUCUCCUUCAUUAUCUGACCUCAAACAUUUUACUUUCAAACCUGUUUCUAUCUCAACCAUGACUUCCACUUCUUAAAAGUUUCAAAUGCAUCAGAUUUAUUUUUCAGAAAAUAAACUCAUACCUUUCUUCUUGAGUCAUCAAUAAAAGUGAUGUAGUACCUUGAACCUCCAAGGGAUGCAAUCGGAGAAGGCCCCACCAAAUCAGUGUGUACUAGUUCCAAUUUUUCAGCCUUCAGUGUCCUGCGAGUUUUCAAGAAGCUCACAUUUUUUUGCUUUUCUAAGAUGCAACUUUCACACAUGUCAAAAUCAAUGGACUUCAAUUCUGGUAGUUUUCCUUUUGACAACAGCAUCUUCAUCCAUUUCUCACUCAUGUGAUCAAGUUUGCAAUGCCAUAAGCUUGUAUCAGUCUUUGCAUCAGCAACUGCAAUUGUGUCUCUUGGACAUGAGGUCAUAUACAGAGUACCGGUCUUCUUUCCACGAGCCAAUACCCUAGCUCCCUUUGUAACCUUCCAAGUACCACCAACAAAUAGUAUUGCAUGUCUUUCAUCAUCAAGUUGUCCAACAGAAAUCAGAUUCCUCCUCAGGUCAGGAAUAUGUCGAACUUUCUCCAGUAACCAAACAGACCCAUUGGGCAACGAUAUCCGGACGUCUCCCAAACCCACAACAUCCAAGGCUGAACCAUCAGCCAAAUACACCUUACCAAAUUCACUUGCAGCAUAAUUCUGUAUGAUUUCUCGGUGUGGAGUGGUAUGAAAAGAAGCUCUUGAAUCCAAAACCCAAUCAUCAAGUGGACUGUCUACUGCAAGAAGUAAUGCAUCUUGUACCUCUUCUGUUACAACAUUAGCAAAAUCAUCUUCAUUAUUCUUCUUAUGACUUUUGCAUUGCCUUCUAAAGUGACCUAUUUUCCCACAAUUCCAGCAUUGUACUUGUUGGCCUAAUCUAGAUUUGUUUCUAUUCCGAUUAGAAUUUUUGGAUUUUCAUCUACCCCGAUUUGAAUUUCUGUCAUUACCUUUGCCUCUUAUCUCAAGGUUUAGGGCAGAACCAGAUCCUGAGGUUUCGCCUGCAUCUCUUCUGCGAAUCUCCUCAGCCAGAAUUAAAUCUCGUAUAUCAUUGUACUUGAGUUUUUCCUUUCCCGUAGAAUUGCUUACUGUCAUCCUCAUUGCCUCCCAACUGUUUGGCAAAGAAGCCAAGACGAUUAAGGCGCGAAUCUCAUCAUCAAAAUCAAUUUCUACAGACGACAAUUGAUUUGUGAUUGUAUUAAAUUCAUUUAGAUGUUGUGCUACUGAUGCAUUCUCUACCAUCUUCAAAUUGAACAAUUUCUUCAUUAGAUGCACCUUAUUGUUUGCGGACGGCUUUUCAUACAUACCGGACAAAGCCUUCAUCAGAUCUGCUGUGGUCUUCUCAUUUACAAUAUUGUGUGCAACAGACCUAGACAGAGUUAACCUAAUAACUCCUAGAACCUGUCUGUCAAGAAGCGCCCAUUCCUCAGCCUUCAUACUCUCAGGUUUUGUCCCCAAAAGAGGCAGAUGCAAUUUCCUCCCAUAGAGAUAAUCUUCAAUCUGCAUCCUCCAAUACGCAAAGUCUGUGCCAUCAAACUUUUCUAUUCUAGACGUCUUUUCUGCUUCCUCUGCCAUUGCUCCCACUUAAACCUAACCCUAGGCUCUGAUACCAGUUGAAGGGAAUUAAGUCAAAUUCCCAACCUAUGAGAUCCAAAAAAUAGAGAAAACACACGCCAAAGAAAAACAAUCACACGCACAAGACAGUAUUUACAUGGUUCGACAAUUUGCCUACGUCCACGGAGUUGCAGGGAUAUCACUAUUAUCAAGGAAGAAUACAGAGUACAUCUUGCGGCUACAAUAUUUUCUCUCUAUAUAUAACACAACAACCACACCACAUUAAAAAACCCUAAUUACAAAAGGCGGUUCCACAAUAGGCUAAACGGGCCUAUUGGCCCAAGCCUUCGCUCCAUGGAUUAAGCCUUAGUAAAUCUCCCAUUAAAAAACCAUGCAAUAUUAUUCGGGUCGGGUCGUCAAACCAGAUCAAACAAAACUAGGCUCCACAAAGCCUAACAAAAUCAACCUUAUUAUCAUCCUUACUUCUUGAACCUUGGCUUAAAACUCCAACUUCACACAACAUAUGGUAUAAAUUAAGAAAAGACUUAUUAAAAGUAGUAACGUUCUACUUUAGUUUAAAAAUGUUAACAAAAAUUAGAGGAGAAUGAACUAAAAUAUACUGAAUUUAAAAUCAAGCUAACAUAUUAGAAACCAUUUGAAAUCUCACGUGAUUAAAUAGAUUUCUUGUAGUUUGACAAAGGAAAGAAAUUACUUGAAAAGAAUGGCAAAAUCGAACUGCAUCUUAUGACCUACAAUCACAUGAUUUCCAGACUUAGUGCAUCCAUUGCCAAGAAAGAUGACGAUCAUAUCACCUUUUGUAAUAAUUCAAUGCCUCUUUUUGUAAAGCCAUAUCAUAAAUAUAAUGAAAUUAAAAGACAAAUUAAUCAAUCAAAUAAUUAAAAUUUAAAAUUUACAUGGCAGUAGGUGAGGGAAUUGUUUAGUUAAGAAUGAAGAGAGACCACACUCGAGGAAAUAUUAUUGAGGGCAUUGAUGUUGACUUCCCAUAUUCACACCUAAUUAAAAAGGUGAUUAAGAAAAUAAACAAAAACAACCCAAAAAGAGUGAAAGAUAUAUUGCUAGGAAAGAUUGUUCAAAAUGAUCCCAAGUUAUAAAAAUGAACUCUUUCAUUAAGAUGACCUUUUUGAAUACUUUUAUCCUUUUUUGUUUUUUGUUUGCCUUCAAAAUUAUAAUCUUUCCUUUAUUUAUGUUAUUUUAUUUACUUUAUCAUUUUUUUUUUCUAAUUUCUCAUUUAUUUCUUCUACUUACUUUUUCUCUUCUAUGAAGUCUCAUUAUAACUUCAUCUUUAACUUAAUCUCUCUCUUACCCCAUAAUUUCAUCUUUAGUUUAGUCAUGUCUUAUGAAGCUAAUUGUAUUUCCCUCCCUAGCUUACUCUCUAAGUUGUUAGUAAUCCUCGAUCUCAAUUCUUUCUCGUAGUCCAUUUUUAUUUUCAUUCAAGGUGAUCAUUAAAAUUACACAAGGGCUAAAUUUAAAUUAUAAGAGUUAAUUUCAAUUACAUUCCCUCAAGUUUUGGCUUAGAUACACCUUACCUCAACUGGUUUGAAAUUUCAUCAAUUAUCUCCCUUAUUUUAAGUGAAAGGGGAGGUGAGUAAAAUUAAUAAAUGAAAAGGUAAGGGAUGUAUUUGAUGAAAUUUCAAAUCAAUGAGCGAAAGUGUAUUUAGCUGAAACAUCAUGGAAAAUGAAUUAAAUUAACUUUAUACAAAACUUAACUGAGAUUAAAUUCUUGUAAAGUUUCUCACUUAAUCUAUCAUGAGAUUAAGUUCAAAAUCAUAAUAGUGAUGAGAUCUCAAACUUCAUAUCUUAACACAGUCAAUUGAACUUAUCUUGAUGAGUUUGAAGUCUCAAAAUUGUUUUGAGAUCCCUAGCUAGAAAUAAUUGCUAAAGCCCUUAAUUUUUUUAUUAAAAUGCCUGUGAGCUUGAUUGAGAUCAAUUUGGAUUACUUUUAGAGAUUCUAGAGGAAUUUAGAAGAAUAUAUAAAGGAAAAAACUUAGGGAAGAAGAAAAGUGCUAGUUAGAGCAGCCUUCUAUUGCACCAGAAGAAGUGGGCGCACCCUUCUACUAUGCCAAAAGGACUUGACGCAUCUGUAUAAGUACGCUAGGAAGGAAAAUAAAGCAACAAGCCGGCCUUUGACUUGAGAGAUGGAGAACCCUCUCCCAGACUUAACUGGCGCACCUUUUAAGUGCGCCAAGGAAAAGAAAGAGUUGUGGCUCAACCCCAUCAAGGAUUGAUAGGCAUACUCUGUCCACUAAAGAUUAAAUGUGUUAGCACAUCUCUUAUCUCCCUCUAUGAACAAAUGGCGCAUUUAAUUAUACAUACACUGUAAGCAUUGGGCUGCCUAUCCGAUGGUGCAAUUCAAAAGCUGUGGCACGCUUGGUCAACGUAUGAGAAGCAUCCACUUGCAUCCAACAAUCUUGCAUGGGUGGGGCACACCCAACCUAAGUGUUCUCGAAGUUUGGAUGGUGUUGGAGCUGUUCUUUCCAAACUUCCAGCUUCUUCUUGUCUCACGUUCACCUGCAAUGCAAGGUUUACCCGGUGAAGCCCCGGGCAGACCCCUCCGAUGGUUAAGUCUGUUGGAGUGUGAUAAGCCAACUUCUUUUUAAUUUUUCUUCUUAGCUGUGUUCUUAUACAUCUCUUCACUUACCGCCGGGACCGGAGAUAAUGGGGGCAUUUUCACCACAUCACUACCCACUUUGCCCCCUUCUCAUGGCAGCAACCUUUUGGGCUAACCGCUCCCACCAUUUUUGGCGUCUAACCCCCUCAAGACCUUUCACAUAAGUUCCCAUAUUUCUUUCUGGGCCAGAGACUCUGUCUAGUCCUCCAAAUUCAGCUCUUAAUUUUAAAUGCUUGGGCCCAGGCCCAUUGCUCCAAAUCUGUGAGGGGUACCCACAGAUGGCUACCACCAUACAUUCUACUGCAACCUUAUUCAUCAAGAUGUGAACCAAUCAUGAAAACAAGGGAAGCAAUUUAGAAAAAGGAAUGGGGCCUCACAAGAUAUUUGGUGGAGAAUUUGUUCUGCUACCAUCUCUGAAAGGAUCAAAGGUUGACUAAUUUUAGGCUGGCAACCAGUAGUAUUCUAGAAAUAGAGAAGGGAAAUUUGAGGAAAAGUCAUCAUUUUCCUUCUCAAAUUUCCUUGGAGGGGUGUUCUAGAAUAUAGAAUAUAGAAGAUAUUUUUUCUUAUCCCUUGGAGGGGUGUUUUUAGUUUUUCUUCUUGAAAUACUUUGCAGGUACAAAACUGUAUGAGCUUUUUGUUCAUGGAGUUCUAUGGGAUUCUUCGAAAAUGAAUGAAAUUCAAUUUUAAAAGAAGUCUUUUGUUUCUUUGCUUGAGUAAUUUUUUACCUUAAGUUUAAUUUCCCUCGCAUGUUCUAUCCAUGAAGCACUAAUUUCAACUAAAUCUUUGUAUAAUGGUUAUGGGAGUAACUUUAAACCUUAAAAUUCUCAUUCAAGCUUUUCCAAAUGAAAUAUAUUAAUAUCAAGUUUCAUUUAAAUAAUCUAUUUUUCCGCAGAUAUAACGAUGAGUUGAAAUUUAGACUUAUUUAAUUUGUUUAUGUCAAACAUUCAAAUCUAAAAUACAUAUAACAAAAGAUCAUGGGAAUUUGUAAUAUAAACAAUUUUUAUGCAAAGGGCCAAAUUGUAAAGAAUAGAAUACUAUUUUCAAAAGAGAUCCAAAUCAAGUCGUUGUUUUUAAUAAAUAAAUAAAUAAAUACAUUUUUUGUUUCAUUUGGAAGAUGGUGUUAAAGAGCGACUGAAUCAAAUAACUUGCUCAACCGGCAAAGCUGAGCUGGUCAACUGGACUUGCUUAUAUAUACGUAAUUGGGGAAAAAAAUGUCAGAUGAGGGGGCGGAUUAGGUCACUUGGGGGGUGCCGGGUGUAGAUGGAAGAAAGAAGUACGUAUAUAAUAAUAAUAAUUGGAGGGUUGACGUUGUCUGUGAGGCAGCUCGGGCUUUCCUUAAAACCCUAGACAUUAAUUUCUCGAACCGCCCGCCUAAUGCCGGUGCAACACACUUGGCCUAUGAUGCCCAAGACAUGGUUUUUGCGGAUUAUGGGCCAAGGUGGAAGCUCCUGAGAAAGCUAAGCAACUUACACAUGCUUGGUGUGAAGGCUCUUGAGGACUGGUCUCGGGUUCGAACUGUUGAGCUAGGUCACAUGCUUCGAGCCAUGCUUGAGUUGAGCCAGCGAGAGGAGCCGGUGGUGGUGCCGGAGAUGUUAUCUUUUUCCGUGGCCAACAUGAUAGGGCAAGUGAUACUAAGCCGCCGGGUGUUUGAAACAAAAGGGUCGGAGUCAAAUGAGUUCAAGGACAUGGUGGUGGAGCUCAUGACCAGUGCUGGGUACUUAAAUAUUGGCGAUUUUAUUCCGUCCAUCGCAUGGCUGGACAUCCAAGGGAUCGAGCGCGGGAUGAAGCAUUUACAUAAGAAGUUCGACAAGUUAUUGACAAGGAUGAUAGAGGAGCACACGGCAUCAGCCCAUGAGCGCAAGGGAAACCCAGAUUUUCUGGACGUAGUCAUGGGCCAUCAAGGAAAUUCUACAGGGGAGAAGCUCACCCUUACCAACAUUAAGGCGCUCCUCCUGGUAUGCAUAGUUAAAGCUCCUCCUGGUACGUUUUUAUCAGGUAGCCAUUUUAGGGGCACAUCACUGUUCUUUAUUUGGAUUUUUUUUUGUCUUUUUCCACUUGCAUGGCACAGGAAAAUUGGGGAAAAUGAUUGGUUCUCUGAUCAGACCUUCUGCACCAAAACACACUUCUCUCUAUUUUAUAAAAUCAAGAACAUUUAUGGUUUACAUGAUUUUUCGAACUUGAACUUUUGCUAGGGCUAAUCCAUGGAUCUCAAUUUUCAAUUGCGUUUGAUUACAUAAAUUUCAAGUAUGUCACCAUAUUUUUGUUUCCUUGGCUAGAAUUUAUUUACUGCAGGAACAGACACUUCAUCAAGCGUAAUCGAGUGGUCUCUGGCUGAGAUGUUGAAAAACCCGAGCAUCCUCAAGCGUGCUCACGAAGAAAUGGAUCAAGUGAUUGGAAGGAGCCGGCGGCUCGUGGAGUCUGACUUACCAAAACUUCCAUACCUACAAGCCAUAUGCAAGGAAAGCUUCCGGAAGCACCCAUCCACCCCAUUGAACCUUCCUCGUGUCUCAAACGAGGCAUGUGAAGUGAACGGCUACUACAUCCCAAAGAACACUAGACUUAGCGUGAACAUAUGGGCAAUCGGGCGAGACCCUGAUGUCUGGGAAAGCCCGGAAGAAUUCAGUCCAGAAAGGUUUCUAAGUGGAAGAAAUGCAAAAAUUGAUCCUCGUGGAAAUGAUUUUGAGUUGAUCCCGUUUGGGGCUGGACGAAGGAUUUGCGCUGGCACUAGAAUGGGAAUAGUGCUGGUUGAGUACAUUUUAGGGACGUUGGUACAUUCAUUUGACUGGAAAAUGCCGGAUGGAGUUGAGAUCAACAUGGACGAAGCUUUCGGGCUUGCACUGCAGAAGGCAGUUUCUCUUUCGGCUAUGGUGACACCAAGGCUUCACCAGAGUGCGUAUGCAGUCUGAGCUCAAACCGCUCAGACCAAAACCCAGGCCUCGUUGCUAUAUGGCAUGGAUGCAGUUAUGAAGAAAAUAUUUUCGGAUGUUGUUUUAGUUUCCUGUGGCUUAUAAUAAGAUGUAUUAGCUCAAAGAUUGUAGUUUCAUUCUAACACCAAGCCAUAUGCAUCUAUGCAUAAUCUAUUAAUUUAUGCUUGAUUUGGUUAUAGUUUUUGGUUUUUUUGUCUUCCAAAUCAGUAAAUAGUAGUAACCUUUAUAUAAAAUAUAACUCAUACAAAAUUUUGCAUUGAGAAAGUAAUAGUGUAUAACUCAUAUGCAUCUAUGCAUAAUCGCUUGACCCCACCUCUUUUAAUUUCUUUUUAAAAUUUAAUUUUAAAAAAAUGUUUAAUUACAUUAAAAAUAAAUAUAUUUUAUAAAUAAAGAAAAUAAUAGGAAGCCGACAUGCAUGAUUAAAUAGUUGUGUUGGAGUCCAGCAACAAAAGGCAACAAGGUCCUUGAUCAGAGCCAUCAUCUCUUUUCGAUCACUUCUUGUGCAUGAGUUGGCCUGCAGAAUGGGAUUGGCUUAGAUGAUCGUUACUGAUGUUUCCUUUUCAACAUCAUAAUUCAGCGCAAACCAAGUUGAAUAUUCAACAACAAAUAAGUACAGAAAAAUAAAGGAAGAAAAAAAUCCCACUUUAUCUCCGUAAAGUAAUGCCAUAUUUUUCUUCAGACUUAUCUUCUAGCUAGAUUUUUGUUGGAGCUCUGAGCCCGUGAUCCAUUAGAUGACCUUUAAAAAAAUCCCAUCAGCUAUGGAAAAAGUUUUCAUUAAAUCUAAUGAUAAAAAACAAGAAACAAAAGGAGGCACAUCUUCCAGGAACUUUCACCCAGAAAAAAAUAAAAGACAAUGAAUCUUAAUCAGCCAUUAGCCGCUUUCAAUUAUUUAUCAUAAUUAAUGGCGUGCGAUGAAAGCCUAGGAACCAGUCCCAAACAAAAAUUCAUAAAGCAAACCCUCGGUACGAUCGGGGCGGACUGAAGUGAAGGUGGAACUUAGAAGAAGUCGAUAAAUAAAUAGUCGGGUACCAGAUCUGACCGCUACAAUAAAUUGGGGAGUAAGGAUGAAAAUAUCGGUAAUCACGGAUAUAUCGGUACUUCGAAUUUACGGAUAUAUCGGGGAUAUAUCGACGGAUAUUUUGGAAAAAAAAUAUCGAUAGGCUUAAAAUUGUUAAAACUCAUGGAAAUAUAAGAGAAACCUCAUAAUAAUAUAAUUAAAAGCAUAAUAGAUAUUUAAAGUUGUUUUAUUGAAGAAUUUGAUAUACAUAUGAUAUAAUUUGCGAUAUUAGAUGUAAUUAUAUUAUGUAGAACUAUAAGAAAUGUUAAUUUUGUAAUUGUUCUCAUUAUAAAGUCACAUAAAAUACUUCAUUUCAUUUAAUAUCAAUAAUUUGUACACAUUACAUUACAAUGUCCCUUUUGUACCAAAAUGAGGAUCGAUGUGGUUCAAUGGGAUUGAUAGAUGAAGGAACCCCGCCUUGUUGUUGGAGACAAUAUUAGUACUAACUCAAUGAAUCUCGAUAAUAUUGGUUAAAAAUUCUAACAUGCCAUGCAUAUAUCUCUUGAGUCCUGCCCACUACCGCUACAUGGAUAGGGUACUCAAAGUUCACCCAUGUGUUAAUGUCAAAUCCUCCUUCCAUCUGAUAUGGAACUUGGUAUGGCAUUUGUCUGGAAAGGGAACAAUGCGACAUACCAUACUCUUCAUCGGUUGAACUUGAAGGUUGACCAUAACUCAUUACAUGAGGAAGGUAGAUGUUAGCCUCAUUUGAGGAAUCACUAAAUUGAGUCCCUAUACUCAUAGAUUCAAAACUCCCUGAAAGUAACUCUUCGUUAUAUGGUUCCAUCGUUCAUUCUCUUCCUCUAUAGGGCUUCCUAAUAGCUCCUAUGCUUGGACCAGCUCUUCUAGAGCCAUGGUCUUCAUCCUGUGUGUAGUGUGUGAAAUCAUUUUCAUAGGUAAAUUGGCUGAUUAGAUAUUGACUAUGUUGAUGUUCAUAAAUAUCUCCUCCCGUAUUAUCACCUCCAUCAUUAGUUUCACCUCUUGAACCAUAGUAACUAAAAGCAGAAGUACCUGCAGCACUAGGUCUACUGCUAUGGCCAGCACUUGUGGAGUCAAUCUCUUGGUGGGAAUUCAAUGCCGCUUGAACUAAAUCAUUAGUAUCUUUGCUAAAACUUUCAGAGUGAACUUCUUCAGAUAACACACGUUCAACAUUAACUCCAAAUUAUUGAGCAUGAGCGGCAAUUCAUGGAUUAGGAUUUCCAACUUCGUCAUCCAAGUGUAUAGGCCUAACCCAUUGGAACAACUGAUUAUCUUCUUCUUCACCUACCUUAGCUGAAAUGUCAAGAAGAUCAAAGUAAUCUUUUUCAACAACUCGAUCAUUUUCUGCCUCCAUAUCGCGUAACUUUAGCCUCAUAUUAUAGUAACAAAAAACUAAUUGCUCCAAUCUAGGGUAAGCCAAACGAUUUCGUUGCUUUGUGUGGAUGAGAGCAAACGUGCUCCAAUUUCUCUCACGGGCAAAAGAUGACGCAGUUUGUGAGAGAACUUUGAUGGCUAACUUUCUCAAUGUAGGUGUUUGAUUCCCAUACAUAAACCACCAUUCAGUUGCAACCAAUUUGAUAAUCAUAUAAAUACUUAUGUGGUGAAUUUACAAUAAUGAUAAUCAAUUUUUUCUUAUAAAGACUCACCGGGUACCAUGGUUGACCUUGUUGCAAUCGCUGCUCGAUUACUGAAUCAUUUUUUUGCAUCUCGAAAAAGCACAAGCUAUGUAUUCAACAUUUAAUUUGUUAAUAUCAUAUUUGUUAGUAAACGUUCAAAUAAAUUGAUAAUUGAAAUAAUUGUUUUAUCAACAAAAAUAACAAUUUUCUAUUUACCUCAUUUCCAAAUUGACCAAGCGACUUAGUAGUUGGAUCAAAUUUUGCAAAAACAUCAUGGACCGCUUGAAGUAGUUCCGGAUCACUACCAACUCCAUGCCUAUAUUGAAAUCUUGGAUUUAAGAAGUAUGUUACAAUAAAAUUAAGUAGAGCUAGUAUAUUUUUAAAGAAAAUUAAAUACAAAGUAAAAACUUAUAAAGAUAGAUAGUACUUAAGUACCUGUUGCAUGAAGUGGAUGUUUUAGUGUUUUCUCCCAAUGAUCUUUUAUUAUUUUGAAGAUCUAAUCUCCAGCUCCUUGAUGAAUAAGGUUUCCUUUCAUCACUUGCAUAAACUCGUACACAAAUGGCAUUGUGGGAACAACUUUAGAAUCCACAAGUUGAAGCACCACGUAUAAUGGCUCAUAUAAUGAAACUAUAUUUGUCAAUCUGUCCCAAUACGUAUGGUCAAACAAUAAUUGCUCCAAUUCUCAGCUAAGUUUUGUUCGACUGAGUUUGUGGUGUGCCCAUUCAUCACUCAUAAACAUUUUUUUCAAAUCAACCCUUUUUUUAAGAAGACUGUUAAGAACAAUAUAAUUGGUAAAAAACCUUAUAGCUCCUGGUCGAACAAUGUCUCCACCACAAUACUUUCUCAUUUGUGCAAGUAACCAAUCAUGAUUGUAAAUGAAGUUAGUUAUCUUGCGAGCAUUGUUUAUCACAUCGAUAACAUUAGGUCUUUUACCAAUGUCUUCAAAGAUUAAGUCGAUACAGUGCGCCGCACACGGAGUUCAAUAUAAGUUAUACUUCUUCAUCAAUUGUUUCCCUGCUUUCAUGAACGCCGACCCAUUAUCUGUGACAAUUUGGACCACAUUUUCUUUACUGACUUCUUUGAUAAUAGUCUUCAAUAGCUCGUAAAUAUACUUGUGGUCUUUGAUAUAGUUUGAUGCAUCGAUUGACUUAAGGAACACCGUGGUCCCUUUAAAAUAAACCAUGAAAUUAAUAAUACUUAAUUUCGUGGGCCUUGUCCAUCAAUCUGACAUUAUUGUGCACUCAUAUGUCUUCCAUUUUUCUCUUUGCUGGUUCACAUAAGCUUCCAUUUCUUUGUACUCCAUUUCCAAGUACUUGUUCUUUAUUUCAUAUGGAGAUGGAGGUUCGAUUCCCAUUCCUACACUUCAUAUAUAAAAAAUAUGUAAAACAUGUCACAAAAGACCAUGCUUACUAAAAAUGUGACACAAUAUAACAUUUCAAAAAUUAGUAAUUAGUUGCUUGUUGUGCACCAAUAAUCAUAUUCUUGAAGUGAUGAGACUUUGCUUUUGCGGGUGCGACGCUCUCAUAAAUGAAGAAUUAGCUAAUUAAGCGUCCCAUCGUUUCUUUAAUUGCACCACGCUUGAAUAUUUCUUUAAUAUUUUUUUGUCUUGCUGCAAAAGACUUAUAAAGCGAAGGGGCAACAAGGGGUGAUUGGUGCGAAUGUCGCAUACUUUGUGAUUUUCACAUCGUCGUCGGUAUACCAGCAGACCGUGAAGACUUCCCCGUUUUGUGUUUGCUUCCUACAAUAUUCUCAUGUUGUUCAUGUUCCCAUUCUGAUGAUUUUGAGGCACGAACUGCAGAUCGAUAUGCAUCCCGCUCAUCUGGGUACAUAUCUGUUAGAUACAUAUACACAUCUUCAUCCUCAACAUCUUCAUCAUCAUCAUUUUCGUCUACCAAAUGUGUAUCAUGAGUCCCCAUUGUGCCACGUAAUUGAGCACAGAUGUCUUGAAUAUCAGCAACUUUCUUUGCUUUUGCUUUUUUUUUUUUUUUUUUGUCAUACACCAACAAACAUAUCUUUUCUUUCACUUCGGGAGGCACUCUCGGACACUUUUUGGUGUUGUUAUGCGAGUCGUUAUGCGUUAAAUGGAACUUGAAUCGUGUGAUGCCUCCACUUUUCAUCAAUAACCUACAGAAAUUACAAAUUGUUCCAUUUAUGUUCCCCCUCAAUUGGUGAACAAUACUUCCAAGCCGGAUCUCGCCCUGGCAUGACAGAACCACCUUCACUAGCCAUGCUAAAUCUAUUGCAAAAGAAAUACACUUGAAUGUAAUUUCAAUGUAAACAAAAAUUAAGUCAACAUUUAAAUUUAAAUCUAUGAGAAAUCUACAAAAUAAUCAUAAAAAAUGAACAUAUUUGAUAUUCCAAAUAUCUAGUUCAUGUUAAUUAAACUAAUUAAAUAAUUUAGCUAAGUUAAUUUUUUGAAUCUAAAUGUAAUUCUAUGAAAAAUUUAGUAAAUAUAAAAAUUAAUCAUAAUUGAAUAUGAAAAUAAAUCCCAAUAAUCAUAAAAAUGAACAUAUUUGAUAUUCCAAAUAUACUAGUUCAUGUUCAUUAAAUUAAUUAAAUAAUUUAGUUAAGUUAAUUUUUUGAAUCUAAAUGUAAUUCUAUGAAAAAUUUAGUAAAUAUAAAAAUUAAUCAUAAUUGAAUAUGAAAAUAUAUAGCAAUAAUCAUAAAAAAAAGUUCAUAUUUGAUAUUCCAAAUAUACUAGUUCAUGUUAAUUAAACUAAUUAAAUAAUUUAGCUAAGUUAAUUUUUUGAAUCUAAAUGUAAUUCUAUGAAAAACUUAGUAAAUAUAAAAAUUAAUCAUAAUUGAAUAUGAAAAUAAAUCACAAUAAUCAUAAAAAUUAACAUAUUUGAUAUUCCAAAUAUACUAGUUCAUGUUAAUUAAAUUAAUUAAAUAAUUUGUCUAAGUUAACUAGUUGAAUCUAAUUCUAACUAGAAUGAAUGUGAAAAAAAAAAUCACAAAAAAUCAUCUAAAAUAAACAUAUCAAUUUAUAAUUAAAUAAUCAAAUUAACCUAAGUUAAUUCAAUAAAAAUAUACAAAUUAGUUACAAUUGAAUGUAAAAAUAAAAUUAAAUCAUCCAUAUUGCAAAUAUACUAAUUAAUUGAACAUACAUGAAUUAAUUACAAUUGAAAACAAAAUUAAUUACAAGUUAAAACAAACAUACCUUAAAAUGAUUGAAUAAUUGAGCAACCUUCGAAAAAAUUGGAAUAAUGAGAGAGCAAAUCAAUAAUGAAAUCAAAUAUGAAUGAAAUGGAUGCAAAAUGGGCUAUUUAUAGGAGAAAUUUGGGCCACAAUAGCCGUUGGAAGAUUAUUUUACCAUUGAAAAACAAUUUUGGCUGUUGGAUCAAAAUCUGGGCAAAAUCUGACCGUUGGAUCAUGAUAUUACUGUUGGAAUCUCAUCCUAACCGUUGGAUCAAACCUAGAUUCAAUUUGGAGCAUUGGAUAUAUGACUGUUGCAAGCAGACGUGGCGGGCAACAUUUGGACCAUCGGAUCAACAUGGGUGUGAUUUGGGCUGUUAGAUCAUGUUGGAGAUAUGAGUAGACAUGUCACCAAAAAAUCGGCGAUUUAUUGCCGAAAUAUCGACGAUUUUCCUCCGUCUGGGCUGACUUUUCGCCGAUAUAUCGCCGACAAAUUGGCGAUAUUUUGACAAUUUUUUAGUGAAAUUUCUCAUUCUUGAUUUUUCUCCACAUAAUAUCGUGUCGACACCUCCUGAUACAUGAUAUAUCACUGAUAUAUCCCGACAUUUUCCUCUUUGUUGGGGAGUAGGUGAUCUCGAUAUUAAUUCAAUAAAUAAAUAAAUAAAUAAAAUCAGAGUGGUGUGUGAUUGAGAUUAAUUGUAUGAUCACCGAAUUAUGAUGGAUCGGACGUACAAUAUCAAAAAGUUUUGAUAUCGUUUUGAUAUUAUUUUUUUAAUAAAAAUAAUUAUUUUUAAAAAAAUAUGUUAUAAAUAUUUAAAAUAAUUAAAAAUAUUUAGAUCAAAAAUCGACUAUUUUUCAAACAAAAAUAUGGAAGUGAUAAAUGUGCAAAUAUGGGGAAUAUUUAAUCCUUUUAAUCCAUUAUUUCAUUAAUAAAGUGGGUAUAAUUAAUGAUGAACGCAAACUUGGUUUUGCUAGGGCAUGCAAAGGUUUUGCAAGAGAGAGAGAUCAUUUCUCGACUUUAAGAAAUCAAUCUCCUUUUGGCCUGGAGGCAGACUCCAAGUUAAGCCUUGAAAGAGCAUUGCUAAUAGCAUCACUGCUAUUGCAGACCCGAAUGCGAUCCCUGUGCACCCACACCUUCCAGCACUGAAGGAAAUGAAACGAAGGUUUGGCUCGUUCAACUCCACUGCUUGACUGUACUAGCAUUCAGAUGCUACCCUGGAUUGAAAUUUAAUGGUUCUUCCCAUAUUCUAAGGUUCCGGCCAAGCCCCAAACGGCUCAGAAGGACAUGACUGCCUUUGGGGAUAAAGUAGCCAGCAACACUAGUCAGAUUCUUGAGCUAGUCUAUCCUUUCCAACCACUCCAUCAAUUUCUUCACUGCUUUGCUCAAAACCCCUAGUUGAUUGACCAUUGCCUACUCAAUUGCAUUUGAUGGACUAUCCACGCCUGCAAGCAUCAACUCCUGUAAAUUAUGGAAGGAUCAUAAUCUGAUGAUUGAUCAAGUUAUUUGCUGGCUAGGAAAUGAUCAACACAUAAUAUAGAUCAAAAUGUAAACACAACACUACUAAAAAAUAAUUUAUGGUGUUACUAUUUAUGGUGUCACUUUUAAAAUAAUGACACCAUAGGGUUUAUAAUUAAUAAAGGUGAUACAUCAUAUAAAAAUUCUUCAAUUGAGAUAGUUAGAUGAUGUUAGUUUUAUUUUUAUAAUGUCAUUUUUUGGUAAGUUACAUCAUAUAAAAUAAAAAAAUUUAAGUAUUAUAACUCAAUGAGCCUAUUUGAGCCCACUUUUAAAAUUAAUAAUGAGGGACAAUGUAUAAAAAGCCAAUUGUUUCCACAUGCCACCCACAAUCCAAAAAAUCUCAGUAUACAAACCUUAUAUAUCAAACCAUAAUCUUUUUCUACCUUUUCUCUCACCCAUUGUCAACACACUCACAACUGACAUUCUCCACUUUGUGAACUCCCAGGUAACCCAAAUUCUCUUAGAUCUAUCAUAUUUUUUCCUUUAUUAAUAUCAUUAUAUCGAUUGUUUCAGCAUCUUUGCAUUAUGAUUUUUGUGAAAUGCAUUUUCUUGAGUUGUAGGGAAGAAAAACUUAAGUUUAAACUUCUAGCAUAGAAGAAGAAACCUAUAGAUUAAUUGAUUUUUUAAUCUGAACCAAACACAUGGUCGAAUCCUUAGAAACAAGUGAAAAAUAAGAAAAAAUGAAUGAUUUUUAAUAUAUAUUUGUGUGAGAAUGACAUGUACAUAAUUUUGUUGAGAUAUACUGUCACAUAAUCUUCAUCCCUUCCCAAAAAUGAGAGAGAGAGAAAAAAAAAAAGGAAUAAUUUUUUUGUGUGUAUCUAAGUGGGAAUGAGAGAUAUAGAAUUUCGUUGAGAUGCAAUGCUAUCACAUGAUCUUUAUCCUCCAUUAAACCCAACACAUUAAAUCCACUAACUCUCUCCUCAAAAACGAGUAAAAAAAAAAAAAAAAGAAUGAGUUAAAAAAGAGGAAAAAAAUGAUUUUUUUAAUGUGUUUCUAAGGAGAAUGAGAGAUACAGAUUUUUGUUAAGAUGCACUGCCACAUGUUCUUCAUCCUCUCCAUUAAGCCUAACAUAUUAAACCUAAUAGCUCACUCUUUUAAGCAUUCCAAUGAAGUGCCUACAGUAUCCAACUCAAAAUAAGACAGACAACUUAAGCCCCAUUAGCCAACAACCCAUAUUUUGUGCACAUCUUCAUGAGAUUAUUUUGUGAGAAAAUGUCAUGAAACAAUCCCAAUUUGAUAAUCUAGGCAUGUAUUUGACUUAAAAAUAAAUUUCUAUUCUAUAUAUUAAAGAAUAAAAUCAUGAUUGAAAAUUAUUCUUAAAAACUUAUUUAGAGCAAAAAUUGUUUUCUAACAUAAAAAUAUUUUUUUAACUUAGAAAAUAUAUUUGAAAUUAUUUGAUAGAAAACUGGGCAUGUAUUUGACUUAAAAAUAAAUUUCUAUUCUAUAGCUCAAAUAAUAAAAUCAUGUUUGAAAAUUAUUCUUAAAAACUUAUUUAGAGCAAAAAUGGUUUUCUAACAUAAAAAUAUAUUUUUUAAUUUAGAAAAUAUAUUUGGAAACAUUUGAUAGAAAACUGGGCAUGUAUUAAACUUAAAAAUAAAUUUCUAUUCUAUAGAUCAAAGGAUAAAAUCAUGUUUGAAAAUUACUCUUAAAAACUUAUUUAGAGUAAAAACGGUUUUCUAACAUAAAAAUAAAUUUUUAACUUAGAAAAUAUAUUUGAAAACAUUUGAUAGAAACCUUUUUUUUUCUAAUGUCAAUAAGUUGUCUUUUUCUUAAUUUAAUUGCAAUCAAUUUGCCUAUAUGCAUUUAAAAAUAUAUAUUAUCAUAUUUAGCAAUAUUUUGAUUGUUAGGCAAAUUAUCAUUUUUGAGAGGAAUUUUUGUAGCUCUCAUAAUUAUAAUUGUAUUUUAAUAACCAUUUCCAAUAUAAAAAAAAAAGAAAAAGAAAAUAAAGUUAGACAAUUAUCAAAAUCUGAUUUUUAGGAUUUUUAAAAAAUCUACAAGCCAAAACUAUUUAUAAUUUUGACCAUGUGAGAACAAUUCUUUUUCUAUACUUUGAGUUAUUUUGUUUUUUUUUUCUUAGCAUUUGAAAGUAUAAAAGAAUUUCUUUUAUCAUAUUAUAUAUGUGCAUAUGUGUUCUUAUGGUUGUUUAUGUCAUGUUUUAUCAAAGAAUAUAGUGAAAUUUCCUUUGAGUGGAAGGUUUUAGUCCACGCUAGUGAGUGGACAUGGUAUGAAUAGUUUGGGUGGGUUGUAUCUAUGGUAAAAAAUAAUAAGACACACCUUUUGCAAGUCUCCAAGUUGGUUGAGACCUACAGACAUGGCAUCAUGUUGACUAGACCUUGACUUUUGCAAGUCUCCAAGUUUCCAACUUUUUUUUUUUUAAUAUUAAGGUGUGGGGUCAUGAACACCUUUAUUUCCUUUUUAAAUAACAAAAAGGAAGAGAAUUUGAUCGUGAGAAGGCUAUUGCUAUCAAUUGUGUUCACCUGGAGAAUUUUUUAAUGUAUAGAGGCCAUAUAUAUAUAUAUAUAUAUUUAUGUCUAAUUUAGGAGGGUAAUUUGGGUUUGUCUAAUCUAUUCCAUUUAAUCUUACUAUACAAUCAUUUUUAUUAUUUGAAUUAUUCUUGUAUUAAAUUUCUUCAACCCAAAUUUAAUUAAUUGAUAGGAUGAAAGAAAAUGUGAGAAUGUGAGACUAGAGGUGGCCUUUGUUUGAUUGAUAAUUAAUCAUUUUUUUAUUUUACAUAUAUCUAUCGACAUAUAAAGAGCCAUAAAGUUAAUAUCAUAAUGGAAUUUCAUAAAACCCAUUAUAGAAUUUCAUGCUUGAAGUCAUUACUUUUGAAAGUAUUUAUUAUAAUGAAAGCUACUUUUUGUAAAAAUUAUUAUUUUAUGGUUGAUAAUUCAUUAAGUGUCUUCUUAUUCAACUAGUUGACUUCUUGCCAUGGAAAAGUAUACCCAAAAAAAGGUGACUUCUUGUAGUAGAAAAGUAUACCCAAAAAAUGACUUGUUGGAGUGCACCCAAUGUGUAUGUAAAUUUUGUGGGUGAAAAAUUUAGAGGUAAAUUAUUGGGUACUUGUAUACAUAGAUAACUAUGAAAACAUAAUUUUUGUUAAGUGAAAUAAAUUAAUUUUAAAAUAACAAACAAACUGCCAAUAAAUUAAGUUAAACAUGUUGAUUAAAGUUAAGAGAAAAAUAUUAAAACAUAAAAUGAUGAAAAUGAUAAUAAUUAUGAUAAUGGUGAACAUAGUAAAUGAUAACAAUAAUUGUGGUUGGUAAAUGAUAAAAAUAGUUGCCGGAAAAUUUGUUUAGAUAAUAGGUUAAUUUUAUAAUAAAUUUAUGGCAUUUUAAGGUUUUUUUUUAUAACAUAUUCUUUUAGAUUUUAAAAUUUCAAAGGAUACUAUUUGUUUUUAUUACUUAUAACUUUUAGUAUUUAUAAAUUAAAAUUUUAGUACUUAAAUUUAAUAUUUGUAAGUUAUAUGAAUGACUUGAAGCAUGUAAUAUAUAUAAAUACACAUAUUCAUACUUGAAAUAUUGCAUUUUUUUGGAUUAUUAGUUUAAUUUAAUGGAGAUGAGUAUUUUGUUGAAAAGUUACAAUGUAUUAUUGAAAAUAUGACUUGAUAGUUGAUUAUGAAUAUGUGUCAUUUUUAGUAAAAAUAAAUAAAAUUAAAUCUAUAACAUUUUAUAUUGAUAGUAUAUUAUUCUUGUAAUAGGUUCAAAUAAUAAGCAAGUCAUUAUCAAAGAAGUUAUUGGAAGUGUAAGGGUACGUUUAUUUAUUGCAUGCUCUUAUAUAGUAUCAAUUGUAAGGAAGAUAAAAUUACUGAUUACUACUCAAAAAGUGCUAUUUGAUAGCCUAUAAUUAAUCCUUUUAAACACUUUUGAGUAGUAGUUUAGGCCUUUUAACUCAAUUGGCAUGUUAAGGACCCUUGAAAGCAAUUUUAAUUACUUUGUGUAAGUUUUGGUGUUUUUGUUAGUAUUUUGAUCACCAAAGCAAGUCAAGACUGAGGAGAGUUAUGAGGAAUCUUGGGCAAAGCUUAGAAGUCAUUUGCCAAGAGUGAAUCCAGAAUGCAAGGAGAAAAAGUAAAGAGAAUCUGCCAUGAAGCAUAUUCUUGAUGACAGUCAUAGCAGCCACUUUAGGAGCACUUUCUGAAGUCCAAUUGAUACAUGCUAUAUACCAUUUCAAAGCUCAGGAAGUCAACAAUCCACUGCUUCAAACGGUGUGCAAUUCGGAGUUGAAACGAAGAAGUUGCAGCCAUUGCAAGCCAAUCACUCCAAGCUGAAGGAAGCAUUUUUGCAAAGUGUUGCGAAAUCACCCUUUUGUUGCGAAGUGAUUCCACAGCCUUUUUGUACAGUAGGGUGUAUUUCCUCCUGAAGAUGCCCGACAUAUACCGCGAGAGGGAAGCUGGGAACCUCAAGGUGGAAGCCAACUUCGCAGCCCUGCGAAGAUAGCAUGUUGUUGCGAAAUGAUUUCGCAGCCCUCUUGAGUGUCUGCGAAAUCUCGCAGACACCAUUUUCUCUUGCGAAAUGGUUCCUGGAGCAUCCCGAUAUCUGCUACCGAUAUUGGGAGAUAUUUUACAUUAGAUUUUUGUUGUCUAAAUACCAAAAUACUCCUUGUAAGCCACCAAUUACAAGAUUCCUUAGCUUUUAAGUUAGUAAAAAAGAGAAAAAUAUCUAUGUAAUAAUUAGUUUUAUAUUAUGUUCAUAUAUACCUCUCGGGAGCCUGUUCUCAGAAGGAUCCUUUUGUAAAGUUUUGGGUAAGCAAGUAAAGUUCAGUUCUUUGUUUUGCCUUACCUUCUCACUUUGUAUUUUUCUAUUUAUUACUAAGUUAUGAACUCUCUGAGGAGUUUUCCCCAGAGAAUGAGUAACUAAACCUCUAGUUCCUUGGAGCUAAGGUUGCCGGGGAAGGUUCCAAGUGCAAGAAUGCAAAGCUUUGUGGUUUUAGCUAAUAAUGAAAAGGAAGUGAAAUCCUUUAGUGAUUUCUAUGUUUUUAGUUAACUUAAAACACCUUAGAGUCACCUGGGCCAACACUUGGUAAGGCAAGUGAUUUCCAACCAUGGAAAUGCACUAGUUUACCCCUUGCGAGCCUCUGGGAGGUGACUUUAGGGUAGGAUUUUCUAGAAUAGCCAACACUUGGUAAGCUUUUGGACUCCAAGGAGACAUCCAUUAGUUAUCUCUUGCGAGCUUUUGACGGGUAAUCCAAGGUUAAAGAUCACCUUGAAUGGUUACGGCUUAGUGAGAAGCUUAAAUCAUUGCAAGUUGCAUCAGUGAGAGAAUUAAAGUGAAAUCUAAUUGAAGGAUGUAUCUAUACAACACCGGUUAGAGAAUUGACUAUAGGUUGAAUCUCUAACGCGAAGAAAUGAACCAUCUGACCGGAGCUAUGUCUUUUGCAUGAGGAACCACCCCAGUGAACCUAACUCUCCAAGGAAUGUUUUUCUUCCUAAGUUAUUCCCAUUACCUGUUGUGUUAGUUAGUUUAAGUCUAAAUCUUUACAAAUCAAAGUUUGGGUUUUAUUUCUUAAGCUAACCUUGAAAUGAAACAAGACCAAUUCACUUUGAAUUGGUAUCAUUGAUAGCUUGUUAAUCCUUCCCAGUGAACGAUCCUAGAGCCACUAUACUAUAGUAGUUUUUUCUUUGCUACCCUAGUAUAUGGUGUUAUAGGUUAUAAAUUUUGUUGAUUACUCCCUCAAUCAAGGAGCACCAGCUGGACACGAAUCAACUGAGACACCAACUGGGCAUGAAUCAAAUUACCUUGUAAAGGUAAUUAAAUAUUUAUAUAUUUUAAAAACUUUUUUCCUAUAUACUAUGCUUUUGAAACUUGUUUAAUUAAACAUAUUAGUUAUUUGACAAACUUUUCACAAAUGUUUUGUAUACUUAUGUGUUCUAUUUCGUUCCAUAGUUUUAUUGCAUAAUACUUAUGUAUAUUUUUUCACAAACUUUUUACAACUAUUUUGUGUACUAAUGCAUAUUAAGUUUUGUUCUUGCCUAUAUAAGCUACAUUUAGUUAUUUAAAUAUAUCCAAUAUUAUGUUGAAGAAAGAUGUAUUUACUUAACUUUUUUUAUUCUUCAUAUUAACAAGUUUUUUAGUUCUCUUGUCUCGAGAUUGGAUGUCAAAAGAUAGAAGGUCAGUUGAGUAUGAUGAAAGAGUUGAAAACUUUAUCAAUUUUGCAUUAGCACAUUCAAUCAACCAUACCUCUAUAAAAUGUCCAUGCUUAUGUUGUGCAAAUCUGUUAUGUCAAACUCUUCAAGUCAUUAGAGAGCAUUUGUUCUUUAAUGGAAUAGAUCUCAGUUAUUGAGUAUGGUAUUGGCAUGGAGAAAAGGGACCCAAUGGAGGAUUUUCAAAUGUCUCACCACAACAUUAUGACAAAUGCAACUAUAAUGAUGUUGUUGACACAAUAGAUAUGGUUAAUGCUGCACAAGUUAAUUAUAUGAAUAAUCCCCAAGUGUUUGGAAGGUUACUUGAAGAUGCAGAAAAACCUUUAUAUCUCGGAUACAUGAAAUACACAAAGUUGCCAGCAUUGGUAAAACUUUACGACUUAAAAGCACGUUAUGGUUAGUCUGACAAAGGAUUCUCAUAAUUGCUUCAGUUGCUUGGAGAUAUGUUGCCAUUGAAUAAUGAGAUGUUGUUGUCCAUGUAUGAAGCUAAAAAGGCUUUCAGUGCACUUGGGAUGGAAUAUAAAAAAAUUCAUGCAUGUUCUAAUGAUUGUAUUUUGUAUAGAAACCAGUAUAAGGAUGGUAUUACAUGCCUAACUUGUGGAAAGUCAAGGUGGAAGAUAAACGAUGAGGGGAAAAAGAUUAAGAAGGGGGGUUCCUUCAAAGGUUUUUUGGUAUUUCCCACCAAUCCCUAGAUUCAAAAGGAUGUUCCAAUCCUCAAAAACCACUAAACAUCUUAUAUGGCAUGCCAAGGAUAAAGAAUAUGAUGGUAAACUACGCCACCCAUCAGACUCCUCAGCAUGGAAACUAGUUGACCAUAUGUGGCUUGAUUUUGCUUCUAAACCGAGGAACCUUAGACUAGUACUCUCAAUAGAUGGUAUAAAUCUUCAUAAGUCUAUGAGCAGUAGACAUAGUUGUUGGUCUGUUAUACUGAUCAUAUACAACCUUCCUCCUUGGUUGUGCAUAAAAAAGAAGUUUAUGAUGCUAUCAUUAUUGAUCUCAGGACCACGACAACCUAGUAAAAAUAUAGAUGUUUACUUGAGUCCAUUGGUGGAUGACCUUAAAACUUUGUGGUAAAAAAAAGUUGAGACUUAUGAUGCACACUUGCGUGAGGUUUUUUACUUUAAAGGCCAUCCUUUUAUGGACAAUCAAUGAUUUCCCUGAAUAUGGAAGCUUGGCCAAUUGCAUUGUGAAAGGAUAUUAUGCAUGUCCAAUAUGUGGAGGAGGAACAUAUUCCGAAAGAUUAAAGCAUGGUAGGAAGAACUCGUAUAUGGGUCACCAACGAUUUCUUCCACAUAACCAUCCCUAUUGGAGACAAAAGAAGGCAUUCAAUGGUGAAGAAGAUUUUAGAAUUCCUCCUAAAAUUUUGAGUGGGGAAGAAAUACUUGAAAAAGUUGAUCUCAUUCCUAUUUCUUGGGAAAAAAUGAAGAUAAAAUCUCUUGAAUCUAAUGUGAACACAAAUUGUUGGAAAAAAAAAAGUCCAUAUUUUUUGAGUUAGAAUAUUGGAAAUAUCUUCAUGUCCUUCACAACCUGGAUGUUAUGCACAUCGAAAAGAAUGUCUGUGAGAGUAUUAUUGGUACUUUGUUUAACAUCCCAGGAAAAAAAAAGAUGGACUUAAUGCUCAACUUGACCUAGUUGAAAUGGGUUUAAGGUCUGAACUUUUCCCAAGAGUUGACUUAAAGCAGACCUAUCUUCCCCCUGCAUGUUAUUCACUAUCCAAACAUGAGAAAAAAAUUAGUUUGUCAAACAUUGUCUAAUUUGAAGGUCCCGGAGGGGUAUUGCUCAAAUUUUAGAAAUCUUGUCUCCUUAGAGGAAUUGAAGUUAUUUGGUUUAAGAUCCCAUGACUAUCAUGCACUUAUGCAACAACUGUUGCUAGUGGCAUUACGUUUUGUUUUGCCAAAGCAUGUGAGAUAUACUAUAUCAAGAUUGUGUAUCUUCUUCAAUCAAUUACAUACAAAAGUGGUUGAAGUGUCAAAAUUGGAUGAAGUACACAAUGAGUUAGUGGUCAUGUUGUGCUUACUUGAAAAAUAUUUUUCACCUUUAUUUUUUUGAUAUUAUGCUUCAUCUAGCAGUGCAUUUGAUAAAGGAGGUGUGACUAUGUGGUCUAGUUUACUUUAGUGGAUCUACCCAUUUGAGAGGUAUAUGAAAGUUCUUAAAGGAUAUGUUCACAAUCAUAAUCAGCCUGAAUGAUGCAUUACUAAGUGCUAUUUAGCAGAGAAAGCUGUCGAAUUUUGUACUAAAUAUUUAUUAAGGAUUCAUGCAAUUGGAAUUCCAAAAAGUAACAAUUAUGACAACAAAUUUGGUAGACCUAUAAUUGGUGGUCAUUCUACCAACAUUGAUCAUAAAUCGUGGUUACAAACACAUCAUUAUGUGUUAGAGAAUACAACUAUUGUCCAACCAUACACUGAGUAAAAAAAAACAUACCUUUAUCUUUUUAUAAUUUUAUAACAUAAUGAUGAAAUCCUAAGUUUGCAUUCCUUGUCUAUAAUGUCAUAGGGAACACAUGAAUUGGUUGAAGUCUCAAUACCCUUGACAAUCUAAUAGACAAAUUUGGUUGCAAGAAGAACAUAUGUGUUGUUUUACAUAUUGACUGAAAGAAAAGGUAAUCUCUUAGUUUUUAGAAAAAUUUUCAAUAUGUUGAAAACAUCACAAGUUUCCAAUAUGUUUUGAUUAUACACAGGUUGAAGAGGCUAUCCAUAAUGGGCAAGAUAUUACCGACACGCUUAGGUGGUUAGCACAUGGCCCUACUCUCCAGGUAGUCAAAUAUCCUGGAUAUAUCGUUAAUGGGUGUCGUUAACAUAUUAAUGAACACGAUAUGACAUGCAUCACCCAAAAUAGUGGUGUUAGCAUUUUAGUAAGGACUAUGCAAAUUCCCAGUUCUAAGGAUAAGAACCCAGUUUUUGGUGAACUUUGCUUUUAUGGGGUCAUUAUUGAGAUAUGGGAUCUUGAUUACAACAUGUUCACAAUUCCAAUUUUCAAGUGUGAUUGGGUUGACAACAAGAAUGGUAUAAAAGUUGAUGAACUCGGGUUCACAUUAGUUGACUUCUCCUAAAUAUGUCACAAAUCGGAUCCAUUUAUUUUAGCAUCACAAGCCAAGCAAGUCUUCUAUGUUGAAGACCAACUUGAUCCUAAAUGGUCAAUAGUUCUCUCAAUUCCUCCAAAAUAUUUCAAGAACAUAGAAGGACUAGAUGACUUCACCGAUAAUUGCAUGGAACAUCACCCCUUUAUAAGUUCAAUGCCAAAAGUUGAAUCAUUUGAUGCUAUGGAUGAAUCAGAGGCAAUAUACAUGAGGGAAGACUAUGAGGGCAUAUGGAUUGAAAAUAAUUAAAUAAUAUAUUGUACCCUUGACAUGAGAUAUAAUAAGGCAUUUCACUUAUUAGUUUUCAUGAGUUGCAUAUUACCUUAGCUUCUAUAUAUUGCUCAUGAUAUAUAUAUAUAUAUUGAUCAUCCUAAAUUUCUUUCAUGCAUCAUAAACAUAUGUUAUUCAAAGGUACCACUUCAAUCUUCAUUCAACUAUCUUUUUGUUGUCCAUGGAACUAGAUUUAUAUUAUUUUUUAUUAUCAUGUUUUGAUUUUAUGCUCACAUAACUUGAAACUCUCAUUCCUAAAUUUCUUUUUCAUUAAAACUAUAAAUCAUAAUUGAAACUAUGCACUAAUUUAUUUUAUUAUUAUCCUCACAAAUAAAUUCUUCAUUAUUGAUAAGAAAUCAAAAAACAAGACAAACUUUGAAAGAAAAUUUCAAAAAAUGUAUUUGUGAAUGACCAAUUUAAUUAUAGAAAAUAUAUGCAAGGCUAUACUAAUCUUGCUUUUAAGUCAUUUUACAGGUUUGUUGGUGAAGUACUAGUUUGCACAUUUACUUGAUAUCUUCCACACAAAUAUGGAUCUGAAAGAAGAAUAAAUGCCAAAAAUAAAGCAUAGAGGUAGUACAUUGAAACCAAAGAUUGCAAAAAAUCAAAGUAAAGGGAUAAAGCUCAAGAUUGAAUACAAUAGCCUUGGUAGUCACAUUGAGGAAAAUUCAGUUGAACUAAGUAGUUAUCUUAGUACAAUAACUAGAACCCAUGUGCCAAUAAUUAUUGAGAGUUGGAGGAAAGUCCCUAAAGAGACUAAGGAGAAGUUAUGUGAUUUGAUCACGGUAAGUCUAUCUAUAGCUUUAAUAUAUAAUUAUUGUAUACAUUCAUUAACAUGAGUUAACAUGGGUUACUAUUUUGUAGACAAGCUUUAAUGUGAAUAAAAAAUCCAAGAGGAAUUGUUUCAUACUAAUGGACAUAAGGUUUUGAACCUUUAAGACAAAGAAAUAUAUAUUGUCUUUCAAGAAUGACCAGAAAAGCUGAAAAAGUCACCUCCUAUCUACCCAUUCAUACAAGAGGAUCAUUGGAGACAGUUUGUUAAAGAUAGACUUUCUGAACAUUUUAAUGUUAAGCAUUAUUCUUAUUACAUCUUCAAUUUUCACAUUUACGUAGUUUCACCAUGUACUAAUUUUGUGUCUAUAUUUUGUAGGAAUAUUGCAAGGUUCAGAAAUCAAGAAAAGAUAAACACAUUUACAAUCAUUAUCUUAGAAGAAAAAGAAAAUGAUAUGCACGUUUUGAGCAGGAUAUAGUAAGUUAUCAACAUUCAUAAAAAAAAAUGAAGUAUAUGUUUUGUUUAUAGGAAAAUGAUUCCAAUUUUUAAAUAUCAUUUAUGAACUUGAUCAUAUUGAACUAAUGAGUUUUAUUGUUAACAAUUUUAUAGCUACAAGCAGAAGGGGCAAUUGGUAGGGUUGAUAGAAGUGUUUUAUGGAAGAAAGCAUGUGAGAAGAAAGGAAAGUUUAAUAAGAUUACAAAACCAAUGAUUAACAUGAUAGUAAGUUAGCAUAUUUAUUCCUUUUAGAGCCUAUAGUGUUAGUAUGUCCAUGUGAUUAUGGUUUGUGAUGAUAUCGUUAGGUGUUAAUAGGCAAGAGGCUUAAUGCUAUCAUUUUUAUGAGUAGUCAUGUUAGACUAGUGCAAAUAUAGUAGCCUAAUUUGAAAAUUAAUUUUGAAACAAUAUACAUUAAUUUAUCUAUUAUUCUUUAUAUUAAAACAAUUCAUUUUCUAGCUACCUUGAAUUGGUUGUCUUUGAUUGAUAUGUUAAUCAUCUUCAUCAAAUUAUUACUAAUAUAUGUUUUGUUGUAGGAUGAAUUACUAGAAAAGGCAAGGAGACUGGACUACCUCCACUUGGUCCAAAUGACAUAUUAUGUCAAGCAUUGGGUAAACUUGAUCAUCUAGGACAUGUGGUAGGUCAGGACCGUUUGGUUAGGCCCAACUCAUACUUUUAUCAAACAUUUGAUGACAUGAAAAAAAUCAAAGAAGAAAUAUGGGAAAUGGUGUGAAAGAAGAUGCAAGAUGCUGCAACAAGACAAGCUAUGUCUCCCCCCACACCCCAUUCUGAUAUGGGUAGUAAUAACAUGAGACAACAGCUUGUUUUACAACUAGUUGUAGCAAAAAAACUGAUGUUUGAAAUGAUGGAAGAGCCCCAACCACCAGAACCACCACUAAAACGUAAAGUAUACAUUUACUUACUAAUAAUACAAGAUUAAUAUAAGUGAUAUAUAGCCUAUGUAAAUGAUAUUAUUUGUUGUAUUGAAGGUAAUUAAAUAUAAAUUAGCAGUGGAAAGAAAAUGAAAUGUUGUUGCAACCGGUACACUAAUGAAAUGCUGAGCUUUCCAUUGCUUUGCCAUGGAUUCCCAAGAACUCUCCUCAAUCUCGGAUUGCUUUGGUGAUAAAAAAGUUAUCAAAACACCAAAACUUGACAAAAUUUGAUUAGAAUUGAUUGCAAGGAUCCUUAAUAUGUUAAUUGGGUUAAAAGGUGAUAACUACUACUCAAAAGUGUUUAAAAAAGUUAAUUACAAGCUAUGAAAUAACACUUUUUGAGUAGUAAUUACUCCCCCCAACCAACAUAUUGCUAGUCCCUUAGCAAUGAAGGAGAGAAAAAUAAAAAUAAAAAGUAUUAUAAUUUAUAACAUCAUGCUGAUCAAAAACCAAUUUCCAAGUGGCAUGAUGAUUUAACUCUCACAUGGAACAUUAAAGAAAUAAAACUCAAAUUUCAACAAGAGUUAUCAAAUAACUUGUCUAAUCACAAUUCUUAAAGAGAAGACAUUAUGUAAAUUUAAGCUUUAAAAGAGUUUCCACUCCCAAAGGGCCAAACCUUACUUUUCCACAAAAAUCUAAGUGUUAUUUAUUAGCUUCCGAAUAUAGUAUGUUGAACUAAUCUCUCCCCCUAACCUAGUUCUUUUUCAAAGCUUAGCAAACUAAUCAACCUCAAAUAGGUUAAGAACGCACCUCUUUUCUCACAAUUUUUUUUUUCAUUGUAGGAGUACAAGGCUUAAAGGUAUUCUUUUUUUAAAUUGUCCAUGUAAUGGGGGUCCAUUGAUGACUCCCAACCAAUUAAGGUUUAGGGCAUCAAGCUUUAAAGAUCUUUCAACCACUAACUCCUCGGAUUUUACCCCGGACUUUUGAGAAUGAAUUUUAAUACCCAAGCACCUACAGUAUGUUAGACUCCACCUUUUCACCCUUGUAACGAGCAUUGAGGUCGGUGACUCCCAACCAAUUAAGGCUUAGGGCACCAGGUUUUAAAGAUUUUCACCAUAUACCCCUCAGACCUUGCUCGAGUUUCAAGGCAAGUAAACAUUUUUUCUUUUUUCUUUUUUUUUUUUUCCAAAGGCUCAUUGGCCUUUUAUAAGGUGUCCCAACACUAUUAAAUGAGGUCAAAGGUACCAAGUCUAAAUUUUCCUAAGUCAAGAGGGAAAUAGUUUUUCAUCUUAUAAUCGGAACCUAUUGUACACAGUGUGUGAAUAGCUUAAAGUGGAAGAACUGAGGUUGAAUUCAAUAGAAGUUUCAACAAUUCAUCAACUUUAGUAAGCAUAAUACAAAAUCUAAGUCAAGUAAAAAGACAAAAAUUCAAUUUCUCCCUUUUCAUUUUGAAAAUUUUUCCUUAAUAACCAUGGAGAGUAGAAUAAAAAACUUUAAAAAAUUUUAAAAUUAAGCAAAAAGCAACUAAAUUACCAAAAUAACUUAGCAUUAUUAACAAAACUUACUUCCUCAACUCUCCCCCCAACCAAGCUGAACAUUGUUCUCAAUGUGACAAAAGCGAUUGAAAAAUAGGGAGGAAGUGGUACCUCCUGUGUGACAUGGAGUCUGAGUCAUAUAAGAGAAACCACAUGUUUAAAAAAAAAACAUAAGAGUUAGUGAGUAGAGGAAAUAGGCUGAUCAACAAAAGGAGGGGCCUGUGAUGGCUCUGAUGAGCUGGGAAUGGCAUGCUCAGGAGCUGAUGUAAUGCCGAGAUGAUGCUGGAUCUGCCUCAGGAUGGCAGUGUGUUGGGCCUGACUGGUAAGCCAUUUGAUCUAGCCUAACAACCUGGGGAAAAGGAGUGGAAUGGCAUCAGCUCGGAGUAGCUUCUUUCGAUUUUCUUGCAAUUCCUCCUGAUUUUAAUCAUUAAAAAAAAAUAAAAACUAUAUUACAUCAAAACAAAGUAAAAUUAAAGCAUUAAAAUCAAAAUUAAAGCAUUGAAAUCAAAAUUAAAACAAGUAAUAAAUAAAACAAAAAGGUAUGGACUAGCUAGUCUUUAAAAAGACUAAGUCCAUUAAAAAAAAUUUGAUCCUGAUUUAGCUUGCCCGGAUCCCAUAUGAAGCUUGCAUCCCUCACUUGAGACUUGCUCUGUAUGAUUUUUCCAUACAAAGCUCGGGGGAAAAGUGGAUGCAUGUGUUUCUUCAUCAUUUCUUCCUUGAUGACUAUUUUCAGUGGUUCUUCAUCUAUAUAGUCAUCUUUCUCUAUGCUUUUCCCCUUUUUCUUUCCUUUGAUUUCCUCCCUCUUUUCUUUCUCUGUUUCACUCUCUUCAUCAUGCUCUAGCUUGCAUGUGGGCAGAUCAACCUCUUUAUCACUCUCCUUAGCCUCCAUUUCAUGGAUACCCUUUUGAUUUUGAUGAGGUUGAGAAGGAGAGUUUUCUUUCUCUUGCAUUGUUUUGAGGUUGGCAAACCUUGAGAUUGAAUCUUGGAGAUUAUCUAUCUUCUGAGAUAGAUCAUUUUGCACUCCAUCCAUCCUGUCAAUUUUUUGACUGAGCUGAGCAUUGAUGGAUUUCUGAGCUCCAACAAAGUCUCCCACGACCUUGCUAAGAUUCACCAUAACUUGUUCAAGGUUUGAGGCUUGCUGUGGUGCUUGAGCAGGUUGCUUGUACUGAGGUGGCUGUGGUUUCUAAGAGAAAUUUGGAUGGUCCUUCCAAUUGGAAUUGUAGGUGUUGCAAUCACCAAACAUUUCCCUCAUGACUGGAAUGGUAGGACACUCUUCCACCAAGUGCUCAUAAGAUAGACAAAUGGCACAAGACAUAGCUUGCAAUGGUGUUUGAGAGAUGGCUUGCACUUUUUGCAUCUUUUUCAUUUCUAACUCUUCCAAUCUCCUUGCCAUAGCUGUAAUCUUUGCCUUCAUGUCUAUGCCGUCAUUCAAAAUAUACAUCUCACCCUUAGCAUUAGGUUGAGACGUCAUUCUUCCCAUAUCUCUAGCAUUUGGUUCAUCCCAUUCUCUUGAAACUUCAGCCAGAUAACUCAUGAAAUUCAUGGCUUCCUCUGCUAUCUUGUAUUCAAUAUGGCAUGCACAACUAGCAAUUUGUGAAUUAAAAACAGAGAAAACAAAAGAAAAUAAAAGAAAAACAAUUCUAAGAAAAAAAAUAAGGUAAACUAAAAACUAAAUAAAAUGUAUUCUAAAAUAUGAACAAAGGAAAAUAAACAAAUAAAAAGAGUUAGUAAAAGGAAAAGAAAAGUCACCAAACUUGUGAUGAAGAUCACAAGUACUCUAAAAAGGUCAUAUCACUGUAAAGUGGCACCAUCCCCGGAAACGGCGCCAUUUGAUUCGUGCCCAAUUGGUGUCUCAACUGAUUCAUGUCCAGCUGGUGCUCCUUGAUUGGGGGAGUAAUCAACAAAAUUUAUAACCUAUUACACCAUGAACUAGGAUAGCAAAGACAAAGCUACUAUAGCAUAGUGGCUCUAGGAUCGUUCACUGGGAUGGGUUUUCACUUCACAAUUGAUAUUAAUUCAAAGAUGAAUUGGUGCCUUUUCAUUUCAAGGUUAGCUUUAAAGGAAAACAUAAAGAUGUUUGAAUGAAAAAGGUUUGGUUUUAAACUAACCAAAAAUAGUAACUGAUUUUACUUACAAAGAAAAGUGUUUCUUGGAGUUUAGAUCACUAGGCUCAGGUUCCUUAUACAAAAAGGGAGUUCCGGUCACUUAUUUCUUUUCCUCGCAUUGGGGAUUUAACAUAUAGUUAUUUCCCGAACCGGUGUGGUACAGAUGCUUCCCAUUAAUGGGUUCAAACACUAAAUCCCUCUCACUGAUGCAUCUUGCAAUGGCUCGGGCCUCUCACCUAGCAUUUGCCAUUCAAGGUGAUCUUUAACCUUGGACUUCCCGUCAAAACUCGCAAGAGAUAACUAAUGGAUGUCUCCGUGGAUCCAAAAGCUUACCAAGUGUUGGCUAUUCUAGAAAAUCCUACCUUCAAACCACCUCCCAAAGGCUCGCAAGAGAUAAACUAGUGCAUCUCAACGGAUGGAGAUCACUUGCCUUACCAAGUGUUGGCCCAGGUGAUUUAAAGACGUUUUAAGUUAACUAAAAAGAUAAAAACCAUUAACGGGUCACACUUUCUCUUCAUUAAAAACUAAAACAACAAAACUUCCAAUUCUUGCAUUUGGAAACUUACCUAGCUUUCUUCAUUCCAAGAGAUGAAGAGCCUAGCCUCUCAUCCUCUGAGGAAAAAUCCUCAGAGUUUGGUUGGCUAGAAAUAAAAAGAACGAGAAAACAAAAAUAUGUAUGAAAAGCAGAGCAAGUGCUCUGUAUUUUACUUCCUUCCAAAAUUGUACAAAGGAUGCGUCGUCUUUGAGAACAAGCUCCCGAGAUUCUACAUAUAUAUUUUUUAUGAAAAUUACAAAACUAUAUAUAAGAGGUUAUUCACCCUUUUUUCUUACUUAAAGACUAAGGAAUCCUAUGAUAGGUGGGUUACAAGGAGACUUUGGGGAUUUAGACAUCAAAUAUCUAAAGCAAAAUAUCUCAAAAUGUCGGUCGCACAUUGGGGAUUUAGACAUCAAAUAUCUAAAGCAAAAUAUCUCAAAAUGUCGGUCGCACAUAUCAGGAAGCUUCAGGAGAACACUACGGCACUGUGUAGAAAAAUAUCUCAAAAUGUCGGUCGGACAUAUAGGGAAGCUUCAGGAGAACACCGUGGCACUGUGCAAAAUGGAUGCGAAACUCUCUGGGUAAGCGCUAUCAGAGGAUCCGGAUAUGUCUGACCGGGGAAGUUGAAACGCCCUCUUCUCCCAUCCGGCAUCAAGCGUCGGAUGCGAAAUAUCCGGAUGGAAUGUCGGCAGAGCAAAAUUCCGAAUGUGAGACAUCCGGGUGGAAUGUCGGCGGAGCAGAAUUCCGAAUGUGAGACAUCCGGGUGAAAUGUCGACGGAGCAAAAUUUCGAAUGUGAGACAUCCGGGUGGAAUGUGCGAUGCCACAGCCCACAUUUUGCCGCCCUUCGAUGGUGUGUCCGGACGGAUCCCAUACUCCUUGCAUUCCGGAUUUGCUUAUGGCAAAGGACUUCAAAGCUUCGGUUCUUUUUGUUUUUGAGCUUUCCAUUUCUUUACCAUGGAUUCCAAAGAACUCUCCUCAAUCUCGGAUUGCUUUGGUGAUAAAAAAGCUAUCAAAACACCAAAACUUGACAAAAUUUGAUUAGAAUUGAUUACAAGGGUCCUUAAUAUGUUAAUUGGGUUAAAAGGUGAUAACUACUACUCAAAAGUAUUUAAAAGAGUUAAUUACAAGCUAUGAAAUAGCACUUUUUGAGUAGUAAUCAACUUGUUAAUGGUGUUCAUAGCCUUCCAUACAGUCUUUUCAUGGCCAUCUAAAUUCAGCACUCUUAGCCAUGGGAAGUAAUAAGAUAAAGACAAUACAUAUAGAUGAGAAAGUACAGUAAAGAAGGAUUCAACAUGUUGCUCCUCUUCAACUAUAGGGCUUCCAUCUUUUUUUCGUUGGCCAAAGUAUCUUGUGUUGAGGAUCAUCUUCUAGAUGACAUUCCCGCUAUAUUGACAGACUGUAUUUCUAUCACACCCCAAAUACUGGGCAACGCAGAACUUGACUCAUGACCCCAGGUCAAAGGUUUGACCCUAAGAGUUACAAUUAUCCAUGUUGGCAAUCAAUCAAAACAUCCUGAAUUUUUUUUUUCAAUAAAGCGUUUAAUCCUAAAUAAAUUUAUUAAGUUAAGAUUUACUGUAACAUAUUAUUUUAUUUUUCCAAAACCAACCAUCACAUUAUCUCCUAUUCACAAGUAUUAAAAAAAAUAAAAUUCCACCGAUCAUCUUCCUACCCAAAAGCUCAAAUAUUUACAAUAAUCUCUAAGUCAAAAAGAAUAUUUCCAAAAAUGUUUUACAAACUAAUAAAAUAUAAUUUAACUUACAAAAGUCCAUAUAACUCAAAUUAGUGGAUGUCAAAAAGGUAUUAAAAAAAAACAACCAUUAUUAUGGUUUUUUUUUUUUUUUUGCUUUUUGAAACACUUCAUGAUCUUCCUAUGGUCCCUCAGAAACUAUAUCUGCAUCUAAAAAUUUUAUAAAAUAAAGGGAUGCACAUUUCCACGUUACUCUUUAGACCUAAAUGGGUUAGAAAUUCUAGGUCAAUAAAACACAACCAUAUGCCAAAAUAUAAUAUUACAUUUACAUUAUACACACUAAAAGAACCUCAACCAUACAUAUUUAAAUCAAUCAAAAUUAUCAUUUUCCUUAUUUAAUCAUAUGUCUAGCAUAUCAAUAAUUUUAAAUUUACAAAAUAAAUAAGUCACUUUAGUCUUGAAUAAUAUAUUCAAACAUACACUUGAUAAAUAAUACAAAUUCUUCUUCCAAAUGCAACCAUGAUGCAAAUGAUUACACACAAUCACACAAUGCAUUGUCAUUCUCGGGUUUUCACUGAAGGAUACACGUUUGUACCUAAAUACACUUCCCAUUCGGAGUCUUCCUAGGGUAAACUUUUGAGUUUUUCACCCUAAGGAUCUCACUUCCUUCUUAAUUCGCCCUCUCUAGGGUCAUUCAAUUUCUUAUUUUUCUUUUCUUUUCAUUUUUGCCAUUUUCGGGUCUUUUUAUUCUCAUUUCUAUUUCACACAACCGUUUCUUUAAUUUUUCUUUUUCUUCACACAAUCAUGAUGCAUAUGAAAUGCAACUGAAUCAUAUUUUAACAUCCAUAAUUUUCCAAGACAUAAUUCUAUUUACUCCCAUUAUGUUUCAUAAUUUCCAAUAAUCCACACAAUGAUUUUUCUUCACUUUAAUCGUCACAAACAUAAAAGAAAAUUCAUAAUUAAUUUGUAUAGUAUUAAAACAUAGUUUUAAACAUUGACCACAUAAAUUCUAUUUAUUCCCAACAUGCUUAGUAAUUUCCAAAUCCAAUAUAACCAUUUUUUUUUCAAUUAAAUAACCAAACAUAUCCAAGAAAAUUCCCACUAAUACAAAUAUCAACAAAAAUGUAAUUUAUGUCAUAAUUUAUUUGUCUCCAAUAAUUUCAAAAAUUUUAACACCCAUAUGACAAUUUUCCACAAUUAAGCCACCCUAACAUUCGGGAAAUUUUUUUCAAUAAUUCAAAUAUCAACAAAAACCCAAUUUAUAUCAUCAUCUUAUUUAUUUAUAAAAACAUUAAUAAUUUUAAUAAUCAAUACGACACUUUUCCACAAUUAAGCCACCGCAACAUUCUGGGAAAAUUUUCCAAUAAUUCAUAUAUUAACAAAACACAAUUAUACCUUAAUUUUUCUUAUCUCCAACAACAUCAAUAAUUCUUAGUACUCAAUAUAACUAUUUUUAUUUUUUCAUAUUUAAUAUUCUCAAGCACUACCAAAAUUCCAAGAAAAAUCCAUAAAUCACGAAAUAAAAUUAUUCACAACAAUAAUCACACUUCAAAUACCACAAAUAACAUCUAUUAUCUUUCAACAACACAAUAUAUAAUUUUUUUUCAAAGAAAAUAUUAAAUCAAAGUUUUAGGGUUAAAUCACCCUACCUUAAAUGUGAAAAAUUUAACCGUUAAAACUAAAAUGGGACACCGUAGGAGUAUUCCUCGCAUUGAAUAGAAUAUCUUUCUAAAAUUUCACGUGAAAUGGAUGUCAUUUGGUAGGUCCACCAGCGUCCUAAAGCUGGCGACCCAUUUUUCCCACUCUCUAUCGACGACUCCCCUACAUCUCUCACUCAAUUUCCUUUCUUCAUUUUUUUUUUCUUCUUUUAAACUCCCACGCCAAUUUCACUUUAUAUAUAUAUAUAUAUAUGUGUGUGUGUGUGUGUGUGUGUGUGUGUGUGUGUGUGUGUGUAUUAUUAAAACAAAUCCUAAAAUACCACGCACAUCCCUUUCUCAAUAAAUUAAAACCAUUAUUCUUAAAUUCACCUUCCGUAAUUAUGAAUUAUACCAAACUUAUGAUUUUCCAUCUCACGAAAAAUACCACCGUAUUCGUAAUUUAAUUUACUACAAGCCUACUCUUCAAAAAGUAUAAUUUGAUUAUAAUUACAUGAAACAUUUUUUUUUACUCUGAAAUUCAUUUAAAACAUGAUAUAAUUAACUAUUAACAAAAUUCAAUUCCAUAAAAUAUUAAAAACAUAAAAUAAUUUUUUGGCAAUCAAGAAGUUGAAAUUUGUAAUAACCCUUAACCUGUUAAUUUUACCCAUAUUUAUUUACCAACAAAAAUUUAAAUAAUAUUCUAAAAUUUAAUUCCAUAAAUUAAUUAGUCAUUCAAUUUAUAAAAAUCAAAUUCUCUACCAUUUGGUAUAACUUUUAUUUAAUUUAAUUCAUUUGUCAAAUUAUUCAAUCGCAUCAAAAUUUCAAAAGUUAAAUUCACUAAAUUCACAUUUAAUUAAUUUAUCAUUUUGUAUUUUUUUCUUCUAAAUUCACAUAUCAUAAUUUAAUCUUAAUUUAAUUUUGAUUCAAUUCUGUUUGAUGUUUUGUAAUUUUAUGAGGUUUAAUUCCAAUUAUAAAAAUUAAAUUCAAUUUCCUUUUAAUUAUCCAUUAUCACAAUUUGAUAUAAUAUAAAUUUUUAUCAAGUUUUUCUUACUACGAUUUUUCUGAUAAUUAUCCAAUAAUAAUUAAAUUAAUUCUUGUAACAUACUUAAUAUUCAAAUUUUCAAAACUUAAUAUCAAUUAUUUGAUAGUUAAUUUUUUUCUCCAAAUCUAAAUUUAAUUUAUGAAAUUCUCACUCCUUACAUCUAAUGUGGCAAAAUUUUCAAACUAUUGACUUUUGACCAACUUUUCCUAAAUUUCUCCUAAUUAAAUACUAACAUGUGGAUUUUCACCACUCUUUUUGACCUUUUGACCCACAAAUUUAUGAAAGACUUUAUGCUUGGAGAAUCUACAAAAACGUGGGUAUUACAAUUUCUCGGGUUGAUAACAGUCGUGGUUAAGAAGCCACCACUUGAAUACUCAGUCGCCAUUGUAAUGGGUGUGGAUGCAAAUAGUACAUCAUGUUUCUUCAAAAGUUCUCUGCUAAUCUCUAGGGAAGUCACGAGAACGAGAUGAAAUAUUGCCUAAUUGAAUACAUGCAAUUUCAUUGUUCAUUUCUUUCAUAAAGCCAUGUAUCCACCGGAAAGUUGGCUUGUUGUUGAGUAAAUGAGGUAGAUUUCGCACUAGUGGCCAUGGAGCUAAUCCUGGAGGAAGUUGUAUUGGCUUGCUUUUGGUACUUGUUUUGGAUUUUAAUUUAGUGAAGAUGAGAAAGAUUGAUGUGAUGAAGAGUAGCAAGAGGAAGUUGAGAUGAGACAACACAUCGUCUAUGGUAGUAGAAGAAAAUAAGGCUGAGUUGCUGCUACUACUCUCUACAACAAAACCAUUUACACGUUUUUUUAUUGCAAAACCAUGUUUGUCCUGUCUUGGGUCUGGAUGCACAUUUUUAAUAAUGGGGAAAUCAUGCAACCAAACGUCACAUACAAAGAGAGAGAGAAAAAAAAUAUUACCCAUUCUUGAACUCUAAAAGUAAAGUUAUAAAAAGCUUAGUUUUUUUUUUUGGUUAUGUAUGAUUGCAUGAUUUCCCCCUUUUAAGGUUUUAUCUCAUAAUUUUUUUUUCUAGAAGGUUCAAAUAAGUUUGAUGAAUAUUGUUUAUUUUAGUAAUUUGAUGAAGAUUUUUUAUUUUAGUAAUUUUAAUUUUAUGGGGUACUUAAAACAUUAGAAGGUCACAAAAAGCAACAUUUAUAAGCUACCUGUCUAAAAAUCUUGGCCUAAUCAUUGAAAUUCAAAAUAUAAAGUGACAACACACUUUUUAAAGCAAUUUUCAAAAUAGUUUUUAAAAACACAUUUAUGAUAUUUUUAAAAUAAAAAUCUCAAAAAUAACUUGUUUAUAUAGCGUUUUAUUAGACAAAUAGUUGAUCUUUACAAGAUCACCCUAAUUAUAGAUUUAUGAACAUGUAACACAACAAUUAUCUAUAUAUAUAUACUUAAAAUUAUUAUAUUUUAAGUUUUUAACUACAUAGGACAUCAUGAGUUCUUCCACCAUUUAUCUUAUAAUAAGUUUAUUUAAAUAUGAUAAAGGAUAUAUUAUCUCAUUUUUUAUUAUAUCUAAUGUUAUAUAUAUAUAUAUAUAUAUAUAACAAAUCAAAUACAAUUUAAAGAUUUUAAUUAACCAUCUAUUAGCAACAAAGCAAUCUCUUAAUCUCAUUCAUAAUAUUAGGAUAAUUUAGUAUUCCCUUUUAUAAAACACUAGCAUAUAAAUCAACACAAAUCAUAUUAAGGGUGUAUUUGGUAUUGAUUUUAGAAAACAUUUUUAGUAUUUCUAAUACUUGAAAGAUAAAAAAAUUCAAGUUUUAGAAAAAUCAAAAACGUUUUUUAGAAUGACUAUCAAAUACACGCUAAAUAUUACUUUUGAAUAUUUAUAUUUUUAAAUAACUUUUAAAUCUUUUAAGGCAAGUCUCUACUAUUUCUAUAAAUCCCCUAUUAUUUUUAAUUUUUAGAAACAAAAAAUAAAGAAUAGGAACUCCAUUUAAACAUCACCUUAUUAUUUCCUAUUAUAAAAUAGCACAAAUCAAAUGAAUUAUUUAAAAAUAAAUAAAUAUAAAAUCAAAGUUGAAGAGAAAAAACUCUUGUGCAUUAAAAAAACAUCAAAAUAAAUAAAUAAAUAAAACAUCAUCAAAUAAAUGUAAAAACAAAAUAAUGUUAUGGAAAAAUGAGAAUAGACAACAAGAAAAUAAGAACACGUAGAUUUACAUGAAAAGUCCUAGACGGGAAAAACCAUGGAUAGAGGAGAAGAAAUUCCACUAUAUUAAAAUUUUGGUAUAAAAUGUGAGAGAAUCAAGCGAGUAUUGUAUAGGCAUAAUCACUACGACCCUAAAUCCUAUACAUCAUCGCAUAGGUAUGGUGUAUGCGAUAAUAUUUGUGAUAAUAAAAAUAUUGUCACAUAAAAUAACUAUGGAAUGUAAUAUUUGUAAUAAUAUUCUUUACAAAAAAAUAUUUUUUCUUUACUUUAUUCACUUUGAUCACAACUUGAAAUAAGACAAUAAAAAUAUUUUCUUAAUUUUUGAAAAUUAAUUGAGGACUUAGAGCAGCUUGUUACUGAGUGAAUUUGCUGAAUGGUGAAGAAUGCGAGUAUAGUAGUUUUGCAAUUUUUUAGCCUUGUAGACAUAUUUUGUGAAGUCUUUUUCUCUUUGUAAAGCCCCAUUUUCUAUGUGAAGUUAUUUUUUUAAUAUUCUCUUUGGAAGUAAUUUAUCAUUAGUUAUAUAGGUAAGAUUAAGGAAUUAAAUUUGGAAUUCUUAAGAUUUGGUUGCUUAAUUCAAAGAAUUUGGUUCAAGGGAAAUUUGCCAACAAAAUAAUAUUUAUUUUUAAUUCUAUGAUGACUUUAAUUAUUUGAUAUAAUUUUAUUUUGAAAGACUUGAUGUGGGGGACUCAUCACUUAUUGAGUCCAAAUUUUGUUGCACCCAAAUUUUUAUGAGCUAAGAAACCAUAAUUUUAAAGACCAAUUCAAUGGUAAGUGAAUCCGCUAAAAUCUUCUAUGUACAAAUGACCUCACUUCAAGGUGCAACACAUACAUGUAUUAUUAUGUGUAUGGGAUGAGUCUUGAAGUUAGUCUUCAUUCCUCUUUGAUUUUUUUUUCUUCAAAUAAAUAAAUAAAACAUCAUCAAAUAAAUGUAAAAAUAAAAUAUGUAUCGGUUAAUUGGAGAGGAGAGCUUUAAGGGCAUUUCUUCCAUGAAAUUCUAUGCUCCGCGUACCAUAAAUUCGUACUCAACCAACAAAAUUGCAGAAUGGGCCCAUGCACAAACAAAAAUAGCCCAAAUGUAAAUAUCUAAAAAUGUAUAAAGUUCACAAUAGAUGAUCAAGCCCAAAUUUAAAUUUAAAAUUAGUCCAACAGGUUUCAUCAAUCAAAAUGGGCCCAAAUUAGCAAAUAUAACCCAACAAAAAUAUCUCAUAUGUCAUAGGCCCUAAUCUAAAAUUUUCAAAUUAAUAGCCAAAAUAUAAGUUCAAUUAAUCAAACCUAAAACAUAAUAAAUUAAAAUAAAUCUCAUUAGGCCUAAACUUAAUAUUCCAUAAUUCAAACCUAAUUUAAUAUAUAAACCUAAAUCCACAAUCAAAAUCAACCCAAUUUAUGCUAAUCCCAAUUUACAAUCAAUAUCAAACACAAUUUAAUAAGUAAAUAACUAAAUAGAUUAAGCAAACUCAAAACACCCAAACCACUACGGCAUAAAUCAAACAAUAAUAAAUAUAAUGACAACAAUAAUAAUAAUAAUAACAAAAUAAAAUAAAAAUUUUAACUCACGUUGGAGCCAGUUUAAAUGUCGUGGGAAAGAAAGAAAAUAGGAGAAAAGUGAGAGAUGAUUGACAACUGAUAGAGGCUUGCCGGCGGCGACUGGCCGGUGGUCCUGUUGAUGGUAGUGAAGAUUGAUGGGUUUUUGGGAAAAAAGAAAAAAGAAAAUGAGGAGUAAUAAAAAAAUGGAGAAAUGAGAGGAAUGUAGGAGAAGAAAGGAGAUAGAGAAUGUAGAAAAUGGGCGAAAAGAAAUGGGGCUAGCUGGAGGAGGAAGUGGUAGUGUGUGUGAGUUAAACUAAAGAAGAAUGGAAGAAGAAAAUGGAGAAAAAAUGGAAAAUAAGGGAGAAAAAACAUUCGGCCCCCUAAAUGAAGAGAUGUGGGUAGCCUAAAGAAGAAGAAAAAAUAAAAUAAAAUGAAGAGAAAAUGAGAAGGGGUCGGUGGUCUUGCGAAUGAGGUGGUGGUAUGUGUUAGAGAGAGAGUGGGUGGGAUUGUUGGGAAAGGUAUGGGAGAGAGAUGAGAGAGAAAAUAAAAAAAAGAUAAUAUAAAUAAUAAUAAUAAAAAUAAAAUAAAAUAAAAUAAUAUAUAAAAUAAUAAAAACUAAUAAUUAAAUAGUGAGUGGGCCAAAAAUAUCAUAUGUAAUCGAGAUUUAAUUUUAAGAGUAAAAUUGGGCUAAAAAUUAAUGUAAAAAUAAAAUUAGGACAAAUUUUGGGGUAUACAAAUAUGCGCCUCUUUAGUAGAGUCCACGAGUAAAGCAAGUGUAUAUGUGGGCGAAACAAACUGGGCUCUACUGAAAAACAAGAAAUACCAGCAAAUUUGUCUUAGUAUGACACGAGUUCUCCCAAAUUAAAACAAAACAAAAAGAAAUUUUAAAACCCCACACAAAUGGCAAAAACGGAAACUCCUAAGGUGUCUCUAAAGUUAUACUAUGGAUCUAGACUCCCUUAGAAAAGCCUCCAAAAAUGGCCCAAAAAUCGGUGUCAAAAUCGAGUAGCAAUUAGACCACUAAGGAGCGUAUGAACGAAUGUGUACAAAGGGAAAAAAACCAUACAAGGACAAAAGGCAUAAGGUAUCCAACAAUAUGACUGAAUCACAUGUUACAAGCUCAAAAGACUUUGUCAUGCACCAUGGAGGAGGGGAAGCUCUAGAAUAAUGUGAUGAGGAAGUUAUUAGCACAAUGUAACAGAGUGAGAAAAAAAGCAACGAGUGCAAAGCUGUGAGGACAAGGUGCACAAUGCUAAUGAAUAUGAAAUGAAUAGCACUGGGCUAUGAUGCAAUGAAUAGCUAAGGGUUGUAGCAUAAUGAACAAGUCAAGGAUGUGUAAAGAUGAGGAACAACUCAAGGUUGUAAUGCAAUGAACAACUUAGGGCUGUGAUUGCAAUGAACAACUCAAUGCAAUUAAUGCAAUGAAUAGCUCAGGGCUGUGAAUGCAAUGAACAACUUGAGGUUGUGGAUGCAAUGAACAACUCAUGGUCAUGGAUGCAAUGAACAGCUCAAGGCCGUGGAUGCAAUGAACAACUUAGGGUUGUGGAUGUCAUGAACAACUUAAGAAUAAGGGCACUGUACACCCAAAAGGGGAAAUCACGAUCUACGAUUCCAAGUCAAACCACUAAAGGGUGACCAAGAUGAGGGUGAUCAACUCACUAAAAAAGAGGAUCAAAAUGUCUCAAGGGAAGGGGGAUGCCCCAAAUGAAACUUAAAGGAAAUGAAUAGCACUAAUGAAACUAAAAAAAGAAAAUAUGUCACAACUGAAAUUGAAAAAAUAACAAAGUUAGAUUAAAGUGCAAUGAACAACUUUGGGUUGUGGAUGCGAUGAAUAGUACCGUGCUAUAAUGAAAUGAAUAACUCUAAGAUAUGGGCAUUGUACGCCUAAAAAAGGAGAUCGUGGUCUAGAAAUCCAAGUCAAACCACUAAAGGGCAACUAGAAUAGGAUGAUCAGCUUACUGAAAAUGAGAAUGCAACUAUCUCGAGAAAAAGGGUAUGCCCCAAAUGACACUCAACAGUAAAAGAAUGACACAAAUGAAACUAAAACAAGAGGAUGCCACAAAUGAAACUGAAAUGAUAACAAACUCACAAAUAAUGUGCAAUGAACAACUUUGGACUGUGGAUGCAAUGAAUAGCACCAGGUUGUAAUGAAAUGGACAACUCUAAGAUGUGGGCACUAUACACCUAAGAAAGGAGAUCACGGUUUACGACUCCAAGUCAAACUGCUAAAGGACGACUAGAAUAGGAUAAUCAACUAUCUAAAAAUGAGGAUGCAACUAUCUCGAGAAAAAGGGUAUGCCCUAAAUGACACUCAACAGUAUAAGAAUGACAUAAAUGAAACUAAAAUAAGAGAAUGCCACAAAUGAAACUAAAAUGAUAACAAACUCAAAACUAAUGUGCAAUGAAUAACUUUAGGUUGUGGAUGUAGUGAACAACAUUGGGUUGUAAUGAAAUGAACAACUCUAAGAUGUGGGCAUUAUACGCCUAAAGAGGGAAAUCACGAUCUACGACUCCAAGUCAAACCACUCAAGGGCGACUAAAAUAGGAUGAUCAACUCACUAAAAAUGAGAAUGCAACUAUCUCGAGAAAAGGGGUAUGCCCUAAAUGACACUCAAUAGUAAAAGGAUGACACAAAUGAAACAAAAACGAAAGAAUGCUACAAAUGAAACUGAAAUGAUAACAAACUCAUGACUAAAUUGCAACGAACAACUCUGGGUCGUGGAUGCAAUGGACAGCUCAAGAAUAGGGGAAUUGUUGGCCCAAAAUGAGAGAUUGUGGUCUGCGACUUUGAGUCAAACCACUAAAGGGUGACUAAAAUCAAAAUGAUUAACUCACUAAAAAUGAGGAUCUAAACAUCUCAAGAAAUGGGAUAUGCCCCAAAUGAAACUCAAAUGAAAGAGAUGCCACAAAUGAAACCGAUAAUAGAGGGAUGCCCUAAAUAGACUAAAGAAAAAGGGGUGCCCUAAACAAACUAACGGAAAAUGGAUGCCUUAAACAAACUGACGGAAGUGAAAUGCCCUAAAUAAAUUGACCAAAGAAGAAUGCACUAAACAAACUCCGAGAAAAAAAAAAAAAAAAAAGUAUGUGAUAUACAAUCGAAAACACCUAAAGCAAAAAUAAGAAACAAAAAAUGUGGUUUACAACUAGAAACACCCAAAAGAACCCUAAAGAAGUGAUUGGGAUAAUGAACUCAAUGAAAAUGGGGUAUGCCACAAUAAAAGACUCGGAAGUAUCAGCAAAUGGGUCAAACAACCAUGAAAUCAAUAGGAGAUAUGAUGAACCCAAAAAGGGUGUAUGCCUCAACAAAAGAACACUAAAAUAGGGGUAUGCCCUAGUGUAAAAUAGUGACCAACAUAAGACGCAAAAUGUCACCAUACAAGACACUCUAGGAUAUGCUCAAUGACAAUGUAAUGAAAACAUAUAGCCUCAAUUAACAAAUGUUCAAGCAAAACCAUGCAUCACAUAAACUAAAAUAAUAGGCUAAACAAAUGCUAACUAAGACUCUCAGUCUAAAAUAUAAGCAAGUUAAGACAUGACAUGUCAACCAUCAACAUGAAAACAUCAUCACAAAUACAUCAACAAUCUAAUAGUCCCUGUUAUCAUGGAAGAUGUAGAACCUAACGUCCAAAGGCAUGUGAAAGCUCAACCAGAAAACUCAAAACUAGUCUGUAUCCUCCUCUAAUCAAGAGAAUGGGACAAGGUUAUGUAAGAUGAUGAAAUAGGCAAACUCAAUAUCGGUCAGGCUCUGCCAAGAUGGAUGUAGGUAUAAUAGUGUCAAAGGUAGGAUGUUUGGAUGUCCAACGAAGGAAACUAGGUAUCCAAGUCGAACCAAGUAUAUUGAGGAAACUGAACCCAGGGGUCAAUAACUUUAUGAUCCAUUGAAAAUAGCAAUCAUGAAUAGAAGGUUGAGUCUCGAUGUCAAAAUCAACAAGGUGGCUAUGCCCCAGUAAGAAUACAUCUUCUCAAAAUGGGUAAACCCUCAAUGCAAGAUAAUCUCUAGAAAGUAUGUGUCUAGUAUAAACCGUUAUCUCACAAAAUCUAUCACUAAUGAGUGGGCUAUGUCCUAGUGUAAGCAUUUCCAAAAUCAAACAUCAAUGAGAGGAGUACAACCAAUCAUACAUAAUUUGAUCAAAAUGAAUCUCCACUCCUCAAAGUCAUCAUGGUAACGUGAAUAGAGUAUCUAUCCGCAUUUAAAGAAAGAUCAUGUCCCAAUGUGAAAAAGAUCAAGCAAAGUGGUAUGCCUCAACAAAAAGGCAAUCUAACAUGAUCAUGCCUAGAUGUAAGUUGGUAUCUUUAAGAUCAAUUGCCAAUGAAAGGGUUAUGCCCCAAUAUAGGGCAAUAUUUGAAAUGACUAAAAUCCGUUGCAAGCUCUCACAAGUGUCUAUGUCAUGAACCAAUCAUCUCCAAAAAAAAAAAAAAAAAAAAAUCUAUCAACAAUGAUGAGAAGGCUAUGCUUCUAUAAUCACAUCAAGGAAAUCACCCAGUCAUAUCUUGUACUCCAAUGUGAAAGGAAAAUAUGAUCACCUCCAAAGAAUGGCUAUGCCCCAAAAUACAUCAUUGAUUGAGAAAUAUGUCCCUACAUAAAGUACAUCAACUGAAAUAUGUCAAUCAUGCCUCAUGCUCCAAUGUGAAAAAGGACGUAUAAUCUUCUCUGGGGGAUGGUCAUGACUCAAAAUCCAUCAUCAAUUGAGAGAAAUAUGCCCCGACAUAAUGGUCAUCUAAAAAAUCAAUCCCUGACCAAGAAAUGUGUGCCUUGAUGUGAUGUAUCAAGCAAAAUGGCUGCAUACCCCAUAAAAAACUCUCUAAGGUGGCUAUGCCCUAGUGUAGGAUCAUACCACAUCUCCUGGUCUAUCAUAAUCAAAAUGCUCUCCAACCAAUCCCAAUUAUCGCUCACAUGAGAGCUAUCAAACACAAUGUGUGAUGUCAUGGCCUCAAGAUGGUCUUAAGAUUUAGGACGUAACGUAGGCUAGGGUAAUAAGGUGAAGAAAUGAAGGGAAACUAGGCUCAAUAAUCCCAAUGAUAAAACCCCAUACCUUAAGGCGAAUGAGAUAUCAUGAGAAGAACAAAUAAAUCGAAGAAAAAUGAAUGAGCACUAAUCCACUCAAAUGAAGUCAUGGAGAAUAGUCAAAUCACCAACGUAUGUAAUGAUGGAGAAGACAAUGAUUCGAAAUCCCUAGGAAAAUGUCACUUGUCUGUCACACAUAAAAUACAUAACGAGAUAGACACAAAAAGAUGAGAGCCUCUUGAAAUUUCACAUACGAACUUUCAUAAGCAACUAACUCGAUAAAGCAACCUCAAUGACCAAUAUAAACACUUAAUAAAGGAUGACAUUGUAUACAUGCGCUUAUUACUUUUUUUUUCUUUUUUUUUUCUUUUACCUGCGCAUACUCUGAAUAUCAAUAAAUGAACUUUUUUGAGAAUACAUAAUGAAAUGGAUAUACUCUCAAACAAUGAUGUAAGCGAACUUUCUCUGCCAAGAUGACCCUCUAAAUUAAGGAUUUUUGAACUAACGUCCAUGAGAUAAGAGUGGAGGAGAAUAUAGCCAUCCUUCAUGCACCGAAAUGUGAAAGAUCAUCACCCAUGGCAUAAAAAAAUGUGAUGAAAAAAAAUAAAAGAUGAAACAGAAGAUAUAAACAAUGAAGUAUGAUGUUGGGACAACAAAAAAAAAUAGUGAAGAAGGUGAGCUAAUAAGUCCACAACUCAUGAAACUCUCGAAUAAAACAUAUAUAACCAAAAGACCCCUAUCCCGGUGUAAAAUGUGAGCAAGGAUAUCAGAAAGAAAAGACUAUGAUGAUCAUGUGAGGUUCAAAGGGCUAGCAAUGGUCCAAAUGUCAAUAAAGGUAAUAGGGUGUGAGCUAACCGAAAUGAAGGUCACCCAUCCUAUGACCAUGGUCUCAAACAUCGUGCUCUUAAGCUUUCAAAUGAUUAAUAUUGAAAAUCGAUGUCCAUUUGAUAUAAACAUGUCGACCUUUUGGAAUUGUGCGCCAAACCAUACUCCAAAUGCUCCAUAAUAAUCUCAAAGAUAAUCCUCUCAAAGCAAAGUAAAUGGCGAUCUCAUAAGGCACAACUACUCAUCAUAAGCCAACUCUCAUCAUGCAAGAUCAAUCUUUAUUUUCAUGGAAAAAUAAGUGACAAUCUCAUCAGGCAAUCAACCAAUUCUCACAUCGUAAACCAACCAAAGAUCAUAAGUCAUUCAUCGCCAUGCAAGAUUAAUCCCGGGUUCAAACUCCUCACACUCUACCUAGUUGGAUUAGAGAAGAAAUGGACAAAACUAGAAAAAUUGAAGAUGGAAAGGUCAUAUAAUGGUGUCAAGGGUGAUGUUGUGCAAAACUCACAAUGGAUGGAUGUAGGUCAAAGCAAAGUCAAUGUGUGAGAGUGAGUAAGGCACUACUCUGAUCAUAAGAAGAUGGGUCACAAUCUCAAACUCCCUAGGUCAAAUCUCCGAUCCUAGGCUAAUAAGCUCAAUAUCCUCCAUGAUAGGUCAGCCCCCAAGAUCACAAUGUGCAAAUGAAUACAUGUCUCAAGUCAAAAGUACAACACGUCAUAUGAUAUAUGGUCCUGCGAUGGCAAUCUAAAACUGGAAAUAUGUUAGAAACUCUAAGGUCAUAAAGGUGUCCACUGUGAGAUGACUACAAAUGUGACUAAAGAAUCUUUAUAAAUAAUCUAGAAAAUGAAUGAGGUGUGAAAAACAACACUAUCAUGAGAUCGAUAUCCCAUCAAUAACAAAAUAUCUCUAAUUCAUUUUCAAUCUAAGCUCUAUAAAGAAUAAUAAUAAGGUUAUAAAGACAAACCUCUCAAAAGUGGUGUGAAUGUGAAAACAUGUCUUCACCUUUCUGCAAUGAAAAUAUCAGGUUGAAAAUAGAAAUAUGCAAAUCAACCAAAAAAUGAAGUACCGAGUCUAUGACAGGUGAAGAAUGUAAAAAUGUGAACAUGAUCAAUGAACAUAUCCCAAAACAUCAAGCAGAAUGUGACAACAAACCGAAAGAAUGUGUCGACUUAAGAAAAGAAGACUAUCUGAAGCCCUAGGGAGAAAGUGUGCUAAACUCAACAAGUGACAAGAAGAAACUAAAACCAUACAGCAAGAGGUGGUCCAACUGAUACUCAAACUUGCACCAAUAUCUAAGCACUCUCGAUUAGAGACCAAAAGAUGGAGUAUUGGAUCCAUAUUGUGACUAAAGCGGCCUUGAGGGCUCUCAAAUGCACCCACGUGUAGGAAAGGAAAUCUUAAUAAAAAUAUCUAAGGCUUAACCUACAAGGUCAAGGCGGCUCUAAAAAGAAAAAUUGAGUGGACUUUAAAGGAUCCCUAGCAAAAACGAUCACACCCUCCGACGGUACGCAACCUCCUACACGGCUUCAAAGAUACGGGAGUGAUUCCAUGCAAGGUGGUCAUCACCUCCACACAUGCACUAUCUCAUAUCCUAGAGGGUUUUCUAAUGAUGAAGGCUCUUACAUCUCUCAACAUUUAGUGGUAAUCUAAGGUGCAUAGUGAAUAGUAUGGGUUCAUCCGAAAAUCCUAUCAAACUAAGUAGAGAGAAAACACACUGGUCACACAAAUAUCUUGAAAUCUAGCUCUAGGCUAUACAAGUCUUCAAAGAUUGGAUUCCAAUUAGCAUUAAUGUGUCGGCCUUCUCCAGAAUGCUCCUAAACAUAGAUAUAGCCCAUCACUAAACCCUACUCUGAAUCACUAGCUUGGUCGAAAAGCAAACAAAGUAACAAGUCUCAUAUCAAAUACGAGAUCAAGGGGAACACGAUCACCCGAGACUAAGGAAUUAGAGGUAAGGGGAUAGAUGUGUAUCCCACAUAGACAAGCAACACAUGCAUCACACAGAAGAAGAAUAGUCAUGCAAUAGACAACUAAGCAAAGAACAGGUAUAUCAUUCAUAUCUACACACAAGCUAAACAAGAAAUAGGUAUAUAAUAAGAAUAAACAAUAUCUUGAGAUAAACAAGAUAAUAUACAAUAAAGAGAAUCAAUCACACCAAUAUAAAUGAGAUAUACAAAAAUGAGAAUAUGCAUGUGUGGACCCUCACCCGAUCCACCAACCGGUGCAAUUUGCUAUUCAAAAGGUGAAAGGGAAAACUGGUUUUCGAGUUUUGAAAAAUUUGUCCCAGUGAGGAACGGUUUUGUUUGGAGUCACCACUUACUUUUUAUUUUUAUUUUCAAAUUGGGAAAAUUUAAGUAAGAAUAAAAACCUCAGUAUGACUCCAGUUAGGAAAAAGCGGUCUGCGAAAACUAGAUUCUAGGUCCGGGGAUCAGGUUACCUAUCGGGAAGGUACCUCAUGCUAGGUAGCACCCCUCUAGGCCCGAAACUUGGUCUUUACUAAUGAACUGGGUAUAUGGGAGCAUAUGGGUCAAAGAUCAAACAAACCUUGGGCUAAACAAAUGAUAUGAAUCACAUAGACUCACCUAGUAUUUAGCAUGCACAUACACUCAACAAGUCAAAAUCAGAGUGCAUACCUGAGGUCCCCAGCCAAACAUUGUAUAAGAAGUCAGUCAAUAAGCUCAAACACACAACAAAUAUACAUAGCAAUCAUGCACCAAGCAUUCAUGUGAAUUUCAUUAUCCAAAGCCGAAGUGUAUACUUGUGGUCCCUAGCCAUGCAUUGCAAGGAAAAUGUGAGGCAAGUAAUACAAGCAUACAACAUACACUCUCAAUCAAGCAUCAAAUCUCAUACCCAAAAGAGAGGGAAACGGGUUGAAAUGAAAUAAAUGGUUUGCUUUCUUUUGCACACAUUCCUCUAAAUUCCAUCAAACCAAACCAUGCUCGCUUAACCCAUAUUCUUCUCAUCCAUGAAAUGAGCUCACAUAAAAUCUAACCAAACCGAACUCUGACCCUAAAGGUGGCCCACAAGUGCCUUGGAGCCUAAGGGCUCAAGCCACAACAAAAAUGGGGAUCAAAACAUGUUAAAAUUGGGGUUGUCUAGUAGAACUUGUUGAACUGGUUCCCAAUUGGUACAACUGAUUGAGAAAAAUUUUGAAACUUUACCAGCAUAUUCAUCGAAGAAUAAGGAAUGCAACAAAAAAAAUGGCACUCAAUUCCGAGCCCGGAUGAGGGAGAACCGGCCGAAACAAUGCAAUGUGUUUAUAAAAUGGGGCUACCUAACAUAACUUGUUGAACUGGUUCCCAACUGAUUCAAACUAUUGAGAAAAAUUCUAAAACUUUACCAUAAGAUUCCUAGAAAAAUAAGGAAUCCAAAAAAAAAUGGCACUCGAUUCCGAGUCUGGAUGAGGGAGAAUCGGUCGAAACAAUGCAACGUGUUCCUUAUAGAAGGCCAAACCCGAGCCACCCAACCUUUCUAUAAAAACCGGAAAAACUUCAAAACAGAGUAUUCCCCCUCAUUCUCUGAAAAGACUCCAAGAAGUUCUCACCAAUCAAGAGCUCCUUGCUCCCUUCUCUCUUUCCAUUCUAGCUUUUUAUACCAGAACCUCUGCUCCUAUGUAUCCUGACGAGGGGAGGGGGCCACAAAAGAGAGGCGCCGCCCAUGCCAUGGUGGCAAAAGAAGCCAUCCCUUUCGGCCCCAAAACCUUCUAGAACUGGACAUGCUAAUAUCUUAUAUCCAAGCCUUUGUCAUUCUCCAAUACAGGCAAACACAUAGACAAGGACUCUAACACCAUAAAAAAAUGAGUAGAAAGCAUAGAUAAAAACAUUAAAGAAAAAAAUCCCAGGGAAUGGUGAGCAAAAGAUGAACAUAAAUAACCUCAGUUCAGGGGUAGAUUCAUAGGCAAAAAUAGGGAAACGAUUCAAAAUAGAUUUUUAGCAUGAACAAAAUCAAAUGGGAUCAAUGGCAUCAAUUGAAUGAAGAACGUAGCUAACAGACAAAAAACCAAUUUCAACAUAACAAUUUGUGGCCUUUUUCGUCCACACCAAUCAAUAAAACAUUAAAUAUUUUGAAACAACCAGAAGAAGGAAUUGAAUAUAAGCAAGAAUACUGAGAGUAAUUAGAAUCGUACCUUGAAAGGACCAGCCUUUGAGAGGUGUUCCUCAGCUUCAAGUGAGAUUGAUUCUCCUUCUACAAAAUCCACUCAAGACCAGUGAUCACGAUUUCUUUUCCUUCUUUUCAAAGCCAACAAAAAUUCUUUUUUUUUUCUCAAGAUUUUUCCCUUUUCUCGUUCUUUCUGUUUUUCUUUAAAAACUUUUCCCAUUUCUCCCUCUCAGACCUCCGUUUUUCUUUUUCUCUAGGUGCCAAACUCUUAGAGACCCCUAGACUCUUCCCCCACUCUUUCAGUUUCCCCUCCUGCAGAGUCUCUCUCCCAGAAUCUCUAAAAAAAACCCUCUUUUUCCUCUCUAAACAUCUCAUCUUUUUUCUUCUUUUUCAAACUUCUCUUCCCAACUCUCUUUGUUCUCUGUUUUCUUUCUCUCUAGGUGCCAAACCCUCAGAGACCCCUAGAAUUUUCCUCCCACGCUUUCAAUUCUCCUCCUACAGAAUCUCUCUACCCAGAUUUCUCAAAAAGUCACUUUUUCCAAACGUCCCUCUUUUCCUCAAAACCUUUCAAACUUCCAUCCUUAGCAUCCGCACCACCCCAUUUUCUUUUCCCUUCAACUUUAGAAAUCCUCACCUUCAACCUUGGAACCCCAACUCAUUUAGCUCUCAUCUUCUCGAGGUGAGCAGCUGCCCCUCAUUACUUCAUAAUUCCUUGCCCGCCAAGAAUCCACAUGGAUUCAAGGUGGGUUGUAAUCAACCCGAAAAAUGGCCUAAAUUGGACAUAAAACCAUCCUCCUAACCCAUCUGGAGCACCAAGGCUCGAACCAGCCUAAACAAGGGCACCAAAAAUGCCAAAAACAGAGUCGUUCGCAAGCAGCCUCGACGAACCAAUUGACCGCCUAAAAAAAACCUUGACGAACCGGUUGACCAUCCAAUCGAACAGUUGAGAAAAAUUAUCAAAAUUUGAACAAUAUUCCUUGAAAAAUAAGGAAUCGAACAAAAAAAUGGUGCGCGAUUUUGAGUUCGAAUGAGAGAGAUAUGAUUGAAACAAACCCAAGUGCUCCGUAUUCGAACAUGCUCAUAUGAACUCCAACUGAGUUGAAGUUUUGGGGAGACCUCACUUCCUUUCUUUAGCACGAUGUGAAGAAUUAGGGAAUUGACCAUGAUGGCACUCCAAAAUGAACUACACACUCGCACUACAUUGGAUCGCAGAUGAACUUACACAAGGCUCAAAAACCGAUCAAACCCAAAAGAGGGACCAUAGUGGUGCCAUACGGAAAAAAUUGGGUGCAUGUGACACUCCUAAGAUAAAUGCAAGUGUCGAUGGACAAAAUUGAGGGUCUACAACAUGUUAAGGAGAGCAAGAUAAUCAUACAACAAAAAGAGUCUUAUAUUAAAGCAAGCAAGAGAAUCAAUCGAUGUAGUUAACAUGUCAAUAUCGCAAAUGAACAUAACAACCAAAUAUGCAUCAUAAAGAAAAAAGGGCAAUCAUGCAACACACAGUCAUACAAAACAAAUACAGACAAACAUAAGCAAAUAAAUGUAAACACACAUGAUAACAAAAAUCAAUGUAUAGUAAGACACAUGCAAUAUAUACAUAAAAUAAUCAUCAAGUCAACACUCAUAUACCUUAAAACAUGAAAAUAUACAAUAAAGACACAACAAGAGAGUAUUCACUGAUCAAUUAAUCAAACGCUACCUUUUCCUUAACUUGAGUUCAAGUUUGAUCCUCUAAAUAUCCCUAGUGGAGUCGUCAUUUUGUGGACCCGCAUUUUUCACAUGCAUCCUUACAUAACAGCGAGACUCAUUUUUUUAUUUGGUGAAAAUUUGAUUUUUAGAAAAAAAAAAAAAACUUUAAGUCGUCACUUAUUUUUAUUUUUUUAAGGGAAAACAAAAUAAGAAAGAAAACCUUGUGUGACUCCUUAUUUGGAAAAGACAUGUAUGCAAAAACCAAAUUUGGAUUUGAGGGUCAAGUUACCUAUUAGGAGUGUACGAUGGUGAGCUGUAGCACCCCUCUAAUCUCGUAUAUGUACGGUCUCAACUAAACGAAUUAAGAGAAUUGUGGUAAUUAAUUAAUUAGUCAUGACUACCAAGAAAAAGAAUCGCACAAAUGAGUAUGUACAAAUCAUGAUAAAAAAAAAUCAAAUUAUAAGAAUAGACAAAAUAAAUAACAAGAGAACUGUGCAAAGUGAUUUAUUGAACUAAAUAAAAAAGAAGAUAUUAAAAAAAAUAGUUUUCAAUAAAUUUCAAAGGAUUUUAUUAAAAUGACUUUGAAUUAAUGAUUUUAAUUUAUUUAUUUACAAAAAAAAUGUCAAUUUAUUUUCUUCAAGUGAUUUGGUUCAAUUUCAUUUAUAUUCAAUUUUUUAAAAAAAAUAAUUAUUUACACUCAUGGUUGUUAAAAGAAUUAUUAACAAAAUUUCAAGUUGACAAUAAAAAUGAUUUUUACUUGCUUUUACUCGAAAACAAUGAAUUUUUACAAUUUUAUUAACAAAAGAAUUUCAAUUUAAGAAAAGUGAUUUAUACAAAUGAUUAAAAAAAUUUAACUUUAUUUGCAAAAGAAUUUUUUAAUUAAAAAGAAAAAAUUUAAAUCCUCUAUUUCUAAAAAUGACUUUUAAUCCCAUUUUAAUUAAGGAAAAAAAAAGUUAUUUAAAAAACAUUUUUUGGACAAUUUGAUUAAAAAUUAAUUUUUGGGACAACUUUAUUUACAAAACAAUUUUUGGACAAUUAUUAUUAAAAACAAAAUUUCAAAUUCUAUUAAAAAUAAUUUUUUUGGAUUUUUCUAAACACAUUUUUAUGAAUUUUUAUUAAUAAAAAACCUUCUUUUAUUAAAAUGAAUAUUUUUUGAGCUAUUAUUUUAUUAAAACAUGUUUAUUGAAUUAUUAUUCUUAUUCAAACAAAAUUUUUGAUUUGUUCGAUAUCCAAUUCUGUACACAACAAGUAAAUAUAUACAAACAAAUAUUUUUAGAAACCAAUAAAAAUAAAACCAAAUAGAAGUGAGAAAUAAAACAUGUACUUAAACAAACUUACAACAAGCUCAAUGUCUUCCUACGACUUUUCAAGUCUCACUUUCUUUCAUUAAAUUUUAUGCUCCACGUACCAUAAAUCUGUACUCAACCAACAAAAUUGCAUAAUGGGCCCAUGCAAAAACAAAAAUAACCCAAAUGUAAAUAUCAUAAAAUGUAUAAAGUUCACAAUAGAUAUUCAAGCCCAAAUUCAAAUUUCAAAUUAGUCCAACAAAUUUUGUCAAUCAAAAUGGGUCCAAAUUAGUAAAUAUAACUCAACAAAAAUAUCUCACAUGUCAUAGGCCCUAAUAUAAAAUUUUCAAAUUAAUAACUAAAAUAUAAGUUCAAUUAAUCAAACCCAAAACAUGAUACAUUAAAAUAAAUCUCAUUAGGCAUAAACUUAAUAUCCCAUAAUUCAAGCCUAAUUUAAUAUAUAAACCUAAAUCCACAAUCAAAAUCAACUCACUUUAUGCUAAUCCCAAUUUACAAUCAAAAUCAAACACAAUUUAAUAAGUAAAUAACUAAAUAAAUUAAGCAAACUCAAAACUCCCAAACCACUAUUGCAUAAAUCAAACAAUAAUAAAUAUAAUGAAAACAAUAAUAAUAAUAAAAAUAAAAUAAAAUAAAAAUAAAAAUUUUAACUCAUGUUGGAGCCAAUUUGAGUGUUGUGGGAAAGAAAGAAAAUGAGAGACCAGUGGGAGAUGAUUGUUAGCUAGUAGUGGCUUGUCGGCGGCAAUUGGUCGAUAGUCCUACCGGCGAUAGUGAGGAUUGAUGAGUUUUUGGGAAAGAAAAAAAAAAGAGGAGUAAUAAAAAAAAUGGAGAAACGAGAGGAAUGUGGGAUAAGAGGGGAGAGAGAGAAUGAAGAAAAUAGGGGAAAAGAAAUGAGGUCGGCUGGAGGAGGAAGUGGCGGUGUGUGUGAGCUAAAGUGAAGAAGAAUGAAAGAAGAAGAAGGAGAAAAAUGGGGAAGAAGGGGAAAAAAAUACGGGCCCUAAAUGAAGAGAGGUGAGUAACCUAAAGAAGAAGAAAAAAUAAAAUAAAAUAAGAAAAAUGAGGAGAAAAUGAGAGGGCCAAUAGUUUUGGAAAUGGGGUGGUAUGGGUGAGAGAGAGUGGGUGGGGUUGUUAGGGAAGGUAUGGAAGAGAGAGGAGAGAGAAAAGAAAGAGAAAAAAAUAUAAUAAUAAUAAUAAUCAUAAAUAAUAUAUAAAAUAAUAAAAAUUAAUAAUUAAAUGAUGAGUGGAUAAAAAAUAUUAUAUGUAAUUGGGAUUUAAUUUUAAGAGUAAAAUUGUACUAAAAAUUAAUAUAAAAAUAAAAUUGGAACAAAUUUUAAAAUCUAUAAAUACAUUCUUUAAUCUUUCCACAACAUCAAUCUGAUCUAAAUGAAAUGCAAUAAAUUCUAAAAAUGAUACAAUCUUUAAUCAAUCCACAACAUCAACCCAAUCGAAACUCAAUGCAAUAUUGCUUAAUGGAGAGAAUAGUAAAAUCCUUUAAUGAGAGGAAAACAAAACCCUUAACAGACCUUUAUGAGAGGAAAAUAGGAAAACAUAGAACUAAAAACCCUUAACGUCUUCAUGAGAAUAAAAAAUCCUUAACACCUUAACAAGAGGAAAACAAAGAAUUUGAACAAUCCUUAAUCCAUCAAAAGCUCUUAAUGUGAACAAGGGAAAACAUAACCUUUAUUUUUCAGAGCGUCUAUAUAGGUGAAUAAAAAAUCUAAAGAGAUAGAAUUUUUAGCUAUUAAGGAUUUUUUAUAGAUGUCUAUUGAAAGUUUAAGAACUUUUAUGGAUAAGUGUUAAUUAAGAGACUGAAAGGGUACUUAGGAUUUUCAACUAAAAAAGUUAUAACAAUAUGAAUGGUAAGAACUUAAAAACAUCACCCAUCCAUCAUAGGAAUAUGGAAUGAGAGGUUUUUUUUUUACUUAUACAAUAAUAAAUUUUUUUGGAAGAGGUUUUUCUAAGUACAAAAAGUUAUGAAUAAAAAACCAUUGUUACGAUGAGUUAACUAAAAUAGAAUUAAUUUAUAAAAUAUCAAUAAAGUUGCAUGAAUUAUUAAUUUAAAAUAAUAUGGAAAUCAGUUUUAUAUUUAUUUAUUUAAAAAUAUUUUAAAAUACAUAUAUUUUUUCAUGACUCAAAUAGUCAUUCCUCAAAUGCUAAUUUUACUUGUUAUGUUAAUAACACUAGUUAAUAAUUUUUUAUUGUGAAAAUCGAUUUGAGAUUAAUAAAAUAAGAAAUUUUUAAAACUAAAAAGACAAUUUAAACUUAAAAAAAACUUUUAAAUUAAAAAUAUAAAAAUAAAACAAUAAUUUUUCAUUUAGUAAAACUUGUCAGUAAAAAAUAUAAAUAUAAAGAAAAAGUUGGAAAUACAAUAAGAGUUAAUAUUUUAUUUUUAAAAUUUUAUGUUUUUUUAUUUUAAUUGUAUUUAAUUUUUAUUUAUUUUAGUUGUAAUUUUAUUUUUAAUUUUUUAAUUUUUUAAUUUUAUUGUUGAUGUAAACUAAUAAAAUUUUUGUUCAAUUAUAUAUAUAUAUAUAUAUUUUAAAUUAGUGAGUAAAACCCACUUUUUCUAAUUUAUAAUAUAUUUAUGGGAUUUUAUAAAGAAAAAUCAACAUUUCAAUUUCCCUUCAUUAUUAUUAUUAUUAUCCAAUUUGGUUGAUUAUGAGAUUAGUUGGUAUCAUUACUAUAUCCAUUUGUCCUUAACCCUUCAUUAGAAUAGUAUUAGGAGUUGAACGUCAGUUGGAAUACAGGCUUAUGGAAACAAAUCUAUCCGAUUAGUAGGUUCUUAUUAUUUUCAAUAUAGACCCCAUAAAAUAAAUAGGAGAUGGGCAGCCCGUCCCUUUUGUCUGGAGGCUUAUGGAAACAAAGUAUCUUUGGCAGGAUACUUUGCAGAACAACUUUAGGAGACCCCUAUCUCAAAUUCAAGACUAUAAAUUAAAGCCUAAAAUCGAAACGGAAGUCGUAUAAUACAAAUAAAAGAAUAAAAGGGAGUGAAGUAAAAUUUAGUAUGGAAUGCAUGACAAGUUCCACCUGGAAGUGGCUUAUAGAGAAAAGGAAACGGAAAAAACAAAAGAACUGGAAUUGCAUAAAUCACAAUAAAUGGAUUCUUAUGCAGUGAGAGCAGCGUGUUUUCUCAUUCUCCUUGCUAUUGUUUUCUUCUCUUUACUCCAACCUCUACCAGUUUUUUUCUCAUUUUUGAACCCCUUUAAAAACCAGUUUAUUUUUUUAUUUUUUUAUCUUCGCUCUGUUUUUUCCUUUUCCAGAAAAAAAAAACGGCAAACCUCACUCGCCCAGCUGCCCUAAGAACCCACACUCCAUAUUUUUUUUUUUUCAAAAAAAAUCUUUCUCCUGCUCGGUUUUUCUUCCUUUUCUAUUUUUGUUCUCCCCCGAAUCUGUCGCCACCCACUCUCUGUUUCUCUUGUUUAGUUCCAAAAAUCCUCGCUCUCACCCCCCGUUAGCUAGUUUUUCUCUAUCUACCUUCAUCUUCGGUCCCCAGCUCUCUCUUAUUUUCCCGUUUUUCUAGCUCUCUCUUUUACCCAACCUUUCCCUCCCCCUCUAGAACAAAUUUUCUCCUCAAAUCUUCACCCGUGAGCCACCCUCUUCCUCCCUCGCUUGCUCUGUUUUUCUCUCUCCGGUCUUAUCCCCUUUCCCGUUUGUCCCCUAACUCCUCAUUUUUUUCCUCCUAAAAAAAAUGAAGACCCCCUACCAACCUUCACCUGCCCUCUGUUUAUCCCCUCUUGCAAGUCUUCCCUUGUUCCAACCAUCAGCCAGUCUCCAUCCUCAAGCACCACCAUGGCAAGGUGGUGGUGUCCAUGGCCACAUGUCCAAGCAUGCUCGGCUCCUCUAGAAACCAGCCACCCACUCUUCCAAAAAUGCUGCCAGCUCUCCCGGGAUUGUGACACCUAGAAAAAGAACUGCAUGGAAGAAGAGCCCCAAAUGGGGGUCUAGAAAUAUGCCCCUCUUCAGAAGAGCUCACGAAUGUAAGGAAUAUGAACACUGAAGUGAAAAGAAAGUGUGAAUAGUGAGUGGAAUGAAGUGAACACUAUCGAAGAACAAAGGAGACCCCCAAAGGACACUAGUGAAACCCGAACUCACUCAGGCCAAGAGGUGAACACAAACAAGGCUCUAAAAUCCUAAAAGAAAACAAUGUGUCAAAAUGUCUCUAAAGCCACACUGAGGACUCAGGCCCCCUCUAAGACGUCUCCAAAAGUGACUCGAAAGACCGUAUCAAAGAUGAGUAACGGUAGAACCACACUGAAGUACAAGAAAUAAUGUGUCCAAAGGAGACUCCCUUUGUGAACUACAUGAGAAUACUAGGUGUAGGGUGCCCAACAACAUGACUGAAAUAUGCAUCGUGAACCCAAGGGCCAUGUCAUGUGCAGUGGAAAAGGAAUCUAGAAGAACAAUGAUGAAUAGGCGAUAAGCAUAGGGUAAUGAGUUGAGGAAAAUGAGAACAAGUGCAAAACCACGAAGGUUAAUGUGCAAUGCCAAUGGAUAUGAAUACUAAGAACUGUGACUUUGAAUGGUACAACUGAGGAAAAAUGACUCUGAACAUAAAAAACACGGAAAGAUGGUGACUCAAGGUGCCUAGAUGGAUAUGUAUGAUGGCUCUGAACGCCAUAACUAAAGAAAGAUGGUGACUCAAAAUCGAACAAGACUCAACUAUGCAAGCGUAACUCGGAGGCGAACAAGACUCAACUUACUCUGACAAAACAAUGAUCGAUCGAUAUAGGUGCGGUUCUGACUCAAAUUGAACACAAACGGAUAGGAAUAUGGCUGAUCGAUACGGGUACAGCCUCAAAACGCAAACUGACACGAUGAUGACCGAUCAAUAUAGGUGGGUCCCAACCUAAACUGAACACAAAAUAAUAGGAAGAUGGCCGAUCGAUAUAGGUGCGGCCCUGAAAACUCAAACUAAACUCUAACUGAUAGGAUGAAUGAUCGAUCGAUAUGGGUGCGACCCCAAAACACAAACUGACCGAUCGAUAUAGGUGCGGUCACGACUCAAAUUGAAUAUAAGAUGAUAGGAAGAUGAUCGAUCGAUAUGGGUACGGCCUCGAAAACUCAAACUGACAUGGAAAAUGAACGAUUGAUAUUAGGUGCGGUCCCGAAAACUCAAAUUGACAUGGAAAUGAUAGGAAGAUGGUCAAUCGAUAUAGGUGCGACCCCGACUCAAACUUAAACAGACAAGAUGAUGACUGAUCGAUAUAGGUGUGGUCCCGACUCAAACUGAACACAAUGAUAAGAAGAUGGCUGAUCGAUAUGGGUGCGGCCCCGAAAACUCAAAUUGAAACGAAAAAAUGACCGAUCGAUGUAGGUGUUGUCCCAAAAACUCAAACUGACACGAUAAUGACCGAUCGAUAUAGGUGCAGUCCUAACUCGAAUUGAACACAAAAUGAUAGGAAUAUGCCCGAUCGAUAUGGGUGCGGCCCCAAAACGCAAACUCAAAUUGACAAGAUGAUGACCGAUCGAUAUAGGUGCAGUCCCGAAAACUCAAACUGAGAUGGAAAUGAUAGGAAUAUGGUCGAUCAAUAUGGGUGUGACCCUAAAACGCAAACUCAAAUUGACAAGAUGAUGACCGAUCGAUAUAGGUGCAGUCCCAAAAACUCAAACUGAGAUGGAAAUGAUAGGAAUAUGGUCGAUCAAUAUGGGUGUGACCCUAAAACGCAAACUCAAAUUGACAAGAUGAUGACCGAUCGAUAUAGGUGCAGUCCCGAAAACUCAAACUGAUAGGACGAUGACCGAUCGAUAUAGGUGCGGUCUUAACUCAAACUGAUAUGAAAGAUAAUCAAUUGAUAUAGGUGUGGUCCUAAAUCAAACUGACAGAAAAAUGGUCGAUCGAUAUAGGUGCGACCCUAAAAUGCAAACUGACAAGACGAUGACCAAUCGAUAUAGGUGCGGUCCCGAAAACUCAAAAUGAACUCAAACUAACACAGAAAGUGAUUGGAACAUGGCCAAUCGAUAUGGGUGUGGCCCCAACUCAAACUAACACGAAAAAUGAUAGAAACAUGGCCGAUCGAUAUAGGUGCGGCCCCAACUCAAACUAACAUGAAAAGUGAUAGGAACAUGGUCGAUCGAUAUAGGUGCGGCCCCAACUCUAACUGAAACUGAUAAGAUGAUGAAUGACUGAUCGAUAUAGGUGCGGUCAUAACUCGAAAACUCAAACUCAAACUAAUAGGAAGAUGGUCGAUCGAUAUAAGUGCGACCCCAACUCAAACUGACAUGACGAAUGACCAAUUGAUAUAGGUGCGGUCCCGAAAAAAUUAAACUGACACAGAAAUGAUAGGAAGAUGACUGGUCAAUAUAGGUGCGACCUAAACUCAAACUGAUAUUAACGAGAUGAAAGAAUGACCUGAUCAAGUGGCCCAAAGCCAAAGGAUAACUCAGAUAAUGAUGCAAGCAAACUCGACCAAAAGGGAUAUGCCCUAGUAUGACAACUCAUGAGGAUCGACAACUAGGUUGAAGGAUACCAAAGCCUAGGAAAGGUUUGAUGAUCCUAAGGAAUGAGGGUAUGCCCUAGUAUGCGACUCGCGAGAGUCAACGACUAAAUAAAAAAGUGCAUGAAGUCUAUGGAAGGUCCGAUGAUCCCAAGGAUGUAGGGUAUGUCCCAGUAUGAUAACUCGGAGGGGUCAACAACUAGAUCGAAAAAUGAAUGAAACCUAUGGAAGGUUCGAUGCUUUCGAAGAAGGAGGGUAUGCCCUAGUAUGACAACCCGGAGGAGUCAACAAUUAGAUCGAAAAGGUGAAUGAAACCUGUGGAAGACCCGAUGCUCUCAGAGAAUGGGGUAUGCUCCAGUAUGUGAUGAUGAACAAACAGAGAUGCAAAAUGCCUCUAAACCACUGUACUAUAAAAUAUGCUCAUCCAUCAUGUAAUGAAAAUGUCCAAUCUCAGAUAGGUAAUGCUAAACAGGACCAUGUAUCGUGACACCAUGCUGACAAAACAAAACUAACUAGUGAAUAACAACAAUAAUGAUUAGUACUCAAAAUGCAAAGAGAAAACAAAUCAACACUCAACAUGCCAACUAUCAAAAUGAAAGCAUCAUCACUAAUAAAUCAAUAAUCUAUCAAGCCCUACCAACAUGGAAGAUGUUGAACCUAAAGUACAAAAGAUGUAUGAAAGCACAACCAAAGUGAUCGAGGAUUGAUCCACGUCUCCUCCUAAUUGAGAGAUGGGUGUGAGGUCAUGUGUCAUGGUGAGAUGUGUAGGAUAAAAGAAGGUGAUGAUCAGGCUCUGGUAAGAUAGAAAGCAUGAAAGUAUCAAAGGUGGAAUGUCUGAGUACAAGCUGAAAGGUAUGUAGGUAACCGAGAUUAUCCAAGUAUGUCGAGAAGACUAAACCCAAGGUAUCAAUAGCUCCAUAAUCCAUCAAAAACAGCAAUCACAAAAUAGAAAGUCAAGUCUCGAUAUCAAAACAUCCGACUAGGUGACUAUGCCCCAGUAUGCAAUGAAGACAACAUGAAAUAAUCCAAUGAUCUCUAUAUCACUCGGUAGAUGCUCCAAUAUAAAGGAUCAAUCUGAUCUCCCUCCAAAAGAUGGAUAUGCCCUAGUGUAAAGGAUCUGAUAGGAUGACUAUGCUCCAAUGAAACAUGCUCUCCAUUCUGGCUAUGCCCUAGUGUAAAGUAGUGUAUUCGAGUAAAAAAAUCAAUCAAUUUCUACUCCUGGUGUUAAAAAUGGAAACAUCUCAACAUAAUCCAUAUGAAUUAGAAUCCCCGAGCUCUAUGAGUAUGAAUGAACUAGCUAUGCCCCAGUAUAAACCAUUUGAAGUGACUAUGCUCCAAGAUAAAUCAAAGUCCAUCACCGAUGAGAGGGCUAUGCCUCAAAAUAAAUUGCCAUCUCAAAAAUCAACCAUCAAUGAGUAGAAUAUGUCCUAAUGCAGAGUAUCGAGUAAAGUGACUGUAUCUCUAAUAAAAGCGUUCUCUGAAAUGGCUAUGCCCUAGUGUAAGGUCAUCCCACAAUUCCUAAUCCAUCAUAAUCCAAGUGAAGAAGCGAACUGACUAUGCCUCAGUGCAAGGCAUCAUCUUGAAAAAAAACGUCAUCAAUGAGCGGGGUAUGCCCCAGUAUAGAUCAUAUCAUCUCCGAAAAUCCAUCACUGAUAAAAAUGGUAUGCACCAAUGUAAAUCCAUCGCCUCAACUCCCCAUCCAUCAUGCUCCGAGAAAUAAUCUCCAACCAAGUUCGAGUACAUCAUGUGUGAAGCGAUAAAGGACUACAAACGACUAGACUCUUAGCAUGAACUAUAAACAACGAAUCUGAACCAAACUGGACUCAACAAAGCAACUCUAAUGAACUAAAGACUGGACCCGAUAGAACGGGAACGGCUCAGAUGACGACCAUAAAUCAAAAUGAAAGGUGCUCUGAGCUAAACCACUGAAAAAUGAUGUACCCAUGUCAACUAAACCAAGUCCUCAACUCGGAAUAUCCCAAAAUACCAUAUGACCAUCAAUAUCAUCAACAUCUAGAUCAAUCUACUGAAGGCUAGGAGGAGGGGGAACUGCAUGUGUAGAAUACGUAGGUAAGGGAUUGGUGGUCACACUUGGCCCAGACAAGUUGACCAACCCUGAAUCAAUCAAGUCUUAUUUCACAUGAUGGAACGCCGAACAACACUCAGUAUCGUGUCCCUAAAUCUGAUGAUAUAAGCAAUGCUCAUGUGAGCGGAAAUGAGGAGGAAUGGGAUAUGGCAAGGAGCGUGGCACCAAAUGAACAAUCAAACCAGCAUCUCUAAGCUUCUCAAAAGCUCUAGUCAAAGUCAUGCCCAAUGGAGUGAACUGUCUCGCGGGUCUCUGUGCAAAUGGUUUAGGUGGUGGGUGAGUAGCGACUCUUAGAUGUGAUGGUCAUGAUUGUAGGCUAGUUUGAGAAAUGUAAGGCUAUUGAACAUAAACCGGCUGAUACUGAUACUGUGGAUGAGAGAAAUGAGCUCUGACUGUAGGAGGCCUGUAAGGUGAGUGAAGUGCAGGCCUCUGAUGCUGAUAGCUAAUAGUGUCAACCUCUCCAGACCUACUAGAUGAUCCAACUAGCUUCUUCCUCUUAUUGUUAGGGGAAGGAGUAGCAUCUGUCCAUAAUCCUCGAGCAAUGACCUCCUUAACACUAAAAGCUACAUGAACUAGACUCUUAAGAUCCUGAAAUGGGAUGCCCACAAGGUGUCUAGUGAACCUCGGUUGUAGGUUCUGAAGAACCAUAUCAAUCUGAUCCUGCUCCUUAAGCCGGUCUAUCAUACCAGCCACCUUUGCCCUCCAACGUUUGACAAAGGAAGAAAUAGACUCAUCUGGCCUCUUCAUGGUGGCCUCCAACUCUUGUCUGGAUACAUCAAUGUCGACACUAAAAGCAAACUGAGUCAAGAACUCAUGAGCCACAUCUUCCCAGGUGCGAAGUCUCAAAGGCUCAACUGAAGCAAACCACCUCUGAGCUGCCCCACUAAGUGACAUGGGGAAAAGGGCCACCAACUGUGCUUCAUCUAUCCCAUGUGCUCUCAUGACUGUGCUCUAUAGUCUCAAGUGGAUCUUAGGACAACCAAUCCCACUAUACCACUCAAUGUCUGGCAUGCGAAACUUGGUGGGCAAGCUAGCCGCCGGUAUGUCAUCCCUAUCAUCCCAAGUCAAACCUCCAUCCUGUAAUCUGAUUUGUCUUAUCCUGGCCUCAAGCCUCUAAACCCUAGCCUCCUGCUCGGUCAAUCUAGUAUCAUUAGUAGUAGUAACAAUGAGAGGCAACACUGUGGCAGUAGGUGGUGGAGUACUCUCGCAAUGAUCUGAUAAAUGGAAUGGAAUGCCAUGUGAAAUCCUAGGUGGAAAAACCUGUGCUGUCUGAGGUACAUGAGGAACUGUAUCGUCAGUGCUAAUGCCAACUGGAUGAUGAUCCUAGCGAGAACUCUCUAUCUGAUCCAAACGUCUACUAACCCUUGCCAUGAACUCCUGAAUAGAAGCAAGUGUGGAAGCUAGCUCGUCUGACAUCUCGAUCGAACUGUCUGAACUCUGAUGUGAAUCUGCUCUAAUCAAUCAACCUCCAACUCUCUUUCAAGGAUGUAACUCCAGACUUAAACAACUCCUAAAAUGGCUCCCUACAAUGCAAACGAAAUGGAUGAAGGACACAAGAUAAGACCUUAAAAGACAACAGUACAACAUGCAAGCACAUGGUCCUGAGGUGGCAAUUUGAAAUCUAGAUUUAUGAUGAGAACUCUGGAGUCAUAAAGGUGUCCACUGUGAGAUGGCUACAAAUGUGACUAGAGAAUUCCUAUCGAUAAUCCAAGAUGAAAGAGGUGUGAAUAACACACUAUCAUGAGAUCAAUACUCCAUUUAUAACCACAUAUCCUUGAUUCAACCUUCAAUCCAAGCUCCGUAAGAGAAAAAUGAUAAGGUGAUCAAGGCAACUCUCUCGAAAAAAGUGUAAAUGUGUCUUUCACCUUUCUAUAAUGACAACAUGAGCAUCGAGUUGAAAAUUGAAUCAAUGAUCAAACAAAGAAUGGGGUAUUGGGCUGAUGAUAGAUGUACGGGGUAAAAAGGUGAUCAAUGAACAUAUCCUAAAGCAUCAAGCAAGUGACAACAAAGUGAAAGGAUGCCAAGCCAAGAAAAGAAGAUGAAAACCCUAGGGAGAAAACAUGUUAAACUCAUCGAGUGAAAAACAUAAACUAAGGCGACAUGACAAAGGUGAUCCAACCGAUACUCAAACUCAUACCAAUCUCUAAGCACUCUCAACUAGAGACUAAAAAGAGGGAGUGUCGAAUUCGAAAUAUGACCACAGAGGCUCUGAAAGCCCUCAAAUGCACCCACGUGUAGGGAGGGAGUCCUAAUUGAAGGAUCUACGGCUCAACCUACAAGGUCAAGGUGGCUUUAAAUGGAUAUGGGUGGACUUUUAAAAGAUCCUUAGCAGAAGCGAUCGUACCCUCCGACGGUACGCAACCUCUUACACAUCUCUGAAGAGACGGGGCGCUUCUAUGCAAGGUGGUCAUCACCUCCACACAUGCACUACUUCGCAUCCCAGAGGGUUCCAAUGGUGAAAGCUCUCACAACUCUCAGCACUCAGUGGUAAUAUAAAGUGUAUAGUGAGUGGUGUGGGUGCAUCCGAAAACCCUAUGAAACUAAAAGAAAACACACUGGCCACAAAAAUAUCCUAAAAUCUAGCUCUGGGCUAUACAGGUCUUCAAUGAUCGGACUCUAAUCGACAUCAACGUGUCGGUCACCUCCAGAAUGCUCCCAAACAUCAGUAUAGCCCAUCGCUAGACCCUACUCCCAUCCUUUGGCUCGAUCAAAGAACAAGCACACACAAGGCCUCACACUUGAAAAAGUGAUAGCCAAGAUGAAGGAAAUGACCAAAACUAGAGGGUUGGAGAUAAGAGGAUAGAUGUGUGGCCCACACGGACAAACAACAUGCAAUCACGCAAAAAAAGGGCAGUCAUGUAACAUACAGUCGGGCAGAGUACAUGAUAUGUCACUCAUGUAUACAUACAAGCCGUGACGAUCAGAAUGAAUAGUGAUACAGACAUCAUACUCAAAGAUGAUCAAGAGACUACACAAUGCAAGUGAGUCAACAUGUCAAGUCAAAUUAUGUACAAUGGCGAGUCUAUACAUGUGAAAUGAUCAGAACGAACAUGGAAAAAAACAGGAUCACUAUGCUAAACAAUGUAAGAUAAUCGAUCAAUACAAUCAACAUAUCAAUCUCUCAAAUGAAUAUGGCAAUGAAGCAUAGAAAAAAUAGCUACCUCGAAAUCCCCAAUCAAAAUAAUCGAUCAUCAUAAUCAGCAUGUUAAGUGUCUCAAACAGAUAUAGCAACGAAACACAAAAAGAAUCACUAUAUCAGAAUCCUCAAUCAAGAUAAAUCAAUUGUCAUGACCAGCAUAUCAAUGUCCCAAAUGAAUACCAUAUCCGAGCAUGCAUCUAAUGAUAUUGGGAACUCUCAAUGUGCAAUCAAGAGAUAGGUACCCAAUGAUCGACUCAUCAAAUGCCACAUUUGCUUCAUCUUAAGUUCAAGUUUGACCCUCUAAACGUUCCCCAGUGGAGUCGCCAUUUUGUGGACCUCGUAUUUCUACUCAUCCACUUCCACUCAAUGGCGAGCUCGCUUUUUGUUGGAAAAAUGAUUUUAUUUUUAAGAAAAUGACUUGGAGUCGCCACUUAUUUUUUGUUUUAUUUUUAAAGGGUAAACAAAAUAAGAAAGAAAACCCUAAGUGUGACUCCUUAUUUGGAAAAGGUGGUCUGUGAAAAAUCGAGUCAAGGCUCGGGGGUCAGAUUACUUAUCGGGAAGGUAUGGUAAAGACCAUAACACCCUUCUGAGUCCCUAAAAACGAGUCUCUACUAAUAAAAUGAAGCAAGUAUGACAAUUGAUAAGUGAAUCAAUGGAUACCGAAUGAAUAUCGAUUAAAACAGAAUAACCGAAAGAACAAGAUGGGCAAAUAGUGUACCUGAGCGAUGAACUGAUUUGCUUCAUGGAAAACAAAGAUUAGUAAACAAACAUAGAAUACUUGCACACAUGUAUUAGAGUGGAAUAAAUCAAUCAUGUAUAACAAUCAAUCAAUCAAUCAACCAAUCAAUGAGGAAAUUCCAUAUGUUGGGCCCUCACCAAAGCCCGAUUUAUUUUAGCAUGAAUUGGUCUCACAAAUUCCAUUGUUUUAGAAUUAUGAGGAAAAAAAAAACAUUAUUGCUUAUCAAAAUCAAGAGAGAUAGAAGAUUAUUUGAAAACCAGAGUGGAAUUAAAACUGUUUGAAAGAAAAUUAGAUUUUUGAAAUUUAUUUGAAAAAUUGGAGUCUCAAAGAUUACUUGAAAAUCGGAGUUUUGAAAAUUAAAUUUAAGAAUUGGAAUUUUAGAUAUUAAAUUUAAAAGAAAUUGGAAUUUUGAGAAUUAAAUUUAGGAAAUGGAAUUUUGGAAAUUAAAUUUGAAAGAAAUCAGAAUUUUUGAAAUUAAAUUUGAAAGAAAUGAAAUUUUGGAAAUUAAAUUGAAGAAUUUGAAUUUUGGAAAUUAAAUUUGAAAGAAAUUGGAGUUUUAAAAAUUAAAUUUAGGAAAUGGAAUUUUGGAAAUUAAAUUUAAAAGAAAUCUGAUUUUGGAAAUUAAAUUUGAAAGAAAUUAGAAUUUUGGAAAUGAAAUUUGAAAGAAAUGAAAUUUUGAAAAUUAAAUUGAAGAAUUUGAAUUUUGGAAAUUAAAUUUGAAGGAAAUCGGAAUUCUAGAAAUUAAAUUUGAAAGAAAUUGGAGUUUUAAAAAUUACAUUUAGGAAAUGGAAUUUUGGAAAUUAAAUUUGAAAGAAAUGAAAUUUUGGAAAUUAAAUUGAAGAAUUUGAAUUUUGGAAAUUAAAUUUAAAGGAAAUCGGAAUUCUGGAAAUUAAAUUUGAAAGAGAUUGGAGUUUUAAAAAUUAAAUUUAGGAAAUGGAAUUUUUGAAAUUAAAUUUAAAAGAAAUUGGAUUUUAGAAAUUAAAUUUGAAAGAAAUCAUAAUUUUGGAAAUUAAUCGAGAAUUGGAGCUAUGAAAAUUAAAUUUAAGAAUUAUAGUUUUGGAAAAUUAAAGUUUUGAAAAUUAAACUUAAAAAUUUGAGGUUUUUUUUUUAAAAAAAUUUAAAUUUUAAAAAAAUGGAAUUUUGGGAAUUUAUUCGAAAAUGGAAUCCUAAAAAAAAUCUGAAUUUGAAAAUGUUAAUUUUGAAAAAUUAAUUUGAAGAUUGAAGUGAUUGAAAAUCAAGAAUUUUGAAAGUUGAUUUUUUUAUUAAAAAAAAAAUUGGUGAAAACGUGUGAGCAUAAAGGCUUAAAAAAAAAAAAAAAAACAAAACAAAAAAAAGUGUAUGGGCAUAUGUGCCCCAUGGAUGGCCCACCAAAAUUCCUCCAUUGACUUUACUACCAUGAAAUGAUUCCUAAAUAAGAAAAACCAUUAAUGACUCUGAGAGACUUCAAGAGAGAGACAGGGAGAAAAGUCUUUCUCUAACACAACUGAUGAACCAAGUCUUUAUGGGAGACUAGGCGGCGUUUGGUGGUGGUUUGGAUUCCUUUGCUGCCUUGUCAGUCUUCUUUGGUAGGAUACUUUGCAGAACAACUUUAGGAGACCCCUAUCUCAAAUUCAAGACUAUAAAUUAAAGCCUAAAAUCGAAACGGAAGUCGUAUAAUACAAAUAAAAGAAUAAAAGGGAGUGAAGUAAAAUUCAGUAUGGAAUGCAUGACAAGUUCCACCUGGAAGUGGCUUAUAGAGAAAAGGAAACGGAAAAAACAAAAGAACUGGAAUUGCAUAAAUCACGAUAAACGGAUUCUUACGCAGUGAGAGCAUCGUGUUUUCUCCUUCUUCUUGCUACUGUUUUCUUAUCUCUGCUCCAACCUCUACUAGUUUUUUUCUCAUUUUUGAACCCCUUUAAAAACCAGUUUAUUUUUUUAUUUUUUUAUCUUCGCUCUGUUUUUUCCUUUUCCAGAAAAAAAAAACGGCAAACCUCACUCCCACAGCUGCCCCAAGAACCCACUCUCCAGAUUUUUUUUUUCAAAAAAAAAUCUUUCUCCCGCUCGGUUUUUCUUCCUUUUCUAUUUUUGUUUUCCCCCGAAUCUGCCCCCACCCACUCUCUGUUUCUCCUGUUUAGCUCCAAAAAUCCUAGUUCUCACCCUCCGUAACCCAAUUUUUCUCUAUCUCCCUUCAUCUUCGGUCCCCAACUCUCUCUUAUCUUCCCGUUUUUCCAGCUCUCUCUCUUACCCAACCUUUCCCUCCUCAUCCAGAACAAAUUUUCUCCUCAAAUCUUCACCUGUGAACCACCCUCUUUCUCUCUCACUUGCUCUGUUUUUCUCUCUCCGGUCUUGGCCCCUCUCCUGUUCGCCCCCUAAAUCCUCAUUUUUUUCCUCCCAAAAAAAAUGAAGACCCCCUACCAGCCUUCACCUGCCCUCUGUUUAUCCCCUCUUGCAAGUCUUCCCCUAUUCCAACGAUCAGCCAGUCUCCAUCCUCAAGCACCACCAUGGCAAGGUGGUGGUGUCUAUGGCCACACGUCCCAGUAUGCUCGGCUCCUCCAGAAACCAGCCCCCCACUCUUCCAAAAAUGCUGCCAGUUCUCCCGGGAUUGUGACACCUAGAAAAAAAAACUACAUGGAAGAGGAGCCCCAAACGGGGGUCUACAAAUUAACUUUUUAAAAAUUCUAAACCUCUUUUGUGUUAUUAGCUUUUUUUCUCUCUCUCAUAAUUUCAUUACUUAGGCUUGUUUGGUUCGACUUCUAAAAAUGUAAAAAGAAGUAAAAAAAAUCAUUUUUAUGCCAAUAAGCUCUAUAUCAUGACUAUGAAACAAAUAUCUUAUGAAUUAUUGGAGCAAGAAAAUCAAUUCAUGAUUAAUUUUGUAAAUGAACUUUCUAAAAUGAUACCUUCAAUUGAGAAAGUGGUUGGUAAUUUAACUUAAUAACUUAAUUUAUCUUAUUAAGCACAUUAAGUAUGCUUGAUAAAAUAACUUACUACCAUAAUUUAAAGUUUUAAAUAACUUAAAUAAUUGGUUAAAAUAAUUAACUUUUUAAAAUUUUGAAACAUUUUUUGUGUUAUUAGCUCAUUUUUCUUUCUUUCUUUCUUUCUUUUUUUUUUUUCCUCAUAAUUUUGUUAUUUAGGCCUUGUUUGGUUUGACUUGUGAAAAAAAAAAUCAUUUUUAAGCUCAAUAAGAGUUUCUAUGAUUUUGACUUUUGUUUUUUUUCAAAAAUCUUAUGCCUUAAAAACGAGCUUAAUAUAGAAGUUAGGAAAGUGUUGUUUCUUGUAUAAACUCUAUUUUAAUUUAUGUAAGAAGUUUUUUCAUGUUUAAUAUACUUUGAGAAUACCAAUAUUGCUCUUUAAAAAUUAUGACUUUGGCUUCAGCUUUAGCUUUAUGAUUAGUUAAAGAAAAACACAAAAAACUCUCCGUAACAAGGUGUUAAUAUCAUUGAGGAUAAAUAUGACAAUUUAAUGGUCUAGAAAAAGUUUUGAGUUGAUUUUAUGAAACAACUUUGAUACUUAAAGUAAAAUUAAGUAGCAAGUUUUAAGUCAACAACUUAAAAGUGAUUUAAUUUAAAGUCAUUCUAGCAAUGCACUAACAAAUUGACAUGAGUCAAGAAGAGGUUGAUCGGUUUGAAGGUAUAGAUUUGGAUGUUAUCAACCUCCCUUGGGAGGAUGCAUAGAAUUUCCAACAUGUAGUCAGAAACAAAAAACUUCACCAAAAAAAAAAAAAAGUCCUAGGAAAAUAUCUUGAGGGACAUGUCUAAAUUAUCAUCUAAAUAUUCAAACAAUUUAUUAAAGCUUUAAUGUUGCAAAAGACGUUCAAAAGUCCAAAACAAGAGAAAAUUUCAAGACAUGCAUAAACCAUUUUUUUUUUAACUAAUCCAAAAAUGUGAUAAAAUCAUGAAAAAAAAAAAUCAUACAAUAGUCUCAAAAUGUCUAAUUUACAAGAAAAAUUAUGGCAAGGUAAAGUAUACAUACAAAUCAAUUUCAAAAUCAAGCAAACAACCCCUUUAUUCAAAAUUAGGUCAAUGCAAUCACUAUUGCAAGGGAAAAUGUUUAACUCAAUUGGGAAAAACAUUUUUUAAAUAUUUUAUUUGUCUAAAAUAAGCUUUAAGAAGGUUAAAAUUAAGUAAAAAUAUCAAAACAAUUUUACAAAGUCAUUUAGCAAUACAUUUCGGGUGUAACUAACCCACCAAAAUAUGAUUUGAUAUCUCCCAUUUGAAAAUUACUUUUUAACUUAGCCAAAAUUCUAAAGUCAAGUUCAAAGAGUCUACAAUACCAUAAAAUCAUAGAAUAAAUUUAGGAGCAUCCUAAGUUAGUCAUGUGUAAUGAAUCAAAUUUUAUGUAGGGGUCUCGCCAAAUCCCCAUUUAAUAUACAUGAAUCUAGCUUAUGCAUUUUCAACUUCACAUGAGUAUUGAUAAACUCAUCAAAACUAAGAAUUAUCCCAUUUAUUUAGGACUACAAACUUGGAUUCGUGUUAUACUCAAAAUCAAAAUUUUAUCGAAGAUAAAAAGGAAAAUGCAAACCGGAUGAAAUUUGAUUGCAUAUCUUUAGAAAAAGAGUUUUAGACCUUAAGAACUCUAACUAAAAUUUUGAAAUGGAUUUUAAUAUUAAUCUUUUUUUUGAGAUAAAGAUUUCUUUUUAAAAGAGAAAAUAUUUGUAAAUAACAAAACAUAAGAAUCAAACCAAGUAAACCAAAGGAGUGGAUGAACUACAAAGUUAUUUUUUUAUUUUUUAUUUUUACAAUCAACAAAGACUAAAGAUGGUGAAAGUAGAGACCAAUAUUCAUUAUUUUUCAAUGGCCUUUGAAAGUCAAAUUAAAAAAUGGAUCACCAGGCAACACAUUACGAAUUUUUAGAUCAAACAAACAAACAAGACAUCAAUAAAAAAUUAACAAAGAUCAACCAAACACAUAAACUGAGGCAAACAAUCGAGAACUAAUAUAAGAUAAACCAAAUGCAUAUACAUGUGGUCAUAAUAAUAUGAAUUUAGUAACAUAAGCACACAAAAUCCUAAAAAAACACAUGAACUAAGUAAGAUGAAUCAAGAACUAAAAUUACCUAUUUUAAAGCUUGAAUAUAAUAACAUUAGGAUAAACUAAUUAUCGGAAAUUCUAAAAGCACAAAUUAGAAUUGAAUCAAUCAAGAACUAAGAUUAAUAAACUUAAAACAUGAAUGCCAUUACAUGAGAUCAACUAAACUAAUUAAUUAAAAUUUGUAAGAACACAUAAAAUAAAUAGGAUGGAUUAGAAAAUAGAAAAAAAAAAAUACUAUUUUAAAACAUGAAUAUAAUAACGUGAGUUCAAUCAAACAAAUAAACUAGAAUUCAAAAAAUACAUGAACUACAUAGGAUCAAUCAAAACUCAAAAAAAAAAAAAAUUGACAAAACUUAAAUCAUGAAUAUAAUAACCUGAGUUCAAUUAAACUAAUAAACAAAAAUUCUAAAAACAUAAAAUAAAAUAGGAUCAAUUAAGAACUAAAAUUAACAAUUUUUAAAUAAGGAUAAAAUAGCAUGGAAUAAAUCACAUUAUCCAACUAAAAGUUUAAAAAAAAAAAACCACAUAAACUAAUAAGAUGAAUCAAGAAUUAAUAAUUAACAAUUUUGAAACAAGAAUAAAAUAUCAUGGAAUCAAUCACAUUAAUCAAAUAAAAAUGAAAAAAAACCACUUAAACUAAUAAGGUGAAUCACAAAUAAAAAUUAACAAUUUUGAAACAAGAAUAUAGCCUGGAAUUAAUCACACUAACCAAUUAAAUUUUUUUUUUAUAAAAAAAAACAUAAUCUAAUAAAAUGAAUCAAGAAUUAAAAAAAAUUAACAAUUUUAAAACAAUGAUAAAAUAGCAUGAAAUCAAUUACAUUAAUCAAAUAAAAUUCUGAAAACCACUUGAACUAAAUAGAUUUGAUUAAGAACUAAGAACUAAUUAUUUUUUUUAUUUUUUUUUAAACAAACAAUGUAUAAACUAAAGGAUCGACAUGUGAUUACAAUUUUUUUUUUUAAAAAAAAUAUCGAAACAAAAUACUCAAGAAAACUUACCUUCAAUCAUGUAAAAGAUGCUGCUGAUCAAUGGUGCGUGCUGUCCAAAAAAGGUUCAGCCUGGUGUGUUUUUCUCUCUCUCCAAUGGUGCGUGCCCCUCUUUUUUUAAAAAAAAAUCUGAUGCACAAUCCCACGUCUCAAAGUGGCAGCCUCAGUGGUGCGACUGUAGGAGAGUUUCUUUGUUCGAUAGUGUGUCAGUGCUCUUUCCUAGUGGAUGCACGAUAUGCAUGCGUCUUCGAAGAUGAGGGCAUGGCUUCUCUUAAAGAAAUCUGUGAUGAUGAAAGUAGUCCCCUUAAUGGAUGCGUCCCUAUUGGAGAGCCCCCUCUUAUAGUGUGUGUUGAGCCCCCUCCUAUAGCCCCUCCUCUCCCGUGUGUGUUGCUGAAAGAAGUCGCCUAUGGACGCACCCCACCUAAAAAUCCCGUGUGAAAUCUCCUCCCAUUUCCACAGCCUAUGCGUCAUCCCAAAAAAUCUAGUGGUAUACAGCCCGAUCUUCCACUUUUUUUUGGUAAGUCGUAGUUCCACCUUGGUCAUCAAUACUCUCUCUCUCUCUCUCUCUCUCUCUCUCUCUCUCUCUAUAUAUAUAUAUUCAUUAUUACAAUAGUAAUUUGAUAUAAAUUAUUUCAUUUAAGCCAUUUAUAAAUAAUAUAUAAGAUGACAUAAUAUACCAAUAAUUCAAUUAAGAAUAUAUGAUAUUAAUCAAUAAAUAUUAUUUAUGAUAGAUAUAUCAAGUAUAUUAUCUAAUAAUAUUUUGUUAUAUUAAUAGAUAAAUAAAAAUUUAUGAUGAUAAUUUUAGAAAUGUAGAAUACCAAUAUUUUUUAAUGUUUGAAAUUGUAGUUUCAUUUUAGUUUUUUCUUUCUUGAAAAUACGUUUAAUUAAGAAAGUAAAAAUUGUUUUUUUAAAAAAAAAUUCACAAAGUCUUGUUUGGUUUUAAACUUUCAUUAAUGUAAAAAUUUGUGAAAAAAAAUAUAAGUAAAUUAUAUAAUUUAUAUCUCAUGUUAUGAAAUAUAUUACUAUAAUGAAUAAUAUUGUUUCUUUUAUAAUAUACAUAAUGUGAUAUUAUGUAAUAGUAAUAAUCUAUAUUAUAUUGUUAUAUAUUAUCAUAUUAUAAAUUAUAACUUAUAUACCUUAAUAUUAUAUUAAGGUUAUUUUUUUACUAUAUUUUAAAUUUUAAAUCACUUUAGAAAAUUUUCUAAUAUAUUUAUAAUAAAUUAAUCAUCUAAAUUAUUUUAAUAUACAAAUAUAUUCUCUAAUAAAUAAUUUUUAUAACGUUUUCAAAUAUAUAUAUAUAUAUAUGAUAAUAUUUUAUUUAUAUUAUUUUGUACUGGAUCUCAAGUCUUUAAUUUAUAUGCUUUUAUUAUAUCAUUUGAUUUCUACCUUUUUAAAAAAACCGCUUUUUUCCCCCUUAAGUUUUCUAGAAAAUGAAAAGGAAAAAUAUCAUUCAAACAUAUUUUGAGAGAUGAUCUUUGUUUUUUUUGAAAAUGAACAAAUCUUAAGUUUUAAUAAUUAAUAUUGAUUUGGGACUCUUUAAAGACACGUUUAUAAUUAGUAAUUAUGAAAUUUUGAAUUUUGAUGGAAUAAAUUAAAUUAAAUUUUAAUUUUCUAUAAUAAAAGGUAAUUUGUUUUAAAAUUUAUUUAAAUUAAAUAAUUUUUAGAUAUUUUAGAAUUAAUUAAAAUAAUAUAUAAAAUGACAUAAAUAAUUAUUUUAUGUGAUUAUACCAUAAAUCAUUUAAAAUUUUAAAAUUAUUCAUUUAUUAAGUAGUUCAAAUUUUAAAAUCCAAUACAAUUCUAAGAACGAAUCCAAUAUUAUUUUUUAUCCUUCCACAACAUGAAUGUAAUCAAAGUGAAAUCCAAUAAAUCCUAAGAAUAAAUACAAUCCAUUCUUUAAUUCUUCCACAACCUCAAUAUGAUCUAAAUGAAAUGUAAUAAAAUAUUUCAAAGGAAAUUAAAUAUAAUUAAAAUUAGUUAAAAUUUUAUUUUUCUUCAUUUUUUUUUUCUUUUACUUUUUAUUUUUUAUUUUUUAUUUAUUUGCAUUUUCUCUUAAAUUUUUCAGAGAAGCAAACAUAGUGAAUUUUUUUUAUGGAUAAGUAUUAAUUAAGAGAUUGAAAGGAUUUUUUUUGGAUAGGAGUCGAUAGAAAAGGUUUGGGAUAAAGAAAGAGUUUCCGGCCAAGUAGUCUUUUUUUUUUUUGCUACUUCUCAACCUAAUCUCAUGUUGAAGAUAUUUGUGUGUUCGUACAACAUCAAAUUCAACUUUAUUAUUAUUAUUAUUAUUAUUUUAUUUUUUAUGUGGUUUUUUUUUAAAAAGAAAGUCAUAUGAAUGGACAUGAUGAGAAAGAUUAGAUCGAGAAAAGACCUUGCUUUGGUUUUAGUGGAAUUUUCAAAAGGAAUAUGGUUAGGGGAAUAGACUACUUUCAACUAAAAAGUUAUAACAAUGUGAAUGGUAGGAACUUAAAACAUCACCAAUAUAUCAAAGGAGUGUAGAAUGAGAGGUUUUUAUUUUUUAUUUUUAUUAUUAUUAUUAUUAUUUUUACUUCUACAAUAAUAAAUUUUUCUGCAAGAGUUUUUUUAGGUACAAAAACUUAUGACUAAAAAACCAUUAUUACGAUGAGUUAAUUAAAAUAGAAUUAAUUUAGAAAAUAUAAAUAAAAUUGCAUGAAUCAUUAUCAUGAGUUCACUUAAUAAGAAUUAAUAGUAAUAAAGUUGAAUGAAGUGAAUUUGGAAUGUAGAUAUUAUUGAUGAUAAGAUUUUUUAAUAAUAAAAAUAUUAUUAGGGUAUGAAAAAUAGGACAAAAUUGACCUUUCUUUAUGUUACUGGUUAAAUGGAUAAUAGGGAUAAUCAAGUACUUACAUGUGGUGAGGUUACCUAAGCUAAUUCUGUACUUACCAGCUAGCCCAAAAGCUAAGAAAAAUCUCCAUCCUCCAUUCACGGCGCCCUUUUCUUUUCCCUAUUUUUAGAAAAUUCAACGAGUUUUGGUAAAUCAAUCUUACAACGUCCUUUCAGUCCACCAUUAUUUUCUGAUUCCUCCUUUUCUUUUUCUCUCGUUUCUUCCUUCAAAAUCCAUCCCUCAUCUCUCUCACAAUUUUCUCUUUACCUUCUUCUCUUCCUUCCAGUUUCCUUUUUAUUUUAUUUUUCAUGCAGACAGAAUCCCCUUACUUUCCUUUGUUUCUCUCUUUAAAAAAUUCUGAUUUUGCCCUAAAAAAAAUUGAUUUUUCUCUUUAAAUAUUUUAAUUUUCCUCCUCCAAAUUCUGAUUUGCCUUUCUAAAAUUUCAGAUCUUCCCAACCCAAAUUAAAUUCCGAUUUCCCCCGGUAAAAUUCUGGAUUUUCUUUUCCAAGAUAGUCAAUUUUUUAUUUUUUUUUCAAAAGACAUUAUGGGUGUAUUUUGAAAAAUUGAAAAGGUAAUCAUGCAUGGCCAUGUGAGGAGAGAAUAAAAAGUAUAGAUAAGUUGGAAGACAACAUUGAUGGGAGAAUAAAAGUUAAAAAAUCAAUAAAAUAGUGAGUAAAAAUAAUGAAUGGAACAUUCUCAUUCAACUAUUAUGAACAACCAAAUGUUGAAAUGAAAAACUAAUGAAAUUAAUACGAUUUUCUUUCUAUGGUUAGGUUUCUCUUCACACCAAACAAAUGUAGAGAAAUUUAAUUUAUAAAUGAAAAUUGGGUUUUGAUUCACUAAUAUAAGAGAAUAAAAAUAAAAAGAACUCUAAAUUAUAAAUUAGUUUUAUUUUUAUCAAUUUAAAAAUAUUUUAAAAUAUAUAUACUUUUUUAUAACUCAAAUAAUUAUUUCUUGAAAUAACAUUUUUACUUGUUAUGUUAAUAACACCAAUUAAUAAAUUUUUUUAGCGAUUAAAACUAAUUUGAGAUUAAUAAAAUAAAAAAAAAUUUAAAUUUAAAAUAUAAUUAAAAUUAAAAAAACUAUAAAAUAUAAAAUAUAAAAAUAAAAAUAAAAUAAUAAUUUUCAUUAGUUAAACACAUGUUGGUAGAAAAUAUAGAUAUCCAAAAAGAGUUGGAAAUACAAUGAUUAUCAAUAUUUAUUUUUAAAAUUUUAAAUUUUUUUUAAUUGUAUUUUUUAUUUUAUGGUUGAUUUUAACUAACAAAUUUUUUAUUCAAUUUUAUUGAAAAAUAAGAAGAUGGGCUUUAUAUAAUAUAGAAUAUAAAAUUAUUAUUAAUUAAAGGAUAAAAAAAGAUUUUAUUUAUCACUUGAAGAUUUGAAUAAUUUUUUCACAAUGAUUUGCAUCUUAUAAUAAAAAAUUUAUAAUAUAUUUAUAUACUUUUAUCAAAUUAAAUUGAUCAAUUAAUUUUGGAUUAUUUAUUCAAUAUUAUCAAGUAAAAUGGUAUUUAGAAAAUAAUUAUUUGAGUUAUAAAAAAGUAGAUGUAUUUUAAAAGAUUUUUAAAUUGAUGAAGAUAAAAUUGAUUUAUAAAAAUUAAUUAAAGUUUUUUUUAAAUAGUGAAUAAAACCCCCUUUUUUAAAAAAAAAACUUUAUAAUGUAUCCAUGGCAUUUUAUAACAUAAGAAAAUUAAUUUUUUGUGAAAGAGGAAAAAAAAUCAACUUUUCAAUUUCCAAUAAUAAUAAUUAUUAUUAUUAUCCAAUUUGGCUGAUUCUGUAAUUAGUUGGCAUCAUUACUAUUCUGUAAUUAGUUAGAAUAGUAUUAGGAGUUGAAGGUCAGUUGGAAUACAGGCUUAUGGAAACAAAUCUAUCCCAUUAGUUGGUUCUUAUUAUUUUUAUUAUUUUCAAUAUAGGAGAUGGGCAGCCGCUUCCUUUUGUCUGGGGGCCAUCCUCCCAACUUAUUAAAGGUGAUAUGAGAUUAAGAUUUUAACAAAAUUGUAUCUUGACUUCUCGAACCAUCGUUACUUGGCUCUCCACAACCACACCCAGUGCUGACACGUGACUAACAAACCUUCGCUCAUCUACCAAACCCAUGGCCUCAUGCCUUAUAUAUUUCCACAAACCUAGCUCAAUUUUCAUAGCCACCUUCACUAUCCUAUACUCACUAAGCCAUGCCCAUAGAUACAAGCCUCUUGCUUGAGUUUGCUGCAGCAACUCUACUCUUCUUCAUCACCCGCUUCUUCAUUCGUUCUCUCCUUCCCAAACCUUCCCGGAAGCUCCCCCCUGGCCCCAGAGGGUGGCCGCUCCUCGACGCUCUUCCUCUUCUAGGUAACUGAUUCGUCCCUAGCAGCGGAAGUGGCAAUGGCACCAUCUGAUUCGGGGUUCGAUCCCCGGCAACGGCGCCAUUUGACUCAUGCCCAAUUGGUGUCUCAGCUGAUUUAUGUUCAGCUGGUGCUCCUUGAUUGAGGAAGUGAUCAACAAAAUUUAUACCUAUAACACCAUACACUAGGGUAGCAAAUACAAAGCUACUAUAGUAUAGUGGCUCUAGGAUCGUUCACUGGGAAUGAUUUGCAAGCAAUCAAUGAUACCAAUUCCAAGUGAAUUGGUCUUGUUUCAUUUCACAGUUAGCUUAAGGAAUAAAACACAAACUUUGAUUUGUAAAGGUUGAGAUUUAAACUAACUAACUUAACAGAAGUUUGGAAUAAUUUAGGAAGAAAAGCAUUCCUUGGAGAUUUAGGUUCACUGGGGUGGUUCCUCAUGCAAAAGACAUAGCUCCGGUCAGAUGGUUCAUUUCCUCGCAUUAGAGAUUCAACCUAUAGUCAAUUCUCUAACCGGUGAUGUACAGAGACUCCUUCAAUUAGAUUUCACUUUAAUUCUCUCACUGAUACAACUUGCAAUGGUUCAUGCCUCUCACGAGCACUUACCAUUCAAGGUGAUCUUUAACCUUGGAUUCCCCUUCACAAACUCGCAAGAGAUAACUAAUGGAUGUCUCCUAGGAGUCCAAAAGCUUACCAAGUGUUGGUAAUUCCAGAAAAUCCUACCUUGAAGUCACCUACCAGAGGCUCGCAAGGGGUAAACUAGUGCAUUUCCACGGUUGGAAAUCACUUGCCUUACCAAGUGUUGGCCCAGGUGACUCUAAGGUGUUUUAAGUUAACUAAAAACAUUGAAAUCACUAAAGGAUUUCACUUCCUCUUCAUUACUAGCUAAAACCACAGAGCUUUGCAUUCUUGCACUUGGAACCUUCCCCGGCAACCUUAGCUCCAAGGAAUUGGAGGUUUAGUUACUCAUUCUCUGGGGAAAACUCCUCAGAGAAUUCAUAACUUAGAAAUAAAAUGAAAAUACAAAGUGAGAAGGUAAGGCAGUAGAAAGACAAGACUUUACUUGCUUACCAAACGUUUUCAGAAGGAACUCUUCCCUUAGAGAACAGGCUCCCGAGAGGUAUAUAUAUCAACAAAAUAUAAAACUAAUUGUUACAAAGAUAUUUGGUCUUUUUACUAACUUAAAAACUAAGGAAUCAUGUAAUUGGUGGUUUACAAGGAGUAUUUUGGGAUUUAGACAACAAAAAUCUAAUGGAAAAUAUCUCCCAAUGUCGGUAGCAAGCUUCGGGAGGCUUCAGGAGCCAUUUCGCAGGUGAAAAAUGAGGCCUGCGAAAUUUCGCAGACACCCAAGAGGGCUGCGAAAUUAUCUUGCAAGACCGAGCUAUCUUCACUAGGCUGCAAAGUUGGCUUCCAUCUUGAGGUUUCCAGCUCCCUUCUCGCGGCAUGGUUCGUGCAUCGUUAGAAGGAGAAAUACCUUACUGUACAAAAGUGCUGCGAAAUUCUCGCAACACAUGGCUGAUUCCGCAACACUUUAGAGUGUCUGGCUUGUAAUGGCUGCAACUUCUUCGUUUCAAUUCCGAAUCGCACACCGUUUGAAGCAUUGGAGUGUUGACUUCCUGAGCUUUGAAAUGGUAUAUAGCUUGCAUCAUUUGGACUUCAGAAAGUGCUCCAAAAGUGGCUGCUACGACUGUCAUCAAGAAUAUGCUCCAUGACUGAUCCUCUUUGCUUUUUCUCCUUGCAAUCCGGAUUCACUCUUGGCAAUUGAAUUCUAAGCUUUGCCCAAGAUUCCUCAUAGCUCUCCUCAUUCUUGACUUGCUUUGGUGAUCAAAAUACUAUCAAAAACACCAAAACUUACACAAAGUGAUCAAAAUUGCUUUAAAGGAUCCUUAACAUGCCAAUUGAGUUAAAAGGCCUAAACUACUACUCAAAAGUGUUAAAAAGGAUUAAUUAAAAGCUAUCAAAUAACACUUUUUGAGUAGUAAUCACUCCCCCCAACCGACAUAUUGCUAGUCCCUUAGCAAUAUAGGAGAGAAAAAUAAAAAUAAAUAGCAAACUAAUCUAAAAUUUACAACAUCAUGCUAAAGGAAAAUAAUUCUUAAGUGGCAUGAUGAUUUACUUCUCACAUGAAUCAUUAAAGAAAUACAAACCCAAAUCUCAACAAGAGUCAUAACACCUGUGCUAAACACUGUCAAUCAAGGGAGUGCAUUAUGCAAACUGAAGUUUUAAAAUCAUUUCACUUUCUAAGAACUAAACUUCAAUCUUCCACAAAAAUCUAUGUGUAUUGGUUCCUUAGAUUCCGAGAAUAAUAUGCUAAACUAGUCUCACCCCCCAACCUAUCUCUUUUCAACACUUUAGCAAACUGACCAAAAUCAAUAAGAAAAGAACACACUUUCAUCUUUUUUUUUUUUUUUUUUUUUUUUUUUUUUUUUUUUUUUUUUUUUUUUUUUUUCGGGGGACCUUUUGGGGGUACCCUUUCUGACUUGCCCAUGGAAGGGGGGCCCCCCGAUGACCCCCCACCAAUUAAGGUUUAGGGCCCCCCGUUUUAAGGAUUUUUCAACCCCAAACCCCCCGGAUUUUUCCCCAAAUUUUUAAAAAGGAAUUUUUAAACCCCAAGCAUCCACCAAAUGCUAUUUUUUCCUUUUCCCCCUUGGAACGGGGUUUGGGGGCGGGGACCCCCCACCAAUUAAGGGUUAGGGCCCCGGGCUUUAAGGGGUUUCCCCAAAAACCCCCCAAACCUUGCUCGGGUUNNNNNNNNNNNNNNNNNNNNNNNNNNNNNNNNNNNNNNNNNNNNNNNNNNNNNNNNNNNNNNNNNNNNNNNNNNNNNNNNNNNNNNNNNNNNNNNNNNNNUUUCAACCACUAACUCCUCGGAUUUUUCCCCAAACUUUUAAGAAUGAAUUUCUAAUACCCAAGCAUCUACCAUAUGCUAACUUUACCUAUUCACCCUUGUAACGAGCAUUGAGGUCGGUGACUCCCAACCAAUUAAGGCUUAGGGCACCAGGCUUUAAAGGCUUUCACCAUAUACCCCUCAGACCUUGCUCGGGUUUCAAGGCAAGCAAACAACUUUCUUUAUUUCAAAGGCUCAUUGGCCUUUUGCAGGGUGUUCCAAUUUUUAUCAAAUGAGGUCAAAUAUACCAAGUCUCAAAAUUAUCCUAAGUCAAGAGGGAAAUAGCUUUUCAUCUUAUAAUCGGAAACUAAUGUGCACAGUGUGUGGAUAGCUUAAAGUGGAAGAACUAACUUCAAUUACAGUAGAAGUUUCAACAAUUGAACCACUUUAGUAAGCAUAAUCCAUACUCUAAGUCAAGUGAAAAACAACAGUUCAAUUUCUCUUGGUUUAAUUUGAAAAUUUUUCCUCAAAAUUCAUGGAGAAUAGAGUAACAAGAGUAAAAAGUAAAAACUACAACUAAUUAACCAAUAUAAUUGCAAUACCAAAAAGGUUUAGACUACUUCCUUCCUCAUACCCCCCAACCGAACUGAGCAUUGUCCUUAAUGUGAUUUGAGUGACUGUAAUAAAAGGGAGGAAGUGGUACCUCCAUGCUGAUAUCAAAUUCGAAUAUUGAUUGGGGAAAACCACAUGUUUCAAAAAGAAUAGAAUAUGUGAGAAAAGGAAAUAAUAAUAACUUAAUGCUAACUUUUAACAAGAAAAAUUCAACUUGUAUUACUUUGAGUUCAUUUGAUUACAAUGCUAAAGACAAGUAACACAAGGAAUCCCAUAUAUAGUACCAAAAUACUGGGAUUUCUUUUCAACUAAAACAAAACAAGCAUAAAAACAUAAAUAGCAAAUAUAUAUAAUGUCUGAUGAGUGGGGUGAUGGUGCUAAGCAGAAGGAUCUGCCUCCUCUGUAGGUGGAUCAGCUGGGGCUUCUGGCUCUGGAGGAAGAGACUCUGAAGGCUGAGAGUGUGGCUCUGGUGGAGUAGCAGUGGAGGGCUCUACAGCUUGUGGUAGAUCGAAAUGGACUUGAAGCUGCCUUAGGAUGGCAGCUUGUUGAGCCUGAGAGGCUAACAUCUGCUCCUGGCAUGCUUUGAUGGCUGCCAACUCUUGAGCAAAAUUGCUCUGGGACGCUGUAAGAGUCUCCAAUGCUCGGCACAGCUCUCGAUAUUCGGAUAUAGGGAUGGCCAUCCUCGGCUCAGCUGAUGUGGAUGGCUGUGAUGCAGCAGGUGCAGCUGGUGAAGCUCGAGGGAUGGCAGGAGUAGCAAGUGUUAUACCUUCAGGUGCAUGUCUUGGGGAGGCUCUCCUUGCUGCUGGCUGAGGCUGCCCAGGAUGAUCAAUUUUGUAGGCCAUCAUAUUAUUCCAUUUAUCAAGGGUAAAUGGCUCACGACAUAUUCUCUUUCUUUCCUGCUGAGGCUCAGAGGGGUAUCCAAGAUGCUCCAAAACUUGGCAUAGCAGCCGUGGGAAGAGGAGGGGAAUGCAAUCUGCUCUUUAAAGCUUCUUCUUGUGAACCUUCUCCUCAAAGUAGAGAAGGGCUGCCAUGAUCAGAUGAUGAGGCCCAAAGAAGAAUCCUUCUGACAUCUUGUACAAGGCUUCCAGGAGAAUUCCCCUUCUUUGGGUCCAAUGCUGCAGGGGAUAGAUAUUAUGCCUCAAAAAGGCAUCAAUCAAAAACAUCACUAGAGGUAGCUCCCCCCUCAGCAAAUGUGAUCGAUUUGCAGCUCCUCUGGUUAGUGUGCGAACCAUCUCUAACUCAGUAGGAUUUACCCAAGCUUUAAAAUUGUCGAAUUGGGUUGGCUCAAAAGGAAUUUGCAGGGCUUCAGCAAUAUGUCUUGCUCCCAAAAUACCAUGUCUUCCAUCAAUUAUAAAAUGAAUCAAGGUUGGAUUUCUUACUUCUUUGGUUGUCAUGGUCUGGUAGAAGUCCGUGACUACCCGGGGAUAGAAAAAAUCCCUUGGAGCUAGCAGAUACUCCAUAUGAUAUCUCCUCAGCAGCUGGAAGGAUUGGGCAAGCUCUGGCCUCACUCUGAAUGCUGUUAAAUCGAAGCAAAGCUCAGAAUGGAAUGCCCGUGUUCGACAAUCCAAGUUUCCUUCGAUUGGGGGCUGGGGCAGCAUUGGCCUUCGGAUCACUUCUUCCAGAGGUGCUUCAGCUGCAAUUUGGGGCUCUGGAAUUGGCGCUUGAGGCUCCUGAGCUUUUUCUUGGGGUGCCGGAGAUGGUACCGGCGAUGGAAUUGGAGUUGCUUCAGGUGAGGGAAUUGGCGAGGGAACCGGUGACGGCACUGGAGUUUGAACCAGUGAAGGAUUUGGGGACUGCUCAGGGGAUUGCUCAGUCAAAUCAAUUGGUUCAGAGCUCUCAACCCUGGUUUUCUUCUUCAAUGGCUGACCGCCUGACCUUGUUAAAUAUCGCCUUGCCGGCGGCUUUGGUGGCGCCGGCUUCACUGGAGAAGGAUUUGGUCUCGACGGCGAAGGCUUUGGAGCAGGUUCUGGAACAGAACCUGGACUUGGCUCCUUUCGCAGACUCCUUUUGCGAUUCGAAGGGGAUGAAGACUUUGCCCCUUGUGUUCGUGCCAUUUUGGAAUACCGAAACUUUAGCCGGUGCUGCUGAACGGAGAAGACGACCGGAGGUUCGGACGGCGUGGCUUGGCGAAGAAGAUGAAGGGGCUGCGAGAAUGGUGCUCUGAUUUUUGAAACCCUUUUUGCAGCACUUUUGACCGGUAUAAAUAGGAAAAACGGAAGCCCAGGGGUCAGUUUAAGUUUCGCAACAAAACGCCAAUUUUGCAGCAACUUGCCAUUUUCGCAGCAACUUCGCAGUGAGUUUCGCAGCUGCGAAAUUGAUGUCACUGUGCUGCGGAGUGGCACUCGUGUGCCAAAACCACUUUCGCAAUUGCGAAAUGCCCUGCGGAAUGAGACUUUUGGUGCGAAAUCACGCUUUUCCAUUUCGCAAUGAGUUUCGCAGCUGCGAAAUGGGUUCUACUGUACUGCGAAGUGGCACUCGUGUGCCAAAUUCACUUUCGCAGCUGCAAAAUACACUCGCAGAGGCUUCUACAGUGCUGCGGAAUGGUUUGGCAGCAAAAUGCUCAGUUCGCAGAAGUUUCCUUCUCUCUGCGAAAUUUCGCAGAGCUCUGUUUUUCCCCUGUUUCUGCUCUGUUUCGGCUCCAAUUUCGACCCGAUUUUUUUUCUUUUCAAUCCCCUUGAAAUUUCUUCCACCUGGGAUCAUUUUAAACAAUUAAAACACACUUAAAAACAUGAUUUAAGAUCAAAAACUAAGAUCAAAAGUAUGGAAACAACUUAAAAAUUUUACAAAAUUUACAAAAAUUUUGGACUGUGGUUAAGACCACGUCCAGCAAACCCUUUUCACUUAGGCUUUUUGAGGUUCAAGGAGGUUGAUUGCCUCCUUUUCUGAUUUGAAUGACUCCAUGAACGGCUUAAGACGAUAUCCAUUGACUCUAAAGCUAUCCUUGCCAUUGGAAUUCAAUAAGUCCACCACUCCAUUGGAAUAUACUCGGUGAAUAACAAAUGGACCAAUCCACCUUGACUUGAGCUUCCCAGGAAAGAUAUGGAGUCUUGUGUCAUACAUCAAAACUUUUUGCCCUUCCUGAUUCAGUUUGCCCGGAUCCCAUUUGAAGCUUGCAUCCUUCACUUGAGACUUGGUUUGAGAUGAAGAUAUUACGACAGGACAUUGAUUAUUUUCUUCAAGAUAUGUAUAUUUCAGCUCCACAGGUAAAGGCUUCAGAUUGAAUUUUGGAAUUUCUUUUUCAGCGGCUGCCUCCUCUUCUUCAUUGAACAAAGGUAGAAUUUCUUCUAUCUUUCUCCAACUUUGUAGAGUAGCAAGCCCAAUAGGCGAUUCAGAAAAACCUUCCUCAAUAUCCUCAAGAUUUUCAUUCAACUUAUCUUGCAUAUGUUGAUUACAGUGCUCCUCCACCAAAGUAUCAAUUACACAUAACUCUUCUGGACCUUCUUCUUCUUCCGGAGUGAUUUGAUUUUUAGACAUAUAGAAAAUAUUUAGAUCCAGUGUCAUAUUACCAAAAGUGAGUUGCAUAAGCCCAUUUCUACAGUUGAUGAUUGCAUUUGAAGUUGCAAGAAAUGACCUUCCAAGGAUGAUAGGAACUAAAUUAGCUUCCUUUACAGUAGGAUCAGUAUCAAGAACAACAAAAUCUACAGGAUAGUAGAAAUUAUCUACUUGAACCAAUACAUCCUCAAUUACUCCUCUUGGAAUUUUCACUGAUCUAUCUGCCAAAGAUAAAGUGAUUGCUGUUGGCUUCAACUCUCCAAGUCCUAGUUGCUUGUAGACAGAGUAUGGAAGCAAAUUCACACUUGCUCCCAAGUCUAGCAAGGCUUUCUCCACUACCUUUCCUCCAAUCAUGACUGAAAUGGUAGGACUUCCAGGGUCUUUGUACUUCGAAGGAGACUUACACUGUAAGAUUGCACUUACUUGCUCAGUCAAGAAGGCUUUCUUGUUUACAGUCAACCCUCUUUUGAUCGUACACAAGUCCUUUAGGAAUUUUGCAUACGUUGGAACUUGUUUGAUCAUAUCCAGCAGUGGAAUAUUAACUUUCACUUGCCUCAAUACUUCUAGGAUUUCAGCUGCAUUUCUAACCCCCUUUUUCCCAUGUAAUGCUUGAGGAAAAGGUGGAAAAGUUGAUUUCUUCAGCAUUUUUUCCUUCAGAAGCUCUUUCUCUGGAAUUGCUUUCAUUGUUGAAUCAGAGUCCUUCUUCUCUUCGCUGAUCUCACUCUCUUUAUCUUCCAUUUCCUUCCCUUUCUUCAUCUCUUCUUCUUUUUCAACAUGUGGCUUGGGUGUUGGCUGCUCAAUUUUUUUACCACUCCUUAGAGUGAUCAAAGCUUUCACAUCUUUCACCUGUGAUGAUUCUCCCUCAUGGAUUUCCACUUCAUGGACACCUUUGGGAUUUUGGUUAGGUUGAGAAGGAAAUCUUCCUUUUUCUUGCAGUGUAUUCAAAUUUGUAAGCCUGGAAAUUGAAUAUUGGAUGUUAUCAAACUUUUGGUUCAUUUCAUUUUGCAUUCCAUCCAUUCUUUUGUUCAACACACUCUCCAUUCUAUCCAUUCUUUGAUCAACUCGAGCAUUGGUGGCUUCUUGCUUUCCCACAAAAUCUCCCACUACCUUGCUGAGAUUGGCUAUUAUUUGUUCAAUACUUGAAGAUUGCUGAGAUGGUGGAUCCGGCUGUUGGUAUUGAGUUGCUCUGGCCUUCCAUGAGAAAUUUGGAUGAUUCCUCCAACUUGAAUUGUAGGUAUUUCCAUAUGGAGCAUUGUUAUUGGGCCUGAAUUGUCUAACAACAUUUGCUUGAUCUCUAUACAUUUCCCUUUCAACUGAAAUUGCAGGGCACUCCUCUACCAAAUGUUCAAAUGAUUGACAAUUGGGACACAACUUCACUUGCACUGGUGCUUCAGCAACAGCUUGCACUUCAUGCAUUCUUUUCAGCUCCAGCUCCUCCAAUCUUCUUGUCAUAGCUGCCAACUUUGCUUUCAUGUCAUCAUCUUCUUUCAAAUUAUACAUCCCAGCCUUUGCAUUGUAAGCAUUCAACUGAGACUUCAUCUUUCCCACUUCUCCUUUGGUUGGUUCAUCCCAUCCCCUUGAAACAUCAGCUACAUAGUUCAAGAAAUCCAUAGCUUCCUCUGGAUUUUUGCUCAUGAAAUCUCCUCCACACAUUGUCUCGAGGAGUUGCUUCAUUGAGGAUGACAUACCAUCAUAGAAAUAGCUCACCAAUAGCCAUGUAUCAAAGCCAUGGUGAGGACAAGCAUUUAUAGCUUCCAUGUAUCUUUCCCAACACUCAUAGAAUUUCUCAUUCUCUUUAGCUGAGAAGUUUGAAAUUUGCCUUUUCAAGCCAUUUGUUCUAUGAGUAGGAAAAAAUUUCUUAAGGAAUUCAGCUUGUAAAUCAGUCCAAGAGCGGAUACUCCUUGGCCUUAAAGAAUUAAGCCAAAUUUUGGCCUUAUCCUUUAAAGUAAAAGGAAAUAACUUAAGCCUCAUCAAGUCAAUUGAAGCUCCUCCCUCUUGGAAUGUAUUACAAACAUCUUCAAAUUCCUUGAUGUGUGCAUACGGAUUCUCACUUUCCAUCCCAUGGAAAGUUGGUAGAAGUGGAACAAGAUACGGUCUGAUCACUAGCUGCUCUGUAGGGGCACUAUACAUGAUGGUGCACUCAUACGANNNNNNNNNNNNNNNNNNNNNNNNNNNNNNNNNNNNNNNNNNNNNNNNNNNNNNNNNNNNNNNNNNNNNNNNNNNNNNNNNNNNNNNNNNNNNNNNNNNNUAUAGUCAAUUCUUUAACCGGUGAUGUACAGAGACUCCUUCAAUUAGAUUUCACUUUAAUUCUCUCACUGAUACAACUUGCAAUGGUUCAUGCCUCUCACGAGCACUUACCAUUCAAGGUGAUCUUUAACCUUGGAUUCCCCUUCACAAACUCGCAAGAGAUAACUAAUGGAUGUCUCCUAGGAGUCCAAAAGCUUACCAAGUGUUGGUAAUUCCAGAAAAUCCUACCUUGAAGUCACCUACCAGAGGCUCGCAAGGGGUAAACUAGUGCAUUUCCACGGUUGGAAAUCACUUGCCUUACCAAGUGUUGGCCCAGGUGACUCUAAGGUGUUUUAAGUUAACUAAAAACAUUGAAAUCACUAAAGGAUUUCACUUCCUCUUCAUUACUAGCUAAAACCACAGAGCUUUGCAUUCUUGCACUUGGAACCUUCCCCGGCAACCUUAGCUCCAAGGAAUUGGAGGUUUAGUUACUCAUUCUCUGGGGAAAACUCCUCAGAGAAUUCAUAACUUAGAAAUAAAAUGAAAAUACAAAGUGAGAAGGUAAGGCAGUAGAAAGACAAGACUUUACUUGCUUACCAAACGUUUUCAGAAGGAACUCUUCCCUUAGAGAACAGGCUCCCGAGAGGUAUAUAUAUCAACAAAAUAUAAAACUAAUUGUUACAAAGAUAUUUGGUCUUUUUACUAACUUAAAAACUAAGGAAUCAUGUAAUUGGUGGUUUACAAGGAGUAUUUUGGGAUUUAGACAACAAAAAUCUAAUGGAAAAUAUCUCCCAAUGUCGGUAGCAAGCUUCGGGAGGCUUCAGGAGCCAUUUCGCAGGUGAAAAAUGAGGCCUGCGAAAUUUCGCAGACACCCAAGAGGGCUGCGAAAUUAUCUUGCAAGACCGAGCUAUCUUCACUAGGCUGCAAAGUUGGCUUCCAUCUUGAGGUUUCCAGCUCCCUUCUCGCGGCAUGGUUCGUGCAUCGUUAGAAGGAGAAACACCUUACUGUACAAAAGUGCUGCGAAAUUCUCGUAACACAUGGCUGAUUCCGCAACACUUUAGAGUGUCUGGCUUGUAAUGGCUGCAACUUCUUCGUUUCAAUUCCGAAUCGCACACCGUUUGAAGCAUUGGAGUGUUGACUUCCUGAGCUUUGAAAUGGUAUAUAGCUUGCAUCAUUUGGACUUCAGAAAGUACUCCAAAAGUGGCUGCUACGACUGUCAUCAAGAAUAUGCUCCAUGACUGAUCCUCUUUGCUUUUUCUCCUUGCAAUCCGGAUUCACUCUUGGCAAUUGAAUUCUAAGCUUUGCCCAAGAUUCCUCAUAGCUCUCCUCAUUCUUGACUUGCUUUGGCGAUCAAAAUACUAUCAAAAACACCAAAACUUGCACAAAGUGAUCAAAAUUGCUUUAAAGGAUCCUUAACAUGCCAAUUGAGUUAAAAGGCCUAAACUACUACUCAAAAGUGUUAAAAAGGAUUAAUUAAAAGCUAUCAAAUAGCACUUUUUGAGUCAAAUGAGUUCAAGGACAUGGUGGUGGAGCUCAUGACCACUGCUGGGUACUUCAAUAUUGGCGACUUUAUUCCGUCCAUCGCAUGGCUGGACAUCCAAGGGAUCCAGCGCGGGAUGAAGCAUUUACAUAGGAAGUUCGACCGGUUAUUAACAAAGAUGAUGGAGGAGCACACGGCGUCAGCCCAUGAGCGAAAGGGAAACCCAGAUUUUCUGGACGUAAUCAUGGCAAACCAAGAAAAUUCUACAGGGGAGAAGCUCACUAUUACCAACAUUAAAGCACUCCUCCUGGUAUGCAUAGUUAAAGCUCGUCUUCAAUUUUGUUUUCCGAUAUUUUCUUUCCGGAAACAGCACUUUUAUUGCUUUUAGAUAUGUACGUUUUUAUCAGGUAGCCAUUUUAGGGGCACAUCACUAUUCUUUAUUUUUGGACUAUUUUUUUCUUUUUCCACUUGCAUGGUUGUUUUCAUAUGCUCAGCUGCAUGGCACAAGAAAAUUGUGAAAAAUGAUUGGUUCUCUGAUCAGACCUUCUGCACCAAAACACGCUUUUCUCUAUGUUAUAAAAUCGGUUUACAUGAUUUUUCAACCAGCUUCCUUGAACUUGAACUUUUGCUAGGGCUAAUGCAAAAAAUGAUUGAUCUCAAUUUUCAAUAGCGUUUGAUUACAUAAAUUUCAAGUAUGUGAACAUAUUUUUGUUUCCUUGGCUAGAAUUUAUUUACUGCAGGAACAGACACUUCAUCGAGCGUAAUCGAGUGGUCUCUGGCUGAGAUGUUGAAAAACCCGAGCAUCCUCAAGCGUGCUCACGAAGAAAUGGAUCAAGUGAUUGGAAGGAGCCGGCGGCUCGUGGAGUCUGACUUGCCAAAACUUCCAUACCUACAAGCCAUAUGCAAGGAAAGCUUCCGGAAGCACCCAUCCACCCCGUUGAACCUUCCUCGUGUCUCAACCCAAGCAUGUGAAGUGAACGGCUACUACAUCCCAGAGAACACUAGACUUAGCGUGAACAUAUGGGCAAUUGGGCGAGACCCUAAUGUCUGGGAAAGCCCGGAAGAAUUCAGGCCAGAAAGGUUUUUAAGUGGAAGAAAUGAAAAAAUUGACCCUCGUGGAAAUGAUUUUGAGUUGAUCCCGUUUGGGGCUGGACGAAGGAUUUGCGCUGGCACUAGAAUGGGAAUAGUGCUGGUUGAGUACAUUUUAGGGACGUUGGUACAUUCAUUUGACUGGAAAAUGCCGGAUGGAGUUGAGAUCAACAUGGACGAAGCUUUCGGGCUUGCACUGCAGAAGGCAGUUUCUCUUUCGGCCAUGGUGACACCAAGGCUUCACCAGAGUGCGUAUGCAGUCUGAGCUCAAACCGCUCAGACCAAAACCCAGGCCUCGCUGCUAUAUGGCAUGGAUGCAGUUAAGUAGAAAAUAUUUUGGGAUGCCUGUGGCUUAGUAUAAGAUGUAUUAGCUCAAAGAUGGUCGUUUCAUUCUACCACCAAGCCAUAUGCAUCUAUGCAUAAUCUAUUGAUUUAGGCUCGAUUUGGUUAUAGUUUUUGUUUUUUUGUCUUCCAAAUCAGUAAAUAGUAGGGGUAUUUUUGUCCUAUGUAGUGAUUCUUUUUGUUUGAUUGAUUAUAUUUGGAUCCUUCAAAAAUAUAUGGUCAGAGCCAUCUCCAUCUUUUCACUUCUUGUGCUGCAGAAUGGGAUUGGCUUAGAUCGUUAGUCUAAUGUUAACCCCCUUCAAAUCUAAUUAUUCAUACCCAAUUUUGACACGAAAGAGCCAUUGUCAUGAAAGGGGGACCAGGGACCUCAGCACCCUUGGUUCAUCAUUUUGGUACGAUGCCAACUCUACCACAUAACCACCAUUUAGAUAUCUAUCCUUUUAUUUUUGGCAUGUGAACUUAUAGUGGGUGGCUGACCUUGAAUCCAGUAGUUAUCAUGAUAUAUAUGGCUGUGUUGAAACUAACCACCAUUUAGAUAUCUAUCCUUUUAUUUUUGGCAUGUGAACUUAUAGUAAGUCCGAUUUAUGUCCAAGGGUCAAAUUUAAAUCUCUCUUCAAUCUAAUGGCUAAGAACUUCCCAACUUUAUUUAAUACUUAAUGUAUCCAAUAAUUGUAAUCGAGUAAUCCAAUGACAAGUACCUUCAAUGAUUAUUUUGGCAAAAGAAAUAAUAUAAGUUUGUUAUUUUAUGAUAUAAUAAAUUUAUUAAUACUUUCCUUUUUCAAAAUAUGUAAUUAGUUGUAAUUUCAUUAUAUAAUAUAUAAAUUAAGUUAUUUGCAAUUUUAAAAUAUGCUCAUUUUGUAUUUUUUUAAGUGUUAUUUAAAAAUUACACAAUUUUGUUUUAUAAAAAGUAUUUAGUACUUUUAAUUUUAUAAUUUACAAACAUUAAUUUAUACUAUUUUCUUAAAAUAUUUAGUUUAGUAUGCAUAUUAUUAGUUGUUUUCUCAGAUCUCAAGUUCCAAUCAAAAAAAUAUUUAUGAUUUGUUUUUGUUAAUUUGUGUCUUGUUUUCAAUUUAAUUAAUGAAAUUUUAUUUGAUCAAAAAGUUCAUUAUAAACCAAUUUUAAAAAUCUAAUCCUUUAUUAUAUUUUGAUAUGGUUUUGAUAAAAAUGUCUUUAUUAUUAUUAUUUUUUAUAAAAAUAAUUAUUAUUUUUGAAAUAUAUUGUAAAUAUUUAAAAUAAUUAAAAAUAUUUAGAUCAAAAAUCGAUUAUUUUUCAAACAAAAAUAUGAAAGUGAUAAAUUUGCAAAUAUGGGGAAUAUUUAAUCCUUUUAAUCGAUUAUUUCAUUACUGAAGUGGGUAUAAUGAUGAACGCAGACUUGGUUUUGCUAGGGCAUGCAGAGGUUUUGCAAGAGAGAGAGAUCAUUUCUCGACUCUGAGAAAUCAAUCUCCUUUUGGCCCGGUGGUGGACUCCAAGUAAAGCCUUGAAGGAGCCUUGCUAACAUCCCUGCACACCCACGCCUUCCAGUACUGAAGGAAAUGAAGCGAAGGGUUGGCUCGUUCAACUCCACUGCUUGAACUGUACUAGCAUUCUGAUGCCGCUCUGGAUUGAAAUUUAGCGGUUCUUCCCAGAUUCUAGGGUUCCGGCCCAGCCCCAGACGGCUCAGAAGGACAUGACUGCCUUUGGGGAUAAAGUACCUAGCAACACUAGUCGGAUUCCUGAACUCGUCUAUCCUUUCCAACCACUCCAUCAAUUUCUUCACUGCUUUGCUCAAAAUCCCUGGUUGCUUGAUCAUUGCCUACCCAAUUGCAUUUGAUGGACUAUCGACGCCUGCAAGCAUCAACUCCUGCAAAUUAUGGAAGGAUCAUAAUCUGAUGAUUGAUCAAGUUAUUUGCUGGCUAGGAAAUGAUCAUCAUGCAAUGUAGAUCAAAAGGUAAGCACAACGCUACUACAAAAAUAAUUUAUGGUGUCAUUUUUUAAAUAAUGACACCAUAGGGUUUAUAAUUAAUAAAGGUGAUACAUCGUAUAAAAUUUUUUCAAUUGAGGUAGUUAGAUUAUGUUAGUUUUAUAUUUAUAGUGUCAUUUUUUGGGAAGUAACAUCAUAUAAAAUAAAUUUUUUUAAGUAUUAUAACUUAAUGAGCCCACUUGAGCCCACUUUUAUAAUUAAUAAUGGGGGAUAAUGUAUAAAAAGCCCAUUGUUUCCACAUGCCACCCACAAUCCAAAAAAUCUCAGCAUACAAACCUUAUAUAUAAAACCAUAAUCUUCUUCUACCUUUUCUCUUACCUAUAGUCAACACACUUACAACCAACAUUUUCUACUUUGUGGACUCCUGGGUAAUCCAAAUUCUCUUAGAUCUAUCAUAUUUUUUUUUUCCUUUUAUUAAUAUAAUUAUAUUGAUUGUUUCAGCAUCUUUGUAUUAUGGUUUUUGUAAACUGCGUUUUCUUGAGUUGUAGGGAAGAAAAACUUAGGUUUAAACUUCUAGCAUAGACGAAGAAACUUGUAGAUUAAUUGAUUUUUUAAUAUGAACCAAACACAUGACUGACUUCUUAAAAACAAGAAAAAAUGAAUGAUUUUUAAUAUGUAUUUAUGUGAGAAUGACAGGUACAAAAUUUUGUUGAGAUAUACUGCCACAUAAUCUUCAUCCCUUCCCUAAAACAAGAGAGAGAGAAAAAAAAAAAGGAAUGAUUUUUUUUGUGUGUAUCUAAGUGGGAAUGAGAUAUAUAGAAUUUCGUUGAGAUGCCACAUGAUCUUUAUCCUCCAUUAAACCCAACAUAUUAAAUCCACUAACUCUCCCCAAAAACGAGUAAAAAAAAAGGGAAAAAAGUAUGAGUUAAAAAACAAAAACGGAAAAUAUGAUUUUUUUUUUUUUUUAAUGUGUUUCUAAGGAAAAUGAGAGACAAAUUUUUGUUAAGAUGCAUUGCCACGUGUUCUUCAUCCUCUCCAUUAAGCCUAACAUAUUAAACCUAAUAGCUCUCUCUUUUAACUUUCCAGUGAAGUGCCUACAGUAUCCAACUCAAAAUAAGACAACUUAAGCCCCAUUAGCCAACAACCCAUAUUUUGUGUACAUCUUGAUGAGAUUAUUUUGUGAGAAAAUGUCAUGAAACAAUCCCAAUUUGAUAAUCUAGGCAUGUAUUUGAGUUAAAAAUAAAUUUCUAUUCUAUAGAUCAAAUAAUAAAAUCAUGUUUGAAAAUUAUUUUUAAAAACUUAUUUAGAGCAAAAAUAGUUUUCUAACAUAAAAAUAAUUUUUUAACUGAGAAAAUAUAUUUGAAAUUAUUUGAUAGAAAAUUGGGCAUGUAUUUGACUUAAAAACAAAUUUCUAUUCUAUAGCUCAAAUAAUAAAAUCAUGUUUGAAAAUUAUUCUUAAAAGCUUAUUUAGAGCAAAAAUGGUUUUCUAACAUUAAAAUAAUUUUUUAAUUUAGAAAAUAUAUUUGGAAACAUUUGAUAGAAAACUGGGCAUGUAUUUGACUUAAAAAUAAAUUAUUAUUCUAUAGAUCAAAGGAUAAAAUCAUGUUUGAAAAAUAUUCUUAAAAACUUAUUUAGAGUAAAAACAGUUUUCUAACAUAAAAAUAAAUUUUUAACUUAGAAAAUAUAUUUGAAAACAUUUGAUAGAAAACUUUUUUUUUUUUAAUGUCAAUAAGUUGUCUUUUGUUAAUUUAAUUGUAAUCAAUUUGCUUAUACGCAUUUAAAAGUAUAUAUUAUCAUAUUUAGUAAUAUUUUGAUUGUUAGGCAAAUUAUCAUUUUUGAGAGGAAUUUUUGUAGCUCUCAUAAUUAUAAUUGUAUUUUAAUAACCAUUUCCAAUAAAAAAAAAGAAAAAAAAAGUUAGACAAUUAUCAAAAUCUGAUUUUUAGGAUUUAAAAAAAAUCUACAAGCCAAAACUAUCUAUAAUUUUGAUCAUGUGAGAACACUUCUUUUUUAAUACUUUGAAUUAUUUUGUUUUUUUUUUCUUAGUAUCUGAAAGUAUAAAAGAAUUUCUCUUAUUAUAUUAUUAUAUUAUAUAUGUGCAUGUGUGUUCUCAUGGUUGUUUAUGUCAUGUGUUAUUAAAGAAUAAAGUGAAAUUUCCUUUGAGUGGAAGGUUUUAGUCCACGCUAGUGAGUGGACACAGUAUGAAUAGUUUGGGUGGGUUGUAUCUAUGGUAAAAAAAAUAAUAAAAGACACCUUUUGCAAGUCUCCAAGUUGGUUGAGAUACAUGGUAUCAUGUUGACUAAACCUUGACUUUUGCAAGUCUCCUAGUUUCCAACUUUUUUUUUCUUUUUUUUUUAAUAUUAAGGUGUGGGGCCAUGAACUCCUUUCUUUCCUUUUUAAAUAACAAAAAGGAAGACAAUUUUAUUGUGAGAAGGCUAUUGCUAUCAAUUGUGUUCACGUCGAGAUUUUUUUAAUUUAUGGAGGCCAUAUAUAUAUUUAUGUCUAAUUUAGGAUGGUAAUUUGGGUUUGUUUAAUCUAUUCCAUUUAAUCAUACUAUACAAUCAUUUUUUUAUUUGGAUUAUUUUUGUAUUAAAUUUCUUCAACCCAAAUUUUGUUGAAAAGUUACAAUGUAUUAUUAAAAAUAUGACUUGGUAGUUGAUUAUGGAUAUGUGUCAUUUUUAGUAAAAAAAAAAAUCUAUAACAUUUUAUAUUGAUAAUAUAUUAUUCUUGUAACAGGUUCGAAUAGUAAGCAAGUCAUUAUCAAAGAAGUUAUUGAAAGUGUAAGGGUAUGUUUAUUUAUUGCAUGCUCUUAUAUAGUAUCAAUUGUAAGGAAGAUAAAAUUACCUUGUAAAGGUAAUUAAAUCUUUCUAUAUUUUAAAAACUUUUUUCCUAUAUACUAUGCUUUUGAAGCUUGUUUAAUUAAACAUAUUAGUUAUUUGACAAACUUUUCACAAAUGUUUUGCAUGUAUACUUAUGUGUUCUAUUUUGUUCCAUAGUUUUAUUGCAUAAUACUAAUGUAUAUUUUUUCACAAACUUUUUACAACUAUUUUGUGUACUAAUGCAUAUUAAGUUUUGUUCUUGCCUAUAUAAGCUACAUUUAGUUAUUUAAAUAUAUCCAAUAUUAUGUUGAAGAAAGAUGUACUUACUUAACUUUUUUUAUUCUAAAUAUUAACAAGUUUUUCAGUUCUCUUGUCUCGAGAUUGAAUGUCAAAAGAUAGAAGGUCAGUUGAGUAUGAUGAAAGAGUUGAAAACUUUAUCAAUUUUGCAUUAGCACAUUCAAUCAACCAUUCCCCUAUAAAAUGCCCAUGCUUACGUUGUGCAAAUCUGUUAUGUCAAACUCUUCAAGUCAUUACAGAGCAUUUGUUCUUUAAUGGAAUAGAUCUCAGUUAUCGAGUAUGGUAUUGGCAUGGAGAAAAUGGACCCAGUGGAGGAUUUUCAAAUGUCUCACAACAACAUUAUGACAAAUGCAAGUAUAAUGAUGUUGUUGACACAAUAGAUAUGGUUAAUGCUGCACAAGUUAAUUGUAUGAAUGAUCCCUAAGUGUUUGGAAGGUUACUUGAAGACGCAGAAAAACCUUUAUAUCUUGGAUGCAUGAAAUACACAAAGUUGUCAGCAUUGGUAAAACUUUACGACUUAAAAGCACAUUAUGGUUGGUCUAACAAAGGAUUCUCAAAAUUGCUUCAGUUGCUUGGAGAUAUGUUGCCAUUGAAUAAUGAGAUGUCAUUGUCCAUGUAUGAAGCUAAAAAGACUUUCAGUGCACUUGGGGAUGAAUAUAAAAAAAUUCAUGCAUGUUCUAAUGAUUGUAUUUGGUAUAGAAACCAGUAUAAGGAUGCUAUUGCAUGCCUAACUUGUGGAAAGUCAAGGUGGAAGAUAAACAAUGAGGGGAAAAAGAUUAAGAAGGGGCUUCCUUCAAAGGUUUUGUGGUAUUUCCCACCAAUCCCUAGAUUCAAAAGGAUGUUCCAAUCCUCAAAAACCGCUAAACAUCUUAUGUGGCAUGCCAAGGAUAAAGAAUAUGAUGGUAAACUAUGCCACCCAUCAGACUCCUCAGCGUGGAAACUAGUUGACCAUAUGUGGCUUGAUUUUGCUUCUAAACCGAGAACCUUAGACUAGCACUCUCAACAGAUGGUACAAAUCUUCAUAAGUCUAUAAGCAAUAGACAUAGUUGUUGGACUGUUAUACUGAUCAUAUACAACCUUCCUCCUUGGUUGUGCAUGAAAAAGAAGUUUAUGAUGCUAUCAUUAGUGAUCUCAGGACCACGACAACCUAGUAAAAAUAUAGAUGUUUACUUGAGUCCAUUGGUAGAUGACCUUAAAACUUUGUGGGAAAAAAACGUUAAGACUUAUGAUGCACACUUGCUUGAGGUUUUUACUUUAAAGGUCAUCAUUUUAUGGACAAUCAAUUAUUUCCCUACAUAUGGAAACUUGGCCAAUUGCACCGUGAAAGGAUAUUAUGCAUGUCCAAUAUGUGGAGAAGGAACAUAUUCCCAAAGAUUAAAGUAUGGUAGGAAGAACUUGUAUAUGGGUCACCGAUGAUUUCUUCCACGUAACCAUCCCUAUUGGAGACAAAAAAAGGCAUUCAAUGGUGAACAAGAUUUUAGAAUUCCUCCUAAAAUUUUGAGUGGAGAAGAAAUACUUGAAAAAGUUGAUCUCAUUCCUAUUUCUUGGGGAAAAAUGAAGAUAAAAUCUCUUGAACUGAUGUGAACACAAAUUGUUGGAAAAAAAAGUCCAUAUUUUUUGAGUUAGAAUAUUGGAAAUAUCUUCAUAUCCUUCACAACUUGGCAGUUAUGCACAUUGAAAAGAAUGUUUGUGAGAGUAUUAUUGGUACUUUGUUUAACAUCCCAGGAAAAAAAAAAGAUGGACUUAAUGCUCAACUUGACCUAGUUGAAAUGGGUUUAAGGUCUGAACUUUUCCCAAGAGUUGACUUGAAGUGGACCUAUCUUCGUCCUGCAUGUUAUUCACUAUCCAAACAUAUAUGACAAAAAAUUAUUUUGUCAAACAUUGUCUAAUUUGAAGGUCCCUGAGGGGUAUUGCUCAAAUUUUAGAAAUCUUGUCUUCUUAGAGGAAUUGAAGUUAUUUGGUUUAAGAUCCCAUGACUACCAUGCACUUAUGCAACAACUAUUGCUAGUGGCAUUACGUUUUGUUUUGCUAAAGCAUGUGAAAUAUACUAUAUCAAGAUUGUGUAUCUUCUUCAAUCAAUUAUGUACAAAAAUGGUUGAUGUGCCAAAAUUGGAUGAAGUACACAAUGAGUUAGUGGUCACGUUGUGCUUACUUGAAAAGUAUUUUUCACCUUCAUUUUUUGAUAUUAUGCUUCAUCUAGUAGUGCAUUUGAUAAGGGAGGUGUGACUAUGUGGUUCAGUUUACUUUAGGUGGAUCUACCCAUUUGGGAGGUAUAUGAAAGUUCUUAAAGAAUUGUUCGCAAUCAUAAUUGGCCUGAAGGAUGCAUUACUAAGUGCUAUUUAGCAGAAAAAGCUAUCGUAUUUUGUACUGAAUAUUUAUUAGGGACUCAUGCAAUUGGAAUUCCAAAAGCAACAAUUAUGACAACAAAUUUGGUAGACCUAUAAUUGGUGGUCGUUCUACCAUCAUUGAUCGUAAAUCGUGGUUACAAGCACAUCAUUAUCUAUUAGAGAAUACAACUAUCGUCCAACCAUACACUGAGUAAGAAAAACAUACCUUUAUCUUUUUAUAAUUUCAUAACAUAAUGAUGAAAUCCUAAGUUUGCAUUCCUUGUCUUUAACGUCAUAGGGAACACAUGAAUUGGUUGAGGUCUCAAUACCCUCGAAAAUCUAAUAGACAAAUUUGGUUGCAAGAAGAACAUAUGAGUUGUUUUACAUAUUGGCUUAAAGAAAAGGUAAUCUCUUAGUUUUUAGAAAAUUUUUCAAUAUGUUGAAAACAUCACAAGUUUCCAAUAUGUUUUGAUUAUACAUAUGUUGAAGAGGCUAUCCAUAAUGGGCAAGAUAUUCCCGACACACUUAGGUGGUUAGCACAUGGCCCUACUCUCCAAGUAGUCAAAUAUCCUGGAUAUAUCGUUAAUAAGUGUCGUUACCAUAUUAAGAAACGCGAUAUGACAUGCAUCACCCAAAAUAGUGGUGUUAGCAUUUUAGCAAGGACUAUGCAAAUUGCCAGUUCUAAGGAUAAGAACCUAGUUUGUGGUGAACUUUGCUUUUAUGGGGUCAUUAAUGAGAUAUGAAAUCUUGAUUACAACAUGUUCACAAUUCUAAUUUUCAAGUGUGAUUAGGUUGACAACAAGAAUAGUAUAAAAGUUGAUGAACUCAGGUUCACAUUAGUUGACUUCUCCAAAAUAGGUCACAAAUUGGAUCCAUUUAUUUUAGCAUCACAAGCCAAGCAAAUCUUCUAUGUUGAAGAUCAACUUGAUCCUAAAUGGUCAAUAGUUCUCUCAAUUCCUCCAAAAGAUUUCAAGAACAUAGAAGGACUAGAUGACUUCACCGAUAAUUGCAUGGAACAUCACCCCUUUAUAAGUUCAAUGCCAGAAUUUGAAUCAUUUGAUGCUAUGGAUGAAUCAUAGGCAAUACACAUGAGAGAAAACUGUGAGGGCAUAUGGAUUGAAAAUAAUUAAAUAACAUAUUGUACCCUUGAAUGAGAUAUAAUAAGGCAUUUCACUUAUUAGUUUUCAUGAGUUGCACAUUAACUUAGCUUCUAUAUAUUGCUCAUGAUAUAUCUAUAUAUAUUAAUCAUCCUAAAUUUCUUUCAUGCAUCAUAAACAUAUGUUAUUCAAAGGUACCACUUCAAUCUUCAUUCAACUAUCUUUUUGUUGUCCAUAGAACUAGAUUUAUAUUAUUUUUUAUUAUCAUGUUUUGAUUUUAUGCUCACAUAACUUGAAACUCUCUUUCGUAAAUUUCUUUUUCAUUAAAACUAUAAAUCAUAAUUGAAACUAUGCACUAAUUUAUUUUAUUAUUAUCCUCACAAAUAAAUUCUUCAUUAUUGAUAAGAAAUCAAAAAACAAGACAAACUUUGAAAGAAAAUUUCAAAAAAUAUAUUUGUGAAUGACCAAUUUAAUUAUAGAAAAUAUAUGCAAGGCUAUACUAAUCUUGCUUUUGAGUCAUUUUACAGGUUUGUUGGUGAAGUACUAGUUUGCACAUUGACUUGAUAUCUUCCACACAAAUAUGGAUCUAGAAGAAGGGGAAAUGCCAAAAAUAAAGCAUAGAGGUAGUGCAUUGAAACCAAAGAUUGCAAAAAAUCGAAGUAAAGGGAUAAAACUCAAGAUUGAAUACAAUAGCCUUGGUAGUCACAUUGAGGAAAAUUCAGUUAAACUAAGUAGUUAUCUUAGUACAAUAACAAAAACCCAUGUGCCAAUAAUUAUUGAGAGUUGGAGGAAAGUCCCUAAAGAGACUAAGGAGAAGUUGUGGGAUUUGAUCACGGUAAGCCUAUCUAUAGCUUUAAUAUAUAAUUAUUGUAUACAUUCAUUAACAUGAGCUAACAUGGGUUGCUAUUUUGUAGACAAGCUUUAAUGUGAAUAAAAAAUCCAAGAGGAAUUGUUUCAUACUAAUGGGCAUCAGGUUUCGAACCUUUAAGUACAAGUUGACAAAGAAAUAUAUAUUGUCUUUCAAGAAUGACCAAAAAAGCUGAAAAAGUCACCUCCUAUUUGCCCAUUCAUACAAGAGGAUCAUUGGAGACAGUUUGUUAAAGAUAGACUUUUUGAACAUUUUAACGUUAAGCAUUAUUUUUAUUACAUCUUCAAUUUUCACAUUUACGUAGUUUCAUUAUGUACUAAUUUUGUGUCUAUAUUUUGUAGGAAUAUCGCAAAGUUCAGAAAUCAAGAAGAGAUAAACACAUUUACAAUCAUUAUCUUGGAAGAAAAUGAUAUGCACGUUUUGAGCAAGAUAUAGUAAGUUAUCAAUAUCCAUAAAAAAAAAUGGAGUAUAUAUUUUGUUUAUAGGAAAAUGAUUCUAGUUUUUAAAUAUCAUUUAUUAACUUGAUCAUGUUGAACUAAUGAGUUUUAUUGUUAAAAUUUUUAUAGCUACAAGCAGAAGGGGCUAUUGGUAGGGUUGAUAGAAGUGUUUAUGAAAGAAAACACGUGAGAAGAAAGGAAAGUUUAAUAAGAUUACAAAGCCAAUGAUUAACUAAGUUAGCAUAUUUAUGCCUUUUAGAGCCUAUAGUGUUAGUAUGUCUAUGUGAUUAUGGUUUGGGAUGAUAUCGUUAGGUGUUAAUAGGGAAGAGGCUUAAUGCUAUCAUUUUUAUGAGUAGUCAUGUUAUAUUAGUGCAAAUAUAGUAGCCUAAUUUGAAAAUUAAUUUUGAAACAAUAUACAUUAAUUUAUCUAUUAUCAUUUUUAUUAAAACAAUUCAUUUUCUAGCUACCUUGAAUUGGUCCUCUUGAAUUGGUUGUCUUUGAUUGAUAUGUUAAUCAUCAUCUUCAUCAAAUUAUUACUAAUAUAUGUUUUGUUGUAGGAUGAAUUACUAGAAAAGGCAAGGAGACUAGACUACCUCCACCUGGUCCAAAUGACAUAUUAUGUUAGGCAUUGGGUAAGCUUGAUCAUCUAGGACGUGUGGUAGGUCAAGACCGCUUGGUUAGGCCGAACUCAUACUUUCAUCAACCAUUUGAUGACAUGAAAAAAAAAAUCAAAGAAGAAAUAUGGGAAAUGGUGUGAAAGGGGAUGCAAGAUGCUGUAACAAGACAAACUAUGUCUCCUCCCACACCCCAUUCUGAUAUAGGUAGUAAUAACAUGAGACAACAACUUGUUUUACAACUAGUUGUAGCAAAAAAACCAAUGUUUAAAAUGAUGGAAGAGCCCCAACCACCAUAACCACCACUGAAACGUAAGGUAUACAUUUACUUACUAAUAAUACAAGAUUAAUAUAAGUGAUAUAUAGCCUAUGUAAAUGAUAUUAUUUGUUGUAUUAAAGGUGAUUAAAUAUAAAUUAGCAGUGGAAUGAAAAUGAAAUGUUGUUGCAACCGGUACAUUAAUAGAAGAAAAUUGAUCAAAUGGGUUGGUCGUAAUAAAUGUUGCACACAAGCUAGAUGCUAGACUCCCAUUUCCAAAUCCAUAUGAGAUUAUCAAUGUUGGGGAUGCUAUUGGCCUUAAGCUUGACUGGCCAACAAGCCUUGUCAUACUUGAAACUAAACAUCCUCGGGUAUGUCAUUUUAUACUUGUAGUAAAUUUGAUUGUAACUUGGUAUUUUAUUGUUAGGAGUAUAUAUUACUAACAUUCCUUCAUUUUUCAUAGGUGUUGGAUAAAGGAAAGAAGUAGAUAGUGAAUGCACCAAUUAUUCGAAAAUCUAAGCCUCAAAAUUAUUCGGUCAUUAAAAAUUUCCAGAAAUUUAUGGAUGGUUGUCUUAGUAAUGAGAAGACAUACCCAAUACAGCUCCCCAUUUCACUAUUUGGUGUCGAAUUCCGAACAUAUAUAUCUAGAGAGGAUUGUGAAUACAUUAUUUCAUCUUCAGAAGUGUCAUCAAAAUGCAUCUCCUUCCAUUUAUGGUGUGCACCUUUUAUUUUCAUUUGUUUUUAUUUUUUUUAAUAUGAGUUGCCCAUGUUGAACAAGAUUGGAUAUGACUAAUGAUAAUUUUCUUUUGGUGUUUUGAUAAUAUAAUAGGUACAUGCAUGAUCAACUACAUAUUGCCAAAAAGGAAUCACAAUUUAUAUUUGUUAAUCCUUUUACAAUAUCAUGAGCAGGCUUUAGUAAUCCUCAAACAGAGAAAAGAACACAAUUGUUGUCAAAACACUUAAUAGAGUGCCAAGAUGUCGGAUAUGUUUUCAUGCCCUACAACCUCGAGUAAGUGACGAAUAUUAUACUUUAAUUUGAGGUUUUAUGAUUGAUUUAUAUUUCUAAUUAGAUGCUACUUUUGUUUUUAAUGUUUUAGCUUUCAUUGGGUCUUGGUAGUGAUUGAGCCAAGGAAAAUGAUAGUCCACUAUCUUGACCCUGUGCAUCACAAACCAUGUGAGGACUUAAAGGAUAUCGUAAACAUGUAAGUUCUUCCUAUUAUUUUUCAUAGUAUUAUUUAAAAAAAAAUUACAUUCACCUCAAACACAUUUUUUAUUGUUAUUUCUAUAUAUUAAAGAGAUAAUUUUUUAUCCUACAAUGAUUGCUUCAAAGGUAUUACUUAUUUAAUGAAUUGUACAUAUUUUUAGGCUUUCAAAUGUUAUGCAUUUUAAUGUUAUUUUCUUAUUUGAUUUCAGUUUGGUGAUAAAAAAACAUAUUCUCAAGUAGAAUUCAAUGAAAUUAGAGGAGAAUUGACUACUUUUGUGCUACAACUAAUCAUGAAUCAUGUUGAUGCAUCAUGAUCACCAUGCAUGGUGAGUUCCUUAGCUACUACAUGAAUUUUUCCAUAGAUAUUGUAUAGUAUUGCUUUUCUUUGAACAAUGUUUUUAUUUGAAAAAAAGAAAAAAAAAAGUUCUUAGAUUUGUUCAUUUAUGAUAACAUCGAUCCAUAUUUAUUUUCUUCAAUGAAAUAUAUAAAACUCAUUAAACUAUGAAAUGCAGGUAUACACUCUUAGGAGGGUGGAAUAGAGAAUAAAAAGAACAAAGAAGGCAACAAGAUUUUAGGUUUUUAAAUACAGCUCGUAUGUCAUACGUUGUAGGACAUAAACAUUACUUUAAUUGGUAGUGAGAAUUUUAGAUUUUUAGAUGCUACUUUUAUGUCAUUUUAUAGUUAGUCGAUUUUAUGCUUAUGAAAUGAAGGUAUACAUGAAUCUUGGGAUGCUUCACAUUUCUAAAUCAUGUUUUGGUAUGUAUUCCCUCUUCUUUUUUAGUUUUGGUGGGUUUGAUAUGUUGGAUGUACUAUCUUUUUGUGAACAUUUGAUAUACAAAUAUUAUUAGAUGAUCAAUGUAUUACGAGUUAUUCCAUAAGCAUUACCGAAAAAUGAGUUAAAUGUAAUAUGAUUGUUAUAUUUAUGGAAAAAAUAUACACAGGUUAAUCCUAUUUGUUAAUUCAUAAGCAUUACAAAAAUCUACAACUAAAAGCAAUCAUAUCUUCCACGAUAAUUUACAAUGAUGUGACACCAUAACUCAAAGGUGAUGCAUUUAAUGUGACAUCAUAACUCAAAGAUCAUGCAUUUAAUGCGAUAUCCUAUCAUCACUAGAAAUAUAUGAUGUCACUUUCGAAUGCGUCACCAUUUAUCUACUUUGGUGUCACUUACAAAUACGUCACCAAUUGGUACCCUCUAUGGUGUCAGUGGAGAAGGUGACACUAUGUUGUAGUGACACCCUAUGUUUAUGGUGACUCGUUAUAAAUGUCACCAUAUAUUUUUUUUCUUGUAGUGCAAAUUACUUAUCUUACUAUGCAUUGGGCUUUGAUAUUAGCCAGAGACAGUAGUGGCUCCUAAUUUUUAUCCUUAACUGAAAUGAAAACGUCAAGCAGGUCCCCAACCUCUUUUUCUCCAUUCUUCCACUAUUAUACUAUUUGGUCCAUGAUUGGAUCAUGGUACUUGUUAAUGGUGUUCAUAGCCUCCCUUAUAGUCUUUUCAUGGCCAUCUAAAUUUAGCACUCUCUGCCAUGGGAAGUAAUCAGAUAAAGAGAAUACAUAUAGAUGAGCAAGUAUAGUAAAGAAGGAUUCAACAUGUUGCUCCACUUCAACUCCAGGGCCUCCAUCUUUCUUUCGUUGGCCAAAGUAUCUUGUGUUGAGGAUCAUCUUUCAGAUGACAUUCCCGUUGUAUUGACGGACUUUAUUUCUGUCACACCCCAAAUACUAGGCAACCCAGAACUUGACUCGUGGCCCUAGGUCAAAGGUUUGACCCUAAGAGUUACUCUUAUCCAUGUUGGCAAUCAAUCAAAACACCCUAGAUUUUUUUUCUUUUCAAUAAAGCGUUUAAUCCUAAAUAAAUUUAUUAAGCUAAGAUUUACUAUAACAUAUCAUUUUAUUUUUCCAAAACUAACCAUCACAUUAUCUCAUGUUCACAAGUAUUAAAAAAAUAAAAUUCCACCAAUCAUUUUCCUACCCAAAAGCUCAAAUAUUUACAAUAAACUCUAAGUCAAAAAGAAUAUUUCCAAAAUUUUUUUACAAACUAAUAAAAUAUAAUUUAACUUAAAAAAGUCCAUAUAACUCAAAUUAGUAGAUGUCAAAAAGGUAAUUAAAAAAAAACAACAACCAUUAUUAUAGUUUUUUUGCUUUUUAGAACACUUCAUGAUCUUCUUAUGGUCCCUUAGAAACUAUAUCUGCAUCUAAAAAUUUUAGAAAAAAAAGGGAUGCACAUUUCCACGUUACUCUUUAGACCUAAAUGGGUUAGAAAUUCUAGGUCAAUAAAACACAACCAUAUGCCAAAAUAUAAUAUUACAUUUACAUUAUACACACUAAAAGAAACCUCAACCAUACAAAUUUAAAUCAAUCAAAAUUAUCAUUCUCCUGAUUUAAUCAUAUGUUUAGCAUAUCAAUAAUUUUAAAUUUACAAAAUAAAUAAGUCACUUUAGUCUUGAAUAAUAUAUUCAAACAUACACUUGAUAAAUAAUACAAAUCAUUUUUCCAAAUGCAACCAUGAUACAAAUGCUUACACACAAUCACGCAAUGCAAUAUCGUUCUCGGGCUUUCACCGAAGGAUAUGCAUUUAUACCCAAAUAGACUCCCCAUUCGGAUUCUUCCUGGGAUAAAAUUUUGAGUCUUUCACCCUAAGGAUCUCACUCCCUUCUUAACUCACCAUCUCUAGGGUCUUUCAAUUUCUUAUUUUUCUUUUCUUUUCAUUUUUGCCAUUUUUUGGGUCUUUUCAUUCUCAUUUCCAUUUCACACAACCAUUUCUUUAAUUUUUCUUUUUCUUCACACAAUCAUGAUGCAUAUGAAAUGCAACUGAAUCAUAUUUUAACAUCCAUAAUUUUCCAAGACAUAAUUUUAUUUACUCCCAUUAUGUUUCAUAAUUUCCAAUAAUCCACACAACGAUUUUUCUUCACUUUAAUUGUCACAAACAUAAAAGAAAAUUCACAAUUAAUUUGUAUAGCAUCAAAACAUAGUUUUAAACAUUGACCACAUAAAUUCUAUUUAUUCCCGACAUGCUUAAUAAUUUCCAAAUCCAAUAUAACCAUUUUUUUUCAAUUAAAUAAUCACACAUAUCCAAGAAAAUUCUCGCUAAUACAAAUAUCAAUGAAAAUGUAAUUUAUGUCAUAAUUUAUUUGUCUCUAAUAAUUUCAAAAAUUUUGACACCCAUAUGAAAAAUUUCCACAAUUAAGCCACCCCAACAUUUGGGAAAAUUUUUCUAAUCAUUCAAAUAUCAACAAAAACCCAAUUUAUAUCAUCAUUUUUAUUUAUUUUUAAAAGCAUUAAUAAUUUUAAUAAUCAAUACAACACUUUUCCACAAUUAAGCCACCACAACAUUCUGGGAAAAUUUUCCAAUAAUUCAAAUAUUAACAAAACACAAUUAUACCUUAAUUUUUCUUAUCUCCAACAACAUCAAUAAUUCUUAGUACUCAAUACAACUAUUUUUAUUUUUUCAUAUUUAAUCUUCUCAAACAUUACCAAAAUUCCAAGAAAAAUCUAUAAAUCACGAAAUAAAAGUAUUCACAAUAAUAAUCACACUUCAAAUACUACAAAUAACAUCUAUUAUAUUUCAACAACACAAUAUAUAAAUUUUUUUGAAAGAAAAUAUUAAAUCAAAGUUUUAGGGUUAAAUCACCCUACCUUAAAUUUGAAAAAUUUAACCAUUAAAACUAAAACGGGACACCGUAGGAGUAUUCCUCGCAUUGAAUAGAAUAUCCUUCCAAAAUUUCAUGCGAAAUGGACGUCAUUUGGUAGGUCCAUCAACAUCCUAAAGCUAGCGACCCAUUUUUCCCACUCUUUGCCGACGACUCCCCUACAUCUCUCACUCGAUUUCCUUUCUUCAUUUUCUUUUCUUCUUCUUCUUUUAAACUCCCACGCCAAUUUCACUUUAUAUAUAUAUAUGUAUAUAUAUAUAUAUAUAUAUAUAUAUAUAUAUAUAUAUAUAUAUAUAUAUAUAUAUAUAUAUAUAUAUAUAUAUAUAUAUAUAUAUGUAUGUAUGUAUUAUUAAAACAAAUCCUAAAAUACCACGCACAUCCAUUUCUCAAUAAAUUAAAACCAUUAUUCUUAAAUUCACCUUCCAUAAUUAUGAAUUAUACCAAACUUAUGAUUUUCCAUUUCACGAAAAAUACCACUGUAUUCGUAAUUUAAUUUACUACAAGUCUACUCUUCAAAAAGUAUAAUUUGAUUAUAAUUACAUGAAACAUUGUUUUUUUACUCUAAAAUUCAUUCAAAACAUGAUAUAAUUAACUAUUAACAAAAUUCAAUUCCAUAAAAUAUGAAAAACAUAAAAUAAUUUUUUGGCAAUCAAGAAGUUGAAAUUUGUAAUAACCCUUAACCUGUUAAUUUUACCUAUAUUUAUUUACCAACAAAAAUUUAAAUAAUAUUCUAAAAUUUAAUUCCAUAAAUUAAUUAGUCAUUAAAUUUAUAAAAAUCAAAUUCUCUACCCUUUGGUAUAACUUUCAUUUAAUUUACUUCAUUUUUCAAAUUAUUCAAUCGCAUCAAAAUUUCAAAAGUUAAAUUCACUAAAUUCACAUUUAAUUAAUUUAUCCUUUUCUAUUUUUUUUUUCUAAAUUCGCAUAUCAUAAUUUAAUCUUAAUUUAAUUUUGAUUCAAUUUUGUUUUAUGUUUUCUAAUUUUAUGAGGUUUAAUUUCAAUUAUAAAAAUUAAAUUAAAUUUCUUUUUAAUUAUCCAUUAUCACAAUUUGAUAUAAUAUAAUUUUUUAUCAAGUUUUUCUUACUACGAUUUUUCUUAUAAUUAUCCAAUAAUAAUUAAAUUAAUUCUCGUAACAUAUUUAAUAUUCAAAUUUUAAAAACUUAAUCUCAAUUAUUGGAUGGUUAAUUUUUUUCUCAAAAUCUAAAUUUAAUUUAUGAAAUUCUCACUUCUUACAUCUGACGUGGCAAAAUUUUCAAACUAUUGACUUUUGACCAACUUUUCCUAAAUUUAUCCUAAUUAAAUACUAACACAUGGAUUUUCACCACUCUUUUUGACCUUUUGACCCACAAAUUUAUGAAAGACUUUAUGCUUGGAGAAUCUACAAAAACCUGGGUAUUACAAUUUCUCAGGUUGAUAACUGUCGUGGUUACGAAGCCACCACUUGAAUACUCAAUUGCCAUUGUAAUGGGCCUGGAUGCAAAUAGUACAUCAUGUUUCUUCAAAAGUUCUCUGCUAAUCUCUGGGAAAGUCGUAGGGACGAGAUGAAAUAUUUCCCAAUUGAAUACAUGCAAUUUCAGUGUUCAUUUCUUUCAUAAAGCCAAUGUAUCCACCAGAAAGUUGGCUUUUUGUUGAGUAAAUGAGGUAGAUAUUGCACUAGUGGCCCUGGAGCUAAUCCUGGAGGAAGUUGUAUCGGUUUGCUUUUGGUACUUGUUUUGGAUUUUAAUUUAGUGAAGAUGAGAAAGAUUAAUGUGAUAAAAAGCAGUAAGAGGAAGUUGAGAUGAGACAACACAUCGUCUGUGGUAGUAGAAGAAAACAAGGUUGAGUUACUGCUAUUACUCCCUGCAACAAAACCAUUUACAUGUCUUUUAUAGCAAAACCAUGUUUGUCCUAUCUUGGGUCUGGAUGCACAUUUUUAAUAUUGGGGAAAUCAUGCAACCAAAUGUCACACACAAAGAGAGAGAAAAAAAUACGUUUUUUAGAACUUGGAAAGGUAAAGUGGGACAAAAAAUAUUAUCCAUUCUUGAACUCUAAAAGUAAAGUUAUAAAAAGCUUAGUUUUUUUUUUUUUUUGUUAUGUAUGAUUGCAUGAUUUCCCCCUUUUAAGAUUUUAUCUCAUAAAAUUUUUUUCUAGAAAGUUCAAAUAAGUUUGAUGAAUAUUGUUUAUUUUAGUAAUUUUAAUUUUAUGGGGUACUUAAAACAUUAGAAGUUCACAAAAAGCAACAUUUAUCAGCUACCUAUCUAAAAAGCUUGGCCUAAUCAUUGAAAUCCAAAAUAUAAAGUGACAACACACUUUUUAAAGCAAUUUUCAAAAUAGUUUUUAAAAACACAUUUAUUUAUGAUAUUUUUAAAAUAAAAAUCUCAAAAAUAACUUGUUUAUAUAGCGUUUUAUUAGACAAAUACUUGAUCUUUAUAAGAUCACCCUAAUUAUAGAUUUAUGAACAUGUAACACAACAAUUAUCUAUAUAUAUACUUAGAAUUAUUAUAUUUUAAGUUUUUAACUACAUAGGACAUCAUGAGUUUUUCCACCAUUUAUCUUAUAAUAAGUUUAUUUAAAUAUGAUAAAGGAUAUAUUAUCUCAUUUCUUAUUAUAUCCGAUGCUAUAUAUAUAUAUAUAUAUGUAUGUAACAAAUCAAAUACAAUUUAAAGAUUUUAAUUAACCAUCUAUUAGCAACAAAGCAAUCUCUUAAUCUCAUUCAUAAUAUUAGGAUAAUUUAGUAUUUCCUUUUAUAAAACACUAGCAUAUAAAUCAACACAAAUCAUAUUAAGGGUGUAUUUGGUGUUGAUUUUAGGAAGCAUUUUUAGUAUUUCUAAUACUUGAAAGAUAAAAAUUUUCAAGUUUUAGAAAGAUCAAAAGCGCUUUUUAGAAUGACUAUCAAAUACAUGCUAAAUAUUACUUUUGGAUACUUAUAUUUUUAAAUAACUCUUAAAACUUUUAAGGCAAGUCUCUACUAUUUAUAUAAAUCCCCUAUUAUUUUUAAUUUUUAGAAACAAAAAAUAAAGAAUAGAAACUCCAUUUAAACAUCACCUUAUUAUUUCCUAUUAUAAAAUAACACAAAUCAAAUGAAUUAUUUAAAAAUAAAUAAAUAAAAAAUCAAAGUUGAAGAGAAAAAACUCUUGUGCAUUAAAAAAACAUCAAAAUAAAUAAAUAAAUAAAACAUCAUCAAAUAAAUGUAAAAAUAAAUUAAUGUUAUGGAAAAAUGAGAAUAGGCAACAAGAAAAUAAGAACACAGAUUUACAUGAAAAAUGCUAGACGGGAAAAACCAUGGAUAGAGGAGAAGAAAAUCCACUAUAUUAAAAAUUUGGUAUAAAAUGUGAGAGAAUCAAGCGAGUAUUGUAUAGGCAUAAUCACUAUGACCCUAAAUCCUAUACAUCAUUGCAUAUGUAUGGUGUAUGCGAUAAUAAAAAUAUUGUCACAUAAAAUAACUAUGGGAUGUAAUAUUUGUAAUAAUAUUUUUUACAAAAAAAUAUUUUUUCUUUGCUUUAUUCACUUUGAUCACAACUUGAAAUAAGACAAUAAAAAUAUUUUCUUAAUUUUUGAAAAUUAAUUGAGGACUUAGAGCUACUUGUUACUGAGUGAAUUUGCUGAAUGGUGAAGAAUGCGUGUAUAGUAGUUUUGCAAUUUUUCAAACUUAUAGACAUAUUUUGUGAAGUCUUUUUCUCUUUGUAAAGCCCCAUUUUCUAUGUGAAGUUAUUUUUUCAAUAUUCUCUUUGGAAGGAAUUUACCAUUAGUUAUAUAGGUAAGAUUAAGGAAUUAAAUUUGGAAUUCUUAACAUUUGAUUGCUUAAUUCAAAGAAUUUGGUUCAAGGGAAAUUUGCCAACAAAAUAAUAUUUAUUUUUAAUUCUAUGAUGACUUUAAUUAUUUGAUAUAAUUUUAUUUUGAAAGACUUGAUGUGGGGGACUCAUCACUUAUUGAGUCCAAAUUUUGUUGCACCCAAAUUUUUAUGAGCUAAGAAACCAUAAUUUUAAAGACCAAUUCAGUGGUAAGUGAAUCUGCUAAAAUCUUCUAUGUACAAAUGACCUCACUUCAAGGUGCAACACAUACAUGUAUUAUUAUGUGUAUGGGAUGAGUCUUGAAGUUAGUCUUCAUUCUUCUUUGAUUUUUUUCUUCAAAUAAAUAAAUAAAACAUCAUCAAAUAAAUGUAAAAAUAAAAUAUGUAUCGGUUAAUUGGAGAGGAGAGCUUUAAGGGCAUUUCUUCUAUGAAAUUCUAUGCUCCACGUACCAUAAAUUUGUACUCAACCAACAAAAUUACAGAAUGGGUCCAUGCACAAACAAAAUAACCCAAAUGUAAAUAUCUAAAAAUGUAUAAAGUUCACAAUAGAUAUUCAAGCCCAAAUUUAAAUUUCAAAUUAGUCCAACAGAUUUCAUCAAUCAAAAUGGGUCCAAAUUAGCAAAUAUAACCCAACAAAAAUAUCUCAUAUGUCAUAGGCCCUAAUUUAAAAUUUUCAAAUUAAUAGCCAAAAUAUAAGUUCAAUUAAUCAAACCCAAAACAUGAUAAAUUAAAAUAAAUCUCAUUAGGCCUAAACUUAAUAUCCUAUAAUUCAAGCCUAAUUUAAUAUAUAAACCUAAAUCCACAAUCAAAAUCAACCCAAUUUAUGCUAAUCCCGAUUUACAAUCAAAAUCAAACAUAAUUUAAUAAGUAAAUAACUAAAUAAAUUAAGCAAACUCAAAACACCCAAACCACUACAACAUAAAUCAAACAAUAAUAAAUAUAAUGACAAUAAUAAUAAUAAAAAAUAAAAUAAAAUAAAAUAAAAUAAAAAUAAAAAAUUUAACUCAUGUCGGAGCCAGUUUGAAUGUCUUGGGAAAGAAAGAAAAUGAGAGAAAAGUGAGAGAUGAUUGACAACUGACAGUGGCUCAUUGGCGGCGACUGGCUAGUGGUCCUACCGAUGGUAGUGAGGAUUGAUUGGUUUUUGGGAAAAAAAAUAAAAUGAAGAAAAGAAAAUGAGGAGUAAUAAAAAAAAUGGAGAAAUGAGAGGAAGGUGGGAGAAGAAUGGAGAGAGAGAACGUAGAAAAUGAGUGAAAAGAAAUGAGGCUAGUUGGAGGAGGAAGUGAUAGUGUGUGAGCUAAAGUGAAGAAGAAUAGAAGAAGAAAAUGGAGAAGAAUGGGGAAAAAAAAAUCCGCCUCCCUAAAUGAAGAGAGGUGGGUAGCCUAAAGAAGAAGAAAAAAUAAAAUAAAAUAAAAUGGGGAGAAAAUGAGAGGGGGUCAGUGGUCUUGCGAAUGAGGUGGUAUGCGUUAGAGAGAGAGAGUGGGUGGGGUUGUUGGGGAAGGUAUGAGAGAGAGAGGAGAGAGAAAAGAAAAAAGAUAAUAUAAAAUAAUAAUAAUAAUAAUAAUAAUAAUAAUAAUAAUAAUAAUAAUAAAAUAAUAUACAAAAUAAUAAAAACUAAUAAUUAAAUAGUGAGUGGGCAAAAAAUAUCAUAUGAAAUCGGGAUUUAAUUUUAAGAGUAAAAUUGGGUUAAAAAUUAAUGUAAAAUAAAAUUGGGACAAAUUUUGGGGUAUACAAUAAUGCGCGCCUCUUCGAUAGAGUCCACGACUAAAGCAAGUGUAUAUGUGAGCAAAACAAAGUGGGCUCUACUGAAAAACAAGAAAGACCACCAAAUUUGUCUUAAUAUGACAUGAACUCUCCCAAAAAAAAAAAAAAAAAAAAAAAUCUAAAACCCUACAAAAAUGGCUAAAACGGAAAUUCCUAAGGUGCCUCUAAAGUUAUACUAUGGAUCUAGACUCCCUUAGAAAAGCCUCCAAAAAUGGCCCAAAAAUCGGUGUCAAAAUCGAGUAGCAAUCAGACCACUAAGGAGCACAUGAACGAAUGCAUACAAAGGGAAAAAAAACCAUACGUGUACCAUACGAUGACAAAAGGCAUAAGGUAUCCAACAAUAUGACUGAUUCACGUGUUACGAGCUCAAAAAACUUUGUCAUGCACCAUGGAGGAAGGGAAACUCUAGAAUAAUGUGAUGAGGAAGUUAUUAGCACAAUGUAACAGAGUGAGGAAAAAAGUGAUGAGUGCAAAGCUGUGAGGACAAGGUGCACAAUGCUAAUGAAUAUGAAAUGAAUAGCACUAGGCUACAAUGCAAUCAAUAGCUCAGGGUUGUACCAUAAUGAACAAGUCAAGGAUGUGUAAAGAUGAGGAACAACUCAAGGUUGUAAUGCAAUGAACAACUUAGGGCUGUGAAUGCAAUGAACAACUCAGCGCAAUGAAUGAAAUGAAUAGCUCAGGGCUGUGAAUGCAAUGAACAACUCGAGGUUGUGGAUGUAAUGAACAACUCAGGGUUGUGGAUGUCAUGAACAACUCAAGAAUAGGGGCACUGUACACCCAAAAUGGGAGAUCACGGCCUACGAUUCCAAGUCAAACCACUAAAGGGUGACCAAAAUGAGGGUGAUCAACUCACUAAAAAAGAUGAUAAAAAUGUCUUAAGGGAGAGGAGAUGCCCCAUAUGAAACUUAAAGGAAAUGAGUAGUGCUAAUGAAACUAAAAAAAGAAAAAAUGUCACAACUGAAAUUGAAAAAAUAGCAAACUUAGAUUAAAGUGCAAUGAACAACUUUGGGCUGUGGAUGCGAUGAAUAGUACCGUGUUGUAAUGAAAUGAAUAACUCUAAGAUAUGGGCAUUGUACGCCUAAAGAGGGAGAUCGUGGUUUACGACUCCAAGUCAAACCACUAAAGGACAACUAAAAUAAGAUGAUCAACUUACUAUAAAUGAGAAUGCAACUAUCUCGAGAAAAAGGGUAUGCCCCAAAUGACACUCAACAGUAAAAGAAUGACACAAAUGAAACUAAAACAAGAGGAUGCCACAAAUGAAAUUGAAAUGAUAACAGACUCAGUACUAAUGUGUAAUGAACAACUUUGGACUAUGGAUGCAAUGAAUAGCACUGGGUUGUAAUGAAAUGAACAACUCUAAGAUGUGGGCACUAUACCCCUAAGAAAUGAGAUCAUAGUUUACGACUCUAAGUCAAACCGCUAAAGGGCGACUAGAAUAGGAUAAUCAACUCACUAAAAAUGAGGAUGCAACUAUCUCGAGAAAGGGGGUAUGCCCUAAAUGACACUCAACAGUAUAAGAAUGACAUAAAUGAAACUAAAAUAAGAGGAUGCCACAAAUAAAACUAAAAUGAUAACAAAUUCAAAACUAAUGUGCAAUGAAUAACUCUAGGUUGUGGAUGUAAUGAACAACACUGGGCUGUAAUGAAAUGAACAACUCUAAGAUGUGGGCACUAUACGCCUAAAGAGGGAAAUCACGGUCAACGACUCCAAGUCAAACCACUAAAGGGCGAUUAGAAUAGGAUGAUCAACUCACUAAAAAUGAGAAUGCAACUAUCUCGAGAAAAGCGGGAUGCCCUAAAUGACACUCAAUAGUUAAAGAAUGACACAAAUGAAACUAAAAUGAAAUGAUACUACAAAUGAAACUGAAAUGAUAACAAACUGAUAACUAAAGUGCAAUGAACAACUCUAGGCCGUGGAUGUAAUGGACAGCUCAAGAAUAGGGGAACUGUUCGCCCAAAAUGGGAGAUCGUGGUCUACGACUCUAAGUCAAACCACUAAAGGGUGGCUAAAAUCAAAAUGAUCAACUCACUAAAAAUAAGGAUCUGAACAUCUCAAGAAAGGGGUUAUGCCCCAAAUGAAACUGACAAUAGAGGGAUGCCCUAAACAGACUGAAGAAAGGAGGAUGCCCUAAACAAACUAACGAAAAAUGGAUGCCCUAAACAAACUGAAGGAAGUGAAAUGCCCUAAAUAAACUGACCAAAGAAGAAUGCACUAAACAAACUCCGAGAAAAAAAAAAAGAAGUAUGCGAUAUAGAAUAAAAAACACCUAAAGCAAAAACAAGAAACAAAGAAUGUGGUUUACAACUAGAAACACCCAAAAGAACCUUAAAGAAGUGACUGGGAUAAUGAACUUAAUGAAAAUAGGGUAUGCCACAAUAAAAGACUCGGAAGUAUCAGCAAAUGGGUCAAAUGACCAUGAAAUCAAUAGGAGAUAUGAUGAACCCAAAAAGGGCGUAUGCCCCAACAAAAGAACACUAAAAGGGGGGUAUGCCCCGAUAUGACGACUCACAAUAAUUAAGAAAUGGAUCGAGUAAUGAGAAAAUCUGCAAAAUAUCUUAUGAACUCAAAGAUGGGGGUAUGCCCCAGUGUAAAAUAGUGACCAACAUAAGACACAGAAUGUCACCAUACAAUACACUCUGGGAUAUGCUCAAUGACAAUGUAAUGAAAACAAUAGCCUCAAUCAACAAAUGUUCAAGCAAGACCAUGCAUCACAUAAACUAAAAUAAUAGGCUAAAGAAAUGCUAACCAAGUUUCUCAAUCUGAAAUGUAAGCAAGUCAAGACAUGACAUGUCAACCAUCGACAUGAAAACAUCAUCACAAAUACAUCAACAAACUAAUAGUCCCUACUAUCAUGGAAAAUGUAGAACCUAACGUCCAAAGGCAUGUGAAAACUCAACCAGAAAGCUCAAGACUAGUUUGCAUCCUCCUCUAAUAAAAAGAAUGAGAUAAGGUCAUGUAGGAUGAUGAAAUAGGCAAGCUCAAUAUUCGUUAGGCUCUACCAAGAUGGAUGUAGGUAUAAUAGUGUCAAAGGUAGGAUGUCUAGAUGUCCAACGAAGGAAACUGGGUAUCCAAGUCAAACCAAGUAUGUUGAGGAAACUGAACCCAUAGGAUAAUAACUUUAUGAUCCAUUGAAAAUAGCAAUCAUGAAUAGAAGGUCGAGUCUCGAUGUCAAAAUCAACAAGGUGGCAUUGCCCCAGUAUGAAUACAUCUUCUCAAAAUGGGUAAACCCUCAGUGCAAGAUAAUCUCUAGAAAGUAUGUGUCUAAUAUAAACUGUCAUCUCACAAAAUCUAUCACUGAUCAGUGGGCUAUACCCCAGUGUAAGCAUUUCCAAAUCAAACAUCGAUGAGAGGAGUACAACCAAUCAUACACAAUAUGAUCAAAACAAAUCUCCACUCCUCAAAGUCAUCAUGGUAAUGUGAAGAGAGUAUCUAACCUCAUUUAAAGAAAGAUCAUGUCCCAAUGUGAAAAAUAUCAAGCAAAGUGGUAUGUCUCAACAAAAAUGCACUCUAACAUGAUCAUGCCUAGAUGUAAGAUGGUAUCUUUAAGAUUAAUCACCAAUGAAAGGGUUAUGCCCCAGUAUAGGGCAAUCUCUUAAACGACUAAAAUCCACUACAAGCUCUCACAAGUGUCUAUGUCAUGAACCAAUCAUCUCAAAAAAUAAAUAAAUAAAUAAAUAAAUCUAUCAACAAUGAUGAGAAGGUUAUGCUCGUAUAAUCACAUCAAGAAAAUCACCCGGUCAUAUCUUGUAUUCCAAUGUGAAAGGAAAAUAUGAUCACCUCCAAAGAAUGGCUAUGCCCCAAAAUACAUCAUCGAUUGAGAAAUAUGCCCCUACGUAAAGUACAUCAACUGAAAUAUGCCAAUCAUGCCUCAUGCUCCAAUGUGAAAAAUGACGUAUAAUCUUCUUUGAGGGAUGGUCAUGACUCAAAAUCCAUCAUCAGUUGAGAGAAGUAUGCCCCGACAUAAUGGUCAUCUAAAAAAUCAAUCCCCGACUAAGAAAUGUGUGCCUUGAUGUGAUGUAUCAAGCAAAAUGGCUGCAUACCCCAUAAAAAACUCUCUAAGGUGGCUAUGCUCCAAUGUUGGAUCAUACCACAACUCCUGGUCGAUCACAAUCAAAAUGCUCUCCAACCAAUCCCAAGUAUCGCCCACAUGAGAGCUAUCAAACACAAUGUGUGAUGUCAUGGCCUCAAGGUGGUCUUAAGAUUCGGGACGUAACGUAGGCUAGGGUAAUAAGGUGAAGAAAUGAAGGAAAACUAGGCUUAAUAAUCCUAAUGAUAAAACCCCAUACCCUUAUGUAUAAAAUGCAAUAUGUGCAAAGAGUCUCAUAAACCAUGGAUCUAAGGACACCCAAUAUGAAUAUAUCAGUGAGGAAGAAAGAAUCUAAGAUGAAUAUAUCAAUGAUAAAAGAGAAGAAAUGAAGAAUAUCAAACUGUUGAUGGGAUGUAUAAGAAUGAUGUGUGGAAAAUAUUGAACAUGGAAUGUAAAUUGAUAUGAACAAAGAACAAUGUAGGCAAGGCAAAUGCGAUAUCAUGAUAAGAACAAAUAAAUCGAAGAAAAAUGAAUGAACACUAAUCCACUCAAAUCAAGUCAUGGAGAAUAGUCAAAUCACCAACGUAUGUAAUGAUGGAGAAGACAAUGAUUCGAAGUCCCUAGGAAAAUGUCACUUGUUUGUCACACAUAAAAUACAUAACAAGAUAGACACAAAAAUAUGAGAGUCUUUUGAAAGUUCACGUACGAACUUUCAUAAGCAACUAACUCAAUAAAGCAACCUCAAUGACCAAUAUAUACACUCAAUAAAGGAUGACACUGUAUACAUGUGUUUAUUACUUUUUCUUUUUCAUUUUUUUCAUUUUUUUUUUCAUUUUUUUUCUUUUACUCACGCAUACUCUGAAUAUCAAUAAAUGAACUUCUCUAAGAAUACAUAAUGAAAUGGAUAUACUCUCAAACAAUGAUGUAAGCGAACUCUCUCUGACAAGAUGACCCUCUAAAUUAAGGAUUUUCGAACUAACGUCCAUGAGAUAGGAGUGGAAGGGGAUAUGACCAUCCUCCUUGCAUCGAAAUGUGAAAAAUCAUCACUCAGGGCACAAAAAAAUGUGAUGAAAAAAAAUAAAAAAUGAAACAAAAGAUAUAAACAAUGGAGUAUGAUGAAGACUGAUGUUGGGAAGACAAAAAAAUAGUGAAGAAGGUGAGCCAAUAAGUCCACAACUCAUGAAACUCUCGAAUAAAAUAUAUAUACACCAAAAGACCCUUAUCCCAGUAUAAAAUGUGAGCAAGGAUAUAAGAAAGAAAAGACUAUGGUGCUCAUGUGAGGUUCAAAGGGCUAGCAACGGUCCAAAUGUCAAUAAAGGUAAUAGGGUGUGAGCUAACCAAAAUGAAGGCCACCUAUGAUGGUCUGAAACAUCAUGCUCUUAAGCUUUCAAUGAUCAAUACUGAAAAUCGAUGUCCAUUUGAUAUAAACACGUCAACCCUUUGGAAUUGUGCGCCAAACCAUACUCCAAAUGCUCCAUAAUAAUCUCAAAGAUAAUCCUCUCAAAGCACAAUAAAUAGCGAUCUCAUAAGGCACAACUACUCAUCACAAGCCAACUCUCAUCAUGCAAGAUCAAUCUCUAUUUUCAUGGAAAAAUAAGUGACAAUCUCAUCAGGCAAUUGACGAAUCCUCACAUCGUAAACCAACCAAAGAUCAUAAGUCAUUCAUUGCCAUGCAAGAUCAAUCCCAAGCUCAAACUCCUCAUACUCUACCUGGUUGGAUUAGAGAAGAAAUGGGCAAAGCUAGAAAAACUGAAGAUGGAAAGGUCAUAUAAUGGUGUCAAGGGUGAUGUUGUGCAAAACUCACAAUGGAUGGAUGUAGGUCAAAGCAAAGUCAAUGUGUGAGAGUGAGUAAGACACCACUCUGAUCAUAAGAAGAUGAGUCACAAUCUCAAACUCCUAAGGUCAAAUCUCCGAUCCUAGGCUAAUAAGCUCAACAUCCUCCAUGAUAGGUCAACCCCCAAGAUCACAAUGUGCAAAUGAAUAGAUGCCUCAAGUCAAAAGUACAACACAUCAUAUGAUAUAUGGUCCUACGAUGACAAUCUAAAACUGGAAAUAUGUUACAAACUCUAAGGUCAUAAAGGUGUCCACUGUGAGAUGACUACAAAUGUGACUAAGGAAUCUUUAUCAAUAAUCCAAAAAAUGAAUGAGGUGUGAAAAACAACACUAUCAUGAGAUCGAUACCCCAUCAAUAACAAAAUAUCUCUAAUUCACUUUCAAUCUAAGCUCUAUAAAGAAAAACGAUAAGGUUAUAAAGGCAAACCUCUCAAAAAUGGUGUGAAUGUGAAAACAUGUCUUCACCUUUCUAUAAUGAAAAUAUCAUGUUGAAAAUAGAAAUAGGCAAAUCGACCAAAGAAUGAAGUACGGAGCCCAUGACAAGUGAAGAAUGUAAAAAGGUGAACAUGAUCAAUGAACAUAUCCCAAAACAUCAAGCAUAAAGUGGCAACAAACCGAAAGAAUGUGUCAACUUAAGAAAAGAAGACUAUCUGAAGCCCUAGGGAGAAAGUGUGCUAGACUCAAGGAGCGACAAGAAGAAACUAAAACCAUAUAGCAAGGGGUGGUCCAACUGAUACUCAAACUCGUACCAAUAUCUAAGCACUCUCGACUGGAGACCAAAAGAUGGAGUAUUGGAUCCAUAUUGUGACUAAAGUGGCCUCGAAGGCUCUAAGAUGCACCCACGUGUAGGAAAGGAAAUCCUAAUAAAAAUAUCUAAGGCUUAACCUACAAGGUCAAGGCGGCUAUAAAAAGAAAAAUUGAGUGGACUUUAAAGGAUCCCUAGCAAAAGCGAUCAUACCCUCCAAUGGUACGCAACCUCCUACACGUCUUGAAAUAUAUGGGAGUAAUUCCAUGCAAGGUGGUCAUCACCUCCACACAUGCACUAGCUCAUAUCCUAGAGGGUUUCCUAAUGAUGAAGACUCUUACAUCUCUCAACACUUAGUGGUAAUCUAAGGUGCACAGUGAACGGUGUGGGUUCAUCCAAAAAUCAUAUCAAGCUAAACAAAGAGAAAACACAUUGGUCACACAAAUAUCCUGAAAUCUAGCUCUAACCUAUACAAGUCUUCAAAGAUUGGACUCCAAUUAGCAUUAAUGUUUCGACCUUCUCCAGAAUGCUCCCAAACAUAGAUAUAGUCCAUCACUAAACCCUACUCCGAAUCACUAGCUCGGUCGAAGAGCAAACAAAGUAAUAAGUCUCAUAUCAAAUACGAGAUCAAGGGGAACACGGUCACCCGAGACUAGGGAAUUGAAGGUAAGGAGAUAGGUGUGUGUCCCACAUAGAAAAUCAACAUGCAUUACACAGAAGAAGAAUAGUCAUGCAAUAGACAACCAAGCAAAGAACAGGUAUAUCAUUCAUAUCUACACACAAGCUAAACAAGAAAUAGGUAUUUAACAAGAAUAAACAAUAUGUUGAGAUAAACAAGAUAAUAUACAAUAAAGAGAAUCAAUCACACCAAUAUGAAUGAGAUAUACAAAAAUGAGAAUAUACAUGUCAAGGAGAGCAAGAUAAUCAUACAACAAGAAGAGUCUUAUGUUAAAGCAAGCAAGAGAAUCAAUCGAUGUAGUCAACAUGUCAAUAUCGCAAAUGAACAUAACAACCAAAUAUGCAUCAUAAAGAAAAAAUGGUAAUCAUGCAGCACGUAGUCAUACAAAACAAAUAUAGACAAACAUAAGCAAAUAAAUGUAAACACACAUGAUAACAAAAAUCAAUGUAUAGUAAGGCACAUGCAAUAUAUACAUAAAAUAAUCAUCAAGUCAACACUCAUAUACCUUAAAACAUGAAAAUAUACAAUAAAGACACAAUGAGAGGGUAUUCACUGAUCGAUUAAUCAAACGCUACAUUUCCUUUAACUCGAGUUCAAGUUUGAUCCUUUAAAUAUCCCUAGUGGAGUCGCUAUUUUGUGGACCCACAUUUUUCAAAUGCGUCCUUACACAACAGCGAGACUCAUUUUUUUUAUUUGGUGAAAAUUUGAUUUUUAGAAAAAAGACUUUGAGUCGUCACUUAUUUUUGUUUUUUUUUAAGGGAAAACAAAACAAGAAAGAAAACCUUGUGUAACUCCUUAUUUGGGAAAGACAUGUAUGCAAAAACCAAAUCUGGUUUCGGGGGUCAAGUUACCUAUUGGGAAUGUACGAUGGUGAGCUGUAGCACCUCUCUAAGCUCAUAUACGUACAGUCUCUACUAAACGAAUUAAGAGAGUUGUAGUAAUUAAUUAAUUAGUCAAGGAUACCAAGAAAAAGAAUCGCACAAAUGAGUACGUACAAAUCAUGAUAAAAAAAAUCAAAUUAUAAGAAUAGACAAAAUAAAUAACAAGAGAAUUGUGCAAAGUGAUUUAUUAAACUAAAUAAAAAAGAAGAUAUUAAAAAAAUUAGUUUUCAAGAAAUUUCAAAGGAUUUUAUUAAAAUGAUUUUGAAUUAAUGAUUUUAAUUUAUUUAUUUACAAAAAAAAAAGUCAAUUUAUUUUCUUCAAGUGAUUUGAUUCAAUUUUUUUUAAAAAAAAAAGUUAUUUACACUCAUGGUUGUUAAAAGAAUUAUUAACAAAAUUUCAAGUUGACAAUAAAAAUGAUUUUUACUUGCUUUUACUCGAAAACAAUGAAUUUUUACAAUUUUAUUAACAAAAGCAUUUCAAUUUAAGAAAAGUGACUUAAACAAAUUAUUAAAAAAAUAUAACUUUAUCUACAAAAGAAUUUUUAAUUAAAAAGAAAAAAUUUAAAUCAUCUAUUUCUAAAAAUGACUUUUAAUCCCAUUUUAAUUAAGGAAAAUUGAGUUAUUUAAAAAAACAUUUUUUGGACAAUUUGAAUAAAAAUUAAUUUUUGGGACAACUUAUUUACAAAACAAUUUUUGGACAAUUAUUAUUAAAAACAAAAUUUCAAAUUCGAUUAAAAACAAUUUUUUGGAUUUUUCCAAACACAUUUUUAUGAAUUUUUAUUAAUAAAAAACUUUUUUUUAUUAAGAAGAAUAUUUUUUGAGCUAUUAUUUUAUUAAAACAUGUUUAUUGAAUUAUUCUUCUUAUUCAAACAAAAUUUUUAAUUUGUUCGAUAUCCAAUUCUGUACACAACAAGUAAAUAUAUACAAACAAAUAUUUAUAGAAAGCAAUAAAAAUAAAACCAAAUAGAAGUGAGAAAUAAAACAUGUACUUAAACAUGCUUACAACAAGCUCAAUGUCUUCUUACGAUUUUUCGAGUCUCACUUUCUUUCAUUAAAUUUUAUGCUCCACGUACCAUAAAUCCGUACUCAACCAAAAAAAUUGCAGAAUUGGCCCAUGCAAAAACAAAAAUAACACAAAUGUAAAUAUCUAAAAAUGUAUAAAGUUCACAAUAGAUAUUCAAGCCCAAAUUCAAAUUUCAAAUUAGUCCAACAAAUUUCGUCAAUCAAAAUAGGUCUAAAUUAGCAAAUAUAGCCCAACAAAAACAUUUCACAUGUCAUAGGCCUUAAUAUAAAAUUUCCAAGUUAAUAACCAAAAUAUAAGUUCAAUUAAUCAGACCCAAAACAUGAUACAUUAAAAUAAAUCUCAUUAGGCAUAAACUUAAUAUCUCAUAAUUCAAGCCUAAUUUAAUAUAUAAACCUAAAUCCACAAUCAAAAUCAACUCACUUUAUGCUAAUCCCAAUUUACAAUCAAAAUCAAACAUAAUUUAAUAAGUAAAUAACUAAAUAAAUUAAGCAAAAUCAAAACUCUCAAACCACUAUUGCACAAUAUCAAACAAUAAUAAAUAUAAUGACAACAACAAUAAUAAUAAAAUAAAAUAAAAAAAUUUAACUCACGUUGGAGCCAGUUUGAGUGUCGUGGGAAAGAAAGAAAAUGAGAGAAAAGUGGGAGAUGAUCGUUAGCUGGUAGUAGCUCGCCCGCGGCGACUGGUCGAUAGUCCUGCUGGCGGUAGUGAGGAUUGAUGAAUUUUUGGGAAAGGAAAAAAAAAGAGGAGUAAUAAAAAAAUGGAGAAAUGAGAGGAAGGUGGGAUAAGAGGGGAGAGAGAGAAUGAAGAAAAUAGGGGAAAAGAAAUGAGGCCGGCCGGAGGAGGAAGUGGUAGUGUGUGUGAGCUAAAGUGAAGAAGAAUGAAAGAAGAAGAAGGAGAAAAAUGGGAAAGAAGGGGAAAAAAAAUUCGAGCCCUCUAAAUGAAGAAAGGUGAGUAGCUUAAAGAAGAAAAUAAAAUAAAAUAAAAAAAGAAAAAAUGAGGAGAAAAUGAGAGGGCCAGUAGUCUUGGGAAUGGGGUGGUAUAGGUGAGAGAGAGUGGGCGAGGUUGUUGGGGAAGGUAUGGGAGAGAGAGGAGAGAUGAAAGAAAGAGAAAAAAAAAACAUAAUAAUAAUAAUAAUAAUAAUAAUCAUAAAUAAUAUAUAAAAUAAUAAAAAUUAAUAUUUAAAUGAUGAGUGUGUCAAAAAUAUUAUAUGUAAUUGGGAUUUAAUUUUAAGAGUAAAAUUGGACUAAAAAUUAAUGUAAAAAUAAAAUUUGAACAAAUUUUAAAAUCUACAAAUACAUUCUUUAAUCUUUCCACAACAUCAAUCUGAUCUAAAUGAAAUGCAAUAAAUUCUAAAAAUGAUACAAUCUUUAAUCAAUCCACAAUAUCAACCCGAUCAAAACUCAAUGCAAUAUUGCUUAAUGGAGAGAAUCGUAAAAUCCUUUUAUGAGAGGAAAACAAAACCCUUAACAGACCUUUAUGAGAGGAAAAUAGGAAAACAUAGAACUAAAAACCCUUAACGUAUUCAUGAGAAUAAAAAAAAUCCUUAACACCUUAAUAAGAGGAAAACAAAGAAUUUGAACAAUCCUUAAUCCAUCAAAAGCUCUUAAUAUGAACGAGGGGAAAACAUAACCUUUAUUUUUCAUAUCGCUGAAUACAGAAUCUAAAGAGAUAGAAUUUUUAGUUAUUAAGGAUUUUUUAUAGAUGUCUAUUGAAAGUUUAAGAACUUUUAUGGAUAAUUGUUAAUUAAGAGACUGAAAGGGUACUUAGGAUUUUCAACUAAAAAAGUUAUAACAAUAUGAAUAGUAAGAACUUAAAAACAUCACCCAUCCAUCAUAGGAAUAUGGAAUGAGAGGUUAUUUUUUUACUUAUACAACAAUAAACUUUUUUGGAAGAGGUUUUUCUAAGUACAAAAAGUUAUGAAUAAAAAACCAUUGUUACGAUGAGUUAACUAAAAUAGAAUUAAUUUAGAAAAUAUCAAUAAAGUUGCAUGAAUUAUUAUCAUGAGUUAACUUAAUAAGAAUAAAUAGUAAUAAAGUUAAUGAAGUGAAUUUGGAUUGGCAGAUAUAUUUGAUGAUAAGAUUUUUUUAAUAAUAAAAAAUUAUUAUGGCAGGAAAAAUAGGACAAAAUUGACCUUAUGAUAAGAUUUUUUUAAUAAUAAAAACAUUAUUAUGGUAUGAAAAAAAGGGACAAAAUUGGCCUUUCCUUAAUUGUACCGGUUAAUGGAAUAAUGGGACAUGCGGUGGUUACAAGCCACCCCAAAAGGUAGGAAGAAUCUCCAACCCCCAUUCUCGGCUCCCUUAUCUUUUCCCUUACAACCAAAAAUCAACAACUAUCUUAGAAUGUCCUUCAGUCCAUCAAAAUUCAACAACAACAAUUAUACAUUACAAUAAUGAAAACAAAAUUGAUUGAUCACCAGCUAACAUUAGGAGAUUAUAAGAUAAGGAUGUAAUUGCAAUUAUUGAAAUCACUUAAAGAGUAAAAAUUAGGAACAUGCUCACAAUAAAUAAAAUCACCUUAGAAUUAAAAAUUAGGGACAUGAUUAUGAUGAUUAAAAUCACUCGAGAACUAAAAUGUUUUAGAGAUACAAUAAUUGAAAUCAACUGAAAAAUAAAUUCGGGAUGUGAUCGCAAUUAAUGUAUAUAUAAACAACCAAAUGUUGAAAGGAAAAACUAAUGAAAUUAAUAUGAUUUUCUUUUAGAUUUCUCUUGACACCAAACAAAUGUAAGGAAGUUUAUAAAGGAAAAUUAGGUUUUGAUUCACUAAAUUAAAAUAAUAUAGAAAAAAGAUCUUCAAAUUUUAUGUAUCAGUUUUAUUUUUAUUUAUUUAAAAAUAUUUUAAAAUACAUAUAUUUUUUCAUAACUCAAAUAGUCAUUCCUCAAAUGCUAGUUUUACUUGUUAUGUUAAUAACACUAGUUAAUAAUUUUGUAUUGUGAGAACGAUUUAAGAUUAAUAAAAUAAGAAAUUUUUAAAACUAAAAAGACAUUUAAAACUUUAAAAUUAAAAAUAUAAAAAUAAAACAAUAAUUUUUCAUUUAGUAAAACACGCAGUAGAAAAUAUAGAUAUAGAGAAAGAGUUGGAAAUAAAAUAAGAGUUAAUAUUUUAUUUUUAAAAUUUUAUGUUUUUUAUUUUAAUUGUAUUUAAUUUUAUGUAUUUUAGUUGUAAUUAUAUUUUUAAUUUUUAAAUUUUUUUAUUUUAUUGUUGAUGUAAAUUUUUGUUCAAUUAUAUAUAUAUAUAUAUAUUUUAAAUUAGUGAGUAAAAACCCACUUUUUCUAAUUUAUAAUAUAUUUAUGGGAUUUUAUAAUAUAAGCAAUUUUUUUUUUUGAGAAAGAGGAAAAAUCAACUUUUCAAUUUCCCUUAAUAAUUAUUAGUAUUAUUAUCCAAUUUGGCUGAUUAUGAGAUUAGUUGGUAUCAUUACUAUAUCCAUUUGUUCUUAACCCUUCAUUAGAAUAGUAUUAGGAGUUGAACGUCAGUUGGAAUACAGGCUUAUGGAAACAAAUCUAUCCGAUUAGUAGGUUCUUAUUAUUUUCAAUAUAGGCCCCAUAAAAUAAAUAGGAGAUGGGCAGCCCGUCCCUUUGUCUGGAGGCCAUCCUCCCAACUUAUUAAAGGUGAUAUGAGAUAAGAUAGUGACAAAAUUAUCGGUUACUUCCCGACACCUGGCUCUCCACAAGCAAACCCAGUGAUCCAGAAAUUAAUUGGUACCUGGACACGUGACUACCAAACGUUCGCUCACCUACCAUACCCAUGGCCUCAUGCCCCAUAUAUUUCCACAAACCUAGCUCAAUUUUCAUAGCCACCUUCACUAUCCUACACUCACUAAGCCAUGGCCAUAGAUACAAGCCUCUUGAUUGAGCUUGCUGCAGCAACUCUACUCUUCUUCAUCACCCGCUUCUUCAUUCGUUCUCUCCUUCCCAAAUCUUCCUGGAAGCUCCCUCCUGGCCCCAAAGGGUGGCCGCUCGUCGGCGCUCUUCCUCUUCUAGGUAACAUGCCUCAUGUUGCAUUAGCAAAGAUGGCCAAAAGAUACGGGCCUGUCAUGUUCUUGAAAAUGGGCACUAACAGCAUGAUGGUGGCCUCAUAUUAAGGAAAUUAUAUGUUAGUUAUUGUAUGAUUAUCUUGACAUAAUUAGCUGAUUGUAUAGGAGCAUAAUUAGCCUUAUAUUACUGAUUCUGUAGCUAUAAUUUAGGAGAAGAUUAGAUCAAACAUGUGUAUAUAUAUACUACAUUCUAUUAAUGAGAAAAGUAUCCAAUUUGAAGCCAAUCUCUUUAUUCUUGUUAUGGUAUCAGAGCAAGAACAAAAAACCACCAUGGCUGGCAGUCAGAAGGCUUCUGGAUCAGAAAACAAGACCAUCGAUCCUUCACAUCCUCUCUAUAUUCAUCAUUCAGAUCAACCAGGCCAUGUUUUGGUGCCCAUCAAAUUAAAUGGGGUCAACUAUCAAUCAUGGAGCAAAGCAGUUAUUCAUGCCCUUACUGCCAAGAAGAAGAUCGGCUUCGUCGACGGGACAGUUGAAGAACCAUCGCAGGAAGAUGAACCCUUUAUGUUUGAACAGUGGAAUCAAUGCAACAGCAUGAUACUUUCUUGGCUAACUCAUGCUGUUGAAUCGGACAUUGCUGAAGGAAUUAUCCAUGCUAAAAUAGCACGCGAAGUGUGGGUUGAUUUGCGCGACCAGUUUUCUCAAAAGAAUGCUCCAGCGGUUUUUCAAAUAUAGAAAUCAAUCGCCACCAUGUCGCAAGGAACGAUGACAGUAGCUGCAUAUUUUACAAAGAUCAAAGCCUUAUGGGACGAGCUUGAGACAUACCGUUCCCCGCUGACCUGCAACCAACGGCAAGCACAUCUCGAGCAAAGGGAGGAAGACCGUCUUAUGCAAUUUCUAAUGGGUUUGAAUGAGUCAUAUAAGGUAGUGAGAUCCAAUAUUUUGAUGAUGUCGCCAUUGCCCAAUGUCUGUCAAGCAUACUCUUUAAUUGUCCAGGAAGAGAUGCAACGACAAGUUUCUUCUGAGCCAACCGAGAAUUUCUCAAUAGCUGCCGCAGUCCCUGGAAAAGGAGGUAAUCCAAGACAAAAAUUGUGUGACCAUUGUAACAGAUCCGGACAUACCAUAGAUGAAUGUCGGACUCUUAAAUUUCACUGUAAGUUCUGUGAUAAAAGAGGUCACACGGAGGAUAGAUGCCGACUGAAAAAUGGGAGCAAUAACAAAACGGGACAAUUCCGAGGACAAUGUCCUUUUGGUCGUGGGAAUCAGCCCUUAGCAAACGCGACAGAAUCCCAGGAAAUGUCUGAUUCGACUUCUUCUAGUACAGUCCAGGGGUUCACUACAGAACAAAUACAACAGUUGGCUCAAGCAAUUUCAUGCAUUAAAUCACAGUAAUUCCGGUAAUAUUGACGCAUAUGCAAAUGCUGCAGGUUUGAUUCCAUCAACUCUUGUGUCUGUUAAUUCUAGUAGUACAAGUUCUUGGAUUUUGGAUACAGGUGCCACGGAUCACAUCGUUUCCCACAUGUCUCUUUUCACUGAUCUCAAACCUUCUAAUGUCACAACUGUUAAUUUACCAAAUGGUGCAGCAUCACCAAUAACACACACUGGCACCGUUAUUUUUGAUUCCCAAUUGACCCUUAAAGAUGUUUUAUGUGUCCCAUCCUUUAACUUGAAUUUAAUUUCGGCUAGCAAACUCGCAAAAGAUCAGAAUUGCUGCAUCAUAUUCUUUCCUGACUAUUGUAUUUUGCAGGACUUGGUUUCGGGGAAGAUGAUUGGCUCGGGUAAACAGCGUGGUGGUCUAUACUACAUGCAUCCAUCAACAAAUAAAUCGGUUGUCUUUCAUGUUUCUCAACCGUCUGACUUAUGGCAUUUACGCCUGGGUCAUCCCUCUUUUUCUCGUUUUAAAUUAUUAUCACAUUUGCUUCCAGAUAUUCAUAAAGAAUUAGGAAAUCAUUGUCCAAUUUGCCCACAGGCUAAGCAGACACGCUUGCCCUUUCCCAAAAGUUCAAUAACUACAAAAUUUCCUUUUUCUCUUUUACAUUNNNNNNNNNNNNNNNNNNNNNNNNNNNNNNNNNNNNNNNNNNNNNNNNNNNNNNNNNNNNNNNNNNNNNNNNNNNNNNNNNNNNNNNNNNNNNNNNNNNNNNNNNNNNNNNNNNNNNNNNNNNNNNNNNNNNNNNNNNNNNNNNNNNNNNNNNNNNNNNNNNNNNNNNNNNNNNNNNNNNNNNNNNNNNNNNNNNNNNNNNNNNNNNNNNNNNNNNNNNNNNNNNNNNNNNNNNNNNNNNNNNNNNNNNNNNNNNNNNNNNNNNNNNNNNNNNNNNNNNNNNNNNNNNNNNNNNNNNNNNNNNNNNNNNNNNNNNNNNNNNNNNNNNNNNNNNNNNNNNNNNNNNNNNNNNNNNNNNNNNNNNNNNNNNNNNNNNNNNNNNNNNNNNNNNNNNNNNNNNNNNNNNNNNNNNNNNNNNNNNNNNNNNNNNNNNNNNNNNNNNNNNNNNNNNNNNNNNNNNNNNNNNNNNNNNNNNNNNNNNNNNNNNNNNNNNNNNNNNNNNNNNNNNNNNNNNNNNNNNNNNNNNNNNNNNNNNNNNNNNNNNNNNNNNNNNNNNNNNNNNNNNNNNNNNNNNNNNNNNNNNNNNNNNNNNNNNNNNNNNNNNNNNNNNNNNNNNNNNNNNNNNNNNNNNNNNNNNNNNNNNNNNNNNNNNNNNNNNNNNNNNNNNNNNNNNNNNNNNNNNNNNNNNNNNNNNNNNNNNNNNNNNNNNNNNNNNNNNNNNNNNNNNNNNNNNNNNNNNNNNNNNNNNNNNNNNNNNNNNNNNNNNNNNNNNNNNNNNNNNNNNNNNNNNNNNNNNNNNNNNNNNNNNNNNNNNNNNNNNNNNNNNNNNNNNNNNNNNNNNNNNNNNNNNNNNNNNNNNNNNNNNNNNNNNNNNNNNNNNNNNNNNNNNNNNNNNNNNNNNNNNNNNNNNNNNNNNNNNNNNNNNNNNNNNNNNNNNNNNNNNNNNNNNNNNNNNNNNNNNNNNNNNNNNNNNNNNNNNNNNNNNNNNNNNNNNNNNNNNNNNNNNNNNNNNNNNNNNNNNNNNNNNNNNNNNNNNNNNNNNNNNNNNNNNNNNNNNNNNNNNNNNNNNNNNNNNNNNNNNNNNNNNNNNNNNNNNNNNNNNNNNNNNNNNNNNNNNNNNNNNNNNNNNNNNNNNNNNNNNNNNNNNNNNNNNNNNNNNNNNNNNNNNNNNNNNNNNNNNNNNNNNNNNNNNNNNNNNNNNNNNNNNNNNNNNNNNNNNNNNNNNNNNNNNNNNNNNNNNNNNNNNNNNNNNNNNNNNNNNNNNNNNNNNNNNNNNNNNNNNNNNNNNNNNNNNNNNNNNNNNNNNNNNNNNNNNNNNNNNNNNNNNNNNNNNNNNNNNNNNNNNNNNNNNNNNNNNNNNNNNNNNNNNNNNNNNNNNNNNNNNNNNNNNNNNNNNNNNNNNNNNNNNNNNNNNNNNNNNNNNNNNNNNNNNNNNNNNNNNNNNNNNNNNNNNNNNNNNNNNNNNNNNNNNNNNNNNNNNNNNNNNNNNNNNNNNNNNNNNNNNNNNNNNNNNNNNNNNNNNNNNNNNNNNNNNNNNNNNNNNNNNNNNNNNNNNNNNNNNNNNNNNNNNNNNNNNNNNNNNNNNNNNNNNNNNNNNNNNNNNNNNNNNNNNNNNNNNNNNNNNNNNNNNNNNNNNNNNNNNNNNNNNNNNNNNNNNNNNNNNNNNNNNNNNNNNNNNNNNNNNNNNNNNNNNNNNNNNNNNNNNNNNNNNNNNNNNNNNNNNNNNNNNNNNNNNNNNNNNNNNNNNNNNNNNNNNNNNNNNNNNNNNNNNNNNNNNNNNNNNNNNNNNNNNNNNNNNNNNNNNNNNNNNNNNNNNNNNNNNNNNNNNNNNNNNNNNNNNNNNNNNNNNNNNNNNNNNNNNNNNNNNNNNNNNNNNNNNNNNNNNNNNNNNNNNNNNNNNNNNNNNNNNNNNNNNNNNNNNNNNNNNNNNNNNNNNNNNNNNNNNNNNNNNNNNNNNNNNNNNNNNNNNNNNNNNNNNNNNNNNNNNNNNNNNNNNNNNNNNNNNNNNNNNNNNNNNNNNNNNNNNNNNNNNNNNNNNNNNNNNNNNNNNNNNNNNNNNNNNNNNNNNNNNNNNNNNNNNNNNNNNNNNNNNNNNNNNNNNNNNNNNNNNNNNNNNNNNNNNNNNNNNNNNNNNNNNNNNNNNNNNNNNNNNNNNNNNNNNNNNNNNNNNNNNNNNNNNNNNNNNNNNNNNNNNNNNNNNNNNNNNNNNNNNNNNNNNNNNNNNNNNNNNNNNNNNNNNNNNNNNNNNNNNNNNNNNNNNNNNNNNNUUUUCGUUUUUCACCCCAUCACCGUGCUUUUUUAGCUCUUUUGACAGCCCAAACCGAACCUUCAUCCUUUGAACAAGCUGACUGUGAUCCACGUUGGCGCCAAGCCAUGUCCACCGAACUUCAGGCUCUAGAACGAAACAACACUUGGGAGAUGGUCCCUCUUCCUCCGGGACACAAACCCAUUGGCUGCCGCUGGGUGUACAAGAUCAAAUACCAUUCUGACGGAACCAUUGAACGCUAUAAAGCCCGUUUGGUUGCCAAGGGCUACACACAGGUCGCCGGUAUCGACUAUCAGGAAACCUUUUCUCCAACUGCCAAACUCACCACUCUUCGCUGUUUGCUGACUGUCGCAGCUUCCAGAAAUUGGUACAUCCAUCAGCUUGAUGUGCACAACGCAUUCCUUCAUGGCAAUUUACAAGAAGAGGUUUAUAUGACUCCACCUCCUGGUCUUCGCCGAUAGGGGGAGAAUCUGGUAAGUCGGCUUCGCAAAUCUAUUUACGGUUUGAAACAGGCAUCACGCAAUUGGUUCUCAACUUUUACAGCUACUGUUAAGUCUGCGGGUUACAUACAGUCCAAAGCAGAUUAUUCACUUUUUACUAAAUCCCAAGGUAACAAGUUCAUUGCUAUUCUCAUUUAUGUUGAUGAUAUCCUGUUGACUGGUAAUGAUUUGCAUGAAAUCAAGAUGCUCAAGACUCAUCUGCUCAAGCAUUUUUUUAUUAAAGACCUCGGUGAAUUGAAAUAUUUUUUGGGUAUAGAAUUCUCUCGCUCUAAAAAGGGAAUCUUUAUGUCUUAAAGAAAAUAUGCAUUAGAUAUUUUGCAAGACACAGGAUUGACAGGAGUGAAGCCCGAAAAAUUUCCGAUGGAGCAAAACUUGAAAUUGACUGAUGAAGAUGGCGAGUUACUUCAUGAUCCAAGUAGGUAUCGGAGACUGGUUGGCAGAUUAAUAUACUUGACUGUAACCAGGCCUGACAUAGUGUAUUCAGUACGUACACUAAGUCAAUUCAUGAACACACCUCGGAAGCCGCACUGGGAAGCAGCAUUACGAGUCCUCCGAUAUAUUAAAGGGUCACCAGGUCAAGGUCUUUUUCUUCCAUCUGAAAAUAAUUUAACACUCAGCGCAUUUUGCGAUUCAGAUUGGGGAGGAUGUCGUAUGUCAAGACGUUCCGUUUCUGGUUAUUGUGUUUUCCUCGGAUCAUCACUCAUCUCUUGGAAAUAAAAAAAACAAACGAAUGUUUCACGUUCGUCAGCAGAAGCAGAGUACAGAGCAAUGGCGAAUACUUGCCUGGAAUUGACUUGGUUGAGGUACAUACUUAAAGAUUUGAAGGUUGAAUUGGACAAACCAGCACCAUUGUUUUGUGAUAAUCAAGCAGCUGUAUAUAUUGCAGCUAACCCAGUUUUUCACGAAUGUACUAAACACAUUGAGAUUGAUUGUCAUAUAGUUCGAGAAAAACUUCAAGCUGGGGUAAUUCGUCCGUGUUAUGUUUCUACAAAGAUGCAGUUGGCGGACGUUUUUACAAAGGCACUUGGCAGGGAGCAGUUCGAAUUUUUGUGCACCAAGUUGGGAGUUCUUGAUUUGCACUCUCCAACUUGAGGGGGAGUAUUAAGGAAAUUAUAUGUUAGUUAUUGUAUGAUUAUCUUGACAUAAUUAGCUGAUUGUAUAGGAGCAUAAUUAGCCUUAUAUUACUGAUUCUGUAGCUAUAAUUUAGGAGAAGAUUAGAUCAAACAUGUGUAUAUAUAUACUACAUUCUGUUAAUGAGAAAAGUAUCCAAUUUGAAGCCAAUCUCUUUAUUCUUGUUACCUCAACUCCCGGGGCGGCUCGGGCUUUCCUUAAAACGCUAGACAUUAAUUUCUCUAACCGCCCGCCUAAUGCCGGUGCCUCACUCUUGGCCUAUCAUGCCCAAGACAUGGUUUUUGCGGAUUAUGGGGCAAGGUGGAAGCUACUGAGAAAGCUAAGCAACUUACACAUGCUUGGUGGGAAGGCUCUUGAGGACUGGUCUCAGGUCCGAGCUGUUGAGCUAGGCCACAUGCUUCGAGCCAUGCUUGAGUUGAGCCAGCGAGCGGAGCCGGUGGUGGUGCCGGAGAUGUUAACUUUUUCCAUGGCCAACAUGAUAGGUCAAGUGAUUCUAAGCCGCCGGGUGUUUGAAACAAAAGGGUCGGAGUCAAAUGAGUUCAAGGACAUGGUGGUGGAGCUCAUGACCACUGCUGGGUACUUCAAUAUUGGCGAUUUUAUUCCGUCCAUCGCAUGGCUGGACAUCCAAGGGAUCCAGCACGGGAUGAAGCAUUUACAUAGGAAGUUCGAUCGGUUAUUAACAAAGAUGAUGGAGGAGCACACGGCGUCAGCCCAUGAGCGGAAGGGAAACCCAGAUUUUCUGGACGUGAUCAUGGCAAACCAAGAAAAUUCUACAGGGGAGAAGCUCACUAUUACCAACAUUAAAGCACUCCUCCUGGUAUGCAUAGUUAAAGCUCGUCUUUAAUUUUGUUUUCCGAUAUUUUCUUUCCUGAAACAGCACUUUUAUUGCUUUUAGAUAUGUACGUUUUUAUCAGGUAGCCAUUUUAGGGGCACAUCACUGUUCUUUAUUUGGAUUUUUUUUGUCUUUUUCCACUUGCAUGGUUGUUUUCAUAUGCUCAGCUGCAUGGCACAGGAAAAUUGUGAAAAAUGAUUGGUUCUCUGAUCAGACCUUCUGCACCAAAACAUAAUUCUCUCUAUUUUAUAAAAUCAAGAACAUUUAUGGUUUACAUGAUUUUUCGAACUUGAACUUUUGCUAGUGCUAAUGCAUGGAUCUCAAUUUUUCAAUUGCGUUUGAUUAUAUAAAUUUCAAGUAUGUGAACAUAUUUUUGUUUCCUUGGCUAGAAUUUAUUUACUGCAGGAACAGACACUUCAUCGAGCGUAAUCGAGUGGUCUCUGGCUGAGAUGUUGAAAAACCCGAGCAUCCUCAAGCGUGCUCACGAAGAAAUGGAUCAAGUGAUUGGAAGGAGCCGGCGGCUCGUGGAGUCUGACUUGCCAAAACUUCCAUACCUACAAGCCAUAUGCAAGGAAAGCUUCCGGAAGCACCCAUCCACCCCAUUGAACCUUCCUCGUGUCUCAACCCAAGCAUGCGAAGUGAACGGCUACUACAUCCCAGAGAACACUAGACUUAGCGUGAACAUAUGGGCAAUUGGGCGAGACCCUGAUGUCUGGGAAAGCCCGGAAGAAUUCAGGCCAGAAAGGUUUUUAAGUGGAAGAAAUGAAAAAAUUGAUCCUCGUGGAAAUGAUUUUGAGUUGAUCCCGUUUGGGGCUGGACGAAGGAUUUGCGCUGGCACUAGAAUGGGAAUAGUGCUGGUUGAGUACAUUUUAGGGACGUUGGUACAUUCAUUUGACUGGAAAAUGCCGGAUGGAGUUGAGAUCAACAUGGACGAAGCUUUCGGGCUUGCACUGCAGAAGGCAGUUUCUCUUUCGGCCAUGGUGACACCAAGGCUUCACCAGAGUGCGUAUGCAGUCUGAGCUCAAACCGCUCAGACCAAAACCCAGGCCUCGCUGCUAUAUGGCAUGGAUGCAGUUAAGUAGAAAAUAUUUUGGGAUGCCUGUGGCUUAGUAUAAGAUGUAUUAGCUCAAAGAUGGUCGUUUCAUUCUACCACCAAGCCAUAUGCAUCUAUGCAUAAUCUAUUGAUUUAGGCUCGAUUUGGUUAUAGUUUUUGUUUUUUUGUCUUCCAAAUCAGUAAAUAGUAGGGGUAUUUUUGUCCUAUGUAGUGAUUCUUUUUGUUUGAUUGAUUAUAUUUGGAUCCUUCAAAUAUUCCUACACAACUAUUAACCUCCUUCAAAAAUAUAUAGUUAAGGGCCUUGGUCAGAGCCAUCUCCAUCUUUUCACUUCUUGUGCUGCAGUAUGGGAUUGGCUUAGAUGAUCGUUAGUCUAAUGUUUCCUUUUCAACAUCAUAAUUCAGCGCAAACUAAGUUGAAUAUUCAACAACAAAUAAGUACAGAAAAUAAUGGAAGAAAAAUUCCCACUUUAUCUCCGUAAAGUAAUGCCAUAUUUUUCUUCAUACUUACCUUCUAGAUUUUUGUUGGAGCUCUGAGCCCGUGAUCCAUUAGAUGAUUGCGUGUGUGCAUAUGCAUGUGGGUGAUUGCGUGUAAUACGUACGUACGUUCCAUGAUUCAUGUUCGAAGUACCCUCUCUUAUUUAUCGUUGAAGAGGCUAUCGUCACAAACUCUAUUGAUUAAUUAGUCUAGGCAAAUUAAGGCGCGAUAACGACCGAUGUAUAUCUUAAAAGUAACGAUUAAGAGAAUAUUAUAUGUACAAGGGAAAAAUCUACAUAUAAUUAUUGAUGCAACUUGCAAGUGGGAUAAAAUUUGGGAUGGGGAUUAUUAUAAAUUAAUCUCAAUCCAUAAUUGUGAUUGUGGAGUAUAAAUUAAAUGAUUCAUAAUCCAUCUACAUGAAGAUUAAAACCCAUAUUGAAAAUAGCUUUAAAAAACUAAUUUAUAAGAAUAAUUUUUGCAUCAUAUUUUGUGUGCUUGAACUCGUUUCCUAUAUUUUUAAAUAUAUAUUAAAUAUAAUUUUCUUUUAUUUAUAGUGUUUUAUUUUUAAUUAUUCUUCAUAUUUAUAUAAUUAUUUUUUAAAACAAUCAUGAUAAAAAGCAAAAAGAAGUGAAAAUAGCUUAAUAUAAUUAAAGACAAAUAUCUUAUUUUUUGUUAUCUGUUGUUAUUGUUUUUUCUUUUUGUUAACCCCCUUCAAAUCUAAUUAUUCAUACUCAAUUUUGACACGAAAGAGCCAUUGUCAUGAAAGGGGGAGGUCCAUCAUUUUGGUACGAUGCCAACUCUACCACAUAACCACCAUUUAGAUAUCUAUCCUUUUAUUUUUGGCAUGUGAACUUAUAGUGGGUGGCUGACCUUGAAUCCACUAGUUAUCAUGUUGAAAUUAACCACCAUUUAGAUAUCUAUCCUUUUAUUUUUGGCAUGUGAACUUACAGUAAGUCCGAUUUAUGUCCAAGGGUCAAAUUUAAAUCUCUCUUCAAUCUAAUGGCUAAGAACUUCCCAACUUUAUUUAAUACUUAAUGUAUCCAAUAAUUGUAAUCGAGUAAUCCAAUGACAAGUACCUUCAAUGACUAUUUUGGCAAAAGAAAAAAGAAAAAAAGAAAUAAUAUAAGUUUGUUAUUUUAUGAUAUAAUAAAUUUAUUAAUACUUUCCUUUUUCAAAAUAUGUAAUUAGUUGUAAUUUCAUUAUAUAAUAUAUAAAUUAAGUUAUUUGCAAUUUUAAAAUAUGUUCAUUUUGUUUUUUUUUAAGUGUUAAUUAAAAAUUAUACAAUUUUGUUUUAUAAAAAGUAUUUAGUACUUUUAAUUUUAUAAAUUACAAACAUUAAUUAUACUAUUUUCUUAAAAUAUUUAGUUUAGUAUGCAUAUUAUUAGUUGUUUUCUCAUAUCUCAAGUUUCAAUCAAAAAAAUAUUUAUGAUUUGUUUUUGUUAAUUUGUGUCUUGUUUUCAAUUUAAUUAAUGAAAAGUUAUUUGAUCAAAAGGUUCAUUACAAACCAAUUUUAAAAAUUUAAUCCUUUAUUAUAUUUUGAUAUUGUUUUGAUAAAAAUGUCUUUAUUAUUUUUUAAAUAUAUUGUAAAUAUUUAAAAUAAUUAAAAAUAUUUAGAUCAAAAAUCGAUUAUUUUUCAAACAAAAAUAUGAAAGUGAUAAAUUUGCAAAUGUGGGGAAUAUUUAAUCCUUUUAAUCGAUUAUUUCAUUAAUGAAGUGGGUAUAAUGAUGAACGCAGACUUGGUUUUACUAGGGCAUGCAGAGGUUUUGCAAGAGAGAGAGAUCAUUUCUCGACUCUGAGAAAUCAAUCUCCUUUUGGCCCGGUGGCGGACUCCAAGUAAAGCCUUGAAGGAGCCUUGCUAACAUCCCUGCACACCCACGCCUUCCAGUACUGAAGGAAAUGAAGCGAAGGUUUGGCUCGUUCAACUCCACUGCUUGAACUGUACUAGCAUUCAGAUGCCGCUCUGGAUUGAAAUUUAGCGGUUCUUCCCAGAUUCUAGGGUUCCGGCCCAGCCCCAGACGGCUCAGAAGGACAUGACUGCCUUUGGGGAUAGAGUACCCAGCAACACUAGUCGGAUUCCUGAACUCGUCUAUCCUUUCCAACCACUCCAUCAAUUUCUUCACUGCUUUGCUCAAAAUCCCUGGUUGCUUGAUCAUUGCCUACUCAAUUGCAUUUGAUGGACUAUCGAAGCCUGCAAGCAUCAACUCCUGCAAAUUAUGGAAGGAUCAUAAUCUCAUGAUUGAUCAAGUUAUUUGCUGGCUAGGAAAUGAUCAUCAUGCAAUGUAGAUCAAAAGGUAAGCACAACACUACUACAAAAAUAAUUUAUGGUGUCAUUUUUAAAAUAAUGACACCAUAGGGUUUAUAAUUAAUAAAGGUGAUACAUCAUAUGAAAAUUCUUCAAUUGAGGUAGUUAGAUUAUGUUAGUUUUAUAUUUAUAGUGUCAUUUUUUGGGAAGUAACAUCAUAUAAAAUAAUUUUUUUUUAAGUAUUAUAACUUAAUGAGCCCACUUUUAUAAUUAAUAAUGAGGGAUAAUGUAUAAAAAGCCCAUUGUUUCCACAUGCCACCCACAAUCCAAAAAAUCUCAGUAUACAAACCUUAUAUAUAAAACCAUAAUCUUCUUCUACCUUUUCUCUUACCUAUAGUCAACACACUUAUAACCGACAUUUUCCACUUUGUGGACUCCCAAGUUAUCCAAAUUCUCUUAGAUCUAUCCUAUUUUUUUUCUUUUAUUAAUAUCAUUAUAUUGAUUGUUUCAGCAUCUUUGUAUUAUGGUUUUUGUGAACUGCAUUUUCUUGAGUUGUAGGGAAGAAAAACUUAGGUUUAAACUUCUAGCAUAGACAAAGAAACUUGUAGAUUAAUUGAUUUUUUAAUAUGAACCAAACACAUGACCGACUUUUUCUGUGUGUAAUAAGGACAGCUAGUAUUCAUGCAUAAAAUCAGCAUCAGAAUUCGUAACUGCAUUUGAUCAGCUAGUUUAGUAAAUCUGUACAACUCAUUCUUUCCUUUAUUUUCACAUAUGUUGUUAUACGUUAGCACAAGUUUAGGAGUAAUUUUAGUUUCUCAAAUCUGUAUUUAUACCUCUUCUUCUAAUAAGAAUUGUGUGAAUCAUUUUGUCUAAACCUCUUUAUGGUAUCAGAGCACACCUCAAAACUCCAACAAGUAUUUCCUGUCUUUCUCGCUUCUGCUAUGGCCACUUCUUCCUCUGAUAGUUUUCCAAUAGCCAUCAAUGCCACCCAGCAAAUUACUGCACGUCUUACACCAACCAACUUCCCUUCAUGGCAUGCUCAAUUUGAGUCUCUCCUCCUCGGCUAUAACCUCUUUGGCUAUGUCGAUGGCACUCAUACCUGCCCACCCCUACCGAUGUCAACUAAUGCAGCUGCCACUACAGCUCAUCACCUUUGGUUCCAUCAGGACAAACUUAUUCUAAGUGCAAUUUUGACUUCAGUGUCCCUAGCUGUGAUACCACUCAUAGCAACCUCCCAAACGUCAUAUCAAACCUGGACAAAACUGACAAAACUGUAUGCUAGUCGAUCCAGGACUCGUGUCAUGCAGCUCAAAGAGGAUCUCACCCUCAUGCAAUGUGGCAAUCGCAGCAUUACAAAGUACCUACACUCUGUAAAAACCAUUGUCGAUGAGCUUGCUCUCAUCGAUGCCCCAUUAUCUCAAGAUGACAUCACCCUAUAUGUUCUUCAUGGCUUAGGAUCAAAUUUUCGUGACAUUGUUGCCCCGAUUCGAGCCCGAGAGUCUUCACUCUCAUUGUUGCAAAAUACUGUCCGAAAUUGAAACCCUCUGAAGCCACUGUGAACUGCACAACUACUACUUCCAGUCCCGACAAACGUUGGCUCAUUGAUUCUAUGGCUUCCCAUAAUAUCACUUCUCAGGUUUCAAAUUUACAAUUUCACUCUGAAUAUGAUGGUACUGAUGAAGUUAUUAUUGGAGAUGGAUCAGGUUUGCCCAUUACUCAUUCUGGUUCUCUUACUCUUUCAUUUCCAAACAGAAAAUUUCAAGUUGAAGAUACUCUAUGUGUUCCUACCAUUAACAAAAACUUGAUAUCUGUUCACCACUACACAAAGCAAAACAAUGUUAUCCUGGAAUUUCACCCAACUUAUUUUCUUGCGAAGGAUUGGAGAACGGGGGAGAUUCUUCUUCAAGGACCGUGUGAAAAUGGAGUCUACCCUCUGGCCUCAUCGCCUGCUGCUACUCCAAUUGCUUUUGUCCAUGAACGCACAUCAGCAGCUGGUUGGCAUCAUCGCCUUGGUCAUCGAUCAUUCAAAGUUGUCACUCGCCUCAUUAGUUCUUUCUCCCUUCCCACCACUUCAUGUCUUUCUGGUUCUAAUAAUUGUCAUUCGUGUUCUAUCAAUAAAGCUCAUCAGUUACCCUUUCAUAAACACGGUCUAACUAGCACAACACCAUUUGAUUUACUUUACACUGAUGUAUGGGGACCUUCUCCCACUCCUAGUCUCAAUGGCCACAGAUAUUAUGUUAUUUUUGUUGAUCACUUUACCAAAUAUGGUUGGUUCUUUCCAUUGCAUCAAAAAUCAGAUGUUAAAACCAUAUUUCCUCAUUUCUACAAAAUGAUUGAAACUCGUUUUAACAUAAAAAUUAAAGGAGUUUAUUCCGAUAAUGGGGGCGAGUUCACUGUUCUUCGACCCUUUUUCACAACCCAUGGCAUUAGUCAUUAUACGACAGCCCCUUAUACACCCCAACAAAAUGGAGUGUCUGAGCGUCGUCAUCUCCAUAUUGUGGAGACAGGUCAAACCCUUCUAAGUCAUGCCUCUCUUCCAUCAGAAUAUUAGGCUUAUGCUUUUGCAACAGCCACAUAUCUAAUCAAUCGACUUCCAUCACCUGUUCUUCAUCAUAUAUCACCUCUUCAAGCAACAACCUCGGUAUGAAAAAUUACGUUCCUUUGGAUGUCUUUGCUUUCCCUUGAUGAAGCCGUAUAACACAAACAAAUUUCAAAAGAAAUCCGUUCCUUGUAUCUUUGUUGGCUACUCUACUAGCCAAAGUGCAUAUCUAUGUCUUCAUCUACAAAGUCAGCGCAUAUACACCUCCAAACACGUAACCUUUGAUGAAUCUGUUUACCCCUUCAAACAGGUUUCCAUGCAAUCACCCACUGACUCAUCCCCAUCAGAAACCUCUUCUUUUUCAGGACCAAUUUUGCAGCUUGCUUCCAGGGAGCUUCCAACAAUCACACGGGCUCAAGGAGAUAUCCCCUCUGCUUCUUCGACUCCAAGUGAAGAUCCAGCUCUUGUGCAACCUCAAGAGGCACCACUUUCCACUUUAGAUCAGGUAACUCUUAGACCUUCUACUUCUGUUUCUCAACCAGAAAAUUCAAUGCCAUCCUCUCCACCACCAUGUCCACGAACCAUCAUCACUCGCUCCAUGAACAAUAUCUUUCGGCCAAAACAACUCCACACCACCACCAAGCACCCCUUACCUGAACCACCCGAACCAAGUUGUGUAAGUCAAGCUCUUAAAGACCCUCACUGGUGCAAGGCUAUGUCAGAAGAAGUGACAACCCUCCUUUAACAUGGGACGUGAGAACUGGUUCCUCCCACUCCUGGCCAGAAUCUUGUUGGGUGUAAAUUUGUGUUUCGGAAGAAACGAAAUCCAGAUGGAACAAUCAGUCGAUAUAAAGCUCGACUUGUCGCUAAAGGAUUUCAUCAACGGCCAGGUAUUGACUACUCUCAAACCUUCAGCCCUGUCGUAAAGCCAGUAACAAUUAGGCUUCUUUUAACCAUUGCUGUCAUGCAUGGCUAGCCCCUUCGUCAGUUAGACAUCAAUAAUGCAUUCUUGCAUGGUAAUCUUGAAGAAACAGUCUUCAUGCAUCAACCUACAGGAUUUGAAGAUCCAUCUCAACCUCAGUAUGUUUGCAAGCUAAAAUAGAGUAUCUAUGGUCUUAAACAAGCCCCAUGACAGUGGUACAAGGCCCUUCGGGAUGCACUUCUCAGCUUUGGUUUUAUUCACUCGGCCACUGACAACUCUUUGUUUAUCUAUAAGUCUCAUGAUAUCUUGUGCUACUGCCUUGUUUAUGUUGAUGACAUAAUUGUCACAAGCAACACACUCAGCUUUGUGAAUAACAUUAUAAACAAGCUUGGCUCUACAUUCUUAGUCAAAGAUAUGGGCUCCUUGCAUUAUUUCUUGGGAAUAGAAGUGAUUCCAAUGCCACAGGGGCUCUUUCUAUCUCAACAUCAGUAUAUAUGGGAUCUCCUUUCACGAACCUCCAUGGAAAAUGCUAAAGAAACACUCACUCCAAUGUCCACUACAGCCAAGCUUACGGUUCAAGAUAAUUUUGAAUGUGUUGACAGCACUGAGUAUCGCAAGAUCAUUGGAGCACUUCAGUAUUUGGGACUCACUCGUCCCGAUAUUGCCUUUGCAGUCAACAGAUUAUCUCAGUUCAUGUAGAAGCCGACAACAAACCAUUGGGCCGCAGCAAAAAGACUACUCAGCUAUCUUAAACAGACCAUGUUUCAUGGUAUCCUUCUCCAAAAUCAUGAUCAAUUCCAACUCAAGACCUAUAGUGAUGUGAAGUGGGCAUUAAAUACGGACACUCGUGUUUCAACCACUACUUUCAUCACAUUCAUUGGUCCUAAUCCAAUCUCAUGGUCUGCACGCAAGCAAAUGGCAGUCUCAAGAUCAUCUAUAGAAGCAGAGUUUCGGGCACUAGCUACUGCCACACAGAAACAGUUUGGCUUCAUUCUCUUAUCAAGGAACUUGGUCUCACUCUCAGAGAAGCACCUCAAAUGUUUUGUGAUAAUAUUGGUGCCAACCAUUUCAGUUUAAAUCCAGUCCAGCACAGACGGAUGAAACACAUUGAAAUUGAUCUCCUCUUUGUACGAGAUCUUGUCAAAAAGGGAACUAUUCGUGUUCAGCACAUCCAUACCAUUGAUCAACUAGCUAAUCUCCUUACAAAAUCACUCUCACAUCAACGCUUUCAACUAUUAAGAUCCAAGAUUGGUGUUGCAGAUGGCACCUCCAUCUUGAGGGGGCAUAUAAGGACAGCUAGUAUUCAUGCAGAAAAUCAGCAUCAGAAUUCGUAACUGCAUUUGAUCAGCUAGUUUAGGAAAUCUGUACAACUCAUUCUUUCCUUUAUUUUCACAUAUGUUGUUAUACGUUAGCACAAGUUUAGGAGUAAUUUUAGUUUCUCAAAUCUGUAUUUAUACCUCUUCUUCUAAUAAGAAUUGCGUGAAUCAUUUUGUCUAAACCUCUUUAUAUUUAUGUGAGAAUGACAGGUACAAAAUUUUGUUGAGAUAUACUGCCCCAUAAUCUUCAUCCUUUCCCUAAAAUGAGAGAGGGAAAAAAAAAAAGGAAUGAUUUUUUUUGUGUGUAUCUAAGUGGGAACAAGAGAUAUAGAAUUUCGUUGAGAUGCAGUGCUGCCACAUGAUCUUUAUCCUCCAUUAAACCCAACAUAUUAAAUCCACUAACUCUCUCCCCAAAAAUGAGUAAAAAAAAAAAAAAGGAAAAAAGUAUGAGUUAAAAAACAAAAACGGAAAAUAUGAUUUUUUUAAUGUGUUUCUAAGGAGAAUGAGAGAUACAUAUUUUUGUUAAGAUGCAUUGCCACGUGUUCUUCAUCCUCUCCAUUAAGCCUAAUAUAUUAAACCUAAUAGCUCUCUCUUUUAAGCUUUCCAAUGAAGUGCCUAUAGUAUCCAACUCAAAAUAAGACAACUUAAGCCCCAUUAGCCAACAACCCAUAUUUUGUGUACAUCUUGAUGAGAUUAUUUUGUGAGAAAAUGUCAUGAAACAAUCCCAAUUUGAUAAUCUAGGCAUGUAUUUGAGUUAAAAAUAAAUUUCUAUUCUAUAGAUCAAAGAAUAAAAUCAUGUUUGAAAAUUAUUUUUAAAAACUUAUUUAGAGCAAAAAUAGUUUUCUAACAUAAAAAUAAUUUUUUAACUGAGAAAAUAUAUUUGAAAUUAUUUGAUAGAAAAUUGGGCAUGUAUUUGACUUAAAAACAAAUUUCUAUUCUAUAGCUCCAAUAAUAAAAUCAUGUUUGAAAAUUAUUCUUAAAAACUUAUUUAGAGCAAAAAUGGUUUUCUAACAUUAAAAUAAUUUUUUAAUUUAGAAAAUAUAUUUGGAAACAGUUGAUAGAAAACUGGGCAUGUAUUUGACUUAAAAAUAAAUUAUUAUUCUAUAGAUCAAAGGAUAAAAUCAUGUUUGAAAAAUAUUCUUAAAAACUUAUUUAGAGUAAAAACAGUUUUCUAACAUAAAAAUAAAUUUUUAACUUAGAAAAUAUAUUUGAAAACAUUUGAUAGAAAACUUUUUUUUUUAAUGUCAAUAAGUUGUCUUUUUGUUAAUUUAAUUGUAAUCAAUUUUCUUAUACGCAUUUAAAAGUAUAUAUUAUCAUAUUUAGUAAUAUUUUGAUUAUUAGGCAAAUUAUCAUUUUUGAGAGGAAUUUUUGUAGCUCUCAUAAUUAUAAUUGUAUUUUAAUAACCACUUCCAAUAAAUAAAAAAAAGAAAAAAAAAGUUAGACAAUUAUCAAAAUCUGAUUUUUAGGAUUUUAAAAAAAUCUACAAGCCAAAACUAUUUAUAAUUUUGAUCAUGUGAGAACACUUCUUUUUUAAUACUUUGAGUUAUUUUGUUUUUUUUUUUUCUUAGUAUCUGAAAGUAUAAAAGAAUUUCUCAUAUAUGUGCAUGUGUGUUCUCAUGGUUGUUUAUGUCAUGUCUUAUUAAAGAAUGAAGUGAAGUUUCCUUUGAGUGGAAGGUUUUAGUCCACGCUAGUCAGUGGACACGGUAUGAAUAGUUUGGGUGGGUUGUAUCUAUGGUAAAAAAAUAAUAAAAGACAACUUUUGCAAGUCUCCAAGUUGGUUGAGAUACAUGAUGUCAUGUUGACUAGACCUUGACUUUUGCAAGUCUCCUAGUUUCCAACUUUUUUUUCUUUUUUUUUUUUAAUAUUAAGGUGUGGGGCCAUGAACUCCUUUCUUUCCUUUUUAAAUAACAAAAAGGAAGAUAAUUUUAUUGUGAGAAGGCUAUUGCUACCAAUUGUGUUCACGUCGAGAAUUUUUUAAUUUACGGAGGCCAUAUAUAUAUAUAUUUAUGUCUAAUUUAGGAGGGUAAUUUGGGUUUGUCUAAUCUAUUCCAUUUAAUCAUACUAUACAAUCAUUUUUUUUUAUUUGGAUUAUUCUUGUAUUAAAUUUCUUCAACCCAAAUUUUGUUGAAAAGUUACAAUGUAUUAUUGAAAAUAUGACUUGGUAGUUGAUUAUGGAUAUGUGUCAUUUUUAGUAUAAAAAAAAAAUAAAUCUAUAACAUUUUAUAUUGAUAAUAUAUUAUUCUUGUAACAGGUUUGAAUAAUAAGCAAGUCAUUGUCAAAGAAGUUAUUGAAAGUGUAAGUGUACAUUUAUUUAUUGCAUGCUCUUAUAUUGUAUCAAUUGUAAGGAAGAUAAAAUUACCUUGUAAAGGUAAUUAAAUCUUUCUAUAUUUUAAAAACUUUUUUCCUAUAUACUAUGCUUUUGAAGCUUGUUUAAUUAAACAUAUUAGUUAUUUGACAAACUUUUCACAAAUGUUUUGUAUACUUAUGUGUUCUAUUUUGUUCCAUAGUUUUAUUGCAUAAUACUAAUGUAUAUUUUUUCACAAACUUUUUACAACUAUUUUGUGUACUAAUGCAUAUUAAGUUUUGUUCUUGCCUAUAUAAGCUACAUUUAGUUAUUUAAAUAUAUCUAAUAUUAUGUUGAAGAAAGAUGUACUUACUUAACUUUUUUUAUUCUAAAUAUUAACAAGUUUUUCAGUUCUCUUGUCUCGAGAUUGAAUGUCAAAAGAUAGAAGGUCAGUUGAGUAUGAUGAAAGAGUUGAAAACUUUAUCAAUUUUGCAUUAGCACAUUCAAUCAACCAUUCCCCUAUAAAAUGCCCAUGCUUACGUUGUGCAAAUCUGUUAUGUCAAACUCUUCAAGUCAUUACAGAACAUUUGUUCUUUAAUGGAAUCGAUCUUAGUUAUCGAGUAUGGUAUUGGCAUGGAGAAAAUGGACCCAGUGGAGGAUUUUCAAAUGUCUCACAACAACAUUAUGACAAAUGCAAGUAUAAUGAUGUUGUUGACACAAUAGAUAUGGUUAAUGCUGCACAAGUUAAUUGUAUGAAUGAUCCCUAAGUGUUUGGAAGGUUACUUGAAGACGCAGAAAAACCUUUAUAUCUUGGAUGCAUGAAAUACACAAAGUUGUCAGCAUUGGUAAAACUUUACGACUUGAAAGCAUGUUAUGGUUGGUUUGACAAAGGAUUCUCAAAAUUGCUUCAGUUGCUUGGAGAUAUGUUGCCAUUGAAUAAUGAGAUGUCAUUGUCCAUGUAAGAAGCUAAAAAUACUUUUAGUGCACUUGGGAUGAAUAUAACAAAAUUCAUGCAUGUUCUAAUGAUUGUAUUUGGUAUAGAAACCAGUAUAAGGAUGCUAUUGCAUGCCUAACUUGUGGAAAGUCAAGGUGGAAGAUAAACAAUGAGGGGAAAAAGAUUAAGAAGGGGCUUCCUUCAAAGGUUUUAUGGUAUUUCCCACCAAUCCCUAGAUUCAAAAGGAUGUUCCAAUCCUCAAAAACCGCUAAACAUCUUAUGUGGCAUGCCAAGGAUAAAGAAUAUGACGGUAAACUAUGCCACCCAUCAGACUCCUUAGCGUGGAAACUAGUUGACCAUAUGUGGCUUGAUUUUGCUUCUGAACCGAGGACCUUAGACUAGCACUCUCAACAGAUGGUACAAAUCUUCAUAAGUCUAUAAGCAAUAGACAUAGUUGUUGGCCUGUUAUACUGAUCAUAUACAACCUUCCUCCUUGGUUGUGCAUGAAAAAGAAGUUUAUGAUGCUAUCAUUAUUGAUCUCAGGACCACGACAACCUGGUAAAAAUAUAGAUGUUUACUUGAGUCCAUUGGUAGAUGACCUUAAAACUUUGUGGGAAAAAAAAGUUAAGACUUAUGAUGCACACUUGCUUGAGGUUUUUACUUUAAAGGUCAUCAUUUUAUGGACAAUCAGUUAUUUCCCUACAUAUGAAAACUUGGCCAAUUGCACCGUGAAAGGAUAUUAUGCAUGUCCAAUAUGUGGAGAAGGAACAUAUUCCCAAAGAUUAAAGUAUGGUAGGAAGAACUUGUAUAUGGGUCACCGACGAUUUCUUCCACGUAACCAUCCCUAUUGGAGACAAAAGAAGGCACUCAAUGGUGAACAAGAUUUUAGAAUUCCUCCUAAAAUUUUGAGUGGAGAAGAAAUACUUGAAAAAGUUGAUCUCAUUCCUAUUUCUUGGGGAAAAAUGAAGAUAAAAUCUCUUGAACUGAUGUGAACACAAAUUGUUGGAAAAAAAAGUCCAUAUUUUUUUAGUUAGAAUAUUGGAAAUAUCUUCAUAUCUUUCACAACUUGGAUGUUAUGCACAUCGAAAAGAAUGUCUGUGAGAGUAUUAUUGGUCCUUUGUUUAACAUCCUAGGAAAAAAAAAAUGGACUUAAUGCUCAACUUGACCUAGUUGAAAUGGGUUUAAAGUCUGAACUUUUCCCAAGAGUUGACUUGAAGCGGACCUAUCUUCCCCCUGCAUGUUAUUCACUAUCCAAACAUAUAUGACAAAAAAUUAGUUUGUCAAACAUUGUCUAAUUUGAAGGUCCCUGAGGGGUAUUGCUCAAAUUUGAGAAAUCUUGUCUCCUUAGAGGAAUUGAAGUUAUUUGGUUUAAGAUCCCAUGACUACCAUGCACUUAUGCAACAACUAUUGCUAGUGGCAUUACGUUUUGUUUUGCUAAAGCAUGUGAGAUAUACUAUAUCAAGAUUGUGUAUCUUCUUCAAUCAAUUAUGUACAAAAAUGGUUGAUGUGCCAAAAUUGGAUGAAGUACACAAUGAGUUAGUGGUCACGCUGUGCUUACUUGAAAAGUAUUUUUCACCUUCAUUUUUUGAUAUUAUGCUUCAUCUAGUAGUGCAUUUGAUAAGGGAGGUGUGACUAUGUGGUUCAGCUUACUUUAGGUCGAUCUACCCAUUUGGGAGGUAUAUGAAAGUUCUUAAAGAAUUGUUCGCAAUCAUAAUUGGCCUGAAGGAUGCAUUACUAAGUGCUAUUUAGUAGAAAAAGCUAUCGAAUUUUGUACUGAAUAUUUAUUAGGGACUUAUGCAAUUGGAAUUCCAAAAGCAACAAUUAUGACAACAAAUUUCGUAGACCUAUUGAUUACUACUCAAAAAGUGCUAUUUGAUAGCUUGUAAUUAAUCCUUUUAAACACUUUUGAGUAGUAGUUAUUGCCUUUUAACCCAAUUAACAUGUUAAGGACCCUUGCAAUCAUUUCUUAUCAAAUUGUGUAAGUUUUGGUGUUUUUGUUAGUAAUUUGAUCACCAAAACAAUCCAAGAUUGAGGAGAGUUAUUUGGAAUCCAUGGCAAAGCAAUGAAGAGCUCAAAUUCAUGAAGAACCAAGCUUUGGAGCUCCAUAGCCCUUUGCCAAAGUCGUUCAAAGUAUGCAAGGAAAGAGCACUGGAGAGAGGAAAAACAGAGUGAAGAAAACAGAGGAAAGCUAGAUGUAGUCUUCUUUCACACUUUUGGAGCAAUUUCCGAAGUCCAUUUUCUACAUUCGAUAUACCAUUUCAAAGCUCAGGAAGUCAAGAAUCCAAUGCUUCAAACGGUGCAUGAUUCGGAGUUGAAACGAAGGAGUUACAGCCAUUGCAAGCAGAUCACUCCAAAGUGUUGCGAAAUCAGCCUUUUGUUGCGAGAAUUUCGCAGCCUUUUUGUACAGUGCUAUGGAAUUCCUCCUAAAGUUGCCCGAUAUAUGCCGCAAGCUGGAAGCUGAGAACAUCAAGGUGGAAGCCAACUUCGCAGCCCUACGAGAAUAACUUGUUGAUGCGAAAAUAUUUCGCAGCCCUCUUGAGUGUCUGCGAAAUCUCGCAGACACCAUUUUCACCUGCGAAAUGUUCCUGGAGCUUCCCGAUAUUUUUGCACCGACUCUUUUGGAUAUUUUUCUUCAGAUAUUUUUGUAUAAAUUUCCAUUCUUCUCCUUGUAAGCCACGAACCAUAAGAUUUCUUAGUUAGGAAGGUUGGAAAAACAUCUCUAUAUAUAUUCCUUUGCAUCCACUGUAAUCAUAUAUCAUAUAUAGAAUAUACAGAGCCUUGCUCUGUUUUUCCUUCUCUUUCAUUUUUCAUUUAUUUUUAUUUCUAGCCAACCAAACUUUGAGGAUUUUUCCACAGAGGAUGAGAGGCUAAGCUUUUUGUCUCUUGGAGUGAGGAAAGCCGGGUAAGUUUCCACAUGCAUAAUUUGGAAGUUUUGUUGUUUUAGUUUUUAAUGAAGAGAAAGUGUGACCCGUUAGUGAUUUCUAUGUUUUUAGUUAACUUAAAACGCCUUUAAAUCACCUGGGCCAACACUUGGUAAGGCAAGUGAUUUCCAACCAUGGAAAUGCACUAGUUUACCCCUUGCGAGCCUUUGGGAGGUGACUUGAAGGUAGGAUUUUCUAGAAUAGCCAACACUUGGUAAGCUUUUGGACUCCAAGGAGACAUCCAUUAGUUAUCUCUUGCGAGCUUUUGACGGGUAAUCCAAGGUUAAAGAUCACCUUGAAUGGCAAGUGCUAGGUGAGAGGUAUGAGUCAUUGUAAGAUGCAUCAGUGAGAGGGAUUUAGUGAUUGAACCCAUUAAUGGGAAGCAUCUGUACAACACCGGUUAGAGAAUUAACUAUAUGUUAAUUCUCUAAUGCGAGGAAAAUAAACAAGUGACCGGAACUCUCCAUUUUGUAUGAGGAACAAGCCUAGUGAUCUGAACUCCAAGAAACACUUUUCUUUGUAGUUAAAACCAGUUACUAUUUUUUGUUAGCUUAAAACCAAACCUUUUUCAUUUAAACAUCUUUAUGUUUCUUUUAAAGCUAACCUUGAAAUGAAAAGGCACCAAUUCAGCUUUGAAUUGAUAUCAUUUGUGAAGUGAAAACCCAUCCCAGUGAACGAUCCUAGAGCCACUAUGCUAUAGUAGCUUUGUCUUUGCUACCCUAGUUCAUGGUGUAAUAGGUUAUAAAUUUUGUUGAUUACUCCCUCAAUCAAGGAGCACCAGCUGGACACGAAUCAGCUGAGACACCAAGUGGGCNNNNNNNGUUCAUGGUGUAUUAGGUUAUAAAUUUAGUUGUUUACUCCCUCAAUCAAGGAGCACCAGCUUGACACGAAUCAGCUGAGACACCAAGUGGGCACGAAUCAAAUGGCGCCAUUUGCUUCGUCCGUAGCAGUGGCAGUGGCAAUGGCACCAUUUGAUUCGAGGUUCAAUCCCAGGCAACGGCGCCAUUUGAUUCGUCCCUAGCAGUGGCAGUGGCAAUGGCACCAUUUGAUUCGAGGUUCAAUCCCCGGCAGCGGCGCCAUUUGAUUCGUGUCCACUUGGUGUCUCAGCUGAUUCGUGUCCAGCUGGUGCUCCUUGAUUGAGGGAGUAAUCAACAAAAUUUAUAACCUAUUACACCAUGAACUAGGGUAGCAAAGACAAAGCUACUAUAGCAUAGUGGCUCUAGGAUCGUUCACUGGGAUGGGUUUUCACUUCACAAAUGAUAUCAAUUCAAAGCUGAAUUGGUGCCUUUUCAUUUCAAGGUUAGCUUUAAAAGAAAACAUAAAGAUGUUUAAAUGAAAAAGGUUUGGUUUUAAGCUAACAAAAAAUAGUAACUAAUUUUAACUACAAAGAAAAGUGUUUCUUGGAGUUCAGAUCACUAGGCUCGUUCCUCAUACAAAAUGGAGAGUUCCGGUCACUUGUUUAUUUUCCUCGCAUUAGAGAAUUAACAUAUAGUUAAUUCUCUAACCGGUGUUGUACAGAUGCUUCCCAUUAAUGGGUUCAAUCACUAAAUCCCUCUCACUGAUGCAUCUUACAAUGACUCAUACCUCUCACCUAGCACUUGCCAUUCAAGGUGAUCUUUAACCUUGGAUUACCCGUCAAAAGCUUGCAAGAGAUAACUAAUGGAUGUCUCCUUGGAGUCCAAAAGCUUACCAAGUGUUGGCUAUUCUAGAAAAUCCUACCUUCAAGUCACCUCCCAAAGGCUCGCAAGGGGUAAACUAGUGCAUUUCCAUGGUUGGAAAUCACUUGCCUUACCAAGUGUUGGCCCAGGUGAUUUAAAGGCGUUUUAAGUUAACUAAAAACAUAGAAAUCACUAACGGGUCACACUUUCUCUUCAUUAAAAACUAAAACAACAAAACUUCCAAAUUAUGCAUGUGGAAACUUACCCGGCUUUCCUCACUCCAAGAGACAAAAAGCUUAGCCUCUCAUCCUCUGUGGAAAAAUCCUCAAAGUUUGGUUGGCUAGAAAUAAAAAUAAAUGAAAAAUGAAAGAGAAGGAAAAACAGAGCAAGGCUCUGUAUAUUCUAUAUAUGAUAUAUGAUUACAGUGGAUGCAAAGGAAUAUAUAUAGAGAUGUUUUUCCAACCUUCCUAACUAAGAAAUCUUAUGGUUCGUGGCUUACAAGGAGAAGAAUGGAAAUUUAUACAAAAAUAUCUGAAGAAAAAUAUCCAAAAGAGUCGGUGCAAAAAUAUCGGGAAGCUCCAGGAACAUUUCGCAGGUGAAAAUGGUGUCUGCGAGAUUUCGCAGACACUCAAGAGGGCUGCGAAAUAUUUUUGCAUCAACAAGUUAUUCUCGUAGGGCUGCGAAGUUGGCUUCCACCUUGAUGUUCUCAGCUUCCAGCUUGUGGCAUAUAUCGGGCAACUUCAGGAGGAAUUCCAUAGCACUGUACAAAAAGGCUGCGAAAUUCUCGCAACAAAAGGCUGAUUUCGCAACACUUUGGAGUGAUCUGCUUGCAAUGGCUGUAACUCCUUCGUUUCAACUCCGAAUCAUGCACCGUUUGAAGCAUUGGAUUCUUGACUUCCUGAGCUUUGAAAUGGUAUAUCGAAUGUAGAAAAUGGACUUCGGGAAGUGCUCCAAAAGUGUGAAAGAAGACUGCAGCUAGCUUUCCUCUGUUUUCUUCACUCUGUUUUUCCUCUCUCCAGUGCUCUUUCCUUGCAUACUUUGAACGACUUUGGCAAAGGGCUAUGGAGCUCCAAAGCUUGGUUCUUCAUGAAUUUGAGCUCUUCAUUGCUUUGCCAUGGAUUCCAAAUAACUCUCCUCAAUCUUGGAUUGUUUUGGUGAUCAAAUUACUAACAAAAACACCAAAACUUACACAAUUUGAUAAGAAAUGAUUGCAAGGGUCCUUAACAUGUUAAUUGGGUUAAAAGGCAAUAACUACUACUCAAAAGUGUUUAAAAGGAUUAAUUACAAGCUAUCAAAUAGCACUUUUUGAGUAGUAAUCACUCCCCCCAACCGACAUAUUGCUAGUCCCUUAGCAAUGAAGGAGAGAAAAAUAAAAAUAAACAAUACUAUAAUUUACAACAUCAUGCUGAUCAAAAAACAAUUUUCAAGUGGCAUGAUGAUCUAACUCUCACAUGGAACAUUAAAGAAAUAAAACUCAAACUUCAACAAGAGUUAUCAAAUAACUUGUCUAAUCACAAUUCUUAAAGAGAAGGCAUUAUGCAAAUUUAAGCUUUAAAAUCAUUUCCACUUCCAAAGGAUCAAACCUUACUCUUCCACAAAAAUCUAAGUGUUAUUUAUUAGCUUCCGAAUAUAGUAUGUUGAACUAAUCUCUCCCCCUCAACCUAGUUCUUUUUCAAAGCUUAGCAAACUAAUCAACCUCCAAUAGGCUAAGAACGCACCUCUUUUUUCAUAAUUUUUUUCAUUGUAGGAGUACAAGGCUUAAAGGUAUUCUUUUCUAAAUUGUCCAUGUAACGGGGGUCCAUCGAUGACUCCCAACCAAUUAAGGUUUAGGGCAUCAAGCUUUAAGGAUCUUUCAACCACUAACUCCUCGGAUUUUACCCCGGACUUUUGAGAAUGAAUUUUUAAUACCCAAGCACCUACAGUAUGUUAAACUCCACCUAUUCACCCUUGUAACGAGCAUUGAGGUCGGUGACUCCCAACCAAUGAAGGCUUAGGGCACCAGGUUUUAAAGAUUUUCACCAUAUACCCCUCAGACCUUGCUCGGGUUUCAAGGCAAGCAAACAUUUUUUUUUUUUUUUUUUCAAAGACUCAUUGGCCUUUUAUAAGGUGUCCCAACACUAUUAAAUGAGGUCAAAGGUACCAAGUCUAAAAUUUUCCUAAGUCAAGAGGGAAAUAGUUUUUCAUCUUAUACUCGGAACCUAUUGUGCACAGUGUGUGGAUAGCUUAAAGUGGAAGAACUAAGGUUGACUUCAAUAGAAGUUUCAACAAUUCAUCAACUUUAAUAAGCAUAAUACAAAAUCUAAGUCAAGUAAAAAGACAAAAAUUCAAUUUCUCCAAUUUUAGUUUGAAAAUUUUUCCUUAAUAACCAUGGAGAGUAGAAUAAAAACUUUAAAAUUUUUUUAAAUUAAGCAAAAAACAACUAAAUUACCAAAAUAACUUAGCAUUAUUAACAAUACUUACUUCCUCAACUCUCCCCCCAACCAAGCUGAACAUUGUCCUCAAUGUGACAAAAGCGAUUGAAAAAUAGGGAGGAAGUGGUACCUCUUGAGUGACAUGGAGUCUGAGUUGUAUAGGAGAAACCACAUGUUUCAAAGAAAACAUAAGAGUUAGUGAGUAGAAGAAAUAGAAAAAUGCCAAGUUUAAACAAAAAUGAUGUCUAUGUAUGAUGUAUCAUCAGUAACACAUCCAAUUCCAAAAUAUAAGACAUCAAAACAUGGAAUUAUCUAUACUAAUAUAAUAUGUAAAGACAAAAAUAAAGAGAUGAUCAAGCAAUGGUAAGGUCCUGUGGAGCUGAUGCAUCUAUGGUGGCCUCUUGAGUGGGUUGGAUAAGGACUUUGACCUCUGUUCUGGUAGUCUCCUUAGGUGGCAUAGUCUCCUCAACUGGAGCUCUCAGUUGGUAGCUAUGGGAUUUGAUGGUUUAAGGAGGUAAGAAAUGGAGUGAGAGGCUUGGUGUGUGUGAUCCCAGGGUAUGCAGGGCUCUCCUUUUCAGAUGCAUGUUUGCAGGGCUCUAUUGGCAUUUUAGUAACUUCCCUUGGCUUUGCAAAGUGUUUUUGCAAAUCACCCUCCAUUUCACAAGUCAAUUUUGCAAUUUAAAGUCCAUUUUGAAGCUUGGAGGUGAUUUCACAGCCCUUUCGAAGCUUGGAGAUCAUUUCGCAGAAAAGUGGCAUGUUCACUGACCAUUUUUGAAGCUUGGAGCAUUUUCGCAGCCAUUCUGAAGCUUGGAGAUCAUUUUGCAGAAAAGUGGCAUUUUCGCAGACCAUUUUUGAAGCUUGGAGCAUUUUCGCAGCCAUUUCGAAGUUUGGAGAUCAUUUCACAGGCAAUGGGCAAUUCCGCAGCCCAUUUCUGAAGCUUGGAGCAUUUUCGCAGCGGGGGGUGGAUUUCACAGAGGAGGGGAAUUCUCGCAGCCCAUUUCGUAGCUUAAAAGUAAUUUCAUAGCUCAAAGGUGAUUUCGCAGCCAUAUCGCAGCUUCAAAAUGAGGGGAACUGUGCUGCAAAUGGCACUCGUGUGCCAAAAAGUGGUUUCGUAGCUGCGAAACACCCUUCCAAAUGGCGUCUCGGCUGCGAAAUUCCCGUUCAGCUUUGCGCGCUUGUCUUCAAAUGACCAUAACUUCUUUAUUUCAAAUCCAAAUCGAGUACCGUUUGAAGCUAUGGACUCCUGACUUCCCAAGAUUUGAAACGAGAUAUCAUAUGCAUAAUUUGAGCUCCAGGAAGUGCUUCAAAAAUGUGUCCAACAGUAGCAAAAUUGAGGUGCGACAUUUCCGCUCAUGGUUUGCACAGUCAUCUUCAAACAGCCAUAACUUUUCUGUUUCAAAUCCAAAUCGAGCACCAUUUGAAGAUAUGGACUCCUGACUUCCCAAGCUUUCCAACGAGAUAUUGCAUGCAUAAUUUGAACUUCGGGAAGUGAUCGAGAUGUGCCCAACAAUUGCCAAAAUGAGGGUGCGGCUGUGAAAUUGGGAUUUUUCAAUUUUGGGUUUCGCAGCCAUUUUCGCAGCUGCGAAAUGGCACUCGUGUGCCAAAACCAGCUUCGCAAUUGCGAAAUACCCUGCGGAAUGGGGCUUUGGCUGCCAAAAAAAAUGAAUUUUUUUUUUUUUUUUUUUUUUGGUUUCGCAGCCAUUUUCGCAGCUGCGAAAUGAGGGUUACUGUGCUGCGAAAUGGCACUCGUGUGCCAAAAGUUGGCUUCGCAGCUGCCAAACACCCUUCCAAAUGGAGCUUUCCCUACGAAAUGGAGGAUUUCAUGCUUUGGUGGUUCGCAGCCGCUUUCGCAGCUGCGAAAUGGGGGCUCCUGUGCUGCGAAGUGGCACUCAUAUGCCAAAAUUGGUUUUGCAGCUGCCAAAAUUUUCGCAAAGAGGGCUAUUGGGUUGCGAACUGGUUUCGCAGCAAAAUUUCGAUUUCGUAGAGGCUGCGAUAUCUCGCAGACCCCUGUUUUUCCCCUAUUUCUCCCCUGUUUUCGCUCCGUUUGACUCCGAUUUUGCUCCGAUUUUUUUCCUUCAAUUUCUUUGCAAUUCCUCUUGAUUUUGAUCAUCCAAAAACCUAUAUUACAUCAAAACAAACUAGAAUUAAAACAUUUAAAUCAAAAUUAAAGCAUUGAAAUCAAAAUUAAAACAAGUAAAAAAAAAACAAAACAAAAAGAUAUGGACUAGCUAGUCUUUAAAAAGACUAAGUCCAUCAAAAAAUUUGCUCCUGAUUUAGCUUGCCCGGAUCCCAUAUGAAGCUUGCAUCUCUCACUUGGGGCUUUCUCUGUAUGAUUUUCUCAUACAAAGCUUGGAGAAAAGUUAGAGGCACGUGUUUCAUCAUCAAUUCUUCCUUGAUGACUAUCCUCUGUGGUUCUUCAUCUAUAUAGUCAUCUUUCUCUGUACUUUUCCCCUUUUUCUUUCCUUUGAUUUCCUCCCUCUUUUCUUUCUCUGUUUCACUAUCUACCUUAUGCUCUAGCUUGCAUGUGGGCAGAUCAACCUCUUUACCACUCCUCAGAGUGAUCACUUCUUCAAUUUCCUUCACCAUUGAAGAUUCUCCCUCUUUAGUCUCCAUUUCAUGGAUACUCAUGGAAUUUUGAUAAGGUUGAGAAGGAGAGUUUUCUUUCUCUUGCAUUGUUUUGAGGUUGGCAAACCUUGAGAUUGAAUCUUGGAGAAUAUCUAACUUCUGAGCCAUAUCAUUUUGCAUUACAUCCAUCCUUUAUUCAAAGUACUCUCCAUUCUGUCAAUUCUUUGAUUGAUUUGAGCAUUGAUGGCUUCUUGCUUUCCAAUAAAAUCUCCCACGACCUUGCAAAGAUUCACCAUAGCUUGUUCAAGGAUUGAGGCUUGCUGUGGUGCUUGAGCAGGUUGCUGAUACUGAGGUGGCUGUGGUUUCCAAGAGAAAUUUGGAUGGUCCCUCCAAUUGGAAUUGUGGGUGUUGCAAUCACCAAACAUUUCCCUCUCGGAUGGAAUGGUAGGACACUCAUCCACCAAGUGCUCAUAUGAUCGACAAAUGGCACAAGGCAUAGCUUGCAAUGGUGUUUAAAAGAUGGUUUGCACUUCUUGCAUCUGGUUCAUUUCUAGCUCAUCCAAUCUCCUUUCCAUAGCUGCAAUCUCUGCCUUCAUGUCCAUGCCGUCAUUCAAAAUAUACAUCUCACCCUUAGCUUUAGGUUGAGACGUCAUUCUUCCCAUAUCUCUAGCAUUUGGUUCAUCCCAUCCUCUUGAAAAUUCAGCCACAUAACUCAUGAAGUUCAUGGCUUCCUCUGCUAUGUGGUUCAAUAUGGCAUGCACAACUAGCAAUUUGUGAUUUAAAAACAGAGAACACAAAAGAAAACAAAAGAAAAACAAUUCAAAGAAAGAAAAUUAAGGUAAACUAAAGACUAAAUAAAAGGUAUACUAAAAUAUGAACAACAAAGAAAUAAAAAGGGUUAGUGAAAGGAAAAGAAAAGUCACCAAACUUGUGAUGAAGAUCACAAGUACUCUAGAAAGGUGCAUUGUAAAGUGGCACCAUCCCCGGCAACAGCGCCAUUUGAUUCGUGCCCACUUGGUGUCUCAGCUGAUUCGUGUCCAGCUGGUGCUCCUUGAUUGAGGGAGUAAUCAACAAAAUUUAUAACCUAUUACACCAUGAACUAGGGUAGCAAAGACAAAGCUACUAUAGCAUAGUGGCUCUAGGAUCGUUCACUGGGAUGGGUUUUCACUUCACAAAUGAUAUCAAUUCAAAGCUGAAUUGGUGCCUUUUCAUUUCAAGGUUAGCUUUAAAAGAAAACAUAAAGAUGUUUAAAUGAAAAAGGUUUGGUUUUAAGCUAACAAAAAAUAGUAACUAAUUUUAACUACAAAGAAAAGUGUUUCUUGGAGUUCAGAUCACUAGGCUCGUUCCUCAUACAAAAUGGAGAGUUCCGGUCACUUGUUUAUUUUCCUCGCAUUAGAGAAUUAACAUAUAGUUAAUUCUCUAACCGGUGUUGUACAGAUGCUUCCCAUUAAUGGGUUCAAUCACUAAAUCCCUCUCACUGAUGCAUCUUACAAUGACUCAUACCUCUCACCUAGCACUUGCCAUUCAAGGUGAUCUUUAACCUUGGAUUACCCGUCAAAAGCUUGCAAGAGAUAACUAAUGGAUGUCUCCUUGGAGUCCAAAAGCUUACCAAGUGUUGGCUAUUCUAGAAAAUCCUACCUUCAAGUCACCUCCCAAAGGCUCGCAAGGGGUAAACUAGUGCAUUUCCAUGGUUGGAAAUCACUUGCCUUACCAAGUGUUGGCCCAGGUGAUUUAAAGGCGUUUUAAGUUAACUAAAAACAUAGAAAUCACUAACGGGUCACACUUUCUCUUCAUUAAAAACUAAAACAACAAAACUUCCAAAUUAUGCAUGUGGAAACUUACCCGGCUUUCCUCACUCCAAGAGACAAAAAGCUUAGCCUCUCAUCCUCUGUGGAAAAAUCCUCAAAGUUUGGUUGGCUAGAAAUAAAAAUAAAUGAAAAAUGAAAGAGAAGGAAAAACAGAGCAAGACUCUGUAUAUUCUAUAUAUGAUAUAUGAUUACAGUGGAUGCAAAGGAAUUUAUAUAGAGAUGUUUUUCCAACCUUCCUAACUAAGAAAUCUUAUGGUUCGUGGCUUACAAGGAGAAGAAUGGAAAUUUAUACAAAAAUAUCUGAAGAAAAAUAUCCAAAAGAGUCGGUGCAAAAAUAUCGGGAAGCUCCAGGAACAUUUCGCAGGUGAAAAUGGUGUCUGCGAGAUUUCGCAGACACUCAAGAGGGCUGCGAAAUAUUUUCGCAUCAACAAGUUAUUCUCGUAGGGCUGUGAAGUUGGCUUCCACCUUGAUGUUCUCAGCUUCCAGCUUGCGGCAUAUAUCGGGCAACUUCAGGAGGAAUUCCAUAGCACUGUACAAAAAGGCUGUGAAAUUCUCGCAACAAAAGGCUGAUUUCGCAACACUUUGGAGUGAUCUGCUUGCAAUGGCUGUAACUCCUUCGUUUCAACUCCGAAUCACGCACCGUUUGAAGCAUUGGAUUCUUGACUUCCUGAUCUUUGAAAUGGUAUAUAGAAUGUAGAAAAUGGACUUCGGUAAGUUCUCCAAAAGUGUGAAAGAAGACUGCAGCUAGCUUUCCUCUGUUUUCUUCACUCUGUUUUUCCUCUCUCCAGUGCUCUUUCCUUGCAUACUUUGAACGACUUUGGCAAAGGGCUAUGGAGCUCCAAAGCUUGGUUCUUCAUGAAUUUGAGCUCUUCAUUGCUUUGCCAUGGAUUCCAAAUAACUCUCCUCAAUCUUGGAUUGUUUUGGUGAUCAAAUUACUAACAAAAACACCAAAACUUACACAAUUUGAUUAGAAAUGAUUGCAAGGGUCCUUAACAAGUUAAUUGGGUUAAAAGGCAAUAACUACUACUCAAAAGUGUUUAAAAGGAUUAAUUACAAGCUAUCAAAUAGCACUUUUUGAGUAGUAAUCACCUAUAAUUAGUGGUCGUUCUACCAUCAUUGUUCAUAAAUCGUGGUUACAAGCACAUCAUUAUCUAUUAGAGAAUACAACUAUCGUCCAACCAUACACUGAGUAAGAAAAACAUACCUUUAUCUUUUUAUAAUUUCAUAACAUAAUGAUGAAAUCCUAAGUUUGCAUUCCUUGUCUUUAACGUCAUAGGGAACACAUGAAUUGGUUGAGGUCUCAAUACCCUCGACAAUCUAAUAGACAAAUUUGGUUGCAAGAAGAACAUAUGAGUUGUUUUACAUAUUGGCUUAAAGAAACGGUAAUCUCUUAGUUUUUAGAAAAAUUUUCAAUAUGUUGAAAACAUCACAAGUUUUCAAUAUGUUUUGAUUAUACAUAGGUUGAAGAGGCUAUCCAUAAUGGGCAAGAUAUUCCCGACACACUUAGGUGGUUAGCACAUGGCCCUACUCUCCAGGUAGUCAAAUAUCCUAGAUAUAUCGUUAAUGAGUGUCGUUACCAUAUUAAGAAACGCGAUAUGACAUGCAUCACCCAAAAUAGUGGUGUUAGCAUUUUAGCAAGGACUAUGCAAAUUGCCAAUUCUAAGGAUAAGAACCUAGUUUGUGGUGAACUUUGCUUUUAUGGGGUCAUUAAUGAGAUAUGAAAUCUUGAUUACAACAUGUUCACAAUUCUAAUUUUCAAGUGUGAUUAGGUUGACAACAAGAAUGGUAUAAAAGUUGAUGAACUUAGGUUCACAUUAGUUGACUUCUCCAAAAUAGGUCACAAAUUGGAUCCAUUUAUUUUAGCAUCACAAGCCAAGCAAAUCUUCUAUGUUGAAGAUCAACUUGAUCCUAAAUGGUCAAUAGUUCUCUCAAUUCCUCCAAAAGAUUUCAAGAACAUAGAAGGACUAGAUGACUUCACCAAUAAUUGCAUGGAACAUCACCCCUUUAUAAGUUCAAUGCCAGAAUUUGAAUCAUUUGAUGCUAUGGAUGAAUCAUAGGCAAUACACAUGAGAGAAAACUGUGAGGGCAUAUGGAUUGAAAAUAAUUAAAUAACAUAUUGUACCCUUGAAUGAGAUAUAAUAAGGCAUUUCACUUAUUAGUUUUCAUGAGUUGCACAUUAACUUAGCUUCUAUAUAUUGCUCAUGAUAUAUCUAUAUAUAUUAAUCAUCCUAAAUUUCUUUCAUGCAUCAUAAACAUAUGUUAUUCAAAGGUACCACUUCAAUCUUCAUUCAACUAUCUUUUUGUUGUCCAUAGAACUAGAUUUAUAUUAUUUUUUAUUAUCAUGUUUUGAUUUUAUGCUCACAUAACUUGAAACUCUCAUUCCUAAAUUUCUUUUUCAUUAAAACUAUAAAUCAUAAUUGAAACUAUGCACUAAUUUAUUUUAUUAUUAUCCUCACAAAUAAAUUCUUCAUUAUUGAUAAGAAAUCAAAAAACAAGACAAACUUUGAAAGAAAAUUUCAAAAAAUAUAUUUGUGAAUGACCAAUUUAAUUAUAGAAAAUAUAUGCAAGGCUAUACUAAUCUUGCUUUUGAGUCAUUUUACAGGUUUGUUGGUGAAGUACUAGUUUGCACAUUUACUUGAUAUCUUCCACACAAAUAUGGAUCUAGAAGAAGGGGAAAUGCCAAAAAUAAAGCAUAGAGGUAGUGCAUUGAAACCAAAGAUUGCAAAAAAUCGAAGUAAAGGGAUAAAGCUCAAGAUUGAAUACAAUAGCCUUGGUAGUCACAUUGAGGAAAAUUCAGUUAAACUAAGUAGUUAUCUUAGUACAAUAACUAGUACCCAUGUGCCAAUAAUUAUUGAGAGUUGGAGGAAAGUCCCUAAAGAGACUAAGGAGAAGUUGUGGGAUUUGAUCACGGUAAGCCUAUCUAUAGCUUUAAUAUAUAAUUAUUGUAUACAUUCAUUAACAUGAGCUAACAUGGGUUGCUAUUUUGUAGACAAGCUUUAAUGUGAAUAAAAAAUCCAAGAGGAAUUGUUUCAUACUAAUGGGCAUCAGGUUUCGAACCUUUAAGUAUAAGUUGACAAAGAAAUAUAUAUUGUCUUUCAAGAAUGACCAAAAAAGCUGAAAAAGUCACCUCCUAUUUGCCCAUUCAUACAAGAGGAUCAUUGGAGACAGUUUGUUAAAGAUAGACUUUUUGAACAUUUUAACGUUAAGCAUUAUUUUUAUUACAUCUUCAAUUUUCACAUUUACAUAGUUUCAUUAUGUACUAAUUUUGUGUCUAUAUUUUGUAGGAAUAUCGCAAAGUUCAAAAAUCAAGAAGAGAUAAACACAUUUACAAUCAUUAUCUUGGAAGAAAAUGAUAUGCACGUUUUGAGCAAGAUAUAGUAAGUUAUCAAUAUCCAUAAAAAAAAUGGAGUAUAUAUUUUGUUUAUAGGAAAAUGAUUCUAGUUUUUAAAUAUCAUUUAUUAACUUGAUCAUGUUGAACUAAUGAGUUUUAUUGUUAAAAAUUUUAUAGCUACAAGCAGAAGGGGCUAUUGGUAGGGUUGAUAGAAGUGUUUAUGAAAGAAAACACGUGAGAAGAAAGGAAAGUUUAAUAAGAUUACAAAGCUAAUGAUUAACUAAGUUAGCAUAUUUAUCUCUUUUAGAGCCUAUAAUGUUAGUAUGUCUAUGUGAUUAUGGUUUAGGAUGAUAUCGUUAGGUGUUAAUAGGGAAGAGGCUUAAUGCUAUCAUUUUUAUGAGUAGUCAUGUUCUAUUAGUGCAAAUAUAGUAGCCUAAUUUGAAAAUUAAUUUUGAAACAAUAUACAUUAAUUUAUCUAUUAUCAUUUUUAUUAAAACAAUUCAUUUUCUAGCUACCUUGAAUUGGUCCUCUUGAAUUGGUUGUCUUUGAUUGAUAUGUUAAUCAUCUUCAUCAAAUUAUUACUAAUAUAUGUUUUGUUGUAGGAUGAAUUACUAGAAAAGGCAAGGAGACUGGACUACCUCCACCUGGUCCAAAUGACAUAUUAUGUCAGGCAUUGGGUAAGCUUGAUCAUCUAGGACGUGUGGUAGGUCAAGACCACUUGGUUAGGCCGAACUCAUACUUUCAUCAACCAUUUGAUGACAUGAAAAAAAAUAAUCAAAGAAGAAAUAUGGGAAAUGGUGUGAAAGGGGAUGCAAAAUGCUGUAACAAGACAAACUAUGUCUCCUCCCACACCCCAUUCUGAUAUAGGUAGUAAUAACAUGAGACAACAACUUGUUUUACAACUAGUUGUAGCAAAAAAACCAAUGUUUAAAAUGAUGGAAGAGCCCUAACCACCAGAACCACCACUGAAACGUAAGGUAUACAUUUACUUACUAAUAAUACAAGAUUAAUAUAAGUGAUAUAUAGCCUAUGUAAAUGAUAUUAUUUGUUGUAUUAAAGGUGAUUAAAUAUAAAUUAGCAGUGGAAUGAAAAUGAAAUGUUGUUGCAACCAGUACAUUAAUAGAAGAAAAUUGAUCAAAUGGGUUGGUCGUAAUAAAUGUUGCACACAAGCUAGAUGCUAGACUCCCAUUUCCAAAUCCAUAUGAGAUUAUCAAUGUUGGGGAUUCUAUUGGCCUUAAGCUUGACUGGCCAACAAGCCUUGUCAUACUUGAAACUAAACAUCCUCGGGUAUGUCAUUUUAUACUUGUAGUAAAUUUGAUUGUAACUUGGUAUUUUAUUGUUUAGGAGUAUAUAUUACUAACAUUCCUUCAUUUUUCAUAAGUGUUGGAUAAAGGAAAGAAGUAGAUAGUGAAUGCACCAAUUAUUCGAAAAUCUAAGCCUCAAAAUUAUUCGGUCAUUAAAAAUUUUCAGAAAUUUAUGGAUGGUUGUCUUAGUAAUGAGAAGACAUACCCAAUACAACUCCCCAUUUCACUAUUUGGUGUCGAAUUCCGAACAUAUAUAUCUAGAGAGGAUUGUGAAUACAUUAUUUCAUCUUCAGAGGUGUCAUCAAAAUGCAUCUCCUUCCACUUAUGGUGUGCACCUUUUAUUUUCAUUUGUUUUUAUUUUUUUAAUAUGAGUUGCCCAUGUUGAACAAGAUUGGAUAUGACUAAUGAUAAUUUUCUUUUGGUGUUUUGAUAAUAUAAUAGGUACAUGCAUGAUCAACUACAUAUUGCCAAAAAGGAAUCACAAUUUAUAUUUGUUAAUCCUUUUACAAUAUCAUGAGCAGGCUUUAGUAAUCCUCAAACAGAGAAAAGAACACAAUUGUUGUCAAAACACUUAAUAGAGUGCCAAGAUGUCGGAUAUGUUUUCAUGCCCUACAACCCCGAGUAAGUGACGAAUAUUAUACUUUAAUUUGAGGUUUUAUGAUUGAUUUAUAUUUAUAAUUAGAUGCUACUUUUGUUUUUAAUGUUUUAGCUUUCAUUGGGUCUUGGUAGUGAUUGAGCCAAGGAAAAUGAUAGUCCACUAUCUUGACCCUAUGCAUCACAAACCAUGUGAGGACUUAAAGGAUAUCGUAAACAUGUAAGUUCUUCCUAUUAUUUUUCAUAGUAUUAUUUUAAAAAAAAUUACAUUCACCUCAAACACAUUUUUUAUUGUUAUUUCUAUAUAUUAAAACAUAUAAUAUUUACCUAUUUUAAAAUUGUACCCAUUGAACUUAUUUACAUAGGGCUCUUUAAAUAUAUGCAAAGAAAAUAUCUAAGAGAGAGCCAUCUUGGCAACUAGUGCAAGUAACAUCCAAAAAUUUUCUUUACACAUUUAGCUUAUGCAUUUGCACCAUUUAUAUAUAUGAGUACUAAUGUUAUUUUAUAACUGAUCGAUUAGUGUCCAAGACAAGAAGGAGGGUUCAAAUGUGACUACUUUGUUAUGAGAUUCAUUAAAGAGAUAAUUUUUUAUCCUACAAUGAUUGCUUCAAAGGUAUUACUUAUUUAAUGACUUGUACAUAUUUUUAGGCUUCCAAAUGUUAUGCAUUUUAAUGUUAUUUUCUUAUUUGAUUUCAGUUUGGUGAUAAAAAAAACAUAUUAUCAAGUAGAAUUCAAUGAAAUUAGAGGAGAAUUGACUACUUUUGUGCUACAACUAAUCAUGAAUCAUGUUGAUGCAUCAUGAUCACCAUGCAUGGUGAGUCCCUUAGCUACUACAUGAAUUUUUCCAUAGAUUAUAGUAUUGCUUUUCUUUGAACAAUGUUUUUAUUUGAAAAAAAGAAAAAAAAAAGUUCUUAGAUUUGUUCAUUUAUGAUAACAUCGAUCCAUAUUUAUUUUCUUCAAUNNNNNNNNNNNNNNNNNNNNNNNNNNNNNNNNNNNNNNNNNNNNNNNNNNNNNNNNNNNNNNNNNNNNNNNNNNNNNNNNNNNNNNNNNNNNNNNNNNNNGGUAUACACUCUUAGGAGGGUGGAAUAGAGAAUAAAAAGAACAAAGAAGGCAACAAGAUUUUGGGUUUUUAAAUGCAGCUCGUAUGUCAUACAUUGUAGGACAUAAACGUUACUUUAAUUGGUAGUGAGAAUUUUAGAUUUUUAGAUGCUACUUUUAUGUCAUUUUAUAGUUAGUCGGUUUUAUGCUUAUGAAAUGAAGGUAUACAUGAAUCUUGGGAUGCUUAACAUUACUAGAUCAUGUUUUGGUAUGUAUUCACUCUUCUUUUUUAGUUUUGGUGGGUUUGAUAUAUUGGAUGUACUAUCUUUUUGUGAACAUUUGAUAUACAAAUAUUAUUAGAUGAUCAAUGUAUUACGAGUUAUUCCAUAAACAUUACUGAAAAAUGAGUUAAAUGUAAUAUGAUUGUUAUAUUUAUGGACAAAAUAUACACAGGUUAAUCCUAUUUGUUAAUUCAUAAGCAUUACAAAAAUCUACAACUAAAAGCAAUCAUAUCUUCCAUGAUAAUUUACAAUGAUGUGACACCAUAACUCAAAGGUGAUGCAUUUAAUGUGACAUCAUAACUCAAAGAUCAUGCAUUUAAUGCGACAUCCUAUCAUCACUAGAAAUAUAUGAUGUCACUUUCGAAUGCGUUACCAUUUAUCUACUUUGGUGUCACUUACAAAUACGUCACCAAUUGGUACCCUCUAUGGUGUCAGUGGAGAAGGUGACACUAUGUUGUAGUGACACCCUAUGUUUAUGGUGACUCGUUAUAAAUGUCACCAUAUAUCUUUUUUCUUGUAGUGCAAAUUACUUAUCUUACUAUGCAUUGGGCUUUGAUAUUAGCCAGAGACAGUAGUGGCUCCUAAUUUUUAUCCUUAACUGAAAUGAAAACGUUAAGCAGGUCCCCAGCCUCUUUUUCGCCAUUCUUCCACUAUUCUACUAUUUGGUCCAUGAUUGGAUCAUGGUACUUGUUAAUGGUGUUCAUAGCCUCCCAUAUAGUCUUUUCAUGGCCAUCUAAAUUCAGCACUCUCUGCCAUGGGAAGUAAUCAGAUAAAGAGAAUACAUAUAGAUGAGCAAGUAUAGUAAAGAAGGAUUCAACAUGUUGCUCCACUUCAACUCUAGGGCCUCCAUCUUUCUUUCGUUCGCCAAAGUAUCUUGUGUUGAGGAUCAUCUUUCAGAUGACAUUCCCGUUGUAUUGACGGACUUUAUUUCUGUCACACCCCAAAUACUAGGCAACCCAGAACUUGACUCGUGGCCCUAGGUCAAAGGUUUGACCCUAAGAGUUACUCUUAUCCAUGUUGGCAAUCAAUCAAAACACCCUAGAUUUUUUUUCUUUUCAAUAAAGCGUUUAAUCCUAAAUAAAUUUAUUAAGCUAAGAUUUACUAUAACAUAUCAUUUUAUUUUUCCAAAACUAACCAUCACAUUAUCUCCUGUUCACAAGUAUUAAAAAAAUAAAAUUCCACCAAUCAUCUUCCUACCCAAAAGCUCAAAUAUUUACAAUAAUCUCUAAGUCAAAAAGAAUAUUUCCAAAAAUGUUUUACAAACUAAUAAAAUAUAAUUUAACUUAAAAAGGUCCAUAUAACUCAAAUUAGUAGAUGUCAAAAAGGUAAUUAAAAAAAAACAACAACCAUUAUUAUGGUUUUUUUGCUUUUUAGAACACUUCAUGAUCUUCUUAUGGUCCCUUAGAAACUAUAUCUGCAUCUAAAAAUUUUAGAAAAUAAAGGGAUGCACAUUUCCACGUUACUCUUUAGACCUAGACGAGUUAGAAAUUCUAGGUCAAUAAAACACAACCAUAUGCCAAAAUAUAAUAUUACAUUUACAUUAUACACACUAAAAGAAACCUCAACCAUACAAAUUUAAAUCAAUCAAAAUUAUCAUUUUCCUUAUUUAAUCAUAUGUUUAGCAUAUCAAUAAUUUUAAAUUUACAAAAUAAAUAAGUCACUUUAGUCUUGAAUAAUAUAUUCAAACAUACACUUGAUAAAUAAUACAAAUCAUUUUUCCAAAUGCAACCAUGAUACAAAUGCUUACACACAAUCGCGCAAUGCAAUAUCGUUCUCGGGCUUUCACCGAAGGAUAUGCAUUUAUACCCAAAUACACUCCCCAUUCGGAGUCUUCCUGGGAUAAACUUUUGAGUAUUUCACCCUAAGGAUCUCACUCCCUUCUUAACUCACCAUCUCUAGGGUCAUUCAAUUUCUUAUUUUUCUUUUCUUUUCAUUUUUGCCAUUUUUGGGGUCUUUUCAUUCUCAUUUCCAUUUCACACAACCAUUUCUUUAAUUUUUCUUUUUCUUCACACAAUCAUGAUGCAUAUGAAAUGCAAUUGAAUCAUAUUUUAACAUACAUAAUUUUCCAAGACAUAAUUUUAUUUACUCCCAUUAUGUUUCAUAAUUUCCAAUAAUCCACACAACGAUUUUUCUUCACUUUAAUCGUCACAAACAUAAAAGAAAAUUCACAAUUAAUUUGUAUAGCAUCAAAACAUAGUUUUAAACAUUGACCACAUAAAUUCUAUUUAUUCCCGACAUGCUUAAUAAUUUCCAAAUCCAAUAUAACCAUUUUUUUUCAAUUAAAUAAUCACACAUAUCCAAGAAAAUUCUCGCUAAUACAAAUAUCAACGAAAAUGUAAUUUAUGUCAUAAUUUAUUUGUCUCCAAUAAUUUCAAAAAUUUUGACACCCAUAUGACAAAUUUCCACAAUUAAGCCACCCCAACAUUUGGGAAAAAUUUUCCAAUAAUUCAAAUAUCAACAAAAACCCAAUUUAUAUCAUCAUUUUAUUUAUUUUUAAAAGCAUUAAUAAUUUUAAUAAUCAAUACAACACUUUUCCACAAUUAAGCCACCACAACAUUCUGGGAAAAUUUUCCAAUAAUUCAAAUAUUAACAAAACACAAUUAUACCUUAGUUUUUCUUAUCUCCAACAACAUCAAUAAUUCUUAGUACUCAAUACAACUAUUUUUAUUUUUUCAUAUUUAAUCUUCUCAAACAUUACCAAAAUUCCAAGAAAAAUCUAUAAAUCACGAAAUAAAAUUAUUCACAAUAAUAAUCACACUUCAAAUACUACAAAUAACAUCUAUUAUAUUUCAACAACACAAUAUAUAAAUUUUUUUGAAAGAAAAUAUUAAAUCAAAGUUUUAGGGUUAAAUCACCCUACCUUAAAUUUGAAAAUUUUAACCAUUAAAACUAAAACGGGACACCGUAGGAGUGUUCCUUGCAUUGAAUAGAAUAUCCUUCCAAAAUUUCAUGCGAAAUGGACGUCAUUUGGUAGGUCCACCAGCAUCCUAAAGCUGGCGACCCAUUUUUCCCACUCUUUGCUGAUGACUCCCCUACAUCUCUCACUCGAUUUCCUUUCUUCAUUUUCUUUUCUUCUUCUUCUUUUAAACUCCCACGCCAAUUUCACUUUAUAUAUAUAUAUAUAUAUAUAUAUAUAUUAUUAAAACAAAUCCUAAAAUACCACGCACAUCCAUUUCUCAAUAAAUUAAAACCAUUAUUCUUAAAUUCAUCUUCCGUAAUUAUGAAUUAUACCAAACUUAUGAUUUUCCAUUUCACGAAAAAUACCACCGUAUUCGUAAUUUAAUUUACUACAAGUCUACUCUUCAAAAAGUAUAAUUUGAUUAUAAUUACAUGAAACAUUGUUUUUUUACUCUAAAAUUCAUUUAAAACAUGAUAUAAUUAACUAUUAAAAAAAUUUAAUUCCAUAAAAUAUUAAAAACAUAAAAUAAUUUUUUGGCAAUCAAGAAGUUGAAAUUUGUAAUAACCUUUAACCUGUUAAUUUUACCUAUAUUUAUUUACCAACAAAAAUUUAAAUAAUAUUCUAAAAUUUAAUUCCAUAAAUUAAUUAGUCAUUCAAUUUAUAAAAAUCAAAUUCUCUACCCUUUGGUAUAACUUUUAUUUAAUUUACUUCAUUUUUCAAAUUAUUCAAUCGCAUCAAAAUUUCAAAAGUUAAAUUCACUAAAUUCACAUUUAAUUAAUUUAUCCUUUUGUAUUUUUUUUUUCUAAAUUCGCAUAUCAUAAUUUAAUCUUAAUUUAAUUUUGAUUCAAUUUUGUUUUAUGUUUUCUAAUUUUAUGAGGUUUAAUUUCAAUUAUAAAAAUUAAAUUCAAUUUCUUUUUAAUUAUCCAUUAUCACAAUUUGAUAUAAUAUAAUUUUUUAUCAAGUUUUUCUUACUACGAUUUUUCUUAUAAUUAUCCAAUGAUAAUUAAAUUAAUUCUCAUAACAUAUUUAAUAUUCAAAUUUUAAAAACUUAAUCUCAAUUAUUUGAUGGUUAAUUUUUUUCUCAAAAUCUAAAUUUAAUUUAUGAAAUUCUCACUUCUUACAUCUGACGUGGCAAAAUUUUCAAACUAUUGACUUUUGACCAACUUUUCCUAAAUUUAUCCUAAUUAAAUACUAACACAUGGAUUUUCACCACUCUUUUUGACCUUUUGACCCACAAAUUUAUGAAAGACUUUAUGCUUGGAGAAUCUACAAAAACCUGGGUAUUACAAUUUCUCAGGUUGAUAACUGUCGUGGUUACGAAGCCACCACUUGAAUCCUCAGUCGCCAUUGUAAUGGGCCUGGAUGCAAAUAGUACAUCAUGUUUCUUCAAAAGUUCUCUGCUAAUCUCUGGGAAAGUCGUAGGGACGAAAUGAAAUAUUUCCCAAUUGAAUACAUGCAAUUUUAGUGUUCAUUUCUUUCAUAAAGCCAAUGUAUCCACCAGAAAGUUGGCUUUUUGUUGAGUAAAUGAGGUAGAUAUUGCACUAGUGGCCAUGGAGCUAAUCCUGGAGGAAGUUGUAUCGGCUUGCUUUUGGUACUUGUUUUGGAAUUUAAUUUAGUGAAGAUGAGAAAGAUUGAUGUGAUGAAAAGCAAUAAGAGGAAGUUGAGAUGAGACAACACAUCGUCUGUGGUAGUAGAAGAAAACAAGGUUGAGUUACUGCUACUACUCUCUGCAACAAAACCAUUUACACGUCUUUUAUAGCAAAACCAUGUUUGUCCUAUCUUGGGUCUGGAUGCACAUUUUUAAUAUUGGGGAUCAUGCAACCAAAUGUCACACACAAAGAGAGAGAAAAAAAUACGUUUUUUAGAACUUGAAAAGGUAAAAUGGGACAAAAAAUAUUAUCCAUUCUUGAACUCUAAAAGUAAAGUUAUAAAAAGCUUAGGUGGUGUUUGUUUUUUUACUUAAUUCUAAAUAGAACCUUAAUGCUUAAUAGUGUUAAAUAUUAGGUUGUUUGUUUUUGUAGUAUUUUAUUUCUAUUAAGUAUUAAAAAGUAAAAAAACCAAUAUGUUAUUUUUUCUAUUAAGAAAAAGUUACAUAUUUUGACUUUUUCUAUUUAGUAAAAAGUUUAUAAUAAGUCAUGAAAAAGUAGAAAAACAAACAACUUAAAUUUUAAAACUAAAUUGCUUUCAGCAAAAAGCCAAAAAAACAAACACCACCUUAGUUUUUUUUUUUUUUUUUUUUUGUUAUGUAUGAUUACAUGAUUUCCCCCUUUUAAGAUUUUAUCUCAUAAAAUUUUUUUUCUAGAAGGUUCAAAUAAGUUUGAUGAAUAUUGUUUAUUUUAGUAAUUUUAAUUUUGUGGGGUACUUAAAACAUUAGAAGUUCACAAAAAGCAACAUUUAUCAGCUACCUAUCUAAAAAGCUUGGCCUAAUCAUUGAAAUCCAAAAUAUAAAGUGACAACACACUUUUUAAAGCAAUUUUCAAAAUAGUUUUCAAAAACACAUUUAUUUAUGAUAUUUUUAAAAUAAAAAUCUCAAAAAUAACUUGUUUAUAUAGCGUUUUAUUAGACAAAUACUUGAUCUUUAUAAGAUCACCCUAAUUAUAGAUUUAUGAACAUGUAACACAACAAUUAUCUAUAUAUAUACUUAGAAUUAUUAUAUUUUAAGUUUUUAACUACAUAGGACAUCGUGAGUUUUUCCACCAUUUAUCUUAUAAAAAGUUUAUUUAAAUAUGAUAAAGGAUAUAUUAUCUCAUUUCUUAUUAUAUCUGAUGCUAUAUAUAUAUAUAUAUAUGUAACAGAUCAAAUACAAUUUAAAGAUUUUAAUUAACCAUCUAUUAGCAACAAAGCAAUCUCUUAAUCUCAUUCAUAAUAUUAGGAUAAUUUAGUAUUUCCUUUUAUAAAACACUAGCAUAUAAAUCAACACAAAUCAUAUUAAGGGUGUAUUUGGUGUUGAUUUUAGGAAGCGUUUUUAGUAUUUCUAAUACUUGAAAGAUAAAAAUUUUCAAGUUUUAGAAAGAUCAAAAGCGCUUUUUAGAAUGACUAUCAAAUACAUGCUAAAUAUUACUUUUGGAUACUUAUAUUUUUAAAUAACUCUUAAAACUUUUAAGGCAAGUCUCUACUAUUUAUAUAAAUCCCCUAUUAUUUUUAAUUUUUAGAAACAAAAAAUAAAGAAUAGAAACUCCAUUUAAACAUCACCUUAUUAUUUCCUAUUAUAAAAUAACACAAAUCAAAUGAAUUAUUUAAAAAUAAAUAAAUAUAAAAUCAAAGUUGAAGAGAAAAAACUCUUGUGCAUUAAAAAAACAUCAAAAUAAAUAAAUAAAUAAAACAUCAUCAAAUAAAUGUAAAAAUAAAUUAAUGUUAUGGAAAAAUGAGAAUAGGCAACAAGAAAAUAAGAACACAGAUUUACAUGAAAAAUGCUAGACGGGAAAAACCAUGGAUAGAGGAGAAGAAAAUCCACUAUAUUAAAAAUUUGGUAUAAAAUGUGAGAGAAUCAAGCGACUAUUGUAUAGGCAUAAUCACUAUGACCCUAAAUCCUAUACAUCAUCGCAUAUGUAUGGUGUAUGCGAUAAUAUUUGUGAUAAUAAAAAUAUUGUCACAUAAAAUAACUAUGGGAUGUAAUAUUUGUAAUAAUAUUCUUUACAAAAAAAUAUUUUUUCUUUGCUUUAUUCACUUUGAUCACAACUUGAAAUAAGACAAUAAAAAUAUUUUCUUAAUUUUUGAAAAUUAAUUGAGGACUUAGAGCUACUUGUUACUGAGUGAAUUUGCUGAAUGGUGAAGAAUGCGUGUAUAGUAGUUUUGCAAUUUUUCAAACUUGUAGACAUAUUUUGUGAAGUCUUUUUCUCUUUGUAAAGCCCCAUUUUCUAUGUGAAGUUAUUUUUUCAAUAUUCUCUUUGGAAGGAAUUUACCAUUAGUUAUAUAGGUAAGAUUAAGGAAUUAAAUUUGGAAUUCUUAAGAUUUGAUUACUUAAUUCAAAGAAUUUGGUUCAAGGGAAAUUUGCCAACAAAAUAAUAUUUAAUUUUAAUUCUAUGAUGACUUUAAUUAUUUGAUAUAAUUUUAUUUUGAAAGACUUGAUGUGGGGGACUCAUCACUUAUUGAGUCCAAAUUUUGUUGCACCCAAAUUUUUAUGAGCUAAGAAACCAUAAUUUUAAAGACCAAUUCAGUGGUAAGUAAAUCUGCUAAAAUCUUCUAUGUACAAAUGACCUCACUUCAAGGUGCAACACAUACAUGUAUUAUUAUGUGUAUGGGAUGAGUCUUGAAGUUAGUCUUCAUUCUUCUUUGAUUUUUUUUUCUUCAAAUAAAUAAAUAAAACAUCAUCAAAUAAAUGUAAAAAUAAAAUAUGUAUCAGUUAAUUGGAGAGGAGAGCUUUAAGGGCAUUUCUUCUAUGAAAUUCUAUGCUCCACGUACCAUAAAUUUGUACUCAACCAACAAAAUUACAGAAUGGGUCCAUGCACAAACAAAAAUAACCCAAAUGUGAAUAUCUAAAAAUGUAUGAAGUUCACAAUAGAUAUUCAAGCCCAAAUUUAAAUUUCAAAUUAGUCCAACAGAUUUCAUUAAUCAAAAUGGGUCCAAAUUAGCAAAUAUAACCCAACAAAAAUAUCUCAUAUGUCAUAGGCCCUAAUUUAAAAUUUUCAAAUUAAUAGCCAAAAUAUAAGUUCAAUUAAUCAAACCCAAAACAUGAUAAAUUAAAAUAAAUCUCAUUAGGCCUAAACUUAAUAUCCCAUAAUUCAAGCCUAAUUUAAUAUAUAAACCUAAAUCCACAAUCAAAAUCAACCCAAUUUAUGCUAAUCCCGAUUUACAAUCAAAAUCAAACAUAAUUUAAUAAGUAAAUAACUAAAUAAAUUAAGCAAACUCAAAACACCCAAACCACUACAACAUAAAUCAAACAAUAAUAAAUAUAAUGACAACAAUAAUAAUAAUAAAUAAAAUAAAAUAAAAUAAAAUAAAAAUAAAAAAUUUAACUCACGUCGGAGCCAGUUUGAAUGUCUUAGGAAAGAAAGAAAAUGAGAGAAAAGUGAGAGAUGAUUGACAACUGACAGUGGCUCACUAGCGGCAACUGGUUAGUGGUCCUACCGAUGGUAGUGAGGAUUGAUUGGUUUUUGGGAAAAAAAAUAAAAUGAAGAAAAGAAAAUGAGAAGUAAUAAAAAAAAUGGAGAAAUGAGAGGAAGGUGGGAGAAGAAUGGAGAGAGAGAACGUAGAAAAUGAGUGAAAAGAAAUGAGGCUAGUUGGAGGAGAAAGUGGUAGUGUGUGAGCUAAAGUGAAGAAUAAUAGAAGAAGAAAAUGGAGAAGAAUGGGGAAAAAAAAAUCCGUCUCCCUAAAUGAAGAAAGGUGGGUAGCCUAAAGAAGAAGAAAAAAUAAAAUAAAAUAAAAUGGGGAGAAAAUGAGAGGGGGUCGGUGGUCUUGCGAAUGAGGUGGUAUGCGUUAGAGAGAGAGAGAGUGGGUGGGGUUGUUGGGGUUGUUGGGGAAGGUAUGAGAGAGAGAGGAGAGAGAAAAGAAAAAAAAGAAAGAAAAGAAAAAAGAUAAUAUAAAAUAAUAAUAAUAAUAAUAAAAUAAAAUAAUAUACAAAAUAAUAAAAACUAAUAAUUAAAUAGUGAGUGGGCAAAAAAUAUCAUAUGUAAUCAAGAUUUAAUUUUAAGAGUAAAAUUGGGUUAAAAAUUAAUGUAAAAUAAAAUUGGGAUAAAUUUUGGGGUAUACAAAUAUGCACCUCUUCAAUAGAGUCCACGAGUAAAGCAAGUGUAUAUGUGAGCAAAACAAAGUGGGCUCUACUGAAAAAUAAGAAAGACCACCAAAUUUGUCUUAAUAUGACAUGAACUCUCCCAAAUAAAAAAAAUAAAAAAUCUAAAACCCUACAAAAAUGGCCAAAAUGGAAACUCCUAAGGUGCCUCUAAAGUUAUACUAUGGAUCUAGACUCCCUUAGAAAAGCCUCCAAAAAUGGCCCAAAAAUCGGUGCCAAAAUCGAGUAGCAAUCAGACCACUAAGGAGCACAUGAACGAAUGCAUACAAAGGGAAAAAAACCAUACGUGUACCAUACGAUGACAAAAGGCAUAAGGUAUCCAACAAUAUGACUGAUUCACGUGUUACGAGCUUAAAGAACUUUGUCAUGCACCAUGGAGGAAGGGAAACUCUAGAAUAAUGUGAUGAGGAAGUUAUUAGCACAAUGUAACAGAGUGAGGAAAAAAGUGAUGAGUGCAAAGCUGUGAGGACAAAGUGCACAAUGCUAAUGAAUAUGAAAUGAAUAGCACUAGGCUAUAAUGCAAUGAAUAGCUCAGGGUUGUACCAUAAUGAACAAGUCAAGGAUGUGUAAAGAUGAGGAACAACUCAAGGUUGUAAUGCAAUGAACAACUUAGGGCUAUGAAUGCAAUGAACAGCUCAGCUCAAUGAAUGAAAUGAAUAGCUCAGGGCUGUGAAUGCAAUGAACAACUCGACGUUGUGGAUGUAAUGAACAACUCAUGGUCAUGGAUGCAAUGAACAGCUCAGGGCUAUAGAUGAACAACUCGGGGUUGUGGAUGUCAUGAACAACUCAAGAAUAGGGGCACUAUACACCCAAAAUGGGAGAUCACGGUCUACGAUUCCAAGUCAAACCACUAAAGGGUGACCAAAAUGAGGGUGAUCAACUCACUAAAAAAGAUGAUCAAAAUGUCUUAAGGGAGAGGAGAUGCCCCAGAUGAAACUUAAAGGAAAUGAGUAGUGCUAAUGAAACUAAAAAAAGAAAAAAUGUCACAACUGAAAUUGAAAAAAUAGCAAACUUAGAUUAAAGUGCAAUGAACAACUUUGGGCUGUUGCGAUGAGUAGUACCGUGUUGUAAUGAAAUGAAUAACUUUAAGAUAUGGGCAUUGUACGCCUAAAGAGGGAGAUAGUGGUUUACGACUCCAAGUCAAACCACUAAAGGACGACUAAAAUAAGAUGAUCAACUUACUAUAAAUGAUAAUGCAACUAUCUCGAGAAAAAGGGUAUGCCCCAAAUGACACUCAACAGUAAAAGAAUGACACAAAUGAAACUAAAACAAGAGGAUGCCACAAAUGAAACUGAAAUGAUAACAGACUCAGUACUAAUGUGUAAUGAACAACUUUGGACUAUGGAUGCAAUGACUAGCACUGGGUUGUAAUGAAAUGAACAACUCUAAGAUGUGGGCACUAUACCCCUAAGAAAUGAGAUCAUAGUUUACGACUCUAAGUCAAACCGCUAAAGGGCGACUAGAAUAGGAUAAUCAACUCACUAAAAAUGAGGAUGCAACUAUCUCGAGAAAGGGGGUAUGCCCUAAAUGACACUCAAUAGUAUAAGAAUGACAUAAAUGAAACUAAAAUAAGAGGAUGCCACAAAUAAAACUAAAAUGAUAACAAACUCAAAACUAAUGUGCAAUGAAUAACUCUAGGUUGUGGAUGCAAUGAACAACAUUGGGCUGUAAUGAAAUGAACAACUCUAAGAUGUGGGCACUAUACGCCUAAAGAGGGAAAUCACGGUCUACGACUCCAAGUCAAACCACUAAAGGGCGACUAGAAUAGGAUGAUCAACUCACUAAGAAUGAGAAUGCAACUAUCUUGAGAAAAGCGGGAUGCCCUAAAUGACACUCAAUAGUUAAAGGAUGACACAAAUGAAACUAAAACGAAAUGAUACUACAAAUGAAACUGAAAUGAUAAUAAAUUGAUAACUAAAGUGCAAUGAACAACUCUAGGCCGUGGAUGCAAUGGACAGCUCAAGAAUAGGGGAACUGUUCGCCCAAAAUGGGAGAUCGUGGUAUGCGACUCUAAGUCAAACCACUAAAGGGUGGCUAAAAUCAAAAUGAUCAACUCACUAAAAAUGAGGAUCUGAACAUCUCAAGAAAGGGGUUAUGCCCCAAAUGAAACUGACAAUAGAGGGAUGCCUUAAACAGACUGAAGAAAGAAGGAUGCCCUAAACAAAUUAACGAAAAAUGGAUGCCCUAAACAAACUGACGGAAGUGAAAUGCCCUAAAUAAACUGACCAAAGAAGAAUGCACUAAACAAACUCUGAGAAAAAAAAAAAAAGAAGUAUGCAAUAUAGAAUCAAAAACACCUAAAGCAAAAACAAGAAACAAAGAAUGUGGUUUACAACUAGAAACACCCAAAAGAACCUUAAAGAAGUAACUGGGAUAAUGAACUUAAUGAAAAUGGGGUAUGCCACAGUAAAAGACUCGGAAGUAUCAGCAAAUGGGUCAAACGACCAUGAAAUCAAUAGGAGAUAUGAUGAACCCAAAAAGGGCAUAUGCCCCAACAAAAGAACACUAAAAGGGGGGUAUGCCCCGAUAUGACGACUCACAAUAAUUAAGAAAUGGAUCGAGUAAUGAGAAAAUCUGCAAAAUAUCCUAUGAACUCAAAGAUGGGGGUAUGCCCCAGUGUAAAAUAGUGACCAACAUAAGACACAGAAUGUCACCAUACAAUACACUCUGGGAUAUGCUCAAUGUCAAUGUAAUGAAAACAAUAGCCUCAAUCAACAAAUGUUCAAGCAAGACCAUGCAUCACAUAAACUAAAAUAAUAGGCUAAACAAAUGCUAACCAAGUCUCUCAAUCUGAAAUGUAAGCAAGUCAAGACAUGACAUGCCAACCAUCGACAUGAAAACAUCAUCACAAAUACAUCAACAAACUAAUAGUCCCUACUAUCAUGGAAGAUGUAGAACCUAACGUCCAAAGGCAUGUGAAAACUCAACCAGAAAGCUCAAGACUAGUUUGCAUCCUCCUCUAAUAAAAAGAAUGAGAUAAGGUCAUGUAGGAUGAUGAAAUAGGCAAGCUCAAUAUUCGUUAGGCUCUACCAAGAUGGAUGUAGGUAUAAUAGUGUCAAAGGUAGGAUGUCUAGAUUUCCAACGAAGGAAACUGGGUAUCCAAGUCAAACCAAGUAUGUUGAGGAAACUGAACCCAUAGGACAAUAACUUUAUGAUCCAUUGAAAAUAGCAAUCAUGAAUAGAAGGUCGAGUCUCGAUGUCAAAAUCAACAAGGUGGCAUUGCCCCAGUAUGAAUACAUCUUCUCAAAAUGGGUAAACCUUUAGUGCAAGAUAAUCUCUAGAAAGUGUGUGUCUAGUAUAAACUGUCAUCUCACAAAAUUUAUCACUGAUGAGUGGGCUAUACCCCAGUGUAAGCAUUUCCAAAUCAAACAUCGAUGAGAGGAGUACAACCAAUCAUACAUAAUAUGAUCAAAACAAAUCUCCACUCCUCAAAGUCAUCAUGGUAACGUGAAAAGAGUAUCUAACCUCAUUUAAAGAAAGAUCAUGUCCCAAUGUGAAAAAUAUCAAGCAAAGUGGUAUGUCUCAACAAAAAUGCACUCUAACAUGAUCAUGCCUAGAUGUAAGCUGGUAUCUUUAAGAUCAAUCACCAAUGAAAGGGUUAUGCCCCAGUAUAGGGCAAUCUCUUAAAUGACUAAAAUCCGCUACAAGCUCUCACAAGUGUCUAUGUCAUGAACCAAUCAUCUCAAAAAAUAAAUAAAUAAAUAAAUCUAUCAACAAUGAUGAGAAGGUUAUGCUCCUAUAAUCACACCAAGAAAAUCACCCGGUCAUAUCUUGUACUCCAAUGUGAAAGGAAAAUAUGAUCACCUCCAAAGAAUGGCUAUGCCCCAAAAUACAUCAUCGAUUGAGAAAUAUGCCCCUACGUAAAGUACAUCAACUGAAAUAUGCCAAUCAUGCCUCAUGCUCCAAUGUGAAAAAUGACGUAUAAUCUUCUUUGAGGGAUGGUCAUGACUCAAAUCCAUCAUCAGUUGAGAGAAGUAUGCCCCGACAUAAUGGUCAUCUAAAAAAUCAAUCCCCGACUAAGAAAUAUGUGCCUUGAUGUGAUGUAUCAAGCAAAAUGGCUGCAUACCCCAUAAAAAACUCUCUAAGGUGGCUAUGCUCCAAUGUUGGAUCAUACCACAACUCCUGGUCUAUCACAAUCAAAAUGCUGUCCAACCAAUCCCAAGUAUCGCCCACAUGAGAGCUAUCAAACACAAUGUGUGAUGUCAUGGCCUCAAGGUGGUCUUAAGAUUCGGAACGUAACGUAGGCUAGGGUAAUAAGGUAAAGAAAUGAAGGAAAACUAGGCUUAAUAAUCCUAAUGAUAAAACCCCAUACCUUAUGUAUAAAAUGCAAUAUGUGCAAAGAGUCUCAUAAACCAUGGAUCUAAGGACACCCAAUAUGAAUAUAUCAGUGAGGAAGAAAGAAUCUAAGAUGAAUAUAUCAAUGAUAACAGAGAAGAAAUGAAGAAUAUUAAACUGUUGAUGGGAUGUAUAAGAAUGAUGUAUGGAAAAUAUUGAACAUGGAAUGUAAAUUGAUAUGAACAAAGAACAAUGUAGGCAAGGCAAAUGUGAUAUCAUGAUAAGAACAAAUAAAUCGAAGAAAAAUGAAUGAACACUAAUCCACUCAAAUCAAGUCAUGGAGAAUAGUCAAAUCACCAACGUAUGUAAUGAUGGAGAAGACAAUGAUUCAAAGUCCCUAGGAAAAUGUCACUUGUUUGUCACACAUAAAAUACAUAACGAGAUAGACACAAAAAUAUGAGAGUCUUUUGAAAGUUCACAUACGAACUUUCAUAAGCAACUAACUCAAUAAAGCAACCUCAAUGACCAAUAUAUACACUCAAUAAAGGAUGACACUGUAUACAUGUGUUUAUUACUUUUUCUUUUCAUUUUGUUUUUCAUUUUUUUCAUUUUUGUUUUCAUUUUUUUUCUUUUACUCGCGCAUACUCUGAAUAUCAAUAAAUGAACUUCUCUGAGAAUACAUAAUGAAAUGGAUAUACUCUCAAACAAUGAUGUCAGCGAACUCUCUCUGACAAGAUGACCCUCUAAAUUAAGGAUUUUCGAACUAACGUCCAUGAGAUAGGAGUGGAAGGGGAUAUGACCAUCCUUCCUGCACCGAAAUGUGAAAAAUCAUCACUCAGGGCACAAAAAAAUGUGAUGAAAAAAAAUAAAAAAAUGAAACAAAAGAUAUAAACAAUGAAGUAUGAUGAAGACUGAUGUUGGGAAGACAAAAAAAAUUGUGAAGAAGGUGAGCCAAUAAGUCCUCAACUCAUGAAACUCUCGAAUAAAAUAUAUAUACACCAAAAAACCCUUAUCCCGGUGUAAAAUGUGAGCAAGGAUAUAAGAAAGAAAAAACUAUGGUGCUCAUGUGAGGUUCAAAGGGCUAGCAACGGUCCAAAUGUCAAUAAAGGUAAUAGGGUGUGAGCUAACCAAAAUGAAGGCCACCUAUGAUGGUCUGAAACAUCAUGCUCUUAAGCUUUCAAUGAUCAAUACUGAAAAUCGAUGUCAACCCUUUGGAAUUGUGCGCCAAACCAUACUCCAAAUGCUCCAUAAUAAUCUCAAAGAUAAUCCUCUCAAAGCAAAGUAAAUAGCGAUCUCAUAAGGCACAACUACUCAUCACAAGCCAACUCUCAUCAUGCAAGAUCAAUCUCUAUUUUCAUGGAAAAAUAAGUGACAAUCUCAUCAGGCAAUCGACGAAUCCUCACAUCGUAAACCAACCAAAGAUCAUAAGUCAUUCAUUGCCAUGCAAGAUCAAUCCCAGGCUCAAACUCCUCAUACUCUACCUGGUUGGAUUAGAGAAGAAAUGGGCAAAGCUAGAAAAACUGAAGAUGGAAAGGUCAUAUAAUGGUGUCAAGGGUGAUGUUGUGCAAAACUCACAAUGAAUGGAUGUAGGUCAAAGAAAAGUCAAUGUGUGAGAGUGAGUAAGGCACUACUCUGAUCAUAAGAAGAUGGGUCACAAUCUCAAACUCCUAAGGUCAAAUCUUCGAUCCUAGGCUAAUAAGCUCAACAUCCUCCAUGAUAGGUCAACCCCCAAGAUCACAAUGUGCAAAUGAAUAGAUGCCUCAAGUCAAAAGUACAACACAUCAUAUGAUAUAUGGUCCUACGAUGACAAUCUAAAACUGGAAAUAUGUUAGAAACUCUAAGGUCAUAAAGGUGUCCACUGUGAGAUGACUACAAAUGUGACUAAGGAAUCUUUAUCAAUAAUCCAAAAAAUGAAUGAGGUGUGAAAAACAACACUAUCAUGAGAUCGAUACCCCAUCAAUAACAAAAUAUCUCUAAUUCACUUUCAAUCUAAGCUCUAUAAAGAAAAACGAUAAGGUUAUAAAGGCAAACCUCUCAAAAAUGGUGUGAAUGUGAAAACAUGUCUUCACCUUUCUAUAAUGAAAAUAUCAUGUUGAAAAUAGAAAUAGGCAAAUCAACCAAAGAAUGAAGCACGGAGCCCAUGACAAGUGAAGAAUGUAAAAAGGUGAACAUGAUCAAUGAACAUAUCCCAAAACAUUAAGCAUAAAGUGACAACAAACCGAAAGAAUGUGUCAAUUUAAGAAAAGAAGACUAUCUGAAGCCCUAGGGAGAAAGUGUGCUAGACUCAACGAGCGACAAGAAGAAACUAAAACCAUAUAGCAAGGGGUGGUCCAACUGAUACUCAAACUCGUACCAAUAUCUAAGCACUCUCGACUGGAGACCAAAAGAUGGAGUAUUGGAUCCAUAUUGUGACUAAAGUGGCCUCGAAGGCUCUCAGAUGCACCCACGUGUAGGAAAGGAAAUCCUAAUGAAAAUAUCUAAGGCUUAACCUACAAGGUCAAGGCGGCUCUCAAAAGAAAAUUUGAGUAGACUUUAAAGGAUCCCUAGCAAAAGCGAUCAUACCCUCCGAUGGUACACAACCUCCUACACGUCUUGAAAUAUACGGGAGUGAUUCCAUGCAAGGUGGUCAUCACCUCCACACAUGCACUAUCUCGUAUCCUAGAGGGUUUCCUAAUGAUGAAGACUCUUACAUCUCUCAACACUUAGUGGUAAUCUAAGGUGCACAGUGAACGGUGUGGGUUCAUCCAAAAAUCCUAUCAAGCUAAGCAAAGAGAAAAAACAUUGGUCACACAAAUAUCCUGAAAUCUAGCUCUAACCUAUACAAGUCUUCAAAGAUUAGACUCCAAUUAGCAUUAAUGUUUCGACCUUCUCUAGAAUGCUCCCAAACAUAGAUAUAGUCCAUCACUAAACCCUACUCCGAAUCACUAGCUCGGUCAAAGAGCAAACAAAGUAAUAAGUCUCAUAUCAAAUACGAGAUCAAGGGGAACAUGGUCACCCGAGACUAGGGAAUUGAAGGUAAGGGGAUAGAUGUGUGUCCCGCAUAGAAAAGCAACAUGCAUCACACAGAAGAAGAAUAGUCAUGCAAUAGACAACCAAGCAAAGAACAGGUAUAUCAUUCAUAUCUACACACAAGCUAAACAAGAAAUAGGUAUUUAACAAGAAUAAACAAUAUGUUGAGAUAAACAAGAUAAUAUACGAUAAAGAGAAUCAAUCACACCAAUAUGAAUGAGAUAUACAAAAAUGAGAAUAUACAUGUCAAGGAGAGCAAGAUAAUCAUACAACAAGAAGAGUCUUAUGUUAAAGCAAGCAAGAGAAUCAAUCGAUGUAGUCAACAUGUCAAUAUCUCAAAUGAACAUAACAACCAAAUAUGCAUCAUAAAGAAAAAAUGGUAAUCAUGCAGCACACAGUCAUACAAAACAAAUACAGACAAACAUAAGCAAAUAAAUGUAAACACACAUGAUAACAAAAAUCAAUGUAUAGUAAGGCACAUGCAAUAUAUACAUAAAAUAAUCAUCAAGUCAACACUCAUAUACCUUAAAACAUGAAAAUAUACAAUAAAGACACAACGAGAGGGUAUUCACUGAUCGAUUAAUCAAACGCUACAUUUCCCUUAACUCGAGUUCAAGUUUGAUCCUUUAAAUAUCCCUAGUGAAGUCGCUAUUUUGUGGACCCACAUUUUUCAAAUACGUCCUUACACAACAGCGAGACUCAUUUUUUUUAUUUGGUGAAAAUUUGAUUUUUAGAAAAAAGACUUUGAGUCGUCACUUAUUUUUGUUUUUUUUUAAGGGAAAACAAAACAAGAAAGAAAACCUUGUGUGACUCCUUAUUUGGGAAAGACAUGUAUGCAAAAACCAAAUCUGGAUUCGGGGGUUAAGUUCCCUAUUGAGAAUGUACGAUGGUGAGCUGUAGCACCUCUCUAAGCUCAUAUACGUAUGGUCUCUACUAAACGAAUUAAGAGAAUUGUAGUAAUUAAUUAAUUAGUCAAGGAUACCAAGAAAAAGAAUCGCACAAAUGAGUACGUACAAAUCAUGAUAAAAAAAAUCAAAUUAUAAGAAUAGACAAAAUAAAUAACAAGAGAAUUGUGCAAAGUGAUUUAUUAAACUAAAUAAAAAAGAAGAUAUUAAAAAAAUUAGUUUUCAAGAAAUUUCAACGGAUUUUAUUAAAAUGAUUUUGAAUUAAUGAUUUUUAUUUAUUUAUUUACAAAAAAAGUGUCAAUUUAUUUUCUUCAAGUGAUUUGAUUCAAUUUCAUUUGUAUUCAAUUUUUUUUUUUUAAAAGUUAUUUACACUCAUGGUUGUUAAAAGAAUUAUUCACAAAAUUUCAAGUUGACAAUAAAAAUGAUUUUUACUUGCUUUUACUCAAAAACAAUGAAUUUUUACAAUUUUAUUAACAAAAGCAUUUCAAUUUAAGAAAAGUGACUUAAACAAAUUAUUAAAAAAAAUAUAACUUUAUCUGCAAAAGAAUUUUUAAUUAAAAAGAAAAAAUUUAAGUCAUCUAUUUCUAAAAAUGACUUUUAAUCCCAUUUUAAUUAAGGAAAAUUGAGUUAUCUAAAAAAACAUUUUUUGGACAAUUUGAAUAAAAAUUAAUUUUUGGGACAACUUUAUUUACAAAACAAUUUUUGGACAAUUAUUAUUAAAAACAAAAUUUCAAAUUCGAUUAAAAACAAUUUUUUGGAUUUUUCCAAACACAUUUUUAUGAAUUUUUAUUAAUAAAAAACUUUUUUUUAUUAAGAAGAAUAUUUUUUGAGCUAUUAUUUUAUUAAAACAUGUUUAUUGAAUUAUUCUUCUUCUUCAAACAAAAUUUUUAAUUUGUUCGAUAUCCAAUUCUGUACACAACAAGUAAAUAUAUACAAACAAAUAUUUAUAGAAACCAAUAAAAAUAAAACCAAAUAGAAGUGAGAAAUAAAACAUGUACUUAAACAAGCUUACAACAAGCUCAAUGUCUUCUUACGACUUUUCGAGUUUCACUUUCUUUCAUUAAAUUUUAUGCUCCACGUACCAUAAAUCCGUACUCAACCAAAAAAAUUGCAGAAUUGGCCCAUGCAAAAACAAAAAUAACACAAAUGUAUAAAGUUCACAAUAGAUAUUCAAACCCAAAUUCAAAUUUCAAAUUAGUCCAACAAAUUUCGUCAAUCAAAAUAGGUCUAAAUUAGCAAAUAUAGCCCAACAAAAAUAUCUCACAUGUCAUAGGCCUUAAUAUAAAAUUUCCAAAUUGAUAACCAAAAUAUAAGUUCAAUUAAUCAAACCCAAAACAUGAUACAUUAAAAUAAAUCUCAUUAGGCCUAAACUUAAUAUCUCAUAAUUCAAGCCUAAUUUAAAUAUAAACCUAAAUCCACAAUCAAAAUCAACUCACUUUAUGCUAAUCCCAAUUUACAAUCAAAAUCAAACAUAAUUUAAUAAGUAAAUAACUAAAUAAAUUAAGCAAACUCAAAACUCUCAAACCACUAUUGCAUAAUAUCAAACAAUAAUAAAUAUAAUGACAACAAUAUUAAUAAUAAAAUAAAAUAAAAAAAUUUAACUCACGUUGGAGCCAGUUUGAGUGUCGUGGGAAAGAAAGAAAAUGAGAGAAAAGUGGGAGAUGAUCGUUAGCUGGUAGUGGCUCGCCGACAGCGACUGGUCGAUAGUCCUACUGGCGGUAGUGAGGAUUGAUGAGUUUUUGGGAAAGGAAAAAAAAAAAAAAGAGGAGUAAUAAAAAAAAAAUGGAAAAAUGAGAGGAAGGUGGGAUAAGAGGGGAGAGAGAGAAUGAAGAAAAUAGGGGAAAAGAAAUGAGGCCGGCUGGAGGAGGAAGUGGUAGUGUGUGUGAGCUAAAGUGAAGAAGAAUGAAAGAAGAAGAAGGAGAAAAAUGGGAAAGAAGGGGAAAAAAAUUCGAGCCCUCUAAAUGAAGAAAGGUGAGUAGCUUAAAGAAGAAAAAAAAAUAAAAUAAAAAAAGAAAAAAUGAGGAGAAAAUGAGAGGGCCAGUAGUCUUGGGAAUGGGGUGGUAUAAGUGAGAGAGAGUGGGCGAGGUUGUUGGGGAAGGUAUGGGAGAGAGAGGAGAGAUAAAAGAAAGAGAAAAAAAAACAUAAUAAUAAUAAUAAUAAUCAUAAAUAAUAUAUAAAUUAAUAAAAAUUAAUAUUUAAAUGAUGAGUGUGUCAAAAAUAUUAUAUGUAAUUGGGAUUUAAUUUUAAGAGUAAAAUUGGACUAAAACUUAAUGUAAAAAUAAAAUUUGAACAAAUUUUAGAAUCUACAAAUACAUUCUUUAAUCUUUCCACAACAUCAAUCUGAUCUAAAUGAAAUGCAAUAAAUUCUAAAAAUGAUACAAUCUUUAAUCAAUCCACAACAUCAACCCGAUCAAAACUCAAUGCAAUAUUGCUUAAUGGAGAGAAUCGUAAAAUCCUUUUAUGAGAGGAAAACAAAACCCUUAACAGACCUUUAUGAGAGGAAAAUAGGAAAACAUAGAACUAAAAACCCUUAACGUAUUCAUGAGAAUAAAAAAAUCCUUAACACCUUAAUAAGAGGAAAACAAAGAAUUUGAACAAUCCUUAAUCCAUCAAAAGCUCUUAAUAUGAACGAGGGGAAAACAUAACCUUUAUUUUUCAUAUCGUUGAAUACAGAAUCUAAAGAGAUAGAAUUUUUAGUUAUUAAGGAUUUUUUAUAGAUGUCUAUUGAAAGUUCAAGAACUUUUAUGGAUAAGUGUUAAUUAAGAGACUGAAAGGGUACUUAGGAUUUUCAACUAAAAAAGUUAUAACAAUAUGAAUCGUAAGAACUUAAAAACAUCACCCAUCCAUAAGAGGAAUAUGGAAUGAGAGGUUAUAUUUUUACUUAUACAACAAUAAACUUUUUUGGAAGAGGUUUUUCUAAGUACAAAAAGUUAUGAAUAAAAAACCAUUGUUACGAUGAGUUAACUAAAAUAGAAUUAAUUUAGAAAAUAUCAAUAAAGUUGCAUGAAUUAUUAUCAUGAGUUAACUUAAUAAGAAUAAAUAGUAAUAAAGUUAAUGAGGUGAAUUUGGAUUGGCAGAUAUAUUUGAUGAUAAGAUUUUUUUAAUAAUAAAAAAUUAUUAUGGCAGGAAAAAUAGGACAAAAUUGACCUUAUGAUAAGAUUUUUUUAAUAAUAAAAACAUUAUUAUGGUAUGAAAAAAAGGGACAAAAUUGGCCUUNNNNNNNNNNNNNNNNNNNNNNNNNNNNNNNNNNNNNNNNNNNNNNNNNNNNNNNNNNNNNNNNNNNNNNNNNNNNNNNNNNNNNNNNNNNNNNNNNNNNUUUUCUAAGUACAAAAAGAGUUAUGAAAUAAAAACCCCAUUUGUUACGAUGAGUAACUAAAAAUAGAAUUAAUUUAGAAAAAUAUCAUAAAGUUGCAUGAAUUAUUAUCAUGAGUAACUUAAUAAGAAUAAAUAGUAAUAAAGUUAAUGAGGUGAAUUUGGAUUGGCAGAUAUAUUUGAUGAUAAGAUUUUUUUAAUAAUAAAAAAUUAUUAUGGCAGGAAAAAUAGGACAAAAUUGACCUUAUGAUAAGAUUUUUUUAAUAAUAAAAACAUUAUUAUGGUAUGAAAAAAAGGGACAAAAUUGGCCUUUCCUUAAUUGUACCGGUUAAUGGAAUAAUGGGACAUGCGGUGGUUACAAGCCACCCCAAAAGGUAGGAAGAAUCUCCAACCCCCAUUCUCGGCUCCCUUAUCUUUUCCCUUACAACCAAAAAUCAACAACUAUCUUAGAAUGUCCUUCAGUCCAUCAAAAUUCAACAACAACAAUUAUACAUUACAAUAAUGAAAACAAAAUUGAUUGAUCACCAGCUAACAUUAGGAGAUUAUAAGAUAAGGAUGUAAUUGCAAUUAUUGAAAUCACUUAAAGAGUAAAAGUUAGGAACAUGCUCACAAUAAAUAAAAUCACCUUAGAAUUAAAAAUUAGGGACAUGAUUAUGAUGAUUAAAAUCACUCGAGAACUAAAAUGUUUUAGAGAUACAAUAAUUGAAAUCAACUGAAAAAUAAAUUCGGGAUGUGAUCGCAAUUAAUGUAUAUAUAAACAACCAAAUGUUGAAAGGAAAAACUAAUGAAAUUAAUAUGAUUUUCUUUUAGAUUUCUCUUGACACCAAACAAAUGUAAGGAAGUUUAUAAAGGAAAAUUAGGUUUUGAUUCACUAAAUUAAAAUAAUAUAGAAAAAAGAUCUUCAAAUUUUAUAUACCAGUUUUAUUUUUAUUUAUUUAAAAAUAUUUUAAAAUACAUAUAUUUUUUCAUAACUCAAAUAGUCAUUCCUCAAAUGCUAGUUUUACUUGUUAUGUUAAUAACACUAGUUAAUAAUUUUUUAUUGUGAGAACGAUUUAAGAUUAAUAAAAUAAGAAAUUUUUAAAACUAAAAAGACAUUUAAAACUUUAAAAUUAAAAAUAUAAAAAUAAAACAAUAAUUUUUCAUUUAGUAAAACACGCCAGUAGAAAAUAUAGAUAUAGAGAAAGAGUUGGAAAUAAAAUAAGAGUUAAUAUUUUAUUUUUAAAAUUUUAUGUUUUUUAUUUUAAUUGUAUUUAAUUUUAUGUAUUUUAGUUGUAAUUAUAUUUUUAAUUUUUAAUUUUUUUUUAUUUUAUUGUUGAUGUAAACUAAUAAAUUUUUUGUUCAAUUAUAUAUAUAUAUAUAUAUAUAUAUAUAUAUAUAUAUAUAUAUAUAUAUUUUAAAAUUAGUGAGUAAAAACCCACUUUUUCUAAUUUAUAAUAUAUUUAUGGGAUUUUAUAAUAUAAGCAAUUUUUUUUUUUUUGAGAAAGAGGAAAAAUCAACUUUUCAAUUUCCCUUAAUAAUUAUUAUUAUUAUUAUCCAAUUUGGCUGAUUAUGAGAUUAGUUCGUAUCAUUACUAUAUCCAUUUGUUCUUAACCCUUCAUUAGAAUAGUAUUAGGAGUUGAACGUCAGUUGGAAUACAGGCUUAUGGAAACAAAUCUAUCCGAUUAGUAGGUUCUUAUUAUUUUCAAUAUAGCCCCAUAAAAUAAAUAGGAGAUGGGCAGCCCGUCCCUUUUGUCUGGAGGCCAUCCUCCCAACUUAUUAAAGGUGAUAUGAGAUAAGACAGUGACAAAAUUGUCGGUUACUUCCCGACACCUGGCUCUCCACAAGCAAACCCAGUGAUCCAGAAAUUAAUUGGUACCUGGACACGUGACUAACAAACCUUCGCUCAUCUACCAAACCCAUGGCCUCAUGCCUUAUAUAUUUCCACAAACCUAGCUCAAUUUUCAUAGCCACCUUCACUAUCCUAUACUCACUAAGCCAUGGCCAUAGAUACAAGCCUCUUGCUUGAGUUUGCUGCAGCAACUCUACUCUUCUUCAUCACCCGCUUCUUCAUUCGUUCUCUCCUUCCCAAACCUUCCCGGAAGCUCCCCCCUGGCCCCAGAGGGUGGCCGCUCCUCGGCGCUCUUCCUCUUCUAGGUAACAUGCCUCAUGUUGCAUUAGCAAAGAUGGCCAAAAGAUACGGGCCUGUCAUGUUCUUGAAAAUGGGCACUAACAGCAUGGUGGUGGCCUCAACUCCCGAGGCGGCUCGGGCUUUCCUUAAAACGCUAGACAUUAAUUUCUCUAACCGCCCGCCUAAUGCCGGUGCCACACUCUUGGCCUAUCAUGCCCAAGACAUGGUUUUUGCGGAUUAUGGGGCAAGGUGGAAGCUACUGAGAAAGCUAAGCAACUUACACAUGCUUGGUGGGAAAGCUCUUGAGGACUGGUCUCAGGUCCGAGCUGUUGAGCUAGGCCACAUGCUUCGAGCCAUGCUUGAGUUAAGCCAGCGAGCGGAGCCGGUGGUGGUGCCGGAGAUGUUAACUUUUUCCAUGGCCAACAUGAUAGGUCAAGUGAUUCUAAGCCGCCGGGUGUUUGAAACAAAAGGGUCGGAGUCAAAUGAGUUCAAGGACAUGGUGGUGGAGCUCAUGACCACUGCUGGGUACUUCAAUAUUGGCGACUUUAUUCCGUCCAUCGCAUGGCUGGACAUCCAAGGGAUCCAGCGCGGGAUGAAGCAUUUACAUAGGAAGUUCGACCGGUUAUUAACAAAGAUGAUGGAGGAGCACACGGCGUCAGCCCAUGAGCGAAAGGGAAACCCAGAUUUUCUGGACGUAAUCAUGGCAAACCAAGAAAAUUCUACAGGGGAGAAGCUCACUAUUACCAACAUUAAAGCACUCCUCCUGGUAUGCAUAGUUAAAGCUCGUCUUCAAUUUUGUUUUCCGAUAUUUUCUUUCCGGAAACAGCACUUUUAUUGCUUUUAGAUAUGUACGUUUUUAUCAGGUAGCCAUUUUAGGGGCACAUCACUAUUCUUUAUUUUUGGACUAUUUUUUUCUUUUUCCACUUGCAUGGUUGUUUUCAUAUGCUCAGCUGCAUGGCACAAGAAAAUUGUGAAAAAUGAUUGGUUCUCUGAUCAGACCUUCAGCACCAAAACACGCUUUUCUCUAUGUUAUAAAAUCGGUUUACAUGAUUUUUCAACCAGCUUCCUUGAACUUGAACUUUUGCUAGGGCUAAUGCAAAAAAUGAUUGAUCUCAAUUUUCAAUAGCGUUUGAUUACAUAAAUUUCAAGUAUGUGAACAUAUUUUUGUUUCCUUGGCUAGAAUUUAUUUACUGCAGGAACAGACACUUCAUCGAGCGUAAUCGAGUGGUCUCUGGCUGAGAUGUUGAAAAACCCGAGCAUCCUCAAGCGUGCUCACGAAGAAAUGGAUCAAGUGAUUGGAAGGAGCCGGCGGCUCGUGGAGUCUGACUUGCCAAAACUUCCAUACCUACAAGCCAUAUGCAAGGAAAGCUUCCGGAAGCACCCAUCCACACCACUGAACCUUCCUCGUGUCUCAACCCAGGCAUGUGAAGUGAACGGCUACUACAUCCCAAAGAACACUAGACUUAGUGUGAACAUAUGGGCAAUCGGGCGAGACCCUGAUGUCUGGGAAAGCCCGGAAGAAUUCAGGCCAGAAAGGUUUUUAAGUGGAAGAAAUGAAAAAAUUGAUCCUCGUGGAAAUGAUUUUGAGUUGAUCCCGUUUGGGGCUGGACGAAGGAUUUGCGCUGGCACUAGAAUGGGAAUAGUGCUGGUUGAGUACAUUUUAGGGACGUUGGUACAUUCAUUUGACUGGAAAAUGCCGGAUGGAGUUGAGAUCAACAUGGACGAAGCUUUCGGGCUUGCGCUGCAGAAGGCAGUUUCUCUUUCGGCCAUGGUGACACCAAGGCUUCACCAGAGUGCGUAUGCAGUCUGAGCUCAAACCGCUCAGACCAAAACCCAGGCCUCGCUGCUAUAUGGCAUGGAUGCAGUUAAGUAGAAAAUAUUUUGGGAUUUUUGCCUGUGGCUUAGUAUAAGAUGUAUUAGCUCAAAGAUGGUCGUUUCAUUCUACCACCAAGCCAUAUGCAUCUAUGCAUAAUCUAUUGAUUUAGGCUCGAUUUGGUUAUAGUUUUUGUUUUUUUGUCUUCCAAAUCAGUAAAUAGUAGGGGUAUUUUUGUCCUAUGUAGUGAUUCUUUUUGUUUGAUUGAUUAUAUUUGGAUCCUUCAAAAAUAUACGGUCAGAGCCAUCUCCAUCUUUUCACUUCUUGUGCUGCAGAAUGGGAUUGGCUUAGAUCGUUAGUCUAAUGUUAACCCCCUUCAAAUCUAAUUAUUCAUACUCAAUUUUGACACGAAAGAGCCAUUGUCAUGAAAGGGGGACCAGGGACCUCAGCACCCUUGGUUCAUCAUUUUGGUACGAUGCCAACUCUACCACAUAACCACCAUUUAGAUAUCUAUCCUUUUAUUUUUGGCAUGUGAACUUAUAGUGGGUGGCUGACCUUGAAUCCAAUAGUUAUCAUGAUAUAUAUGGCUGAAAUUAACCAUCAUUUAGAUAUCUAUCCUUUUAUUUUUGGCAUGCGAACUUAUAGUAAGUCCGAUUUAUGUCCAAGGGUCAAAUUUAAAUCUCUCUUCAAUCUAAUGGCUAAGAACUUCCCAACUUUAUUUAAUACUUAAUGUAUCCAAUAAUUGUAAUCGAGUAAUCCAAUGACAAGUACCUUCAAUGAUUAUUUUGGCAAAAGAAAUAAUAUAAGUUUGUUAUUUUAUGAUAUAAUAAAUUUAUUAAUACUUUCCUUUUUCAAAAUAUGUAAUUAGUUGUAAUUUCAUUAUAUAAUAUAUAAAUUAAGUUAUUUGCAAUUUUAAAAUAUGCUCAUUUUGUAUUUUUUUAAGUGUUAAUUAAAAAUUAUACAAUUUUGUUUUAUAAAAAGUAUUUAGUACUUUUAAUUUUAUAAAUUACAAGCAUUAAUUUAUACUAUUUUCUUAAAAUAUUUAGUUUAGUAUGCAUAUUAUUAGUUGUUUUCUUACAUCACUACUACAAAAAUAAUAUAUGAUGUCACUAUUUAUAGUGUCGCAUUUAAAAUAAUGACACCAUUGAACUUAAAAUUUAUAAAGGUGACACAUCAUUUAAAAAAUCUUCAAUUAGGAUAGUUAGAUUAUGCUAAUUUCAGAUUUACGGUGUCAUUUUUUGGAAGUGACACCAUAUGAAAUAAAAAGUUUUAAAUUUUAUAACUCAAUGGGCCUUUUUUAAAAAUAGUGAGUAGGAACAAUUUAUGAAAAGUCUAUUGUUUCCAUAUAUACAUUAACUAAUAUAAAAGAUCUUGUUGCUUGACCCUAACCAUCGUUUUCUUCUCCUUCUUCUCACACCCAUGGUCAGCACACCCAUAAUUGAUAUUCUUUGCUUCGUAAAAUCUCGGGUAAGUCAAAAUCUCUUAUCUAUCAUCUUUAUUUUUUUUAUUAAUGCAAAAAACUUUGUUAGUAUAAUUGUUUUAUAUCUCUUGAUUUAGUAUAUCUAUGAUGUGGGUUUUGUAAAUGGUGUUUUUUAUCGAGUUCUAAGGAAGUAAAAACUAAGUUUAACAUUCUAACAUAUUUUUUGUUUCAUUGCUAAUAAGCCCCAAAACAAAUGAAAACAAGAAAAAUGAAUUAUUUUUAAAAAAUUUGUCUAAUUGAGAAUGAGAGAUACACUAGUUUGUAGUAAUUUUUCGCAUGAAAUAGUAUUUUAUUGAAGACUUGACUAUAUUUGAUACUUUUUUCCACCGUGCUAGGAGCUUUUUGGUGAAGUCUAACAAUAGAGAUUGAUAUCUGCUACAAGAUGAUACUCAAUUAAACCAAAAGCACUUAAGUUAUUUAGGGUUUUCUUCGGUUAACCUAAGAAAACAUUCCCACUUUCUUUGUAUUGAGUCAUCUAAAUAGAAUAGAAUAUUGGGUAUCAGAGUCGUAAAUGGUAUUAUAAAUAUGACUUUUUUUUUAGAGUCACCUACAUGGAAUGAAUUAUUGGUAGGUGAACAAAAUAUUGGGGUGAUUGUAAUAGUUGAAUUAGUAAAUGGAAGAUAAGUGUAUGUUGCUUUGUUUAUUCUAUAAAAACAAUAAUUUUAGUAGUUGAAAUUUACAUGCUUUGUUGUUUUAUAAAAACAAUAAUUUUAGUAUUUGAAAUUUUAAAAUGUGAAUGAAAUGCCUGAAAAUAUAUUUUGAAAAAUAGGAUAGUAAUAAAUGGAAAAUAACUCAUUUCCUAAAAAUAUUUUGAUAAAUUAAAAUAAUAUGUGGUUAAAAUAUAUUUUUGUGAAAGUAUUUAAAAAUGAAUCAAAAUAUAAAUAAUUGUUAUUUUUUUUUAAAAUAAUUUAGGAAUAUAAAAUAAUAUUGGGGAUAAUUUUUGAGUUUAAAUUGUGUUAUAAAUGGUUAAUUUUUUUAGGACUGUCCUUUUUGAAAAUAAUCCAAUGAUAAUUUUUUUAAAUAAGAAUGUUGAAACUAAUUUUAAAAAUAAAAUUUUGUUGGCAAUGAUUUUUCUAAAAGUAUUUUAGGCAUAAAUGGAAAUUUCUUGUAUGAAAAUAAGAGAAUUUAUAUAUAUAUAAUAGACAUAAAAAUAGAUUUCUUUGAUAUUUAAUAAACAAGUGAAUUUUUCUCUAAAAAAAGAAUAAAAUAAGAAUUUCUCUAUAUAAUAAAAUAAUUUAUAUAUGAGAUAGUUUUCAAUAAGAAAGUUUUGAAAAUAAAUUUGGGAUAAAAUAUUUUUUAGUAAGUUUUGUUUAGAUAAUUCAAGAAUAAAGUGGUUUAUUAACUUUUCUUAAAAAAUAACAUUCUUCUUUCUUUUUUGAAUUGAUCAAUAGUUUGGAAAUAAAAUUGUUAGAUUCUAUUUUUUGUAAAUGUUUAAGAUAUUCUAAAAAAUUCUUUAAAAAUGAAAUGACCUUUCUACCACAUUCCUUUAAUAAAUAAUUGUAUUUUUAUACAUAUUGUAAAGUAAAAAAAAAAGUCUUUAUUUAGUUAACCUAAGAAGACAUUCCUACUUUUCUUUGUGUUGAGAGUCACCUAAAUGGAAUAAAAUAUUCAAUAUCAUAGGAGAGUAAAAAGUAUUGUAGAAAUGAUUUUGUUGAGAGAGUUAUCUAAAUGGAAUGAGAUAUUGGUAGGUGAAUAAAAUAUUAUGGUGAUUGUAAUAGUUGACUUAGUGAGUGGAGGAGAAGUGUAUGCUUCUUUGUUUAUUCUAUAAAAACAAUAAUUUUAGUAGUUGAAAACGUGUAUGAAAUGACUGAAAAUAUUUUUUGAAAAAUAAGAAAAUAAUAAAUGGAUAAUAGCUCAUUUCCUAAAAAUCUUUUGAUAAAUUAAAAUAACUUGUAGUUAAAAUAUAUUCUUAUGAAAGUAUUUAAAAAUAAACCAAUAUAUUAAUAAUUGUUAUUUUGUUUAAAAAUAAUUUAAUAGUAAAAAAAUAAUACUGAGUUCAAAUAUGACUACUUUGUUAUGAGAUUCAUUAAAGAAAUAAUUGUUGAUUUUACAGUUAUUGCAUCAAAGGUUUUACUCGUUUAAUGAAUUGUACAUAAUUUCAUACUUUCAAUUAUUAUGAUAUUAAUGUUAUUCUCAUUUGAUUUCAGUUUGAUUACAAAUAAAACAUAUUCUCAAGUAGAAUUUGAUGAAAUUAGAGAAAAAUAGAUUACUUUUGUGUUAUAACUAAUCAUGAAUCAUAUUGAUGUAUCGUGAUCAUUCAUGGUAAGUCCCUUAGUUGUUAUAUGAUUGAAUUUUCCAUUGAUAUUGUAUAACAUUACUUAUUCUUUACGAACUAUUUUUAUACCAAAAUGAGAAAAAGGAAAAAGAAAAAGAAAACAUUAGUACUUAGAUUUGUUUAUUGUUUAUAACAUCACAUUUUUAUUUUCAAUAAGAACUCUAAAACUCAUUAAUCUAUGAAAUGCAGGUAUACACUCUUGGGAGGACAAUAUGAAGAAUAAAAAGAAAGGAGAAAGAGACAACAAGAUUUAGGUUGUUAGAUAUGACUCUUAUGUCAUACAUUAUAGGACAUAAAUGUUACUUUAUUUGGAAUUGAGAAUUUUGGGUUUUUGGAUGCAACUCUUGUGUCAUUUUAUGGUUAGCCGGUUUUAUACAUAUGAAAUGCAAGUAUACAUGAAUGUUGGGAAACUUAACAUUUCUAAAUCAUGUUUUAAUGUGUAUUCACUUUUCUUUUUUAGUUUUGGUGGGUUUGAUGUGUUUGAUGUACUAUCAUUUUGUGAACAUUUGAUAUACAAAUAUUAUUGGAUGAUGUAAUAUGUUACAAAUUAAUUCAUAAGCAUUAUGAAAAUAUAAGUUAAAUGUAAUAUGAUUAUUAUAUUUAUGGACAAUUUACACAGGUUAGUCUUAUUUAUUAAUAAGCAUUACAAAAAUCUACAAACUAAUCAACAAAAAACAACCAUAUCUUCCAUAAUCAUUUACAAUGAUGUGACACCAUAAAUUAAAGGUGAUACAUUUAACGUGACACCAUAACUCAAAGAUGAUGCAUUUAAUAUGACACCUUAUAUAUCUCAUACAACUCUAUAUCAAAUUAAGCAUCACUAAAAAUAUAUGGUGUCUCUUCUGAAUGUGUCACCAUUUAUCUGCUUUGGUGUCGCUUCCAAAUACGUCACCAAUUGAUACCCUCUAUGGUGUCAGUGGAUAAGGUGACGCUAUGUUGUAGUGACACCCUAUGUUUAUAGUGACUUAUUAUAAAUGUCACCAUAUAUCUUUUUCCUUGUAGUGCAUCUCAAGUUUCAAUCAAAAAAAUAUUUAUGAUUUGUUUUUAUUAAUUUGUGUCUUGUUUUCAAUUUAAUUAAUGAAAAUUUAUUUGAUCAAAAAGUUCAUUACAAACCAAUUUUAAAAAUCUAAUCCUUUAUUAUAUUUUGAUAUCGUUUUGAUAAAAAUGUCUUUAUUAUUAUUAUUAUUUUUUUUUUUAUAAAAAUAAAUUUUUUUAUAAAUAUAUUGUAAAUAUUUAAAAUAAUUAAAAAUAUUUAGAUCAAAAAUCGAUUAUUUUUCAAACAAAUAUAUGAAAGUGAUAAAUUUGCAAAUAUGGGGAAUAUUUAAUCCUUUUAAUCGAUUAUUUCAUUAAUGAAGUGGGUAUAAUGAUGAACGCAUACUUGGUUUUACUAGGGCAUGCAGAGGUUUUGCAAGAGAGAGAGAUCAUUUCUCGACUCUGAGAAAUCAAUCUCCUUUUGGCCCGGUGGCGGACUCCAAGUAAAGCCUUGAAGGAGCCUUGCUAACAUCCCUGCACACCCACGCCUUCCAGUACUGAAGGAAAUGAAGCGAAGGUUUGGCUCGUUCAACUCCACUGCUUGAACUGUACUAGCAUUCAGAUGCCGCUCUGGAUUGAAAUUUAGCGGUUCUUCCCAGAUUCUAGGGUUCCGGCCCAGCCCCAGACGGCUCAGAAGGACAUGACUGCCUUUGGGGAUAGAGUACCCAGCAACACUAGUCGGAUUCCUGAACUCGUCUAUCCUUUCCAACCACUCCAUCAAUUUCUUCACUGCUUUGCUCAAAAUCCCUGGUUGCUUGAUCAUUGCCUACUCAAUUGCAUUUGAUGGACUAUCGACGCCUGCAAGCAUCAACUCCUGCAAAUUAUGGAAGGAUCAUAAUCUGAUGAUUGAUCAAGUUAUUUGCUGGCUAGGAAAUGAUCAUCAUGCAAUGUAGAUCAAAAGGUAAGCACAACACUACUACAAAAAUAAUUUAUGGUGUCAUUUUUAAAAUAAUGACACCAUAGGGUUUAUAAUUAAUAAAGGUGAUACAUCAUAUGAAAAUUCUUCAAUUAAGGUAGUUAGAUUAUGUUAGUUUUAUAUUUAUAGUGUUAUUUUUUGGGAAGUAACAUCAUAUAAAAUAAAUUUUUUUUUAAGUAUUAUAACUUAAUGAGCCCACUUUUAUAAUUAAUAAUGAGGGAUAAUGUAUAAAAAGCCCAUUGUUUCCACAUGCCACCCAUAAUCCAAAAAAUCUCAGUAUACAAACCUUAUAUAUAAAACCAUAAUCUUCUUCUACCUUUUCUCUUACCUAUAGUCAAUACACUUACAACCGACAUUUUCUACUUUGUGGACUCCUGGGUAAUCCAAAUUCUCUUAGAUCUAUCAUAUUUUUUUUUCUUUUAUUAAUAUAAUUAUAUUGAUUGUUUCACCAUCUUUGUAUUAUGGUUUUUGUAAACUGCGUUUUCUUGAGUUGUAGGGAAGAAAAACUUAGGUUUAAACUUCUAGCAUAGACGAAGAAACUUGUAGAUUAAUUGAUUUUUUAAUAUGAACCAAACACAUGACUGACUUCUUAAAAACAAGAAAAAAUGAAUGAUUUUUAAUAUGUAUUUAUGUGAGAAUGACAGGUACAAAAUUUUGUUGAGAUAUACUGUCACAUAAUCUUCAUCCCUUCCCUAAAACAAGAGAGAGAGAGAGAAAAAAAAAAAGGAAUGAUUUUUUUUGUGUGUAUCUAAGUGGGAAUGAGAUAUAUAGAAUUUUGUUGAGAUGCCACAUGAUCUUUAUCCUCCAUUAAACCCAACAUAUUAAAUCCACUAACUCUCCCCAAAAACGAGUAAAAAAAAAGGGAAAAAAGUAUGAGUUAAAAAACAAAAACGGAAAAUAUGAUUUAUUUUUUUUUAAUGUGUUUCUAAGGAAAAUGAGAGACACAAAUUUUUGUUAAGAUGCAUUGCCACGUGUUCUUCAUCCUCUCCAUUAAGCCUAAUAUAUUAAACCUAAUAGCUCUCUCUUUUAACUUUCCAGUGAAGUGCCUACAGUAUCCAACUCAAAAUAAGACAACUUAAGCCCCAUUAGCCAACAACCCAUAUUUUGUGUACAUCUUGAUGAGAUUAUUUUGUGAGAAAAUGUCAUGAAACAAUCCCAAUUUGAUAAUCUAGGCAUGUAUUUGAGUUAAAAAUAAAUUUCUAUUCUAUAGAUCAAAUAAUAAAAUCAUGUUUGAAAAUUAUUUUUAAAAACUUAUUUAGAGCAAAAAUAGUUUUCUAACAUAAAAAUAAUUUUUUAACUGAGAAAAUAUAUUUGAAAUUAUUUGAUAGAAAAUUGGGCAUGUAUUUGACUUAAAAACAAAUUUCUAUUCUAUAGCUCAAAUAAUAAAAUCAUGUUUGAAAAUUAUUCUUAAAAGCUUAUUUAGAGCAAAAAUGGUUUUCUAACAUUAAAAUAAUUUUUUAAUUUAGAAAAUAUAUUUGGAAACAUUUGAUAGAAAACUAGGCAUGUAUUUGACUUAAAAAUAAAUUAUUAUUCUAUAGAUCAAAGGAUAAAAUCAUGUUUGAAAAAUAUUCUUAAAAACUUAUUUAGAGUAAAAACAGUUUUCUAACAUAAAAAUAAAUUUUUAACUUAGAAAAUAUAUUUGAAAACAUUUGAUAGAAAACUUUUUUUUUAAUGUCAAUAAGUUGUCUUUUUGUUAAUUUAAUUGUAAUCAAUUUGCUUAUACGCAUUUAAAAGUAUAUAUUAUCAUAUUUAGUAAUAUUUUGAUUGUUAGGCAAAUUAUCAUUUUUGAGAGGAAUUUUUGUAGCUCUCAUAAUUAUAAUUGUAUUUUAAUAACCAUUUCCAAUAAAAAAGAAAAAGAAAAAAGAAGUUAGACAAUUAUCAAAAUCUGAUUUUUAGGAUUUUAAAAAAAUCUACAAGCCAAAACUAUCUAUAAUUUUGAUCAUGUGAGAACACUUCUUUUUUAAUACUUUGAAUUAUUUUGUUUUUUUUUUUCUUAGUAUCUGAAAGUAUAAAAGAAUUUCUCUUAUUAUAUUAUUAUAUUAUAUAUGUGCAUGUGUGUUCUCAUGGUUUCUUUAUGUCAUGUCUUAUUAAAGAAUAAAGUGAUGAAAUUUCCUUUGAGUAGAAGGUUUUAGUCCACGCUAGUGAGUGGACACGGUAUGAAUAGUUUGGGUGGGUUGUAUCUAUGGUAAAAAAUAAUAAAAGAUACCUUUUGCAAGUCUCCAAGUUGGUUGAGAUACAUGGCAUCAUGUUGACUAAACCUUGACUUUUGCAAGUCUCCUAGUUUCCAACUUUUUUUUUUCUUUUUUUUUUAAUAUUAAGGUGUGGGGCCAUGAACUCCUUUCUUUCCUUUUUAAAUAACAAAAAGGAAGAUAAUUUUAUUGUGAGAAGGCUAUUUCUAUCAAUUGUGUUCACGUCGAGAAUUUUUUAAUUUAUGGAGGCCAAAUAUAUAUUUAUGUCUAAUUUAGGAGGGUAAUUUGGGUUUGUUUAAUCUAUUCCAUUUAAUCAUACUAUACAAUCAUUUUUUUAUUUGGAUUAUUUUUGUAUUAAAUUUCUUCAACCCAAAUUUUGUUGAAAAAUUACAAUGUAUUAUUAAAAAUAUGACUUGAUAGUUGAUUAUGGACAUGUGUCAUUUUUAGUAAAAAAAAAAAUCUAUAACAUUUUAUAUUGAUAAUAUAUUAUUCUUGUAACAGGUUCGAAUAGUAAGCAAGUCAUUAUCAAAGAAGUUAUUGAAAGUAUAAGUGUACGUUUAUUUAUUGCAUGCUCUUAUAUUGUAUCAAUUGUAAGGAAGAUAAAAUUACCUUGUAAAGGUAAUUAAAUCUUUCUAUAUUUUAAAAACUUUUUUCCUAUAUACUAUGCUUUUGAAGCUUGUUUAAUUAAACAUAUUAGUUAUUUGACAAACUUUUCACAAAUGUUUUGUAUACUUAUGUGUUCUAUUUUGUUCCAUAGUUUUAUCGCAUAAUACUAAUGUAUAUUUUUUCACAAACUUUUUACAACUAUUUUGUGUACUAAUGCAUAUUAAGUUUUGUUCUUGCCUAUAUAAGCUACAUUUAGUUAUUUAAAUAUAUCCAAUAUUAUGUUGAAGAAAGAUGUACUUAACUUUUUUUAUUCUAAAUAUUAACAAGUUUUAUAGUUCUCUUGUCUUGAGAUUGAAUGUCAAAAGAUAGAAGGUCAGUUGAGUAUGAUGAAAGAGUUGAAAACUUUAUCAAUUUUGCAUUAGCACAUUCAAUCAACCAUUCCCCUAUAAAAUGCCCAUGCUUACGUUGUGCAAAUCUAUUAUGUCAAACUCUUCAAGUCAUUACAGAGCAUUUGUUCUUUAAUGGAAUAGAUCUCAGUUAUCGAGUAUGGUAUUGGCAUGGAGAAAAUGGACCCAGUGGAGGAUUUUCAAAUGUCUCACAACAACAUUAUGACAAAUGCAAGUAUAAUGAUGUUGUUGACACAAUAGAUAUGGUUAAUGCUGCACAAGUUAAUUGUGUGAAUGAUCCCUAAGUGUUUGGAAGGUUACUUGAAGACGCAAAAAAACCUUUAUAUCUUGGAUGCAUGAAAUACACAAAGUUGUCAGCAUUGGUAAAACUUUACGACUUAAAAGCACGUUAUGGUUGGUCUGACAAAGGAUUCUCAAAAUUGCGUCAGUUGCUUGGAGAUAUGUUGCCAUUGAAUAAUGAGAUGUCAUUGUCCAUGUAUGAAGCUAAAAAGACUUUCAGUGCACUUGGGAUGAAUAUCAAAAAAUUCAUGCAUGUUCUAAUGAUUGUAUUUGGUAUAGAAACCAGUAUAAGGAUGCUAUUGCAUGCCUAACUUGUGGAAAGUCAAGGUGGAAGAUAAACAAUGAGGGGAAAAAGAUUAAGAAGGGGCUUCCUUCAAAGGUUUUGUGGUAUUUCCCACCAAUCCCUAGAUUCAAAAGGAUGUUCCAAUCCUCAAAAAUCGUUAAACAUCUUAUGUGGCAUGCCAAGGAUAAAGAAUAUGACGGUAAACUAUGCCACCCAUCAGACUCCUCAGCGUGGAAACUAGUUGACCAUAUGUGGCUUGAUUUUGCUUCUGAACCGAGAACCUUAGACUAGCACUCUCAACAGAUGGUACAAAUCUUCAUAAGUCUAUAAGCAAUAGACAUAGUUGUUGGCCUGUUAUACUGAUCAUAUACAACCUUCCUCCUUGGUUGUGCAUGAAAAAGAAGUUUAUGAUGCUAUCAUUAUUGAUCUCAGGACCACGACAACCUGGUAAAAAUAUAGAUGUUUACUUGAGUCCAUUGGUAGAUGACCUUAAAACUUUGUGGGAAAAAAAAGUUGAGACUUAUGAUGCACACUUGCUUGAGGUUUUUACUUUAAAGGUCAUCAUUUUAUGGACAAUCAAUUAUUUCCCUACAUAUGGAAACUUGGCCAAUUGCACCGUGAAAGGAUAUUAUGCAUGUCCAAUAUGUGGAGAAGGAACAUAUUCCCAAAGAUUAAAGUAUGGUAGGAAGAACUUGUAUAUGGGUCACCGACGAUUUCUUCCACGUAACCAUCCCUAUUGGAGACAAAAGAAGGCAUUCAAUGGUGAACAAGAUUUUAGAAUUCCUCCUAAAAUUUUGAGUGGAGAAGAAAUACUUGAAAAAGUUGAUCUCAUUCCUAUUUCUUGGGGAAAAAUGAAGAUAAAAUCUCUUGAACUGAUGUGAACACAAAUUAUUGGAAAAAAAAGUCCAUAUUUUUUGAGUUAGAAUAUUGGAAAUAUCUUCAUAUCCUUCACAACUUAGAUGUCAUGCACAUCGAAAAGAAUGUCUGUGAGAGUAUUAUUGGUACUUUGUUUAACAUCCCAGGAAAACAAAAAGAUGGACUUAAUGCUCAACUUGACCUAGUUGAAAUGGGUUUAAGGUCUGAACUUUUCCCAAGAGUUGACUUGAAGCGGACCUAUCUUCCCCCUGCAUGUUAUUCACUAUCCAAACAUAUAUGACAAAAAAUUAGUUUGUCAAACAUUGUCUAAUUUGAAGGUCCCUGAGGGGUAUUGCUCAAAUUUUAGAAAUCUUGUCUCCUUAAAGGAAUUGAAGUUAUUUGGUUUAAGAUCCCAUGACUACCAUGCACUUAUGCAACAACUAUUGCUAGUGGCAUUACGUUUUGUUUUGCUAAAGCAUGUGAGAUAUACUAUAUCAAGAUUGUGUAUCUUCUUCAAUCAAUUAUGUACAAAAAUGGUUGAUGUGCCAAAAUUGGAUGAAGUACACAAUGAGUUAGUGGUCACGCUGUGCUUACUUGAAAAGUAUUUUUCACCUUCAUUUUUUGAUAUUAUGCUUCAUCUAGUAGUGCAUUUGAUAAGGGAGGUGUGACUAUGUGGUUCAGUUUACUUUAGGUGGAUCUACCCAUUUGGGAGGUAUAUGAAAGUUCUUAAAGAAUUGUUCGCAAUCAUAAUUGGCUUGAAGGAUGCAUUACUAAGUGCUAUUUAACAGAAAAAGCUAUUGAAUUUUGUACUGAAUAUUUAUUAGGGACUCAUGCAAUUGGAAUUCCAAAAGCAACAAUUAUGACAACAAAUUUGGUAGACCUAUAAUUGGUGGUCGUUCUACCAUCAUUGAUCAUAAAUUGUGGUUACAAGCACAUCAUUAUCUAUUAGAGAAUACAACUAUCGUCCAACCAUACACUGAGUAAGAAAAACAUACCUUUAUCUUUUUAUAAUUUCAUAACAUAAUGAUGAAAUCCUAAGUUUGCAUUCCUUGUCUUUAACGUCAUAAGGAACACAUGAAUUGGUUGAGGUCUCAAUACCCUCGACAAUCUAAUAGACAAAUUUGGUUGCAAGAAGAACAUAUGAGUUGUUUUACAUAUUGGCUUAAAGAAAAGGUAAUCUCUUAGUUUUUAGAAAAUUUUUCAAUAUGUUGAAAACAUCACAAGUUUCCAAUAUGUUUUGAUUAUACAUAGGUUGAAGAGGCUAUCCAUAAUGGGCAAGAUAUUCCCGACACACUUAGGUGGUUAGCACAUGGCCCUACUCUCCAGGUAGUCAAAUAUCCUGGAUAUAUCAUUAAUGAGUGUUGUUACCAUAUUAAGAAACGCGAUAUGACAUGCAUCACCCAAAAUAGUGGUGUUUUUAGCAAGACUAUGCAAAUUGCUAGUUCUAAGGAUAAGAACCUAGUUUGUGGUGAACUUUGCUUUUAUGGGGUCAUUAAUGAGAUAUGAAAUCUUGAUUACAACAUGUUCACAAUUCUAAUUUGCAAGUGUGAUUAGGUUGACAACAAGAAUGGUAUAAAAGUUGAUGAACUCAGGUUCACAUUAGUUGACUUCUCCAAAAUAGGUCACAAAUUGGAUCCAUUUAUUUUAGCAUCACAAGCCAAGCAAAUCUUCUAUGUUGAAGAUCAACUUGAUCCUAAAUGGUCAAUAGUUCUCUCAAUUCCUCCAAAAGAUUUCAAGAACAUAGAAGGACUAGAUGACUUCACCGAUAAUUGCAUGGAACAUCACCCCUUUAUAAGUUCAAUGCCAGAAUUUGAAUCAUUUGAUGCUAUGGAUGAAUCAUAGGCAAUACACAUGAGAGAAAACUGUGAGGGCAUAUGGAUUGAAAAGAAUUAAAUAACAUAUUGUACCCUUGAAUGAGAUAUAAUAAGGCAUUUCACUUAUUAGUUUUCAUGAGUUGCACAUUAACUUAGCUUCUAUAUAUUGCUCAUGAUAUAUCUAUAUAUAUUAAUCAUCCUAAAUUUCUUUCAUGCAUCAUAAACAUAUGUUAUUCAAAGGUACCACUUCAAUCUUCAUUCAACUAUCUUUUUGUUGUCCAUAGAACUAGAUUUAUAUUAUUUUUUAUUAUCAUGUUUUGAUUUUAUGCUCACAUAACUUGAAACUCUCAUUCCUAAAUUUCUUUUUCAUUAAAACUAUAAAUCAUAAUUGAAACUAUGCACUAAUUUAUUUUAUUAUUAUCCUCACAAAUAAAUUCUUCAUUAUUGAUAAGAAAUCAAAAAACAAGACAAACUUUGAAAGAAAAUUUCAAAAAAUAUAUUUGUGAAUGACCAAUUUAAUUAUAGAAAAUAUAUGCAAGGCUAUACUAAUCUUGCUUUUGAGUCAUUUUACAGGUUUGUUGGUGAAGUACUAGUUUGCACAUUUACUUGAUAUCUUCCACACAAAUAUGGAUCUAGAAGAAGGGGAAAUGCCAAAAAUAAAGCAUAGAUGUAGUGCAUUGAAACCAAAGAUUGCAAAAAAUCAAAGUAAAGGGAUAAAACUCAAGAUUGAAUACAAUAGCCUUGGUAGUCCCAUUAAGGAAAAUUCAGUUAAACUAAGUAGUUAUCUUAGUACAAUAACUAGAACCCAUGUGCUAAUAAUUAUUGAGAGUUGGAGGAAAGUCCCUAAAGAGACUAAGGAGAAGUUGUGGGAUUUGAUCACAGUAAGCCUAUCUAUAGCUUUAAUAUAUAAUUAUUGUAUACAUUCAUUAACAUGAGCUAAUAUGGGUUGUUAUUUUGUAGACAAGCUUUAAUGUGAAUAAAAAAUCCAAGAGGAAUUGUUUCAUACUAAUGGGCAUCAGGUUUCGAACCUUUAAGUACAAGUUGACAAAGAAAUAUAUAUUGUCUUUCAAGAAUGACCAAAAAAGCUGAAAAAGUCACCUCCUAUUUACCCAUUCAUACAAGAGGAUCAUUGGAGACAGUUUGUUAAAGAUAGACUUUUUGAACAUUUUAAUGUUAAGCAUUAUUUUUAUUACAUCUUCAAUUUUCACAUUUACGUAGUUUCAUUAUGUACUAAUUUUGUGUCUAUAUUUUGUAGGAAUAUCGCAAAGUUUAGAAAUCAAGAAGAGAUAAACACAUUUACAAUCAUUAUCUUGGAAGAAAAUGAUAUGCACGUUUUGAGCAAGAUAUAGUAAGUUAUCAAUAUCCAUAAAAAAAAUGGAGUAUAUAUUUUGUUUAUAGGAAAAUGAUUCUAGUUUUUAAAUAUCAUUUAUUAACUUGAUCAUGUUGAACUAAUGAGUUUUAUUGUUAAAAUUUUUAUAGCUACAAGCAGAAGGGGCUAUUGGUAGGGUUGAUAGAAGUGUUUAUGAAAGAAAACACGUGAGAAGAAAGGAAAGUUUAAUAAGAUUACAAAGCUAAUGAUUAACUAAGUUAGCAUAUUUAUGCCUUUUAGAGCCUAUAGUGUUAGUAUGUCUAUGUGAUUAUGGUUUGGGAUGAUAUCGUUAGGUGUUAAUAGGGAAGAGGCUUAAUGCUAUCAUUUUUAUGAGUAGUCAUGUUAUAUUAGUGCAAAUAUAGUAGCCUAAUUUGAAAAUUAAUUUUGAAACAAUAUACAUUAAUUUAUCUAUUAUCAUUUUUAUUAAAACAAUUCAUUUUCUAGCUACCUUGAAUUGGUCCUCUUGAAUUGGUUGUCUUUGAUUGAUAUGUUAAUCAUCUUCAUCAAAUUAUUACUAAUAUAUGUUUUGUUGUAGGAUGAAUUACUAGAAAAGGCAAGGAGACUGGACUACCUCCACUUGGUCCAAAUGACAUAUUAUGUCAGGCAUUGGGUAAGCUUGAUCAUCUAGGACGUGUGGUAGGUCAAGACCGCUUGGUUAGGUCGAACUCAUACUUUCAUCAACCAUUUGAUGACAUGAAAAAAAAAAUCAAAGAAGAAAUAUGGGAAAUGGUGUGAAAGGGGAUGCAAGAUGCUGUAACAAGACAAACUAUGUCUCCUCCCACACCCCAUUCUGAUAUAGGUAGUAAUAACAUGAGACAACAACUUGUUUUACAACUAGUUGUAGCAAAAAAACCAAUGUUUAAAAUGAUGGAAGAGCCCCAACCACCAGAACCACCACUGAAACGUAAGGUAUACAUUUACUUACUAAUAAUACAAGAUUAAUAUAAGUGAUAUAUAGCCUAUGUAAAUGAUAUUAUUUGUUGUAUUAAAGGUGAUUAAAUAUAAAUUAGCAGUGGAAUGAAAAUGAAAUGUUGUUGCAACUGGUACAUUAAUAGAAGAAAAUUGAUCAAAUGGGUUGGUCGUAAUAAAUGUUGCACACAAGCUAGAUGCUAGACUUCCAUUUCCAAAUCCAUAUGAGAUUAUCAAUGUUGGGGAUGCUAUUGGCUUUAAGCUUGACUGGCCAACAAGCCUUGUCAUACUUGAAACUAAACAUCCUCGGGUAUGUCAUUUUAUACUUGUAGUAAAUUUGAUUGUAACUUGGUAUUUUAUUGUUUAGGAGUAUAUAUUACUAACAUUCCUUCAUUUUUCAUAGGUGUUGGAUAAAGGAAAGAAGUAGAUAGUGAAUGCACCAAUUAUUCGAAAAUCUAAGCCUCAAAAUUAUUCGGUCAUUAAAAAUUUUCAGAAAUUUAUGGAUGGUUGUCUUAGUAAUGAGAAGACAUACCCAAUACAGCUCCCCAUUUCACUAUUUGGUGUCGAAUUCCGAACAUAUAUAUCUAGAGAGGAUUGUGAAUACAUUAUUUCAUCUUCAGAGGUGUUAUCAAAAUGCAUCUCCUUCCAUUUAUGGUGUGCACCUUUUAUUUUCAUUUGUUUUUAUUUUUUUAAUAUGAGUUGCCCCUGUUGAACAAGAUUGGAUAUGACUAAUGAUAAUUUUCUUUUGGUGUUUUGAUAAUAUAAUAGGUACAUGCAUGAUCAACUACAUAUUGCCAAAAAGGAAUCACAAUUUAUAUUUGUUAAUCCUUUUACAAUAUCAUGAGCAGGCUUUAGUAAUCCUCAAAUAGAGAAAAGAACACAAUUGUUGUCAAAACACUUAAUAGAGUGCCAAGAUGUCAGAUAUGUUUUCAUGCCCUACAACCCCGAGUAAGUGACGAAUAUUAUACUUUAAUUUGAGGUUUUAUGAUUGAUUUAUAUUUCUAAUUAGAUGCUACUUUUGUUUUUAAUGUUUUAGCUUUCAUUGGGUCUUGGUAGUGAUUGAGCCAAGGAAAAUGAUAGUCCACUAUCUUGACCCUGUGCAUCACAAACCAUGUGAGGACUUAAAGGAUAUCGUAAACAUGUAAGUUCUUCCUAUUAUUUUUCAUAGUAUUAUUUAAAAAAAAAAAUUACAUUCACCUCAAACACAUUUUUUAUUGUUAUUUCUAUAUAUUAAAACAUAUAACAUUUACCUAUUUUAAAAUUGUACCCAUUGAACUUAUUUACAUAGGGCUCUUUAAAUAUUUGCAAAGAAAACAUCUAAGAGAGAGCCAUCUUGGCAACUAGUGCAAGUGACAUCCAAAAAUUUUCUUUAAACAUUUAGCUUAUGCAUUUGCACCAUUUAUAUAUAUGAGUACUAAUGUUAUUUAUAACUGAUCCAUUAGUGUCCAAGACAAGAAGGAGGGUUCGAAUGUGGCUACUUUGUUAUAAAAUUCAUUAAAGAGAUAAUUUUUUAUCCUACAAUGAUUGCUUCAAAGGUAUUACUUAUUUAAUGAAUUGUACAUAUUUUUAGGCUUCCAAAUGUUAUGCAUUUUAAUGUUAUUUUCUUAUUUGAUUUUAGUUUGGUGAUAAAAAAACAUAUUCUCAAGUAGAAUUCAAUGAAAUUAAAGGAGAAUUGACUACUUUUGUGCUACAACUAAUCAUGAAUCAUGUUGAUGCAUCAUGAUCACCAUGCAUGGUGAGUCCCUUAGCUACUACAUGAAUUUUUCCAUAGAUAUUGUAUAGUAUUGCUUUUCUUUGAACAAUGUUUUUAUUUGAAAAAAAGAAAAAAAAAGUUCUUAGAUUUGUUCAUUUAUGAUAACAUCGAUCCAUAUUUAUUUUCUUCAAUGAAAUCUAUAAAACUCAUUAAACUAUGAAAUGCAGGUAUACACUCUUAGGAGGGUGGAAUAGAGAAUAAAAAGAACAAAGAAGGCAACAAGAUUUUGGGUUUUUAAAUACAGCUUGUAUGUCAUACGUUGAAGGACAUAAACGUUACUUUAAUUGGUAGUGAGAAUUUUAGAUUUUUAGAUGCUACUUUUAUGUCAUUUUCUUGUAGUGCAAAUUACUUAUCUUACUAUGCAUUGGGCUUUGAUAUUAGCCAAAGAUAGUAGUGGCUCCUAAUUUUUAUCCUUAACUGAAAUGAAAACAUCAAGCAGGUCCCCAGCCUCUUUUUCGCCAUUCUUCCACUAUUCUACUAUUUGGUCCAUGAUUGGAUCAUGGUACUUGUUAAUGGUGUUCAUAGCCUCCCUUAUAGUUUUUUCAUGGCCAUCUAAAUUCAGCACUCUCUGCCAUGGGAAGUAAUCAGAUAAAGAGAAUACAUAUAGAUGAGCAAGUAUAGUAAAGAAGGAUUCAACAUGUUGCUCCACUUCAACUCCAGGGCCUCCAUCUUUCUUUCGUUGGCCAAAGUAUCUUGUGUUGAGGAUCAUCUUUCAGAUGACAUUCCCGUUGUAUUGACGGACUUUAUUUCUGUCACACCCCAAAUACUAGGCAACCCAGAACUUGACUCGUGACCCUAGGUCAAAUGUUUGACCCUAAGAGUUACUCUUAUCCAUGUUGGCAAUCAAUCAAAACACCCUGGAUUUUUUUUCUUUUCAAUAAAGCGUUUAAUCCUAAAUAAAUUUAUUAAGCUAAGAUUUACUAUAACAUAUCAUUUUAUUUUUCCAAAACUAACCAUCACAUUAUCUCCUGUUCACAAGUAUUAAAAAAAAAAAAAAUUCCACCAAUCAUCUUCUUACCCAAAAUCUCAAAUAUUUACUAUAAUCUCUAAGUCAAAAAGAAUAUUUCCAAAAAUGUUUUACAAACUAAUAAAAUAUAAUUUAACUUAAAAAAGUCCAUAUAACUCAAAUUAGUAGAUGUCAAAAAGGUAAUUAAAAAAAAACAACCAUUAUUAUGGUUUUUUUGCUUUUUAGAACACUUCAUGAUCUUCUUAUGGUCCCUUAGAAACUAUAUCUGCAUCUAAAAAUUUUAGAAAAUAAAGGGAUGCACAUUUCCACGUUACUCUUUAGACCUAAAUGGGUUAGAAAUUCUAAGUCAAUAAAACACAACCAUAUGCCAAAAUAUAAUAUUACAUUUACAUUAUACACACUAAAAGAAACCUCAACCAUACAAAUUUAAAUCAAUCAAAAUUAUCAUUUUCCUUAUUUAAUCAUAUGUUUAGCAUAUCAAUAAUUUUAAAUUUACAAAAUAAAUAAGUCACUUUAGUCUUGAAUAAUAUAUUCAAACAUAUACUUGAUAAAUAAUACAAAUCAUUUUUCCAAAUGCAACCAUGAUACAAAUGCUUACACACAAUCACGCAAUGCAAUAUCGUUCUCGAGCUUUCACCGAAGGAUAUGCAUUUAUACCCAAAUACACUCCCCAUUCGGAGUCUUCCUGGGAUAAAAUUUUGAGUCUUUCACCCUAAGGAUCUCACUCCCUUCUUAACUCACCAUCUCUAGGGUCAUUCAAUUUCUUAUUUUUCUUUUCUUUUCAUUUUUGCCAUUUUUGGGGUCUUUUCAUUCUCAUUUCCAUUUCACACAACCAUUUCUUCAAUUUUUAUUUUUCUUCACACAAUCAUGAUGCAUAUGAAAUGCAACUGAAUCAUAUUUUAACAUCCAUAAUUUUCCAAGACAUAAUUUUAUUUACUCCCAUUAUGUUUCAUAAUUUCCAAUAAUCCACACAACGAUUUUUCUUCACUUUAAUCGUCACAAACAUAAAAGAAAAUUCACAAUUAAUUUGUAUAGCAUCAAAACAUAGUUUUAAACAUUGACCACAUAAAUUCUAUUUAUUCCCGACAUGCUUAAUAAUUUCCAAAUCCAAUAUAACCAUUUUUUUUUCAAUUAAAUAAUCACACAUAUCCAAGAAAAUUCUCGCUAAUACAAAUAUCAACAAAAAUGUAAUUUAUGUCAUAAUUUAUUUGUCUCCAAUAAUUUCAAAAAUUUUGACACCCAUAUGACAAAUUUCCACAAUUAAGCCACCCCAAUAUUUGGGAAAAAUUUUCCAAUAAUUCAAAUAUCAACAAAAACCCAAUUUAUAUCAUCAUUUUAUUUAUUUUUAAAAGCAUUAAUAAUUUUAAUAAUCAAUACAACACUUUUCCACAAUUAAGCCACCACAAAAUUUUGGGAAAAUUUUCCAAUAAUUCAAAUAUUAACAAAACACAAUUAUACCUUAAUUUUUCUUAUCUCUGACAACAUCAAUAAUUCUUAGUACUCAAUACAACUAUUUUUAUUUUUUCAUAUUUAAUCUUCUCAAACAUUACCAAAAUUCCAAGAAAAAUUUAUAAAUCACGAAAUAAAAUUAUUCACAAUAAUAAUCACACUUCAAAUACUACAAAUAACAUCUAUUAUAUUUCAACAACACAAUAUAUAAUUUUUUUUGAAAGAAAAUAUUAAAUCAAAGUUUUAGGGUUAAAUCACCCUACCUUAAAUUUGAAAAAUUUAACCAUUAAAACUAAAACGGGACACCGUAGGAGUGUUCCUCGCAUUGAAUAGAAUAUCCUUCCAAAAUUUUAUGUGAAAUGGACGUCAUUUGGUAGGUCCACCAGCAUCCUAAAGCUGGCGACCCAUUUUUCCCACUCUUUGCCGACGACUUCCCUACAUCUCUUACUCGAUUUCCUUUCUUCAUUUUCUUUUCUUCUUCUUCUUUUCUUCUUCUUCUUUUAAACUCCCACGCCAAUUUCACUUUAUAUAUAUAUAUAUAUAUAUAUAUAUAUAUAUAUAUGUAUGUAUGUAUGUAUUAUUAAAACAAAUCCUAAAAUACCACGCACAUCCAUUUCUCAAUAAAUUAAAACCAUUAUUCUUAAAUUCACCUUCCGUAAUUAUGAAUUAUACCAAACUUAUGAUUUUCCAUUUCACGAAAAAUACCACCGUAUUCGUAAUUUAAUUUACUACAAGUCUACUCUUCAAAAAGUAUAAUUUGAUUAUAAUUACAUGAAACAUUGUUUUUUUACUCUAAAAUUCAUUUAAAACAUGAUAUAAUUAACUAUUAACAAAAUUCAAUUCCAUAAAAUAUUAAAAACAUAAAAUAAUUUUUUGGCAAUCAAGAAGUUGAAAUUUGUAAUAACCCUAAACCCGUUAAUUUUACCUAUAUUUAUUUACCAAAAAAAAUUUAAAUAAUAUUCUAAAAUUUAAUUCCAUAAAUUAAUUAGUCAUUCAAUUUAUAAAAAUCAAAUUCUCUACCCUUUGGUAUAACUUUUAUUUAAUUUACUUCAUUUUUCAAAUUAUUCAAUCGCAUCAAAAUUUCAAAAGUUAAAUUCACUAAAUUCACAUUUAAUUAAUUUAUCAUUUUGUAUUUUUUUUUUUUCUAAAUUCGCAUAUCAUAAUUUAAUCUUAAUUUAAUUUUGAUUCAAUUUUGUUUUAGGUUUUCUAAUUUUAUGAGGUUUAAUUUCAAUUAUAAAAAUUAAAUUCAAUUUCUUUUUAAUUAUCCAUUAUCACAAUUUGAUAUAAUAUAAUUUUUUAUCAAGUUUUUCUUACUACGAUUUUUCUUAUAAUUAUCCAAUAAUAAUUAAAUUAAUUCUCGUAACAUAUUUAAUAUUCAAAUUUUAAAAACUUAAUCUCAAUUAUUUGAUGGUUAUUUUUUUUUUCUCAAAAUCUAAAUUUAAUUUAUGAAAUUCUCACUUCUUACAUCUGACGUGGCAAAAUUUUCAAACUAUUGACUUUUGACCAACUUUUCCUAAAUUUAUCCUAAUUAAAUACUAACACAUGGAUUUUCACCACUCUUUUUGAUCUUUUGACCCACAAAUUUAUGAAAGACUUUAUACUUGGAGAAUCUACAAAAACCUGGGUAUUACAAUUUCUCAGGUUGAUAACUGUCGUGGUUACGAAGCCACCACUUGAAUACUCAAUCGCCAUUGUAAUGGGCCUAGAUGCAAAUAGUACAUCAUGUUUCUUCAAAAGUUCUCUGCUAAUCUCUGGGAAAGUCGUAGGGACAAGAUGAAAUAUUUCCCAAUUGAAUACAUGCAAUUUCAGUGUUCAUUUCUUUCAUAAAGCCAAUGUAUCCACCAGAAAGUUGGCUUUUUGUUGAGUAAAUGAGGUAGAUAUUGCACUAGUGGCCAUGGAGCUAAUCCUGGAGGAAGUUGUAUCGGCUUGCUUUUGGUACUUGUUUUGGAUUUUAAUUUAGUGAAGAUGAGAAAGAUUGAUGUGAUGAAAAGCAGUAAGAGGAAGUUGAAAUGAGACAACACAUCGUCUGUGGUAGUAGAAGAAAACAAGGUUGAGUUACUGCUACUACUCUCUGCAACAAAGCCAUUUACACGUCUUUUAUGGCAAAACCAUGUUUGUCCUAUCUUGGGUCUGGAUGCACAUUUUUAAUAUUGGGGAAAUCAUGCAACCAAAUGUCACACACAAAGAGAGAGAAAAAAAUACGUUUUUUAGAACUUGAAAAGGUAAAGUGGGACAAAAAAUAUUAUCCAUUCUUGAACUCUAAAAGUAAAGUUAUAAAAAGCUUAGUUUUUUUUUUUUUGUUAUGUAUGAUUGCAUGAUUUCCCCCUUUUAAGAUUUUAUCUCAUAAAAUUUUUUUCUAGAAGGUUCAAAUAAGUUUGAUGAAUAUUGUUUAUUUUAGUAAUUUUAAUUUUAUGGGGUACUUAAAACAUUAGAAGUUCACAAAAAGCAACAUUUAUCAGCUACCUAUCUAAAAAGCUUGGCCUAAUCAUUGAAAUCCAAAAUAUAAAGUGACAACACACUUUUUAAAGCAAUUUUCAAAAUAGUUUUUAAAAACACAUUUAUUUAUGAUAUUUUUAAAAUAAAAAUCUCAAAAAUAACUUGUUUAUAUUACUUUUUAUUAGACAAAUACUUGAUCUUUAUAAGAUCACCCUAAUUAUAGAUUUAUGAACAUGUAACACAGCAAUUAUCUAUAUAUAUACUUAGAAUUAUUAUAUUUUAAGUUUUUAACUACAUAGGACAUCAUGAGUUUUUCCACCAUUUAUCUUAUAAUAAGUUUAUUUAAAUAUGAUAAAGGAUAUAUUAUCUCAUUUCUUAUUAUAUCUGAUGCUAUAUAUAUAUAUAUAUAUAUAUAUAUAUGUAACAAAUCAAAUACAAUUUAAAGAUUUUAAUUAACCAUCUAUUAGCAACAAAGCAAUCUCUUAAUCUCAUUCAUAAUAUUAGGAUAAUUUAGUAUUUCCUUUUAUAAAACACUAGCAUAUAAAUCAGCACAAAUCAUAUUAAGGGUGUAUUUGGUGUUGAUUUUAGAAAGCGUUUUUAGUAUUUCUAAUACUUGAAAGAUAAAAAUUUUCAAGUUUUAGAAAGAUCAAAAGCGCUUUUUAGAAUGACUAUCAAAUACAUGCUAAAUAUUACUUUUGGAUACUUAUAUUUUUAAAUAACUCUUAAAACUUUUAAGGCAAGUCUCUACUAUUCAUAUAAACCCCCUAUUAUUUUUAAUUCUUAGAAACAAAAAAUAAAGAAUAAAAACUCCAUUUAAACAUCACCUUAUUAUUUCCUAUUAUAAAAUAACACAAAUCAAAUGAAUUAUUUAAAAAUAAAUAAAUAUAAAAUCAAAGUUGAAGAGAAAAAACUCUUGUGCAUUAAAAAAACAUCAAAAUAAAUAAAUAAAUAAAUAAAUAAAACAUCAUCAAAUAAAUGUAAAAAUAAAUUAAUGUUAUGGAAAAAUGAGAAUAGGCAACAAGAAAAUAAGAACACAGAUUUACAUGAAAAAUGCUAGAUGGGAAAAACCAUGGAUAGAGGAGAAGAAAAUCCACUAUAUUAAAAAUUUGGUAUAAAAUGUGACAGAAUCAAGUGAGUAUUGUAUAGGCAUAAUCACUAUGACCCUAAAUCCUAUACAUCAUCGCAUAUGUAUGGUGUAUGCGAUAAUAUUUGUGAUAAUAAAAAUAUUGUCGCAUAAAAUAACUAUGGGAUGUAAUAUUUGUAAUAAUAUUCUUUACAAAAAAAAUAUUUUUUCUUUGCUUUAUUCACUUUGAUCACAACUUGAAAUAAGACAAUAAAAAUAUUUUCUUAAUUUUUGAAAAUUAAUUGAGGACUUAGAGCUACUUGUUACUGAGUGAAUUUGCUGAAUGGUGAAGAAUGUGUGUAUAGUAGUUUUGCAAUUUUUCAAACUUGUAGACAUAUUUUGUGAAGUCUUUUUCUCUUUGUAAAGCCCCAUUUUCUUUGUGUAGUUAUUUUUUCAAUAUUCUCUUUGGAAGGAAUUUACCAUUAGUUAUAUAGGUAAGAUUAAGGAAUUAAAUUUGGAAUUCUUAAGAUUUGAUUGCUUAAUUCAAAGAAUUUGGUUCAAGGGAAAUUUGCCAACAAAAUAAUAUUUAUUUUUAAUUCUAUGAUGACUUUAAUUAUUUGAUAUAAUUUUAUUUUGAAAGACUUGAUGUGGGGGACUCAUCACUUAUUGAGUCCAAAUUUUGUUGCACCCAAAUUUUUAUGAGCUAAGAAACCAUAAUUUUAAAGACCAAUUCAGUGGUAAGUGAAUCUGCUAAAAUCUUCUAUGUACAAAUGACCUCACUUCAAGGUGCAACACAUACAUGUAUUAUUAUGUGUAUGGGAUGAGUCUUGAAGUUAGUCUUCAUUCUUCUUUGAUUUUUUUUUCUUCAAAUAAAUAAAUAAAACAUCAUCAAAUAAAUGUAAAAAUAAAAUAUGUAUCGGUUAAUUGGAGAGGAGAGCUUUAAGGGCAUUUCUUCUAUGAAAUUCUAUGCUCCACGUACCAUAAAUUUGUACUCAACCAACAAAAUUACAGAAUGGGUCCAUGCACAAACAAAAAUAACUCAAAUGUAAAUAUCUAAAAAUGUAUAAAGUUCACAAUAGAUAUUCAAGCCCAAAUUUAAAUUUCAAAUUAGUCCAAUAGAUUUCAUCAAUCAAAAUGGGUCCAAAUUAGCAAAUAUAACCCAACAAAAAUAUCUCAUAUGUCAUAGGCCCUAAUUUAAAAUUUUCAAAUUAAUAGCCAAAAUAUAAGUUCAAUUAAUCAAACCCAAAACAUGAUAAAUUAAAAUAAAUCUCAUUAGGCCUAUACUUAAUAUCCCAUAAUUCAAGCCUAAUUUAAUAUAUAAACCUAAAUCCACAAUCAAAAUCAACCCAAUUUAUGCUAAUCCCGAUUUACAAUCAAAAUCAAACAUAAUUUAAUAAGUAAAUAACUAAAUAAAUUAAGCAAACUCAAAACACCCAAACCACUACAACAUAAAUCAAACAAUAAUAAAUAUAAUGACAAUAAUAAUAAUAAUAAUAAUAAUAAUAAUAAUAAUAAAAUAAAAUAAAAUAAAAUAAAAAAAUUUAACUCAUGUCGGAGCCAGUUUGAAUGUCUUGGGAAAGAAAGAAAAUGAGAGAAAAGUGAGAGAUGAUUGACAACUGACAGUGGCUCACUGGCGACGACUGGCUAGUGGUCCUACCGAUGGUAGUGAGGAUUGAUUGGUUUUUGGGAAAAAAAAUAAAAUGAAGAAAAGAAAAUGAGGUGUAAUAAAAAAAUGGAGAAUUGAGAGGAAGGUGGGAGAAGAAUGGAGAGAGAGAACAUAGAAAAUGAGUGAAAAGAAAUGAGGCUAGUUGGAGGAGGAAGUGGUAGUGUGUGAGCUAAAGUGAAGAAGAAUAGAAGAAGAAAAUGGAGAAGAAUGGGGAAAAAAAAUCCGCCUCCUUAAAUGAAGAGAGGUGGGUAGCCUAAAGAAGAAGAAAAAAUAAAAUAAAAUAAAAUGGGGAGAAAAUGAGAGGGGGUCGGUGGUCUUGUGAAUGAGGUGGUAUGCGUUAGAGAGAGAGAGUGGGUGGGGUUGUUGGGGAAGGUAUGAGAGAGAGAGGAGAGAGAAAAGAAAAAAAAGAAAGAAAAGAAAAAAGAUAAUAUAAAAUAAUAAUAAUAAUAAAAUAAAAUAAUAUACAAAAUAAUAAAAACUAAUAAUUAAAUAGUGAGUGGGCAAAAAAUAUCAUAUGUAAUCGGGAUUUAAUUUUAAGAGUAAAAUUGGGUUAAAAAUUAAUGUAAAAUAAAAUUAGGACAAAUUUUGGGGUAUACAAAUAUGCGCCUCUUCGGUAGAGUCCACGAGUAAAGCAAGUGUAUAUGUGAGCAAAACAAAGUGGGCUCUACUGAAAAACAAGACAAACCACCAAAUUUGUCUUAAUAUGACAUGAACUCUCCCAAAAAAAAAAAAAAAAAAAAAAUCUAAAACCCUACAAAAAUGGCCAAAACGGAAACUCCUAAGGUGCCUUUAAAGUUAUACUAUGGAUCUAGACUCCCUUAGAAAAGCCUCCAAAAAUGGCCCAAAAAUCGGUGUCAAAAUCGAGUAGCAAUCAGACCACUAAGGAGCACAUGAACGAAUGCAUACAAAGGGAAAAAAACCAUACGUGUACCAUACGAUGACAAAAGGCAUAAGGUAUCCAACAAUAUGACUGAUUCACGUGUUACGAGCUCAAAGAACUUUGUCAUGCACCAUGGAGGAAGGGAAACUCUAGAAUAAUGUGAUGAGGAAGUUAUUAGCACAAUGUAAUAGAGUGAGGAAAAAAGUGAUGAGUGCAAAGCUGUGAGGACAAGGUGCACAAUGCUAAUGAAUAUGAAAUGAAUAGCACUAGGCUAUAAUGCAAUGAAUAGCUCAGGGUUGUACCAUAAUGAACAAGUCAAGGAUGUGUAAAGAUGAGGAACAACUCAAGGUUGUAAUGCAAUGAACAACUUAGGGUUGUGAAUGCAAUGAACAGCUCAGCGCAAUGAAUGAAAUGAAUAGCUCAGGGCUGUGAAUGCAAUGAACAACUCGAGGUUGUGGAUGUAAUGAACAACUCAUGGUCAUGGAUGCAAUGAACAGCUCAGGGCUGUAGAUGAACAACUCAGGGUUGUGGAUGUCAUGAACAACUCAAGAAUAGGGGCACUGUACACCCAAAAUGGGAGAUCACGGUCUACGAUUCCAAGUCAAACCACUAAAGGGUGACCAAAAUGAGGGUGAUCAACUCACUAAAAAAGAUGAUCAAAAUGUCUUAAGGGAGAGGAGAUGCCCCAGAUGAAACUUAAAGGAAGUGAGUAGUGCUAAUGAAACUAAAAAAAGAAAAAAUGUCACAACUGAAAUUGAAAAAAUAGCAAACUUAGAUUAAAGUGCAAUGAACAACUUUGGGUUGUGGAUGCGAUGAACAGUACCUUGUUGUAAUGAAAUGAAUAACUCUAAGAUAUGGGCAUUGUACGCCUAAAGAGGGAGAUCGUGGUUUACGACUCCAAGUCAAACCACUAAAGGACGACUAAAAUAAGAUGAUCAACUUACGAUAAAUGAGAAUGCAACUAUCUCGAGAAAAAGGGUAUGCCCCAAAUGACACUCAAUAGUAAAAGAAUGACACAAAUGAAACUAAAACAAGAGGAUGCCACAAAUGAAACUGAAAUGAUAACAGACUCAGUACUAAUGUGUAAUGAACAACUUUGGACUAUGGAUGCAAUGAAUAGCACUGGGUUGUAAUGAAAUGAACAACUCUAAGAUGUGGGCACUAUACGCCUAAGAAAUGAGAUCAUAGUUUACGACUCUAAGUCAAACCGCUAAAGGGCGACUAGAAUAGGAUAAUCAACUCACUAAAAAUGAGGAUGCAACUAUCUCGAGAAAGGGGGUAUGCCCUAAAUGACACUCAACAGUAUAAGAAUGACAUAAAUGAAACUAAAAUAAGAGGAUGCCACAAAUAAAACUAAAAUGAUAACAAACUCAAAACUAAUGUGCAAUGAAUAACUCUAGGUUGUGGAUGCAAUGAACAACACUGGGCUGUAAUGAAAUGAACAACUCUAAGAUGUGGGCACUAUACGCCUAAAGAGGGAAAUCACGGUCUACGACUCCAAGUCAAACCACUAAAGGGCGACUAGAAUAGGAUGAUCAACUCACUAAAAAUGAGAAUGCAACUAUCUCGAGAAAAGAGGGAUGCCCUAAAUGACACUCAAUAGUUAAAGGAUGACACAAAUGAAACUAAAACGAAAUGAUACUACAAAUGAAACUGAAAUGAUAACAAACUGAUAACUAAAGUGCAAUGAACAACUCUAGGCCGUGGAUGCAAUGGACAGCUCAAGAAUAGGGGAACUAUUCGCCCAAAAUGGGAGAUCGUGGUCUGCGACUCUAAGUCAAACCACUAAAGGGUGGCUAAAAUCAAAAUGAUCAAUUCACUAAAAAUGAGGAUCUGAACAUCUCAAGAAAGGGGUUAUGCCCCAAAUGAAACUGACAAUAGAGGGAUGCCCUAAACAGACUGAAAAAAGGAGGAUGCCUUAAACAAACUAACGAAAAAUGGAUGCCCUAAACAAAUUGACGGAAGUGAAAUGCCCUAAAUAAACUGACCAAAGAAGAAUGCACUAAACAAACUCCAAGAAAAAAAAAGAAGAAGUAUGCGAUAUAGAAUCAAAAACACCUAAAACAAAAACAAGAAACAAAGAAUGUGGUUUACAACUAGAAACACCCAAAAGAACCUUAAAGAAGUGACUGGGAUAAUGAACUUAAUGAAAAUGGGGUAUGCCACAGUAAAAGACUCGGAAGUAUCAGCAAAUGGAUCAAACGACCAUGAAAUCAAUAGGAGAUAUGAUGAACCCAAAAAGGGCGUAUGCCCCAACAAAAGAACACUAAAAGGGGGGUAUGCCUUGAUAUGACGACUCACAAUAAUUAAGAAAUGGAUCGAGUAAUGAGAAAAUCUGCAAAAUAUCUUAUGAACUCAAAGAUGGGGGUAUGCCCCAGUGUAAAAUAGUGACCAACAUAAGACACAGAAUGUCACCAUACAAUACACUCUGGGAUAUGCUCAAUGACAAUGUAAUGAAAACAAUAGCCUCAAUCAACAAAUGUUCAAGCAAGACCAUGCAUCACAUAAACUAAAAUAAUAGGCUAAACAAAUGCUAACCAAGUCUCUCAAUCUGAAAUGUAAGCAAGUCAAGACAUGACAUGUCAACCAUCGACAUGAAAACAUCAUCACAAAUACAUCAACAAACUAAUAGUCCCUACUAUCAUGGAAGAUGUAGAACCUAACGUCCAAAGGCAUGUGAAAACUCAACCAAAAAGCUCAAGACUAGUUUGCAUCCUCCUCUAAUAAAAAGAAUGAGAUAAGGUCAUGUAGGAUGAUGAAAUAGGCAAGCUCAAUAUUCGUUAGGCUCUACCAAGAUGGAUGUAGGUAUAAUAGUGUCAAAGGUAGGAUGUCUAGAUGUCCAACGAAGGAAACUGGGUAUCCAAGUCAAACCAAGUAUGUUGAGGAAACUGAAGCCAUAGGACAAUAACUUUAUGAUCCAUUGAAAAUAGCAAUCAUGAAUAGAAGGUCGAGUCUCGAUGUCAAAAUCAACAAGGUGGCAUUGCCCCAGUAUGAAUACAUCUUCUCAAAAUGGGUAAACCCUCAGUGCAAGAUAAUCUCUAGAUAGUAUGUGUCUAGUAUAAACUGUCAUCUCACAAAAUCUAUCACUGAUGAGUGGGCUAUACCCCAGUGUAAGCAUUUCCAAAUCAAACAUCGAUGAGAGGAGUACAACCAAUCAUACAUAAUAUGAUCAAAACAAAUCUCCACUCCUCAAAGUCAUCAUGGUAACGUGAAGAGAGUAUCUAACCUCAUUUAAAGAAAGAUCAUGUCCCAAUGUGAAAAAUAUCAAGCAAAGUGGUAUGUCUCAACAAAAAUGCACUCUAACAUGAUCAUGCCUAGAUGUAAGCUGGUAUCUUUAAGAUCAAUCACCAAUGAAAGGGUUAUGCCCCAGUAUAGGGCAAUCUCUGAAAUGACUAAAAUCCGCUACAAGCUCUCACAAGUGUCUAUGUCAUGAACCAAUCAUCUCAAAAAAUAAAUAAAUAAAUAAAUAAAUCUAUCAACAAUGAUGAGAAGGUUAUGCUAUAAUCACAUCAAGAAAAUCACUCGGUCAUAUCUUGUACUCCAAUGUGAAAGGAAAAUAUGAUCACCUCUAAAGAAUGGCUAUGCCCCAAAAUACAUCAUCGAUUGAGAAAUAUGCCCCUACGUAAAGUACAUCAACUGAAAUAUGCCAAUCAUGCCUCAUGUUCCAAUGUGAAAAAUGACAUAUAAUAUUCUUUGAGGGAUGGUCAUGACUCAAAAUCCAUCAUCAGUUGAGAGAAGUAUGCCCCGACAUAAUGGUCAUCUAAAAAAUCAAUCUCCGACUAAGAAAUGUGUGCCUUGAUGUGAUGUAUCAAGCAAACUGGCUGCAUACCCCAUAAAAAACUCUCUAAGGUGGCUAUGCUCCAAUGUUGGAUCAUACCACAACUCCUGGUCUAUCACAAUCAAAAUGCUCUCCAACCAAUCCCAAGUAUCGCCCACAUGAGAGCUAUCAAACACAAUGUGUGAUGUCAUGGCCUCAAGGUGGUCUUAAGAUUCAGGACGUAACGUAGGCUAGGGUAAUAAGGUGAAGAAAUGAAGGAAAACUAGGCUUAAUAAUCCUAAUGAUAAAACCCCAUACCCUUAUGUAUAAAAUGCAAUAUGUGCAAAGAGUCUUAUAAACCAUGGAUCUAAGGACACCCAAUAUGAAUAUAUCAGUGAGGAAGAAAGAAUCUAAGAUGAAUAUAUCAAUGAUAAAAGAGAAGAAAUGAAGAAUAUCAAACUGCUGAUGGGAUGUAUAAGAAUGAUGUGUGGAAAAUAUUGAACAUGGAAUGUAAAUUGAUAUGAACAAAGAACAAUGUAGGCAAGGCAAAUGCGAUAUCAUGAUAAGAACAAAUAAAUCGAAGAAAAAUGAAUGAACACUAAUCCACUCAAAUCAAGUCAUGGAGAAUAGUCAAAUCACCAACGUAUGUAAUGAUGGAGAAGACAAUGAUUCGAAGUCCCUAGGAAAAUGUCACUUGUUUGUCACACAUAAAAUACAUAACGAGAUAGACACAAAAAUAUGAGAGUUUUUUGAAAGUUCACAUACGAACUUUCAUAAGCAACUAACUCAAUAAAGCAACCUCAAUGACCAAUAUAUACACUCAAUAAAGGAUGACACUGUAUACAUGUGUUUAUUACUUUUUCUUUUUCAUUUUUUUCAUUUUUGUUUUUAUUUUUUUUCUUUUGCUCGCGCAUACUCUGAAUAUCAAUAAAUGAACUUCUCUGAGAAUACAUAAUGAAAUGGAUAUACUCUCAAACAAUGAUGUAAGCGAACUCUCUCUGACAAGAUGACCCUCUAAAUUAAGGAUUUUCAAACUAACGUCCAUGAGAUAGGAGUGGAAGGGGAUAUGACCAUCCUCCCUGCACCGAAAUGUGAAAAAUCAUCACUCAGGGCACAAAAAAAUGUGAUGAAAAAAAAUAAAAAAUGAAACAAAAGAUAUAAACAAUGAAGUAUGAUGAAGACUGAUGUUGGGAAGACAAAAAAAUAGUGAAGAAUGUGAGCCAAUAAGUCCACAACUCAUGAAACUCUCGAAUAAAAUAUAUAUAUACACCAAAAGACCCUUAUCCCGGUGUAAAAUGUGAGCAAGGAUAUAAGAAAGAAAAGACUAUGGUGCUCAUGUGAGGUUCAAAGGGCUAGCAACGGUCCAAAUGUCAAUAAAGGUAAUAGGGUGUGAGCUAACCAAAAUGAAGGCCACCUAUGAUGGUCUGAAACAUCAUGCUCUUAAGCUUUCAAUGAUCAAUACUGAAAAUCGAUGUCCAUUUGAUAUAAACACGUCAACCCUUUGGAAUUGUGCGCCAAACCAUACUCCAAAUGCUCCAUAAUAAUCUCAAAGAUAAUCCUCUCAAAGCAAAGUAAAUAGCGAUCUCAUAAGGCACAACUACUCAUCACAAGCCAACUCUCAUCAUGCAAGAUCAAUCUCUAUUUUCAUGGAAAAAUAAGUGACAAUCUCAUCAGGUAAUCGACGAAUCCUCACAUCAUAAACCAACCAAAGAUCAUAAGUCAUUCAUUGCCAUGCAAGAUCAAUCCCAGACUCAAACUCCUCAUACUCUACCUGGUUGGAUUAGAGAAGAAAUGGGCAAAACUAGAAAAACUGAAGAUGGAAAGGUCAUAUAAUGGUGUCAAGGGUGAUGUUGUGCAAAACUCACAAUGGAUGGAUGUAGGUCAAAGCAAAGUCAAUGUGUGAGAGUGAGUAAGGCACUACUCUGAUCAUAAGAAGAUGGGUCACAAUCUCAAACUCCUAAGGUCAAAUCUCCGAUCCUAGGCUAAUAAGCUCAACAUCCUCCAUGAUAGGUCAACCCCCAAGAUCACAAUGUGCAAAUGAAUAGAUGCCUCAAGUCAAAAGUACAACACAUCAUAUGAUAUAUGGUCCUACGAUGACAAUCUAAAACUGGAAAUAUGUUAGAAACUCUAAGGUCAUAAACGUGUCCACUGUGAGAUGACUAUAAAUGUGACUAAGGAAUCUUUAUCAAUAAUCCAAAAAAUGAAUGAAGUGUGAAAAACAACACUAUCAUGAGAUCGAUACCCCAUCAAUAACAAAAUAUCUCUAAUUCACUUUCAAUCUAAACUCUAUAAAGAAAAACGAUAAGGUUAUAAAGGCAAACCUCUCAAAAAUGGUGUGAAUGUGAAAACAUGUCUUCACCUUUCUAUAAUGAAAAUAUCAUGUUGAAAAUAGAAAUAGGCAAAUCGACCAAAGAAUGAAGUACGGAGCCCAUGACAAGUGAAGAAUGUAAAAAGGUGAACAUGAUCAAUGAACAUAUCCCAAAACAUCAAGCAUAAAGUGACAACAAACCAAAAGAAUGUGUCAACUUAAGAAAAGAAGACUAUCUGAAGCCCCAGGGAAAAAGUGUGCUAGACUCAACGAGCGACAAGAAGAAACUAAAACCAUAUAGCAAGAGGUGGUCCAACUGAUACUCAAACUCGUACCAAUAUCUAAGCACUCUCGACUGGAGACCAAAAGAUGGAGUAUUGGAUCCAUAUUGUGACUAAAGUGGCCUCGAAGGCUCUCAGAUGCACCCACGUGUAGGAAAGGAAAUCCUAGUAAAAAUAUCUAAGGCUUAACCUACAAGGUCAAGGCGGCUCUAAAAAGAAAAAUUGAGUGGACUUUAAAGGAUUCCUAGCAAAAGCGAUCAUACCCUCCGAUGGUACGCAACCUCCUACACGUCUUGAAAUAUAUGGGAGUGAUUCCAUGCAAGGUGGUCAUCACCUCCACACAUGCACUAUCUCAUAUCCUAGAGGGUUUCCUAAUGAUGAAGACUCUUACAUCUCUCAACACUUAGUGGUAAUCUAAGGUGCACAGUGAAUGGUGUGGGUUCAUCCAAAAAUCCUAUCAAGCUAAGCAAAGAGAAAACACAUUGGUCACACAAAUAUCUUGAAAUAUAGCUCUAACCUAUACAAGUCUUCAAAGAUUGGACUCCAAUUAGCAUUAAUGUUUCGACCUUCUCCAGAAUGCUCCCAAACAUAGAUAUAGUCCAUCACUAAAUCCUACUCCGAAUCACUAGCUCGGUCGAAGAGCAAACAAAGUAAUAAGUCUCAUAUCAAAUAUGAGAUCAAGGGGAACAUGGUCACCCAAGACUAGGGAAUUGAAGUAAGGGGAUAGAUGUGUGUCCCACAUAGAAAAGCAACAUGCAUCACACAGAAGAAGAAUAGUCAUGCAAUAGACAACCAAGCAAAGAACAGGUAUAUCAUUCAUAUCUACACACAAGCUAAACAAGAAAUAGGUAUUUAACAAGAAUAAACAAUAUGUUGAGAUAAACAAGAUAAUAUACAAUAAAGAGAAUCAAUCACACCAAUAUGAAUGAGAUAUACAAAAAUGAGAAUAUACAUGUCAAGGAGAACAAGAUAAUCAUACAACAAGAAGAGUCUUAUGUUAAAGCAAGCAAGAGAAUCAAUCGAUGUAGUCAACAUGUCAAUAUCGCAAAUGAACAUAACAACCAAAUAUGCAUCAUAAAGAAAAAAUGGUAAUCAUGCAGCACACAGUCAUACAAAACAAAUACAAACAAACAUAAGCAAAUAAAUGUAAACACACAUGAUAACAAAAAUCAAUGUAUAGUAAGGCACAUGCAAUAUAUACAUAAAAUAAUCAUCAAGUCAACACUCAUAUACCUUAAAACAUGAAAAUAUACAAUAAAGACACAACGAGAGGGUAUUCACUGAUCGAUUAAUCAAACACUACAUUUCCCUUAACUCAAGUUCAAGUUUGAUCCUUUAAAUAUCCCUAGUGGAGUCGCUAUUUUGUGGACCCACAUUUUUCAAAUGCGUCCUUACACAACAGCGAGACUCAUUUUUUUUAUUUGGUGAAAAUUUGAUUUUGAGAAAAAAGACUUUGAGUUGUCACUUAUUUUUGUUUUUUUUUAAGGGAAAACAAAACAAGAAAGAAAACCUUGUGUGACUCCUUAUUUGGGAAAGACAUGUAUGCAAAAACCAAAUCUGGAUUCGGGGGUCAAGUUACCUAUUGGGAAUGUACGAUGGUGAGCUGUAGCACCUCUCUAAGCUCAUAUACGUACGGUCUCUACUAAACGAAUUAAGAGAAUUGUAGUAAUUAAUUAAUUAGUCAAGGAUACCAAGAAAAAGAAUCGCACAAAUGAGUACAUACAAAUCAUGAUAAAAAAAAUCAAAUUAUAAGAAUAGACAAAAUAAAUAACAAGAGAAUUGUGCAAAGUGAUUUAUUAAACUAAAUAAAAAAGAAGAUAUUAAAAAAAUUAGUUUUCAAGAAAUUUCAAAGGAUUUUAUUAAAAUGAUUUUGAAUUAAUGAUUUUAAUUUAUUUAUUUACAAAAAAAAGUCAAUUUAUUUUCUUCAAUUGAUUUGAUUCAAUUUCAUUUGUAUUCAAUUUUUUUUUUAAAAAAAAAAAGUUAUUUACACUCAUGGUUGUUAAAAGAAUUAUUAACAAAAUUUCAAGUUGACAAUAAAAAUGAUUUUUACUUGCUUUUACUCGAAAACAAUGAAUUUUUACAAUUUUAUUAACAAAAGCAUUUCAAUUUAAGAAAAGUGACUUAAACAAAUUAUUAAAAAAAUAUAACUUUAUCUGCAAAAGAAUUUUUAAUUAAAAAGAAAAAAUUUAAAUCAUCUAUUUCUAAAAAUGACUUUUAAUCCCAUUUUAAUUAAGAAAAUUUGAGUUAUUUAAAAAAACAUUUUUUGGACAAUUUGAAUAAAAAUUAAUUUUUGGGACAACUUUAUUUACAAAAAAAAUUUUGGACAAUUAUUAUUAAAAACAAAAUUUCAAAUUCUAUUAAAAACAAUUUUUUGGAUUUUUCCAAACACAUUUUUAUGAAUUUUUAUUAAUAAAAAACUUUUUUUUAUUAAGAAGAAUAUUUUUUGAGCUAUUAUUUUAUUAAAACAUGUUUAUUGAAUUAUUCUUCUUAUUCAAACAAAAUUUUUAAUUUGUUCAAUAUCUAAUUCUGUACACAACAAGUAAAUAUAUACAAACAAAUAUUUAUAAAAACCAAUAAAAAUAAAACCAAAUAGAAGUGAGAAAUAAAACAUGUUCUUAAACAAGCUUACAACAAGCUCAAUGUCUUCUUACGACUUUUCGAGUCUCACUUUCUUUCAUUAAAUUUUAUGCUCCACGUACCAUAAAUCCGUACUCAACCAAAAAAAUUGCAGAAUUGGCCCAUGCAAAAACAAAAAUAACACAAAUGUAAAUAUCUAAAAAUGAAUAAAGUUCACAAUAGAUAUUCAAGUCCAAAUUCAAAUUUCAAAUUAGUCCAACAAAUUUCGUCAAUCAAAAUAAGUCUAAAUUAGCAAAUAUAGCCCAACAAAAAUAUCUCACAUGUCAUAGGCCUUAAUAUAAAAUUUCCAAAUUAAUAACCAAAAUAUAAGUUCAAUUAAUCAAACCCAAAACAUGAUACAUUAAAAUAAAUCUCAUUAGGCCUAAACUUAAUAUCUCAUAAUUCAAGCCUAAUUUAAUAUAUAAACCUAAAUCCACAAUCAAAAUCAACUCACUUUAUGCUAAUCCCAAUUUAUAAUCAAAAUCAAACAUAAUUUAAUAAGUAAAUAACUAAAUAAAUUAAGCAAACUCAAAACUCUCAAACCACUAUUGCAUAAUAUCAAACAAUAAUAAAUAUAAUGACAACAAUAAUAAUAAUAAAAUAAAAUAAAAAAAUUUAACUCACGUUGGAGCCAGUUUGAGUGUCGUGGGAAAGAAAAAAAAUGAGAGAAAAGUGGGAGAUGAUCGUUAGCUGGUAGUGGCUUGCCGGCGGCGACUGGUCGAUAGUCCUACUGGCGGUAGUGAGGAUUGAUGAGUUUUUGGGAAAGGAAAAAAAAAGAGGAGUAAUAAAAAAAAAAAAAGAGAAAUGAGAGGAAGGUGGGAUAAGAGGGGAGAGAGAGAAUGAAGAAAAUAGGGGAAAAUAAAUGAGGCCGGCCGGAGGAGGAAGUGGUAGUGUGUGUGAGCUAAAGUGAAGAAGAAUGAAAGAAGAAGAAGGAGAAAAAUGGGAAAAAAAUUCGAGCCCUCUAAAUGAAGAAAGGUGAGUAGCUUAAAGAAGAAAAAUAAAAAUAAAAAAAGAAAAAAUGAGGAGAAAAUGAGAGGGCCAGUAGUCUUGGGAAUGGGGUGGUAUAGGUGAGAGAGAGUGGGCGAGGUUGUUGGGGAAGGUAUGGGAGAGAGAGGAGAGAUAAAAGAAAGAGAAAAAAAAACAUAAUAAUAAUAAUAAUCAUAAAUAAUAUAUAAAAUAAUAAAAAUUAAUAUUUAAAUGAUGAGUGUGUCAAAAAUAUUAUAUGUAAUUGGGAUUUAAUUUUAAGAGUAAAAUUGAACUAAAAAUUAAUGUAAAAAUAAAAUUUGAACAAAUUUUAGAAUCUACAAAUACAUUCUUUAAUCUUUCCACAACAUCAAUCUGAUCUAAAUGAAAUGCAAUAAAUUCUAAAAAUGAUACAAUCUUUAAUCAAUCCACAACAUCAACCCGAUCAAAACUCAAUGCAAUAUUGCUUAAUGGAGAGAAUCGUAAAAUCCUUUUAUGAGAGGAAAAAAAAACCCUUAACAGACCUUUAUGAGAGGAAAAUAGGAAAACAUAGAACUAAAAACCCUUAACGUAUUCAUGAGAAUAAAAAAAUCCUUAACACCUUAAUAAGAGGAAAACAAAGAAUUUGAACAAUCCUUAAUCCAUCAAAAGCUCUUAAUAUGAACGAGGGGAAAACAUAACCUUUAUUUUUCAUAUCAUUGAAUACAGAAUCUAAAGAGAUAGAAUUUUUAGUUAUUAAGGAUUUUUUUAUAAAUGUCUAUUGAAAGUUUAAGAACUUUUAUGGAUAAGUGUUAAUUAAGAGACUGAAAGGGUACUUAGGAUUUUCAACUAAAAAAGUUAUAACAAUAUGAAUCGUAAGAACUUAAAAACAUCACCCAUCCAUAAGAGGAAUAUGGAAUGAGAGGUUAUUUUUUUACUUAUACAACAAUAAACUUUUUUGGAAGAGGUUUUUCUAAGUACAAAAAGUUAUGAAUAAAAAACCAUUGUUACGAUGAGUUAACUAAAAUAGAAUUAAUUUAGAAAAUAUCAAUAAAGUUGCAUGAAUUAUUAUCAUGAGUUAACUUAAUAAGAAUAAAUAGUAAUAAAGUUAAUGAAGUGAAUUUGGAUUGGCAGAUAUAUUUGAUGAUAAGAUUUUUUUAAUAAUAAAAAAUUAUUAUGGCAGGAAAAAUAGGACAAAAUUGACCUUAUGAUAAGAUUUUUUUAAUAAUAAAAACAUUAUUAUGGUAUGAAAAAAAGGGACAAAAUUGGCCUUUCCUUAAUUGUACCGGUUAAUGGAAUAAUGGGACAUGCGGUGGUUACAAGCCACCCCAAAAGGUAGGAAGAAUCUCCAACCCCCAUUCUCGGCUCCCUUAUCUUUUCCCUUACAACCAAAAAUCAACAACUAUCUUAGAAUGUCCUUCAGUCCACCAAAAUUCAACAACAACAUUACAAUAAUGAAAACAAAAUUGAUUGAUCACCAGCUAACAUUAGGAGAUUAUAAGAUAAGGAUGUAAUUGCAAUUAUUGAAAUCACUUAAAGAGUAAAAGUUAGGAACAUGCUCACAAUAAAUAAAAUCACCUUAGAAUUAAAAAUUAGGGACAUGAUUAUGAUGAUUAAAAUCACUCGAGAACUAAAAUGUUUUAGAGAUACAAUAAUUGAAAUCAACUGAAAAAUAAAUUCGGGAUGUGAUCGCAAUUAAUGUAUAUAUAAACAACCAAAUGUUGAAAGGAAAAACUAAUGAAAUUAAUAUGAUUUUCUUUUAGAUUUCUCUUGACACCAAACAAAUGUAAGGAAGUUUAUAAAGGAAAAUUAGGUUUUGAUUCACUAAAUUAAAAUAAUAUAGAAAAAAGAUCUUCAAAUUUUAUAUAUCAGUUUUAUUUUUAUUUAUUUAAAAAUAUUUUAAAAUACAUAUAUUUUUUCAUAACUCAAAUAGUCAUUCCUCAAAUGCUAGUUUUACUUGUUAUGUUAAUAACACUAGUUAAUAAUUUUUUAUUGUGAGAACGAUUUAAGAUUAAUAAAAUAAGAAAAUUUUAAAACUAAAAAGACAUUUAAAACUUUAAAAUUAAAAAUAUAAAAAUAAAACAAUAAUUUUUCAUUUAGUAAAACACGCCAGUAGAAAAUAUAGAUAUAGAGAAAGAGUUGGAAAUAAAAUAAGAGUUAAUAUUUUAUUUUUAAAAUUUUAUGUUUUUUAUUUUAAUUGUAUUUAAUUUUAUGUAUUUUAGUUGUAAUUAUAUUUUUAAUUUUUAAAUUUUUUUUUAUUUUAUUGUUGAUGUAAACUAAUAAAUUUUUUGUUCAAUUAUAUAUAUAUAUAUAUAUAUAUAUAUAUAUAUAUAUUUAAAUUAGUGAGUAAAAACCCACUUUUUCUAAUUUAUAAUAUAUUUAUGGGAUUUUAUAAUAUAAGAAAUUUUUUUUUAGAAAGAGGAAAAAUCAACAUUUCAAUUUCCCUUCAUUAUUAUUAUUAUUAUCCAAUUUGGUUGAUUAUGAGAUUAGUUGGUAUCAUUACUAUAUCCAUUUGUCCUUAACCCUUCAUUAGAAUAGUAUUAGGAGUUGAACGUCAGUUGGAAUACAGGCUAUGGAAACAAAUCUAUCCGAUUAGUAGGUUCUUGUUAUUUUCAAUAUAGACCCCAUAAAAUAAAUAGGAGAUAUGAGAUAAGACUGUGACAAAAUUGGCGGUUACUUCCCGACACCUGGCUCUCCACAAACAAACCCAGUGAUCCAGAAAUUAAUUGGUACCUGGACACGUGACUACCAAACGUUCGCUCACCCACCAUACCCAUGGCCUCAUGCCCCAUAUAUUUCCACAAACCUAGCUCAAUUUUCAUAGCCACCUUCACUGUCCUACACUCACUAAGCCAUGGCCAUAGAUACAAGCCUCUUGCUUGAGUUUGCUGCAGCAACUCUACUCUUCUUCAUCACCCGCUUCUUCAUUCGUUCUAUCCUUCCCAAACCUUCCCGGAAGCUCCCCCCUGGCCCCAAAGGGUGGCCGCUCCUCGGCGCUCUUCCUCUCGUAGGUAACAUGCCUCAUGUUGCAUUAGCAAAGAUGGCCAAAAGAUACGGGCCUGUCAUGUUCUUGAAAAUGGGCACUAACAGCAUGGUGGUGGCCUCAACUCCCGAGGCGGCUCGGGCUUUCCUUAAAACGCUAGACAUUAAUUUCUCUAGCCGCCCGCCUAAUGCCGGUGCCACACUCUUGGCCUAUCAUGCCCAAGACAUGGUUUUUGCGGAUUAUGGGGCAAGGUGGAAGCUACUGAGAAAGCUAAGCAACUUACACAUGCUUGGUGGAAGGCUCUUGAGGACUGGUCUCAGGUCCGAGCUGUUGAGCUAGGCCACAUGCUUCGAGCCAUGCUUGAGUUGAGCCAGCGAGCGGAGCCGGUGGUGGUGCCGGAGAUGUUAACUUUUUCCAUGGCCAACAUGAUAGGGCAAGUGAUACUAAGCCGCCGGGUGUUUGAAACAAAAGGGUCGGAGUCAAAUGAGUUCAAGGACAUGGUGGUGGAGCUCAUGACCACUGCUGGGUACUUCAAUAUUGGCGAUUUUAUUCCGUCCAUCGCAUGGCUGGACAUCCAAGGGAUCGAGCGCGGGAUGAAGCAUUUACAUAAGAAGUUCGACAAGUUAUUGACAAGGAUGAUAGAGGAGCACACGGCAUCAGCCCAUGAGCGCAAGGGAAACCCAGAUUUUCUGGACGUAGUCAUGGGCCAUCAAGGAAAUUCUACAGGGGAGAAGCUCACCCUUACCAACAUUAAGGCGCUCCUCCUGGUAUGCAUAGUUAAAGCUUGUCUUUAAUUUUGUUUUCCGAUAUUUUCUUUCCGGAAACAGCACUUUUAUUGCUUUUAUAUCAGGUAGCCAUUUUAGGGGCACAUCACUGUUCUUUAUUUGCAUUUUUUUUUGUCUUUUUUCACUUGCAUGGUUGUUUUCAUAUGCUCAGCUGCAUGGCACAGGAAAAUUGGGAAAAAUGAUUGGUUCUCUGAUCAGACCUUCUGCACCAAAACACACUUCUCUCUAUUUUAUAAAAUCAAGAACAUUUAUGGUUUACAUGAAUUUUCGAACUUGAACUUUUGCUAGGGCUAAUGCAUGGAUCUCAAUUUUCAAUUGCGUUUGAUUACAUAAAUUUCAAGUAUGUCACCACAUUUUUGUUUCCUUGGCUAGAAUUUAUUUACUGCAGGAACAGACACUUCAUCAAGCGUAAUCGAGUGGUCUCUGGCUGAGAUGUUGAAAAACCCGAGCAUCCUCAAGCGUGCUCACGAAGAAAUGGAUCAAGUGAUUGGAAGGAGCCGGCGGCUCGUGGAGUCUGACUUACCAAAACUUCCAUACCUACAAGCCAUAUGCAAGGAAAGCUUCCGGAAGCACCCAUCCACCCCAUUGAACCUUCCUCGUGUCUCAACCCAGGCAUGUGAAGUGAACGGCUACUACAUCCCAAAGAACACUAGACUUAGCGUGAACAUAUGGGCAAUCGGGCGAGACCCUGAUGUCUGGGAAAGCCCGGAAGAAUUCAGGCCAGAAAGGUUUUUAAGUGGAAGAAAUGCAAAAAUUGAUCCUCGUGGAAAUGAUUUUGAGUUGAUCCCGUUUGGGGCUGGACGAAGGAUUUGUGCUGGCACUAGAAUGGGAAUAGUGCUAGUUGAGUACAUUUUGGGGACGUUGGUACACUCAUUUGACUGGAAAAUGCCGGAUGGAGUUGAGAUCAACAUGGACGAAGCUUUCGGGCUUGCUCUGCAGAAGGCAGUUUCUCUUUCGGCUAUGGUGACACCAAGGCUUCACCAGAGUGCGUAUGCAGUCUGAGCUCAAGCUGUUCAGACCAAAACCCAGGCCUAGCUACUAUAUGGCAUGGAUUUGUUUCAGUUUCCUUUGGGUUAGUAUAACGGUAUAAGAUGUAUUAGCUCAAAGAUUGGGAGUUUCAUUCUACCACCAUGCCAUAUGCCUAUCCGUGAUCUAUAAAUUUAGCUUCAGUUUGGUUAUAGUUUCUAUUUUUCUUUUGUCUUCGUAAUCAGUAAAUAAUAGUAACCUUUAUAUAAAAUAUAGUAACUCUUGCAGCUAUUAUACCAUGUACAAUAAAAGUACAGUGGUUUUGGAAAAUACAAUGAAACAGUGAGUUUGAUUUUUUAUUUUUUAUUUUUUAAUAAAAUAAAAUGUUGGAAAAGAGAAGUAAAUAAAGGAAGAUAUAUUAAGAGUCUAUUUGACAUUACUUAUAAUGAAAGUGUUUUUAUUAUAAGUGUUUUCUUUAUUAUAAGUGUUUAAAAAUCACUUUGAUGAGAAUUUAAAAAAAUGAUUCUAAUAGUGUUUUUAAUAAUAUAUUAUAUAAGUAAAAACCACUUUUAAUAAUAAUAAAUUACUAUAAAAAAAAAGACAUUUAUUAUAAAAAGAAAAUAUUAUAAUAAACCAAAAACUUUUAUUAAAAAAAAUAUAUACAAAUAUUUAAUUGUUAAAAAAACUCAAAAAUUAUUUUUAUGAAAAUGAAGUGAAAGAGGAAGAGGAGAGUAAGAAGAAAAAAGAGAGUUAAAAGGAAAUGGAGGAUAGCGAGAAAUUUUAUUUUAGGAAUAUAUAAAAAAAAUUUGAAAUAUUUUUUUAAAGAAACACCUCUCAAGUGCUUUUCUAAAAAAACACUUCAAGUGCUUUUCUAAAAAAACACUUCAAGUGUUUUUUAAAAUUUUCAUAAGUGUUGUUCAAAAUAUUGUCAAACACAUAUUUUUUUUAUCUUAAAAAAGCAUUUAAGUGUUUUUAGGGCUAAAAGCACUUCUAAAAAGCAUUGCCAAACGAGCUCUAAAUAAUUCAUAUUUCCUUGAAUUUAUAUUUUUAUUUUCUCUCUAUGAAUUUUCCUUUAUUUCAAAUACAAAAUAUAUUUUAAAAGGUUAAUUUUAUUUACUUGUCUUAAGGUUUUUGUUAGAUACACUUAAUUAUCAUUUAUUUGAAAUUUCAUUAAUUAUCUUUCUUAUCCUUUCCGUUUCUUAAUUUGUCAUGUACUUGAGAAAGUCAAUUUCAUUAUCAUCUUUACUUCUUGAACCUUGACUUAAAACUCCAACUUCACACAGGAUAUGAUAUAAAUUAAGAAAAGACUUAUUAAAAGUAGUAACGUUCUACUUUAGUUUAAAAAUGUUAACAAAAAUUAGAGGAGAAUUAACUAAAAUAUACUGAAUUUUAAAUCAAGCUAACAUAUUAUAAACCAUUGGAAAACCCACGUGAUUAAAUAGCUUUCUUGUAGUCUGACAAAGGAAAGAAAUUACCUGAAAAGAAUGGCAAAAAUGGAACUGCAUCUUAUGACCUAUAAUCACAUGAUUUCCACACUUAGAGCAUCCAUUGCCAAGAAAGACGUCGAUCAUAUCACCUUAAUUUUGUAAUAAUUCAAUGCCUCUUUUUGUAAAGCCAUAUCAUAAAUAUAAUGAAAUUAAAAGACAAAUUAAUCAAUCAAAUAAUAAAAUUUUGAAAUUUACAUGGUAGUAGGUGAGGGAAUUGUUCAGUUAAGAAUGAAGAGAGACCACACUCGAGGAAAUAUUAUUGAGGGCAUAGAUGUUGACUUUCCAUAUUCACACCUAAUUAAAAAGGUGAUUAAGAAAAUAAACAAAAACAACCCAAAAAGAGUGAAAGAUAUAUUGUUAGGAAAGAUUGUUCAAAAUGAUCCCGAGUUAUAAAAAUGAACUCUUUCAUUAAGAUGACCUUUUUGAAUACUUUUAUCCUUCUUUUUUUUUUUUCUUGCCUUCAAAAUUAUAAAUCUUUCCUUUAUUUAUGUUAUUUUAUUUACUUUAUUAUUUUUCUAAUUUUUCAUUUAUUUCUUCUACUUACUUUUUCUCUUCUAUGAAGUCUUUCAUCUUUAGUUUAGUCAUGUCUUAUGAAGCUAAUUGUAUUUCCCUCCUUAGCUUACUCUCUAAGUUGUUAGUAAUCCUUGAUCUCAUCUCAUAAUGCACUAUCCCACGAUUCUUUCUUGCAGUCCAUUUUUAUUUUCAUUCAAGGUGUUCAUUAAAAGUACACAAGGGCUAAAUUUAAAUUAUAAGAGUUAAUUUCAAUUACAUUCCCUCAAGUUUUGGCUUAGAUACGCCUUACUUCAACUUAUUUGAAAUUUCAUCAAUUAUCUCUUUUAUUUUAAGUGAAAGGGGAGGUGAGUAUAAUUAAUAAAUGAAAAGGUAGGGGAUAUAUUUGAAGAAAUUUCAAAUUAAUGGGCGAAGGUGUAUUUAGCUUAAAUAUCAGGGAAAGCGAAUUAAAUUAAUCUUAUAAAAAACUUAAUUGAGAUUAAAUUCUCGUUAAGUAUCGUUACUUAAUCUAUCAUGAGAUUAAGUUCAAAAUCAUAAUAUAUAGUGAUGAGAUCUCAAACUUCAUAUCUUAACACAGUCAAUUGAACUUAUCUUGAUGAGUUUGAAGUCUCAAAAUUGUUUUGAGAUCCCUAACUAAAAAUAAUUGCUAAGGCCCUUAAUUUUUUUAUUAAAAUGUCUGUGAGCUUGAUUGAGAUCAAUUUGGAUUACUUUUAGAGAUUCUAGAGGAAUUUAGAAGAAUAUAUAAAGGAAAAAACUUAGGGAAGAUGAAAAGUGCUAGUUAGAGCAGCCUUCUAUUGCACCAGAAGAAGUGGGCGCACCCUUCUACUAUGUCAAAAGGACUUGACGCAUCUGUAUAAGUACGCUAGGAAGGAAAAUAAAGCAACAAGCCGGCCUUUGACUUGAGAAUUGGAGAACCCUCUCCCAGACUUAAGUGGCACACCUUUUAAGUGCGCCAAGGAAAAGAAAGAGUUGUGGCUCAACCCCAUCAAGGAUUGAUAGGCAUACUCCGUCCACUAAAGAUUAAAUGUGUUAGCACAUCUCUUAUCUCUCUCCAUGAACAAAUGGUGCAUUUAAUUAUACAUACACUGUAAGCAUUGGGCUGCCUAUCCGAUGGUGCAAUUCAAAAGCUGUGGCAUGUUUGGUCAACGUAUGAGAAGCAUCCUCUUGCAUCCAACAAUCUUGCAUGGGUGGGGCACACCCAACCUAAGUGUUCUCGAAGUUUGGAUGGUGUUGGAGCUGUUCUUUCCAAACUUCCAGCUUCUUCUUGUCUCACGUUCACCUGCAAUGCAAGGUUUACCCGGUGAAGCCCCGGGCAGACCCCUCCGAUGGUUAAGUCUGUUGGAGUGUGAGAAGCCAACUUCUUUUUAAUUUUUCUUCUUAGCUGUGUUCUUAUACAUCUCUUCACUUACCGCCGGGACCGGAGAUAAUGGGGGCAUUUUCACCACAUCACUGCCCACUUCGCCACCUUCUCAUGGCAGCAAGCUUUUUGGGCUAACCGCUCCCACCAUUUUUGGCGGCUAGCCCCUUCAACACCUUUCACAUUACUUACCAUAUUUCUUUCUGGGCCAGAGACUCUGUCUAGUCCUCCAAAUUCACCUCUUAAUUUUAAAUGCUUGGGCCCAGGCCCAUUGGUCCAAAUUCGGCUCUUAAUUUUUAUCCCUUGGAGGAGUGUUUUUAGUUUUUCUUCUUGAAAUACUUUGCAGGUACAAAACUGUAUGAGCUUUUUGUUCAUGGAGUUCUAUGGGAUUCUUCGAAAAUGAAUGAAAUUCAAUUUUAAAAGAAGUCUUUUGUUUCUUUGCUUGAGUAAUUUUUUACCUUAAGUUUAAUUUCCCUCGCAUGUUCUAUCCAUGAAGCACUAAUUCACUUUACUGUUGUGGGUUGAAAGGGGUUGUAUCCCUUGCAACUCAAUUUAGUCCUCAAUGGUUUCAAAGGGUAGCGGAUAGGGAGGUGAAGUUCAUGAUUGCAGCAAAUGCAUGCAUGUUGUAGCAUUCUGAGAGCCCUAAGCUAAGCAACUCCAUGAGCAUGUUUGUACCUUAUAUAUUUAGCUUUCACUUCCCUUUGAGGUUGAAAAUACUAGGUGUUACACGGAAAAACGAAAAUAGGCAAUAAGAAAAUAUGAAUAAUUUAUGUGAAAAAUCCUAAACAAAAAAACUAAGGAUAAAGAAAAUCCACUAAAUUAAAAAUUGGUACAAAAACAGAAAGAAUCCAACGACUAUUGUAUAAUCCUAAAUCCUAUACACUAUCGCAUAUAUAUAUGAGAAAAAAUAAAUAAAGCAGGUCCAUAUCGUAGGGGCAAUCCUCUGCACCCACAACAAAAUCAAUAAUGGGUUAAAGUAUAAUUUUUCUUCACCAUAUAUAUCAUACCACAAAUUUUUCAAGUCAAACCAAAAAACAAUUCAUAUCAUCAAGCUCUAACAUUAAAAAAAGAUGAAAACAAAUCUUUGUAUUAUGGUUAUGGGAGUAACUUUAAACCUUAAAAUUCUCAUUCAAGCUUUUCCAAAUGAAAUAUAUUAAUAUUAAGUUUUAUUUAAAUAAUCUAUUUUUCCGCAGAUAUAACGAUGAGUUGAAAUUUAGACUUAUUUAAUUUGUUUAUGUCAAACAUUCAAAUCUAAAAUACAUAUAACAAAAGAUCAUGGGAAUUUAUAAUAUAAACAAUUUUUAUGCAAAGGGCCAAUUGUAAAUAAUAGAAUACUAUUUUCAAAAGAGAUCCAAAUCAAGUCGUUGUUUUUAAUAAAUAAAUAAAUAAAAUUUUUGUUUCAUUUGGAAGAUGGUGUUAAAGAGCGACUGAAUCAAAUAACUUGCUCAACCGGCAAAGCUGAGCUGGUCAACUUGACUCGCUUAUAUAUAUACGUAAUUGGGGAAAAAAUGUCAGAUGAGGGGGCGGAUUAGGUCACUUGGGGGGUGCCGGGUGUAGAUGGAAGAAAGAAGUACGUAUAUAAUAAUAAUAAUUGGAGGGUUGACGUUGUCUUGAGAGCAACCGAUGAUGAUAACCCAUGCAGUAUUUUUGUCAUGGGAGAAUUAGGGUGGGGGUGGCCGUAAAAAAUAAUGACUAUGAAGCUCACUAUUUUAAAGGAAAGUUUUACUUUUAAAUAUAUUCUUUAUAUUAUUUAUAAAUAAAUUAAGAUUGUCAAUGAUGUGGGUCCAUAUAUGAUGAUAAGUACAAGUUGAUAAAUUAUGUGGGGCUCAUAUAUGAUAAUAAGUACAGGUUGAUAAACAAUCAACGGUACAUUUCUCAGCUUGAAAAAAUUGUUGUCACUUUUGAACAAUUGACGGUUUAAAAAUUUACUAUUUUUUUUUCAAAAAAAAUUAAGAUUUUUUAAAGAACCUUGCAAAAAAAAUAAUUUUUAAUAUCUCAUAAAUAAAAAUCAUAUCCUAAAGUUAUUAUGUCGUUUUAUAUAUAAAACAUACAAUUAAAAACUUUGUUAUCAUAAUAUAAUGAAUAAUUAUUUUUUAAGAGCACUCAUCAAUUGAAUAACAUAUAAAUAUUCAAUUGACUAAUACACACCUAUUAAAUGAAAUAACUCACAAUUAUUCAUGGGGUAAUAUAGCACGUGAAAAAAUUAAAUAAAAAUAAAUUAAAUUAUGUUGUAAUAUAUUGUAAUGAUAGUGUAUUUAUAUUGUAAGUAUAAUGCAUUUAUAUCGUACCUAUAUUUAAUUAAAAAAGUAAUAAUUCUAAAAAUGUUUAUUCAUACCCUAUUGGUAUUAACACAUCGUAUUAAUAUAUUAACAACAUUUAUUUAGUGUCUUGAAAUUAUUUAAUAAUUUUUUUAUAUAUAUAAACUACGUGAAUUCAAAUUAGUAUUUCAUUUGAUUUCAAAAAUUAUUUAUGAUAUAGGUAUGUUGUGAAAUAUGGUAUAAUCAUAUAAAAUUACAAUUUUAAUAAAAAAUUUCAUAAAUUUUUUAAUUAGGUUUUAUUGUAAUGUAAGUGUAUUUAUAUUGUAAUUAUAACAUAUUUUUGUUGUACUUGUAUUUUAUAAUAAAAGUAAUAAUCUUGAGGAUCAUCUUUUAUACCUUAUUAAUAUUCAACAUAUCAAAUAUAUUAACAUUAUUCACUCGAUGCAUUGAGAAAAACAAAUUUAUAUGAAAUUUAUAAAAAAAAAACACUAUGCAAAGGAAAAAAAAUCAUAUAAAUUUUUUAAAAUUAUUUUAUUAUAAAAAUAAAAAAUGAUUAAACAUUCUCUACCAUUUUCUUAUUCUUUUUAGAGAAUUUGAAUGAAAAAUUAAACAUUUUAUCUUCCUUAAAUUUAAUACAAAAAUAUAAUUUAUCAAUUUAAAAUUAUAAUAUAUAUAUAUAUAUAUAUAUAUAUAUAUAUAUAUAUAUAUAUAUAUAUAUAUAUAUAUAUAUAUAUAUAUAUAUAUGAAAAAAUCAUCAUUUUUAUUAUAUAAUUAUAAAACUUAUUUUAAAAAUUAGAAUAAACAUAAAAAAAAAGGUAAAAAAACAAUAAAUGAUAUUUUGAAAAUAAUUUUUAAAAGUAUUUUUGUUUUAAAUAGUAAAUUUAAAUAACAAAUUAUAUAUAAUUGUAAGAGUUAAACCCAAAAUUUUGAUUUAAAAUUUAAAUAUUAUUAAUUACAAUAAAUAUAGGACCCAUAUACCAUAAAUGUAUUGACAAAUCAAGUGAAGUGCUUUAAAUGCUUUGAAUUUUAAAAGUUUUAGCUAAAGGACAAUUUUGGUAUAUUAAGCCUAUUAAAAUCCUUCUCAAGAAUUAUUAAAAUAUAUCACCCUUUCUAAUAAUUGUUCUGCCUAACCUAUUUUUAGGUAAUUCUCCCUUUUUUUCAUUCUCAUCCAUCUUCACGGGACUUCGUCUACCAAAUAUGACAAAUAUUAUAUUGUUAUAUUGAAUAUAUGUACUAAAAAAUAGAAAUGGGAUGAUGCACAUGGCCUGACGUGUACGUUAUUAAUUUGUUUUUGUCUACGUUUGUUUGUUUGUUUUCGUUUUUCUGUUUAUAUACGUAAAGUCAUUUUUUUCCUCUUCAUGGAAUUCUUUUUGAUGAAAAAAUUAGAGGAAAAAACACAGAUUUAACGAUAAAUUAUCCAUGUUCAUGACAAUAAGAAAAAAGAGUUUCACUAUAUAUAAAAUUAGGAUUACAUUAAAAGGUAUUUAUAUUAAUUAAAAAUAUGAUAUUAAUCAUAAUAUUUAUAAUAGACAUAUCAUAUCAAAUAAAUUAUCCAAUUUUUUAUUAUAUUAAUAGAUAAAUUGAAGUUUUUAUGGUAAAUUUAGAUUAUUUGAUAUCACAAAUAUUAUAACGUUUAAAAAUUAAUUUUAAUAACUAAGUUGUGUUUGGUUUAAAAACCAAUUUUUAGUUUUCAUUUUCCAUUUUCAUUUAUGUUUUUUCUUUUCUUAAAAAUAUCUUUGAUUAAGAAAAGUAAAAGUAGUAUUUUAAAAAAGUAAACUUAUAAAAUCUUGUUUGAUUUUAAGCUUUCGUGAAUGUAAAAACUUGUGAAAAAGUAAGCAUUGUUGUUAGUACUCUUAAAUAUUAAUUAAAUAUGACUAAGUGGAUGAUGUCUAUAUCACUUCUCCUGCCAUCGUCACCCAGUGCUCCAGAAAGAAACUGGAAUCUGGACGCGUGAUUAACAACUUCGCUGAUCGCCUACCAUUCCCAUGGCCUCAUGCCUUAUAUAUUUCCACAAACCUAGCUCAAUUUUCAUAUCCACCUUCACUGUCCUAUACUCACAAGCCAUGGCCAUAGAUACAAGCCUCUUGCCUGAGCUUGCUGCAGCAACUCUUCUCUUCUUCAUCACCCGCUUCUUCAUUCGUUCUCUCUUUCCCAAACCUUCCCGGAAGCUCCCUCCUGGCCCCAGAGGGUGGCCGCUCCUCGGCGCUCUUCCUCUUCUAGGUAACAUGCCUCAUGUUGCACUAGCAAAGAUGGCCAAAAGAUACGGACCUGUCAUGUUCUUGAAAAUGGGCACUAACAGCAUGGUGGUGGCCUCAACUCCGGAGGCAGCUCGGGCUUUCCUUAAAACCCUAGACAUUAAUUUCUCGAACCGCCCGCCUAAUGCCGGUGCAACACACUUGGCCUAUGAUGCCCAAGACAUGGUUUUUGCGGAUUAUGGGGCAAGGUGGAAGCUCCUGAGAAAGCUAAGCAACUUACACAUGCUUGGUGGGAAGGCUCUUGAGGACUGGUCUCAGGUUCGAACUGUUGAGCUAGGUCACAUGCUUCGAGCCAUGCUUGAGUUGAGCCAGCGAGAGGAGCCGGUGGUGGUGCCGGAGAUGUUAUCUUUUUCCGUGGCCAACAUGAUAGGGCAAGUGAUACUAAGCCGCCGGGUGUUUGAAACAAAAGGGUCGGAGUCAAAUGAGUUCAAGGACAUGGUGGUGGAGCUCAUGACCACUGCUGGGUACUUCAAUAUUGGCGAUUUUAUUCCGUCCAUCGCAUGGCUGGACAUCCAAGGGAUCGAGCGCGGGAUGAAGCAUUUACAUAAGAAGUUCGACAAGUUAUUGACAAGGAUGAUAGAGGAGCACACGGCAUCAGCCCAUGAGCGCAAGGGAAACCCAGAUUUUCUGGACGUAGUCAUGGGCCAUCAAGGAAAUUCUACAGGGGAGAAGCUCACCCUUACCAACAUUAAGGCGCUCCUCCUGGUAUGCAUAGUUAAAGCUCGUCUUUAAUUUUGUUUUUCGAUAUUUCCUUUCCGGAAACAGCACUUUUAUUGUUUUCCGGAAACAGCCAUUUUAGGGGCACAUCACUGUUCUUUAUUUGGAUUUUUUUUUUGUCUUUUUCCACUUGCAUGGUUGUUUUCAUAUGCUCAGCUGCAUGGCACAGGAAAAUUGGGAAAAAUGAUUGGUUCUCUGAUCAGACCUUCUGCACCAAAACACACUUCUCUCUAUUUUAUAAAAUCAAGAACAUUUAUGGUUUACAUGAUUUUUCGAACUUGAACUUUUGCUAGGGCUAAUGCAUGGAUCUCAAUUUUCAAUUGCGUUUGAUUACAUAAAUUUCAAGUAUGUCACCAUAUUUUUGUUUCCUUGGCUAGAAUUUAUUUACUGCAGGAACAGACACUUCAUCAAGCGUAAUCGAGUGGUCUCUGGCUGAGAUGUUGAAAAACCCGAGCAUCCUCAAGCGUGCUCACGAAGAAAUGGAUCAAGUGAUUGGAAGGAGCCGGCGGCUCGUGGAGUCUGACUUACAAAAACUUCCAUACCUACAAGCCAUAUGCAAGGAAAGCUUCCGGAAGCACCCAUCCACCCCAUUGAACCUUCCUCGUGUCUCAAACGAGGCAUGUGAAGUGAACGGCUACUACAUCCCAAAGAACACUAGACUUAGCGUGAACAUAUGGGCAAUCGGGCGAGACCCUGAUGUCUGGGAAAGCCCGGAAGAAUUC